rnacentral:lncRNA from 1 species
CGUGCAUGAGCCCAGAAACCAGGAAGGAGGCCAUCACUGCUGGCAGCGCCGCCCACUUGCGCCCGAUUGCCGCCGACGCGGCAUAGUGGAGUGGUUCAUAUAUGGUCAAUCGCAGGAUGUUGGUGACCAUGAGGUUCCACCGCUUCCCCCAGAAGUCUUGAAGUGAAGACGAGAGGUACGGCUCACCGAACUGCGGCUCCAGCUCCAUCCCAAAGGCUGCUCGAGCUGUGGCUUGUAUGGAUGAUAAGAUCAGAUCAAGGGCAAGGUAUAGGUGGCAGCAGUAGAUUAACAAGAUCAGGUUUGGAUGGAAAUGGUCGCCGUAGUCGUAUACACGUAAUAGCAUCACAAAAAGCAAAGCUUUUGUGGGAUAGUUCAGCAGCAAGAUAGUUUUGGGUCUAAUGUUUUCAGGAUUUUGAGGAAGUGGGUUUUCUUUAUGAUGGCCAUUUUGAGGUGAGCGUGUGUGAUUUUUGGUGUUCUGUGUCCUCUGUGGUGAUUUCUUAAGGGGCGUCUGUUGGAUCUUGAUGGGUAAGCAAGCAAUGGCCAAGAAGCGUGGAAGAGAGAUUGGAGGAUCUGAAGAUAAAGGCCCUUUGCCAAAGGCAAAGAGGAAGAGCUUGGAGUUGCCAAGUCAUGAAAUGAUGAAGCUAGUUUGGCCUAUAAGAUUCACAGCUGAUAGAUUGAGAGGAAGAUAAAGAAAGAGAGCCGCGACGGGAAGAAUCGGUAAGAGCCUUCUAGUGCCUUUUGGGAUGAUCCUGCCCACUGAGUAGCAAUAGCACAGAGAUAUCAAUGCUGUGAUGCAUACCUUGAAGAAGUUGUAAAUCUCUCCUUCCAUGCUCCUCUGUCUCUCUGUCUCUCUGUCUCUCCCUGUUCCUUGAUUUUCAGCUACACUGUCUUUGGAUCUCUUCGCUAGAGUUUUGCGCGAGUUUGAUGGUCAGAAUAUUGACAAGAAAAGGUCAGUUGUAUCUUCAAUAAGCAAAGAGUCAGAAAGCUGCUUGCCUGCUUCUUUUAUUUAUUGUUUCUCACCUUAGUAAUGCUAAAAUGGACCUCUCUCUUUUUUUAGUGAAGGAAUAAAAAAAUGGUCGGUACUUUAUUCAUUUUAUUGCCGCGUGAGAUGAACCAGCAAAUUUUUUAUGUCGAGUCAACGAAACCUGAAGCAUGUUAUGUGCGGCUGCUUUUGUAAUAUAUGUAAUAUAGCCAAGGAUACACAGAAGAAUGGUCAAACGAACAAUCUUCUUUCCCUUGAUAGUUUUCAGAAAAAAAAAAUGGUGUUGCUAUUACUGAAAUCUUAGGUCAGACAUGAAAGACUAAGUUUGUAAGGUUUUCUGUGCAAUUUGAGAUCAGGCAUGAAAGACUAAGGGUGGGUAAAGGUUGUAAGGUUUUUCUGUGCGACGGAAGAAUAAUCCACUCUGAUUCUGAACUGAGCGCUCGCAGAUCUUGGGCUGUUUUUAUAGACAGACAAGAUUCAAGGACAGAAUCAACCGACACAGCCCUUGCACAUUGCAGUUGUAUAAAUAUGAUGACAUGAUUUGACUCUUUACCUCUAAAACUUGCCAAGGCCUAUGUAUUAGCAGACCAAAAGAAUGGAAUUGUCAUUACUGUAAAGGCAGGCAUGGCCAUUGGCCAUUCCCUCUUUUUAUUUCUUCUAGAAAGAUUAUUAUUUUCAGGGUGUACCGUCAUUUCGUCGCUCCCCCAUACUUCACCUCAGAAACAUAUUUGACAUUUAACAUUCAUUUCUUGGAUUCUCAUAUACUCAUCUGUGUCACAAACAAACACAGAUAUUUAGAUACUCAUUCCCAUCCAUCCUGGAUCGUUUCAUCAUACGAUUCAUACAGGUCUCCUCUCCUCAUCACAUACAGGUCUUCUCUCCUCAUCACAAACCAUCUCCUUUCCAAGAGUUAAAAGCUAUUUCAGAAUCCCAGAAUGCAGCAAACAGGAUCCAAACUAACAAACACAGACCAGCACAAAUAAUUAAACGGCAACUAAAAUAAAGGGGGUGGGAGAAAGGGAGACAAAAGCAGCAUCACCAACAAAUUUGAGCAAAUACAAGUAGCAAGUAGGCCUUUACCCACUUCCUUGCGCACAGAAUCUGAUAAAAGAUACCACAAGAUAUAGAUGACAAAAACAUACAUUGCUCUUGACAACUAGUUCUUAUGAUCACAGUGCUCAUUGAGAGAGAGAGACAGAAAAUGCUCAGAUGCAUCACUUCCAAAUUACUCAUAAGGAACAGCAGCUUCUUUCUUUAAACCUAUUUUCUUCAUGCCAAUAAAAUUUCGAACAAAUAUCUUGUCUCAAUUGUCUAGAUGACCAUCCUGUAAAAAACUAAAGAUAAGUUACCCAGCCAUGGUAAUACAUCAGAUACAUCAACCAGCGAAACAAGUGAGACCAGGGCCAUGUUUGACAGAGUUGGGAGAGCGCUUCAUGAAGUUGAACUCCAGUUUUUUCGGAUGUCAAAAGUGUAGUUGAUCUCAAGGUAACAGUUGUUGUCAUCAUCGGCAAACUAGAGAUCAAAAACAAAAGCAGAAGGGAAAUUGGUAAAAACAAUAACACACGGAAAUCAUUGGUGAGAAGAUAAUUACAGCGAACUUUUCUAUCUAGCAAUCAAGUUGUUGAAAGAUAUAAACCCGAACAAAUCAUCAAUGUUGGAGCUAAUAACCAACUAAUUUUUCUUUCCAACAGAUCGAUCUUGGCGACAAAUACGAAUGCAAGGCUGUUUUUUUUUUUUUUUUUGGUAAAAGUACGAAUUGUAUUCAUUUUGCCAAAAUAAUACAAGGAAGGAUAACCGGCACCAAACAGGAGACAAACACUCAGGAAGACAGUCGUCAAAGAGAGUGUAAGGGUGCCAUGGGAUCCCAAGGAAAGAAAGAACUACCAAAAGAACAAGACAAGAAAGAAAAAACUAACAAACAAACACUAGAAAGAACCUCCAUUAAUCAAAGAUAGAUGGAUGUAGAUCCCAGCUCCGUAGUAGCCUUCUAUUCUUGUGGUUGUCCGGAAUGCAAGGCUGUUGUCAACCAGUGAUUCAGAAAACGCAGGUUUUAAAUGUUGAAGGCCAAUGUCAUGCCUCCUUUUGAUGACUAGAUAUGUAAACAAACCAAGUUGACUACUUGUUGCACAAUUCUUCAAGCUCCAUUUACCUAUAUACAUUUAAAUUCCCUUUUCCCAGACAUGAAGUUUGAAUUAGAAGAAAUGCCUCACAAUAAUCUAUCGAUCAUGAUCUAUGAAAAUGCAUGCAAGGCAACUUAGCAAUCAAGAUACAGGAAGGAGCUGCACAAGUUGACUAUUGAAAUUUGGAAUUGCACGUGGUAAACUGACAAGCUGUCAUCCACACAAGUGAAUUAUAGUCUCGGAAAUUUCAGAUUUUAAAGAAGUCUAAGAUGCUCCAUCACUUAAGAAUUUAGCAACGAUAAUCUAAGACUCUCCAUCAUCUUUUUAACAUAACUCAUUUACCAUUGCUGAUGCAUUAUAUCGAGGGAAAAGUAGAAGUAACUGAGCUAACCUUACUUCUGGCUGAAUACGAUCCUCUAGCAGAUAUGCCAGAUGGUGUCGUCUCUUCAGGCAUUUCAUGCGUGUAGGGUUCCUGCUGUGGACUGAAAGUUCCGAUGAUCUCCUUUGAGCUGUCCACUGCAAAAUUAGACAAUGCAAGGUGAGAAGAAAACAGAGCUUAAUUUACAAACCAUGAAAGUACAAGGUUGAGAAAAGAGGGGCGUGGCGCUACCUUUAACACCAGUUUUCCAUACUGUGUUGCUGUAUUUGAGACCCGACACGAUGUUGUCGCUGACCUGGAAGGUGAACUUUAGCCUAUAACGGCUGCCUUCUUUCAAAGUAAACCACAAGCCUUUGGGCUUUCCAUUCUCAGGAAUUGGCAGUAGUAUAUCAGGUCUACCAGGAGAAAUUAUUGCAGGCUCACAAUCUUGACAUCCGGUUCCAGUGUUUCUACAUUGCAAAGGAAUGAUGAAAAGAAAAUGAUCAGUGAAAAUGGAAUUCAGAUCAUCAUUAGAAAAAAGGAGUUUUCAAUCAAUUACUCAAUCCAGUCAUCAUUCAAGCUCCAGAUCAAUCAGAAAUAUGCAGUUCCGAAGCCAGCAUUCAAUUUGCUAAGGACAUCAAGAGACUGUUAACAGGGCAUUCAUCUCAAACUUGAUUUCAUUUUCUGAAACAACGCUUGGAAAAAUAUAACAAUCUCAGUGAUGGCAUCGAUAGCGAAUUGGAACUAGAGGGAAAUUUGUGCAUUUACUUAAAAUUACGAAAAACAGAAAGCCAAAACACUAGGCUCUGCACUCCAACAACCAAGCUCGCUUUGAAAGCUACUUUAAAAGAGAUUUUCUUUUUCGUUCUUUUCGGUCAGCUCUCAUGUGCAUACUUUGUCUGCUUUCUCAAUCAAAGACAGAUCUCUCACAUUGAGACUAAAAGAUUCAUAAGAUAAACUUCCUUAUAGACUGAUCACCUUACCUCAUACAGAAACCAGAUUUUAGAUCUCGCCCUUUCUUGAGGCAAAAUUGAUUUGAAUUGAGUGAACAAUGGAGUAUUUGCUGGUUCAGGACAGGAAAUGAUCAAACAGCUCAGAGUAAAAUUUACAAAGUUGCCAGCACUUGUCUACUGGUUAGUUGUUCAUCCGGAGCUAUGUCAUUAAUAUACAGCAUAGUGUACCGACCAAUGAGUGUAGAUUGGCAUCCCAUUGAGCUUUCAAAGAAGUGACGAAAAUCGCUUGAAACUUGGAAUAACGCCACUAAAGCAAAUUAUGGAACUUCAUUUAGUGAUUAGCAGAUCAAAUAUGAUAAACUUGCCACAUAGUUUUACUUGCUCCGAAUAAGCAAGAAAACCAAGAGAAAACAAAAAAUAACAACCACGCAAAUAUCAUAGAGUUAACAGACAUCACUGAACAGCAACAAAAGAUUUUAUUUGGGAAAUUAGAACAUGUACCACCCAACCAUUCCAUCAGCUUGCCAUCCUGAUAAAUCAAUAUAAAGUAUGUUGUGAAUGCAGCACAAAAAUAACAAAGGAGAGAACUAGGGACAAGAAUGACAAGCCUUCAUGCAGAAAGUUAAAUCUGCACAAAAAUUUUCAAAAGAAACAUGCUGAGCGAAGAUGGUUUCUCAAUUUGUAAAAUUGUGCUAUACAACUUAAAUAGUCCAAUUUGUAGACGGAGGGCUCACAGAGUUUCAUCUAACAAAUAGAUGCAUUAACAUUGUUAAAUCCAAUCCAAGUAGCUGCAUUGAGGCCUCCAACAGACAAUAUGAAAUGAAUCUAGGAUGCUGCACUCUUUCCUGAGACCUUAAGAUGCGGAACUCACUUCACAAAUGGAACCCCCAAAGGACAGUUGGCUCAUAUUCCUCAUAAUCUUGCUCGAAGAAUUGUCUCAGCAAAAGCUCUUCAUAAGGUGACCGUGCUGCAAAGAAGUGCCAAACUUGUGUUGCGAACGCAAACAUCAAUACGGGAUUGCAUGGUAUUAUCUGAGUCCCGAUCGACCAAAUGAAGAAUGCUCAAUAUCCAGGAUGACGGAUGAACCAAUAGAUUCCAUUAGCUAUAAGCUUGUGAUGAUCCUCAUGAUGAAUUUUGAUCAAAUGGGUGAACGCCUCGCCAUCAGUUCUAAUUGCCAACUUCCUAAUGAUUCCCCCAACUACAAUCACGGCAAAGCCCAGAUUGCUGAUCCACCAGCAUUCUUCCAAAGCUGGAAAAUUACUCCACCAGAGAAAACAACAUUGCAACAAGAUAAUUCCGGCGAGAGGAGCUGGCUUUUUGACUGUGAUCGGAACAGACAUUCUGGUAUGGGAAGAGAGCCUCAGUGCCAUUGGUGUGAUGUUCCGCGACAUGUCCAUAGGCGACGUGUUGUUUCAACAAGCUAAAAUAGCUUUUCCCUUUAAGGGACUGAGCCGAUAUGAAUGACAUUGACCUCGAUUGAAAGUGAGUGAAGCUUGUAGACGAGACAACGGACUUGAAGCUCGUGGACGACUUAAAGAUUGUGGACGAUGAAUCGAGCAAAGAAGAGCCGAUGGUGAACGGUGAACGGCGGACUGAAGCCCAUGAGGAGUGGGCGAGGAGUAAUGAGGAUUAGGCGAGCGGCAAAGACCCAGCGGCAUGGCCGAGGAUCAGGCGAGUGGGGAAGUCCGGGAGUGGGGUGACCAAGGAUCAGGCGAGAGCAACCGGGGAGAGGAAGGAAGAAAAUGUGAAAAAUAGAAAAUCAUUUGGGGAUUUUUUUCAAAUUUUUAUCCAAUCGCAAAUUUUGAUUAAAUUACCCUUGUUUAAAUCGCCGGAAAUGCCCUCCGAUGAACCUAGGCCCUUAGUUGAUACCGUCAUAACCACUUUAAACCCUUUUUAAAAAUAUAAUCCAUUUUAGACUCUCUUUCAAGAAAAUGACCCCACUUAAAAUCUUUAAUUGAAAAUUUUCCUCAAAAAUAUGAUUCAAAGUUGAGCUUAUAAAGUAAAUAAGAUUCAAGUACACUUUAUAAAAGCUUUUUCCCAUUUUGUACAUAAAUUUGAUAUAAAAUUAUUAACAUGACAAUCUAGUCAUUGUCAAUCAUCUUACAAAGCACACCAACGAUCUAAAGUAGAUAAAUUUGCUUAAAAAGAUGUCGUUUUGAGUAGUUGUAUGAAUUUUCUAGUUUUUUCUUACUCUCUUUUCCCUCGUUCUACUUAACCUUUUUUUUUCCCUUCCUUUUCUACUCUUCUGAUUGUCAAAUCAUUGACGAGGAGGAUGUCAUUAAGAUGACGUUUUACAACAAUGAUCUUAGGCAGUUAAGGAGGAUGCACUGGAAACGAGAAACCGGUUUUUUUUCUUCUUAUAGAAGUCCCAGCAUUAGGUAGGCUCAGUCCAUUUUACAAUUUUUUAAAAUUCCUUGCUUAGAUCUAGCUCCUUCGACAAGGAGGCGAUUGUCUCUGUCAAGGGACUUCCAGGUUCGGUAGAUAUACCUGGAACAUAUUGCGAAUUCAGACCUUUUUCUCUCUUUAUUUGUCGAUAAUCUUCUAUGCCAUGUGAAAUUUUCCUUUUCAUUUCUGGUUACCGUUUGUCGUCUUCUUUUCUGAAAGAGGAAGGGAACUUCACGCCAUCACCAUGCCCGCACCACGGUGGCCGUUGGCCAGGCUGAGCGGCCAUGGACGACAACCAUCGACAAUAAUAAAUUCAACUUAACUUCUAGACAGCUUUGUAACGAUUGAGGGAAAUUGAAAAACAAUCAAACAAACAUAAAUUAAAUUUGGUCUCAGUUAUUUUAAAAUCCACUACUCCACGUAAGUUUAUUUCAUUUUCUGCUUGUGUUUUCUCAUUUUCUUUCGUUUUUCCCCUUUUCUUUCCUUCUUUCAUAUAUGAGGAAGUUCCAUAUUUUGCAGAAGUCUACGGGAAUUCUAAGAAUAGGUAUUUCAUUAAAAGAAAGCUAAAAGGAUGCAAAGUAGCUAUAAUGGGUAUACCAAUUAUAAAUUACACCUCUAAGUGUUCACAAAGAGUCAUUCACACACUUUGUCUCUCACAUAAACAAAUGCGUUCCCUUUAAGUAUAAUCGGUAUAUCAAUCUGCUAACUCUUUGGAUCAACACUCAAUUGACCGCAACGCACAAGUGAAGACCUCAAGAAUGCUCAAUAUGCUUUCAGUUUAUCUUAUUUCAAGCACUCGAUGACAAGCAACAUUGUUCUCAUAGUUUGUCCUUAUAGGCAUCCAAAAAGCAAAUGUUACAGCUGGAUACACAGGCCAUUAAGUUCGUCCCUGUUCAAGUAAAAAACCUCGUGGAAGAAGACCAAACCUUGGUAGAAUUUGCCAACCAACUUUUGGUUUUGGCCACAUCUUUUGUCGCACAACAAAUCAGAUGACUAAUGUUAAGUUAUCAAAAGCAAUAACUAUGAAAACCUUAAAUUGAAUAUGAGCCUUUGAGAAGACACUUCUUGAUUGUUGAGGUCCCAUUAGUUAUCUGAUGAUUCUGUAGUUAGGCAGCCGCAAUCAAAUAACAUCACUCCUAGGAAACAAACAAAAAAAAGAUGAGACUGUCACAGUAUGAUGAAAUUGUAUCAUGAAUGAAAGUUACGACUGGAUCGUUAUUUUGCAAUUUACCCUGUUGAAAUGAGAUUCCAUCAUGAUAGCCAAGGUGAACUAAUCAAGUUGGGUCAUUGAGGUGGUUGCAGAUAAGUUUAAGAUAAACAUAAGUCUAUUGACUGAACAAUCAAUUGGGAUUAGUGAUUGAGUUGUAAUAGUAAGAGAAUCAUUAGACGUUGACUUUGACGGUGAGCAUCUCUUUCAGAUUCAUGGCACGGGAGUAUUGAUAAAAGAGCUCUUGCCCAAGGUCGUCUUCAUCAACUUUCUACCCAAUUUGAGAAGUGUUGCUGCCUCCUUGAUAAUGUUUGAGAAAAGUAGUCAAUAAUCGAUAAUGUUCCAUAGUGUGCUUAUGCCGUGAUUUUGACGUGAAAUUAAUUGAUGUGUUUGCGCAUAAAACACAGGUAUCUUCGGCGCUACAAGAUGAAACCUGUUGGCGUGAUUUUCUCUCCUAUCUUAAGAAAGGAGAUUUGUUAAUAUUGUAUUCCUAUAAUUCUGGGAUCUCUUCCUUUUUCUGUUUUUAUUCUAGUUGCUUGUUUCCUUAGUUGUUGCAACCUUUUAUGUACAUAUGGUUGAACAAUGGUAGAUGCUCAAUACAACAAAAAAAUAAAAAAUAAAAAAUAAAAAGAGACCGAAAGCUUUGUCCGAGGACGUAGGCACAUUGCCGAACCUCAUAACCUUUGUGUCUUUGUGUGAAGUUUUGUUUUUCUUCAUGGUAUCAAAGCGGGUUAUGACCCUGAUUAUUUGAAGAACUCACCUCAUCCUCUUUGUGUCGUUUUUUUGUUGAGCACCAUGACAAUUUCAGAAUUAGAAUCUGGAAAACUUCCCGACAAAGGUGCAAGUUUUGAAUCAGCGAAGGUUGUGGUGCAUGAGGUAAACAGCCAACGUCUUACAUCUAUUUUGCUAAAUGGAAGGAAUUUUCUCCCAUGGUCACGAGCAGUGACCAUUGCGCUUGGAGGUCGAUCGAGGCUUGGACAUAUUACUGGGCAAACUAAAGUCCUUGAUGAAAAAGUCAUCCAAAUUUCAAAGAAUGGCAAGCAAGCGAUCACGGCGUUAUGACUUGGAUCUUCAACUUAAUGGAGCCUAAAAUCUAUGAGAUUUUUGCUUAUUCAGUUUUGGCCAAAACAUUGUGGGAUUCGUUGUCUGAGAUGUAUGGUCAAGCCGAUAAUGCAUCUCGAAUCUUUGAGCUUCAACAAGGUCUUGCUACCUCUAGGCAAGGUGCAAAUCAAUCAUUCACAGAACAUCUAGGGAACAUAAAAAAAUAGUGGGAUGAACUCCGUCAAUAUAGACCUGCAACCCAGAAUGUGUGUGACUAUGUGCAAAGGGAAGAGCAAGAUAGAAUUUUUUUAUCUCUUGGCAAGCCUAAGGCCAGAGUUUGAAGACACCAAACGUGACAUUCUUAUGAGGCCUCAAUUGCCGUCCUUUAAUACCGUUUGCUUCAUAAUACAAAGUGAAGAAACAAGGAGGAGAGUCAUGCAUUCUGACUCGAUUGUGGCACCAUCAACAGGAUCAUCAGAACACUCUGCAAACGCUGUUAGUUCUAAUGCCAGGCAAAGUGAUGGUGGUACUCGAUUUGUCAAAGGGAAAGGAAAGAAGCCCCUUCGUUUCCAUUGCAAUCAUUGUGAUCGAGAUGGGCAUUCUAAGGAACAAUGUUGGAUUCUACAUCCUCAGCUGCGUCCAAAUAAGGACAAAGGUCCAGACGCUAAGACAGCAAUUCAAGGGAAUACCAUAGACUUCCAAUCCAAGUUGGAGUCUCUAGCGCUGCAGGUUCAGCAACUACUUCAAACACAUGGUUCGGGUCCCUUUGGCACUGAAUUUGUAAAUUUGGCCAAGACUUCUAGUAAUAUUAGUACCCUUUCUGUGGAGUCUAGAAAUCAAUUUAUUGUUGAUUCUGGUGCCAUAGAUCAUAUGUGUAGUUCCUCACAUAUUCUAGCUAAUAUUGUUUCUAGCUCUUUAUAUCCACCAAUCACAGUAGCUAAUGGAGUGCAGGUACCAACCCAAGGUGUUGGGCAACUGAAUGUGCUUUCGAAGAAAACUAAGGCUUUAUUGAUUCCAGGAUUAUCUUCGAAUUUAAUAUCUGUGAGCAAAUGUGCUAAACAGUGGAAUUGUAAUGUCAUUUUUACUCCACAGAAGGUGUUGUUCCAGGAUCGCAAUACCAGGAGGAUGAUUGGUGAAGGACAACUUCGGGAUGGGCUGUACACCUUAGAUUUGCAUGGUGAAGCGUUGGUGGCUAGGAAGGGGAAUGUGGAUACCUCUCGUCUAUGGCAUUGGUGCAUGGGUCAUCCUUCAGAUUGGGUGUUGCAGUCCUUAAACAUGUCGUUAACUCAUGAUUCUAGUAGUUGUGAUCCAUGUCACUUUGCUAAGCAACAUAGGUUGCCUUUCCCUAAACAUUUGCAUAAAUCAACUGAAUUGUUUGCUUUGGUACAUUCAGACAUUUGGGGAUAUUCUCCUGUUGAUUCUAGAAAAGGUUUUCGGUAUUUUGUUACCUUUAUUGAUGAUAAAUCGAGAGCUACUUGGCUUUACAUUCUUAAGUACAAAAGUGAAGUGCUUAUUGUUUUCCAGGAUUUUUGCAAUAUGGUGAGUAAUCAAUUUAAUACUUCCGUGAAGGUUCUUCGUAUCGACAAUGGUACCGAAUACACCGAUCAUAUAUUUCAAGUAUUUUUAUGAAGCAAGGGUAUUAUUCUCGAGACAACAUGUGUGGGUACUCCACAACAAAAUAGAAUAGCUGAAAGAAAAAAUCGUCACCUACUAAAGGUUACUUGGGCCUUGUUAUUCUCUACGAAUUUGUCUAAAUCCUAUUAGGCAGAUGCAGUUAUGACUAGCUGUUAUAUAAUUAAUAGACUCCCUAGUCGAGUAUUAGGGUAUAUAACUCCUAUGGAAGUGUUGUAUGGGCGAAAAUUUGAUAAAUCUCACUUCAGGAUUUUUGGGUGUGUUUGCUAUGUUCACUCUCAAACUGGAGGAAAGCUAGAUCCUCGUGCCAGGAAAUGUGUGUUUGUUGGUUAUUCAUCUGUCAAGAAAGGCUACAAGUGUUAUGACCCUUACACAAAGCGUAUCUAUAUUUCUUGGGAUGUUGUAUUUGAUGAAACUCAUAUGUUUUUUCCUAACAAGAGCCACAUUUAGGGGGAGUGCACAGAUUAUUAUAAGAAGUUUUCCUAUGAAUGUGCUCCUGUUCCUAUGGAUGUUAAUGGGACUGGUGAAGCCAAAGUCAACAAUGGGGGUGUCGAAGCCAACAAUGGGAGCUGUGCUUCGGGUCACGAAUUUGCAGAUCAAGAAAAUUCAUAAGUGGAUCGAGAGAUUGAGGCAACUGUUGUUCCAGAAGCUGAACCUAGAAUUGCCACUGACAGGCUGAUAAAUGAAAGGGCAGCAGAUGUAAUCCCGUUACAAAGAUUAUCUCGUGUCACUAGACCCUCAACUCGACUUCAAGAUUUUACUACUUAUUAUUCAGUUCAACAUCCCAUUCAAGAAUUUGUUGGAUAUGACAAAUUAUCUCACAAUUUUUUGAGUUUCUUAUUUGCUAUUGAAGAACAACAGGAACCUCACAACUAUGAGGAAGCAAGGGAAAAAGCCAUUUGGGUUAAUGCAAUGAAGGAUGAACUUUAGGCUUUAGAUCGAAAUCAUAUUUGGGAGCUUGUACAACUUCAAAGAGGGAAGAAGACAGUUGGUUGCCGAUGGAUCUAUAAGAUCAAAUAUAAUAGUGAUGGAUCGGUUGAAAGGUGUAAAGCGAUUUGUAAAAUGAUACACUCAAACACAUGGUAUAGACUACAAAGAGAUAUUUGCACCUGUGGUUAAAAUGAACACUGUGCGUGUCCUUAUGUCAGUAGCUGUUAAUUGUGGAUGGUCCUUGUUCCAAAUGGAUGUAAAGAACGCAUUCCUUCAUGGAGAUUUGGAGGAGGAGGUUUAUAUGGAUCUUCCUCCUAGUCACCCCUUGCAUAAUAAAGAUGGAAUUGUUUGUAGGUUGAAGAAGGCCAUAUAUGGACUCAAGCAAUCACCUAGAGCUUGGUAUGGUAAACUAAGUGCUGCACUCAUCAAGGUUGGAUUCAAAAGAGGGAUAACAGACUCAUCAAUGUUCACCAAGGCUGACAACAAAGGUAUAGUUGUUGUACUUGUUUAUGUUGAUGAUAUUGUCAUUAUAGGCAGCAAUCAACCUCGAAUCGAAGCACUUAAGCGGCAUUUGAGCAAGGAAUUUGAUAUCAAAGACCUUGGCAAAUUGAGGUAUUUUUUGGGUAUUGAGGUGGCGAGAUCUCACAAAGGAUUAUUUUUAUCUCAGAGAAAAUAUGUCAUGGAUUUGCUGAAAGAGACUGGGAAGUUGGGAGUUAGACCAGCCAACAUUCCUAUGGAGUAUAAUAGUAAGUUCAUUUCAGAUGACACUCCAUUACAAGCUCUGUGUAACCAACAUGAUGUUGGGCAGUUUCAGCGACUUGUUGGAUGGUUUAUUUAUUUGACUAUCACAAGACCUGACAUAGCAUAUACUAUUAGUUACAUAAGUCAAUUUAUGCAUAAACCAAUUCAAGGGCAUAUGGAGCUAAUAAAUGAUUUACUACGAUAUUUGAAGGCCACUCCUAGGAAAGGAAUUUUACGAAAAUAUGUCACACAGAGCUUGUGGUUACACUGAUGCAGAUUGGGGCCGAGAACCCUAUAGACAGGAAAUCUACUACAGGUUUUUGUACUUUUGUGGGAGGAAACAUUGUCACUUGGAACCACCGCCCGCAGCGGCGCAGCUGGCUUAGGGCUCUCUCCCCCUCACGAAGGGGAGGAGUUCGAAUCGCAGAGGCGUCGUUAGGGAUUCUUACCUGGAGUACUGUGGUGGUGGGUCCUGCAGUCACUCCCCUAGGAUUUGCUCGCCUGCUGUUGACUUAUGGGGUUCCCUGGGUCACAAAAAAAAAAAAAACAUUGUCACUUGGAAAAGCAAAAAACAAACGGCGGUUGCUCAUUCGAGCGCAGAGGCAGAAUAUCGGGCCAUGGCUACUACUACUAGUGAAAUUGUGUGGUUGAGACUUCUGCUUCAGGAAUUGGGUUGCAAUUGCAUGACCAAGCCUACAAAGUUGUUUUGUGAUAAUCAGGCUGUGACUCAUAUAGUUUCAAAUCCAGUGUUUCAUGAGAGGACCAAACAUAUAAAGGUGGAUUGCCACUUUGUGAGAGAAAAGGUGCAAGACAAGACAAUUGAGACUCCGUACAUUCACAGCGAGGGUCAACUGGCUGAUGUUUUUACCAAAGCGUUAGUCAAGGGAGUAUUUAAAGAAAUGACAAGCAAGUUGACCUCCGACGAGGUCUUCGGCCCGUGGAAGAAGUGAUAUGCCCGUGGGAAGCCUCGGCACCUGUAACAUAAGGCAAACCUCUCUUGGCCUUCUUUCCAAACUUGAGGAUAGUCCAUUGUCCUGGAGGAAUAAAUAGGCUCGCGGAUUGGGCCGCAAAGGCCCAUAGAUGUAAUUAUCUCCCACCUGACUGGAUUUCCAACCCCCAACUUGCACUGUGGGAGCUCAUAUGUUUUGAUGCUCUUUUUACAUGUAAUAGAACCCGUUCUUAUGAAUGAAAAGCUUGUCUAUGACAACAAAAGAAAAAAAAAACAAGAUGAAUUGCAAAAAAGGUCUAUUAAAUUCACAUCAAUUAAUGUCACCUUCGGGGUUGCCAUGUAAUUAUGUAUGAACGUGUUAAUCCGUGUUAGAAAUUAUGAGUUCUCUGUCACCAAUGACCAAAACAAGUUAAAGGGGUAUGAAUUAUACAUUCAAACAUAGGUAACACAUAUCUCAAGGGUAAUUUAAAUUACAGGUUAGUUUUAUUUUUUGUUGGGUAACUUAUGUCAUGUUCCGAUCCUCGAGCGUGUGCUUAUUCUUCACUAGUCGAUUAAAUAGCGAAGUCCCAGGACGUAUCGCUGACCCAUUCAUUUUUAAUAUGCACGCGGAAGUAUAAUAAAAUCCCUAGACAAUAAAGCAAUGGGAUAGGAAAGUAUGACCAAUUUUUUCACAAAAAACCUUUUUAUAAACACACAGGUUUAUACACAGAAGCCUACAAAAAGGAAUCAGCUUUCAACAAAAGAGAAAUGCCCUAGGACUAACUAGCUGGACAUGCUCGCCGAUUCUCCAGGCUUCACCUUUUGAACUUCGAGCCUCAGGUCCCCAUCGCUAUCAACUAGGGGCCUGAAAAUGGUUAUACAAUAACCAGUGAGAUAAUGUCUCAGCAAGUUUAACCCCCUAAGACCCGAUUAGGAAAUAAAUACGCCCUAAGGGCUGCCUAAGCACACCACGAGUCAGAUAACUUACCUUGGCCUCAGUUCCCCCUGCAAGUCAAUAUCAUUUACAAAGGUCUCAAAUCACAUCAUAUCAAAUCAUUAAUUAAUUGAUUGAGAACUUAAAACUNNNNNNNNNNNNNNNNNNNNNNNNNNNNNNNNNNNNNNNNNNNNNNNNNNNNNNNNNNNNNNNNNNNNNNNNNNNNNNNNNNNNNNNNNNNNNNNNNNNNNNNNNNNNNNNNNNNNNNNNNNNNNNNNNNNNNNNNNNNNNNNNNNNNNNNNNNNNNNNNNNNNNNNNNNNNNNNNNNNNNNNNNNNNNNNNNNNNNNNNNNNNNNNNNNNNNNNNNNNNNNNNNNNNNNNNNNNNNNNNNNNNNNNNNNNNNNNNNNNNNNNNNNNNNNNNNNNNNNNNNNNNNNNNNNNNNNNNNNNNNNNNNNNNNNNNNNNNNNNNNNNNNNNNNNNNNNNNNNNNNNNNNNNNNNNNNNNNNNNNNNNNNNNNNNNNNNNNNNNNNNNNNNNNNNNNNNNNNNNNNNNNNNNNNNNNNNNNNNNNNNNNNNNNNNNNNNNNNNNNNNNNNNNNNNNNNNNNNNNNNNNNNNNNNNNNNNNNNNNNNNNNNNNNNNNNNNNNNNNNNNNNNNNNNNNNNNNNNNNNNNNNNNNNNNNNNNNNNNNNNNNNNNNNNNNNNNNNNNNNNNNNNNNNNNNNNNNNNNNNNNNNNNNNNNNNNNNNNNNNNNNNNNNNNNNNNNNNNNNNNNNNNNNNNNNNNNNNNNNNNNNNNNNNNNNNNNNNNNNNNNNNNNNNNNNNNNNNNNNNNNNNNNNNNNNNNNNNNNNNNNNNNNNNNNNNNNNNNNNNNNNNNNNNNNNNNNNNNNNNNNNNNNNNNNNNNNNNNNNNNNNNNNNNNNNNNNNNNNNNNNNNNNNNNNNNNNNNNNNNNNNNNNNNNNNNNNNNNNNNNNNNNNNNNNNNNNNNNNNNNNNNNNNNNNNNNNNNNNNNNNNNNNNNNNNNNNNNNNNNNNNNNNNNNNNNNNNNNNNNNNNNNNNNNNNNNNNNNNNNNNNNNNNNNNNNNNNNNNNNNNNNNNNNNNNNNNNNNNNNNNNNNNNNNNNNNNNNNNNNNNNNNNNNNNNNNNNNNNNNNNNNNNNNNNNNNNNNNNNNNNNNNNNNNNNNNNNNNNNNNNNNNNNNNNNNNNNNNNNNNNNNNNNNNNNNNNNNNNNNNNNNNNNNNNNNNNNNNNNNNNNNNNNNNNNNNNNNNNNNNNNNNNNNNNNNNNNNNNNNNNNNNNNNNNNNNNNNNNNNNNNNNNNNNNNNNNNNNNNNNNNNNNNNNNNNNNNNNNNNNNNNNNNNNNNNNNNNNNNNNNNNNNNNNNNNNNNNNNNNNNNNNNNNNNNNNNNNNNNNNNNNNNNNNNNNNNNNNNNNNNNNNNNNNNNNNNNNNNNNNNNNNNNNNNNNNNNNNNNNNNNNNNNNNNNNNNNNNNNNNNNNNNNNNNNNNNNNNNNNNNNNNNNNNNNNNNNNNNNNNNNNNNNNNNNNNNNNNNNNNNNNNNNNNNNNNNNNNNNNNNNNNNNNNNNNNNNNNNNNNNNNNNNNNNNNNNNNNNNNNNNNNNNNNNNNNNGUAGACCGACGCCCGUAUUUUCAAUAAUUACCAAUAAUUACUUUAGGAAUAAAAUUCUAAAAUCACAAUUAAAUCAAUUCAGCACAUUUAGAACUCAAUAAAUAAACAGAUUGUGCCACAAUAAUUAGCAUAAAAUUCCGGUCAUCGGCUAUCCCAGCCUAAUUUCCAAUAAAUAAAUAAAUAAAUAAAUAAAUAAAUCAAUAAUUACGGAAAAUAUUAAACAAAUGCAAUAAAUCCAAUUUAGGCCCGUAAUGUCUAAUUGGACACCGAAACGGACCCGGAAAAAUUUCAAGGUUCAUUUAAUAAAUAAUAGCACAUGUCUACUCACUAAUGUCACUAUCUAACCACAUAACAUUCAUCGGUAAAUAAUUAAAUUAACUAAUCUAGUCUAAUCUAUCCACCUAAACCAUGCUUAAUUAAUCUAAUCAACCCAUAAGCAUAAUUAACCGACUAAGCAAGGAUUAGUGAGUUCAAUUCACUUGAUCGGCGAGCUAGACGAUUCAAAACGUCGGGAACGCGACGAGGCUCGAUACUCUCCAAAGCGGGCCUAGCUUUUGGGCCCGAAAUCACUUCAAAACGGGCCCGAAGGUUGCUGGAAAACCCACUUUUCCCGCUCUCUGUUCGCUACUGCAACACAGAAGAAACAGGGUUGGUUUGGCGAGGCGAGACUAGCGGAGGUUGCACGGGCACUUGGUGAGCUGAACGGCGGCUUCAGUGGCUCCCACAACCACUCAUGGCGGCUGGACAACCUCUUGGAUGGCAAGACAACCUCCAGGAAUGGCGAGCUGGGCGGCGCAACACUGCUAGACACAACUGAGGCGCGGCAAGCCGGAAUGGGCGGGCGGUGGCGAAAAUAGCGAACUGCUAAGGGCGGUGGCUUGCUGGCUUGCUCCGGCGGCUUCUCUACUAGCUGGUGGUCUUCGAACGGUAGGAACAAGGGGAGCGAGGGCAGUGGACGACAGGUGAGGGGGAGAGAGGAAAGAGAUGAGGUUGGAGAGGCCACUUGGUUCAAUUUUCUUCUCCUUUGUCCCAUUGACCCAGCCUCAGCCAAGUCUGGUUCCUUUGCCCUCAUUCAUCCAACAAUGCUCAUCCUUGGACACUUGAAAUGGUCCAAAACCAUAGGCAAAGGGGGGAGCUACGAAUUUCAAGCCUUUUCCCUCCAAUUAGACACUUAAUUCUUCCUAAUUCAACACCAUUUGGCUUCAAUAAAUCCCGUUGUCGAGUCCUUGAUUAAAUCGAUAUUUUUCCUCACCAAUAUAACCCACUCGCUUUCUAAUUUUGUGACAAAAAAAUGAUCUCUGGCUUUUUCUGGACAAAAACGGCCCUACCUCGACUUUUUUUUUUCAAAAAGUCUCGGUUCGUAGAAAAAUCUUCUGAGACUGAGUCGAUGCUCCUAGAAUUAAUUGUGACAUGAUAGAACCUUCAAUUUCUGAAAUCAGACUCAAAUUCGUGGUUAAUUUCAAUUUGACGCGUUUUUAACGUGACUUAGGUUACCGGGUAGGUUUCAGAAAUUUUUAGUACAAAUGACUCGUGAUCAAUUUUUUUCGAGCCACAAUAAAUCCCAUCGACACAUUGGCGACUCUCAAUUUUCGUGAAAAUAUUGAGGACUCAAAUACGGACACAAGGUACCGAAACGAUAGAAAAAUCAGUCUAGUGCCAACUGACAAAAAUUUUCCAAUUUAAUGGUGUCACCCAUGAUUAGCCACACAUUUUAAUCAAACCGAUCUACCUCUGAUUUCAAAUCGAUUUUAUACUGUACUGUAAUGGCCUUUAAAGAUGAGCACAGUCGAAAAGUCGAUUUCUGAUCGAAUUCUCAGGUCUAUCACAGUAAAAUUCUUUAAUGGCUUCCAUGAAUAGUCUAAUUAUCUCGAGAGUGAUCAGCUCUGAGAACAGCCCUUUAGGCGCGUCGAUGAAAUACCCGAUUUAUUCAGUAGAAAACAUGAUUGAAAAUCUGGGAUAUCACAACUUAUUUGUUUUGGUUUUGGUCCUUGUUUUGGAACCACAAAGCAGUGACAAGGUUGAGAUAAUUGGCAGCCCAUUAAGAUUAAACGGGGGAUCAUUGUGAAGCCCAGAGUGCCAGAAACUUUGGCACCGACGAGUUUGAGACAAAGCUAAAACCUAGUAGUGGCGAAACAGAGCCCUUAUAGUCGCUUAUCCCUCUUUCCAGUUUUAUCAAUAUCCGUGAAAAAGUGACCUGAACUUUCAUACCUGCAGUUUUAGAUGCCAACAUGAGCAUUUGCAAUUUGUAAGUUGAUGUUCAUAAGUUGAGAAGCAGAGAUAAACAUUAGUUCAAAUUGUCUCAAUUUAAAUUGUUUCUUAAUUUCAAUUUUUUGCUUCUCAAAGAUUAAAGGAAAAGUAGAUGUGAUGAUUCAAACACAAGGAAAAUCAAACCGGACCAAAACAUAAAAGUUUCCUUAAAAAAGAAAAGAUAAAACUCAAUAGAUUAAUUAAUUGAGUACUGUCGAGGAAAAAGUCAUUGCCCGAGCAGAGCAAUCAGCGUAAUUUGGGGCUUUUUGUUAGCGGACUUCAUGUUUCGUUGUCGGCUAUCGGCCGCAUAGCAAUUGGGUCGUUCACGUUUCUUUGUCGGCCACAUAGCAAUGGGGUCAUUCUCAUAGACUACGGCACUUUGCUUUUCGGUCUUCCAAGGAGUAGUACAAUAAUUUCAACUUUUAAAAAAGAAAGAGAGCCAUUCUUCUCCUUUUCACACCAAGCAAAGCAUCCAUGGCUAGCUCAGACGCAGGAAGUUGCCAGGGAGAUAGAGUAGCAGGUGUUCCUGAAUUUUAGAGGACAAUGUUCUCAUCCACCAAUAACAUUUAACUUUAUGGUCUUUGUCGUGAUAUGUUGCGAAUCUCAGCUUUGAUUGGUUUCUUAUUACUACUCCAUUAAUGAAUGACAGAAAGAGGUCCAACCGUCCAAGCACAACGUUACUGGUAGUAUCUCCUGCAGUUGUCGCAUUGGAAAAUUUAAUGAGUUCUUAGUUUCAUCUCAGCAUCAGGAGCAAAAUUCAUACAUUUUUCUAGACAAUGCAAGACAAUCCAACUUUCACUUGGACUAAAUAAUCUGUACUGAUGUGUGUAAUAGCAUCGUCUGCACGUAUCAAGGCAGUCUUCAUCACACGAUGAAGAAGGUUGCCUUACAGAUCGAUUUUAGCAUGAGAAGAAUUUUAUAAUUGUAAUUCAUACUUUGUUGCAUCCAAACGAAUAUAAUAAUCAAACGGCUAAUCACUUAGCCAAUCAUUACUGGAGGAUUUAAAUUUGUAUUCACAUUGUUCUACAAGUUGUUAAAAGAUUUUUUUGAAGAACAUAGAUUUUCAUAAAGUAAUAUGAAACGAUUAUUGUAGAAAGAAAACGGAAGUACGGAAGCAUGUAGAAUGAAAUAAUUGAAUACAUCUGGAGAAGAUAAAAUCAGAAAAAGGAAGAAAAGGACAAAAAUAUUCAUAUUUCCCGGGGCCUUCUGCCCGAGACCUCCGCUACCGCCAUAGACCGAGAAAUAAUUCAUGAAAGCUUUGAUAUGAAGAAGGUUCCGAGAAAUGACGAGGUUGAAUUAGACAAUUUGUGGUCCAUUAAGUGUGCCGAGAUCAACCAAGAGAUUUAUCGUAAAUUCCUCAAGGAGCCACAUAUGUUCUUGCCAGGUACAUGAAUGCGCACGUGUUAGACCAACAUAUGUUAACAGGUACAUAAAUCAAAUCCGAUUGAACAUGAUUUGUGGAAUUUUUUUUUUUUUAAGUGUUGUUGAGUAAAGGAUACUUUUGCUAUUUGCAAGAGAAUCAUAAAAAAGAAGAAGAAAGAAACUGACAAUAUCUCUUGUUAAUCAUACAAAACGUGACCAUUUAUUAUCUAUCAUCAUUUGUAAAAUCAUCGAAUUUUCUUCAAAAUGUAAUCAAAAACACUCUCUCGAUAAAGAGAGAACAAAUAACAAACUAACCAUAGAUUAAAAAUAGCAAAGAAAAUUGAAAAGUAAUAAUAUACAAAAUUAGGUAGACAUAUGAAUUAUUAAAGUUCGAGUGGGAAAAUGACAUAAAUGGGUCAUGAACAUUGAUCUAAUGUGUAAUAUUAUCCAUAAAUUUUUAAUUUGUUUAAUGUGAUUUUUGAACGGUUGUCAAAUGUUUAAUUUGGUCCAUUAUAUAUUAAAAAGGUUAAUUUUGGAAGGAUUAUUGGAAAUCGAGUAUUUCACUAAGUUCGGUCAAUUGACUUUAUUAAUAAUUAAUUGCUAUUUAUGGAAAUAAAGUUUAUUCCAAAAGUUUAGAUUUAUUAACGAAAGUAUAUCGCAUCAAUAUAAAGAGUAUAUAUGACCAUUGUCAAGUAACGUGAAAUAAUAUUUUAAUAUUUAUUUAUAAUGACAAUGUAGUAAUUUGGAAUUUGUGGGAUCAAUAUUAUAUUUCAAGUGUGAACCACAAGAAAUUAGACCGGGCUUAAUUAAAAAACAAGAUGGUCGCAUGUGUAUGUUGUCGUAUUUCAUGUCAUUUAGUUUAGGAGACCGCAGCUCUCAACGAGGAAGGUGGAUUUGCUAAAUUCAUAAUUCAAAUUCUAAAAUUAAAUUGUCUCUACGUCCGUACCUCCGGAUUUAAAAAGAAAAGAAAAAUUCUAAGGUUGAUUGUCAGCUUGUGGGAGGGGUCUUCUCUUCGAUAAUGUCAAGUUAGACCAUCGACGACAGCUCAGUUUUUAAUAUCUAUUUUUUUCGCACCUAACUUUUUCAGAUUCAGUAAUUUUUUUUUUUCCUUUAAUGAAUGACGUUAUGUAAAGAAACAAUCUAGACGCUGAAGAACGAAAAUAAGAAAAGAGAAUGAACCCCUCCUGUGUCUCUCGGAUUUUUUACUUUUCGGUUUUUCCUCUGCCUUUACUCGCCAAAUUCACGAGAAUACCCAUUCAUACUUCGCUGAGUCCCUCUUUUGUCCAGCAGAAAGAGGAGCGCCUCCGUCCUCUCUCUCUCUUUCUCUCUAUCCAAAUCUAGGCCAAAUCUAUGUCUUCUUCUAUCUUUCUUUACUUCCAAAAUCAACUCCUUCCUCUCUUAAAUUCGCAGUCAUCCGUCCUUUGAGUUGACCAUAUCCCCCAUCCCCUUCCCCUGUGUGUUUCGGGUAGAGUCGCAUAUCUUUUCUAAGUUGAUGCUUGAUGCGGCAUGCUACUUUUAAACAAGAACGUCCUACUUCUAAAUGUAGAUGAAUGCGGUAAAGAAUGAGAUUGCAAGACCCAGACUUUCAUACUUGCAAUGUCAGAUGCCAACAUGAGCAUUUGCAAUUUGUAACUUGAUGUUCAUAAGUUGAAAAGCAGAUAGAAACAUUAGCUCAUGUUGUCUCAGCUUAAAUUAUUUUUUAAUUUUGAUUUUUCGCUUCUCAAAGAUUAGAGGAAAAGUAGAUGUCAGGAUCAAGACACAAGGAAAAUCAAAGUGGACCAAGACAUAAAAGUUUCCUUAAAAAAAAAUAAAAAUAAAACUCCAGAGAUUAAUUAAUUGAGUAGUGUUGAGGAAAAAGCCCAUGCCCGAGCAAGGCAAUCAGCGUAAUUUGGGGCUUUUUGUCAACCGACUUUACUUUUCUUUGUCGGCCAUAUAGCAAUGGAAUCUUCUCAUUGAGUUCCAGCACUUUGCUCUUCGGUCUUCCAGGGAGGAGUACAAUAAUUUCAGCUUUUAGAAAAGAAAGAGAGCCAUUCUUCUUCUUCGGUCUUCCAAGGAGUAAUACAAUAAUUUCAGCUUUUAGAAAAGAAAGAGAGCCAUUCUUCUUCUUCUCCAAGUGAAAAUAACAUAAAUGAUACUCACCCCGUGGUGGACGAGAUGGUUCGCGCCUCGCCCCUCAACCGGCAGGGAAGAUGUUUGAAACUUCUCGCCCCCAUUGCGUGACUCACCUGCGGCCUGUGGGAGGUGUAUCCCUGUGGGUCGCCCCGGAUUUACGCUGCCAGCUACCGGUUAUACGGCAAUUCUCGGAUCACAAAAAAAAAAAAAAAAACAUAUAUGAUCACUAAAUUUUAGUCAAAUAUAUAAUAUAAUUUAUGAAUUUUUAAUUUAUUUAAUAUGAUACUUAAAUUUUAGUUUAAUAUUAUAUAAUAAUUUAAUAUGAUCCAUAAACUUUUAGUAUAUAUUCAAAUUAGUCUCUAAAUUUUAUAAAAAUAUUCAACGUUAUCCUUCCAUCAAUUUAAGCUUAAUGACCACAUUGAAUAUUUCCAAAUAGUCCCAGGACUAGUUUAAAUAUGUAUCAAAGAUUCAUGGACUACAUUAAAUAAAAUAAAAGUUUGGAGACCACAUUGAAUAUUGAACUAAAGUUUAUGGACUAUAUUGAACAAAUUAAAAGUUCAGAAAUCACAUUGCAUAUUAUCAAAAUUCAAAGACAAUUUGUGUUAUUAUUCCUAUAGUUGUUACAUUGGAAAAUUUAAUGAGUUCUUAGCUUCGUCUUCAUACAUUUUUCUAGACGAUGCAAGACAAUCCAACUUUCACUUGGAUUGAUCAAUCCAUACUGAUGUGUGUAAAAGCGUCGUCCACAGGUAUCAAGGUAGUCUCGAUCACACGAUGAAGAAUGUGGCCUUAAAGAUCAAUUUCAACACGAUAAGAAUUCUGUAAUUUUAACACAUACUUUAUUGCAUCCAAACCAAUAUAAUAACCAAAAGGUUAAUCACUUAACUAAGUAUUACUCGAGGAUUUAAAUGUUUAUUCACCUUGUUCUACAAAUUUGUUGAAAAAAAUUGGACGAACAUUUAUCAUCGUAAGGUACGAAAACAUGUAUUGUAGAAAGAAAACGGAAGUAGGGGAGCAUCUAAUAUGAUAUAAUUGAAUACAUCUUGAGAAGAUAAAACAAGAAAAAGGAAGAAGAGGACAAAAAAUUUCAUAUUCUUGGUGAGUGGCAAGGGCCAUUUCGGCCGACGUGCACCCUCAUGCGCACGCGAAAAAUCACACACACACACACACUCACACGAAGAGGCAGGCCAAGUUCCAAGGGAUUGAUCUCGAGAGUUGGUAAACCAUAAAUCAUGACCGUGAGAUAAUUCAUGAAAGCUUAAUAUGAAGAAGCAUCGGAGAAAUGACAAGGUUGAGUUGAGACAAUUCAGCGUCCAUUAAGUGUGCCAAGAUCAGCGAAGAGAAUUAUCGUAAAUUCCUCAAGGAGCCAUAUAUGUUCUUGACAGGUACGUAAAUCAAAUAUGAUUAAAUAUGAUUUGUGGAUUUCUUUUUGUUUGAGUGUUAUUGAGUAAAGGAUACUUCUGUGAUUUUCAAGAGAAUCAUAAAAGAAGAAGGAAACUGACAAUUUCUCUUGGGAAUCAUAUAUAAUGGGAUAGUUUAUCAUCUAUAAAAUCGAUUGUAAAAAAUCAUCGAAUUUUCUUCAAAAUGUAAUGAAAAACACUCAUUUGAGAAAGAGAGAACAAAUAACAAUCUAACCAUAGAUAAAAUGGCAAAAAACAUUGAAAAGUAAUAAUAUAUGGAAUCAGGUAAACAUAUAAAUUAUUAAAGUUUGAUUGGGAAAAUGGCAUAAAUGAUUCGUGAAGAUUGAGAAAUGACAUAAAUAGUUCAUGAACAUUUGUCUAAUGUGUAAUAUUGUUAAUAAAUUUUUAAUUUAUUCAAUGUGAUUCCUAAAUGGUUGGUAAAUGUUCAGUUUAGUCUAUUACACAUGAAAAUGGUUAAUGUUGGAAGGACUAUUGGAAAUUGUGUAUUUCACUAAGUGUUUGGUCAGUCGACUCUAUUAAUAAUUAAUUGCUCUUUAUUAAAAUAAAGUUUAAUCCAAAAUUUUAGGCUUAUUAAUAAAGGUAUAUCGCAUUUACAUAAAGAGUAUAUAAGACUAUUGUCAAGUAACGAGAAAUAAUAUUUUAAUAUUUAUUUUUAGGAAAAUUUGUAAUUUGGAAUUUGUGGGAUCAAUAUAAUAUUUCAAGUGUGAACCACAAGAAGCUAGACUGGGGUUCAUUAAAAACCUAAAUGGGUCGCAUGUGUAUGUUGUCGUAUUUCAUGUCAAUUAGCUUUGGAGAUCGCAGCUCUCAACUAGGAAGGUGGAUUUGUUAGAUUCAUACUUCAAAUUCUAAAAUUAAAUUUUCUCUACGUCCGUACCUCCGAAUUUAAAAAAAGAAAAUUCUAAAGUUGAUUGUCAGCUUGUGGGGGAGGUCUUCUCUUUGAUAAUGUCAAGUUAGACUAUCGGCGAAAGCUCGGUUUUAUCUAUUUUUUUAUAAUUAACUUUUUCAGAUUCAGUAAUUUUUUUCCUUUAACGAAUGACGUUGUGUAAAGAAAUAAAUCUAGGUGCUCAAGAACGAAAAUAAGAUAAGAAAAUGAAUCCUUCCUGUGUCUAUCUCUCAGAUUUUUUACUUUUCGGUUUUUCCUCUGCUUUACUCGCCAAUUCGCGAGAAUCCCCAUUCAAUCUUCGCUGAGUCCCUCUUUAAUUCGGCAAAAAAGAGGAGCUCCUCCAUCCUCUCUCUCCAAAUCUAGGCCAAAUCUCUCUAUUUUCUAGCUUUCCUUACUUCCAAAAUCAACUCCUUCCUCUCUUAAACUCUCCAGUCCUUCAUUCCUUUGAGUUGACCAUGUCCCCCAUCCCCUUUCCUCUUGGGUUUCGGGUAGAGUUGCAUAUGUUUUCUAAGUUGAUGCCCGAUGCGGCAUGCUACUUUUAAACAAGAAACGUCCCUAAUUUCUAAAUGUAGAUGAAUGCAGUAAAGAAUGAGAUUGCAACACAAUGUAGCAUUAAUAAUUUUGUUUAGGGGCUAAAUUGUGAUGUUACCGACAUAUUCAAUCCCUUGUGUUCAUGAAAUGCGAAGAGAUCUUCUUUUUGAUAAAAAUUUAGAUGUCAACCAUGGUGAAAAAAGGGAUCUCAGAUUUGUUUUGCUAUUUUCCUAUAGUGGAAAUUUAGGGUGUCCACCAUGGGCAAUGAGCGUAAUUUGGUUCUUUCUGUCAACCAACUUCACUUCUUAUUGUCGGUCAUACAGCAAUGGGGUCGUUCUCAUCGACCACCAGCACUUUGCUUUUCGGUCUUCCGAGGACCAUAUAAUAAUGUCAACUUUGGACCUGAGCAGGUCCUUAAAAGGCUCAAGGGGGACCCCCCCGACAGGAGGCGUACCCUCCCAGGGGUGAGAGACCCCCGCGUCGGGGCCCCCGUAUUCCAGUGGGAGGGAAGAAAAAAUAAAACUACCCCCACUGGCUCGCCCGCCACAACUCUGGAGCCCGGAAGGGCAAAGGAGAGGGAUGCCACUUGGUGAGGUUAGAAAGGCAGCCCCUCCGGUAGCCGAUCCCAGGCCCGGAACGGGACUGAGUAGGCCAAUGACCCAAGCCAGGUAGAAAUACCUGGGUCGUUCUCAUCGACCACCAGCACUUUGCUUUUCGGUCUUCCGAGGACCAUAUAAUAAUGUCAACUUUUAUAAAAGUAAGAGAGCCAUUCUUCUCCUUUUCACACAUGGUGUUGGAUCUGUGAUAUUAUUAUAUUACGACCAAAAGCAUCUUCUUCAGCAUUACCAGGGAAGAGAGAGAUAUCAAGUAAAGCCACUAUAGCUAGCUCAGACGCGGGAAGUUACCAGGAAAAUGAGUUGCAGGUCUUCGUGAGCUUUAGAAGACCCUGUUUCUCGCCACCAAUAUGAUCUGACUUUAUGGUCUUCGUCGUGAUAUGUUACGACUCUCUGCUUUAACUAAUAUCUCAUAGGCCGAUGGCAUUCGAUUGAUUUUCCUAUUACUACUCCGUUAAUGAAUGACAGAGAGAGAGAGGUCCAAGCACAACGUCACUGAUAACAACUACUGCAGUUAGUACAUUAGCAACUUCAUUGAGUUCUGAUUUCAUCUCAGCAUCAAGAGCUAAAUUCAUAUAUUUUUUUCUUGGACAACACGAGAUAAUCCAACUUUCACUUGGACUGAUAAAUCCAUUGGGAUGUGCGUAAAAGCUUCGUUCACAUGUAUCGAGAUAAUCUCCACCACGUGAUGAAGAACAUGGCCUUACAGAUUGGUCUCAGCGUGAGCAAUGUAAUUUUAACACAUGUUUUGUCGAAUCCAGACCAAAAGGAAAAAAUCAAACAUUUGAUCACUUAACUAAUCAUUACUAGAGGAUUUAAAUUUGUAUCUAUGUUGUUCUAAAAAAUUGUUGAAAAAAAUUCGACGUAAAGAAAUAUGAAAACAAUUAUUGUAGAAAGAAAACGGAAGUAGGCGAGUAUAAAAAAUGAUAUCAUUGAAUACGUCCUGAGAAGAAAAAAAUCAGAGAAAGGAAGAUAAGGAAAAGAAAUUUCAUAUUCUGGGUGAGUGGGUGGGGAAUCCUAACUUACUAUUGCUCAAGAGUUAAACCCUCAUUUUGACUCGCAUGAUGAACGAGCGACUCUACAAGUAGGACUUGUAAAAGUUUUUCUAGUGUGAAUUACAUUAAUUGAUAUUGUAAUUUAUCGUUUUACGGGAUUGGUCUAAGAUGAGAUAAAAGAUUUCUUAAUUAGUCUAAUAUGGGGUGGACUAGUGUGGGCCGAGUUAAGCUUGGCUCGUAAUGAAAGGGCAUGAUUUGAAACUCUAUAAAUAAUACUCAAAUAUCUAAUCUAACCUGAAUUCUCACUAGUAUCCUCACAUAAUGAGCGUUUACCUUGCGCUAAAGGGUGAUGGGCCAUCUCAUUGAGCUAGUGAUACAGAGGGCAAUGAAGGAAAAAGACUUGUGCGUUGAUCAUCGCUUUUUGCUUCCGCAUCAAGAACAAUGGAUUCCAAAACAGGCGUGUUAAUCUUUCUACUCAAUUAUCUGUAUUCUUGUUCUGGUUAUGAAGAUCUUGGGAUUACACGUUUUGCAUCCUACAUGUGGUAUCAGAGCCUCCACAUAACCUAGAACUCGAAUGCGUAGAAUUUUGCCCUAAUUUUAAUAUUUUCGUGAUUUUUUUUCAAUAAAAAUCAAAUUUAAUUAUAAAUUCAGAUUGGGCUCAUUGAAACGAGCAAAUCCAUGGGUAGCACGUCACCGGGGGAGGCCCCAUGCACCCCCAUGCGUGGGGUGCCGCUCGUGCAUGCGACGCACACGGGCACUGAUGUCACGAUGAUGUCAGCAACCCAUGCCUGACCCGAUCCGACUCGUUGACCCACCCGAAUCGGUCAACCUGUCAGACUAAGCGGUUGGACCAGACGGAUGAGCCGGGAACUGAUUGGACCGCUACUAAUCGGACCGGUUUUGACCGAUCUCUACACCUGCGUGUGAGCUCCACGCGCCACGCACUCAGGCGGCGCAUGCGGGUGCGUGGAGGCUCCAAUGGGUAUGUGGUUGGCGGCUAUAGGUUCUUAUGAGAAUUCUCUAUCUUGAGGUGUACUUAUUAUACAUGUUUGAUGAUUUUAUGGAUGUGAAAUUACAUACAAAACCCUAAAUAAAUGUAUUUUUAGUGUAUUUUUGCUUAUUUUAUUGUAUUUUUCUGUGAUUUUAGAAAUACAUGUAUUGGGUUAUUGGUAUGUUAUCACAUAAACAUUAUAGAAGUGUAAUUCAUUAAUAAUAUACAAUAAAGUUCAAUUUUUAUUAAUAAAUAAAGUAAUGUAAUUAGCAUGAUAUGUGAUUUUAGUAAUUUACUACCACUAUCACUAAAGUUAAAGUCAUAUGUAUAUGGUGUAUGUGAGAAGUAAAAUUUAUAUCCCUGGUAUAAGAGAGUUUUAAGAAUUCAAUUGAGUUGUGAUCGCCAAAGUGGCACACUUGAUUGGGUUUGAGAAAUUUCGGUCUCGUGUAAUGAUUGGGAUGUCUCCCAGUCUAAUGCGUAGUCAUACUCCCAAAGGAGGUGAUUAUGUAUUAGUUCAUGGAGGGAUACAUGAUGGUGUGGUAGAGGAGUGACUGAUCCUAAUUGUUCAUAUGCCCAAAGGUGAUGAAUUCACGAAUGUUAGACUAUGUUCACAUAAUCGCUAUCAUGUGGAGAGUGUAUAACUGCAUGUCAUGUAUUCUGCCCAAAGGUGAUUAUGUGAUUUUACAUGUGACUCUCUGGAUGUGUACUUAUACGUCAAGUUACAUAGUACUAACAUGAUGCUAAUUAUAUACAUGUUUUUCAGUCACAUUUUUCUAUAAAUGGUAACUCCAUCACAAUUGAGGUUCUUACUGGUUCAAACUUUAAAAGAUGGAGAGAAGAUUUUCUAUUUGCUAUGAAGAUAGUAGAUGUUUAUGUGGCUCUUAUUGCCGAUUGGUCGACAGAUCUUACUACCGAGAGUACAGAGGCUCAGAAAACACAUUUUGCUGUCUAGGAAAAGAACAAUAGAAUUUUCUUACUAUCCAUGAAGUGUUCCAUUCAGGAACACUUGAAAAGUGAUUUGCUUGCGGACUAUACUGCUAGGUAAAUGAUGGAAGCCUUAGUAGCUAGAAAUCGUGUCUCGUCUAAUGCUGAGAUAGGGACACACCUGCAAACAUUAUUUAGUAUGAAGUAUGAUGGUUCUUGUGGAGUUAGAGAUUAUAUUCUAAAGAUGGUAGAUUUGCAGAUAAAUUUUCAGGCCCUCAAUGUUGUUAUUCCCAUUGCUUACAUUGUACAUUAAGCUCUAAAUAUUAUUCCUCCUGAUUUUGGGAUUGUCAAGACCAAUUAUAAUUCUCAAGAUAAGACUUGAUCAAUUAAUGACCUGAUUGCAAGAGUAGUGGCAGAGGAAGAACAAAUUGAAGAGAGAUAAAGGGCACAUUGCUCUUUAUGCUUCUAGUUUUGGUAGUGCAAUGGUAAUAAGUUGAAAAAUUAUACUCAUAAGGGUAAUUCUGAAGCUGCUGGUCCUUCCAAUAAUAAAGGAAAUUCUGAAGCUGUUGGUCCUUCUAAUAGUUUGGGUUCUAAGAAAGUAUUCUCCAAGAAUGAUGGUGUUCUUUGCUAUUUUUGUAGAGAGAGAGGACACGUAAAGAAACGAUGUAAUAAGUAUAAGGAUUAGUUGUCCAAGAGAACCAAGGGUGAGCCUAAAGAUAAUGAUUCUUUGGCAUUUGUCUAUGAAUUCAAUCUAUUUAAAACCCCGACCAAUUCUUAGGCUGCAUUUGACAGUUAGGAUAAAAUUUAGGAUGUGAUAUGAUUUAUCCUAUCCUAUGUUUGGUGCUCACUCAGGACAGGAUAAAAUUGGAUAUAAGGGGGAUAUAGGCUGGAUAAAAUUAUCCUAUGGGGGAGGUAGGAUAAAGGUGGAUAGGAUUUCUAAUGUCCAUAAUAGGAAAGUUAUUUUUCUUGAAUAAUAAACUUAUUAAAUUAAAAAAAUUGAAAAUAUAUUUCAAUAUAAAUAAUAUUUGAAUUAUAAUUUAAGAAAUUAAAAAUAAAAAAGUAGAAAUUUAUUUUUAAUUAAUCUUUUUUUAAUUUAUAUAUUCAACUUAACUCUAUCUUAUAAUAAACAUUCAAUCUAUAAAUUAAAUAUUUACAUUUAUUAUAUAUUUUAGGUAUGUUAGUACAAUUUACUAUUUGAUAAAAUUUUAUUAAAGAAUGAUGAAAGGGGAAAAAAGAAAUAAUAAAGAAAAUAAUAUAAAAAAGAGGAAAAAUUAAGUAAAAUAAAUUUAAGAAUAGUGUUACAAGAAAUUUUUACCAUCUCCGUUUAUGAAAAUUUAGGUUCAUUUAUAAUUAUAUGCCAUUUAUAUGAAAAAAAUGUAUAUGAUAUGAUAUGAUAUGAAUAUAUUCGAUUUUAUAGUGCAAUUCACCAAACAAUGAACAAGAUAUGAAAUAAUCUCAGGAUUUCAUAUUUUAUCAUAUUCAGUCCUAUUCCGAUUAGAAAUCUGGACAACCAAACGUAGCCUUAGUGGCUAGAUAGUGGUGCAACUAAUCAUGUUGCAUUUACCAUACAAGGGUUCAUAAACUAAAGGAUGCCAAAUCAUGAUGAAUCAAAGCUCACUGUGGGAAACAACAUUAAAGUUGACGUCGAGUUUGUGAGAGAUGUUAUUUUAAUUUUAGAUUCUGGUUUUAGGAUGAUGUUAAGAAACACUUUUUAUGUACUUUCUUUUAGGCGGAAUUUAGUUUCCGUAUUUUGUUUGGAUAUGUGUGGAUACUCUUUUAAAAUAAAAAGGAAUAGUAUUUCUAUGUUUUAUAAUUCAAAUAAGAUUGGGUGUCGCAAUUUAUCCAGUGGAUUAUAUUGAUUGAGUUUGUCUCCUAACAACAUGUACGUUAUUUAUUCAGUUGAAAAAGUUGUUUCCAAAAGGCCUCUACCUAAGGAACAAUCUUAUGCAUUGCGGCAUAAACGUCUUGGUCACAUCUUUAAAGAAAGAGUAGAAAGGCUUAUAAAGACUGACAUCUUGCCUACUUUUAAUAGUGCUCUAAGGAUUUGCGUAGACUGUUGUAGAGGUAAUAUGACUAAGAUAAAGAAGAAAUCUGCCGUACGAAGUUCUGAUUUGUUAGAGGUUAUUCACACUAAUAUUAAUGGACCAUAUGUCACGUCCCGAACCCCGGGCAUGCGCACAUCCCUCGGUGGUCAACUAAAAUGCGACGUCUUAGGACGCGUCGCCGACCCAUUCAUUUUAUGCACAUGUGGAAGUGAACUAAUAAACCCCAGACAACAAACAAAUACAUGGAUAGUAAAAGUAGGACAAUCAAUUAUCACAAACCACGCUUUAAAAACAUAUCAGGUUAACUUAGGAGUUUAUAUACAGGUCCUUCUAAAAAAGAACUCAUAGUCAACUUAAACUUCACUAUCGAUAGGGCCAGCCAAAAGGUGUUGCAUCUUGCACCCACCAAAUCCACAUUUUGCAGAUUUCCACGCUACGGCCCUAAAAAAUGUUAACUUAAGACGGGGUGAGAUAAAAAUCUUAGCGAGUCAAAACCUUAAACCCUGAUUAGGAUGCAAAUUCACUUAGAGGCAGCCUAAACAGGCGUCACAAACAACUUACCUCGCCUCGACACAUCCCUACAGAUCAGCCCAUCACAUAUACGAUUAUCAAUGCAUCAAGCAUCACUUAAUAACCGGAACACAUCAUUUCAAUCACAAAUAAUCACAAGGGUCCCGAUUAUAAGGUAAAACCGUUAUGACACGUCUCAUACCGUGCCACAUAAUUUUUUCCCCAUAAUCAGGCGUAGCUAUCUCAACCACUCAGGCAUGUUCCAGUUAUUACGACCCAUCGGCCACGGCCAACUCAACAGUUGGUGGUCAUCCGGCGUAACCGAGCAUCAUCUUGCUUCGUCGGGCACGGCAAUGUCUAGAACCCCUGCUUAGACGGUAUCUUAUAAAGGGGCAUCGGUCCGGCCUCCACCGCGACUCGGCUUCCGGACCCCCGCCGGGCAUCUAAUAAACAUCGGGCAUCAUCUCCAAACUCCCGUUGGGAGACGGGUUCCGAUAGUGACCACACGCACAUCCACACUUGGCUAAGAACACUUUGCUUUGCAUCCAAAUACCUCGUAUUUAAAUAAUGAACUUGGCAUUUUUUUCUUCGUAUUAAAAUCAUCCCAGUAAAAUAAUCGUGUGUGGUCACGCCUUUAGAUCGAACCAAUAAACAUGAUACACUCUCGUUUCAAAAUUCCAUGAUUUUAUAUACUAUAUAAAAUUUUGGUGUAAAAAAUCGACACUCGGUAUUUUUCUAAUUAAAUACCCAUCAAAUCCAAUUUUGCAAUAAUAGCCAAUAACAAUCACCAAGCACUUAAUUGCACAAAUAAACAAUCAAUUUCACAUAUACAUUCAACCAUGACAAUCAGUGUAAAAUUAUGCAAAACGGCUAUUUCGUCACAAUUUACGCUAAUUAUAAUUAAUUAAAUAAAUUGCAAUUAAUGAAAAAAAUCUAAUUUAAUUAAACUAACCACGGUUAACUAACUAACCCUAGUUAACUAACUAACCUAGGGUAGGCUAACUAAACUAACCCCUAACCAAACUAACUUAACUAACUAACCAUUCUAACUACUAGUUACACUAACUAGGAUUAACACUAAUCCUUAAUUAACAGUAACUAACCUACUAAGUGUAAUUAACUUCCUAAUUCGAGAUUAGGGCAUUAACUCACUGGAUUAGGGCAUCGACAGGUUCACGACAACGGUGGCGUGAAGGCGGUGUGAUAUAAUAGUGUUGUAUUGACCCUUGCUGAUUAUUAUGGUCGAGCAGUUGAUUUUCGAUCAAAUUCUCGAGUUUGCCGUGUUUAUAUCUCUUAACGGCUUCACCUAAUAGCUUAGUUAACUCGUGAGUGGCCAACUCCGAGAAAAAUGACCAUAGGCGCGUCAACGAAAUGGUCAUUUCAUAUUAUCGGGAUGAGGUCGAAUUUCAGGAUGUCACAACUCUUCCCCUCUUAUAAAAAUUUCAUCCUCGAAAUUUAAACAAUUUCAAUUCUUUUUAAAAAAGGUGGGGGUAUUGACGUCUCAUCGAUUCCUCGCUUUCCCAAGUUACACAUUGUGUUUCGUGGUGUUGCCAAACCACUUUAACCAGAGGGAUUGUCUUGGUACACAGCACUUGCUCCUUUUGAUCCACUAUUCGAACUGGUCUCUUCACUUAUGACACUCUCUCGUCCACGUCUAUUUCCUCAAAAUUCAGCAUGUGGGUUGGGUCAAGUUCGUACUUCUUCAACAUCGCUACGUGGAAGAUAUCAUGCACUUGUGCAAGUUUCGGCGGCAACGCGAGACGGUAUGCCAAAGUCCCAAUUCACUCCAAAAUUUCAAAGGGACCGACAUACCUUGGACUUAACUUCCCUUUCUUGCCAAAGCGCGAAGUACCCCUCAUUGGUGACAUUUUAAGGAAUACGUGCUCACCAACAUACAAGCUCGCAUCAUAUCUUCAAGGGUUUGAAUCGUUCUCUCAGACUGGCCAUGUGACAUCUUGAUUUUCAGGUUAUGUUUUCAAUUGAAUGAGUUAGGCUUUUCAUCGAUGCGCCUAUAGCCUUUUUCUCUAAGUUGGCCACUCACGAGAUAACUAGUUUAUCUGGUGAAGCCGUUAAGGGAUUUUAACGCAACAAACUUGAGAAUUCGACUAGAAAUCCAUUGUUUGACCGUGCUAAUCUGCAAGGGUCAAUACGGGACUGUCAAAAUCGAUCAGAGAUCGGAGAUAGGUCUUCGACAGAGAUAUGUGAUUAAAGUGUGGGUGAUUCCACCUAAUUGCAAAAUUCUCGUCGAGCGGCACUAAACUGAUUCUUCUGUCGUUUCUGUACCCUGUGUUUGUAUUUGAAACAUCGAGAUUUUCACGACAAUCGAGAGUUGCCAAUGAGUCGAAGAUGUACAAUAUGGCUCGAAAAUAAUCGAGCACAGGUCAAUUGCACUAAAAAUUCCUAAAAGUUACCUGGUAAGCUGGGUCACGCUAAAAUCGCGCUCGGUUAAAAUUAACCGCGAAUUUAAACCCGAUUUCAGAAAUUGAAAGUUCUAUUAUAUCACAAUUCAUUUUAGGAACGUCGACUUGUCCUUCGAAGAUUUUUCUGCAAACUCGAGAUUUCGGCGAAAAAUCAUGGUAAGGUUAUUUUGAACCGGGAAAUUUGAGGGACCGUUUUUGGUCACAUUUUUGGCCGUCAAGUUGGUUCAAUUGACGAGAGAAAAUCGUAAGAGGGACGAUGGGACCUUGGCUGAAUUUUUGGGGCUUCAAUUGGAUCAAAUUGGACGAGAAUUGAAUUGGAUUUGUAGGGAAAUUGUCCAAAUUCGUAGCCCAGGGGUGCAGCCACUUUUGGACCAUUUCAUUAGCUUGUUGGGGAAGCCUUGGUGUGCUUUUGGCUGAGAUGAUGGCUGAGAUGUGUGGGGCCAUGUGAUGAGUGAAAUGGAUAGAUNNNNNNNNNNNNNNNNNNNNNNNNNNNNNNNNNNNNNNNNNNNNNNNNNNNNNNNNNNNNNNNNNNNNNNNNNNNNNNNNNNNNNNNNNNNNNNNNNNNNAUCUUCUAGAGCUUCGCCAACUGCUGUUCGUUGCUGUUCAAUCGUCUGUUGCCCUCACCAUCGACUGUUGUAGCCCGCCUAGUCCUGCCUUGUUGUUUCAGCCCCAACCAGUCGCUUGAUCUAGCUAUUUUGGCCUAAGGACAGAGCCGAAAGCUCAGCAAGGGUUGAGGUCUUUGUGGUCUUUGUGGCCCGUUUUAGGUCCCUUUUGGACCUCUUUUGGUGUCACUGUGAGCCCGAGUUUUGCUCACCAUCGCAUUGCCGUUGCUGUGGACUCACUGGCCCACUAAACUGGUGAGUUUACUUGCUAAACUCUGGUUAUGGAGUUAAUGAUGCUUAAUAGGUAAUUAGUUUAGGCUAAUUAUGGAUUAUGUGGUUAGUUAGAUUAGAUUAGUGAUUUAAUUGCUUAAUUAUGCAUGUUAGGUGGUUAGAAUAGAUUGAUUAGGGGCUAAAGGAGUUGUGCUAUUUAUUUAGAUAGGUUCAAAAAUUUUCUAAGCCCGUUCAGGUGGUUAGAUUAGCAUUUCCGGCCUAAAUGAGUAAUUAUUGUAUUUAAUUUGUAUUAUUUAAUUAUUUUUUGUAUUUAUUUAAUUAUUUAAUAUUUUUCAAAAAUUAUACCGGGAUAGCUGGUGACCAGAAUUUCGUGCUGAUUGCAGUGGUAUGCUUAGUUUAUGCAAUUGAGUGCAAUUGAAUGGUGAUUUUGAUUUUUGAGUUAUUAUUUCAAAAUUAUGAAAUUUUGGUAUUUAAUUAGAAAAUACCGGGUGUCGGGUUUUGACACCGAAAAUGGUUUUAAAUACUAUAUCAAAUAAUGAGAUUUUAAAAGGAAGGAUAUCAAUUUAUAGGGUUCGAUCUGACCGUGUAUCCACACACGAUUAUUUUCAUCGAGUGUUUUUAAUACGAAGAAAACAGACCAAGGACGUUAUCUUAAUUGAGGCAUGUGAAUGCAAAGCACAAUGUCCUUAGCCAGAAUUGAAUGAUUGUGUGUUGGUUAAGAGAACCCAUCCCUGAUGUGAGUCGAAUGGAUGUUACCCCUAUAUGGGACACCCCUGGAUAAUGGAAGCCGGUUGUAAUAGAUUCUGGACCGAUACUCCUUUGGGAAUGCCGUCUAAUAGAGAUGUAGCUAUGCUUAAUGGAGUGAGACGACGCCUGGCUAUGCCAAAAGACUGCCGAACAUCGAGUAGGUCGUGCCCUUGGGGAUGUUAAAUCAAUUGGAACGCAUGAUUGAUUGAGAUAGAUGAGCUGUGGAUUAUGGGACAAAAUUCUGUGGCAUGGUAUGAGACAUGUCAUAACGAUUUGGCCCUAUAAUUAGGACCCUUGUGAUUGAUUGAAAUUGAGCGAGACGUUCCAAUUGAUGUGUGCAUUUAUUAUAUGCAUAUGUAAUAUGAACUGUAUUGACAUGCAGGAAGGAACUGAGGCGAGGUGAGUCUCUUUGGCAUAUUUCAUUCCUAAUCGGGGUUUAGGAUGUGAACUCACUGAGGUUUAUAUCUCACCCUAUCGUGGGUUACCAUUUUUCAGGUACCUAGUGUGAAGGACCAGGAGCUUGAGGCGGAAGGGUCAAGAGCAUGGGUGGCUUAGUAGUUAUUUUUGGAGAUAGACAUCUUGUACAUAGACCCUAGAGUUGGCCUUUGUGUAUAAACUAGUUUGCUUAUAUAAACGUGGCUUUUGUGAUUUGUUGUCCUGCUUUUCUAUCCUAUGCUGUUUGUUGUAAGGGAGUUAGUUAUUCGCUUCUGCAUGUGCAAUAAAAUUGAAUGGGUCGGCGACGCAUCCUGGGACGUUGCAAUUUAAUCGACCAUCGAGGGAUGUGCACACACUUGAGGAUCGGGGCGUGAUAGGCCAUCUGUCUAUGGGUGAUAGGCUGUACUAUACUACAGCUUCAUUCCAAAGGUAGUUUGUAAAUUUUUCCAAAAGGAUACUGUGAACUUCGAGUCUCGAUUUGUCGUAAUCGUCACUGGUACUCCAUGCAGUCGAACUAUCUGGCGCACGUACAACUUAGUGUAUCUGUCCAAUGCAUAGUCCUUUCGUAUGGCGAUGAAGUGAGCAGACUUCGUCAAUCUGUCAACUACAACCCAUAUAGAAUCAUUACCUCGCUGACUUCUCGGUAGUCCCAUCACAAAAUCCAUUGUGAUAUGCUCCCAUUUUCACUCGGGAAUCUCGAGAGGUUGCAAAAGUCCUCCAGGCUUGCAAUGCUGUGCUUUCAUUUGCUGGCAUGUCAGACACUUGGCGACAUGUCUAGCGAUAUCCACCUUCAUACCGGUCCACCAAAAGUGCUGACGCAGAUUCUGAUACAUCUUUGUACUGCCUGGAUAAAUAUUGUAACUGCUACGAUGGGCUUUUGACAAGAUCUCCUCCUUAAGCUUUGCAUCGUCAGGUGCGCACAAUCGCCCACGAAACUUUAGUGUUCCGUUGUCGGUAACUUGAAAGUCAGCCUUCCUCUUUUUCGCAUCUUCUUGCAAAAUUUUCUAGAUCUCCGGGUCUGUCGACUGCAACGUCUUGAUCCUUAUUUGCGCUUCUGAUUCAAUUUUGAGGGUAGCCAUGAGACUUGAAAGGUGGCUUACCUCAAAUUUGAAAUCCAAAUCUUGAGCUCCUUUGAGUAAGAUCCACUCUUGAACCAUCGUCUGCGCAAUUGAAGACUUCUGACUUAACACAUCCGCGACUUUAUUGGCUUUUUCAGGAUGAUACAAGAUGUCGCAGUUGUAAUCCUUGAGAAGUUCCAUCCAACGACGUUGUCUCAUGUUCAACUUCUUCUAAGAGAAUAAGUACCUUAUUUACACUGAUAUUAGUUGACCAUACAUGGCUACUUUGUGCAGAAAUUUUUAUUUCAUCACAUUUAUUGACGACUAUUUCCGAUAUGGAUACUUAUACUUGAUUAAAGAAAAGUCCGAGUUUCUUGACAAAUUCAAGAUUUUUCGGACUGAAGUGGAGAAACGGUUGGGAAAAGUUAUAAAGAUGUCAGAUCUGAUCAUGGUGGUCAGUAUUUUGGUAGGCACGGUGAUGCUGGACAACUUAAAGGGCCAUUUGCUAAAUACUUAGAGGAUUAUGGGAUAAUGGGUUAAUUUACUAUGCUCAGAAGUAUUGAACAAAAUGGUAUAGCUGAAAGGCGCAAUCGUACUCUUAUGGACAUGAUUAGAAGUAUGAUUAGUAGGACCAAUUUACCUGAUUUUCUGUGGGGUGAAGCUUUGAAAACACCUCUUUAUAUUCUAAAUUGUGUUCCUACUAAAGCGGUUCCAUUGACUCCUUUUGAGUUGUGGACUGGAUGUGAACCUAGCUUGAAUCAUCUUAAAGUUUGGGGAUGUCCGCCAGAAGUGAAGUUAUAUAAUUCAACAUUAAGUAAGUUGGAUUCUAAAACUACUCAAUGUUACUUCGUAUUUUACCUAGAUCAUUCAAAGGGGUAUCAGUUUUAUAACCCUAAGGGAGGUAUAAGAAUUGUGGAAUCUCAGACGGAAUUUUUUUUAGAAUUUGAUGUAGCUGAAAAGGAUAGUUGCUCACAAAUUAUUGAAGAUGAUAGUAUGGUGGGGAUUACUAGAUCCCUGUCUCAUCUUGUGUAGACGAUUAUGGAGCCUCUUGCGCCUCAAAUUGAGCCUGUUGUGGCUCGGGAUCCUAUUGUUAAGAUAGUUUUUGAUGAAAUUCCUCAAGCCCCUCAGAUUCAGAAUGAGAUUGAAGUAGCUCUACUCAAAAGAUCGACUAGGGAAAGACGUUCAGCUAUACCACCUGACUAUGUAGUCUACCUAAGAGAGGAUGAUUAUGAUAUUGGUUGCAUUGUUGAUCCUGUGACUUAUACAUAUGCUAUUUCAUGUCCUCAAUUAGAUUUAUGGCUAGAUGCGAUGAAAGAUGAGAUGUAAUCUAUGAGACACAAUGGUGUUUGGGAGCUCGUUGAAUUGCCUGAAGGUUAUCAACCUAUCAGCUGCAAAUGUGUAUAUAAGACUAAAAAGGAUUCCAAAAGAAAUAUUGAAAAGUUUAAAGUUAGGCCGGUAGCUAAGAGUUUCACUCAAAGAGAAGGAAUAGAUUAUGAAGCAACAUUUUCUCCAAUUUUGUUUUUUUGUUUUUUUUAGAUUCAUUUAGAGUGAUUUUGGCAUUGGUAACUCAUUUUGAUAUGGAGUUACAUCAGAUAGAUGUUAAGACUGCUUUUCUAAAUGGAGACCUUAAUGAUGAGGUUUAUAUGGUGUAGCUUGAAGGUUUUGCAGCAAAUGACUCAUGUAAGCUUGUAUGUAGAUUGAAAAAGUCUAUUUAUGGCCUUAAACAAGCUUCUAGACAGUGAUAUUUAAAGUUUCAUAGUAUUAUCACUUCAUUCGGAUUUAUUGAGAAUAAAGUAGAUCAGUGUAUAUACACCAAAGUCAGUGAGAGGAAAUACAUUUUUCUCAUAUUUUAUGUGGAUGAUAUCUUACUUGCUAGUAGUGACAUUGGUUUACCGCAUGAGACAAAGCGGAUGUUAUCGAAAAUUUUUGACAUGAAAUACCUUGGUGAGGCGUCUUUUGUUCUUGGUAUUGAGGUCCAUAGGGAUCAUUCUCACUGUUCAUUGGGUUUGUCUCAGAGGGCACAUAUUGAUCGCAUUUUAGAAAGAUUCAAUAUGCAGCAUUGUAAGCCAGGAAAUGCUCCUGUUAUUAAGGGGGAAAAAUUGAGUCUUUCACAAUGCCAUAAUUUAGAUUUUGAGAAAGUUCAAAUGAAGAAUGUACCUUAUGCUAGUGUGCUUAGAAGUAUCAUGUGUGCUCAAGUUUGCACUAGACCAGAUAUUGCCUUUGCGACAGGGCUUCUAGGCAGAUAUCAGUCAAAUCCAAGAUGCGAUCACUAAGUUGCUACCAAGAAGGUUUUAAGGUACUUAAAGAGGACAAUAGAUUAUAUGCUGAUUUAUAGACAUGUUUCGGACUUGCAACUAGCCGGGUAUUUAGAUGCAGAUUUUGCUGGCUGUCAAGAUGAUAAGAAGUCAAUGACAUGAUACAUAUUUAUGUUGGCAGGAGGUGCAGUAUCAUGGAAGAGCAAGAAAUAGAAAUCUAUAUCUUCUUUUACUAUGCAGGCAGAGUUUAUAGCAUGUUUUUUAGCUGCUACUCAAACUAUUUGGCUCCUGAAUCUCAUUAGGGAGUUAACAGUUUUUGAUUUUGUGGAUAGGCCCAUACAGUUAUAUUGUAACAAUAAUUCUACAGUGUUGGUUAUUAAUAAAACAGAAGUCUCAAGAGGUUUAAACACAUGGAGGUCAAGUUUUUGACUAUAAAGGAAUCAGUGCAGAAUGGUGAUGUUGCAGUAGAUCAUAUUCCUACAGAUGAUAUGGUUGGAGAUCCACUAACUAAAGGCCUAUGCCCGUGUGUAUUUGAGCGACAUGUCAUUAGCAUGGGCUUAGGAGUAUCUUGGGAUACUGUUAUUUAGGGAGCUGUGUUUUAAUUUUCCUCGAAUAAAGUUUAUAUAUGUAUUUGUUACAAUUUAGUAACAUUUUGAUAUAUAUAUAUAUAUAUAUAUAUAUAUAUAUAUAUAUGUUAACUUUUGCAUUCAAUAAAAUAUUCUUUGAAUGAAUUGUUAUAUGUUGAAUAUAUAUAUAUAUAUAUAUAUAUAUAUAUUGAUAAAAGUUUCAAGGUAUUGCAUAAACCUUGAGUGAAGGCUAGGGGCAUUCGGUUAUUAGCUUUGUGCAUAUGUCUUGUUAUACAUAAAGAAAUGUUAACAAUAAAGACAAGGCAUAUGUGGGUUCAUUGGAACCAUAAAGACAUUCUCUAGUGGCACAAAUUUUUUAUGACGCUUAAAGUAAGAGAAUGGUAACUGACAAAUGAGAUUUCUUUAUGAGAGAUGUUAUCCAUUUGCCACACUAGCAUAUUGAAUUUAUAUCAAUAAAAUUGAAAACACUUGUGACCAUGGAAGAUUCUGUGUGUAUACAUACAGUUACCACCAUGAUUCGGUGUUUGAGAUUUUAUAUGAUUAAGAAUUAUCUUUAGACCAAGGUGUGCACAUAGAAUACAAUUUCAAUUUAUAUAGUCCAAGUUGGAGAAUGUAAAAGUUUUUCUAGUGUGGAUUACAUUAAUUGAUAUUGUAAUUUACUGUUUUACGUGUUUGGUCUUAGGUGAGAUUGAAUGUUUCUUAAUUAAUCUAAUAUGGGAUUGGCUAGUGUGGGCCAAGUUGAGCUUGGCCCGUAAUGAGAGGGCCUGGUUGGAAAGUCUAUAAAUAAUGCUCAAGUCUCUCCUCUAACCCGAAUUCUCACUAGCAUCCUCACAUAAGGAGCGCUUACGUAGCGCUAAAGGGUGAGGGGACCGUCUCAUUGAGCUAGUGAUACAGAGGGCAAUAGAGGAGAAUGACUUGCGUGUGGAUUAUCGCUUUUCGCUUCUGCAUCAAUAACGAUAAAUUCCAAAAUAGGUGCGUUAAUCUUUCUAUUCAAUCAUCUGUGCUUUUGUUCUGGUUAUGGAGAUCUUGGGAUUACAUGUUUUGCAUCCUACAGGACAUGUUUUACAAAAACUAAAAAAUUGACAAAAAAAUUAAUUUCGCUUCCAAUUCAUUAAGUUUCAUUCAUAUUAAUCUUAAUUUUAUUCCCUUUAAUUCGUUACUAGCUAACCAAAGUACUUAAAGUAUGAAAAAGUCGAUAUUUUAGGCACUAUUUUCAUUGCAAAUAUGGAAAUUAACGUCUUGAUACUACUCGUGAAUUAAAGAAUAUUAAUGUUCUUUAAAUUAUUUCUUUAAAUGUACGUGUUGACACAGCCACAUUCUACGUUUAAAACAUCGGGCGGUCUCAUUCGAUGGCAGAAGCUUGACUACUUUUUAUAUGCUUUUAAUGCUUAUACCAUGUUAUCACAAGGGCCGGCAAUUCUUCUUAAUCGGGUUUCUUAAUAGUGUCAAAGCUGUGUAAUUGGAAAACACUAUAUUUUUGUUAAUAAAGCUAUAAAACUUACCCAUUAAAUUCAUGGCAAUCCAUGUCACUUCAGGUUUGCCACAUAAUUACGUAUAAUUUUGUUAAUUCAUGUUAGCAACUGUCAGCCCUCUCUCACCGUUGAUCAAAAACAGAUUUCAGGGUAUGGAUUAUACAUUCGAACAUUGGUAACAAAUACCUCACAGGUAAUUUAAAUAACAAGUUAGUUCUGUUCCGUUUUUUUUUUUUUUUUGGAUUACUUAUUAGUUAAAGUUCUAAUCCUUGCUCUUAAACCACUCAGCAGUAAUGGCUUGGGAUAAUUGGUGGUCUACUAAUAUUUCGUUUGCUCCACUGAAAAUAAAUAAUUUAGAGAACAUUUUCCCCAUGAUGAUUACUUAUAUAGUGUACCAAAAUGAAUGAACAAAAUGAUUCUUUGGGUCAACUAAGGAAAUAUUUUGUAUGAUUAAGAUCAAUUGGGAGAUCAUUGCAUCCACCAGGCACAAGGUGCACUAGUAAGGGAAUUGGAGUGAGUGAGGAUGUUUAAUUUUAGUUGUAGAACUUGACUCCUACCCUUUACAAAGAAGCAGAACAUAAAUUUGAAAGAGAAAAAAAAGUUAAGAGUAGGACAAAGGGAUAAAAAAAGGAACUAGGAGACCAUCGUAAGUCCUGGAGUGCCAAAUAGCAACUUCAACAUUGGAGACUCAGCUACAAGCUUACAACCAAGCGGCGGCAAAGCGAUUCUUUAGAGUUGGUUAUCCCUCUUUCAGGUUUUGCUAAUAAUCAUAAAAAAAGCGACCUCGACUUUCAUACUUGCAAUGUCAAAUGCCAACACAAGUAUUUGCAAUUUGUAACUUGGUUUUCAUAAGUCGACAAGUUGAGAGAAAACGAUGGCUCACAUUGUCUCGGUAUAUAUAUAUAUAUUUAAUUUGAUUGUUGCUUCUCAAAGUGUAGAAGAAAAGUAGAUGUAAUGAUUCAAACACAAGGAAAAUCAAAUUAUACCCAACAUAUUUUUUCCUAAAAAAAGGCGAACUCAUGAUGCAACUCUUAAUGAUGGAUUAUUUAUCAGGUCUGCCCCCGAAUUUUCUUUUCAAAAAACAUGAUAGGGAAAAAAUCAUCAAAAACCCCAAAUUUUGUUCAAAGUAACAAAUUUACCCCAUACUUUUUUUUCGUGACACAAAAAGUCUCAAAUUUUGCCAACUAUGACACAUUUAUCCUAACAUUUUUUCAUGACACAUAAACCCCUAAACUUAUAACCAUGUGACACAUUUCCCCCAAAAUAUAGGGCAUUUUCGUAUUUUAUUUUUAAAUUUAAAUUUUCUUUUUCUUCUUCUCUCUUCCCUCCAUCAGCCAUGGUGGAGGGAAGCUAGACUCAGGUGAGGGCUGCCCUUGUAGGUGUCAGGUUGCCCUCAUUGGCAUUAGGCAAGCCACCCUCACCAAAUCCGGGGAGGAAAACCCUCGCCUAAUGCAGGUGAGGGUAGUGGGCGAGGGCAUUCCUCGCUAGAGUCGGCCCAGGCGAGGGCUGCCCUCACCUGGCGUCCAGUGAGGGUUGCCCUCGCCGGAUUUGGCGAGGAUUGUCCUUGCCUGGGUCAUCGAGGGCUAUCCUCUCUUGACCUACCUUCGCUGACCUAGGCGAGGGUUGCCCUCACUUGAGUCCGGCUUUUCUCCGUUGUGGUCAGCAAAGGGAAGAGAUAACAAGAAAAAAGGGAAAAAAAGAAAAAGGAAAAACAGAAAAAUGAAAAAAAAAAGACGAAAAUGCCUAUGGCCAGAGAGUUUGGAGUAAAUGGGUCAGGAUUGACAAAGUUUGGCAUUUUUUGUGUCACAAAAAAAAGCUUGAGAUAAAUUUAUUAUUCUGGGUAAAGUUUAGAGUUUUUGGUGAUUUUUUCCCAACACCAGCAGAUUUUGUUAAUUCAAUUUUCAAUUAUCACAAGAAACUUACACCCUACAUAGAUUAAUUAAUUGAAAAGUCUUUAGGAAAGGGCACCACCCUAGGGGCUUUCUUCUGUCAACCCACUUUAUAAUUGUCCCCACUACUCUUUGUCGGUCAUUUAGCAACUUGCUUUUUCUCAUCGACUACCAGCACUUUGCUUUUUGGUCUUCCAAUAAGUCAUAUAAUAAUUUCAACUUUUCUUAAAGAAAGAAAGCCCUUAUUCUUCUUUUCACAAAUGACGUUUGAUUGUUGAUAUGGACGCUUAUUCUGUUCAAUGGUUGAUUCAAUAAAGGGUGGGAAGUGUUUGCAAAAGAUUAGGGCUUGUUUAUGUAAGACUAAGCAUAUGACUGUUCAAAAUUUUUAAAUAUUUUAAAAAAAUGAAAAAAUUUACAUACGAAUUUACGUGCCAACAUUUUUAAAUUGUAAAAGUUUAAGGUAUUUUGGUUUUUUUUAAAAAAAAAUCAAAAUAUGAGAAAAAUAUGUUAAAAAAAAGAAGAUCAUUUUAUAUAGAUAGUUAUGAUUUGACAUGAAUGACCAUGGAGGCCAACUCUUUGGCAUUAUUUAUCGCUAAGUAGCAAUAGCAAUUUAUGCUUGUGGGAAGUGGGAGAAAAUUGUGAUAAUGAAAUGCUGUGCAUGCAAUUAUCUAAUGAUUAAAUCUUUCAACAUGUUAGAUAUUCCUCCUCUUGAAUAUGCAGAUUUCUAGGUUCCCUCGGGCAAAAUACGAAAUACUAUUCUACGGUGCAUUUGGUUCAGCAUUCCCAGAGGGCUUUCAGUCUCCAAAGCCCCUUGGGGAAAUAAAAUAUUGAUCAGCAACUUAUUUAGACGAUAACUUAUUAGUUAUCAAUAGUUUUGUUAUCGUACUAACAUUUAUUUGUACUUUUAAAAUUACGCAUUAUUUUCAUAGUUUAUCAAUAUUAAUUUAUGUGACUUACCAACGCGUUAAAGGUACUAUCUUUCUUUAUCCGUAUCUUUCUAUAAAUGCGGAUAUGACAUCCCUCGAACUAGCCCUUUUAGCCUUCCCACGAUUGUCCUUCUCUUGGGCAACUUUUUUAUGGGUAGCUUGGAUGGUGUUGACAACAUCAGAGUUGGAAGCCACCGCUAUCACGCGCUGAUCCUCUGAGCGUGUGCCCAUCCCUCGGUGGUCGAUUCCCACGAUGCGUCACCAACCCAUACAUUUUAUGCGCAUGCGAAAGCAAAUAAAUAAAUCCCCAUACAACAACAAGAUGGAAUAGAAAAGCAGGGCCACAAAUUUUUGAAAACCAAACCUUACCUUUAUAUACAUAUCACACCAAGUCAAUUACAAAACUAGCCGACUAUAUAAUGCCCUAUAUCGACUUUUCGCCAAAAAUCUCGGUUUGCAGAAAAAUCUUUGGAGGAUGAGUCAACGUUCCUAAAAUGACUUAUGACAUGCUAAAAUCUCAAUUUUUGAAAUCAAAUUCAAUUUCGUAGUUAAUUUCAAUCCAGAGCGAUUUUAGCGUGACCCAGCCUACCGGGUAGCUUUUAGAAAUUUUUAGUGCAAAUGACCCGUAAUCGAUUUUCUUCGAGCCACGAUGUACCUCUUCGACAUAUUGGCGACUCUCGGUGGUCAUAAAAAUCUCGAAAUUUCAAAUACGGACACAGAGUACCAAAAUAACAGAAAAAUUAGCCUAGUACCGGUCGAUGAGAAUUUUUAUAAUUUGGUGGAAUCAUCCACGUUUAGCUACACAUCUCUGUCGAACCGACCUAUCUCUGAUCUUUAAUCGACUUUUAGCUGUGCCGUAAUGAUUUAUGUAGAUAGGCACGAUCGAAUGGUCGAUUCUUAGUCGAAUUCCCAAGUCUAUUGUCCAAAAAUCCCUUAAUGACUUUCUCAGAUAGUCUAGUUAUCUCAGGAGUGAUUAGCUCUAAGAAUAGCAUAAUAGGCGCGUCGAUGAAAUGCCUGAUUUAUUUAAUUGAAAACAAAAUUGAAAUUCUAGAAUGUCACAACUCUUCCCCUCUUAUAAAAAUUUCAUCAUUGAAAUUUAAACAAUUACAACACUUUAAGCAAAAAGGUGAGGGUACAAUUGUCUCAUCGACUCUUCACUCUUCCAAGUUAAUCCUUCAGUGUCAUGGUAUUGCCAGACCACUUUGACCAAUGGAAUGGUCUUGGUGCACAGAACCUAUUCUUUUCGAUCCACAAUCUGAACUGGAUUUUCAACGUAUGACACUUUGUCGUCCACGUCCAAUUUCUCAAAAUUAAGUACGUGGGUCGGGUCAAGCUCAUACUUCCUUAACAUCGACACGUGAAAGACGUCGUGCACUUGCGCUAGUCUCGGCGACAGUGCAAGACGAUACGCUAGGAUCCCGAUUCUCUCUAGAAUCUUAAAGGGACCUACGUACCUCGGACUUAGCUUUCCAUUCUUGCUACAGCGCGAAAUACCUCUUAUUGGUGACACUUUCAUAAAAAUGUGAUCACCAACUUGAAAUUCCAAUGGUCUCCGGCGCUUAUCGGCGUAGCUUUUCUGGCGGCCCUGAGCGGUCUUUAACCUAUUCCUGAUGACUGCAACUGCAUCCACUGACAGCUGGACUAACUCUGGGCCUAUAAUCUUUCUUUCCCUAAGCUCAUCCCAACAAACUGGCGUUCUACAUGCUUUGCCAUACAACGCUCAAAAGGAGCCAUCUGAAUGCUCUGUUGGUAGCUGUUGUUGUAGGCAAACUCGACAAGAUGAAGUUGUUCCUCCCAGCUUCCCUUGAAGUCUAACAUGCAAGCUCGCAGCAUGUCUUUGAGGGUCUGAAUUGUCCUCUCAGACUGGCCAUCUGUUUGAGGAUGAUAAGCCGUAUUAUACUGCAGCUUCGUUCUUAAGGCAGCUUGUAAACUCUUCCAAAAAAUAGCUGUAAAUCUUAGGUCUCGGUCUGAGGUAAUCGUUACUGGCACUCUAUGCAGACGAACUAUCUGACGCACAUACAACUCUGCAUCUUAUCCAAAUUAAGGUCCUUUCAUACUGCAAUGAAGUGAGUCGACUUUGUCAAUCUGUCGACCAUUACCCAAAUGGAGUCAUUACCUCUCUGACUCCUCGGUAAACCAGUCACAAAAUCCAUCGUGAUGUGCUCCCAUUUCCACUCUGGGAUCUCAAGAGGUUACAGAAGUCCUCCCGGCUUACAAUGUUGUGCAUUCACUUGCUGACACGCAGACACUUGGCGACAUGCUUGGCGAUGUCUGCCUUCAUACCAAACCACCAAUAGUGUUGACGCAGAUUCUGAUACAUUUUCGUACGGCUAAGAUGAAUGCUGUAAUUGCUACGAUGAGCUUCUGAUAAGAUCUCCUCUCUAAGCUCUGCAUCGUCAGGUACACAUGAUUGUCCUCGGAACCUUAGUGUUCCAUCCUCAGAAAUGUGAAAAUCAGCAUUUCUCUUAUCGGUGUCCUCAUGUAGAAUCUUUUGAACAUCCGGGUCUGUCGACUAAAGUAAUUUGAUCCUGAUCUACACAUCUGGCUCAAUUCUAAGGGUGGCCAUAAGAUUUGAAAAGUUGCCUACCUCAAAUUGAAAACCGAAUCUCAAGCUCUCUCGAGUAAAUUCCAAUCCUUAACCAGCAUAUGAGCGACUGAAGACUUCCGACUUAAAGCAUCGGCGACCUUAUUCACCUUCCCGGGGGUGAUAUAGAAUAUCACAAUCAUUGUCCUUCAGAAGUUCCAUCUAGUAGCACUGUCUCAUAUUCAACUCCUUUUGAGAGAAUAGAUAAUUGAGACUUUGAUGGUCGGUGAAGAUUUGGAAUCUUUCUCUACACAAAUAAUGUCUCCAAAUCUUCAAAGCGAAAAUUAUUGUGGCGAGUUCUAAGUCAUGCGUCGGGUAAUUUAUUUCUUGAGGUCUCAAUUAACAGGAGGUGUAUGCCACAACCUUACCAUGUUGCAUUAGCACGCAACCUAAUCCUUUGAACGACGCAUCACUAUAGAUCUCGUAUCCUCCAUGACCAGAUGGCAUGGUCAGCACAGUUGUGGUAGUCAGCUUUUGCUUAAACUCUUGAAAACUAUGCUUGCACUUGUUUAUCCACACAAACUUCUCAUCCUUCUUUAAGAGUCGAGUCAACAGUGAUGCCAAGGCUGAAAAUCCUUCCACGAACCGUCUAUAGUAACCUUCCAAACCCAAGAAGCUUAUGAUCUUUGUCAUUGUAGUUAUUUUUGGCCAGUUGGUGAUUGCUUCGAUGUUGGACGGGUCCAUGGAGAUUCCUUCACCUGAAAUCACGUGACCUAAGAAUGCAACACAAGUCAACCAAAACUCGCACUUGCUGAACUUGGCGUACAACUGUUGAAUCCUUAGAGUCUGUAGUACCAUUCUCAGAUGACUCUCAUAUUUCUCAGCACUCCUCGAAUAUACCAUAAUAUCAUUGAUGAAUACGAUCACGAACUGAUCCAUAUAUUCUUUAAAUACUCAGUUCAUAAGAUCCAUAAAAGCAGCUGAGGCGUUCGUCAAACCUGUUGACACCUAAAUUUUUGCACAAUUUUUGGGUUAAUAAAAAAAAACACACACACACACAAGGCAUAUAGUUUAGAAACAUUUUAUUCUUAUUUUCAUUUUGGUUUAUUUUAUUUUGGGCCACUAGUGAAGGGAAGAUUUUUCACAUAUUCCGUUUAGAUUUUUCAUAUUUUUAGGUAAUAUACACUAAGGGGUGUAUUUUGUGCAAAGAGAGAAUUUUUCUGGAUAGAAUAUGCGAGAAAUACAAAAGGGAAUAUUGUGCGGGGUAUGUAUAUUUCAACAACAUAUUUAGGGGUAUCAUGCGCAAGCAAAAAAGGAAAAAAUAUAUGUCGUGAGGGUACAUUUUUUGGACCUAUAAAAUACAUUACGCGCAAAGUAAAAGGGGGUCCAUUCCGUCGGUAAAAAAAGAGCAAAAGGUGAAAAAGUGAGAGAGGAAAAGUAGAAAAAAAAGAGAAAAAAAAGAGAGAAGAAAAGCCCCCCCUUUCUUUGUGCGAUUGUUCAUCUUCCCCGCAGGGGGGCCUUCGCCGGCCUUGUUACCAUUGAACCCCGCCGUCGCCGUCGCUGAUCUUCGUCUGCGAGCGCUCGAGCCGCCAGUCUCUACCCGCGAGCCCCGACGACCUGCGCCGCCCCGACGCUGAGCCCCCAGAGCCUCGACGACAUGCCUCCGCCUCGUCUCUGGCUGCGCUGCAAUAUUGCCCCUGGACGUGGCGCCAAUCCCUGCCGUUGCGACCCUCCUCUGCAAAUAUGUCUCUGCCGUCAAAUCUCAAGCCACUGGUGACCCGGAGCCGCAGCCGAGCCGAGAUCCAGCCGCCAGAGUCCCUCCGCCUGCAAAUCCGAGGUCCCUGACGACAGAAGGCCCGGACCCAGCUUGACACUUCCCUUUCGCCGGUGCCGAGCCUCGUUGAAGACCUAGAUCUGACGCCGCCCUCGCUCCGCAUCGCGACGCUCGCGCCCCGAUUCGAUUCUCUCCUCGCGACGCCUGCUCCUAGAUCCGACGAUGCCCCAUGCCAAUCCGUGACGCCUGCACUCGGAUCUGACGUCAGCCCUGUACCGGCCCGUGUCUUCAUCCUCGCUAGAGCCCUCGCCGGAACCCUAGCCGGCGAUCUUUCCCCCACUGGAGCUCUAAAACCAGCGGCCAAGAUUUCCUUUUUCUUUCUUUAAAAAAAAAGAAAAAGAAAAAAAGAAAAAAAAUUAAAUUAGGUAUUUUUGCUUUACUUUAUUAGGCAAGUUUAGGUUUUUCUCUAUUUCUUUAUUAUUAUUAUCCCUUUAUAUUUUGUUUUCUUUGGUUGAAAUACCUAUCUAUGCAUAAUUAGAAAUUUCAACAUAUCACCUGAUUCGUAACCGCGCCAGGGUUUUUUUUAUUAUUUCAUCUAUAAGGCUUUAGAUGAAAUAAUUAAUCAAGUGGGAAUAAAAUUGAUAUUUUGAUCUUUAAGGCUUAAGAUCAAUUUAUCGAUUUUACUAGCGAAAUAUUUUCUCUUGAUCUGAAUGAUGUGUGAUAUUUUUGAUGAUUUUGAAUGAGUUGUCUCGUCUUAAUUGCCUUGUUUAUCUUGUGAUAUGUUUGGGUUAGAAUAUUGCAUAGUUUACAUGUUUAGAAUAGGAAUUUUAUUUCAAAUUUUAAAAAAAUCAAAAUUCAAAUAAAUCAAUUUAGGUUGUUAGAUUUUAAUUUAGGUUGCAUGUUUAAUUAUUUGGCAAUUAUUAAUUUCGAAAAUUAAUAAAAGCAACAAAAAAUCAUCAUGCAUAUGUCAUGUAGAAUUAUGGCAUAUUUUCACAUCAUUGCAUAUUAGGGUUAAAUUGCACUUAAUUUAAUUUUAGAUAGUUUUUUUUAAUUUAUUAUAAGUUUAGGUAUUUUUUAGUUAUAUUGCAUUUUAGGAUUAUUUAGGUUAAGAUAAUGUUUUAGUUUAAAUUAGGGUUUGACUCAACCUAAUUCCUAAUAUAAAUUAAAUAGGAUCUUAAUCUAAUUAGGUAAUUUUCACAUUUCACCAAAUUUCGAAUUUCAUGAAAAAUAUUAAAAAAUGUCAUAGGUUAAAUUAGUUUUAUUAUUUAGAAUAAAAUGCAUUCUUUUAGGAAAAGGAAAAAAUGUCAUAUGCAUGUCAUUAGGGUUAGAUUCAUUGAAAUGCAUGUCAUUUAGUAUUUUUGCUAGGCCCAUUUAAUUAGAAAUUACAUGUCAUUAGGAUUAGGUCAUUUAGUUAAUAUCGCAUUGCAUAUUGCAUGAUUUUCAUUAAUUAAGUGAAAAAAAAGAAAUUGCGUGUUAAUUAGAAACCAUAUCUAGGGUUGUUGAUGUGGAUUUUAAUUUAACAUUGCAGAUGCUUUCGUUGCUUGGAGGUAAGUUUUUGCAAUUUGUUUAUUGUUUAUCUGGGUGUUAAAUUGGUGGUUUGUGCAUACGCAUGAUAACCUCAUAUGUUAGGGAAAUAGAUUUAAAAUCAAUUCAAGCUGCUUGCCAAACAUUUUUGAAAAUAAAAGAAUGGUACUGAAAGGGCGUUAGAAAAGUCUAGCGUAACCAAGUCCCCGAACUCAUAAUCUCUGGUUUGUAGGAGUAAAGUAAAUCUCCCAUUACUUUACUUGGGUUUCUAAUCGACCCACCAAAAAAUAGAUUAGUGGCAACUCCUGAUUAAAAAAUCAAUUGCAUGCUAAGAACUUGAACCUAAGUCGUGAAUUGGUAUGGGCUUGGGAGAGCUCGAGUUAAGUUUAAGCUUAACAAUCCAUUAGCCAAACCCUAGGUGGUUUACACCCGAAAAAUUGGUCACGACAAAAUCAAAUGGCAUUACAAUGAACUCAUAAUGGCCGUAUCAAGUACGAAAUGCUGACUUUGGAAUGUCCUCCUUCCUGAUUCUUAGCUGAUGAUAUUCGAUCCUUAAGUCGAUUUUUGAAAAUAUCGACGCUCAUUGUAACUGAUCAAACAAGUCAUCGAUCCUUGGCAGUGGAUACUUGUUCUUGAUUGUCCCUUGAUUGAGCUGACGAUAGUCGAUGCACAACUGCAACGAACCAUCUUUCUUCUUCAUGAAUAGAAUNNNNNNNNNNNNNNNNNNNNNNNNNNNNNNNNNNNNNNNNNNNNNNNNNNNNNNNNNNNNNNNNNNNNNNNNNNNNNNNNNNNNNNNNNNNNNNNNNNNNNNNNNNNNNNNNNNNNNNNNNNNNNNNNNNNNNNNNNNNNNNNNNNNNNNNNNNNNNNNNNNNNNNNNNNNNNNNNNNNNNNNNNNNNNNNNNNNNNNNNNNNNNNNNNNNNNNNNNNNNNNNNNNNNNNNNNNNNNNNNNNNNNNNNNNNNNNNNNNNNNNNNNNNNNNNNNNNNNNNNNNNNNNNNNNNNNNNNNNNNNNNNNNNNNNNNNNNNNNNNNNNNNNNNNNNNNNNNNNNNNNNNNNNNNNNNNNNNNNNNNNNNNNNNNNNNNNNNNNNNNNNNNNNNNNNNNNNNNNNNNNNNNNNNNNNNNNNNNNNNNNNNNNNNNNNNNNNNNNNNNNNNNNNNNNNNNNNNNNNNNNNNNNNNNNNNNNNNNNNNNNNNNNNNNNNNNNNNNNNNNNNNNNNNNNNNNNNNNNNNNNNNNNNNNNNNNNNNNNNNNNNNNNNNNNNNNNNNNNNNNNNNNNNNNNNNNNNNNNNNNNNNNNNNNNNNNNNNNNNNNNNNNNNNNNNNNNNNNNNNNNNNNNNNNNNNNNNNNNNNNNNNNNNNNNNNNNNNNNNNNNNNNNNNNNNNNNNNNNNNNNNNNNNNNNNNNNNNNNNNNNNNNNNNNNNNNNNNNNNNNNNNNNNNNNNNNNNNNNNNNNNNNNNNNNNNNNNNNNNNNNNNNNNNNNNNNNNNNNNNNNNNNNNNNNNNNNNNNNNNNNNNNNNNNNNNNNNNNNNNNNNNNNNNNNNNNNNNNNNNNNNNNNNNNNNNNNNNNNNNNNNNNNNNNNNNNNNNNNNNNNNNNNNNNNNNNNNNNNNNNNNNNNNNNNNNNNNNNNNNNNNNNNNNNNNNNNNNNNNNNNNNNNNNNNNNNNNNNNNNNNNNNNNNNNNNNNNNNNNNNNNNNNNNNNNNNNNNNNNNNNNNNNNNNNNNNNNNNNNNNNNNNNNNNNNNNNNNNNNNNNNNNNNNNNNNNNNNNNNNNNNNNNNNNNNNNNNNNNNNNNNNNNNNNNNNNNNNNNNNNNNNNNNNNNNNNNNNNNNNNNNNNNNNNNNNNNNNNNNNNNNNNNNNNNNNNNNNNNNNNNNNNNNNNNNNNNNNNNNNNNNNNNNNNNNNNNNNNNNNNNNNNNNNNNNNNNNNNNNNNNNNNNNNNNNNNNNNNNNNNNNNNNNNNNNNNNNNNNNNNNNNNNNNNNNNNNNNNNNNNNNNNNNNNNNNNNNNNNNNNNNNNNNNNNNNNNNNNNNNNNNNNNNNNNNNNNNNNNNNNNNNNNNNNNNNNNNNNNNNNNNNNNNNNNNNNNNNNNNNNNNNNNNNNNNNNNNNNNNNNNNNNNNNNNNNNNNNNNNNNNNNNNNNNNNNNNNNNNNNNNNNNNNNNNNNNNNNNNNNNNNNNNNNNNNNNNNNNNNNNNNNNNNNNNNNNNNNNNNNNNNNNNNNNNNNNNNNNNNNNNNNNNNNNNNNNNNNNNNNNNNNNNNNNNNNNNNNNNNNNNNNNNNNNNNNNNNNNNNNNNNNNNNNNNNNNNNNNNNNNNNNNNNNNNNNNNNNNNNNNNNNNNNNNNNNNNNNNNNNNNNNNNNNNNNNNNNNNNNNNNNNNNNNNNNNNNNNNNNNNNNNNNNNNNNNNNNNNNNNNNNNNNNNNNNNNNNNNNNNNNNNNNNNNNNNNNNNNNNNNNNNNNNNNNNNNNNNNNNNNNNNNNNNNNNNNNNNNNNNNNNNNNNNNNNNNNNNNNNNNNNNNNNNNNNNNNNNNNNNNNNNNNNNNNNNNNNNNNNNNNNNNNNNNNNNNNNNNNNNNNNNNNNNNNNNNNNNNNNNNNNNNNNNNNNNNNNNNNNNNNNNNNNNNNNNNNNNNNNNNNNNNNNNNNNNNNNNNNNNNNNNNNNNNNNNNNNNNNNNNNNNNNNNNNNNNNNNNNNNNNNNNNNNNNNNNNNNNNNNNNNNNNNNNNNNNNNNNNNNNNNNNNNNNNNNNNNNNNNNNNNNNNNNNNNNNNNNNNNNNNNNNNNNNNNNNNNNNNNNNNNNNNNNNNNNNNNNNNNNNNNNNNNNNNNNNNNNNNNNNNNNNNNNNNNNNNNNNNNNNNNNNNNNNNNNNNNNNNNNNNNNNNNNNNNNNNNNNNNNNNNNNNNNNNNNNNNNNNNNNNNNNNNNNNNNNNNNNNNNNNNNNNNNNNNNNNNNNNNNNNNNNNNNNNNNNNNNNNNNNNNNNNNNNNNNNNNNNNNNNNNNNNNNNNNNNNNNNNNNNNNNNNNNNNNNNNNNNNNNNNNNNNNNNNNNNNNNNNNNNNNNNNNNNNNNNNNNNNNNNNNNNNNNNNNNNNNNNNNNNNNNNNNNNNNNNNNNNNNNNNNNNNNNNNNNNNNNNNNNNNNNNNNNNNNNNNNNNNNNNNNNNNNNNNNNNNNNNNNNNNNNNNNNNNNNNNNNNNNNNNNNNNNNNNNNNNNNNNNNNNNNNNNNNNNNNNNNNNNNNNNNNNNNNNNNNNNNNNNNNNNNNNNNNNNNNNNNNNNNNNNNNNNNNNNNNNNNNNNNNNNNNNNNNNNNNNNNNNNNNNNNNNNNNNNNNNNNNNNNNNNNNNNNNNNNNNNNNNNNNNNNNNNNNNNNNNNNNNNNNNNNNNNNNNNNNNNNNNNNNNNNNNNNNNNNNNNNNNNNNNNNNNNNNNNNNNNNNNNNNNNNNNNNNNNNNNNNNNNNNNNNNNNNNNNNNNNNNNNNNNNNNNNNNNNNNNNNNNNNNNNNNNNNNNNNNNNNNNNNNNNNNNNNNNNNNNNNNNNNNNNNNNNNNNNNNNNNNNNNNNNNNNNNNNNNNNNNNNNNNNNNNNNNNNNNNNNNNNNNNNNNNNNNNNNNNNNNNNNNNNNNNNNNNNNNNNNNNNNNNNNNNNNNNNNNNNNNNNNNNNNNNNNNNNNNNNNNNNNNNNNNNNNNNNNNNNNNNNNNNNNNNNNNNNNNNNNNNNNNNNNNNNNNNNNNNNNNNNNNNNNNNNNNNNNNNNNNNNNNNNNNNNNNNNNNNNNNNNNNNNNNNNNNNNNNNNNNNNNNNNNNNNNNNNNNNNNNNNNNNNNNNNNNNNNNNNNNNNNNNNNNNNNNNNNNNNNNNNNNNNNNNNNNNNNNNNNNNNNNNNNNNNNNNNNNNNNNNNNNNNNNNNNNNNNNNNNNNNNNNNNNNNNNNNNNNNNNNNNNNNNNNNNNNNNNNNNNNNNNNNNNNNNNNNNNNNNNNNNNNNNNNNNNNNNNNNNNNNNNNNNNNNNNNNNNNNNNNNNNNNNNNNNNNNNNNNNNNNNNNNNNNNNNNNNNNNNNNNNNNNNNNNNNNNNNNNNNNNNNNNNNNNNNNNNNNNNNNNNNNNNNNNNNNNNNNNNNNNNNNNNNNNNNNNNNNNNNNNNNNNNNNNNNNNNNNNNNNNNNNNNNNNNNNNNNNNNNNNNNNNNNNNNNNNNNNNNNNNNNNNNNNNNNNNNNNNNNNNNNNNNNNNNNNNNNNNNNNNNNNNNNNNNNNNNNNNNNNNNNNNNNNNNNNNNNNNNNNNNNNNNNNNNNNNNNNNNNNNNNNNNNNNNNNNNNNNNNNNNNNNNNNNNNNNNNNNNNNNNNNNNNNNNNNNNNNNNNNNNNNNNNNNNNNNNNNNNNNNNNNNNNNNNNNNNNNNNNNNNNNNNNNNNNNNNNNNNNNNNNNNNNNNNNNNNNNNNNNNNNNNNNNNNNNNNNNNNNNNNNNNNNNNNNNNNNNNNNNNNNNNNNNNNNNNNNNNNNNNNNNNNNNNNNNNNNNNNNNNNNNNNNNNNNNNNNNNNNNNNNNNNNNNNNNNNNNNNNNNNNNNNNNNNNNNNNNNNNNNNNNNNNNNNNNNNNNNNNNNNNNNNNNNNNNNNNNNNNNNNNNNNNNNNNNNNNNNNNNNNNNNNNNNNNNNNNNNNNNNNNNNNNNNNNNNNNNNNNNNNNNNNNNNNNNNNNNNNNNGCUGUCUCAUGCGGUGGCAGUGUCAUCAUCCGUAGCAUCGUCCAUCCUAAAGGACAAGUAUGGAUUAGUAUUCGCGAUUAUCAGGGCCCCCAUGCAGGAUCUAGUCGGACUCUCUCGUCAGAGUGUUCCGGUAUAUGUCAGUCCAGGAAUUAGAGGGACUGUCUAUAUCAGGACUCUCGACCUGUAGAUGGGAUGGUAGACCGUAAAAUACAUCCGGGAUAGAUGGUAGGAAGCGGCAUACUGUUGAUAUGAAAUGUGGAUCCCCAAGCGGGUGAGCCCUCCCACUCAGCAGCUACGGAAGUCCAAGGACAACGGAGUGGAUCAGGAAAAUAAUACAUCCAUAGCAGGCAUUAGUUACCAUGAAUCCAUGCACAUACUAUCAUGCAUCAUCAUAUCAAUUUAUUACACAUUCAGGUGGAUCAUCAUGGUUUCAUUCAUGUCAUCAUGGGCAUGACUUCAUUCCAUGACACAUGUCAUGAUCAUCAGGGCAUCAUUACAUCACCAUGCAUAUCAUCAUGCAUAUCAUAUCAUGGAUGAUCAUCAUUAUUUCACAUCACAUAUCAUUAUCAUCAUCAUCAUCAUCAUCAUCAUCAUGCAUAUCAUAUCAUGGGUGAUCAUCAUUAUUUCACAUCACAUAUCAUCAUCAUCAUUAUCAUCAUGCAUAUCAUAUCAUGGGUGAUCAUCAUUAUUUCACAUCACAUAUCAUCAUCAUCAUCAUCAUCAUCAUCAUCAUGCAUAUCAUCAUGCAUAUCAUAUCAUGGGUGAUCAUCAUUAUUUCACAUUACAUAUCAGGGGGGGGGGAUCAUCAUGCAUAUCAGAGAAAAGGGGUAAUUUCCACUUUUAGCUUUCAAUUUGAUCACCACAUCACCCAUUCCUCAAAUCAUCAAUUUCAUCAUCCUCUCGGGCAAAGACCUCCGAGGCUUCCGGCAUUCAGCCUCCCAGGCCACCGGGCAUCCGGCGCCCCACAUUCCAGGCAUCUUGCAUCUCAACUAGCAUCACGAGGCAUUCCCUUCGGGCAGAAACCUCCGAUAGGGCUUCCGGCAUUUACACUCCCUGGCCGAGCAUCCCGCACCCCAAUUUGGCAUCGCGAGGCAUUCCCUUCGAGCAAAGACCUCCGACAGGGCUUCCGGCCCCCCCACAUUCCGGGCAUCCUGAAUCUCCCAGGGAAAUCCGGCAAUGCAUCUCUAUACAUUCCGGGCUCAUCCUCACCACAACACUUCUCACUUAUCAUUUCCACAUUACCAUUAUUUUGAUCUCAAUUUAACAUGACAUAUGGCGUGACAUCAAGCAAGUCAUACUUGGCACACAUGCAUCACAACUCAAUGUCAUACACCAAUAUCUCAUCAUACAUGCAACAAUGUAUAAUUAUUUGUUAAUAAAUUCAAUGGAAUUUAUGGCCAAUAAAAUAAUCCAUUUUAUUUAUUAUUAUUAUUAUUAUUAUUAUUAUUAUUAUUAUUAUUAUUAUUAUUUUAAAUAAAUAAAUAUUUAAUUCAAUAUCUAUAAAUUCCCAAAAUUUCAAAAAUUCAAGCAAUCAUUAAACAAACCAAUAGGAUGACAAUUUCAUGCAAAAUUCAUGGCCAAAUUGAAUUUCACACAAUUUCACAAUUUCCACAAAACAGCACAUAAUAUUCGGAUAAAACCAGAAUGCACAGUUUCCGAAGAAAUUAGAUUAAAAUAUCCAUACGGUCUCCAAAAAUUACGAAAUUUUACAGAGUGAUAGCCAAGACAUUUUCGCACAACUUUCAUGAAGAACUCCAAGCCAGAUUAUUUUUAGAUUAUUUUAUACAACCUCACGAAGCUUCUGGACCCAUCACCGCAUCGUCCAGUGCACAUAUCACCGAAAUAUUGAGAUUUCACCUACCUAUUCUCUUUAUUUUUCUCUGAAAUUUGGAUAUGUUAUACAUCAAGAUAUUCUAUACAAGUUUCAUGAAGAGAUCUAAGUCAAAUAACCAGAGUAUAGUCAUCAUCUAUGUCCAUGAAGUCUCGGGUAUCUCAAAAUACAUCACCAGAAUCAUCUUCUUCAAGAUCUAGUGGAUUUACUAGGCUAUACUUGUUAAUUUCACUUAAAAUUUGAGUAUGUUGUAGUUUAAUAUGUCUCCUACAACUUUCAUGAAGAAAUCGAAGUGAGAUUCUCAACAAAAACCAACAUGCAACCACGAAUCCAGCAAGAGGUCAGUAAAAACUCUCCAGAUCUGAGGUCUCCGUAGAAACAAGACUUUAACCCCUCAAAUCUCCGUAAGUUUUCACGAAAUUUCAGUAUGUUGUAGUUAAAGAUGUUAGCUACAACUCUCAUGAAGAAAUCGAAGCCAAAAUCUGACUCUAAACACACAUUCAAGCUCAAAAAAGUUUCUGACUCACACGGUCCGAACACAAACAGCCACACCAUUCACACACAACUCAUCCAUGCUUCGGUUUUUCUCAUCUAACACCCAAAAACUCAACAUGCAAACGACACACAAGCAUGCAAGAGAAUCUAGAGGACUCCCACUUGCCUCUAGAAUGAACGGUCGACGGCGUAGGGCGGCGAACACGGCGGCACACGGCGGACGAACGGCGACAACCCCUCGGCUCCGCCUCCUUCCUCUCUCGGCCUCUCCCUCUCUUUCUCGAAUUCUCUCUCCCUCUCUCACCCUCUCUCUCGGCCAAAAGAAAUCCGGCCACUCUCCUCUCUCUCUUCCCUUUUAUUUCCCCAACUUCUCAUGAUUAGCAAUCAUGAGAUUGCCUUUCAUUUGGCCAAUGCAUGGCCUUCUCCUUUGCCACUUGUCCUAUUGAAUUUUGAAUUGGGUUUGGGCUUCUUGGGCUUGGGCUCCUUUAUGGCCGGCGACUACUCCCUCUUGGGCCUCUAUAGGGCCGGCGACAGCCCCCUUUUAGUGGGCCUAAUUGGGCCGACUAACUUGGCCCAUUAAGCUUAGGCCAAUGGGCCUAAGGCCCAUUCCAAAUAUUGACCUUUUUCCCCCUUUUUUUUUUUGAAUUUCUUCUAUAAAUAUUUUUAAAUUUUAAUUUUCAUCUUGGCCAAAGUCUUGGGGCAUCUUGGUUAUUGAAAUUUAAUUUAUAAAGUACAUGGCCAAGCAUAAAUUAUUAAUCUAUCAAAUUUAAAUUUUCACAAUCAUAUGCACAAAUCAUCUAAUUAAAGACUAAUGGCUAAGGUAUAAACCUUAGGAAAUUUUAUCGCCUAAUUAGAAACUUUAACACACCUUAUGGCUUGGCUUUGAAUUUUGGGAUGCCACGCCAAGGCGAUGCAUUGGGACGUAUGAAUCCCUUAUCCAACAACUCCUGCAUCUGCACCUUUAGUUCUUUCAAUUUUGACAAUGACAUCCGGUAAUGAGCCUUAGAGAUUGGCUUUAUCCUGAGUGCUAAUUCAAUCACAAACUCGAUCUCUCUCUCUGGCGGUAGACCUAGCAAUUCGUUUGGGAAUACGUUUGGAAAUUCUUGCACCACUGCAAUAUCUUCAAUCUUCAGUUCCUCAAUGGACGUAUCCACAAUAGUUGCCCAGGUAACCUUGACAACUCUCGUCUAACAAACGGGUUGCCUCAAGUGACGAGAACAAGGUAAUCAUGGGUCCUCCUCGAUUCCUGACAAACUCGUAACUUUCACCCUCUAAUGGGUUAAACUAAAUCCCUUUACGGUAACAGUCCAUCUUUAGCUCAUUGCUUGGUGAGUCAGUCCAUGCCAAUUAUCAAAUCAAAGUCAUACAUGGCUAGGACUAACAAGUUUAUUUUCCCUUCUUGCUCACUAAUCGCUAACUUACAACCAGAAUAACCCAAUGCAGAAAACACCUUAUCCUUUUAACGGUGUAGAUAUGCUAACCACUGAUUCCAGCAACUCAGGACUUAAUCCUAUUAGCUUAACAUAUUGCUCGACAAUAAAAGAAUGAGUCCCUCUAGGGUCAAAUAAAACAUAAGUAGCAUGGUCGUUUAGCGAAACCGUACCUGUCAUCACGUCAGGCAUAUCCUCCGCCCGACCUCUUGUGAUGGCAUACAUUGUUUCUUGAGUUGGGGGUCUGACUUGUGCACCCUGCGGUGCGAACUGCAGCGCUGCACCCCUUAUUUGACCCACCUAUGGCGGCGGUGGUAACUGCUGUUGUUGUCCUGGUCUUCUAGGACAAUCUCUAGCUAUGUGACCCCGCUGGCCACAUUCGAAACAAGCGCCUAUCCUUUGGGGGCACGGGGUCAAAUCAUGUCGCCUUCCACAAAAGCGGCAUAUUUCAUUCUGGCUUAAACCUACCUUGCCAACUCCACCCUUCCUAUUGGGCAGGACGUGGAAUCUUCCUCCGGUCAUGGGCUUCUUCCUAUACCGAUUCCCAUCUCAAUUUGAUCCAAACCGCGACCCAGAUGCGGCGGCUUGUUCGUUCUGGUCUCUCUUUAUCAGUUGGGCUCGUUCGUAAAGGUCAUUGUAGUCCUUUAAAUUAAAUGGCACUAGCGGGAUUUUCACUUCUGGUCUAAGCCCAUCUCUAAACCUUCUAGCUUGGUUUACUAGGUUCUUGACCAAUUCGGGGGUGUAUUGCGAUAGUUCAGCGAACUUUGCCUCAUAAUGAUCUACCGUCAUCGAACCUUGGCGAAGGUGCUGGAAUUCUGCCAUCUUCAGUUCUCUGGCACCGCAAAGAAGUACUUGUUCUUGAAGACUUCGUCAAAGGCGUUCCACUCUGGAACUACACCUUUAGGGAAUACCAUGCCUCUGGUGUCUUUCCACCAAGUGUUAGCGUUACGGUGCAGUUAGUAGGUUGCAAGGACUACCUUCUCCGUCUUUGUGCACAUUAGCAAUGCAAAGGCUUUCUCUAAGCCUUGGAUCCAUAAGGCUACGGCUUCGGGGUCUCCUGCCCUAGUGAACUUCGGCGGAUUUAAUUUUAGAAUUUGUUCCUCCAGCUUAAGCAUCGGUCUCUCUCUCCCAACCACUACGUUCCCUGGUGGAACGUCAGCGGGUGUGGCGACAGGUGCGGCAGCAGCAGCGACAUCUGUGGUGGCAUUAGCAGUAGCUAUGGUAGCGGUGGCUGAAGCGGCGGCACUGGCAGCUUGAAUCUGAGCUUGCUGAUCCAACCUGUUUCCUAGCAUCUCGAGUGCUUGCAUGAUCCCAGUGAACCUUGGUCCUCAGGGGCUACUACCCCAGCACCAAUGGGAGGCGGUGUUACUCCACUUAUGCUAGCCUAAGCUGGCACUCUACCAUGGCCUCCUCGGGUACUAACCCUCGCCGUCGUCCUACCCCGAGUAACAGGCCCUAUUGUAUGCUUUCUAGGAGUCCUCUGCUCCUGAUCACUCAUCUUGCAAGUUUUCUAUAGAAACCUACCUUCCAAUUCCACACAGAAUUAGAAGUUGAGCGAUCUACAGACAAACAAUUCUACCAAUCAACUAUCAUAGACAUGCACCAGGAUGAAGUAAAGGCCAUUCCUACUAACUAUCCCAUGAACUUAUCGCACCUUAUCACUCCAACCAUUAACCUGCUCUGAUACCACUAAACGGGAAUGUCACGCCCCAAUCCUCCGAGCGGGUGCCCAUCCCUCGGUGGUCAAUUAAUUAGCGACAUCCUUAGAGGUGUUGCUGAUCUAUUCAUUUUAUGCGCAUGCGGAAGCAAAUAAAUAAAUCCCCAGACAACAAUAAGAUGGGAUAGAAAAGCAGGGCCAUAAAUUUUUGAAAACAAAACCUUACCUUUAUAUAAAUAUUACACCAAGUCAAUUACAAAACUAGCCUACUGUAUACAUGGUCUGUAAAAAAAUGGGGAGGGGGGGUAUAGGCUACAGAUCCUCUAAUUAGUUGAGUCUUCGACUGAAUACUCUAGCGUCCCUGGCUCCGACAGACACGGGUCCACCACUAAACCACCUGGUGGGUCGGCCGUGCCUUUCCCAAAAGCAACCUCUAGUACAUACAUAGGGACCUCAGACUUCGGUAUGGGACCCUCUCUUUGUCCAUUCCGCUCCUGAUGAUACCAUGAUCUGUAUUGAUGGGGUACCUUCUAGGGUAGACCCACAACAACCUAGACCACGGACUUCACAAGUUCAUAGACCCAUCCCCUUGGGUUCCCAUAACACCUCUGUUUAGUGACCUUCUUCAGCUGUCCAAAAGGCUCGGGAGGAGCUGCCAUCUAGGGACCUGUAAAUGUCAUCCCACAAUGGGGUGAGAUGACGUCUCAGCAAGUUCAUCUCCUAAGUUCCGACUCAAAAGAAAAUAUGCCUUAAGGGCUACCUAAGCACAAGCAUAAGUUAGAGGACUCACCUUUGCCUCAGUUCUUUCUUGCAAGUUUGUACAAUUUAUAAAAUUCAACGCACCAAUUCAACACAUCAAAGCAUCAAAUCAGAUCGAGCCAUCGAUCAAUCGAACCGGUCAAUUCCAUGUCAUCAAGACUAUCUCUCGAUCAUUCCAUUCAAUACUAUCUAUAAAGUCCAAUCGCAUCAAGGACUGCUCACAUUAAGCUGAAGAUAGAUAGUAUAGCUCACUCUAAGCUGAUAAAGAGUAUAUUACUCGCGCUAAGUUGAUAUAUCAAAGCCCUCAGGCUGAUAUAGUUUACUGCUAAUGCUCACCGAAGCUGUGCGAUACUUAAUGUUCAUCAAAACUAUGCAAUACUUAAUGCUCACCAAAGCUGUGUGAUACUUAGGGUAUAUUGUUCACUAUAAGCUGAUGUAUCAAGCUCGCAGGCUUAUAAAUUAUACCAUUAUAAUCAACCCACAAUUUCACCACUUUUUUCAUACUCGAUAAAAAUAAUUGUGUGGGUACACGGUCGACAUUAGCCAAAAUAUAAUUUUUUUACUUAAAAAAUCCCACUAAUUAUAUAGCCGAUAAAAAAAAAAUUUGGCGCUAUAAACCGACGCUCGGUAAUUUUCUAAUUAAAUACUAAAAUACUAAAUUUUUGGAUAAAUACCCCAAAAUCAAAAUUCACACUCAAAUUGCACAAAUCUGCAUUCAAUUAAAUAAACCAAUCACACUAGUGGACUCAGCACAAAAUUCCAGUCAUCAACUAUCCCGGUCUAAUUUUCGAAAAGUAAUAAUUAAUUAAAUAAUUAAAAAAAUUAAUUAAUAAAUGCUAAUAAAAGCAACUUAGGCCGGAAAAGCCUAAUUAAAUACUGAAACAGGUCUGAAAAAUUCUGAACCUAACUAGAUAAAUACUACACCUUAUCUGGUUUCUAAUUACACUACUCUAACCACCUAACAUGCAAUAACGAUUAAUUAAAUCACUAAUCUAUUCUAACUAUCGAUCUAAUCCAUACGUAACUUAAACUAAUAAACCUUUAAGCAUAAUUAACUCCCUAAGAGGAGAUUAGUGAGUAAACUCACAAGUUUUGUGAUUCAAUGAGUUCACUAGGAUGGCGAAGUGGAGACGGGCCACAAACUCCAAAGCGAAUGCAUCAAGCGAGGUUCAGAAGGGCUUGGAAACGAGCCAAAUAGUGUGCUACAGACCUAGGAGCUUCGGUUAUAGUUGAGGGCCGAAGGAGAGAGCUGAGCUGCUGGUUAGGCGAGACAGGGCAGGCGAAGGCUACAACGGUCUAGGCGGGGCUUCACGACGGCAGACGGCGACUCACGGCGGCUCAGGCAACAGGAAUGACUUGCAGUGGUGGCUGGAUAGGCUUGAGGGACAAGCUAGACGUGGGAGGGGGUGGGACGAUGCACUGGAUCGGUGCGGUUCACGCGGGGACUCGCGGUGGCAACAACGGUGCUAUUCGACUUCGACAGGUUGCUCGACGGGUAAGGGGGGCUGCUCGGCUUCUCUUUGCAAUUUUUGGAACUUUAACCUUGCUGGAGAUAGAUGGGUCGACGGAAGAAAGGAGAGGGGGAGAAAACUUUGGCUUGGAGGGGGCCACUUCACUUCUAUCUUCUUGUCACCUAGAAGAGACGCCACCAUGGAUGGGCUAGCUUCCUCAGCUAAAAGCAGCCACAAAGCUUCCUUAGGAAGCUAAUGAGAGAGUCCAAAAGGUUGAGACAAGGGGGCUACGAAUUUGAAGGUAUCUGUCUCAAAUUGGAUUCAAUCCUCACUUGAAUGAACUCAAUUAGGCUUCUAAAAAUUCAACCAAGAUACUCACGAUUGAAUUAACAUCCUUCCACGCCAAUAGAACCAACUCGCAUCCCAAUUGCAUGAUAAAAAAUGGUCCCCUAAAUUUUCUGGUCGAAAAUAGCCCUAUAUCGACUUUUCUUCAAAAAUCUCGGUUUGCAGAAAAAUCUUCGGAGGAUGAGUUGACGUUCCUAAAAUGACUUGUGACAUAGCAGAACUUUCAAUUUCUGAAAUUAGAUUCAAUUUUGCGGUUAAUUUCAAUCUGGCGCGAUUUUAGUGUGACUUAGCCUACCGGAUAGCUUUUAGAAAUUUUUAGUGCAAAUGACCCGUGGUUGAUUUUUUUUAAGCCAUAAUGUACCUCUUCAACACAUUGGCGACUCUCGGUGGUCAUGAAAAUCUCAAGGUUUUAAAUACGGACACAGGGUACCAAAACGAGAAUUUUGGUCUCUAAUCAACUUUUAACUGUGUCGUAAUGAUCUCUGCAGAUGAGCACGGUCGAGUAGUCGAUUCCUAGCCGAAUUCCGAAGUCUAUUGCCUAAAAAUUCCUUAAUGACUUCCCCAUAUAGUCUAGUUGUCACGCCCCAAUCCUCGGGUGCGCGCCCAUUCCUUAACUGGUCGAUUAAUUUGCAACGUCCCAAGAAAGUCACCGACCCAUUCAUUUAUAUAUGAAUGCGAAAGUUUAAUAAAAUCCCUAGACAAUCGAACAAUGGGAUAGAAAAGUAGGAUCAUAUUUUUCAAACCAAGACAAGUCUUUAUAGACAAACUGGUUAAUUACAAACUUAGGCUUUCUGCAAAAUUAUCGGCUUAUCAAAAAGGGGACUGUCUUAACAUCCACUAGUCAGACCCAUUUGCCGAUUCUUCAGCCUCCACCUUCCGAACUCCAAGACUUUUGGUCCUCCACGAUUGUCAUCUAGGGACCUGAAAUAUUGUCCCACAGCCGGGAUGAGACUAUGUCUUAGCAAGUUUUACCUCACUAAGACCUGAUUAGGAAGCUAAUACGCCAUAAAGGCUGCCUAAGCACAACAUAGGUCAAAGGGCUUACCUUGGCCUCAGUUCCUUUUCAAUCAAUAAUAUUGAUAACUACAUCAAUCAAACACAUUCCACCAAUAAGAUCAACUCAGCGAUCAAUCGACUUAAUCGAUUACAUGUCACCACGACCUUUCCUUAGUCGGUACAUUCAAUACUAUCUAUAAAGUCCGACCAUAGUCUAGGACUACUCACCCAAAGCUGAAAAUAGAUAGUAUAGCUCGCCCAAACCUGAUAAUAUAGUAUAUUAUGUAUAUGCUCACCCAAAGUUGAUAGAUUAGGGCCCCCAGGCCAAUUUAGUAUACUAUAUAUGCUCGCCCAAAGCUGAUAUUAUGGUAUACUAUUUAUAUGCUCGCCCAAAGCUGAUAAAUUAGGGCCCCUUGGCCAUUAUAGUAUACCACUCUCUCAUACAAUCAACUCCAUCUUUUUAUCAUUCUCGAUAAAUAGCUGUCUGUGGGUACACGGUUGGCUUUAGCCAAAAUACUAGAAUUUUCUUUCCACAAAUGCCACCAUUUUCUGUAGUCCACCAAAAUAUUUUUGGCGCUGUCAACCGACGCCCGGUAUUUUUCCAUUAAUAACCAAAAUCAAUUAAUUUAGGAUUUAUUCCUAAAAUCACAAUUAAUUCAAUUCAGCACAAAUUAAAACUCAAAUAAAUAAACAGAUUGCACCAAGAUAAUCAGCAUAAAAUUCCGAUCAUUGGAUAUCUCGGUCAAAUUUCCGAAAAAUAAAUAAAUAAAUAAAUAAAUAAAUUCCGAAAAUAAAAUAAAAUAAAAUAAAAUAAAAUAUUAUAUUAUAUUAUAUUAUAAAUAUUAAUUCGAAAAUAAUUAAUUAAUAAAAAAUAAUUAAUUAAGGCUUAAAAAAAAAUACUCUAAUCUAAACAUUUAUUUAGCCUUAAUUAAUUAUCCACUAAAUUAAUCACAUCCCUUAAUCCAAUUAACAUUUAAAUAAAGUAAUCUAACCACAUAAACAUACUUAGUCUAAUCUAAACAUCCCUUAAGCGUGAUUAACCUACUAAGCGGGGAUUAAUGAGUUAAACUCACACGAUUAACAAACAGAGCGGCUCAAAUCAACGAGGACGCCGAUGGGAUCAAUUCACUCCAAGGCAGGCGUGGCUUUCAGGGUCGGGAAGCUGGCCAAAUUGAGCCAAAUAGCCACUGCCAUACCCAUUUUUGCUUGCUGCGGUUGAGGCCAAGAAAGGGGUGGAUAAGGGCUCAGGUUGAGGCAACUACUGAUCGAGAUGGACGGAGGGGCUGAAUCGGACCUAGGCGGGGCUUCAUGGUGGCCGGAGGUGGGCUAGACAGCUCUAGCGAAGCUCCACCAGAUCUGAAAUGGCCGCUAGAACAGAGGAACCGGUGAGAUGGAGACGGAGAUGGGCGGAGCGGCGGUGAGGCGACGGCGUGCAGCGAUGGCGACUCCAGCUGUGGCGUGCGGCGGUGAGGCCUCAACGGCGAGCUGGCUUCACCGGUCUUCAGCUUGCAGGGGUGUCGAACAGCAAGGGAAUGGAGGAGAGAGGGACAACGUGUGGCGAGGUGCAGCUACUCCGAUGGCAUGCAAUGGCGAACGGUGACGUGAGGCGUGCGACGACGAGGCUCCUCGGCUGUCUUCUGGUCUGCUGAGGUCUUCGCACAGCAGGGAGAGGGAGAAGAAGCGGUGAUGGGAGAGAAGGAGAGAAAGGGGGAACCAGUUCUCUCUCUCUCUUUCUCUCUCUCUUUGGCCCCACAACCAUGGCCCACCACCAGCUGUCUUCCACCCAUAAUUUCUUGACCAAAAAUGCCCCUUCUAGAAGCUUUAAUAGGUCCAAAUGUUGGGUCCAAUGGGGUGUUACGAAUUUGGAAGGGAGAUAGUACAAUUUGGACUUCAAUUCCUCUUGAAAAAGUUUAAUCCGGCCUCUGAAAAUUCAACCAUCGAACCCUUGGUCAAAUUAAUAUUUUUCCUCUCCAGUAUACCCCACUUGCAUCCCAAUUUUGCAAUAAAAAACAAUCUCUAACAAUUUCUUAAUAAAGACAGCCCUAGGACGACUUUUUCCCAAAAAGUCUCGGGUUGCAGAAAAAUCUUUUGAGACUGAGACGAUACUCCUAAAAUUUAUUGUGACAUGACAAAAUCUUUAAUUUCUAAAAUCGGACUUGAAUUUACAGUUAAUUUCCAUUUGGCGCGUUUUUAGCGUGACCUAGACUACCGGUUAGUUUUUAGAAAUUUUUAGUACAAAUGACUCAUGGUCGAUUUUCUUUGAGCCAUAAUGAACCCACUCAACUCAAUGGCGACUCUUGGUUGUCGUGAAAAUCUCAAAGAUUCAAAUACGGUCAAAGGGUACCAAAACGACAGAAGAAUCAGUCUAGGGCCGGUCGACGAGAAUUUUCCAAUUUAGUAGUGUCACCCACCAUUAGCCACACAUCUCAGUCGAACAGACCCAUCUCUGAUCUCAAAUUGAUUUUUAAUUGUGCCGUAAUAGCCUCUAAAGAUGAGCAAGGUCAAGAAGUCGAUUCCUGGUUGAAUUCUCAAGUCUAUUGCAUUAAAAUUCCUUAAUGGCUAUCAUGAAUAGUCUAGUUAUCUCGAGAGUGAUCAGCUCUGAGAACAGCCUUAUAAGCGCGUCAAUGAAAUGCCUGAUUUAUUCAAUAGAAAAUAGGACUGAAAAUCUGGGAUGUCAUAUUAGUUAUCUCAAGAGUGAUCAGCUCUGAGAAUAACACUAUAGGCGCGUCGAUAAAAGGCCCGAUUUAUUUAAUUGAAAACAUAAUUGAAAUUCUAGGAUAUCACAACCGCCACGAGAGUGUUGCUAUGAUGCUACUUGUCACGAGUUAAGACUAGAGAUUGCGAACCGUGCGGCACUUAGAUCUUGAAAUUGCCUUGCUUGACCCAAACAAGUAGGCCCUACUUGCUCUCCCUUGCACUCUCAACUCAUGGAAAGAUGUGUUGUAGCAUGAUGAUACAUGCGUCAACAAAUAACAAUUUACAUAGUGAAAAACAAUUCGUCAAUAACCAAUUAAACAUUAGUAAAAUCAUAAUACUCUUUUAUAUCACUAGGUAAAAUUUUAGUGUUUGCAACAUACUAAUUAUCUUGCACAUUGUUAACUUAGAAAUUGAUAAAAAAAAUGUUGGUAAAUUAUCUAUAGUUUUGGUAAUUUAAGCUCUACUUGAUAACACUCCAAAUAGUGUAUGAUUCUAUUAUUUUAUUUCUAAAAAAAGAACAAAAAUCCGUUGCUAAAUUUUUUGUUAUCGAGAACAAAAAUAGUUUUUUUUCUUCUUUUUCUGAGAGUAGAUUUGGAAUAGAAUUAAGAAGUAGAAAAAAAUUGCUUCUUGUUCCUAGGAACAAUUCUAGAAUCAAACCCAAUUUAUUUUCCCUUUUUCUCUUUUCUUUCUUUCUUUUCUCCUUCUCUCUUCUUCUUCCUCCUAGUUGGUCAUCGACCAUUGCUAACCACCACUGCCGUCAAUAGUUGUUGGGGAUUGGUUGGGUGAGGUUUGGCGAGCUUGACGGAGGCUCGCCCGACCACUGUUAGCGUCAGCUUUGCAAAUUUAGAUGAGAUCGAGCUUGCUAGUGGCCAAGCUAGCCUUAACUAGCCCGGCAAGUGUUGAUUGGCCACCGGCGAGGCUCUCCUCCCCAAUGGCGCGAGGCUCGGACUCGCCAUGCCAAGGCAAGGUUGAUUUCACGCCGCUUGGGUGAGGUCAAGUCUUGCCAGUGGCUUGGUGUGGCUCACUUUAUAAGGACCCGGGCCUCCCAUUGUGUAAUAUUAUUCGCUUUGGACCUUCGGUCCUUACGGCUUUAAAAUGCGUUACAUAGGUUAGAGAACCUGAGCCUUAUAAACUAAGCCUAGGACUCCCCCUUAAGCGAUGUGGGACAGGAGACGCACCCCCUCCCUACGCAUGUCUGUGGACCGAGGUGUGGACACACUGCCAUCCCUCAUUCCCACGCAUCACCGCCUGGGCCGUCACAAUCUCCCCCCCCCUCUUGGCAGCACAGUGCCCUCGCUGUGGCUCCACAUGCGGUCAGGAAUCGACUCUGAUACCAUUUAUAAGGACUCGGGCCUCCCACUGUGUAAUAUUGUCCGCUUUGGGCCUUCGGCCCUCACGGCUUUAAAACGCGUUACACAGGUUAGAGAACCCAAGCCUUAUAAACUAGCCCAAGACUCCCCCUUUAAGAGAUGUUGGAUAGGAGACGUGCCCCCUCCCUACGCACGUCUGAGGACCGAGGCGCAGUCGCACUGCCAUCCCUCCUCCCCACGCACCGCCACCUGGGCCAUCACACUCUUCCCCCCUUUUGGGAGCACAACGCCCUCGUUGUGGCCCCACACGUGGUCGGGAGUCGGCUCUAAUACCAUUUAUAAGGACCCAGGCCUCCCACUGUGUAAUAUUGUCCGCUUUAGGCCUUCGGCCCUCACGGUUUUAAAACGCGUUACACAGGUUAGAGAACCUAAGCCUUAUAAACUAGCCCCAGACUCCCCCUAAGCGAUGUGGGAUAGGAGACGUGCCCACUCCCUACGCAUGUCCGGGGACCGAGGUGUGGAUGCAUCGCCAUCCCUCCUCCCCGUGCACCGUUGCCUAGGCCGUCACACACUUGGCCACCAAUGAGGCUUGGCCUUGCCCAGAACUACAAGGCCGAGGCUUGUGGCGGCCAAGCAAGCCUUCGGCGAGCUUGCCGAACCUCGUCCAGCCGAUAGCAGGCCACUGUAGUGGUUGGUGAUUGGCCACAAAGGAGAAAGAAGAAGACAAAAGGAAAAAGACAAAAGAAAAGUAUAAUAAAAAUAUUAAACAAUUAAAAGAAACAAAAAAAAAUUACGAGUUCUACCAAACGCAUUUCUAUUCUGGGAAUAAAAAUUUUGGGUAGUUUAUCAAGGGCCUUCAAACACUCAGAAAUUAUUCUCGGGAAUAGAAUAAAAAAGAAUUAUUCUCGACAAUAGAAUAAUUACCAAAUGCACCCUUACUGACUAAACUAGUAAAGGCCUAUUUGUUAAAAUGUGUUUUUGUUCCCAGGAACACAAAUUUUUGUUUUUUUGUUCCUGGGAACAAAAAAGGAAUAGAAAUACAUUUGUUUGCGUUUUUGUUCCCAGAAACACGUCUGGAACGGAAACAAGAAACAAAAAAAGUUGUUUCUUGUUUCUGAAACAAAAUUUAGGAACACUUUUUCUCUCUUCCAUUUUCUUCUCUCUUUUUUCUUCUUCUUUUCUUCUUCUUUUUUCUUUCUUUUUUCUUUGGCCGGUCGCCGGCCUCGGCCAUGGUCGGCAACCGGCCGUCGAGGGCCGGCGACCUCGCUGGAGCGUUGUCGGCCGCUGGGUGAGCUCGAGCUCACCCAGCCAAGGCAAGGCCGACCUCGUGCCGGGCUGGGCAAACUCGAUCUCGCCCAAAUCCACUGGGCGAGUUCGGCCUCACCCAACUACGGCGAGGCUCGGCCUCGCCGGGGGCCGGAGAGCCUCACCGUGGUUGGGCGAGGCCACCGGCCCUCGUCGGCCGGUCACCGGCCAAAAGAAGAAAAAAGAAAAAAGAAAAAAGAAAAAAAGAAAAAAAAGAAAGAAAAUAGAAAAAAUAAAAUAAAAAUAUUAAAAAAUAAAAAAAAUAAAAAUUAUAUAAAUUUACUAAACGUGUUUCUAUUCUUUUUAUAUUUCUUGAACAGAUUUACCAAACGCGUUUUUUUGUUAAAAAAUUGUUCCCUGAAGCAAAAAUACUUUUUUCUAUUUCUGUUCCUAAAAACAAUUUUUAAACAGAAAUGUUGUUACCAAACGCACCCUAAAAUGCCAAAGAAAUCACUACCUUAUUGAUUUAAUAUAAUUCUGAUAAUUUCUAGUAGGUAGGCAUAUUAUUAAAAUUUCAAAAAAGUUGGUAAUUUACUAAUUUAUUUAAAUGUUUGUAAAUAAUUUUGUAGUCUGGUACUUUAUUGAAAACACUUGAACAAUGUAAAAGGAAUUGACAGUUUAUAACUAACAAUAAUAUUAUCAUAAGUUUACCAACUUGGGAAAUUAAUUAAAUUAGGAGAUUUUUCAAAUUUUUCCUUAACAGGACCCCAAAACUCGUAUCGAAAGCUGGCCAACUUUGGCCUUUCCUGACUUCGUUUCGUGGGCUCCAUCUUUAGUUUUUUUCUGUUUUUUACUCAUCAACCUAUCGCAUUUGAUUAUAUGGUCUUCCUUCUGAGAAACUACAACUUUCUGUUUCGACCAUUUUUUCAUUGACCCACGGCAUUUCAUUGAUUUUCCUAUUCGUUGCUCAAUUAUUUCCUUCAUGACGUAUUGAUGCGGCUUCUUUCUCUGUUAAGACCAUUGGGUGAGAAAGUGAGUAAAAAAAUAUAUUAUUUGAGCAAAACGAGCAAUGAAUAUAAAAACGCAAUGGUAUAUGGAAUGAGGUAAAUAUAUGAUUCAUAAAAGGGUGAUUCCUUGACUUCCGCGCAUGUCAUGCCAUAACCACCGUUCUUUCGACCCUCCCGUAAGGGGCCUGCAAGUGGAUGCACAAUAGUUGAUAUAAAUAAUAUAAGACGGGCAGAUGGGAGCGGCGACGAGGGUAGAGAGGGAAUAAGGUUUGAUUCCUUGGCUUCCGCCCAUGGGACCAGCGACUGGAUGCGCGUUUGCUAACUUUAUUUAGCCACAUCUUUGGUUUGUUUGUCUUUCUCAUCGAUCAAUAGGAUUUAAUUUUAUGGUCUUCUUCAUAAAAAAUUACUGCUUUCUGGUAUAACCAUUUUCUCGUAGAACCAUCAGCAUUUGAUUGGUUUUUGUAUUACUACUCCAUUAUUUUCUUAUAACGUGUUAACACGGCCUUUUUCUUUGUUAAGAAGAUUUGCUAAGCUGAGCAAACUCCUGCUAUGGCAAGCUCAGAUGAAGGAAUGUCAUCGGGAUUCGAGUACCAAGUGUUUUUAAGCUUCAAAAGAUCUGACACUUGCCAUGGAUUCACCGACUUCCUCUUCCAUAGCUUGAUUGAUGCUGGAAUCUAUGUUUUCCAAAACAACAAAGAGCUCCGUGUGGGUGAAAGGAUCAAUGGAUUGCUUCAACAAGUGAUCAACAACUCCAAGAUCUAUAUACCCAUCUUCUCUCAGAAUUAUGCUUCAAGCCAACAGUGUCUUGGCGAGCUCACACAGAUCUUCUCAAACACCUCAAACUCAAAAGAUUAUAAAGAGAUUUUACCUAUUUAUUUUGGUGUGGAACCUAAUGAUGUUAGGUUGAAAACUGUACUGUAUAGUGAUGCCAUCCUAAGUUUGCAGCGCGAGAAGGAGUUGAGUAAUGAGCAAGUGGAUAUCUGGAGAAAGGCUCUCAUGGAGGUUGGUGCGAUAAAGGGGUGGGAAGUGAAGAAGUACAAUGGGUAAGAUAGCUACUUUCAAGAUGCUUGUUUCCCAAAUGAUAUUAACACUUGAUCAUAGGCGAAAAAAUUCCGGCAUGACUGUGACCUGGCUUUUAUUAUAGAAAUACUAAAUGAUAAUGGGCAAACGAUUAUCUACGUUUGUCAAAAAAAUAAUAAUUUGAAACUGCUUCAUAAGGUCGUCUUAUAUGAUGGGUGAAUAAUGACAUUAAUAGCUAAGUAGGUAAAUUAUCAUUUGAUUGUGGGCAGUGGGAGGAAAAAGAAUGGGAUAAUGAAAUGCCGUCCUUAUAUAUAUAUCUAAUCCUUUCAUCUUUCAAUACACUAAACAUUUCUCCCCCUGAACGCACCAUGUCAGGUGCUUGAAUUGCAUCACUUCUAGCUAGGUAGUCGUGAGUUCACAUUUUUUCGACCACUAAAAUGGUUUUCCAUUGUGCCAGCCAUGGCGAAAUAAUCAAAUUAAUAGCUGAGGAGGUCACGGAAAAGCUAAAAGUAAAACAUCGACUUAUGAGUAAACAUUUAGUUGGUGUUGAUGAUCAUGUGGUAUCAGUAUUCCAAUUGUUAGACAUCGAUUCCGAUGACGUACGGCUCAUUAAAAUUUAUGGCAUGGGGGGCAUCGGUAAAACAACUCUUGCCAAAGUCAUCUUCAAUGAAGUCUGUAGUCAUUUUGGAGAGUAUUCUUAUUUCCUUGAAGAUAUUCGAGAGAAGUCAUCAAGAGCUAAUGGCUUAAUUGAGUUGCAAAAGAAGUUCUUGGACAAAAUCGACUAUCGUGCAGGAACAAGUAGCAUCGAUGAAAUUGAUCAUGGAGUGAAGAGGAUUGAAGAAGCACUACACAAUAAGAAAGUCCUCUUGGUACUUGAUGAUGUUGAUAGGAGCGAACAAGUGGUGAAAUUAGUUGGAAACACUUUGUAUCCAGGAUCUAGAAUAUUGAUUACAACUAGAAAUAAAGAUGUUUUGCUAAUUAAUAGUCUAAAGUAUUUUGUUUUAGACUAUGAAAUGGAGAUGAUGAGAGAUAAUGACGCACUUCAGCUCUUCAUUCGGCAUGCAUUUAAUAUAGACUCUCAUCUGGAUUACGACGUUGCAAGGGAAAUCAUAUACACUAUUGGGAGACUUCCGUUGGUCCUUGAAGUAAUUGGUUCAUUCCUUCAUGGCAAAAAGCAAGAACUAUGUACAGAGACAUUGGACAAGUUGAGAAGAGCACCUCCUGAAGAUGUUUUUGAAAAGUUAAAGAUUAGUUAUGAUGCCUUAAGUUAUGAGCACCAACAAAUUUUCCUCGAUAUUGCAUGUUUUUUCAUUGGAGAGGAUACAACGAAUGCAAUUCACAUGUGGAGAGAUUGUAGGUUCUUCCCGGUUACUGGAGUUGAUGUCCUUCGAAACAUGCGUUUGGUAGAAAUUAGGGAGAACAAUGAGUUUUGGAUGCAUGAUCAACUUAGAGAUUUUGGAAGAGAAAUAGUUCGUCGAGAAAAUCCAAUAAAUCCUGGAAAACGGAGUAGGAUAUGGAUUUGGGAGGAGGUCCUUCAUGUACUAAAUACGGAGAAGGUAAAUCACUUCUAAAGAAAACUAGGAUGCUCUAUUAUCUUCUUAUUUUUGUAUAUUCAUUUUCCUGUACUAAAUAGACCGUUGAUAUCACUCAUUUCUCUUUUUCAUUUGCAGAUCAACAAGAAGGUUGAAGCACUAUACUUUGAGAGAAAUCCACUAAAUUCCCAUAACAUCAUUGUUCAAAUUAAAGAGAUUGGAAGGUUUGAACAUCUAAGGUUCCUUAAAUUACUUGGAGGAACCUUUGCAGGCGACUUAGCAACUUGUCUUCCCAAACUAAGAUGGUUUUCUUGGUAUUUUCCUCCUCGUAUGGAUGAAAGGACAAACAUGUACCUAAAUAAUAUUGUUGUUCUUGAAUAUACAGGUGUUGACUCAUUAGAUGAUUUGAGAUUACGGGACAUAAUCAAGGUGUGUAUUAUGCUUAUUUCUAUUCUAUAUACUUUGAAAGUAAUAAUUGGUUGUUUACUUAUUGAAUGUUGCAUUCAUUUUGACAGAGGGCAAGAAAAUUGAAAGUUCUCUAUCUUAAAAGUUGUCACGGUAUAAUGAGAACACCAGACUUCUUUGGAUGCCCGAAUUUAGAGAGGCUUAAUUUUGAAGAUUGCUCCAAUUUGAAGAGAAUUGAUGGUUCUAUUGGGAACUUGAAGUAUCUGACUGACCUAAAGAUUGAUAGGUGCUUUUGUCUUAAAGAUUUGCCUGAGGAAAUCGGGGACCUAGAGAAUUUGAAAAACUUCUUUGUACAACGGUGUAAAGUGAAGAAACUCCUAGAUUCCAUAUGGAAGUUGAAAUCACUAAGGGAAUUGCACUUUUCAAGUUGCUUUCUUCCAUUAGUUUCAGCAGAUUUAUGGGAGUUACCUAGUGCUAUUGGAAUGCUUCCGAAUCUAGAAGUGCUUCUAGUUAAUAUUCCCAAUUUAAAAGGUGAACUUCCUUCUGGGAUUGAAGUUUUGCCCAUUCUAAGAAUUCUAAAUCUAUCAAAUACUCAGAUCAGCGAAGUUCCAAAGACAAUCAGCAUGCUUCCUCACUUGCAAAAGUUGGAGUUGAUGGCAUGUCAUAAUAUUCAAGAGUUGCCAGCGCUCCCAACAAGUUUAAACAAUCUAAGAAUGUCAUCUGCAUCAUUGAGGGCAAUCCCGGAUCUCUCGUACUUGACUAAUUUGGUUCAGUUGGAUCUAAUGAUAGUGGAUGAGGAGGAGAUAAACUUUAUCUCUAUUAGUGAUGGUGGAUUGGGAAGUUGAGAGUGCUAGUAUGAACAAAAUAAAGGAGUUAGGGAAGAGAAUAAGAACACAGAAAUUAUAGUGGUUCGGCUUAAUCCAAGCCUACGUCCACUCUCCCACGAUAACAGCCUUCUUGGCUGGAUUCCACUAUGCAAUCAAUCAAGAGAUUACAAUUCCGAGUGCAAACACUUAGUAGAUCACACUAUCUCACUAAGUCACUCUCUUGGUAUUUCUCUCACGAUUACAAACGUUUAAGCUCUCAAGAGACAAGUAUAUGAUCUAAAGUCGCUUAGACUUUGGAAUUAUAAAUUCUACGCUCCGUCUCUUACUUGCUCAUCGGUCCAUGAUCUCCUUAAAUACUCCUCCACUUCCAAACUACCGUUGGACAGCAUCCCGGAGAAUCGUCUUCCAAUAUACCCAUUGGACAGCUCUGUAUCUUAGAAGAUUUGGUAGCCGUUGAGUGACAAAGGUAAAAUCCCAAAUUGAUUCCGAUCGCCCAUACAAACGAAAUCUUGGUUUCCAUAAGUAAAGCUUCUUCGUAUAGAAAGAUCUUGUCUUCAUCAUCCAAUUGUCAAUCAAUUAGAUUGAAUCAAUCAAAUCAAUCUUGAUGUGGAAUCCAAACCAGAUCACUAGCCGUUGUAUGAUUGGGCUUGAGUUACAAUUCAUUGAAUCUGGAUGUAAAGUCUGAGUCUUGAGACUUUACGAUAUGAGUCUUGAGACUUUACAACCUGGGUCUUUAGACUUUAAGGUCUGUACCCAGUUCAGCUUCAGCAUAGAGUCUAUCUUCUGGUUCAGCUUCAGCAUAGAGUCUGUCUUCUGGUUCAUCAUUCACGUUCAAUAUGGAAUUAGUCAGAGUUGACAGACUUCUAAGGUAGAACAGACUUUGAUACUAAAGUCUGGCGGUCUUCAGACUUUGAGUCUUGAGUCUGGCAGUCUUCAGACUUUGAGUCUCGAGUCUGGCAGUCUUCAGACUUUGAGUCUUGAGUCUGGCAGUCUUCAGACUUUGAUAAUAUCCUUUACAUGUUAUAUUAUCUGCAUGGUCUAUUACUCAACCAUCAAACAUGUUAGUAGCCUUUGAUUUAUUUUGUCAUCUUCAAAACAUCAUAAGGGAUUUCCCUAACAAUCUCCCCCUUUUUGAUGAUGACAAAACAAUCUCUGAAUAUGCAGAUUUGUAAACAUGCUUUUAAACAUUUAAAUCAAAGGAUAUCAGAAGAUAACAAAUAGAUUGAGCAUAAUAAUAUUUAGAAAAUAAUCGCAGCUCAAUAUUAUGCAAUAAAUAAUAUCAACCAAUCAGCACAUAUGCAUAUUCAUAUCUUCUCCCCCUUUUUGUCAUAAUCAAAAAGCGAUAAUAAUGGAUUCACGUAGAGAAUGAUAACAAAUAUCUUGCAUGAAUCACAAUUUCCAAAAAUCAGCUUUUAUCGAAUAUUAAAGAUAUGCAAUAUAGCUCACUUCGAUUAUAUCAGCAAAUAUCCAAUAAAAAUCACGGAUGCAUCAUAAAAUUCACGUACCAUUUUUGUCAUAAUAAAAUGAUAAUAUCAAUAUGAGAUUUGUUAAUGACAAAAGGUAAUAAGAGAUGCACUAACCGGAUUUUGUAGAAUAAAUUCUGACACAAUUACCUUUCCUUCCAUCCAUAAUAAGAUCACGAUCAAUCAAAAAAGAUUUUUCCAUAAUUGAUCAAAGCUCCCCCUCAAUUUGUUGCCUUUUUGAGAUGAUCACGAUUCUUUUCCUUUUCUUUUGGAUUCGAUUUCUCCCCCUUGAUUUCCUCAUCGGAUUCUGAGUCUUGUUCUGAAUCAGACUCUGAUUCUGAGUCUCUGUCUGAGUUAGACUCAGAUUCUGAAUGUUCCAUCAAGCAUAAAUUUUCUUGCUCAUCAUCUUCUUCUUUUUUGUUCUUUUCUGGCCAUUCUGCUUGUAUUUUCUUCCAUCGAAAUAUGGUGGCCUUGUGUUGCUUUGCCCUUCCAUAAGACCUGGUGCCAACAUACUAGCCAUAAAGAAUCUUUAGCUCAAAAGUAAAAACACUUUUAUAAACCGAGCACUUGGCUCUGAUACCAAUUGAGAGUGCUAGUAUGAACAAAAUAAAGGAGUUAGGGAAGAGAAUAAGAACACAGAAAUUAUAGUGGUUCGGCUUAAUCCAAGCCUACGUCCACUCUCCCACGAUAACAGCCUUCUUGGCUGGAUUCCACUAUGUAAUCAACAAGAGAUUACAACUCCGAGUACAAACACUUAGUAGAUCACACUAUCUCACUAAGUCACUCUCUUGGUAUUUCUCUCACGAUUACAAACGUUUAAGCUCUCAAGAGACAAGUAUAUGAUCUAAAGUCGCUUAGACUUUGGAAUUAUAAAUUCUACGCUCCGUCUCUUACUUGCUCAUCGGUCCAUGAUCUCCUUAAAUACUCCUCCACUUCCAAACUACCGUUGGACAGCAUCCCGGAGAAUCGUCUUCCAAUAUACCCAUUGGACAGCUCUGUAUCUUAGAAGAUUUGGUAGCCGUUGAGUGACAAAGGUAAAAUCCCAAAUUGAUUCCGAUCGCCCAUACAAACAAAAUCUUGGUUUCCAUAAGUAAAGCUUCUUCGUAUAGAAAGUUCUUGUCUUCAACAUCCAAUUGUCAAUCAAUUAGAUUGAAUCAAUCAAAUCAAUCUUGAUGUGGAAUCCAAACCAGAUCACUAGCCGUUGUAUGAUUGGGCUUGAGUUACAAUUCAUUGAAUCUGGAUGUAAAGUCUGAGUCUUGAGACUUUACGAUAUGAGUCUUGAGACUUUACAACCUGGGUCUUUAGACUUUAAGGUCUGUACCCAGUUCAGCUUCAGCAUAGAGUCUAUCUUCUGGUUCAGCUUCAGCAUAGAGUCUGUCUUCUGGUUCAUCAUUCACGUUCAAUAUGGAAUUAGUCAGAGUUGACAGACUUCUAAGGUAGAACAGACUUUGAUACUAAAGUCUGGCGGUCUUCAGACUUUGAGUCUUGAGUCUGGCAGUCUUCAGACUUUGAGUCUCGAGUCUGGCAGUCUUCAGACUUUGAGUCUUGAGUCUGGCAGUCUUCAGACUUUGAUAAUAUCCUUUACAUGUUAUAUUAUCUGCAUGGUCUAUUACUCAACCAUCAAACAUGUUAGUAGCCUUUGAUUUAUUUUGUCAUCUUCAAAACAUCAUAAGGGAUUUCCCUAACAGAAGUUAUUCAAAUUGACUACUUGAGCUUGCGACAUCACAAUGUCCGUACUCCAACUGAGCUGGCUUCCCUUCUCUGCUAACCCAACUCAAUUUGUUUGGAUUAGACCUGCAAACCUUUCCGCAACUAUCCUUUCUCUGCAGAAGCUAUACCUUAAUAAUUUCAAUCCAAUUGUGUCACUCUCUCUGAACCUGGGCAAUUUGUCAUGUUUAGCCAUCUCUCGGUUUCCAAUGCAAGAAUCUCAGCUUUUGGGCUUCAAGUACCCCCCGAGAGAUUUAGGCUAUCCAGCACGAGAAAGGCGGAAGAUGUCCAGGUGAGAUAUUGCCCAAAGCUAAUUGAGAUCCAAUUUUCUAGGGUGUUCAAAUCACUAGAGGCAUUGUCUAUUGAAUUGUGUGACUCCUUCGGAAGGUGGGGGAAACAGGCAUGAUAAUAAUGAGUCUUCUAAUGAUCAUUAGUUGUGUAUGGCAGGAGACUAAUCCUUCGUUUGAGAGUCUUAUAUAAGUUGCAGAUUCUCACACCUCUGGGAAACAGGGUACGUCGGAAUCAUGGGAACACUACAACCUGUGGAAAUCUGUCAUGUGCAAAGNNNNNNNNNNNNNNNNNNNNNNNNNNNNNNNNNNNNNNNNNNNNNNNNNNNNNNNNNNNNNNNNNNNNNNNNNNNNNNNNNNNNNNNNNNNNNNNNNNNNUUCCAGAAAGAUUUCUCCAACAAAAUCAAUGCCAGAUACAUAUGUCUGUUGCAGGGAAAGACUAUUGGGGCUCCUUUUGAACCUUGCAAGGGCCAUAAGGUGACUCUCUCUCUCUCUCUCUCUCUCUCUCUCUCUCUCUCUCUCUCUCUCUCUCUCUCUCUCUCUCUCUCUCUCUCUCUCUCUCUCUCUCUCUCUCUCUCUCUCUCUCUCUCUCUCGUAAGGUUAACAUUUGAUAAACUGAAAAGAGAGUAAGUAUUUCAGUUUACUUAUUGUUAUCAGAUCAAUAAAGAUGUCACCGACAACUAAAGAUGCAUUCAAAUUGAUAUAAAUUUUGGCAUACCUGCAAGUAGUAUUUUCCCAAUUUUGCUUUCUCAUUAUACUUUUUUCCGUUUCCCGCUCCCUUUUUUUUCAUUUUUCUUUCCUUUCUGUCCAUGAGAAAGUUUCAAAAUAGAUUGAUAUCAAAAUAAGCGGAAGAACUUCAUUAAUCCAGAAGAAUUGUCAUUGUUCAGUUCUUAUUAUUUAACAGGUGUCAUUUGUGUUAUAUACCUCUUUUCAAGUGGAGUCCAUCCGAGCUUCGUUCAUCUUCGCUCUUCAUCUUUUGAUUGGUAGGAAUUCCGUUUUCCUUAAGUGCUUCAAGUUCACUCCAAGGAUUCAUCGUUUCCCAAGCACAUGAUCAUGGUUUAAAGCCGAGGGCGUUGGUUUGCCGUGCCCCAGCGGGUGCGCCGCAAAUUCAUUAUCUCAGUAUUGGUUUGGAUAGCCUGGAUUUGAGGCUUGGUGACGUUGCUUAGUUUCUCCGAAUCAUGUAUUUGUUCUUGAUGGUCUGAGUCUUAGUGUGAAGAAGUUGUUUGUUUCCAUUAAGCUUAGGUGGGUAUUUAUAUACCCAAGAGUAUAUUCUAGAAGAUUUACUUGCAAUAAAGGAAAUAUAUUCGAACUUCUAAAGAUAAGAUUCUAAAACUUCCAAAUCUUUUCCAAAUCUUAUAGACGUAUAUUUGUUCAAUAGCCUCUAUUUUCCUUAAUGACCCGUGGACAGGUUGGGAUUGCCGGGGCUACUUUAGAGCCAUUUUUGCACUGAAAAGAGAGGUGAGCGCACGCUGUUCAGGUUGAGUAGUGGCUGGCAAGCGGGCCAUUGACUCCUGUCCCGGCUUUAAGAAGGGCUCCGAGUAAUCCCAAUCCCCACUUUUGCAAGUUAGCAUCAUUUCCGGGUCGUUUUGCAUGCUCAUAAUAUCUUUUAUUCAAGUUCUAGCAAUGUAUUUAGUUUAUUGCUCAUUUGUACAUAUUUAGCUUAGUUUAGAUCCUGAAUUAUGUUUUUCAUUAAAAAAAGGAGAAGGAUAAAAAAGAUUUUAAAAAAAUGCAUUUAAACAAAAAUUGCAUCGUUGGACUUCUUUUAAUUUAGCUCAGUUUCAUUCUAUUUAGUUUAAUAUUUGUCGCGUCAUCAACUAGUUGAGGAAAUUUGCAUUCCUUUGUUGCGGAUGGACUCCACUUAAGCUCACUCACGGCUUCUUUCUCUCUAGGUUACGGCAAAAGAGCAAGAGGAAGAAGUAGAAAGCGAAGCUCUCAAGUUUUCUCUAUUUCACUCUACGGAAGUCACGGCCGAAUGGAGGAGAUGAAGUGGAGUCUCCGAACCCCUAUACACUCUUCCUUUUGCCCCCUUUAUAGAGCCACGGUUGAACCUGCUGCUUUCCCUCUCUUUCCCUUGCAAUUUUUCACAUUAAUUAUUCCGGUUUUCCUCUGCAAUUUGCAGCAGUCCUUAUUAGGUCAUUUCUCUUUUGGAUGAUCUCUUCUAGCUGUUGAAAUGCUUCAGCUUUUUCUUGUACAAAUCUGUCGCGACCCUUUGAAAGCAGUCCUGAUGCAUUUGUUUUUGGAAAAAGAAAAGGGGGGGGGGGUGGUUUAGAUUUAGGGGUAAUGUUGAGCAGAGGUAAACGGCCCUGAUAUUUGAGAUGCUCUCCCUCAUUCAUCCCAAAUCUUUAUCUCGUGCGACGUUGGGAAGCUCUUUUGAUUUGAUUUAUCUAUAAAUUCUGUUUUAUCUUGAAAUCACUACUAACCUAGUUAUCUAAAUAGUGUCAUUUCGAUACCUGAAAUUGAUUGUGUUAACUAGGUGUCUCGAGCGAUCUUUGUCAAAUUAUGAGUCCUAAAGUCCCUUUUCACUAAAUAUCCAUGUAGGAUUGUUCAUUUGAUCUUGAUUCUAGAGUGAAUUCAACUGCACGAAUGAAAAUAAACGAACCACAACACGAAAGCAAUGUAAAGAAAUCAAAGCACUGCAUUCAAGUAAUAAUAGACAAGUAAAAAUAAAGUGCGGAAAGUAACCGGAUACAAGUCAUACGAAGAAUAUUACAUGGCUUUGUUUUAAACCCCGAGUCAUGAUCCCCAUGAGCUUGACUCGUACCAGUCGAGUAAAGAAUAUGCAAGGCCAUACUAAUAAGUCUGGAGACAUAACCCCGUGAGCUAAUUCUUAGCGUCGAAAUCAAAGUCUAAUAUCAAAAAUCGAGUCUCUAUAACUCGUUGAUAGGAUAUGGAUCAUACGGACGGUAUUUGAUGGGCAGAUCCUUGUGUCAAUUCAAAGAACCGGUUUUCCUUUUAUUGCGAUCCUAAGUCUAAGCUAACCUAAAACAUUACUACUUUGCUUGAAGAGGUUUUUCUAAACUAUGGAACUAGCCUUAAAUGAAUUUAUUCAAACUAAACCUACCUCUCAAAUUAUUCAAACUACAAUACUAAAUAUAAGCCUAAAUAAAAAUUUAUAAUACAAACUAUGAAAGUAAUCUUAAGCUUAAUGGAAUCUAACGACCUCUCAAAACUCUUCUGAAUUGAAGCCACGGUUUUCCCACCAUCAGAUGUCAGCCGUUUAUGAUCCACAUUCAACAAAAUCAUGCAAUUAAACGUUGAAAAGUACAACACACACUGAGCAAGUCACACUCAUCAAUCAAAGCAAGCAAAUGGAAUCAAUUCACACUUAAAGAAAAUUCAAAGAUAAAUCCCAUGUUUUUCUUUAAACUGAUCAUUAAAUGUGUUCGAAGAUAUGCGAUAUCAGCCCAAGAUUACGUGUGAUUGCUGCACCCCACGAAAAAACCGUCAUAUCCUGGAGACAGCGAGGGCACUCUUGGUGGGUGGGCAGGUUCCAAAUCGAUUUUGGCAUGCGGCUAUGGUUAUUGCCGUGCAUCUGAUAAAUCACAUGCCCCCCUGCGUGUUAGCAUUCCAGACCCCGCUCUAGGCUCUUUCGACACAUGUCUCACUUCUCUCAGUCUUUACUUUACCUCCCAAGGCGUUUGGGUGUGUGGCUUACGUCCACUUGCAUAAGAAUCAGCAAACAAAGCUCGACCCUUGCAUGUCCCAAAAAAAAAAAAAAAAAAAACCUCGACCCUUGCACUGUCAAGUGUGUUUUUCUUGGCUAUGGAACCCACCAAAAGGGAUAUUGCCACUCCAAUUCGGACACAAAGAAAAAUCAUGUGACCAUGGAUGUCACAUUUGUUGAAUCUGAUUUCUUCUUUCCUGCCACCAAUAUUACCUUUCAGGAGGAGAUCCAUGGUGAAAGGGUAAACUGGUGGGAAGGUGGCAUGAUGGCAGGGGUUAGCGUUACAUCUGACUCUCGGAUAGUAGGUUUGGCCGUGGACGAGAAAACCAGCAGCAACUUCUUAAUGAAGAUGACCAGCAGAGUAUUUUGCUACAAGAGACAUAAGAACAACCUCAAGAACAUCCCUCUCUUCCUCAAAAUAUCCCCUCUUUAGUACCUGACCAUUUUCCUGAUGAUACUCUUGAGGUAAGCUCUCCCUAUUAUACAUGAUUCUCUUGUUGAUAUUCAUGAGGUUGUUGAUUAUAAAUUACCUGAAAGACAUAAUCGAGGCAAGGCUCCUAAUCGGUACUCAUCAAAUGCAGAGAAACGAAGGUCAUAGUACGCGAUUACCAAUUAUGUUUUGAAAAGGAGAUUGUCGAAACAUUUGAAGGCGUUUGUGGCCAAUGUUUCUACAAUUCAAGUUCCUAAUGGAGUACAAGAAGCCUUGAGGGAUCCCAAGUGGGUUCAAGCAAUGAAAGAUGAGAUGGAAGCCUUGCAAAAAAAUAAGACCUGGAGACUGGUAGAGUUGCCGAAGAGGAAGAAGGCAGUAGGGUGCAAGUGGGUCUUCACCAUCAAAUAUAAAGCAGAUGUGUCAGUUGAGAGGUACAAGGCACGACUGGUAGUAAAGGGAUAUACCCAGACCUAUGGUGUAAACUACCAUGAAACAUUCUCCCUAGUUGCGAAGCUGGAUACCAUACGGGUUUUGAUGUCAUUUGCAGCAAACUUGGACUAGCCUUUGCACCAAUUUGAUAUGAAGAACGCGUUUCUUCAUGGAGAUCUAUAGGAAGAAAUAUACAUGGAAGUCCCAUUGGGUAUGCGUGUGCUGAUUAGUCAAAUGUGGUAUGCAAACUCCAACGGUCAUUAUAUGGGUUAAAGCAAGCACCCCGCACAUGAUUUGGUCGGUUUAGCUCAACGAUGAAGAGGUAUGGAUACACUUAAAGUAAUUCUGAUCAUACAUUACCCUUGAAGUGUAGACAUGACAAAGUUAUAGUAUUGAUCAUAUACAUGGAUGAUAUGAUCAUCACAGGGGAUGAUCUAGAAGAAAUUGUAGACCUUCAAGGGUAGCUAGGCAAUGAGUUUGAGAUGAAAAUUUGGGAGGCCUUAAAUAUUUCUUGAGAAUUGAAGUAGCCAGGUCGAAGAAAGGUAUUUUCUUGUUUCAUCAAAAGUAUGUGUUAGAUUUAUUAGCUGAGGUUGGAAUCUUAGAGUGUCUCGAAGAGUUUCUUGAUUAGGUGCCUACCAAUAAAGAUUAAUACCAAAGGUUAGUAGGGAGACUGAUUUAUUUGUCACACAUUCGUCCCGAUAUUGCAUAUGCUAUAAUUGUCGCGAGCCAAUUUAUGCAUACUUCGAGUGAAGAACAUAUGAAUGCUAUGGUUCGGAUUCUGCGCUAUUUAAAGUCAACUUUAGGAAAAUGGUUGUUCUUUGCGAAGAACAGUCACCUUGAGGUAAAGGGAUUUACAGAUGCGGAUUGGGUAGGUAGUAUCUCUGAUAGAUAGUCUAUGUCAGGCUAUUUCAUAUUUGUGGGAGGAAACUUGGUAACAUGAAGGAGCAAGAAGCAAGAAGUUGUAGCCUUGUCAAGUGCUGAAGCAAAAUUCCGAGGGGUAGCUAAAAGUCUAUGUGAGCUACUAUGGCUAAAAAGAUUCAUAACAGAACUUGGUUUCCCACUUAAAUUCGAGGUGAGACUAUUUUGUGAUGAUAAAGUUGCGAUUAUAAUUUCUCAUAAUCCAGUUCAAUAUGACCAUACUAAGCAUGUUGAGGUGGAUAGACAUUUUGUCAAGUAGAACUUAGAUGCUAAGAUGAUAAAAGUUUCCAUUUGUCAGAUUUGAAGAUCAGUUGGAGGAUGUUCUUACGAAGGCCUUGUCAAGUCGAGCUUUUCACAGCUCACUUGUCAAGCUGGGUAUCAAAGAAAUCUUCUCACCAACUUGAGGGGGAGUAUUGGAAGAUAUGCAAUAUCAGUCCAAGAUUGCAGUUGACUAAAUGAAUCAAAUUUGGGAUUGGAUUUGAUUCUUUAGAUUGGUCUAGAAUAUUUUCUUUCUAUUUAUUAUUCAUAUUUUGUAUUAUAUAAAGAGCUUUGUACAUUUUUCAUUUCUUCGUUCUUCCUUCUCCUCCCUAUUUUCUGACAAAAUGAUUUCACAUUUUAAUGAAUUAACCAUGGAUUUGCAUCUUUAGACGUCCUUUUUGAUUCAUUAGUUGACAAACUUUCGAGACAAGGACAACAAAAACCUGAAAUUACCAAAAUGCCCCGGCUGGUCAAAUUUUCCCCUGUAUUUUGGACCAUUACUUUUGUCCCUUUAUUUCACCUACCAAACCAACAUAGAAAAUUAUGAAAUUUCACUCAUUGGAAAUAGCGGGACGUCUCCUCAAACUUUCUAGUUCAGCAUUUCUUUCAGAUUUGGCCCACAUUUUUUAUGUAAUUACAGAAAUAGCUCAACAAGUACAGAUUGAUUCUGAAAUUUGCCCUGUGCGUGAGUCGGUACAUUGGAAAAUCAUUUGACCUGGAAAAUCGAUCCAAAAAAUUAUGAAAUUCAUCUUGUUUGAAAGACUAAGAAAUCCUAUAAAAAAAUUUUAGUUUAUGACUUUUCUAUAAUUUUAUGUUAAGGCCUUCUAAUUUCCAAAGUACCAAGACAUGUUCAUGAGGACUCUAACAUCAGACUUUCCGAUCAGUUUUCCGGGAUUUAAAUCUAGAUUUCAAGGUGAUUUAACCUAGCAAACAAUGUCCAAAUUUUUCUCACGAUCCAUCAAAUUGAAGCUCAAGAUGUCUUCUUCAAUUCAUUAUUUGAUAAUUUUCUAUGAUUCUGCCAUUAACUAGGUUAAAUCACCUAAUUAACAGGACUGACUAGUGGACUCCGAACCUGGAAAAUUCCUGACAUGCAUUCAAUCAAUCUAUGAGCAUUCAAUCAAUCAAUGAGCGUUCUUAGCCUAACAACCUACUCAAUUGGCUGGAGAUUACUUCACCAACCAAAUUCGCUCUGGGGUUGGAUCCUCAAGGGGUUAUUUUUUCAUUCCAAGGAUUUCGAAUCAGCAGAACAAGGCUCACAUCCUUCCUGGGGCUGGAGAAGUCUUAUUAUUGGGUGGGACGCCAUCUUACCAAAUGUAAGAUGGUCUGUGGGAGAUGGACAAUCAAUUAAUAUCAUGGAGCAUUGCUGGUUACCAAGUGGUAAAAUUGGAGGACCAGCAGCUAGAGAUGAGCCCAGGAUGGUGGCUGAUCUUAUCGAUCCCGUCCACCAUACAUGGAAUACCCACCUAAUAACAGAGAUGUUCGACAACUUUAUUGUCGACCAAAUACUGAGGAUCCCAAUCAGACCCCUCCACACAACUGAUCAACUCAUUUGGACAGCAACAUCAACGGGGCAUUAUUCGGUCAAAAGCAAUUAUAAAGCACUGGUAAAGACAGCAAGCAAACCAGAUGGCAAUCAGGCCUCAACUUCAUACCAAACUCCUACUGAACUAUGGCACAAAAUAUGGAAAAUGCAUACCACACCGAAAAUUCGGAUAUUUCUGUGGUCAGCCUGCCAAAACACCCUAGCUACUAAAGCAAACUUAUAUCACAAACAUAUCAUCUCAACCCCUAUGUGUACUCUUUGCAAUCAGAACAAGCCAGAAACCGUCGAACAUCUCUUCUUUUAUUGUCCAUGGACACACCCCCAACUAAACCUACUCAAUUGGCUUCGAAACACUCUUAUCCAAUAUUAUUCAGCAUACAUCAGUAUAAUCAAGUAUUUUGAAGUAAAAAUCACAUGGAUCUGGAAUCAUCAUCUGUACAUACCGGUUAUCAAUUAUAAACAGAUAUGAACCUGCAUCAUCAACUCACCACCAAAUCAAUCAUCAAGUCGACACCAAAUCAGACUUAUAAACUCACCACUAGGAGAACAACUUUGCUUGAUAAAUUUAGAUCAAUCCAACGCAUGUUAUUCAAAAGGAUUUUGAUCCUAAAGCUCCUACAGGAGAGGUUAUCAUCAUGCAUCAUAUAGCAACGAAGUUUACAUUUCAGCGGCUUUAGGACUUAAUACUAUGAUUAUUUUGCUGAAAAAUCAUCGCUCAUUCAACAUAACAUUUUCCUGGCCGUCACUCAUCUUCAUAUAAUGAGCAUAUCGCGAAAUCAAAUCAAAUUUGGUGCGAAUCCACCAAGUAUUGACGUGAAAAACAAUAAGCUUCUGUUUCAGCAACAUCGAUCUCAGCCAACAUAUGAUUUUUACCCAAAUUUCAUCACAUCAGCGAACACAAGCUAAGACAGGAAUUGAAUUUUAACUUCCAGCGACUUCAAAGCACAACAAUAAAAUUAUUUCAUGCAAACUCAAUACGAAACAGUCAUGUCACCAGCUCAUAUCGACGUACGUGAUUGAUGUAGCAUAAAAUCAUGUCGCGACCCUCCCGAGGGGAAGACAGAUUUAGACGUAAUGUUAAAUUGGGGACCAAGGGUCCUUAAGCGAUGCAAGAUCUCCUCAACCCUUACCUCCAUUGAUGUUGAGAUUUUUGUUUUAACUGAUUAAAUCUAUGAAAAUGAGGAGAUCUAUGCUUAGAACCAGGGAAAACUAAGUAAGUUGCUGCAGGUAUGUCUUUCCACAGUGGGUGAACCUCUUGUUCAAGCCCUUUAGGGACAGACUUUUAGCAGCAAACUACCUAAAAAUUUAGUUCAGAGUAUAGAGACACUCAAGGAUGCCAAGAUGGUAAUAUUUUUAACUAACCAAUUUGCAUUUCUUAGAAGAUCCUACCAGGCUGGAGAAGAAGAUGUGUUUAGAGAGACAUUGAGAUAGUUUUCACAAACACACACUUUACUUUAAGGGACUCUGCCCAAAACAUUACAUCCUCUUUGCCUUUUAUAGGUACUAAGAGGGCACAAAAAAUAAAGACCAUGCUCACGGGUCUUAAAACAAAUAGAGGCUCCAAAAAAUCUGAUCGAGAAUUAUUCUAGGUGAUAUGAACAGUGACUGUGAACAAUGAUUUCCUUAACCUAUUGCUAUAGUACAUUGUUAUAGUGACCUGUGCUAUAGUAACCUUAUCACAGGCCUAUCUUCCAUCUCGGGAGUUAUAGUCAUAGUCUGAAUCAUCAGAACUAUAUCGUGCAAGCUGCUCUUUCUUGUAGCAUUGUUCAAGUUCUAUAAGUCUGAUGUCAGAGGGACUGCAGGUGACUUCUCUUUGUGCUAUCAUGGUAUUCCACAAGUUUAUUCCGCUUGAGGAGGGCCUUUCUUCAUGGAUCAUAGGGUCUUGGACUAUAGGCAUGCAUGAUUGACUGGGACCAAUUUGAAGUUUGGGCAUAAUGAGAGACUGUGUUGGGGUCUAAUCCAAGGGAUAAGGACAAAGGUCCUUGAUCAUAGGAUUCUUGAGAGAGAGAGAGAGAGCCUCCUAACUGGGCAGAGGAUGUUAAGCACAAGAUUCUUGGGAGGAUUGUGUAGGGUCGUAUGUGUCUACUAUUUCUUGCUCUUGCGAUGGAAGUGACCUUGCCUAGUUGUGUGCUUGAUUGAAUUCUUGGAGUGCUUGUUUGAUUUUUGGUGCAAGACCGUAACAAUCCCAUGGGGCAAGUGUGAAGUAAUUCCAUACUUCUUCAGAAAUGGUUCUGUUUUCUUGGCAUAAGGCUAUCUGGAGUUCUCUGUAAUUGUAUUCAACAUAUCUAACACAAUCAGAGAGGGAUUUGUAAAUAUGAGCCUCCUUAAGAUGUGGCUGAGGUUUGUAGGCUGUGGUUCCUACUCAUUGUGACGCAUUGGUAAUGAUACCAUUCUCUUUCACAAAAGCCCAUGGUUGUCGAAGAAACACAACGGUGUGUAUCUUUGAUUAUGCUCGGACAAUUCUUUUUCUUGUUGGAAGAUAUGCUUCCAAUAAGUAGGAGGAUGGAACCCGUUGAGUACAGCUAGAAGGUUCCUAUCACUUUCUUUUUCAAUGUUAUGGUCAAGCGCAAAUAUCCUGGUUAAGUUAGCACGGAAUUUUUUGGUGGGAAACUCAAUAGUUACUAAGUACUUAUUGGUUAAGUACCAUAAUAAUCAUUGGAGUUUGUCAGGAAAAUCAUAUUUCUUCUAGAUUAAAAGAUGUAUGAAUGGAUACUUGGAGUUCAAAAGGAUAAAGAAUUGAGCCUCCAUGGAGUCUGAAUAGAUCUUUGUGGCAUUGCCACAUGAGGUUGUUAAGAUUUUCAGUGAGGCUGUCAUUCUGGAUUUGUUCAAUGAUCUCUUAAGGGUAUUCCAAACUUGGCCAAUAUUGCAUUCUUUCAAUCUUGUACUUUUCUUGGCGAUGAAAAGUUUGAAAAGCAUGUCUUAUAAUGUACAUGUUAAUCUCUACUGGUGCCUUUGGUCUGCAUAGAAAAUUAGCAAGCACAUUUUUUUUUCUAGCAAUGUGUUUGGUUUCAAAAAAGUAUUUCGAAAAUCAUUCUGCCCAUCAAAGCAGUUGAGAAUGAGGAAUCUACUUCUGUUUGAAUUUGGUCAUCUAUGGAAAGGAUGCCAUAUCCAAUUCUACUAGAAAAUGAUGGCCGAUAAGAUGGAAUUCAAACUUUCUUAUUCCAUUUUUUACUGCUAGUAUUUCCUUGAAAGUAGAAUGAUAAUGCAUUUUAGUCUAGGAAAACUUUCCGCUUUUGUAAGUACAAAUGUGCCGCUUACCUUCAAUUUCUUCAAAUAGUAUUGUCGCCCAGUAUUCAUCACUAGCAUCAGCAUGAAGAAUUCUCUUCCCUAUAGAUGAGAUUUGUAAAGAGGGAAGAGUUUGCAUGACUUCUUUUAGUUUUGCGAUUGCUUCUGGUUUGGGUCUUACCCCAAGGUGGAGGAUUUUUCUUUAGCAUAAAUUGCAGGGCAUCAACAAUUUAGCAAUAUUAGGGACAAAAUUUGUGAGAUAAUUAAUUAUCUCGAGAAAUUGCUUAACUUGUUUUAUCGUGAAAUCCUCUUCUAAAAAUUUCAACAAUUCUUUAGUAAUGUGUGGCCUUGGAUAGUAUGUACCCUUGUUGAGGUGCAUACCUAGAAAUUCAAUCUCUAUCUAGAUAAUGUCCAUCUUCCUUUGAGAAAGCAUAAUCCCAUAUUUAUUUACAAUAUUGGCAAAUUUCUCGAGAAAUCGGCAGCGGGAUUAUUCAUCUAGACUGUAAAGUAGAAUGUCAUCAAUGUAAACCAUUGCACUAAGCAGUAUUGGUUGGAAGAUGUGGCACAUGACCUUUUGAAACAAGGAAGGGGCUACUUUAAGGCUAAAAGGGAGAACCUUCCAUUGAAAAUGCUGAUUUGGAAUACAUAACUCUAUCUUAGGUCUAUGUUCAGGAUGAAUGUCCAAUUGCUAAAAUCCGGCUUUGAGGUCGAAUUUGGAAUAAAUAUGGGCUUUGAAUAAUCCAACAAAAAGGGAAUUUUUGGAAGGUAAAGGGAACUUGUCAUCUUAGAGGAAUAGAUUGAGGGGUUGGUAAUUUAUUACUAGCUGUAUUUUUCCUCUAUUUUGCUUAGCCCAUUUGUUGACAUAAAAAGCCUCGCAAGCCCAUUAGGAAUCUGAAAUUUUAGUAAGGCCUUAUUGCAGUAGUUUUGAGCAUUCCUUUUGAGCAGCAACAAGAUGUUCGGAGUUCAUUCCCAAGUGGCUUGCCUUAAUAGGAUUGCUAUUUUCAUUUUCUUGAAUGUAAGGCAAACAAAAAACUUUGGAUUUUUCCACAAUGGGGCAUUUUUGAGAAAAUUCAGAGUGAGAUUCUGAACAAGAUUCUCACAAGUUUUGCAUGAUUGGAUCCAACAAACUCAUUUGAAUAGAGAAGAGUCUUUGGAUAUUGAAAAAUUCAAAGAAUUGACCUUUAUACUUAAGGUUCUUUCCAAGAAUAAUUCGGAGUUGAGAGAUUUGAGUCAUAAUGUCCUAACCAAUGAUUGAUUUGGAGUUGAACGAUCUCUACUAGAAAGAUUUGAAGAAUUUCAUACUCGGCUAAAUACUUAAGCCCUCACAAAUCAUGAUAAGUAUGACGUCCUUUUUGGAUUUGUCACAAGGUUCAAUGGUAGCCUCAAACAUUGGCGGCAAUUGGUUAUAGAAUAAGAUUAAUUGCAAUUUCUACUCUCAGCAGACUUUGGCCAAGCUAUUGUUCUUAUUUACUACUUUUUCAUUGGUAAACCUACUAACCUCAAAGAGCUCAAAAGAAUAGAGUUUUUUGAAAGAAAAUGCUGCUCUCUCUAGAAAAGGUAUCUUUGCAAAUAUUAUCAAGAAAUGAUCAAACUCUUCUACGGUCUUGGAGCUAAUCCAAACCUGAAAUAGUUUUUCCUAGCCUCUAUCCUUAGAGAGCUUUCCCAACAAGUUGAGAGAUCUUUCCUCAACAAGCAAAGGAGAAUUGUGAAUAUACCCCUUGGAGAAAUACAAUGAGAGAUCCAUCUUUGUCUUGAUGAUCUGUGUCUCAGACAGCAGAUGAUGAAAACUUAUAUCAAAGACAAUCGAGAGCUUGAUGGUGCUUGUCCAUACCGAAAUCUAAAGAUCAAAUGAUCCACAAAAGAUUGCGAUGGCCUUUAUGGUAAACAUUUCAGAAAAAAGAAGCAUUUCAAGAAAUACAGAGUUGAAAGAUCCAAGCAUGGAUCUAAGCACUUUCGAAGAAAGAAAAAAUGACUUUUUCUAUGAAGAAGAAGAGAUUGCUUAGAUCGUAAGAAAUCAAAUUGAUGCUUCAUUUGCAACAAGAAGGGUCAUUUCGCCAAAAAUUGUUCCCAGGCGAAAAAAAAGUCAUAAUCACUUGAUACAACAUAUUAAAAUUAAAACUGGCGUUUCCCUUGAAAAUGAUGAUGUUGAAUCAUUGUUCUCUAUUGACAAAAAUUUAUAUGAACAGACCCUUUGUGUCAUUCCUUAUUAUCAAACUCCUAGUGAAACCGAUUCUGAGUUAGAUUCUAAAGAUAUUUUCCAUAUAUCCCUCAAAAUUGUAGAACAAGACCCUAGUAUAUAUUCUAGUGAAGUUCAUUAUUCUCAUUUCUCUGUCAAGAUCUUCACUUCAAAGUUUGCUAAGCCAAUCAUAGUCAUCGCCCUUAUAUAUACUGGUGCUAGUUCUUCAAUUUUAAACACGAAAAUUCUUCCUCAAGAAUACUAGAUUUCUUGUGUUCGAUAUUUCAAUUCUGCCUCAAGAGACACUUUUUCUAUAAAAGUGCAUACUACACCAGUAACUAUUCAAUUCUUCACUCAGUGUUCUAUAACCGCUAAAAUUUUUAGAUCUAGUUUUCUUAACAAAGAUUUAAUCAUUGGUUGGGACGCUAUGACUCAAAUCUCUCGACUCUGAAUUAUUCUUGGAAAAGACCUUAAGUAUAAACAUCAAUUUUCUGAAUUUAUCAAUAUCCAAAGACUAUUCUUUAUUUCCGCCUUUGGGCUUUCAAGAUAAUGAUAUCCCAAAUGUUGUCUAGAUUCUAGGGCAUGAUGUCUUUUAUGAAAGUCUGAAAGCAUCUUUUUGCUGGUCUCAUCUUAUCUUUUGAGAUCCCUUUAUACAUCAACAACUUUAGAAUUAACCGUUUUGAAAGUAUUGUUGUGUGCCAAAAGGGUUUCUAAUUGCCAAUUCGGGACAAUUUCGGCAACAGAAGUUCUCUUUUGCCUUCCAUGUUUAUCCACAUCAGUGGGAGUAAGGAUUUUCGGAACAUGAUGAUAUCUCCCUUGAGGAUCAAUAAAUUCUUCAGCAGCACAAAAAGAAAGCUUAAAGCUCUCUUGCACAAUAUGAGGAAAAUCUGUAUCCUGGAACUUGGAAAUUGAAGCGUUAGCCUUUUCUUGAGUUUCUUGGCUAGAUAGCAUUUCAUCUAGAAGUUCAAGUGGGUAUGAAUUCUUUUUUGCCCACUUUAGGAUUGGUUUGUAAAACGGGGAAACGACAGAUUUUUUAUGAGGUGGUGAGGAAGGAGGUGAAGGUGGUAAAGCAAGGGAUGACAACGGUGGUGAUGUGGAAGAAGGCGGUAGUGAUUGGGCAUAAUAAACCAUGAACUAGAACUUAUCACACUCACCAAGGGUGUCAACAGAGAGGUCUCCAUUCAAAUACCUCUAGUACAGGCCAUUUUUAAGCUUACGGGCUUUUCUCUUGGGUCUUGUAGUCGGAUUUACUUUGUCGGGAGAGUUUGCACAUGAAGAACAUUAGCAAAAAGGAUCCCAAAAGCAAUGGCCAUAAGGGUCUUUGUAGUAAUGGACAGAAUUUCCAUCACUCUGAAAGUACUUGACAAGCUUUUUUGGGUCUGGAUCAGGGAUUGGAUUUGGAACACAAGAUUGGAUUAUGAACAGGGUUUUGAAGAUAGAAGAACUUUCUUCAUCUUCUUUGCCAAACUUGAUGGCAAAAAUGCCAUCAUUUUUUCUUAAAAACUUAGAAUCUGAAAAAUAGAGAGGCUUAUUGUUUUGGUGUAGCUUUUCAUAGUUGGUGAUCCAAGUCUCUAGAAGAAGCUUGGUCAACUUUUCUUUGGGGAUUUGCCUGGAAACAUGGAUACAAGAAGCUUGAUCAUUUUGCAUAGAGAUGAACAGGGCGUCCUCAUUUAUAUUCUGGAAAUUGAGGUCCAAGGCAUGAUUCUGCACAUGAUAAACCAUAUGGUAGUGGAGAGUUGUUGCAAUGGAAUCAGUCGUUUGAGGUGCUCUAGUAAGUUGAAUUUGGACCAUUAGGAAGGAAAGCAAAUGGGGAUUUGAAAGAGCAAUAUUGAAAUUUGGAUACAAAGUUACAAAGACCGUCCCAGCAUUCAAAAUAGUUUGGACUAUGCCUAUACAAACAUGUUGGUAUUCUAAGAAAUGAGUGUCCAGUAAAGCCAUUCUAGCCUCAAUUGACAAGCAUUUUCAGCUAUGAAAAGUAAGUGCAAGUCGAAUAUGAGAAUAUCCUUAUUAGGUCCAUUGUCUUCGAAACUCCGGGGGAAUUUGAAGAGCAACAAAAUACUCAUUUUCAGUGGCUAGAAUGCAGUGCUGGUCAAACUUGGAGAAUUACAUAUACUCUUUCACUUCUUUGGGGGCUUGAUAGACAAGUUGUUGAACGGAGUAGAUAGAGAAGAAUGAUGAAGAGGGUUUAACAAAAGCUGAAUAUGGGUUCAUAAGAGGAAGCUAAGUUUUGAGAGAAGUACACUAUCAGUGCCAUAAGUUGUGUACGGUACUCCCUUUGGUGUCAAAAGUUUCAAUCAUAUCACUUAAGUGUCAAAUCGGAGGAAAAACGAUCACUUUGGUGCCACCGGCGAGAGAUUCUGGCCAAAAUGAUGACGUGGCUUUUAUAUUUAAAAAAAAAAUCGAUAUGGCUUGAGAAACAACGUCAUUUUCCGUCCUCCUUAAGAAAACGACAUCAUUUUUCUGUCCUAAGUGGAUGGUCUCACAAAAACGACGUCGCACAACUCAUUUUAUGAUUUUAUUUAUUUAUUUGGAGAUUGAAAUUAGGGUUCUGAUUCUCGUCGGCUGCCGACCUAGCUUGCUCGGCCAUCGUCGCUCGGCCGUCGACCUAGCUCGCUCGGCCUUCGUCGCUUGGCGACAUGAGGUUUGCACUUGAGCGAGAUCACGGCCUUCGACUUGGCCGUCGAGUGGCCAAGUCAAGGUCGGAGCCACGGCCACCGAGCGCGGGGGCCGUCAAGGACGGCGAUUGGCCCAUCGCUGGCGCAGGUAGAGGUGAGGGAUGUGGGCGAUUUAAGGGGGAGGAGGAGGGAAAACCAUCGACGCCAGCGACGGUGCGGACGCCGGGGUCAUCGGGGGUGGGGGAGCAGAAGACGUUGGAGUAGCCGCAGACGUCGAGGCUGACCCAGUUGGCGGUGAAGUUGUUGGGGUCGGAGAGGAUGGCCUACUUCAGGGCCUGGAGGGUGACAUAGGCGUUGCGGAGGCACGGGUUCUCGAAGGAGGCGGAGGGGUCGACGGCGACUUGCUCGCCGCGGUCGCUGAACUCGUUGAGGUAGUGGAGGAGGUGGUGGUGCUUGGCGGCGCCAUGGGCGGCGGCGGAGAGGACGGCAAGGGAGGAGAAGAGGACGAAGAGGGCGGUAGUGGCCGAGAUUCUCUGGCAGAUUUAGGGUUUAGGGUUUUGAAUUGGGGGAGAGACACCAAGUGACGUCGUUUUUGUGGUUUACAUGCUGACUGUACUCUCCGGCGAGCCACAUCAACGUCAAAAAUUAAUAAAAAAUUGCCACGUCGGAUUUCCGGUCAAUCUGAUUGGAGUUGGCACCAAAAUGAUCGUUUUUCAAACUUUUUGGCACUUAAGUGAUUCGACGGAAAAUUUUGGCACCAAAGUGAGUACCGUACACAACUUAUGGCACUGAUAGUGUACUUCCCCCCUAAGUUUUAGAAAUCAUUGUAUCAUCACUAAGAGAGACUUCAUAGAGAUAGUCUAUCUUGGAGGCAUUUAAAACACGAAAUUGUAAAAGAGAGGAGGAAGAUGGAGAUGAAGUAAAGGUAACUGGAGAAUCGAUGUUUCAGGAUCAGACUAGACAUGGAGAAAGUCUUCUUAGCACUGGAUUAUCCUUCUAAGCGCAUGGAACGAACCAAGUUACAAAAGAAAUCAUUGCUCUGAUACUAAUGAGGGGACCUAUGCUUGGAACUAGAGAAAACUAAGCAAGUUCCUGCAAGUAUGUCUUCCCACAGCAGGCGAACCUCUUGUUCAAGCCUUUUAGGAAUAGUCUUUUAGUAGCAACUACCUAGAGAUUUAGUUCAGAGCAUAGAGACACUCAGGGAUGCUAGGAUGGUAACAUUUUUACCUAGUCGAGCUGCAUUUCUUAGAGGAUCCUACCAUGCUGGAGAAGAAGAUGUGUUUAGAGAGACAUUAAGAGAGUUUUCACAAACAAACUUCACUUCAAGGGACUCUGCCCAAAACAUUACAUCCUCUUUGCCUUUUAUAGGCACUAAAGAUAACAAAAAACAAAGACCAUGCUCACGAAUCUUAAAACAAAUAGAGGCUUCGAAAAGUCCGAUCGGGAAUUAUUUUAGGUGACAUGAAUAGUGACUGUGAAUAUUGAUUUCCCUCACCUAUUGCUAUAGUACAUUGCUAUGUGACUUGUGCUAUAGUAACUUUGUCAUGGGCCUAUCUUCCAUCUCAGGAGUUGCAGUCAUAGUCUGAAUCGUCAAAGGUACGUUGUGAAAAAAAAGCUCUUCCUCAUAGCGUUGUUCAAGUUCUGUAAGUUUGAUGUCAGAAGGACUGCAGGUGACUUCUCUUUGUGCUAUCAUGGUAUUCUACAUGUUUAUUCUACUUGAGGAGGGCCUUUCUUCAUGGAUCAUGGAGGGUCCUAGAGUGUCGACAGGCAUGAUUGGCUGGGGCCAGUUUGAAGUUUAGGUAUAAUGGGAGACUAUGUUGGGGUAUAAUCUAAGGGAUAAGGACAAAUGUCUUUGAUCAUAUGGGUCUUGAGAGAGAGGGCCUUUCCACUGGGCAUAGAAUGCCUGAGCAUAGGAUUUUUGGGAGAACUAUGCAGGAUUGUCCAUGUCCGAUAUUUCUUGCUCUUGUGAUGGAUGCGUCCUUGCAAGGUUCUGUGCUUGAUUGAAUUCUUGGAGUGCUCGUUUAGCAUCUGGUGCAAGACCAUAGUGGUCCAAUGAGAUAGGGGUGAAGUAAUUCCAUACUCCUUCAUGAAUGAUUAUGUUUUAUUGGCACAAGCCUCUCUGGAGUUCUUAGUAAUUGUAUUCAACAUAUCCAACACAAUUAGGGAAGGAUUUGUAGAUACAUGUCCCCUUAAGAUGUGGCUAAGGUUUGUAGAUUGUGGUUCCUACUCCUUGUGGCGCAUUGGUAAUGAUACCAUUCUCUUUCACAAAAGGCCAUGGUCUACGAAGAAACACAAUGGUGUGUAUCUUUGGUUAUGCUCAGAUAGUUCUUAAUUCUUAUUGGAAGAGAUGCUUCCAAUAAGUAGGAGGAUAGAAGCAAUUGAGUACGACCGGAAGGUUCCUAUCACUUUCCUUUUCAAUGUUAUGGCCAAUCGCAAAUUUCUUGCUUAAGUUAGCAAGGAACUUUCUAGUGGGAAACUUAAUAGCUACUGAGUACCUAUUGGUUAAGUACCAUAAUAACCAUUGAAGUUUGUUAGGAAAAUCAUCUUCCUUCUAGAUUAAAGGAUGUACGAAUAGAUACCUAGAAUUUAAUCCAAAAUGAUAAAGAAUGAGCUUCCAUGGAGUCUGAAUAGAUCUGUGUGACAUUGCCACAUGAGCCUAUCAAGAUUUUUAGUGAGGCUAUCAUUCUGGAUUUGUACAAUGAUCUCCUAAGGGUAUUCUAGACUCGGCCAAUCUCGCAUUCUUUCAAUCUUGUACUUUUCUUGAUGAUGAAAAGUGUGAAAAUCAUGUCUCAUAAUGUACAUAUUAAUAUCUACUGCUACCUUUGGUCUGGAUAGAAAAUCAGCAAGCACAUUCUUCUUUCUAGCAAUGUGUUUAGUUUCAAAAGAGUGUUUUGAAAACUAUUUCGCCCAGAAAACAACUGAGAAUGAGGAAUCUACUUUUGUUUGAAUUUGGUCAUCUGUGGAAAUGAUGCCAUAUCCAAUUCUACUAGGAAAUGAUGGCUAAUGGUUUCUUUUGUAACUUCGUUCGUUCAAUGCGCUUGGAAGGAGAAUCCAAUGCUGAGAAGACUUUCUCCAUAUCAUGUUUGAUCCUAAAACCUUCAAUGUUCCAAUUACCUUUACUUCAUCCCCAUCUUCCUCCUCUCUUUUAGAAUUUUGUGUAUUAAAUGCCUCAUAGAUAAACUAUUUCUAUGAAGUCUCUCUUAAUGAUGGUACAAAAAUUUCUGAAACCUAGCUUCCUCUUAUGAACCCAUAUUUAGCUUUUGUUAAACCCUCUUCAUCCUUCUCCCCCGUCCACUCCAUUUGACACCUUAUUCGUCAGACUCUCAAAGAAGUGAAAGAGUAUGUGCAUUCCUCCAAGUUUGACCAGUACCCCUUCUAGCCAUUGAAAAUGAGUAUUUUGUUACUCUUCAAAUUCCUUGGGAGUUUCUAAGACAAUGGACCCAACAAGGAUAUUCUUAUAUCUAUUAUGAAACUGUCCGACUUGCACUUACUUUUUAUGGCCGAAAAGGCUUGCCUGUUGUGGUCAGAAUGGCUUUACUAGACACUCGGUUCUUAGAAUACCAGAUGCUUAAAUUGGCACAGUCCAAACUACUUUGAAUGCUGGGACAGCCUUUGCAAUCUUGUAUCCAAAUUUCAAUAUUGUUCUUUCAGAUCCCCAGUUGCUUUCCUUCUUGAAGGACCAAAUUUAGCUUACUAGCGCACUUUAGACGACUGAUUCCAUUACAACAACUCCACUACCAGAUGGUUUAUCAUGUGCAGAAUCAUGCCUUGGACCUUAAUUUCCAAAAUGGAAAUGAGGAUGCCCUAUUCAUCUCUAUGCAAAAUGAUUAGGUUUCUUGCAUCCAUGUUUCUCGGAAAAUCCCCAAAGAAAAGUUGGCUAACCUUCUUCUAGAGACUUAGUGUCACGCCCUGACCCUCAGGCACACACACAUCCCUUACUUUUGGUCGAUUUUAAAAUGCGAUAUCCCAGGACUACGUAUCGUCGACCAUUUCAUUUGUAUAUGCACAUGCGAAAGCAGUUAUAAUUCCCCACACAAUAAAGCAAUGGGAUAAAAGCAGGCCAUAUAUUUUCCUUACUGAAAAUUCACAACUACAUCUUUUUACAUGCAUCUUAUAGUAUUCUACAAUACCAUAUAUACGCAACUCUGGUCUAACGUCUAUUCACAUGCAAACAAGGUCUGACAAGAUAGGACAGGAUCUCAGUCAUCAUCCGGGUCGUACACGAUGUCAUACUCGGGGUCCUCCUCCACGUACUCCUCUUCGGAUUCCUCAACAAGGAUCUCCUCGUCAAAUUCAUGCUCCUUAGGCUCCUCAUCCAGGUCCUAAAAUGGUUAUUCAAUAACCACUGAGACAACGUCUCAGCAAGUUCUUCCUCCUAAGACCCGAUUAGUAAACUAAUACACCUUAGGGCUGCCUACACACAACAUGAGUCAGAGGACUUACCUUGCCCUCAAAUUCCACCUGCAUAUUAGCACAGAUUAAAUAGGCACCCAAGCAAUCACAUCACAGAUCGAAGCAUCGAUCAAAUCGACUUAGUCGAUUACACACCAACAAGACCACUCACGGUCAUUUCCAUUCGAUCAAUCAAUUCACACAGCAGAUCAAGGCAAUGAAUCACAUCAAAUCACACUUAGAUCGAAUCAUCGAUCAAUCGACCUAGUCGAUCACACGCCAACAAUGACCACUCACGGUCAUUUUAAGGCGCCGUUUUCGCACAGUGAUGUACUUUAUCACCGAACCACGCCUGUCUAUACUUCGUACUUAAUCGGUCUCAGCCAAUAAAAUUAUCAGUUAGCUCUCAUCACUUUCUUCACUUUAGAGCUCAUCAAAGCAUUAUAAAGGUUAAAUAAACAAACUCGGCCAUUUACAAAUCAAUCAUUCAAUUCCACUCAAAUUCAAUCAAUUAAGGAAUAAUUCCAUAAAUUGCACAAUCAAUUUAAUUAAGCACAACGUGGAGUUCAAAUAAAUAAAUGGAUUUCACCACGACAAUCAGCACGAAAUUCCGGUCACCAGCCAUCCCGGUUGAAUUUCCGGAAAAUAAAUAAUUAAAUAAUUAAUUUUGAUAAUUAAAUAAAUACAAUAAAUUCAAUUUAGCACAAUAUAAAACUCAAUUAAAUAAACGAACUGCGCCACAAUCAUCAGCAUAAAAUCCCGGUCACUAGCCAUCCUAGUUGAAUUUACAGGAAAUAAAUAAUUAAAUAAUUAAUUUCGAAAAUUAAUAUUUAAUUCCUAAAUUUCCACCUAGGCCCGAUUUGCUUAAUUAACACCCGAUAAGGGACGGGAAAAAUCCCAAGAAGCAUCCAAUAAAUACUAUAGGCAAUUCUCUAUCUAAUUACACUAAUCACACAACUAAUAUGCAAAGCAAUUAACUAAUAAUCACUAAUCAGUUCAAAUCUAACAACCUAAUUACACUUAAUUAACACUAAUCAACCUUUAAGUGCAAUUAGCAAACUAAGAAGGCAUUAGUGAGUAAAACUCACUCAAAACGACGAGCUCGACGCGAGGGUCGACUUUCCUCAAAGCGGGCCGAGCAUCCGGGCUCGGGAAGGCGGCCAAAACGGGCCAAACAGUUGCUGCAAUACCCAUUUUCUGCACUCUUUGUGCGCUGCUGGUUGGGGACGUUCCGGGGUCGAUUGAGGCGGCCAAGGGCAGCUAGGGUCGGGUGGAGCUCCGGCGGUUCGAGGUGGCGGCGCAUGGUGGCCGGAGGUGGCCGGACUGUGGCCUGUGCUGGCCAAAACGGAGCUAAAUAGAGGCGGUUGGGAGCUGGGGUCGCACGACGGGGCGAUGAGAGGCGAGGCCAAGCACGGCUGCACACACGCUAGCGCGGGGACGGGCGACCGGCGACAACGGUAGCUUCGGUCCAGUAACGCUAGCUGCUGCCCCAACUCCGGUGUCCUCCCAGAUCUAGGACCCCGAGCAGCGAACGGAGGGGAAGACAGAGGGUGUCGACGGCAACUGAGAUGGGUGAGGGAGGGGCGGAGACAAACGACGGAGCGGCGGAGCAGGUGAUGCACGGGUAAGGACGGCUUGCGGCAUGAGGCGGCGACGGUGAGCUGCUUCAGUCUUCAGGCGAGCUGCUGUCCUGCUUCUGCUUCUGUCUUCGUUCGAACAGUGAGGGGAAAGAGAGAGUGUCGAGAGAGAGUACCGAGGGAGAGAGAUAAGGAUAAGAGAGAGAGUAGAUAAGUUUGAAAAGUCAAAAAGCAAAAGUGAAAAGGAGAAGCAAAGUGAGAAACGGAAGAGGGCAGUCGGUGGGGGCAUUUCGCACGAGGAGAAAAGAGAGAGAGAGAGAGAGAGAGAGAGAGAGAGAGAGAGAGACUUUCGGCCAAAGGAAAAAGGGGAAAGAGAAAAGGUGAUUGGCCCAAAAAUAGAAAAAGAAAAGGGAAAUGGGAGGAAGACUAAACAAAAGAAUUUCCUAGAGUAGAAAAUUCUCAUCUCAUUUUCUUUUUGAUAUGCCCAUAAUUUCUCAAAAGAAAUUUCAGAUUAGAGUACUCGGUUCCCACUUGCAUUUCUGCAUCCAAAUUCUCUCUUAAUUUCUCUCAAAUAAUUCUCACAAAAAUCAAUUGAUAUCUCCAUUAUCAAAUUGAUUAUUUUCCUUAUCCAAGAAUCCCUCAUGCUUCUCAAUUUCACAAUCCCCGGCUUCAACUGAACGAAAACGGCCCUAUUUAUCCAGUCUAAGUUAGAACCUGAAAAUCUGGAUGUCACACUUAGAUUACCAACUACGGAAAGCUGUACCAAAACAAUAAGCCUUUCCAGUCUUCAAAUUCCGAGUUUGUAAGAAAAAAGGAUGGCAUUAUUGCCAUCAAGUUUGGCAAAGAAAAUGAAGAAAGUUCUUUUAUCUUCCAAACCUUGUUCAUGAUCCAACCUUAUGUUUCGGAUCCAAUCCUGAUCUAGACCCAGAAAAGCUUGUCAAGUACUUUCAGAGUGAUGGAAAUCCCGUCCAUUACUAUAAAGACUUUUAUGGUCAUUAUUUUUGGGAUCCUUUUGCCAAUGUUCUUCAUGCACAAACUCUCCUGACGAAGUAGAUCCGGUUACAAGACCCAAGUGAAAAGCCCGUAAGCCUAAAGAUGGCCUAUACCAGAGGUAUUUGAAUGAAGACCCAUCAACAGACACCUUUGGUGAAUGCGAUAAGUUCUAGUUCAUGAUUUCUUAUGCCCCAUCACCACCACCUUCUUACACAUCACCACCGUUGCCAUUUGUUGCUUUACCAUCUUCGCCUCCUUCCUCACCACCUCAUAAAAAACUCAUUGUUUCCUCAUUUUACAAAUCAAUCCUGAAGUGGGCAAAAAAGAAUUCAUACCCACUUGAACUUCCAGAUGAAACACUAUCCACCUAAGAAACUCAUAAAAAGGCUAACGCUUCAAUUUCCAUGUUUCAGGAUAUAGAUUUCUCUCCUCUUGUGCGAGAGAGCUCUAAGCUUUCUUUCCUACUACUAGAGAAUUUAUUGAUUCUCAAGGAAGAUAUCGUCAUGUUCCAAAUAUCUCUGCUCCCACCAAUGUGGAUGAACAUGGAAAGCAAAAGAGAACUCCUGUUGUCGAAGCUGUCUUAAAUUGGCAAUCAGAAACCAUUUUGGCACACAACAAUGUUUUCAAAACAAUUGAUUCCAAAAUUGUUGAUGUACAAAGGACUCUCAGAAGAUGUGAUAAGACCACCAAAAAGAUGCUUUCAGACUUCAAAAAGACAACAUUUGGGAUAUCAUCAUCUUGAAAGUCCAAAGGUAGAAAUAGAUAAGAGUCUUUGGAUAUUGACAAAUUCAGAGAAUUGAUCUUUAUGCUUAAAGCCUUUUCUAGGAAUAAUUUAGAGUUGAGAGAUUUGAGUUAUAAUGUCCCAACCAAUGAUUAAAUCUUUGUUGGGAAGACUAGAUCCAAAAACUUUAGUGGUUAUAGAAUAUUGAGGGAAGAACUGAAUAGUUACCGGUGUAGUACUCACAUUUGUAGAAAAAGUGUCUCCUGAGAUAGAAUCGAAAUACUAAACACAAGAAGUCCAGUAUUCUUCAAGAAGAACUUUCGUGUCUAAAAUUGAAGAACUAGCACCAGUAUCUAUAAAGUCGAUGACUGUGAUUGGCUUAGCAAAUUUUGAGGUGAAGAUCUUGAUAGAGAAAUGAGGACAAUAAACUUGGCUAGAAUAUGUUCUAGGGUCUUGUUCUACAGAAGUGAGGGAUAUAUGGAAAAGAUCUUUAGAAUCUAACUUAGAAUCGGUUUCACUAGGAGUUUGACAACAAAAAAUGACAUAAAUGGUUAGUUUAGAUGGAUUUUCAUCGAUAGAAAAUAAUGAUCCAGCAUCAUCAUUUUCAAGGGAAACGCUAGUUUCAAUGUAUCAAGUAGUUCUGACCUUUUUUUUCUUUGCUUGGGAACAGUUUUUGGCGAAAUGACCCUUUUUGUUGCAAAUGAAACAUCGAGUUGAUUUCUUGCGGUCUGAGCGAUCUCUUCUUCUUCUUCUUCUUCUUCUUCUUCUUCUUCUUCUUCUUCUUCUCAGGAAUCACCAUUUUUUCUUUCUUCGAAAAUGCUUAGAUUCAUGCUUGGAUCUUUCAACUCUGUAUUUCUUGAAAUGCUUCUUUUUCUAGAAUGUUUUCCACAAAGGCCAUUGUAAUCUUUUUUAGAGCAUUUGAUCUUUAGAUUUUCGCAUGAACAAGCACCAUCAAGCUCUCGAUUGUUCUUUGAUGCGUUUGAGACAUAGAUCAUCGAGAUAAAGAUGGAUCUUUUGCUAUAUUUCUCCAAGGAGUAUAUCCACAAUUCUCCUUUACUUGUUGAGGAAAGAUCUCUUAAUUUGAUGGGAAAGCUCUCUAGGGAUAGAGGCUAGGAAAACCUGUUUUAGGUUUGGAUCAGCUCUAAAGCCGUGGAAGAGUUUGAUCAUUUCUCUAUAAUGUUUAUCGAGAUACCUUUUUUGGAGAGAGCAGCAUUUUCUUUCAAAAAACUCUAUUCUUUUGAGCUCCUUCAGGUCAGCAAGUUUACCAAUGAAAACGUGGUAAAUAAGAACGAUAGUUUGGCCAAAGUAUGUUGAGAGCAGAAAUUGCAAUUGAUCUUGUUCUAUAUCCGAUUGCUACCAAUGUUUGAGGUUACCUGUGAACCUUGUGAUAAAUCCAAAAAUGGCGUUAUACUUGUCGUGAUUUAUGAGUGAUUAAGUGUUCAGCCAAAUAUGAAAUUCUUCAAAUCUUUCUAGUAGAGAUCGCUCAACUCCGAAUUAAUCAUUGGUUGGGACAUUAUUACUAAAAUCUCUCAACUCCGACUGAUUUUUGGAAAAUGCCUUAAGUAUAAAGAUCAAUUCUCUGAAUUUGUCAAUAUUCAAGGACUCUUCUCUAUUCAAAUGAGUUUGCUGGAUCCAAUUAUUCAAAAGUUGUUAGAAUCUUGUUCAUAAUCCCACUUUGAAUUUUCUAAAAAAUGCCCCUACCCUUUAUGGAAAAAUUUAGAGUUUUUUGUUUGCCUUCCAUUCAAGAAAAAUGAGGAUUUCAAUCCUACUAAGGCGAGUCACAUGGGAAUGAACCCGAAACAUCUUGUUGCUGCUCAAAAGGAAUGCUCAGAACUACUACAACAAUGCCUUAUUGAAAUUUCAGAUUCCUAAUGAACUUGCAAGGCUUUCUAUGUCAACAAACGGGCUGAGCAGAGUAGAGGAAAAAUGCUGCUAGUAAUAAAUUACCAGCUCCUCAAUUUAUUCUCCCUAAUAUGACAAGUUCCCUUUACCUUCAAGAAAUUCCAUUUUUGUUGGAUUACCCAAAGCUCAUAUUUAUUCAAAAUUCGACCUCAUCAUCGGGUUUUAGCAAUUAGGUAUUCAUCUUAAAGACAGACCCAAGACAAGAUUUUGUAUUCCAAGCUGGCAUUUGUAAUAGAAGGUUCUCCUGUUUGACCUCAAAGUAGCCCAUUCCUUGUUCCAAAAGGCCAUGUGCCACAUCUUCCAACCAAUACUGCCUAGUGCAACGGUUUACAUUGAUGACAUUCUACUUUAUAAUCCAAAUGAAGAACCCCACUGCCGACUUCUAGAGUAAUUUGCUGAUAUCGUAAAGAAGUAUGUGAUUAUGUUUUCUCAAAGGAAGAUGAACUUUGCCCAGAUGAACAUUGAAUUUCUAGGAAUGCACCUGAACAAGGGUGCAUACUAUUCAGGGCCACACAUUACUAAGGAAUUGUUGAAAUUCUCAGAAGAGGAUUUCACGACAAAACAAGUUUAGCUAUUUCUUGAGAUAAAUAAUUAUCUUAGAAAUUUUGUCCCUAACAUCGCUAAAUUGUUGAUGCCAUUGAAAUUGAUGUUGAAGAGGAAUCCUCCAUCUUGGGGUAAGACUCAAACCAAAAUAGUCGCAGAACUGAAAGAAGUCAUGCAGACUCUUCCCCAUUUGCAAAUCUCAUCUACAAGGGAGAUAGUUCUUUAGAUUGAUGCCAGUGAUGAAUACUAGGCGAUAAUACUGUUCGAAGAAACUGAAUGUAAGCGACACAUUUGUACUUACAAAUGUGGAAAGUUUUCCCGAGCUAAAAUGCAUCAUCAUUCUACUUUUAAGGAAAUACUAGCAGUAAAAAUAUGAAAUAAAAAAGUUCGAAUUCCAUUUUAUUGGCUAUCAUUUCCUAGUAGAAUUGGAUAUGGCAUCAUUUCCACAGAUGACUAAAUUCAAACAGAAGCAGAUUUCUCAUUCUCAACUGUUUCGAUGGGUGGAAUGAUUUUCAAAAUACUCUUUUGAAACCAAACACAUUUUUGGAAAGAAGAAUGUGCUUGCUGAUUUUCUAUCCAGACCAAAGGCACUAGUAGAGAUUAACAUGUACAUUAUAAGACAUGCUUUUCAUACUUUUCAUUUAAAAAAAAAUACAAGAUUGAAAUAAUACGAGAUUGGCCGAGUUUGGAAUACUCUCAAGAGAUCAUUGAACAAAUCCAGAAUGACAACAUCAUUGAAAAUCUUGACAGCUUCAUGUGACAAUACCACACAGAUCUAUUCAGAUUCCGUGGAGGCUCAAUUCUUUAUUAUUUUAAAUUAAACUCCAAGUAUCCAUUCAUACAUCCUUUAAUCCAAAAGGAAGAUGAUUUCCCUGAUAAACUCCGAUGGUUAUUAUGGUACUUAAUCAAUAAGUACUUAGUAGCUAUUGAGUUUCUCACUAGAAAGUUCCUUACUAACUUAACCAGGAUAUUUACACUUGGUUGUAACAUUGAAAAGGAAAGUGAUAAGAACCUUCUAGCUGUACUCAACUGUUUCUAUCCUUCUACUUAUUGGAAGCAUCUCUUCCAACAAGAAUUGAGAACUGUUUGAGCAAAACUAGAGAUACACACUAUUGUGUUUCUUCACCGACUAUGGGCUUUUGUGAAAGAGAACAGUAUCAUUAUCAAUGUGCCACAAGGAGUUGAAACCACAAUGUACAAAUCUCAGCCACAUCUGAAGGAGGCUCGUAUCUACAAAUCCUUCCCUGAUUGUGUUGGAUCUAUUGAAUAAAAUUAUAGAGAACUCCAAAGAGCCUUAUGCCAAGAAAACAUAAUCAAUCUUGAAAAAGUAUGGAAUUACUUCACACCUGUCCCAUGGGACUACUAUAGUCUUGCAUUAGUAGCUAAACAAGCACUCCAAGAAUUCAAUCAAGCAUUGAACCAGGCAAGGAUGCCUCUAUCAUAAGAGAAAGAAAUCGUAGAAAUGGAUGAUCCUGCACAGUCCUCCUAAUAAUUCUAUGCUCAGGCAUCCUAUGUCCAGUGGAGAGGUCUUCUCUUUUAAGACCCUUAUGAUCAAUGACUUUUGUCAUUAUUCCUUGGAUUAGACCCUAAUGCAGUCUCUCAUUAUGCCCAAACUUCAAAUUGGCCCCAAACAAUCAUGCCUGCCGACACUCUAGGACCCUCCAUAAUUAAUGAAGAAAGGCCCUCCUCAAGCAAAAUAAAAACAUGUAGAAUACCAUGAUAGCACAAAGAGAAGUCACUCGCAGUCCCUCUGACUUUAAACUUACAGAACUUGAACAACACUAUGAGGAAGAACAGCUUGCACAACAUAGCUCUAAUGAUUUAAAUUAUGACUACAACUCCCAAGAUGGAAUAUAAGCUUGUGACAAGGUUAUCGUAGUACAAGUCACUAUAACAAUGUACUGUAGCAAUAGGCCAAGGAAAUCACUGUUCACAGUCAUUGUUCAUAUAAACUAGAAUAAUUCUUGACUAGAUUUUUCGGAGUCUCUGUUUGUUUUAAGACCCGUGAGCAUGGUUUUUGUUUUUUGUGACCUUUUAAUGCCUAUAAAAGGCAAAAAUGAUGUAAUGUUUUAGGCAGAGUCCCUUGAAGUAAAGCAUGUGUUUGUGAAAACUCUCUCAAUAUCUCUCUAAAUACAUCUUCUUCUCUAGCCAGGUAGGAUCCUCUAAGAAAUGCAGCUCGACUGGUUAGAAAUGUUAUCAUCUUGGCAUAUUUAAGUGUCUCUAUGAUUUGAACUAAAUCUCUGGGUAAUUUGCUGCUAAAAAGCUGUCUUUGAAGGGCUUGAACAAGAGGUUCACUUUCGACCUGCAGCAACUUACCUAGUUUUCCCUUGUUCUAAGCAUAGGUCCCCUCAUUAGUAUCAAAAGAAGCCACUAGCAUAUUGGGGCCGGCUAAGAACCAAAUAAGAUACAUGAGUAUAUCUCACUUUCUGUGCAACCAAAGAUCUAGAAUUGGGGACUCAAUUACACUAAUUAUCUAACUAGUGUCAUUUCAUUACUUGGACUUGAUUAUUUUAUCAACUAAAGUGUCUACACUAUCUUUGUACCAAAUUAUGAAUUCUAAGGUUCUUGUUCGUUAAGUGUCUAUGCAAUGUUUUUAGUUUUUAUUAUGAUCCUAAAAUAAAACCCUACCAUUUAACUAGAAUAAGCAAAUCAUGACGUAAAAGCAAUAUAAAAGAAUCGAGGCCAGUUCAUGAAAUAAAGUAAUAAAAGAAUGAGUAAAAGAUAAAGUGCAGUAAUGCAACCCGAUACGAGUCGAAUAAAGAGUAAAGCAUUGCCUCUUCAUUAUGCCCAGGAUAACAACCCCAUGAGAGGAACUAAUUUUUUUAAACCUAAACUAAACUUAUAAAAGAUCACGAAGUUUCCUCGAUCAUGUGUGUACUAAUUAAAUAAAACCAAAAUAAAUCUGAUAUUAAAAUCUAACAACCUAAUCAAAACUUAUUUUUCUAACUAUUUUGAUUUUGAUUUUUAUUUUUAUUUAGACACAAUAGGGGCCCACCCUCUGGUCUCAUGAGUUUUGGAUCUUAAACUCGGGAGAUCAUUGGGCUCCCACUUUAAUUCAAAAGGACUUUCAAAGCGCAAUUUCAGAUACAAUCCUUCCAAGCCCAUUUUCCGUUAAAACUACACUAAACGCCAAUCUAGGCCCCUUUCUAUCAUUACUACACACAGCCACGCUAAUCAUUUUCUUUCGUGCCUUUUUAUUUCUUUAUUUCUAUUUGUUUUAUUUCUUUAAUCCAUCGUCUUCUCCAGAAAACUUACUGAACCUAUGCAAGUUUUAUACGCUAAAUAAACACCACAAUAUCUUUAUCAUCAUCUAUGAUCAAUUAUCCCAACAUUGCAACGAAGUUAUCUAGUUUCCCUUUUAAAGUCUUAGAAUUUUUUGUAAAACUUUCUAGAGUGCACACCAUUGUAAGCGUCUUUGGAAUGUAAUAUUUGAAGUAGCUGGGCACUCCUCAUUUUCUGCCUCUGGAAAAAGGAUUUGGCUAGCCAAUUUCCAAGAUUUAUCCAUAUUUUUUAGAUUAAAAAAACAUUGCACGAGUACUACAUAAAAUUGAGAGUUUCGCGAUGUCAUGCUUCUUAUGCAUGUCUGUCUCCUUUAUUUUGCAUUGCUAAGUCAAGAUAUAGUUCCAUCUCACUUCUUAUCCUCUCUAAAACUAAGAAAAUGCAACCAAUCGUUUAUUCACUCUAGUAAAGCUAACCAACAAUUUGUGACAUCCUGAAUUUUCAAUACUGUUUUCAAUUGAAUAAAUCGGACCUUUUAUCGAUGCGUCUAUAGUGCUAUUCUCAGAGCCGAUCACUCGUGAGAUAAAUAGACUAUAUGGGGAAGUCAUUAAGAGAUUUUAAUGCAAUGGACUUGAGAAUUCGACCAAAAGUCAACUGCUCGAUCGUGCUAGUCUGCAAGGGUCAUUACGGUAUUGUCAAAAUAUAAAAGUGUGGGUGAUUCCACCUGAUUGCAAAAAUCUUGUCGAUCGGAACUAGACCGAUUUUCUGUCGUUUUUGGUACCCUGUGCACGUAAUUGAAACUUUGAGAUUUUCAUGACCACCGAGAGUUGCCAAUGUGUCGAGUGGGUUCAUUGUGGCUUGAAGAAAAUCGACCAUGGGUCAUUUGUACUAAAAAUUUCUAAAACCUACAUGGUAGCCUAGGUCACGCUAAAAACGCGCCGGAUUGAAAUUAACUGCGAAUUUGAAUCCGAUUUCAAAAAUUGAAGAUUCUGUCAUGUCACUAUAAAUUCUAGGAGUAUCGACUCAGUCUCAAAAGAUUUUUUGCAAUUAGAGACUUUUUGGGAAAAAGUCGGCAUAGGACCGUUUUUGUUUAGAAAAAGACAGGAAUUGUUUUUUAUCGCAAAUUUGGGAAGCAAAUGGAUUGUAUGGGUGGGGAAAAAUGCCAAAUCGAUCGGUGAGGUACUAAUUGGGUUUGUUGAGGUCGAAUUGGAUUGAAUUAAGCACGAACGGGUGUCCAAUUGAGAGAGAUUGUGUCAAAUUCAUAUGCCCCCCAUUCCCUAUGGUCUUUGGACCAUUUCAAGGUUGCAAGAGGGAGCAUUGGUGGCUCAUUGAGGGCCAAGGAAGCCAAGCUUGGUGGACAAGUUCAAGAAGACAAGCAUGUGGAAAAAAAUGGCAUGUGGUCCCCCCUCUUGCCUCCAUCUCUCUCUCUUCCUGUCCAAGCCAACCGCCCAGCCUUCCUCCCCCUCCAUCCUUGUUGUGCAAAGACCAGAGGAACCAGAGAAGCAAGCCCCCUUGUCGUUUGACCAAGCCGCACGCCCACCAGACCGUUUUCCUCCUCUGUUUUCACUUUUGCUGGUUUCUGCUCCGGUUGACCUUUCGCCAAAGAUUCGAGUGAAAAGUUGACUUCCCGUGCAAAUCAGCCAACGAUCCAUCCAUCAUCGUGACUAGCACAUCUAGACAGUUCCAAAGAGCCCGACCUCACCCCAAACGAAGCCACCGACAGUCCUGUACGGCCGCCGCAAGCCACCGGUCUCCAAUCCGUCGGUCUGCUUGCUGGUCCGCAUUUUUCAUGUUUUUCUUCAUUUUUCUCCCAUUCCAGCCCUUCCUUCUCCUAUUCCAGCCCUUCCUUUUCUCAUCCCAACCUCCAACAAGAUCCCCAAGACCCUCGGGAGCCACCAGUUGCCGACCACCCGCUCGUUGGAGCUCUGAUCGGCCCGUUUUCACCGUUGAAGCCGCUGGUUUCCUCUCUGCAGUCUAGCAAGCGGAAGCAGAAGCCUAACCAACCUUGUUUCCUUGUUUUUGCAGCUCAAAAUAGAGGCUGAGUUUGUGGGUAUCCAGCCACCUUCAAGGCCCGUUUUGAGGUGGUCCUGAGCCUCGGUUUCUAGGCCCGCCUUGAGGAAAGUCGAGCCUCGCGACGUUCCCGUCGUUUUGCACUGAACCGCUCAUUAAACAAGUGAGUUUAGCUCACUAAUUCCUUAUUAGUCGGUUAAUUAUGCUUAGGGGUUCAUUAGAUUUAAUUAAGUAUGGUUAGGUGGAUAGAUUGGAGUAAAGCAAUUAAAUUAGUGCCUUAUCAAAGCAUGUUAGGAAAAUGGUUAGUGAUAUUAGCAAGUAGACUCAUGUUAUUAUUUAUUGAAUGGGUCUCGAAAAUUUUCCGAGUCUGUUCGGCUCCAAUNNNNNNNNNNNNNNNNNNNNNNNNNNNNNNNNNNNNNNNNNNNNNNNNNNNNNNNNNNNNNNNNNNNNNNNNNNNNNNNNNNNNNNNNNNNNNNNNNNNNUUGAGCUGUAAUUCGUCCUGACACGAUUUAAUGGUGUUCUUAGGAUUUUAUUCCUAAAUUAUUUAAUUUUCGUAAUUGAUUGGAAAAUGACCAAGCGUUGGUCUAUAGCACCAACAAUAUUUUGAUUGGGCUAUAUAAAGUGAUGAAAAAGAAUGUUGUGUUACAUGGCUCGGUGAAUAGGUAUAUCGCCUUGGAGAAUGCACGUGACUCGUUGAUUAAUUACAUCACCUUAGAGAAUGCAGGUGGCUCAGUGAUCAAGUAUAUCACUUUGGAGAAUGCACGUGGCUCAAUGAUUAGAUAUGUCACCUUGGAGAAUGCACGUGACUCGGCGACUAAAUUUGUCACCUUGGAGAAUGCACAUGGCUCGGCGAUUAGGUAUGUCAUCUCGGAGAAUGCACGUGGCUCGGUAACCAAGUACGUUGCCUUUGAGAAUGCACGUGGCUCGAUGACUAGUUAUAUAUCAUCUUGGAGAUUGCAUAGUAUGAGUUAAAAUAACCGGGAGAUGGUCUGAUUGACAUAUAAUCGACUAGGUUGAUUGAUCAAUGAUUUGAUCUGAUGUUAUGAAUUGAUUGAUUGAUGUGAUAUAAGGCAUCUGUAAAUAUCAUUGAUUUGCAGGAUGGAGCUGAGGCCAAGGUAAGUCCUCUAUCUCGUGUUGUGCUUAGGCAGCCUCUAAAGUGUAUUGGCUUCCUAAUCGGGUCUUAGAGGGUAGAACUUGCUGAGACGUUAUCUCACUGAUUAUUGUAUAACCAUUUUCAAUCCCCUAGUUGAAAGCGGUGGGGAAACCGAGGCCCGAAGUUUAGAAGGUGAAGCCUGGAGAAUUGGCAAGCAUGUCUGACUAGCUAGUCCUAGGACAUUCCCCUUUUGUUGAAAGCCAAUUCAUUUUUGUAGGCUUCUAUAUAUAAACCUGUGUCUUUAUAAAAAGGUCUUUUGUGAAAAAUUGGUCCUACUUUUAUCACAUUGUUUUAUUGUCUAGAGAUUUUAUAUGCUUCCGCAUGUGUAUAUUAAAUGAAUGGGUCGGCAAUGCGUUCUAGGAUGUCGCUAUUAAUCAACCAAGGAGGGAUGGGCACGUGCUUGGAGGAUCGGGGCGUGACACAAUUAGUCUCCGUAAUCAUCCACUCUCUCCGCUCGCUCUAUUCACUUUUUUCCUUGAGGUAAGUCCGAAUUAAAUUCUUUCUUAUCUUUUCUACAUUUCUAUUCCACUUUUUGAUUUUAUUUAGGGAUUCGACACUACUUAGGCUAGUUGUUGUGCAUCUUGACUAAUCCACCUUCCUAAGCGAUCUUAAGGAAGCACUCCUCCACGUUAGCCUAGUGUAGAGUUGUCAAAUGGGUGGGUCAUGUUGAAAAUGGUCUGACCUAUAUUGACCCAUUUAACUCAUACUUAACCCGACCUGACCCGAUCCAUAGUAUUAAAAUAUAUUUUAAACUACUUUCACCUAUGAAAACUCGUAUCUAAUUAUUUAAAGUUCAUUUAAACCCACAUUUACAAUGCAUUAGUUUUCAAUGACUUGUUUUUUCCUAUAUUUGCUUUACUUUCUCUAAUUAUAUUUUUCUUAUUGAAAUUUGAAAAAAAAAAUAAAGCUUAAAUAACCAAGGUAAAUAUAAUUACUAUUGUAGCUAAUGAAGAUGAUUAUUUUUCAAAAUAAUUUUUUUCAUGAAUACCCCGAUUAUGGUCAUCACAUAUAUACACACGCAGUGGCAAUCCCCCCAAUGGAUCCUUUUUGGAGGAUAUAGCUAUAAUUUCAUGAAGCAAUAUAUCAAGAACAUAGUUUUUUUUUUUUUUGGGUCGAAAUCAAGAACAUAGUUCACAAGCUCAAUUUUCACCCUCUCAAACCAUCUAAUCCGCCAUUUUUGUGAGAAAGCCUGCUGGUGAGCAGACCAAAAGAAUUACAAUAAUAGCUUUACAUUGAAGCUAUAUUAUAUCUGCUAUAAAAAAAGAAAAAAGAAAAAGAAAAUGACGCUAGAUUACAACCUAGUAUGAAAACCAAAGAACAGCCAUAAUUGUUGAAGAUACCUUUCCUGAUGCUAAUUGAUCCUAAUUGAUCUUGACCGGUUCAUUGAUGGAAGAUUAAAAUAUUGCACGUCAGAGAAUCUUUUUUUUUUUUUCCUUUGUUAUGUAUAUUUUCUUCCCUAAUCAUCUAGACUUCUUGUAUUAUAAAUAGGGUUGUAAUUAAAUUAUCAUACAUGAAAGCAGUACACAAUUCCAAUCUUCAGUUGCUUUUCAUCCUCUAAAAUUUCUGACAUGGUAUAGAGCCUCCCUCCUUAACUUAGCUUCCGCACACCAACAUCCAGCAAAUAUUUGUUUUCUUUCAAGGGAGGUAUCAUGUUGAGAAACCAAAGUUCAAAGGCUGGUGUAUCCCAAGGCCCUGAAACGUCUUCCGACGAUGAAAGAGUAGAUGAUAUUCCCAUGGAGCAUCAACCAGAUUCAACAAUAGAAGAACAGGACCAAACACGACCUAUUGAGGGGCGGUUGGACCAUGUACAACCCAUUCAAUCUAACUCUAGAACUUAUUUUCCAAGCCCAAACGUUUAGUGGGUUCCUGUACAAGUUCAACCCGUCCAACGCCAGACAAAGCAGAGAAGUUCGAACUAUAAUCUCAACCCCAUGGAGCCUGGUGAGAAUGGCGGGCCAGGAGAAGGCCCACCAUUGGUCACCGAGCCCAUUCCAGGAUAUGGACAGGGUUGGUCCUUUUUGGGCCAUAAUGGAUUGGGUCCGUCGUGUUUCAAAGGGAAACCCUACCCGACCUACGGACCUGGUUUCUUUCCAUUUGCAAGUGUCGUCGGUAGACGGCCAAAACCCGAUGAUCCCUAGUAUACUUCCGCCGUCACCAAUCCCUAACUCCACCUCGUCGCCCAGCAACUAUCAAGAAUGGAGAACUAUUCCGUAUGGUAUUGCAAGCUCUACUGAACAUUGAUUACCAAAGACAAGGAAGGAUUUAUUGAUGGCACCGUCCCAAUCCCGACUGAGAUUGAUUGACAUGACAAUGGAGGAAGUGCAAUCAGCUCAUGCAGAACCGGAUAGGGAAUUGCCUCAUGUCAGAGAUUGCUGCCAAACUUCCUACAAUCGAAGACGUAAAGGGAGUAUGGGAAAGUUUGUGAGAAAUGUAUGGGAAGCUCGAUAAAGCUAAAACUUUCUUGCUAACUCAAGCCCUAUCGAAGCUCAAGCAAGCAGAUUUCCAUUGUUUUCAAUCGGUUGUCCACUCUAUGGAACGAACUCGAAAUGGUGGAGGAAAAAUUAGAGGGACCCAAAGCUACUUUGGCUCAAUAUCGAAUCAUGAAAGAUGGGGAAAAGAUAAGACGUCAUUUGCUUAUUCUAAAUGAGUCGUACUUACUGUUUUAAAACCAGAUCUUAGCCAUGGAACUAGUCUCCUUGCUCGAUCGGAUGUACCAGCUCGCAGUUCAAGAGGGAUCUCAAUGAUUGCCUCAUUGGAGUAUGUCAAAGUAGGUGACCGUGUUGUUUCUUGCGGCCAAGGCCUUGUCCGACCAACAACAGCUCGCCUUGAGGUCCGGCCAUCAAGGCUCAUGAAACCCAGAAGCCGCAUUAGGGUUUCUUGGGGAAGAAGACAAUGGGCUAUCUUCAUUUCGAGCGAACAACCAUGAUUUGUUAACUCGAUUGAAUGGCCCAGGAGACACACGAGCUCGGCAUCAAAUGAAUGGGCGAGAUUUCAUCACAAGAUCAAACGGCGCAGGUUAUUCAGCGAGAUUAGAUGAUCCAUCUUUAAUCCUCGCUGCGCCUAGAUUAGAUGGCACACAUCACACCAUGUUAGCACUCGCUUGGAAAGAAUCUAACGGCCCAAAUUCUGCCAUGUCAUUAAGCAAAGCUAAAGGAAAAGGUAAAUUUUGCGAUUAUUGCAAACGCCCUUAUCACACAAAUGAAAAUUGUUGAAAAUUGCUGGGAAGUUAGCAAAUAAAAAAGGAACGAGAUGUCUCCAUCGCAGCACAUGCUAAGGUCAACUAGCCUAUCAAUAAUGAUUAGUCUCAGCAACUUAUGAGGGCUUUAAAUCAUAUGGGAAUACAAGACAAAACGGCCAGUUAUGCAGGUAUUUUUUAUUGUUUGAUGAGCAGUAUUUUGAAUAAAGCAUGGAUUAUUGAUUCAAGUUCUAGUGAUCAUAUAGUUUGUAAUGAACGUUUCUUUUCCAAAAUUAGCAAGUCUUCACCUCAUACUUCUGUACGGCUUCCAAAUGGAAGUGACACUUCCAUUGCCAAAAUUGGGAAUGUUCAGGUCAAUUCAUCCAUCAUACUAAAAAAUGUUCUAAAAAUGUUCUAUUUAUUCCCGAUAUUCACUUUAACCUCAUAUUCGUGUCUAAACUUUGUGAAGAUAACUCUUGUCAGGUCUUUUUCGAUUUUGACGUCUAUUUCUUUUAGGCCCUUUCAACUAGAACACUAAUGGGCUUGGGUAAAAAUCAUGAGGUACUCUAUUUUUUUUUUUUUUUGGGUAAUGAUGAGGGACUCUAUUUUUAGGUUACAUUUCCCAAGACUCUUGAUACGUCUUUCCCUUUGAAUAAGAGCAUCAUAUGUAAUGCCAAUAAUAAUAAUGACAUUUUUUUUUUAAUCUCAUUAGUGUUUAGGCCACAAUGCCUAUUUCCCUCAUCCCAAGUGCUCUAUAUGUCCAUUAGCUAAACAAUCGUGUAUGCCUUUUUUCAAAAAGAACAUCACGUGCUAGCCAAGCUUUCCCUUUUCUAUACAUGGAUAUCCUAGGGAUCAUGUCACAUUCCACAUCGUGAUGGGUCCCCAUUCUUUCUCACAAUUGUGAAUGAUCAUGCACGAGCAACUUGGGUUUUUCUCAUUCAAUCCAAGGCCCGAGUACUUCCUUAUCUCAAGAAUUUCUUUAUCUUGAUUAAAAAUCAGUUUCACAAAUUUGUACAAUGCAUUCACACUAAUAAUGCCCGUAAAUUCUUUAAUCAAUAAUGCUCUUCAUCAUUUCUCUCAAAUGGGAUUCUUCAUGAAAGUUCUUGCACCUAAACUUCCCAACAAAACGGGAUUGUAAAAGAAAACACCGUCAUCUCUUAGAAGUUGGUCGAGCUCUUAAAAACCAAGCCUCAAUUCCCAAAAUUUUCUAGGAAGACUGUGUCGUCACGACAGCCUACUUAAUCAAUCAGAUGCCAUCCUGUUUCUCAACGAAAGGACUUCUUUUGAGUUAUUAUUUGACAAACGUUCUGACAUUCGUUGCCUCCGUGUUUUUGGGUGUUUAUGCUAUGUAUCUACCUUAGGCCCUCGGAACAAACUGGGAUUCACAUAACAAGAAGGAUUUGACUAUAUAGGAACUUUCUCAGUGGCAAAAGAAGUCACCGUUAGGUCAUUUAUUUCCGUUGUUGCUCUUCAUGCUCGGCCCCUCCAUCAGAUUGACGUCCACAAUGCCUUUAUUCAUGGAGAUAUAGACAAGGAAACUUACAUGGACCUUCUUCCAGGAUUACGCAGACAAAGGUAGAAUAGCAUACGUCGUCUUCCUAAAUCCAUCUCCGAGCUCAAAUAGGCCUCUCAUUAAUGGUAUGCCGAAUUCACUAAUGCACUUAUGGCUACAAAGUUUCAGCAAUCCAAGCAUGAUUAUGCUUUAUUAACAUGGAGACAUGGUACAUUAUCAAUUUACGUAUUAUAUAUGUUGAUUAUAUACUCAUUAUGAGGAAUGAUACUUCUGCCAUUGAUAAAUUCAAGAAGUACCUACACUUUACCUUCCACAUUAAGGAUUUUGGAUCACCCAAAUACUUUUUUAGGAUAGCAAUUGCACGAUCAAAUAAAGGCUUUAUUAUAGAGAUCACAUUAGAAGAAGGAUUGUCGAGAUCUAAACCAACUACUAUUCCAAUCAAACAAAAUAUCAGGAUGACAACAAUUGAGUAUGACGCAGGACUAUCACCCAUGAACAAAGAUCCUUUGCUUAACGACCCAUCAACUUAUCAAAGACUUGUUGGGAAACUCAUUUAUUUGCCCAUGACCAAUCCCAACAUUUACUAUGUAGUAUAGAUUCUCAGCCAUUUCAUGCAUGCCCCAAAACAGUUUCACAUAAAUGCAGUAAUAAUAGUUGUAAAGUACUUGAAAGGACGUCUAGGAUUAUGGAUAUUAUCGUCUCAGGACAGCAACAUGGAGAUGACAACAUGAUGUGACAAGGACUAUGCUAGUUUCCCCAUGAGUAGAAACUCUUUUUAUGGGUUUUUGUAUAAAGUUAGGAGACUCAUUACUUUCAUGGAAAACAAAUAAACAAUCAACUGUUUUUUUAUCAUCUGUCAAAGUGGAAUAUCGGGCAAUGGUAAAGACUAGUUGCGAAUAGUCUAGAUAAGAUGCCUACUCAAAGACCUUAGUGUAUGGGUAAAAGAACCAACUAUCUAAUUCUGUGACAAUGAUGUUGCAUUGAAACUUGCAAUGGACCCAAUUUUUCAUGAGAGGACGAAACACAUAAAAGUUGAUUGUCAUUUCAUCAAAGACAAGAUUUAGAAUGGGGUAAUCAAAACAAGAGAAAUAAGAAUAACAAAGCAACCCACAUGUAUUUUUACCAAGGCUCUAUGUCAAAGGUAGCCUUCGUAUCUACUAAACAAGUUAGGUGUAACAUCCUCAAUUUCAACCCUUAUAUUGGUCACAACUAGGAGGCUAAGCUAGAUAAGCCUUGGAUUAGUCAAACAUUCCUAGAAAAUAGAUGUGAACAAGUGUGAAAAGCAUUAAAUGAGGAUGAUGAGUGUGGAGGCUCAUGUGUCCUAAGUAAUUAAUGAAGGGAGGGCGAGUCAUGACUUCAGGAAAAUGAUAGCAAGUGAUCUUGCAAGCUAAGUAGAGCGCCACCUCUCGUUCAUAGAUUUGCAACCUUGAGUUUCACAAGUUUUGAUUUCCCAGCUUUUUGAAAUUGCUGGACCUUUCCUACUUUUCAAUUUUAUAGAGCUCUUUGUACUUCGAAUUUGGAGAAACUUCUUUCAUAAAAGUUUUUCUAAACAUCUUGAUUUAAAACAUAAUUAAAUUUCAUACUUUUCUAAGGUGAAAUGGUUGGGACGAAGGUCCAAUCAAUUACCGUACAGAACCUGCUCAGUAUAGUGAAAACGGUAAUCAAAUUGUUUUCUCACAUUUUUAUAAAAUCUUCCCUUUCGAAUUUGGACAUGCUUCCUUCAAAAAAGUUUUAAAUGACGUCCAUAUCUACAACAUAUUAAAAUUUCAAAGAUUUUUGUGAAGAUUUGGAAUUCGAAAUGAGUCUAUCUCUCCAACUGUUGAAUCUGCUUGACGGACGAAUAUUUGGGUUGUGUUCAAUGAUUUGCUGCUCUUUCCACAGCACGAAUUUGACUUGACUUCCUUCAUGAAAAAUGUCUCUUAAGGUCUUCUCUUAAACAUAUUAAAACUUCAUAAGUUUUUGAUUCUGUUUGAUAAGGUAAAGACACUGAGUUCGGAAAUUGUUCAAAACUGUUUUUCUCACCCAAGAGGUAUGAGUCACGCCCAAGCUUGGACUCAAGUCCUUAAAUGCCAUGUUGAGGUGUACCUAAUGAUCUCUUCCUUAGCCUCGGAAUCAACUUGGAGACUUUUCUAGAUUGCCUUCUUGAGGAAGGAAAACUUGCCUUCUUAAGGAAAGAAAGGAAAGUAGAAAGAAAACUAGAAUUCCUUCAUGAAGAAGGUGAGGUGUCCCUUGACUCUUCAAAGGUCAUGAUUGUGAUCCAAAAUAUCUUGGAUAUUCUAGAAAAGUGGCAUACACAUGGACCAAUUGGAGAGCGAUACAUGGGCUCUCAUUAAUAACCGAAGAUUCUAGAAUUUGCUGAGUUGGUAACUUUGAAAUUAUUAUUGUCAAACUUCAUUAAAUGCUCAUUCAAUGCGAGGUAUAGGUGGACCAAUGGAAAAGUGAAAAGCGGGUCAUCAUCGAUGAUGCCUAUGAGCUUAGGUUGCCAGGUUAGGCCUUUUAGUUUUCAAACUCAUCAUUUAGGAUUCAAUUAUAGGACCCAUAGCCUUGCCACCCAAGGAAUUUAGACGGGACACUUGGAAACAUUGGAAUGGACCGCUUGACAUGGUAAUGAUGGCUCAGAGGGCUAUAAAUAUGAGGAGCUCUCUUCAUUUCCCUCACUUUACUCCCAUUUUCUCCACCCUCCAUCUCCUUGAACAUCUUCCACCUCACGUCUCUCUCUCAGCCUUGCUCACCCAUUGCCUCAUCGGACGACCUUCUCUUGGUAAAAUCACUUAUAGUUUAUCGAGGUUUAUUGAAGGUAAGUAGAAUCUCUAACUCUUGGCUAGGGCGAUAACCUACAUCGUUGAGUUUAGUGGUGUGCUCACCCGUGUAAGUCGUGUGUAUGUUAUAAUGUUCUUUUGUAUGUUUGUUCAUUUUUGCAUGUUUGAGUGUGUUCACGCCCCGGGACAAGGUCAAGGUUCGCUAGGCUUGGAAUUGAUGUCAAGUCGCGACGGCCUAAGCAUUUGACGCAAGCCACGAACCAAUAAUCGUUCUCGGCAUAUUUUAUAAUAUGAUGUUGAGGAUCAUGGCAUACUCACUUGAAUGAGCAUACCCUCGGGUCUUGCAUACUUUGGCUAAGAUAAAAGAUGAAAAUCCGGUUUGUGUGAUGCACUUAUGCGUGCACUUAAAGAGGAAAAAGUGUCCGUUGCCACAUAGUGUUGGUGGCGAUGCCUUGUUCAUUGAACGGGAUGCCCUGGUUGAGCCAUGAUGCUUAGGUUUGAGCCCGGAUGCCUCCGGUAAGCUAGCCCCAGGAUGCCCUAGUUGAGCCAGAAUGCCUAGAUUGAGCCUGGAUGCUUUGGUGAGCUAGCGCCAAGAUGCCUUAGUUGAGCCAAGAUGCCCUGGUUGAGCCAGGAUGCGUUGCUUGAAGCUGGAUGCCUCGAUUAAGUCGCGAGGGCCUAGUUGAGCCAGGACAACGAUAAAUGAAUUUUCAUGAGUGCCGGUAUGCAUAAGCAUAAUAUGUGGAUAUGUUCAUUGAUGUGCUAAAGGUAAGCAUGCAUUGAAAUAUACGGUAAUUGACAUAUGCAUGUAGUCGAGGUGUAGCAAUAAGUUUGCUAAUGAUCCACCAUCAAUAUUGCAUGGCGAGUGUUGUACCUACUAAUUUUGAUGAUGAGAUGUCUUCCUAGUAGAGAAUUAGGGGUUUAACUUACUGAGUUUCCCCAAAACUCACCUCUCAUCCUUUUAGUAUUGUAAACAUGAAAGUCUCACGUCAAUUUUGGGAGUUGCAAUCUUGCUAGAGGAGCUAAGGUUUACCCUGACCUUUUGAAGAUGUGGUAGUUGUAAAUAUAACAACCGUGAUAAAAAGGCCUUGUGAAUGUAACAAUGUAAUUGUAUUGUUUGUAAAUGAUUGUUUUCCUGGCUAAUUGUUGUGACAUCUUGAUUUUCAGACUCUGUUUUCGAUUAAAUGAGUUGGGCUUUUCAUCGACGCGUCUAUAGUUCUUUUCCCUGAGUUGAUCACUCACAGGAUAACUAGUCUAUCAGGUGAAGUCAUUAAGGAAUCUAAACGCAAUAGACUUAAGAAUUUGAUCAGAAAUCGACUGCUCGACCGUGCUAAUCAGCAAGGGUCAAUAUGGUACUGUCAAAAUCUAUCAGAGAUCAGAGAUAGGUCAGUUCGACAGAGGUAUGUGAUUAAAGUGUGGGUGAUUCUACCUAAUUGCAAAAUUCUAAUCAAACAGCAUUAAACCGAUUUUUCUGUCAUUUCUAUACCAUGUACCCAUAUUUAAAACCUCGAGAUUUUCACGACAACCGAGAGUCGCCAAUGAGUCGAAGAUGUACAAUGUGGCUUGAAAAUAAUCGACCACGGGUCAAAUGCACUAAAAAUUCCUAAAAGCUACCCGGUACGUUAGGUCACGCUAAAAUCGCAUCCGGUUGAAAUUAACUGCUAAAUUGAACUCGAUAAAGUUCUGUCAUGUCACGAUUUAUUUUAGGAACGUCGACUCAUCCUCUGAAGAUUUUUCUGCAAACCUUAGUUUUUGUAAAAAAUCAAAGUUUGGCGAAAUUGGACCGAGAAAGUUAGAUGGGCAUUUUUGGUUGCACUUUUGUGGCAUCCCAAAAAUUCAAUACAAACUUUAAGGUGUAUUAAAGCCCAUAAUUAGGUAAUGGAAUUGCCUAUGGUCUAUGUUUUAGCCAUUAGUUUUCUCUUAAGACUAAAUGAUAUAUGCUUGUGUUCAUGAAUUUUUGGAAUUAGUAUUACAGGAUAAAUUAAUGAGAAUAAUCUAUUCUUGGCUAUGCACCUCAGACUAAAUUCCUAUAGAUAAAAUGUUACAAGAUUUUGGCCAUGUGAAAUUAAAAACUUGAAACCUACAAAAGAAAGAAUUAAAAGUGUUUAAAGGUAAAAUUUAGGGUUUAAUUAGGUUUGGGCCUUAGGCCCAAUAGCUUGGAUCUUUAAUGGGCCAAAAUGGCCGGCCCAUUGAGGCCCAUGGAGAGGUGACCGUCGACCAAGGAGGGGAGGAGUGGCUGGCCCACUUCUUCCAAGCCCAAGCCCAUCUUGCAUGAGCCUUGCCAAGUGGCAAAAAGGAAGGCUCCAUGCAUUGGCUUGUGGGGAGGCACACUAUCAUUGCUAAUGAUGGAAAUUUGGGGAAACAAAAGGGAUAGAGACCGGCUGAUGGAGGGGCUUCGUCCAAGAGAGUGAGAGAGAGAGAGAGAGUUGCGAGAGAGAGAGGGGAAGCCGAGAGAGGAGAAGAAGGAGCCGUCGCCGUCCGUUGGCCGUCCGUGUGCCGUCCAUGUGCCGCCGUCCGCUUGAUUUUAGAGGCAAGUUUGGAUCAAUUUCUACUCUUGCAUGUGUGGUUGAAUUCUUGGGUAUUUAGAGGUAAGGAACCGAAGCUAAUGUGGUUUGUUCUUGAAAAUGCUUGUUGAUUUCGUGUAAACCGCAUGACCCAGAAACUUAUGGAGGCUUGCAUGCAUGUUUCGAGUUGGAUUUUGACUUCAAUUCCUUCAUGAAAGUUGUAGACAACAUCUCAAAGUAUAACAUACUAAAAUGUGAGACAAAAUGGCUGAUAUUCAAGGGGUUAAACUCUUCUUCUACGAAGACACUAGAUCUGGAACUGCUUUGUCGACCUUUUGUUAGUUUUGUGGGUUGCAUGUUGCUUUUUACCGAGAAUCUCACUUCGACUUCUUCAUGAAACUUGUAUAGAACAUCCUAAAGACUAACAUACUCAAAUUUCAGGUAAAAUGAGCAAGUGUAACCUAGUGAAUCGACUUUCUCUUGAAGACGGUAAAUCUGGAAACACGGUACUGGACACCCAAGACUUCUUGGACCCAUAUGGUGACUAUUCUUUGGAAAUUUCACUUAGAUCCCUUGAUAAAAGUUGUAGGGGACCUCUUGAAGAAAAACAUAUCCAAAUUUCAGAGGAAAAAAAGAAGAAUAAGUGGGUGAAAACUCGAUAUUUUGGAGAUAGCUAUACUGGACGUUUCGGUACUAGAAGCAGGAGCUUUGGACGCCUAUAGAAAAUUAUCUAGAACGAAUCUGGCAUAGAUGUCUUCAUGAAAAAUCUACUUUACUGACUUCACUAUAACCUGGUAAAAUUUCAUAAUUUGCGGAGGUCAUUCGGGUAUUUUAAUCGAAUUAUUUCAAAAAUUGCGCAAUCUGUUUCUAUCCGAAAUUACAUGCUGUAUUUGUGUGAUUUAUAUCUUCUUUUAUGGAACUCUUUUGGACAUGUGUUUUUCAUGAAAUUGUUAUCUUAUUGUCUUGUCUAUCACAUGUCCUUAUUUCAUGAUUUUUGAGAAUCAUAUGGAUAUUUAAUUUAAAUAUUUUCUAAAAUGGUACAAGCUGGAAUUUAAUAAACUUCAAAAAGGCAUGGUAUGUGGAUUAUUUUAAAUUGUAUGGACUCCAUGAAUUGCAUUGUUAUGAAUGAUUGUGUCUUGCUGCAUGUAUGAUGAUGAUUGGAAAUGCAUAUAUGAAUCAAAGGAUGAAAAUGAUCUUGAUUUGCCAUCACAUCACAUGCCAUGUUAAAAUUGAAUUAUAAUUGAAGAUGUGAAUUGAGAUAAGUAAGAAGGCCAUCGGAGGUGUGAGCCGACGAUGCCCUGGGAGUGUUGGGAUGCCUGGCUAGAAGGGUACGGCCGGUUGCCUGGUGGCCUGGAAUGGCCAGAUGUCGGAGGGUCCUCAGGAGUUUCGAGAUGCCCGGAGAGUGGGGGAGCUGGAAGCUCGGCAGGUAUUGUGCUGAGGGAUGCCUCGUGAUGCCAGUUGGGGUACGAGAUGCCUGGCAGGUAUUGUGCCGGAUGGUUCUCGCAAUGCCAGGUGGGGUGCGAGUGAUGAAUGUGGGAUGCAAACAUUAGUCCCGGGAAAGAGAAAUGUGGCAGUCCAAAAUGAAAGGAUGAAAUUGAGAAAUUGAAAUUGAAUUAUGCAUGAUGGUAUAUGCAUGACAUGAUGAUGAUAUGUGCAAGGAUGCAUGGUAAUGAUGAUGGUACAUGUGAUAUAUGAUGAUAGUAAGUGCAUGGAUGUAUGUGCACCUAUGACAUGAUGAUGAUAUGUGCAUGGAUGCAUGGUAAUGGUGAUGGUACAUGUGAUAUGAUGAUGAUGAGCGCAUGGAUGCAUUGUAAUGAUGAUGGUACAUGUGAUAUGAUGAUGAUGAGUGCAUGGAUGCAUGGUAAUGAUGAUGGUACAUGUGAUAUGAUGAUGGUAAGAGUAUGACAUGAUGGUGAUGACUAUAUGAUGAUGUAUGUACAUGAGGUAUGAUGACAUGUGCAUGAUAUCAAGGUAAAUUGUGCAUGGAUGCUUUAAUGACAUGUGAUGCUAUGAUUGUGAUGAUUGUGUGGCAUGAUGCACUGAGUGGUUUAUUGGUCCUUUACCUGCUGAGUGGUUGUACUCACCCCUUCGGGGACCAACAUUUCAGAUUAGAGAGAUGCCACUCCCUGCUGUCACGCGGGGCGUCUUUUACGGCCUUCCUUCGGAUGUGGAGGUCGAGUGCGUGGAGAUCAACUGUCCCACCAUCCCUGGUCUUACAUUUAUUCGGGUUCGUGCGAUAGUGAUGUACGAUAUAGGCCUGGCUGAGGGCCCCGUCAUUCAGGAGUUCAUAUCAGUUCACGUUUGACGAGAUGGGGCAAUGCGAGGGAUGUUGCCGCCACCACCACCUGAUGCAUCGGGAUGGGUGUGAGGGCAUGUGCGUGAGAAGUAGGAGCUGCUACUUUUUGGAAAGUAGUCGAUACUAGAUGAUGGGGGGAUCUUACAUGAUAGACAUAAUGGGUCGAGUGUUUCUUUUUAGGGUUAUGGCCGAGUGUAGCUAAAAAUCUUAGCCUUUCUUUUGAUGUACCGACCCAAGAAAAUUCAUCAUGAAAAUAUGUAAAUAAAAGUGUCUGGGCUCUACCUUUUCUUAUAAUGUUUAGUGGUGUGCAAUUGUAUAAUGAUUGUUGGAGGGAGAGAUGGCGAUAUUAAGUUUUGCUUCCGCUAAUGAGUCGCGCUGGGACUGUUUUAAAAAAAAAUGCCUAGGAACUAAGGUACUUCUUUGGUAAGAUGUGGCGACCUUGGGCGCUUCGGGGUGUCACAACUUUUGGCAUUCAAGUUGGUUCCCUUGGAUAGCUGCAUCUCCUCCUUCUUCUUCCUCCUAGCUGCUCCUUUCUCCAUUGUUGUUGCUGUGUGAGAGCUCAAGACCAGCAGAGAAGACUAGCCAAGCCUCUUGUAGUCGCCGCACACCGUUCGAGCAUCGCUAGAGCCACUCACCCGUGCCCGCAAGCCGUUCGUGUGUCCCUGCUGUCCAGCACUCGCACACCAUCCUAGCAAGCCCAACUUGCCAUCCCGAGCCGCCUCUGCUGUCUAGGCCGUCUACCAAGCCAUGGUCACUACCCUCAAGCCGCCGGACUCCUGCCACCACCCGCCUGGACCCUCCUGGACCCGUCGUGUCCCUUUUCCAUGCCAACUGAGCCUCGACCAGCCCCUUUCAACCACCAAGCAGAACCGAAGCUUCAACUUCGGGCUGAGCCUUCGUGGGCCUUUUCCGAGCUUCUCUUGGCGUCGCUCCAAGCUUGAGUCUUGCCCGCCUUGGCAUUACCGUCACCGAGAACUCAUCGGAUCGCAAAAUCGGUGAGUUUACUCACUAAACCUUGCUUAAGAGGUUAAUUAUGCUUAAGGAUUGAUUAGAUUAGACUAAGUAUGUCUUAGGUACUUAGUUAGAUAUAAUUAGUGAUUUAGUUGGUUAAUUAGAAUUAUUAGGUGGUUAGAUUAUAUUAGUUUAGGGUUAAUUAGAUUGUACUAUUUAAUUAAUAUGGUACAUUAUUUUUCUAGAUGCAAUUAGGUGGCUAAAUUAGUGUUUUAGGCCUAAGUAUGUAUUUAUUGAUUUAAUUUGCAUUCAUUUAAUUAAUUUUGUAAUUUAUUUAAUUAUUUAAUAUUUUUCGAAAAUUAUACCAGUAUAGCUGGUGGCCGAAAUUUCGUGCUGAUUGCAGUGGUGUGCUUAGUUUAUGCAAUUGAUUGCUAAAUUAUACAAUUGAGUGGUGAUUGUUAAUUUUGGGUUAUUAUUUCAAAAUUGUGAAAUUUUGGUAUUUAAUUAGAAAAUACCAAGUGUCGGGUUUUGACACUGAAAAUGCUUUUAAAUACUAUAUCAAAUAUUGAGAUUUUAAAAUGAAUGAUAUCAAUUUUUAAGGUUCGAUUUGACCGUGUAUCACACACGAUUGUUUUACCGGGUGUUCUUAAUAUGAAGAAAAUAGGUCAAACACAUUAUUUAAAUUGAGACAUUUGAGUGCAAAGCACAAUGUCCUUAGCUGUGUUUGAAUAAGCGUGUGGUCAUGAUCAGAACCUGUCACCCGCCGGGAGUCAGUGAGAUGAUACUGUACCAGCAAUUGGGAGUUGGCCGGGGCCAUGACACCGUACAGGCAACUGGGGAGUUGGCCGUAUCAGCAAUUGGGGAGUUAGCUGAGUCGUCGACUGGGGAAUUGACCAGAUCGUCGACUAGGAAGUUGACCGAAUAGUUGACUAGGAAGUUAGCUGUAUCGCUGAUUAGGGAGUUAGCCAUAUUGUCAACUGGGAAUUGACCGUGGCCAAUGGGUCGUAAGAACUAGAACAUGCAUAAGUAAUUGAAAUAGCCACGCUUGAUUAUGGGACGAAUGGGACGUGUCAUAACGGUUUGGCUUUAUAAUCGAGACCCCUGUGAGUAUUUGAUGGUUGAUUUGCAGUGUUUCGAUUGUUCAACAUGUUUGUCGUAUGCAUAUGUAUAUGAACUAUACUAAUGUGCAGGGAGGAACUGAGGCGAGGUGAGUCUCAUUAAUUGUGUGGUUAGGCCGCCGCUAGGCAUAUUUCAUUCCUAAUUGGGGUUUAGGGCAUGAACUCGCUGAGAUUUAUAUCUCACCCCAUUGUGGGUUACCAUUUUCAAGUACCUAGUGUGGAGGAUCCAGAGCCGGAGGCUAAAGGGUCUGGAGCAUAGGUGGCCUAGGGUUUCCUUUUGGACAUAGACCUGUAUAUAAACCUAAGGUGUUUAUAAAAGUGUGUUUGUGAGAUUGGUUGUCCUACUUUUCUAUCCCAUGUUGAUUGUUAUCUGAGGAUUAUUUUAUUAUACGCUUCUGCAUGUGUAUAAUCGAUUGGGUCAGCGACACAUCCUAAGAACGUCACAAUUUUAUCGACCACCAAGGGAUGUGCGCGCACUUGAGGUUUGGAGCGUGACAUACUUGCUAUUGUCCAGGUGUUGUAUGUAUGCUUCCGCAUGUACUUAAUGAAAAGAUAAAAAGAAAUGGGACGGCGAUGCGCCUGGGACGUUGUGAAAAUAACCUUUGUUGCUCAUGACCCUGGGGAUGGAGUCGGGGUCGUGACAUUAGGCGUCCUUGAUGUGUAUAGACCACCAAGCUUGAGGGGGAGUGUUGAAGAUACUGUUGUUGAUACUAAUUGAUCUAAAUUGAUCGUGACCAGCUCCCCUCAUUUAAGCAGCCAAGAUUAGUUAAUUACAAAAGUUUGCAGACACAAAUUCUCUCGAUUGCAAACCCAAAAUGCAAAUUUGCAACUCGUUAAGAAAUCAUUGGAGGACACCGAAUUCUCUCUCUUGUGCUACUCAACCUAACAAGCCCCCUCUCUGUUUCUCUCUACCUGUGGGUCAGAGAAGGUGAGGUUGGUGAAGAAGCAUCACAAAAGAGGGAUUUAUUGAAAAUAAACCAGUUUAACCACCCCUGUCCACACGGCGGCCGUGGCGACAAGUGGAAUUGAGAGAUGAUCAAGGUGGAGGGAUAGAAGAAGCAUAGAGGGUUGGCGAGAUUUGAGGGGAGAGAAAGGCGAGGAUCGUUAUAGUAAGGGUGGUGGAGCUGCUUUGUCUCUACGGAUAGAGGCAGAAAGAAGAGAUGAGGCCUGGGUUGAAAAGGAAGAAGAACACCCCGAGUGCUAAAACUUGACACGGAUGGACAGAUAAGUGCCAAAACUUAUAAACUAUUCACUAAAGUGCCAAAAUCAGAGGAAAAAUAAACACUUAAGUGCCAACGGCGAGAAUUUCUGCCCAAACAAUCAAUCCAGUUUUUUCUGGCAAGAUUAACAAAUGUGGCAAUUCUUUUAAAAUAAAUUACAGGGCGAAUGAUGUUGUGCCGUCCACAUAGACUGCAAGAGACGAUGCUAAACGACAUCGUUUUGACACUCAAGUGUUUAUUUUAACUAUGAGUGAUACUUAAGUGAUCAUUUAUACUACAAUUUGACACUUAAGUGAUAUUUUUUUAAUUGUGACUGGUAUUUAAGUGAACAUGGAGGAUGACAUCGUUUUAAACAAGGAUGUUUAGUAGAUAUUUCGGGGAGCGACGUAGAGUGGUUUUAUUAAAAAAAAAUAACGCCAUGUUGGAUUUCCAACAAGCUUGUCAGAGUUGGCACUUAGGUGCCCAUUUUUUUUUUUUUUAAAAGUGACACUUAAAUAUACAUUUUGAAAGUUUUGUUAUUUAUGUGUCCAGUUGUGCUAAAUUUUGACACUUGAAGUAUUCUUCUACCAAUUUAAAAGUGGGUUUGCUACUUAACCCACUAAAACCCAUUUUUGAUUUUGCCUUUUCCUUUAGAACCCAUUUUGACUCAUAUUAUUUUAAGUUUAAGUUGAAUUGUUUAUGACCUUCCUUCAUAAAUAUGAGUUAAGAUAUAAGUUUGUGAUUCAUUUUGAUAGCUCUAGCCUAGUGUAUUCAGAAUUUUAUUCCUAAAGUACUCCAAUUAAGCUUGAUUCCAUGAUUAUAAGGGAUAAGCAAACUCCUUUUGCCACGUAAGCCAACACUCCGUUGGUCAUGGUUAUUUAACUUAGUAACCAAACGUAGCGUGUACAAUACCAAGGUACAUAUUGGAAAAGAAAUUACUCUUCUUACAAAUUGUAGAUUAAUCAGACCCCAAUAGAAAUUUUUUCCCAAAGUCAUAUUAUUUCAAAUAAUAUUUGUGAAAGUAUUAGUGCUUUAAUGUAAAUAUAACUAUUUUCUAUAGAAGAUAAUCCUUGCAACCAAUAUAUUUCAUAACGUAAACAAUUGAUAAAUAACUAGUGACAUAUUGAAAGAUGGUUCGUCAAUAAUCACCUAUGCCUUAAUAAAUUUAUCAUAAUAUUCACACUAACUCAUGAAUUACACAAAUAUAGUUUUAAUGAAAUUGGUUGCGUAAGUUGAUACAUUGAAAAACGAUUCAUCGUUAAGCAGUUAAAUGUUAGUGACCUCAUGAGCUGCACUUGCAAAGUGUGCAGCAUACUAAUUGUUUUCAUGGGUUAAAUUCAUCACAGUAAAUUAGAAACUACAAUAGAAAAUUUAAAAAGAAUUUGAUGAUAAUCUAAUGAUAUUGGCUAAUUCUUUAUAGGGAUGGUACUUUACUGAUUAAACAUGUAAAAUUACAAGAGGUUACUAACUUACUAAUUUGUCUAGAUGUUGGCAAAUUCUUUAUAUGGUUGCUAUCUUACAUAUUACAUUUAUAUUAAUUCAAAAAAUUUGGCGAAAACGGCGCCCGGGAGAGUACAUGUGAUUUGGUGAUUGGAAAUGACCUAGAGAUAGUUCGACUGACAUGUAAUCGACUAGGUCGAUUGAUCAAUGAUUUGAUCCAAUUGUCGUGAAUUGAUUGAUUGUUUGAUGCAAUAUAUGAAGCAUCUGUAUAUAACCUUGAAUUGCAGGUUGGGAUUGAUGCCAAGGUAAGUCUUCUGACUCGGGUUGUGCUUAGGCAACCAUGUGGUGUAUUGGUUUCCUAAUCGAGUCUUAGUGGGGUAAAACUUGCUGAGAUGUAGUCUCAAUGGUUAUUGUAUAACCAUUUCAGGCCCCUAGAUGGCAACAUCGGUACCUCCCCCUCCUCCAGAGCAGUUUGGCAUUCUAGUGGAUAUCUCUGAGAAAGAAACUCACUUCCAUGUUCAUCCUCAUCCAGAAGGGUUGGAGUAUGUUUUGAUUGAGUCGACGAUGUGGGUUGAUGUCGGCUAGGAUGACUUGGUACCUCACGAGUAUCGGUCUUGGUAUCACUACUAUUUUGAUGGGCGAAGAAUAGGUCCCAUCCCUGAAGAGAACAUACUUUACCCCAUCCUAGAGGAAGCUUUUGGUGAGGGGACUGCAGACCCCGAUGGUGGAGGCAUAGAUCAUGCCAGAGAUCCUACACUCAGGAGUGAGCCGACUUCCCCUGUGUACACUGUAGAGGAUGAAAAUUUUGAGGAAGGUGAGAUUGUGGAACAAGAAGUGGAAGGUCCAAAGGAAGAUGAGGAGUGGGGAAUAGCUGAGGAGGAGCCAGUAGAAGAAGAGCCUGAAGAGGAUGAAGAGCCUGAGGAGGAGGAAAGUGAGUCACAAGAAUCAGAAGAGGAUUAGGAUGAUCCUGAGUACGACCCGGAUGAGGACUGAGAUCCCAUCCUCUUUUGUGAACCCUGUAUAUAUGUGGAUAGAGUGAGACUGGAAAGUUGUGAAUAGUUUUGUGAAAUACCUUGGGUUGUGCUAUGUUUAAAAGUAUGAUUGUGAAUUUCAAUAUGAAAAAUAUGGCCUUGCUUUUCUAUCCCACUAUUUUAUUGUCUGGAGAUUUAUAACUACUUCCGCAUGUGCUAUUAAAAAUGAAAGGGUCGGCGAUACAUAGUCCUAGGAUAUCACAUUCUAAAAUUGACCAAGUAGAAGGAUGUAUGCAUGCCCGAGGAUCGGGGCGUGACAAGGGCCACCCUCAUUAAUUGUUGGUAAGGGCCGACGAGGGCCUAGUAGUCCUUGCUAAAUCUAGCGAGGGUCGGCCUCGCCUGGGGCCGAUGAGGGCUCGACGACCCUCGCCCUGGGGGAGGCUACCUUUGCGGCCAUCGGUGAGCUCACCAUAUUUGGGCGAGGGAUGGCCUCGCCUAGGCAAGGUGACAUUGGCCCAGGGUGAGGUUGCCCUCGCUGCCCCUGUGGCCAGCGAGGGUCGCCUAGCCCUCACCAGCGAUUGUUGGCCCUUCCCCAAAAAAAAAAAAUGAAAAAAGGAAGGAAUGGAAGAAAGAAAAGGAUAAAAAUAUUUUAGACUAACAUUGUAAUUGGACAAAAUUGUCAUGACCGGUUGGAAUAUUUAGUUGGCUGCGAUCGGACGAGUCAGCUCUUAUUUGAAUGACGCAACUUUUGGAGCUAUUAUUUUGAAAACAAUCAUGGUUACUUCAAGCCGUUAUUAUGACACAAAAUCUUCUUUGGACCUCAUUAAGAAAAAUGAGAGUACUUCAGACUCUUCUUUAGAAUUUUUCUCGUUGGCUUUUCACUUUACACAUUAUUAAAGAAAAAUAUUUAUUUCCAAAAAAUGUGCAUAGCAAAGAAAAUAAUCUAAUCUAAUAAAGAAAUCCCUACUAUCGAAUAAUAUCUUUAACAAUAUUCUUUAAUAAUGAAAUCUCUAAUAUCCAUAUAUAUUCUUCAUCAAGUAAAUUAUUGCGCAAAAGAUAAACGAAAAUAGAAAAGUAAUGAUAUAUAGAAAGUUUGAUUUCUUGGCUUCCGCACAUGCCAUAGUCACCGGUUUUUCGACCCAUUGCAUAUGGGGCCUGCAAAUGCAGAUGCGUGGGGAAGAGAGUAGAGAGAGAAUCACGUUUUGACUCCGGACGGUAAAACACACUUUUUUGUUUCUCUCUAAUCACUCUCUCUCGCUCACCUCUCUCUCUCUCUCUCUCUCUCUCUCGGUUGUUUCUUUUACCUCUGCCUCUACUCGCCAGUCCACGAGCAUCCGGAUUUAUCCUCCCAUCGUCUCUCUCCAAAUCUCGGUCAAAUCUCCAUCUUUUUCUUUCGUUUUUUUUUUUUGGUAAAAAAAAGGAGUCAGCCAUCUUUUUCUUUCGUUUUUACUUGAAGAUGGGUGAAAGGCGCUCUUCUUGAAGAAUGACUCGUGGGGAUGGAACGCAAGGAAGAAGAAAUUACUGAGAUCGAUUAAUAUCCUAAAAUUCUUAAGUAUAAUUCUUCAGUUGGGACUAAGAAAAAAGAAGUGACGUAUGACCAAAAGCCAAUUCUCGGACCCACGAUUUCUUUUUUCAUCUUUUUCGUUUAUAAUUUCCUUAGUCUUUUAUCGAAAUAUACAUGUGAAAUAGCAUAUAUUGAUCAAUAUAUUUAUGUGUUUGAACGAAAAUUCAAAAGAAACAAAGACGGAGGUGAAGAAAUACGAUCGAGUAAUUGAUUCAAUGCGGUAUGACUUCUAUGGAUUCCAAUGAUUCUUGAUAUAAUGGGAUGAUUGGAUGCGGGCAGUUGAGUGGCGUAGAUGAAAGUAAAGAAAUUCUAGGGGUUAAGAAAUAAAAAAGAUACAAAAUUGGUAAAGCAUGGGGGGACACAUAGAAAGAUGACGAUUUGCCGAGGGUUAAAAGGAAAAAGAUAAGAAUUACAAGAGGAGCAAUUAUUUGUUUAUCGAGCUGUCAAACGAAGUCGGGGGGGGGGGGGGGGGUAAGGAGUCCUAAUUCGUCGGGUAUUCCAUAAAGGAAUUGGAGCGACGCAGAUGACGACGACGAUGGGGUUAGACAAAAGAAGGUUGCCGAUAGAAGGUGUCUUCACGGGUCAAAUGUUGGAUGCAAAUUGCGCAACCUCAAGAUCUCCAUAAAUAGAACGAGAACAUGCGUAAUUAAGUAGAAAGAUUAACGUACCUGUUUUGGGAUCCAUCGAACAUAAAGCGGAAGCAGAAAAUGAAUUACCCACUCAUCAUCAAGGGGAUCCAUGCAUCAAGUACUUCUCCUCUAUUGCCCUCGUAUCACUGGCUCAAUGAGGCAGCCCCCUCACAUUUAGCGUUAGAUAAGCGCCCGUUAGGUGAGGAUACAUCUGAGAAUUAGAGUUAGAGGAGAGACUUAAGCACUAUUUAUAGAGUUUCCAGCCAGACCCCCUCAUUACGGGCGAGAUUCAACUCAGCCCACACUAGCCAGCCCCAUAUUAGACUAAUUAAGAAACCUUCUAUCUCACCUUAGACCAACUCUGUUUUACGGUAACCGUAAAAACAGUAAAUUACAAUAUCAAUUAAUGUAGUCCACAUUAGGAANNNNNNNNNNNNNNNNNNNNNNNNNNNNNNNNNNNNNNNNNNNNNNNNNNNNNNNNNNNNNNNNNNNNNNNNNNNNNNNNNNNNNNNNNNNNNNNNNNNNNNNNNNNNNNNNNNNNNNNNNNNNNNNNNNNNNNNNNNNNNNNNNNNNNNNNNNNNNNNNNNNNNNNNNNNNNNNNNNNNNNNNNNNNNNNNNNNNNNNNNNNNNNNNNNNNNNNNNNNNNNNNNNNNNNNNNNNNNNNNNNNNNNNNNNNNNNNNNNNNNNNNNNNNNNNNNNNNNNNNNNNNNNNNNNNNNNNNNNNNNNNNNNNNNNNNNNNNNNNNNNNNNNNNNNNNNNNNNNNNNNNNNNNNNNNNNNNNNNNNNNNNNNNNNNNNNNNNNNNNNNNNNNNNNNNNNNNNNNNNNNNNNNNNNNNNNNNNNNNNNNNNNNNNNNNNNNNNNNNNNNNNNNNNNNNNNNNNNNNNNNNNNNNNNNNNNNNNNNNNNNNNNNNNNNNNNNNNNNNNNNNNNNNNNNNNNNNNNNNNNNNNNNNNNNNNNNNNNNNNNNNNNNNNNNNNNNNNNNNNNNNNNNNNNNNNNNNNNNNNNNNNNNNNNNNNNNNNNNNNNNNNNNNNNNNNNNNNNNNNNNNNNNNNNNNNNNNNNNNNNNNNNNNNNNNNNNNNNNNNNNNNNNNNNNNNNNNNNNNNNNNNNNNNNNNNNNNNNNNNNNNNNNNNNNNNNNNNNNNNNNNNNNNNNNNNNNNNNNNNNNNNNNNNNNNNNNNNNNNNNNNNNNNNNNNNNNNNNNNNNNNNNNNNNNNNNNNNNNNNNNNNNNNNNNNNNNNNNNNNNNNNNNNNNNNNNNNNNNNNNNNNNNNNNNNNNNNNNNNNNNNNNNNNNNNNNNNNNNNNNNNNNNNNNNNNNNNNNNNNNNNNNNNNNNNNNNNNNNNNNNNNNNNNNNNNNNNNNNNNNNNNNNNNNNNNNNNNNNNNNNNNNNNNNNNNNNNNNNNNNNNNNNNNNNNNNNNNNNNNNNNNNNNNNNNNNNNNNNNNNNNNNNNNNNNNNNNNNNNNNNNNNNNNNNNNNNNNNNNNNNNNNNNNNNNNNNNNNNNNNNNNNNNNNNNNNNNNNNNNNNNNNNNNNNNNNNNNNNNNNNNNNNNNNNNNNNNNNNNNNNNNNNNNNNNNNNNNNNNNNNNNNNNNNNNNNNNNNNNNNNNNNNNNNNNNNNNNNNNNNNNNNNNNNNNGUACGUAUGUGCGCACAUUUGGUCCAGAGAUAAUUCUUAAUAGUCAAUUCUAUCCCAUAAAGUUUUAAACACCGAAUCAUAGCGGUAACUGCAUGUAUACACAUAGAGACUUCCAUGGUCACAAGUGCUCUCAACUUUAUUGAGAUGGAUUAAAUAUGGUAGUGUGGCAAAUGGAUGACAUCUCUCUUAGAGAGAUCCCAUUUGUCAGUCACCAUUAUCUUACCUUAGGCAUCACAAAAACUUGUGCCACUAGAGAAUGCUUUAUGGUUCUAUGAACCCACAUAUGUCUUGUCCUUAUGGUUAACAUUUAUUUAUGUAUAACAAGACAUAUGGACAAGGCUAAUAACCAGAUGCCCCUAGCCUUCACUCAAGGUUUAUACAAUACCUUGAGACUUUAUCGAUAUGUAUUCAACAUAAUAACAACACAUUUAAAAAUAUUUUAUUGAAUGCAAAAGUUGAUACAUAUCAAACCGUUACUAAAUGUAACGAACACAGAUGAAACCUUUAUCAGAGUAAAGCCAAAAUAGCUCCCACCAAACCACAGCAUCUCAUAAUGCUCUCAAGCCCAUGCUAAUAACAUGUCACUCAAAUACACAUGGACGUAGGCCUUUAAUUAGUGAAUCUAUAAUCACAUCAUUUGUAAAAAUAUGCUAUAUUAUAACGUCACCAUUCUAUACCGUUUCCUUUUGGUCAAAAAUUUUGACCACUCUAUAUUUAGACCCCUUGAGACCUCUGUAGUAAAUAAAUAAUACUACAAAUUUGUUAUCUCAAUACAACCGUAUGGGUCUAUCCAUAAAGUUAAAACAAUCAACUCCUUCAUGAGGUUUCGGGGCCUAAUAGCUUAAGCAACAGCCUAAAAGAAUGUUACUAAUACUGCUUACAUAGUAGAAGAUGACAUAGAACUUUAUUUACUGCACUUCCUGCUAACAUAAAUAUGUAUUCCGUUAUUAAUCACAUGUCAUCCUAACGGCCAUUAAAGUUUACAUCUGAAUACCUUACUAGCUGCAAGAAUUAAAUAUGUCUGUAAAUUAGCAUAUAAUUUCUUGUCCUCUUUAAGUACCCUAAAAUCUUCUUAACAGCAAUCCAGUGAUCACGUCCUAGAUUUGACCGAUAUCUGCCUAGAAGUCCCGUCACAAAGACAAUAUUUAGUCUAGUGCAAAUUCGAGCAUACAUUAUACUUUUAAAUGCACUGACACAAGGUACACCAUUUAAUUAGAUUUUCUCAAUAUCUAAAUAAGGAAAAUGUGAUAGAUUUAGUCCAUCACCCUUAACAACAGGAGCAAUUCUUGGCUUGCAAUGAUGUAUAUUGAAUAUUUCCAAUACACAAUCAGCAAAUGUCCUUAAGAUAAAUCUAAUAAAAUCCAAUAUUUAUAUGGUGAGAACAAUCCUUACGAACCUCAGUAUAAAAGGCAAAAAAUGCCUCAAGGUCACUACUUGUAAAUAAAAUAUCAUGUACAUAGUAUAUGAGAAAAAUAAAUUUCCUCCCACUGACCUUGCAGUAUAUAUUAAAUUACUUUGUUCCAAAUUGAAAAAAAAUAACAACACUAUGAAACUUUAAUAAUAAUGUUUGGAAACUUGCUUAAAAACUAUGAAUAAAACUUUUCAGUUUACACACAAGUUUACUUAAAUCUACUGCAAAAUCCUCCAGUUGCACUAUAUAGAUUUUGUAUCUAUUUAACAUAACUCCAAAUCAAAAAAAAAAAAAAACUAUUAAUGCCACGUUCACUCUGAAAGAAUAUUUAAAGAAAUAAUUAUUUAUUCACUAUAAAUUAUCCAUCCAUAUUUCAAAGUGAAAACUUUAGCUACCAAUUUGGUUUUAAAUUAUACAAUCUUCCUUUGAAAUCCUUUUAGUUUUGUACGCCAAUAUGCAACUAAUGAACUUGUGAUCUUUAGGCAAAUCAGUAAGUUUCCAAACACUAUGAUGUUUUAUAGAUUAUAUAUCGCCUUUUAUGGCAUCUAAUCACAUACUUGAUUGAGAACAAAAGACGACAUUUAUAAAUAUGCCACUACAUCAACCAUAUAGUGGAUAUUGCAGUCAUGCUUUCACAAAUAGACUAUAUAAUUUAAUGGAAUAACUGAUCAUCUUUACCUAACAAAUCUCCUGAGUAAAGCUACAACCACUUCAUUCUAUACUUGAGGGAUUUGAAAAAAUUUCAUCAUAACUAUAUCAAGAAUAGUACCUUGAACCUCAACAAGUUUAGUCUAUGAUAUAGGAGAUUUCACAAUUGUCUGUACCACAAUUGUCUGUAUAGGUAAAGACAAAGACACGGUGAUCUUCUAUCGCACUAUUAUCCUUAAUAGUCUGAGAACAACUAUCCUCUACAAUUACAUCGAACUGCAAAAACUUUAUAGUAUGUGUUUCUAUAAUUCUUGUACCUUCUUUAGAGUCAUAAAAUUAAUACCCCUUUGAACAAUCUGAGUAAGAUACAAAAUAAUUCCAAGUGGAUCUAAAUUCCAACACACAUAAUAUUGAAUUAGAUAACCUCACUUCUGCAUGAUACCUCUAAAUUUAAUAUGAUUCAAGUAAUUUAUAUCAAAUCUAUAACUCAAAAGAAGUUUAUAAAAUAACUGAAAAAGGUUGCUUUCAAAAUAUCAGCCCACAGAAGACCGGAUAAAUUAGUCUUGCUAAUCAUACUCAUCAUCAUGUUCAAUAUGGUGCAUUUAUGCAUUUCGGCCAAAUCUUUUUGUUAGGAUUUUCAGGCAUAGUAAUCAAGUUACCACCCCAGAAUUUACGAAAUAUUUGACAAAUGACCAUUUAAGUUAUUUCGCAUUAUCAUAUUCGCCAAUAUACUCACGGUCACUAUUAAGCCUGAUAACCUUAUAAGACUAAUUGUAAUUGUUUUAUUCUUUAUCUCGGUAAUUUUACUUCCACAAUAAUCUGUAGAAGUCUUUAAAUAACCAUUAAGAGUAGACAAAUUAUCAACAUUGUUAACUUUUCUACUCUUCCUUUAAACAUGUGUGAGAUUAUUCUUUAAAUAGAAAAUUUUGAAAACAACCUCUUCAACCAUAUAUGAGAUGUAUAUGCCAUUAGAACUUAAACACAAUCUUUACAGAUAUGUCCUAAUUUCGGUAGUAGAUAAAACAUGACUUUAGGCCAUUAAAGCUUUCAUCAUCUUUUAGCAGUGCAGUCAGUAGACAAGCCACUUUUCAAGUGUUCCUAAAUGGAACGCUUCAUGGACAGUAAGCAAAUUCUAUCACUCUUUUCUCAAGCAGCAAAUCAUAUGCCCACUACUUAAAAUUUGAAGUAGUAAAAACCUCAAUAAUAAUGAAGUUAUUAAUUACAGAAAAUGUGACUGAAAAACAAGUAAUAUAUAUAUAUAUAUAUAUAUAUAUAUAAUUAGCAUCAUGUGGGCACUGUGUAAUUUGACGUAUAAAUACACAUUUAGAGAGUUACACGCAUAAUCAUAUAAUCACCUUUGGGUAGAAUACAUGACAUGCAGUUGUACACUCCCCACAUGAUAGCGGUUAUGAGAAUAUAUUCUAAUCUUUGUGAAUUCAUCACAUUUGGGCAGAUGAACCACUGGGAUCAGUCAAUCCUCUACUACACCAUCAUGUAUCAUUCCAUGAACUAAUACACAAUCACCUCCUUUGGGAGUAUGACCAUGCAUUAGACCAGGAGACAUCCCAAUUAGCAUACGAGACCGAAAUUUCUCAAACCCAAUCAAGCGUGCCACUUUGGCGAUCACUACUCAAUUGAAUCCUUGAAACUCUCUCAUACCAGGGAUAUAAACUUUACUACUCAUAUACAUCAUAUACAUGUGAUUUUAACUUUAGUGAUAAGAUUUUAACUUCAGUGAUAAGGGCGGCUUAUCACUAAAAUCACAUAUCAUGCUAAUUAUAUUACUUUAUCCAUUAAUAAAAAUUAAUCAUAUAUAUAUAUAUAUAUAUAUAUAAAUAUAUAUAUAGCGAACCUGAAAAAUAGAUUCUAAUGAGAUCACUGAUCACAGCAACACAAGAAACUUUUCAUAACAGAGAAGAAAUAUCUCUUAUGCACCCUGAUUACAGAUUACCAUAACAACAUAAAAAGAAUGCUAAUCUAGAAGAUCUCUUACAAAUUAACAUCAAUAGUAAUACAUGGUACACCAAAUCAACAAGCUUGACAAUUGAUCCAUUAUUACUCAUGAGUUUCAUAAGGCAAACAUGACUCCAAGGUCAAUAGCUGAUUUAUUAGCUAAUUUUAAGUAACAAAUUAUCAUUGCAUCAACUAGUAGCCUAUAAAUUGAGUCAAAACACAUAACCAAAUAUCUAAACUAUAACAAUAGAUACAAUUGCUCUGUGUAAAUGUUGUCAUUCUUCUUAACCAUAAAAAAUAUUCAACUUGAUAGAUAUUAAUCAGCGACCAGAUGAGUUUAGAUACAAUAUGCAAUAACUUAACUGACAUGCAUUACCCACAUUUAGCAGAUGUGUUAAUCAAUACAAUCAGUUUGGUCAUGAGUUCUUAAGACGUCCAUCAUUCAAAAAUUACCAGCGUGUCAAGGAGUAUGCUUGAGCAACAAAAGUUUCAUAAUAUUUACGGUUUCUCAUCAUUUCAAUACAUAGCUCAAAUACUACCCCAUACUAAUUGUAUCUCAUUAAACCAGUUUCAAUUUAUAAUAAAGUUUGAUUUUAUUAAUGAAUCACAACUUCAUAAUGUUUAUGUGAUAACAUACUAGUAACCCAUCACUUGUAUUUUCAAAAUCACAGAAAAUACCAGAAAAAUACGAAAAAUACACCAAAAAUACGUGUAUUUAGGGUUUUGUAUGUAUUUUCACAUCCAUAAAAUUAUCAAACAUGUAAAAUAAAUAUACCACAACAUAGAGGAGGAUCAUACAAAUCUAUCACCGCCGGCCAUGCACCGAUCCGACGCUCCACGCGCUUGCACGCGUCGUUUGAGUGCGUGGCGUGUGGAGCGCAUGCGCGAGCCGCGCCCCGCGCGUGGGAGCGCGUGAGGGCACGUGACCGCGCGUGGGGCGCGUCUUCGACGCCCUGGUAGUGUGUGGGGGAGCGUGAGGCCUCCCCCGGUGACGCGCCGCCGACGGUUCUUCUCGUCUCGUUGAGCCCAGUUCGAAUAUAUAAUUUAAUUUGAUUUUUAUUGACUGAAAAAAUUACGAAAAUCUCCAAUUAGGGAAAAAUCUAUGUGCGUUCAAAUUCUAGAGUUAUGAAGGCUUUGAUACCAUAUGUUGAACGCAAAUUGUGUAAUCCCAAGAUCUCCAUAACUAGAACAAAAAUAUGCGUAAUUGAGUAGAAAAAUUAACGCACAUGUUUUGGGAUCCAUCGAACAUGAAGCAAAAGCAGAAAAGGAAUUACCCACUUAUCAUCAAGGGGAUCCAUGCAUCAAAUACUUCUCCUCUAUUACCCUCCGUAUCACUGGCUCAAUGAGGCGGCCCCUCACGUUUAGCGUUAGGUAAAUGCCCCUUAGGUGAGGAUACAUGUGAGAAUUAGGGUUAGAGGAGAGACUUGAGCACUAUUUAUAGAGUUUCUAGCCAGGCCCCCUCAUUACGGGCUAGGCUCAACUCGGCCCACAUUAACCAGUCACAUAUUAGACUAAUUAAGAAACCUUUUAUCUCACCUUAGAUCAAUCAUGUUUUACGGUAACUGUAAAACAGUAAAUUACAAUAUCAAUUAAUGUAGUCCACAUUAGGAAAACUCUUACAUCAAGUCCUCCAUUGCUAUGGCUGGCGACUGGCUACAGGAAGAAGAAGAUGAAGAGAAAAAGAAAAAAAAUGGUUUGGCCUUGUAGAGUUAUUUCCAAGAACAAAGAAAUAACUUUUGAUUUUGCUUUUUUAUUAUGUUUCAAAUCUAUUUACAGGACAAAAACAUUAUCAAAUAAAUUUAUGUUCUUUUCUUUUUUAUUUUAGAGAAUAAAAAAAAAAUCAAGUACUAUUUGACACGUUGUGAAAUAUAUCCUAAUUAAUUUAGUAGGGUCGUCUAGGGCAAUCGGCGUAAUUUGGGGCUUUUUUAUCAACCAAGUCUACUUUUAUUGUCGAGCAUAUAGCAAUGGGGUUGUUCUCAUCGACUACCGGCACUUUGCUUCUCUGUCUUCCAAGGAGUAAUAUUAAUAAUUUCAACUUUUAGAAAAGAAAGAGAGUCGUUCUUCUCCUUCUCACACUUGAUGUUGGAAGCGAGAGAGCGACCGAUCGACCAAGCAAAGCAACUAUGGCUAGCUCAAACGCAGGAAGUUGCCAGGAAGAUGGAGGAUAUUGUUCUCGUCCACCAAUAGCUUUUGACUUUAUGGUCCUCAUCGUGAUACGUUACGAAUCUCUACUUUAACGAUUUUCUCAUAUAGUCCCAUGGCAUUUGAUUGGUUUCAUACUACUACUCUUUUAAUGAAUGACAGAGAGAGGUCCAAGCACAACAUUACUGAUAGGAUCUCCUACAGUUGUUGAUGGUUUUGGGUGAUGGGCCUAAGUUGGCCCGUCCGCUCAUGUUGGGCCCAAAAGCCCGGCCCACAUGAAUAGGGCCCGUGGAUGGAGGGACGUAUAAAAGGGAUGAGAAAGAGGGAGAAGACACCUUUUGGAAAUUCAAUGUAUGUACGUCUUCUCCCGCGCGCUCUCUCUCUCUCCAAAAAGAAAAGAAAAACAGUAAGCGUUUUUCUUCCCUUCAAGGCGUCAUCGGAUCGAACAGGGCCAGACUCUCUUCCUCUUAUCGGCGUCAGUGUCUAAUCUGUGGCUAACAAGGUACGCUCGAAUCCGUGGUGUGCUUUACGAUCAGUGAUACGUGUUUUUCCCGGGCUUUGUCUUCCGCAUUGCUUUAGGGGUUCGAUUUAGUAUCGAAUCCAGUUUUCGGGGAUCCGUUAUUCCCGACAUUGGUAUCAGAGCCCUAGUUCACGUUUUUCCUGACCCUUUUCAUGUUUUUUUAUUGAAUUUUCGCGAAGAAAAUCGGCCGACACGGAUCGGGGCAAGAAAUCCGACACCUGAGCACUGUUCAUCGAUUUUUUCGAGUUUCCGUAAGUUGAAAUUGAUUUCUGAAGGCUUAGGGUGAAAGGGCUCGUCGAGGUGAGUCCGACGACAUGUCGUGCACCGCCAGGCGACGCCGCACGCACCCACACACGCGGCCAGAAGCCACUGCGGGUGGGCGCGACGCGCCCGAAGCGCUGGCAUCGGCUAGCGCGUGCGUCCUACGCGCCGAUCGGCGAACCGGCACGUGCGCAACGCCGGCGGCGAACCGGCACGCGCCGGUCGACGGACCGACGCGUGCAGACAUCAGCAUGACAUCAUCCAACGGUCGGUAACCGCUAGGAUGACGUCAUCACUGACGUCAGCGUCGACGACGGUUGGCCGGGCGGUCACCGGUCGGCGAUCCGACCCGACCCGACCCGCGGACAUCUGGCAUGCGCGCGGCACGUGUGGUCGGUUUGUCCGACCCGGCCCGAUCGGCCCGACCGGUCCAACCGGUCCUUCUGGUCCGACUGGUCCGACGACCUGACCACUAACCCGUUGACCCAUUGACCGUUGACCAUGACCGUUGACCGUUGACCCGGAAAAAAAAAAAAGGAUUUGUUUCUUUUUCAAAAAUGUCUGUGUGGGUUAGAAGUAAUCCAUUUUUUAUUCUGCAUUUGUUGCAUGAAUCAUGGAAAAUUAUGUAUUUUCCAUUUUGUUUAUUGUGGAUUAUAAGUGAUCCAUUUUAGUUCUGCAUUUGUUGCAGGAACUAUGAUGCGUUAUGCACGGAUACCUGCAAUCUCGAGAACGAACGAAGGAAGAGCUAGACUGAAAAGGCUAAUGAAAGAGUUAGCUGAUUAUCGGUGGCAUGAUGGUGAUUUAGUAUCACACGUGGUCAAGGUCAAUCAGAUGAUAUAGGAAAUCAUCUGGAAUGGUUAUCUUAUGCCGGAUUUUGAGAAGAUGCUGGCUUUGAUGAACACUCUUCCACCCGAAUGGCAAGCAGUGUUAGAUCGGCUAUAGGAGGUCAACGUGGUCCCGGAUUACAGGAGGCUAGUGGAAGCUUUUGUAAGAGAGUACUAUAGGAUUGAGUUGGCCAAAACUUCAACCCUUAGAUUGAGCGCCACAUGGCGUAGAGUAAAUGAGCCUUGGUGGCAACAUGAAAGCUCGCUAAAAGUUUUUCCAUGGUUGGCAAAUGUGCCUUCAGCUUUCUCAGAUACUUUGACUAAUAGAUUAGAAGGGACUUUCCCUAUUUAUUUCUUAGAUUAGUUUGAGAUGUUUUUGAGUGUUGAAUAUCUCUUUCUAUGUUGAUAUUUCUUUUUGGAUAUAUUACUUAGUGUAAUGGAUUGUUGUAUUAGUUGAAAGCAUUAUUAUUUUAUUGGAUGUCAAUUAUCUAUUGCUUUCUGUUAUUGCUGAUUGCUGUGGGUAGUUAGCUGUGGGUAGUUCAUAGAAGUUUUUGUAACUUCAUAGAAUUUAUUUUGCAUAAGACAAUUAUAUUAAUAAUAGUUUUAAGUUAGGAUUUUUGGAGGAUGAUUGGAAACGUAGUGACCUUUUGAUUCUGGAACCUUACUUGAAAUUAUUCAUUGAUAUGAUGGGUCUGUGCAAAGUGGAUGCAUAAAUGAUAGGCAUUAAUUAUUCGUGCAUAUAUGUCUGAUGUGUUCAGAUUUAUGGAUUCAGCAACUAAGAACGCAAUUGCUGAUGUGAACGGCAACAAUUGUGAAAUAUUGAAUAUGAAGAUUCAAUAUGUGCUGGAAAAGCAAAAAUCACUAGAAGCUAUUAACCAUGUUAUGGAAGAUCUUGAGGAUGAUGUGCGCCACCUUGAGCUGGUAGAGGACCGCUUGAUGGCAUGUGAGCCGAAAAUAAAUAUUUGCAAUGCUGGUUCUGGCUCAGAAAAGGCUUUGAGCUCUAAGCGCAAACGUAUUGAUUCGUUCAAUAUGUGGGAAUGCAAAGGAUCAAGUCCUUAUUGCAAGAGAUCAAGAGUUAACCAACACAGGAGAGGAAAACGUCCUCAAGUGAAGAAAAUGUCAAGGGUGAGGUGUUACAAUUGUAACAAGAAGGGUCACUAUGCUCGCGACUGUCGUGAGCCAAAGAAGGUAUACACCUCUUGUACAUUUGAGAACUUUGCUUUUGUGUCAAGUUCUAUUUUAUAGACUGAAUCCAAUCCUUUCGUGGACUGUAGAUUCAGGAGCAACAGACGAUGUAGCGAAGGAUAGAGGAUCCUUCGUGGAAUUCCGACGAAUACCAACUGGAACUAAGUGGAUCUAUGUGGGAAACAACUCCAGAGCUGAAGUUAAAGGGAUUGGCACCUACCAACUAAACAUGUGUGGUGGGCACACCUUAUUCCUACAUGAUGUUCUAAAUGCUCUGGAGAUUCAUCGAAAUUUAGGUGUCUGUUUUAAUGUUAGUUAAGCUUGGUUUUAGUGUGAACUUCCGUAAUAACGAUGUAGAUUUGUAUUUGGAUACAAACUACCAUGAUUGUGGUCACUUUCUAGAUGGUUUUAUUGUACUAAAUGUUGACUGUGGUGAUGUCAAUAUAUGUUAUUCCCUUGUUUCACGUCUUCUACUUCAUAUGAUAAUGAUGUGAAUGUGUGGCAUGCUAGACUUGGUCAUAUUGGCCAAUAAUGUAUGAAUAGGCUAGCCAAAGAGGGCUUGUUGGGCAACAUUGAAAAAGUCGAUUUGCCCAUAUGUGAGCAUUGCCUAGUAGGAAAAACGACAAGGAAACCAUUUGGAAAAGAUAAAAGAGCUGAAUUUCCUCUGCAUUUAAUCCAUUCUGACGUCUGUGGUUCAAUGAAUGUGAGAGGAAGGCAUGGGGCCGUUUAUUUCAUCACUUUUAUAGAUGAUUAUACUCGAUUCGGAUAUGUCUAUUUGAUUUCUCAUAAAUCUGAAGCAAUAAGUUGUUUCAAAAGGUUUAUGAACCUGGUAGAAAAUCAAUUAGACAAGAAAAUAAAAGCAUUGAGAUCCGAUCGAGGUCGAGAAUAUUUAUCUGAUGAGUUCAUAAAAUAAUGUGAUGAAAAGGAAUAGAAAUAUAGUUGUCUAUUCCAUAUACUCCUCAACAAAAUGGUGUUGCAGAGAGAAGAAACAUAACCCUACUGUAAAUGGUUAGGUCCAUGAUGGCGUAUGCUAACUUACAUAUCACUUUUUGAAGUGAUGCGUUGUUAACUGCUGCCUAUAUACUUAACCGGGUACCUUCCAAAUUAGUUAGUUCCACUCCAUAUGAGUUAUGGACAGGUAGAAAACCGGACUUAAGUUUUCUUAAGCCAUGGGGUUAUGCUGCCUAUACUCAUAAGUUCUCUCACAAGUUUGGGAAAUUGGGUCCUAAAGGAAAGUAGAGUAUUUUAAUGAGAUACUCCGAACACUCGAAAGGGUAUGUGUUCAUAGGUGAGCAGGAAAGUGGGAAUAUAACUGAAUUUUAAUCACGGGAUGUCACAUUCUUAGAGGAUGAAUUUCCUAAGAAGGGCGAAAUAGGGAAAGAUUACCCCUAUUUGAAACCUUGGAUCAAGAUAAUGAUAUUAGUGGAGUUCGUCCAAGUGGGAGUAUUAUGAGAAGUGAUGAAUUGAAUUCAACUCAUUCUCAAUUACAACCACAUAAUGAGAGGAUAUCGUCAUUAUCUAAUCCGAGUGGGAGCAUAAAUGGGAAUGAUGUGCUAAGUGUACAAUCUCCCAUAUAGCGAACAAGUCGCCAAAGUAUUCCCCGUCGAAGUUUGACAUUGAAAGGGAAACUUUUAUGAUUGCUCCGCAAAAUGAGGAUGAGCCAAGAAAUAUUAAUGAGGCUCUAAAUUGCCCUAGUAAGGAAAAAUGGAUUUAUGCAAUGAAAGAGGAGAUGGAGUCAAUGAAGUCAAACCAAGUCUGGGAACUGGUUGAUCUUCCAAAAGGACGUAGAGCUAUUGGGAACAAGUGGGUUCUCAAAAUAAAGCGAAAGGCUGAUGGCUCGAUAGAAAGGCAUAAGGCUCGCCUUGUGGCGAAGGGGUAUAAUCAACAUGAAGGAAUUAAUUAUGAAAAUACAUUUUCUCCUGUAGUGAGAUUUACCUCGAUUCGUAUAAUUCUGGCAAUAGUGGCUAGUAUGGAUCUUGAGUUACAUCAAAUGGAUGUAAAGACUACUUUCCUCAAUAGAGAAUUAGAGGAAGAAAUAUAUGGAACAACCUGCUGGCUUCAUAGUGAAAGGCCAAGAAGAAAAUGUAUGUCGACUUUGGGGGUCGAUAUAUGGCCUUAAGCAGUCGUCAAGACAAUGGUAUAUACGAUUUCAUAAUGCCAUAAUGGCAUAUGACUUUACAAUGAUAGAUGAUGAUCAUUGUGUAUAUAUCAAAAGAUCCAAUGAUCAAUUUGUGAUCAUAUCAUUAUAUGUUGAUGAUAUACUAAUUGCCGGAAGUAAUAUGGAGCUUGUCAAUACUGUCAAAAGUUGGUUGUCUUCCAACUUUGAGAUGAAUGAUAUGGGAUUGUAAACCUAUAGACACUCCUAUUGCAAAAGGUGAAGGAUUGAGCCAUAGACUGUGUCCAAGGACUCCACAAGAGAAGGAACAAAUGAAAUAUGUUCCUUAUGCUAGUGCUGUUGGGAGUUUGAUGUACGUUAUGAUGUGUACAAGACCUGACAUAUGUUUUUGCAGUUGGAAUAGUGGGUAGAUAUCAAUCCAAUCCAGGUCAAGCACGUUGAAAAGUCGUUAAGUGAAUACUAAGGUAUUUAAAGGGGACUGCUGAUUAUACGUUGAGUUAUUAUGGAAAGGAUCUGCAACUCAAAGUCUAUUCUGAUGCUGAUUGGAGAGGAGAUUUAGAUGAAAGAAAAUCUCCCUCUGGGUUUGUUUUCUUACCGAAUAAUGGCACCAUAUGUUGGAGCAGUAAGAAACAAAAGUUUAUAGCCUUGUCCACGAUUGAAACUGAGUUCGUGGCAUUAUCAACAGCAAUCAAAGAAGAUGUUUAGCUUAAGAGAUUUUUUGGAUCAUUUAGGUGUUAUUAGAAGUGCUGUAGAUUCAUUAUUGGUUAACUGUGAUGGCCAAGCAACAAAAGCGUACACCAAAGAUCCAAAAUAUCAUGGCAAGACCAAACAUAUAGAUACCAAGUAUACUUUUGUCAAGGAUAUGAUUGCACAAAAAGAUGUGAACUUAGAGUGCAUACUACGCAUAGAAUGGUAGCAAAUCCUAUGACAAAGCCAAUACCUAGAGAUGUGUUUUGAGGCCAUAUGAAAUCUCUAGGAUUGCAUAGAGUCUGAUGUACUGGAUUGUAAUUUCCCUGAAGCAUUCACAUUUGAUGAAUUUGUAUUUUUCAUCAUUAAUGCCUAUGAAUCUUUGUUUAAUCUUUAUGCAUCUUAAUGCUCAGUGCAUUAUUUUAAGUUGAAAAAGUAUGUCGGACAGAUAUAAGAUUAGCCCACUCACACAGGUAAUCGCCUCUAUUUACUGUGUGAUAAAUAGAGAUGAGACUGUUUUUAAGCUUAUUAUCUAGGUGAUAAUCGAGAGCUCAAGCUUAAAAUACGUAUGUCGCCUUAACUGGGUGUUAAGAUGAGGACAUAAUACUUACUAUGUCCGAAAGUAAAAUACCCCACAUAUUUUACUUUAUCUGUCUAUGAUGCCAGAUGUGAGUUCUGAUGAAUUUUAUGAAUGAGUAGAUACGUGAACUCAAGUUAGACAUUGGGUAUGUCUGAACUAUCAUCUGUACGGUAUUGAAAGGUGUAAACAUACGCUCAAUGGGAAAGGAGUUAAUACCGUAAUACGUAUUUCAUACUACGUAUGCAUGAGCCGACCAAUAAGAGUGGCAAAAAGCUUGAUCUCAUCUUUUUAUAACGUGUGAGACUCUUGAGGAAAAAAGUUCCUCAAUUUUUUAGUCCCCUCAUGACUCUUACUUAUUCUCAAGAUUUCUAUUUAGUGUUUGCUAUCUUAGGAUGUUGCCAAUGGUCAUGAGUUGAUUCGAUCUAAUGGGGCAUUUCUAGAAAAGCAAGCUGAACUGAAAUUGAGAGUUUGAAGGAAAGAGGAAGAUCGAAUUUGGAGAAUCACAUUAUAGUUUUUGUAUUCACCAUUUAACCAAUUAUGACUAUCUUUGUGAUAAUCAUAAUUGUGAAUACAAUAUAUAUAUCAUUGUUUAAAAGAGAUCAAGAGAGACAUAAAUGUGAUCGAUCGAUCUAGGGUACUGCAUACUAAAUCUACUUGGAGUGUGUGAUGCCCAUUAUGAGCUGCUGCAUAUUCCUAACAGAUGUAUGGCAACGAGCUCUCAAAGUAUGCUGGUCGCACGGAUUAUUCACCGGUAUGAAUGUUGAAGAGAGGUAAAGAGAAUUCUGUUCAGCCCACCAUGUGCGAGUGGGAGAUGAUGGUUUUGGGUGAUGGGCCUAAGUUGGCCCGUCCGCCCAUGUUGGGCCCAAAAGCCCGGCCCACAGGAAUAGGGCCCGUGGAUGGAGGGACGUAUAAAAGGGUGAGAAAGAGGGAGAAGACACCUUUUGGAAAUUCAAUGUACGUACGUCUUCUCCCGCGCGCUCUCUCUCUCUCCAAAAAGAAAAGAAAAACAGUAUGCGUUUUUCUUCCCUUCAAGGCGUCAUUAGAUCGAACAGAGCCAGACUCUCUUCCUCUUAUCGGCGUCGGUGUCUAAUCUGUGGCUAACAAGGUACGCUCGAAUCCGUGGUGUGCUUUACAAUCGGUGAUACGUGUUUUUCCCGGGCUUCGUCUUCCGCAUAGCUUUAGGGGUUCGAUUUAGUGUCGAAUCCGGUUUUCGGGGAUCCGUUAUUCCCAAGUUGUUAAAUUGGAAAAUUUCAUGAGUUCUUAUUUUCAUCUCAGCAUCAGGAGCUAAAUUCAUACAUUUUUAUUUUUCUAGACAAUGCAAGACAAUCCAACUUUCCCUUGGACUAAUCAAUCCAUACAUGUGUAAUAGCGUCGUCUACACGUAUCAAGGUAGUCUCCAUCACACGAUGAAGAAUAUGGCCUUACAGCUCAAUUUCAACAUGAGAAGAAUUCUGUAAUUUUAACAGACUUUGUUGCAUCCAAACCAAUAUAACAAUCAAACAGUUGAUCACUUAGCUAAUCAUUACUCGAGAAUUUUAAAUUUGUAUUCACAUUGUUCUACAUAUUUGUUAAAAAAAUUUGAACAUAUAUUUUCGUAGAGUAAUAUGAAAAUAUUUAUUGUAGAAAGAAAACAGAAGUACGCAAGCAUCUAGAAUGAAAUAAUUGAAUACAUCUUGAGAAGAUAAAAUCAGACAGAGUAAGAAAAGGACAAAAAUAUUCAUAUUUCUCGGGGCCUUCUGCCGGAGACCUCCACUACCGCCGUAGACCGAUAAAUAAUCCGUGAAAGCUUAAUAUGAAGAAGGAUCCGAGAAAUGAGACGGUUGAAUUGAGACAAUUCGUGGUCCAUUAUGUUGAGGAAAAUUCCCUUAUUAAUUUUGAAAAUCGACAAAAAUUCCCUUAAUUCUUUGAUUUUGAUAGUAAGCUUUUCCAUAUAAAAACUCUUAUGUGUAUCAUCAGACGUUACUUGUCAGAUUCAAAGUCGUAGUGAAGAUCUUAUCCUUUAUAUUCAAUCUCGACGGAAUAAGGAUAGUGAUCGGACCUUGUGCUAACGACUAGAGAUUGGCGUGGAUUUCCUACCUAAUAUACUUUGAUUGUUCGAAAGAAAAUUAUCGAAAACAAUCUUAUUGAUUUUGGAAUGUUUCAAUCUACCAACGGAACAAUCAGAUUGAAGAUGACAUGUUUUCCAAAGGAAGGACUUAACUUAUGAAAAUCCCAUCUACUGUAUUGAUGGCAUAUCUUACGGGGAAGUUCUUUCUCGACAAUUUAGAAGCAAUCAGAUCUUCCUGCACUUUCUAGUCCAACAGAUUGAUUGGAUGGUUGAUCCUCAGAGGGCAGGUCCAACCAUCAGCUUGGACACUAAGGAGUAUGAAAGGAAGUUGUACAGCUGAUAGACGUAAGAGAGAACACAUAAAUUCUGAAUUCUAAAGUUCACAAUAGUCUUGUCCUAAUUACUUUCAUCUUACCUGAUCAUUGUGAUCUUUUAGAGGUUGUAAGUGUGAGAUUAGUAAAUCUUUCACACGAGCUUGAGUAGCACUUACUCAGUCCUUGUAACAUCUGAUUGACUCAUACUAGUGGAAUCUAGCUGAUAGGUUAUCAGUGCGGGAGAGUGUAGGUAGGCUUGUUAAAGUCGAACCAUUAUAAUUCUAUUGUGUGCAAUUUCUCUAUCCAUUAAACUCUUAUUUAUAUUUUGUGAUAUUUUAUUUCACACCGAUAAGAUCUAAACACAACACGGUUUGUCUUCAGAUGUUGUCCUAUAGCAAUAUUAUAUUAAUUUUGUUUAAAUUCCGCAUUAAGUGUGCCAAGAUGAAUUAAGAGAAUUAUUGUAAAUUCCUCAAGGAGCUGCAUCACCUAUUUAUUUUUCAUACACUCAUUUCAUCUUCAUUAGUCGAAAGCGCAUGUGUAAAGACAACAUAUGUUCUUAACAGGGACAUAAAUCAAAUAUGAUCAAACCUGAUUUGUGGAUUCUUUUUGUUUGAGUGUUUUUGAGAAAAGGAUACUUAUGUGAUUUUCAAGAAAAUCAUAAAGAAGAAGGAGGAGGAGGAAAUCGACAAUUUCUCUUAUUGAUCACUCAUCAAAUCAUUUGUGAAAUCAUCAAAUCUUCUUCAAAAUGAAAUGAAAAACACUUAUUUGAGAAAUAGAUAACAUAUAAGCAAACUAAACAUAGAUAAAAUAACAAUGAAAAUAAAAAAGUAAUAGGUAUGGAGAGAGAGAGAGAGAGAGAGAGAGAGAGAGAGAGAGAGAGAGAGAGUAAUAAUUAAAUUAAUUGUAUAAAAGACCAAUCAAAAUAGAAAAGCAAGAAAACGUAUGAAUUAUUAAAGUUUGAUUGGGAAAUAAAUUUUGGAUCAAUGUGCAACGUCGUUUUUGAAUUUAUAAUUGGUUCAACGUGGUCUUCGAGCUUUAGUCUAAUAUACAAUGUCAUUUUGAAUUUUUAAUUUGUCCAAUAUGAUUCCUAAACUAUUUGUACAUGUUCAAUCUAGUCCUAAAACUAUAUGGAAAAUUUUAAUGCUAGAAGGACAAUUGGAAUCUUGUAUUUCACUAAGUGUUUGAUUUAUUAUUGUUUAUUAGUAAAUAUUUCAAUUCAAAAACUUAAACUUAUAGAUGGAUAGAGAUCACAGUAAUAUAAAGAGUAUAUGUGAUGUAUUGUCAAGCGAUUUGAGAUAAUAUUUUAUUUUUAUUUUUCAGGAAAGUGAAGUAAUCUGGAAUUGGUGGAAUCGAUAUAAUAUUUUAAGAUAAAACCACAAAAGAAUUUGACCGAGGUUAAUUAAAAACCUAAAUGGGUCGAAUCUGUAUGUUGUCAUAUUUCGUGUCAUUUUGCUUUGGAUAUCGUAGUUAUCCAUGAAGAAGGUGAAUUUGCUAAAUUCGUAGUAUAAAUUCUAUAAUUAAAUUGUCCCCACGUACGUAUCUCCCAAUUUAAAAAGAGAAAAUAUUCUAAAGUUGAUUGUCGGCUUGUGGGGGAGGUCUCUUCCUCGAUGAUGUCAAGUUGACUAUCGUCGACUGCUCAUUUUUCAAUCUCUACCUCUUCGUAAAUGAUAUUCUGCAGAUUCAGAACUGCUAAAUUCCAAGAGCGAAGGAGGGACCAAGAGACUCCGGUCAAAUUUGGUGACAGAGUAAGAUCACAUGUAUAAUUUCGAAGUCAUCCUAAGAGAAAAAGUCAUGGAGGCAUAUGUUAGUUCUAUGUCCUAAAAUAAUCAUAUAAUGUUAAAGAUUAUUUAAUGGCAAGUAAAUAUUCAUUCAUCAUUUUAUUUAUAUGGAUAAGUCCAUAAGAUCAGUUUCGACCAAACAUAUUUUUAAGAUUUUAAGAAUAUGUGUGACAGAUUUACAAUUAUGUUGAAUCAUUAAACAGUUCCUAAUUGAUGGAUCAUUGAGAGGAUAUUGAUGAUUCUAUUGAGAUUGGUGUAUUCUCAAACUUCACCAUUCAAUAUUGGAUAGCUGAGGGGAUGAUGAGUUACAAAUUAUUGGGUAUUGUGAUAUCCGAGCUAGAACACAGGUGUUUGUCUUGGAUUAAUUCAUUGAAUGUGACAUACAUAGAACGAUUGGCAACAUAGAAGCUUUUAGUGGAGUUAAUGACUAAUCGUUCAUGCUUUAAUCUGGUGAAAGAUUCUUAAACCUGAGGCACGAUGCUGACUUGUAUGAUAGAUGGCUGUGGUUAACAAGUGUGCAUAUUAACGCUUCGUUGGACCAUCUUUGCACUUGCUAGUCAUAGUUUGUUCAUAUACAAAGUCACAUAUGUGCACAAUAUGGAAUCUUUUUUCUUGUUAUAUAUUGACAGACAAUAUUGAUAUUCUAUGCGAUCUAAUAUUGAUAUUGUAUUGAAAUCCUCGGCAGGGUUGUAAUUAAGAAUGAAUAGUUCAUGUCUCAUAGAAUGCAAGUCAAUUAGAUUUGGGCAUAUCAUCAAAUUGGUGGCUUAACCAAUAAUUCCAAAUGGCCUUUGUUCGAUCGAGACAUGAUGAGAUAGAAUGAUCAAAUUACAUGGUCGCCAAAACUCACAGGUUCAUUAUGUUAAUGAAAUAUUCACACUGUCUAGGUAGCCAUGACAUAUUGCUAGAUGUCACCUAUGAUUUGCAGGAACAUGAGAUUAAUCUGAACAAUUAGUUUUCUUGAUUGUGCUAAUUUGUUAGUACAAAUCCUAUUGCCAGCUUAGUGAUAAACUUAGAGAUAUCGCACGCUAUAACCAAUUAUAAUAAUGUUUGAACAAGAGAGACAACAUUACAAAUGUGUUUGCAAUUAAGCCAAUUAGAUUGAGUUGGGCUAAAAAUAAAAGAUUUGGAAAGGGCUUCAUACUUUACAAGAUCUGAAGCGGGUUCAAAUUUAAUGACCGAAUUAAUAAUCUGAAGUGAGUUUAGAAUUAGUAGCCACAUUAAUGAUUUGAAGAAAGUUCAAAAUCAAUAGCAUCAUUGAUGAUCUAAAGUGAGUUUAGAAUUAAUAGCAACAUUAAUGAUUUGAAGUAAGUUCAUAAUCAAUACCAUGUGCAAAAUCAAUAACCAAAUUAAUGAUUUGAAAUGAUUUCAAACUUAAUGGCUAAAUUAAAGAUCUGAAAUGGUUUUAGAAUUCACAGUCACAAUGAUCUGAAAUAUUUCAAAUUCAAAUGAUUAAUUAAUGUUUUGAAAUGAUUUUAGAUGUAACGGUAUAAUUAAAUAAUUGUAACGGUUACAAAGUUAAUGCUCAGAAUAAAGAUUUGUAACGGUUAGAAAUUAAUGCUUAGAGUAAUGCUCUGUAACAGUUACAUAGUUAAUGCCCGAAUUAGUGUUUGAAACAGUAUCAGAACUUACGUCCAUUAGACGUUAUGGCCGAAUUCUCUCAAACGGCUUUAGAGUUAAUGAGCCGAUUAAAAUGUGAUUUGGGACUGAUUAUCAAAGGGCAAUUGAGAAAGUAGAUAAAAAAAAAAAAAAAUCAACAAUCGAAAAUUGAGAGUGCCAUUCACACACGAGAGCAAUUGUUAGCAUAAUUGUAGUCGUGAGAUCUCUUAAUUUAUCUCUUUUGUUCAACGUGAGAUUGGUGGUAUGUCUGAACUAAAGGCCCGAUAUUUAUGGGGCUGGAUUUGAAGAACGUUAGAACCCAUGCUAAAAGGAGAUCAAACGUUCGUAGUUUGGAUUUGAAGAACAUCAUAACCGAUAUUACCGGAAGACAUUAGAUGUUUGUGGUCAAAAUUCCAAGAAUGUCAUAAUCAAUGUUACUAGGAGAUCAAACGUUUGUAGUCAAAAUUUGAAGAGCAUAUAAACCAACAUUGUGAGGAUAUCAAAUGUUCAUGUCAUAAUCUGAAGAACGUCAAAAUCAAAAUUUUGGAGCAUGAUAUAAAGGUAAUGUGAUUAGCCCCUUUAUCACUCCUAAGUGUUGUUAUUAAAAAUGCAUGAACAGUGUUAUGGAAAUAUUCGUAUGGGUGUUUUUACUUCCGUGGCAAUCAUAUUUUAAUUCUUAUUUAUCGAAACAAAGACCAAUAGCAUAUUCAUGAGCCAACAUUGAAGUAAUUAUCACUAUUAUUUAAAAAAAUCUAAAUUAUUUAUUUUCAUGAAAUAAAUAGAUUCUAAUUAUGCGAAGAUCCACUGAGAGAACCAUUAUAAAUUCCUCAAAAAGCGACAUCAACUAUUUAUUAUAUAUUUGUUUUAUCUCAACUAAUAUGUUGUCACGUACCUUACACGUGAUUAGACCAUAUAUAUAUUUGAAAAUGUACAUAAAUGAAAUUUGAUUGAACAUGAUUUGAGGCCAUAUAUACAUGUUAUCCCCGUUCGUUCGACCCAUUUGCACAUGGGGCCGGCAGCAGCUGAGUGCAGGACAGUCGAUAUAAAUAAAUAUAAGAUGGAUAGAUGGUACAGAUUGAAUCACGUUUGAUUCCUUGGCUGGCGCCCGUGGGGCCUGCAACUGCAUGCGCGUUUGCUCACGUUUGUGCUGUCGGCCGCUUUUGGAGGCACAUAUUUUGGUGUUUUUCUCAUCAACCAAUAGCAUUCGAUUUUUAUGGCCUCAUCGUACAAAAUUACGACUUUCUGGUACAACCAUUUUCUUGUGGAGCCAUUAGUAUUAGAUUGGGUUCCUAUAAGUUAGACCCGUUAAGUGGAUGGGUCGGAUCGAGUUUGGAUUGGGUCAUAAAUGAUCUGACUCAAAUCGACCAAUUUAACAUGUCUAUGAUCCAUUUAUCGUAAUACAAAUUUUUUCAUUCAUACCCAACUCGACUCAUACCCAACUUAUAUCCGACUCAUUUAACUAAACCUAAUAAAGCUUAUUUCUUAUGAUUUUUUUUAAAUGGUAUUGUUAAAAUAAUUUCAUGCAACACAAAUUUAAUUGACAAUUUUUAUAAUUUUUAAAAAUUUAUCUUUAGAAAAUCGAAUUUUAGUUAUUUUUUUAAAUUGAAUUUUUAAUUAUUUUAUUUUUUAAGAAUAUAAUUUUUAAUUUUUUCUUUUUUUUUUCUUUUUCUUCUUCGGCCAAUCGCUGGCCAUGAUGAUGGCUAGUGACCAACCACAAGCAAGCCUCAAGCUCGCUGGGCUCGCUCGACGUUGACGAGCUUGAGGCUCACUAGAUCGAUGAGGCUUGAGCCUCAAUCAACAUCGAUGAGCUCGAGCUCGCCUCUUGCCAGAUCUGGCGAGCUUGAGGCUCACUAGAUCGGCGAGGCUCGAGCCUCGCCUGAUGUCGGCGAGCUUGAGUCUUACCAAAUCGGUGAGGCCCGGGCAUUGCCUAGUUGGUCGUCAGUCGUCGCCGUGCCAGCCACCGGCUAAGGAAGGAGGAAGAAGAAAGGAACAAAGAGGAAAGAAAAAAGAAAAAAAAAAUUGAAAUAUAAAAAAAUAAUUAUAAUUUCGAUUUUUAUAAAAAAAAAUAUUUUUGUAAAGUUAAAGAGGGAACAAAGAGAUUAUGAGGUUUUGGUUGAAAAUGGGUUUUAAGUCCAACUCAUUUAAGACCCAUUUAACACUCAUCUAUAUUAAGUUUUCAAUUGUUAAACUCAUUUAACUAGUUUCUUUAAAAAAUAAGUGACCCAUAUAUGACUCAUUUAUAAUUUAAAUGGGUCAUAUAUGGGUCAAAGACCCAUUUUGCCACCUCUACUAUAAGUACUCCAUCAUUUCAUCAUAUCAUGUGUUGACGUGACUUUUUUCUCUGUUAAGAGAGAGAAAGAGUAACAAAUAAUGUAAAUAGUCUAAGAUCAUCGAGGGAAAAAAAAAGGAGAGCUAGUAAAUACUACAUCUUUACUCAAUUAGCUAUUUUGAGUUCUACACAUUAUUAGAGAAGAAUAUUUAUAUUCAAACAGUAUACAUAGCAAUCAAAAUAAAGAUUUUAUUUUUGUGAGUGAUUUGAUCAGUCGAACGAUACCUUUCUUAUGUUUACUUUAUGUUUUUUUUUUUUCAUUUUUACUCAUUAAUUUCAGGUAUUGGUUCAUUCACAUAAUAUCUCAAAUGACAAGAAAAAAGAGGUAUCACUAUUAUCUCAUCAAGUAAAUUAUUUGUGCAAAAGAGCAACGAAAAUGGAAAAGUCAAUAAUAUAUGGAAAGUUCGAUUUCUUGGCUUCCACACUUGCCAUAAUCAGUCAUCACCGGUCUUUUCGACCCAUUGCACAGGGGGCCUGGAACUGCACAUGGGCGGGGAAGAAGGUAGAGAGAGAAUCAUAUUUUGACUCCGAAUGGUAAAACACUUCUGGCCGCUUGAGCUGGGCUUUAUUAGCUUUUUUCUCUUUCUUCGGUUGACACGCUUUAUUGGUUUAAAUAGCUUCUUCUUUUUUUUUUUUUUCGUUUGGCGGAGUGGCAACAGCACCGUCAUCCAAAAUGGUCCUUCUGGGAUAUACUCCCCUCAACGGCAUGUAGAACUUUUUUAUUGAACAAGAAACGAAAGGUUCCGUGGCCGGUUCAGUACCGGUUCUACCUGGACCAGGUCUCCGGUAGAACUGACUGCGCAGAUGUUAAAAUUGGGAAGGUUAAAGCGGGACCUCAUCCCUACUUUUCAAUAUCUACGUUUGAAGGGCAUUUCAAGUCCCCUUAGCUUAAAAAACUAUGGUUCUAUCAGCCUGAUAGGCUGUGGAUUUUUCGCAUUAGCGGCACCAUAAAAAGUAAAAAGUAUUCAAAAGAUGGACGUAUUAAAGAAUAAAGAAAAAAGGGAGAGAAAUUGCAAAAUAAAAUACGAAGGUAUAGAGUUGCCAUGAGUGCAAACUGCAAACUGCCACCCCACGAUUAGCUGGACAAUCAACUCGCGCCGAAAACUGGGCUCCUUUCUGUCGGCCACUUGCUUUAUUUUUCUCAUCCACCAAUAGCAUUUGAUUUUAUUGUCUUCCUCGUAAAAAAUAAUGACGAUAUGUUUCAACGACCAUUUUCUCAUCGAUCCGUAGCAUUUCAAUGGUUUUCCCAUCACUUCCUCAUUACCUGUGCACGUCUUCUUUCUCUGAUACGAACAUGAGAAACUCUUCAUCUCAGAGACAGAGAGAGACAGGAGCUGAGCAAACUACUGCUGUGGUAAGCUCAAAUGCGGGGACUUCAUCAGGAAGCAACUAUCAAGUGUUUUUGAGUUUUAGAGGAUCCGACACUCGUGAGGGAUUCACCAACUCUCUCUACCAUGGCUUGGAUGAUGCUGGAAUAUGUGUCUUUUUAGACGACGAAGAGCUCUCUGUUGGUGCAAGGAUCGAUGGAUCGCUAGAGCGAGCAAUCAACAACUCCAAGAUCUACAUACCCGUCUUCUCUCAAAACUAUGCUUCCAGCCAAUGAUGCCUCCGCGAGUUAAAGCAGAUUGUGGAAAACACCUUCAAUUCCGAAGGUAAAAAAGAGAUUCUACCGAUUUUCUUAGAUGUGAUACCCGACGAUGUUAAGCUGAAAACUCCGCUAUACCGUGAUGCCAUACAAAAAUUGAAGCACGAGAAGAGGUUGAGCAAUGAGCAAGUAAAUGAGUGGAGAAACACUCUCAUGAAGGUUGAUGAGAUAAAGGGGUUGGAAGCAAAGAAGUACAAAGGGUAAGCUUGCUGCUUUCAAGAUCGUUUGUUUCCCCAAUUUUCCUUCACACUUAAUAAUAGAGGUAAAAGAUUUCAGUAGGAUUGAAGUGGGGCUUUAAUUAUAGUAAAUACGAAAUGAUGAACCUACGCUAUGUUCAUCAGAAAAUGUGAAACUGCUUAACAAGGCCAUCUUAUAUAAUGGGCAAAUAAUGAUAUUAAUAGCUGGUAGCUAAAUUAAUAUUUGUUUGUGGGCAGCGGAAGGAAAAAGAAUGGAACAAUGAAAUGCCGUGUGCAUUCCUAUUUAAUCAUUUAAUCUUUCAAUACACUGAAUAUUUCGCCUAUUGUACGCACCACGUUCAACUUCUACAGUCAUCGCUUGAGGAUAAGUCAUUGAAUGUCAAUUUCAAAUUCAUAAAAUUCUGCACGAACGUUAUUGACUUAAUCCCGAAAUUGCUAAUCUCACGUUUGAAUCAAGUCAAAUUUCGGGCCAUGCCAUGGUGCACGAGUUGCCAAGUGCACAAAAAGUAUGUUAUGGAGGGAUGUUUAAGUCCAAUUGGGACUCCUAGAAGAUCGCUUAUAGAUUGUUUAUCAGCCAUUAAUUAUCUGAUUAUCGUGCGGUUUAUCCGGGGCUUGAAUAACACCAGUUCCAGCUAGGCAAUUGUGAUUACAAAUUUUUGCCCACUAAAAUGGUUUUCCAUUGUGGCAGCCAUGGCGAAUUGAUCAAGUUGGUAGUUGAGGAGGUUGUGAAAAAGCUGAAGAAAAAACAUAGAUCAGUGCCCGAACAUUUAGUCAGGAUUGAUGAUCGAGUUUCAGCGGUGAGGGACUUGUUAGACAUUGACUUUGGCGAUGUGCGGUUCAUUCGAAUUCAUGGCAUGGGGGGCAUCGGUAAAACGACUCUCGCCAAGGUCGUCUUUAAUGAAAUCUCUUCUCAUUUUGGAAAGUGUUGUUGUUUCCUUGAUGAUAUUCAAGAGAAGUCAUCAAGAAUUGAUGACUUAGUUGAGCUGCAAAAAAAGUUAUUAUCCGAAAUCGGCACUCAUGCAGGGACAAAGAGCAUUGACGAAAUUGAUGAUGGAAUGAAUAGGAUUGGAGAAGUACUUUGCAAGAAGAAAGUUCUCAUUGUACUGGAUAAUGUUGAUAACGGCAAACAAAUGGAGAAAUUAAUUGGACGGGGUACUUUGUGUUCGGGAUCUAGAAUAUUGAUUACAACUAGAAAUAAAAUUGAUUUGCGAACAAAAUAUCAAAUUUUCAAUUAUGAAAUGGGGGUGAUGAGCGAUGAUCCUGCACUUGAGCUCUUUAGUUGGCAUGCAUUCAAUAGAGACUCUCCUUCACAUGCCUAUGAUGAUCUUUCAAGGGAAAUUGUAUCUGCAACUAGGAGACUUCCGUUGGCUCUCGAAAUAAUUGGUUCGUUUCUCUACGGCAACAAAUCGCAAAAACUAUGGAAAGAGACAUUGAAGAAGUUAAAAAAAGCACCCGAUGAGAAUGUUUUUAGAAAGUUAAAGGUUAGCUAUGAUGCCUUAACUUUCGAGCAACAACAAAUUUUUCUCGAUAUUGCAUGCUUUUUUGUUGGUGAGGAUAUGAGGAGUGCACUUUACGUGUGGAAAGAUUGUGAGUUUUAUCCUCAUUCUGGAGUUCGUGUCCUCAUUAAUAUGUCUUUGGUAAAGAUUGUGAAGAACAAUAAGUUUUGGAUGCAUGAUCAGCUUAGAGAUCUUGGAAGGGAAAUUGUUCAUCAAGAAAAUCGAACGAAUCAUGGAGAGCAGAGUCGGAUAUGGAAUUGCGAGGCGAUCCUUGACACAAUAGGAACAGAGGAGGUAAAACAAAUCUAGAGUAAUAAUUUCUCUAAAAGAAAAUCAUCUUGGUUCCUAAAGGAUGCUCUUUUUUCUUUCUUCUUUUCACAUUUUAAUCCUUUUCCUCUCAAUUAGAAUUUUGAAUACCGCUCAUUUCUUGCUUUCCUUUUCAGAUGAAGAAGAAUGCUGUAGCACUGGAUCUUGAUGUACGCAAAAGUUAUCCUGAGGUCGUUGUUAGAAGUGAAGAUAUUGGAAGAUUCAAAUGUCUAAAGUACCUCAAAUUAUAUGGGGGAACCUUCACCGGUGACUUGGCUAAUAGUCUUACCAAUUUAAGUUGGAUUUUAUGGAAUCAUCCUCAUCCAAUGUCUAACCCAACCAACAUGCACUUAAAGAAUGUGGUCGUUCUUCAAUUUUCUGACAAUAACUCCAUAGAUGAUUCGCAACUACAAAGCUUAAUCACGGUGUGCAAUAUGCUUCUAUUCUAUUUCUUUGAAAGUAAAAUUUAAUUGUUCAUCCUUUGACUAUAGCAUUUGUUUUGCAGAUGGCAAGAAAAUUGAAAGUUCUUUCUCUUAAUGGUUGUAAUAAAAUAACUAGAACACCAGAUUUCUCUAAAUGCCUGAAUUUAGAGAGCCUUAAUGUCAACAGCUGUUCCAAUUUGAGGGAAAUUGAUGGCUCUAUUGGGAAGUUGAAGUGUCUAAUUGACAUUAAGAUUGUUUAUUGCCCUCAUCUUAAAUUUUUGCCUGAAGAAAUCGGGUACCUUGUGAAACUGGAGGAAUUCACUAUACAGCGGUGUGAUGGAGUGAAGAGCAUCCCAAAAUCCAUAUGGAAAUUGAAAUCAUUACGUGAGGUUCACUUUUCAGCUGGCCGGGGUUCUUAUUCAGCAGAUUCAUGAAGUUACUUAGUAAUAUUGGAAUGCUUCACGAGCUGGAAGCGCUUCAAGUCAAUGCUUACUAUUCAAAAGGUCAACUUCCUUAUGAAAUUAGAGGUUUGCCCUUUCUAAAAUAUCUAACUCUAUCAGGUACUGAUGUUAAUGAAGUUUCAAAGAGUGUUGGCAAGCUACCUCGCCUGCAAAGAUUGGAAUUGAUGGCAUGUCAUAAGAUUCUAGAGUUGCUAGCACUCCCAACAAGUUUAAAUCUGAAUUGUUGCAUGUUGUCCUAGAUCUCUCGAACUUGAUUAAUUUGGCUGAGUUGGAUCUAGAUGAUAGUGGAGGAAAAAGAGGUGAAAUUGUACCAGUGAUUUAUGGUGGAUUGGGAGACUAUCCAAUCCGACUAAAUUGAACUUGAGACUUUGCAAUGUCAAGCUGCCCUUCCUCUCAGACCUUUCAGCAACUUUCCUUGUCUUUGCAAAAGCUAGGUCUUGAUGAUUUCCAUUUAAUAGAGUCACUAUCUAAACCAGGAGAAAUUUUGUCACAUUCAGAGCUCUCUAGAUCUCCAGUGCAUGCAUAUGAACUCAGAUGGGCUUCUACUUCCACAUCUCAAGUAGUUGCUUGUGCAAAACUGUGAACGCCUCCACGGAUUCAGGCUAUCAAGCAUGGGGGAAGCUGAAAGAUAAUCUCGCUGAGCUUUUGCCCGUACUUAGAUGGGAUCGAGUUUCUUUGGGUGUUCGAAUUACUGGGGGCAUCGUCUAUCAUAUCUUGUCAGUCCUUGAGAAGGCCAGUUCAUGUGGGGAAAGCAGGGCACGGGAGCAGUGAGUCUGCUAAUGACUUGAUUACUUGUGAAGCGAGACUAAUCCUUCCAUUGAGUGCCUUUAAAUAAGUGACAAAGUUUUGUGCUGUCAUCUUGUGGGCAAAUACACGAGAUUCAAGUUGUCGAACAAUGGAAUCGUGGGAAAACUUCGAGGUUUGGGAUUGUCGUAAACUGCGAAGUCUUCAUUGUUUACAAAAUAUAAAAAAUCUCAAGUCCUUUUCCAUCAAAUCAUGAAAUUGUCUUAGGAAUGUCGAGGGCCUUGACGAGCUGGAGUUUUUGGAUUACCUACUAGUUGCGGCCUGUGGAUCGUUAGAUUGGUUGAUUGGUGAUGUAUCAAGCGCCAAAUUUCUAAAUGAUCGCCACAUAUUUAUCUUCGGUUGCAGGGAAAGACUUUCGGGGGUUCCGCUAGUCUUUACAAGCACCAAAAGGUGAGUCUUACUGAACAUUCUCUCUCGCGUAGUUAACAUUGAUUGGGUGUUUCAGUUUACUUAUUGUUAUCGGACCAAUAAAGAUGUGAUUGGCAAAUAACGAUGUAUUCCAAUCGAUCUCACUAGUUUUGACACCAAUCUAAAAUUCGGCACACUUGCAAGUUUCAUUUUCCCAAUUGUGUUUUCUGACUUUCCUUUUCUCGUUUUCUACUCCUUUUUCCCCUUAUUUUUCUAUUCCUUUCCGUCCAUGAGUUAGAUAAGCUAGGGAACAAGGUCAGAUGGAAACAAAAUAAGUGGAAGAACUUCAUUAUGCAGAAGAAAUGUCAUCGUUUAGUUUCUUAUAAUUUUUUUUUAAAAAAAUGCCUUAUACGUUUCACACGUCUUUUUAAAUGGGGUGUGAAUUGUUCAGAUAAAUUUGUAUCUUUACUUAAAAUAAUAUCGAUUUCUUACUUAUACUUUGGAGAUAAGGUUGGUACUUUGCAAUUUUCAUACAUAAGACAGGAAGCUAAAUGAAUCACAUAUUUGUUUCAUGUGUCGUAGACACUUUGCUCAUUGUAUGCAAAGAACGCAUUCUUAGAGCAUAAUUCACGUGGUCAACCAAUUUAACUCCGGUGGAGUCGAGUUAUUUACUUAGGAUGAUUCUGCGAUGUUAACUGCCAAGUCACUUGUGCUCGAUCAUGUAUGAUGUACAUGUAGACUUACUAAUUGAAUCAACAAGUAACAUAGAGCAGGUCUCAAGGUUCUUAUCUUCAGAACUUUGACUAGAUAAGAGUGAGUCCGAGCCAUACUCUCUCCUUUUCUUUACAGUUUUCUUGACGCAAACAUCCACAAACAUGAAUUCAACUUUUAAGCGGAUUUGCAAAUAAUUGUAGUAAAUCCAAAAUCAAUCAAACAAACAUGAAUUAAAUUUGAUCUCACUUAAUUUAAAACCCACUCAACGCAAGUGUCUUUUAUUCUCAGCUCGUGUAAUCUCAUUUUCUUUUCCUUUUUUCAGUUCUUCUUUUCUUUUAAUGUAUUAAGAAAGCUCCAUUUGUGCAGCAAGUCUAAAGGACAAGGUCAGUUUUUAUGACAAAUGACUGGAGAAACUUCAAUGUCUAGAGGAAACAUAUAGAAUAGCCCAAAGUCUCUCAAUCAAAUUUUCUUUUCAUUUUAUGUGGAGCAAAUUGUAUAGUUUAGCGUAAUUUUUAUGUAAUAGACUCCACUUUAUUGUGCAUUUCUUACUUAAAAUCAUUAACUAUGGAGAUGAGUUUGGUGAUUUGCGAUUUUUACAAUGAACUCUAAAAGAAUUAGAUACUCAUUGCACCACUCAAAACAGCUUUGCUACCGGAGUUGUUUCAAGAAGACAACUUACAUAGUCCACCCAUCUACUGUUCCAGUGACCUAUGUCCUUGAUGGAAUUGGGUGCUCCUCGAAUUUUUGCAUGUGGUUGGGGCCAGCCAAGUAGGAUGUGCGUUCCAAUAGCACCUCAAAUACUUAUUUUAGAUUGUACAGUUUGAUUAAAGGCCACUUUACACAGGAACAGGAAAGCGACUUCAAAGAGGAACAGGAAUCGAAUCAGAGGAGAGGCUGGGGAGAGUGUCAUUCCAUCGCCCGAGCUUCAAUAGUUUUCUCCACUGCGUCCUCCCCGUUUUUUUUCCGUUUGAUUAUAAGUGACUUCAAAUAGGAAUCAAAGCAGAGGAGAGGGCUGAGGAGGGUGUCGUUCCAGUGCCUGAGCUUCAACAUAAUGUGAUGUUGGUUGUGGUAAAGAUGGCAAUCUAGAACUGGAGAGGACUUUCGCCAUCAAGUCAGAACGACAGUUGGCAGAAAGCAGAGCUGGAGCGUAUCAGAAGCACUCGAAUAGCUAUCACCGUUGGCCGGGAAUAAAGGCCACCUUGUCCGUAAUGUAUUCGUAACCUAUUGUUUUGCCUACAGGGCAUUUGUUUCGUUAAUUAGUAUUUGCUUUUGAGUUCUGCUUUGGGUUUCAACCAAUAUGCACUUGAAGAAUGUGGCCCGUUCAUCAAUUUUCAGAUGACUUCAUAGAUGAUUUGAAACUCUGGAGCUUAAUCAAGGCGUGUCAUGUUUUUUAUUAUUCUAAUUAACAGAUAUGUGAUUGUGCAUCUUAUGAGUGGCUGUGUUCGUUAAUUACGGAUAGCAAUGAAAUUGAAAGUUCUUCUUUCUUCGUUGUUCUCACGUAAUCACAAUGCCGUGGAGGACAUCGCUCCGGUGAUGCUUUUGUUAGUGUUCCUGAUUUCACUAGAAGCGCUAUCAUUUGUCUUAUAGAAAAUGAAGAAAGAAAAAUAGAAUAAAAAGGUCGUUUUCCCUUCAUUUGAUGAUCUUUUUUGAAAUUUUAUUUCCUUUGUCUCCAAUCCACUUAUCUUGCUUUCUGCAUAUUCGUUCAAUAGCAUGGUGACCUAUGUAUGUGGAGACACCCAUCGUUUAGCAAGCAACUCUUAGUGGAAUAAUUGAAUACCAUGCAUCUUCCUGUCUAAUCAUUUGAUCUUUCAAUUAAUACAUCAGAUAUUUCUCCUCUUGAACACAAAAUGUCCAACUUUAGGUCUUGAACAUAACUAAUAAAAUGCUAUUUUUUUCAGAAAAAUAAAAAAAUGCUAAUAAAAUGCUAAUUUGCGAUGCAUAAAUAUUUGUACAUUUAUUUUGCUGAAAUACGAUUAACAUAAUUCGAAGAUUGCUAAUCUCAUGUUGGGAUCAAGUCAAUUUUUCGGUGUCAUGACAUAGUGCAACACACGGCACCUUGCCAUGUGCGUGAAAAGUAUGUUUGAGAGUGACGUGUUUUUUGAUAUUUCUAUUAGUUUCAUAUAUUUCAUGGUUACAUAGAAUAAGCUAGAACAAUUAAAUCUGAAAUUCUUCAGUUUAAGUUUCAUCAUUUUCUUCUGGCUCUGUUUAUUUUAAGAAAUAUUGAUGAUUUAGAAAAGAUUUUCCUAAAAUUGAGUGCUUGUGUUGCUUCAAAUAAUUGGUUGAUGGAAAAUAUUUUCAUUAUCACCAAUAAUUUAUAUCUAAACAUUUUUGUUGACAAUGAAAAUAUUUUGUAUUCAUUCAUUUUUGUAAAUUAUAUAAGCAAUUAUUUUUAGGAAAACAUUUUUCGAAUCGUUUAUUGCGGCAUCCUAAAACUCCAUGGCAACCUCUAGAUGCCUUACAACCUUUGGAAGGGCGAUGGACGCAUCAUUGAUCUAUGUUAUGGUCUUUAGACCAAAGAAGUGUAAUAGNNNNNNNNNNNNNNNNNNNNNNNNNNNNNNNNNNNNNNNNNNNNNNNNNNNNNNNNNNNNNNNNNNNNNNNNNNNNNNNNNNNNNNNNNNNNNNNNNNNNGUUGCCUCACCCCUUUUGGAGAUUAACAUUUCAAAUUAGAAAUAUGCAUUUGCUACCAGUUGCACGCGGUACUUACUAUGGCAUACCUACUGAUGUGGAUGUGGAGUGUACUGAGCAUGUCUGUGUCGGUGCUCUUUGUUUAGUUUUUGUUCGAGUCCGAGUGUUGGUUAUGUACGACAUGGGUCGAGCUGAUGGCCCGAUCAUCCAGGAGUUUAUAUUUGUCCAUGUCCGACGCCAUGGAGUUAUGUUCGGGAUGUUACCGCCGCCACCACCCGAUGCACCGGAUUGGGUAUGAUGGCGCAUAUAGCUAAUGAGAGUUGACACUUUUUGGAGAUAGCCAACGCUCGUAGAUGGCGGGUGGUACAUGAUCAAUGUAGAAUUGAGUCCUUUUGGGAUGGUAGCCGAGUAUAGUUAAAAUCUUAGCUUUUUGUUGUAUCGACCUCGAUGUCCAUCAUGAAAAUAUAAAUAAGAGUGAAUCAGCAGUAUCUUUUCUUAUGGUGCGUAGUUGGUAUGUAUUGCAUUAUGGUUAUUGGAGGGAGAGAUGGUGAGACUUGUUUAUGCUUCCGCUAAUAAGUUGAGCUGGGACCUUUUCAAAAAAAAAAAUUCCCUAGUCAAAGGGUAUCAGUCUGUGAAGUUAUAUGAGAUCAAGUAAUUAAAAGAGAUCACCUGUGGCCACCUCAAGCAAGUCGGGGGUGCCACAUUUAUUUUCCACGUAACAAAUGAAAUCUAAAUAUGAUUUUCUACAUGCUUGGUGUUUUCUUUGGAACUUGACAUAAUCAAGAACGUAAGGCUUGCACAACAAAUCAUAUGAGUGAUGUCAAGUUAUCAAAAAUAGUUACUAAGAAAACCUUAAAUUCAAUGAAAGUUGUCAAGAACUGAUGGCCUAGUUGAAUUGCAAAGACAGUCAAAUUAUGAAACACCGCAGAAUAAGGAGCAUCGACGAAAUUGACUAUAGGAUGAAGAGGAUUAGAGAAGCAAUUUACAAUAAGAAGGUCCUCAUUGUACCGAAUAAUGUUGAUUAAAGCAAACAAGUUAAGAAAUUGGUCAGAAGAAGUGCUUUGUGUUCAAGGUCUUGAGUAUUGAUUACUACUAGAAAUAAAGAUAUUUUGCGAAUCAUUGGAUCAAAGUGUGAAGUUUUAAAUCAUGAAUUUUUUUGGUGGGAGGGGGGGGCGAUUUAUAGUGAUCAUCCUCUUCAUCUCUUUAAUAGGCAUGCAAUUAACAGAAACUCUCUUAUUGAUAGUUACUAUGAUCUUUCAAAGAAUAUUGCAUCUACAAUGGAAGACUUCCUUUGCCUAUUGAAGUAAUUGGUUCGAUACUAAAUGAUAAAGCACAUGGACUAUGGAAAGAAACAUCCAAAAAGUCAAAGCAAAGCACCUUCGGAUAAUGUUUUCGGAAAGUUGAGGAUUAGCUAUCAUGCAUCGAGUUUUGUGCAGCCAACAAUUUUUUUUUUUCAAUAUUGGAUGCUAUUUUUUGUUGGUGAGGAAAAGACAGAUGUGAUUGAUCCAUUUAGUUCAACAUUUGGAAAGAGUUUUGGGGUUCUAAAGGGAUUUGACAAAUACAUAUGAUGUUUGGUUCAUUUUUUGAAGUUCUGAAGCCCUUUAAAGGCCUUUAGGAAAAUAUAGGGUUUGGUGCCUUAGGAAAUAGCAUUUUCGGAAUGCUAUUGGGCUGGUUUAAUGAAGAUAUGUCCUUUUCCCAUCCCAACCUUAUUUAUCAAACAUAAUUCCAAUUUUGCCCCUUUAUAAACAAAAAAGCUUAAGAGAGCGGCUCCUCUCUUCCACUUGCCUCUACUCACCAAAUCUGUGCUCCUUGCGCUCCUCUUCCCCCCGAGCUCCCUUCCCUCACACCAACCCUCGAGCUCUUUUCCUCGCUCACCACUUGUACAGCCCCACCGUCCUUCUAAGAAACUUCGUCGCGAAAUGCCAUGGCUACCGGCGCUGCAGAAUGCCUUCUCCGCUACAUCUAACGGGGUUGGGUCUCGGAGUGCAACUUGGGGAUCGAGAGGAGGCCGUACCACCGAAACUGCGGUUGACGCUUCACAAGAAAUCCAAGAGCAAUUGCCCUCGUUUGAUGGCGAAGAAUAAGAGCGUGUUGUAUCCGAUCGGAAGGGCAUGAAGCGAGGGGUCUCUGGUACAAAUUCGUUGCCAUCGUCAUUGCCAGUCAUGGGGAGGUCUCAUAUGGUGAGUCCUUGCGAUGAGACAGAGAGUGGGAAGAUGAGUUUUGUUUGAAGAUGUGAAAGAAGAUUUGAAGGAAGAAGUUGAGAGAGAAGAGUUGGGGAAAUUUUUCUGUAUAUUCUUGUCUAUUAACUCAGUAUACAUAAUCGAUAUUAUAGUACAAGAUAUGUGUAAAGAAAAGGCAAUAAAAUAAUAUACAAAUGAGAUCCGAUAUUGAAUAAUCUUGAUCAAUAUUGAAUGAUCUUUGAUUGAUUCAAUAAUAUCAUAUUGAUUGAUCCUCUAGUAUCCUGUAUCUUCCAACACUCCCCCUCAAGCUAGUGGCUUGUAGAUGUCCAAGACACCUAGCUUGCUCAAGAGAUACGCAUGCUGUCUCUGACAUAAGGGUUUGGUAAAGACAUCUGCCGGUUGCUCCUCUGUUCCAAUCCCUUAUGCCUCGAUCAUUCCUUGCUGAAUUUUCUCUCGAGUGAAAUGACAGUCCACUUCUAUAUGUUUCGUUCUUUCAUGCACAAUGGGAUUUAAUGCAAGUUUGAGGGCUGCAUCAUUGUCACAAAAUAAUCUUGUCAGCCCUUCAACUUAUACCCCGAGAUCCUCAAGUAAUCCUCGUAGCCACACUAUUUCACAUGUGGUUUUAGCCAUGGCACGAUAUUCUGCCUCUGCCGAGGAUAAUGAAACGGUUGGCUAUUUCUUCGUCUUCCACGAAAGUAAGGAAUCCCCCAACUUAAUACAGAAACCAGUUAUGGACCUUCUGCUCAUUGGGCAAGUUGCAUAGUCUGCAUCACAAUAUGCAGUCAUCCUCAUGUCACAUUUCCUAGAAAGGAAAAUGCUAAGUCCAGGACAUUUCUUCAAGUAUUUUACCACCUUCAGUGCAGCAUUCAUAUGAGAUUCCUUGGGUUGGUGCAUAAAUUGACUGAGCGUCUGCACAGCAUAACUUAUGUCUGGCCUGGUCAUAGUCAAAUAUAUAAGCUUCCCAACAAGUUUCUAAUACCCCAAUGGAUCCCUGAGAAUGGGAUCAUUUUGUUGAGAUAGUCCAGCAUCAUAAUCCGCUGUAGUGAGUUUGGUAUUUUGCUCUAUUGGUAUCAUUGCUGGCUUACAUCCCAAUAAACCUGCUUUUGAAAUAAUUUCUAGGGCAAAUUUCCUUUGGCUGAGGGAGAUACCUUGGUCUGACCGCACAAUUUCAAUUCCAAGAAAAUACUUUGGAGGACCUAGGUCUUUAAUAUGGAAGGUGGAAUGUAGAUAUUCCUUGAAACCUUUGAUAGCUACUUCGUCGUUACCCAUAAUAAGUAUAUCAUCUACGUAUAUCAUCAAGUAAAUAGAUGACGUACCUUGAGUCCAUGUAAAUACCGCAUAAUCGAAUCUGGACUAUUGAAAACCUGCAGCUAUCAGAGACUCAGCAAAUUUCAAGUACUACUGUCUAGAAGCUUGCUUGAGUCUAUACAAGGAUUUGCGGAGACGACAUACUUUAUUCUCCCCUUGUCUCCGUAAACCUUGUGGUACUUCCAUAUAGAUCUCCUCGUCUAGAUCCCCAUGCAAGAAAGCAUUAUGAACGUCCAUUUGAUGUAAUGACCAAUCCUGGAAGGCUGCUACUGAAAGAAAGGAGUGGACAGUUACAUCUUUGGCUACCGGGGAAAAGGUUUCGUGAUAGUCAAAACCUUCCCGCUGUGUGAAGCCCUUUGCCACCAAUCGAGCCUUGUACCGUUCGAUCGAUCCGUCUGCCCGAUAUUUGAUAUUAUAUACCCAUUUGCAUCCAAUGGCUUUGUGAUGCGAGGGUAUGGUAACAAGAUCCCAUGUGUAAUUAUUUAUCAAGGCCGUCAAUUCUGCUUCCAUGGCUUUCUGCCAUCGCAGAUCACUUCUUGCUUCAUCAAAACUGGUCGGCUCUUGCUCUUCGGAGAUGCGAGUGAUACAACAUCUAUGUUUGGGAGAUAACUUAUCGAAGGAAACAUAAGAGGAAAUGGGGAAAGGAAUACCUGGUGAAUUCCUGACACCACAUAUAUAGUCUUUUGUCCAAGUUGGUGGACGCGUGGCUCAGCCGGAACGCCGCGGUUGUCCAUCUUCUGGAGGAAUUGGAGUAGCUGGAUCUUCCGUGGGAGGUGAAUGGGAAGAAGACACAUCAUUUGGGCUUUCAUCUGCAGCUUCCAUUAAGGGUGUCAAGUUGGUAUUUGAUGGAGAAGAAUUCCUUGUAUCGACCGAUGAGGGAAGUAAGACAUAUGUGGGAUCUCCGACUAGUUCCUCGGUAUAAGACAUAUGAGAGUUUUCAGUGCGAUCUGUGCUUGACUUCUGAGAAGCAAAUGGAAAGAUAUUUUCCUGGAAUAAGACGUCUCUACUGACUGAAAAUUCUCCUAUGGAAGGAUCAAAUACCCGGUGUCCCUUUUGUAAGUUGGGAUAUCCCAUGAAUAUGCAACUUCAAGCUCGAGGACCCAUCUUAUCCCUAGGUCCAACAAUUGUAGCAUAGCAUAAACAACCAAAUAUUUUUCAGGUGAUCCAAGUCUGGUUUAUUCCCAAAAAGCAACUCGAAAGGAGUUCGUCCACCUAGUAUUUUAGACGGCAUACGAUUUAUCAAAUAGGCUGCAGUUAAUACACAAUCUCCCUAAAAAAUGUCUAGAAUAGAGGCUUGAAAUUUCAAAGUCCUUGCAACUUCCAACAGGUGACGAUGCUUCCUUUCCACCACUCCAUCUUGUUGUGGUGUAUAUACACAUGAAAUCUCAUGUAAUAUCCCUAGUGAAGAAAAUAGAGUAGCACAUUCAUGAUUGAAAAAUUCCUUUCCAUUAUAUGUCCUUAUUUUUUGGACCAUUUUCCCGAACUGAGUCUUUGACAGGGAAAGGAAAUUUCUCAAUUGGGACAAAACUUGACCCUUAGAUUGCAUAAGAAAAAUCCACGUAGCUCUGGAGUGAUCAUCCACAAUAGUAAGAAAAAACGAGACCCAUCAUGAUUCGGUGUAUGGUAUGGACCCCAGACAUCAAUAUGCAGCAGGGAAAAAAUGUUUUUUGUGCGACUUUUGCUCAAGGGAAAAGGACUACGCGACUGCCUUGCAAGCGGGCAAAUAUGACACUGAGGAUAAGGGAAAGAAGAACUAUGCCCCAAUCUGGAAUGCAAAAGGAAUUUUCUAUCAUUGGUAGUCAAAUUACACAAUGAUUUAUUACAAGAAAAAUUAUGAAGGUGUGUGGGCAAGCUUUUCCAAAAAAAUAAUCCUUCAGAGAGAUUACCCUAGCCCAUCAGUUUCCCAGUUGAAAUGGCCUGAAAUAAAUAGGUAUUAGCAUUGAAAAGUACUUGACAAGAAUUUUCCUCACAGGCUCUAGACACAGAAAUGAGAUUAAAUUGGAAGUUUGGGACAUAAAGGACAUGGCUUAGAACAAUUUGGGAGUUAAGAGUGAUUGUUCCUGUUGUAGUAACAUGGGUGAUGUUCCCAUUUGGUAAUUGCAUAAUAAUAGGAUUUUCUAAUUCUUCACGAACAAUAGAAAAUAAUCCUUUAUCGCAUGCUAUAUGAUCACUGGCUCCCGAAUCGAUAAUCCAGGCAUUUCUUGAUAUGGAAUUUAUCAUGCAACAAGAAAUCCCUGUAAAACUGCUCCCCCCUUUUUGAACGUCCAAUUUUUGUAGCGCCUGCAUCAAUUGCUGAUAUUCCCCAUGUGUGAUAGGCUAGUCUACUGAUCCUGUAAUUUGGAAAGCGGAGACGGCUGGUGAUAUAUCUUUUCCCUUUUGUUUUUCUUUUUCUCCAGGUCUGCCGUGUAACUUCCAGCAAUUUUGAAUUGUGUGAUGGGGCCGCUUGCAAAAAUCACAAAAUGGUUUUCCUCUAUUUUUAAAAUUCUGCCCAUAAGCUUUCGAAAAAAUUGGGCCGUUGGAUCCCUUAGAUCCGGAUGCAUCUCCGCCGUCCAAAUCGAUCGGAUAUCGCGCGCCUUGUGGACCAUCGGAUCGCUGCCCUCGAUCUUGACCGUCCAUUGAGGAUGCUUUAAAGCCUCACUUCUCAGAUGAAAACCCUAGCAACGGGUCAUUUUUCUUUUCUAGGGUUUUCUCCCCACUUUGGAUUCUUACCGCCAGCGCUAGGGUUUCGCUGACCAUCUCCCCCCUCUGGAUUCUUGUCGCCAGCGCUAGGGUUUCACUGGCCUUGUUGUCCGACAAGGAGAGUCUCUGGCUUUCUUCUUGCACAGCUAAUUGGAAGAUCCGGCCGAGAGUGGGUGUUGGCUCCAUAGCCAAUAUCUGCGACCUAAAGGUAAGAAAUGAUUCGUUAAGGAUUAGUAAAAAAUGAGUAGCUUUCUCCCUGUCUCUCAUCUCUUUAAACUACCAUAGCGUUGUUUCGGGCCCUUGAAGUUUUUCUUCGGUGGCUUCCAGCUCGUUCCAGAGGGCUGACAGCUUGUUGAAGCAUGCCGUCAUGGACAUGUCUCCUUGCUUCAGUUCGCUGAGAGCUUGAUGCAGCGAGAAAAUCUUCGCCCGAUCCAACUUCCCGUACAUCUCUCUAUUAUUGUCCCAAAUGUUUUUUGAGUCUUCUGUUGGGGGCAAACCGGCUGUGAUUUCUGGGCUUAUGCAAUUUCCUAUCCACGUUCUAACCAACUGGUUACAUUUUCUCCAUUGCUUUCUCAUUUUUUUCAUCGGUCAGAAUCGAGACAAUACCGUCAAUAAAGCUUCCUUGUCCUUUGUGACGAGCGCUCACCGAAACUCUCGUGCCCAGCUCGAAUAGUUUUUGGGUCCCAUGAGAUGGUGACUGAUGAGUCGCAACUCGGGCCCGUCGGUGGUGGACACAUAGAGCACGUCAUCGGGUUCUGAGCGACCCAUGGCUGCCGCAAAAGGAAAAGGCAUAAACCCUGGUGGAACUCCCGGGUAGGGAUUCGCUGAUUGACCCGGAUUGAGUCCGCCCGAAAUUCCCGAAUUCGAGUCGCCUAACCUGUUAGGGUUUUCACCCGCAUUGAAAUUCCUAGUUACUUCUGAAUGGCCUACCCCAUUGGCGGCUGGUGGGCCAUCUUGAAUCUGGCCUCCCGAAACCGAACAUGUGGGCUUGGCCCAUAAUACAUUGGUAUCGGCAUCCACUAGUAGGAAGGUCCUAACGUGGGCACCCCUAGGUUGGUUUGCCAUGGAAAAAAUUGCCCCCCCCCCCCGUGGUUCGACCUGUGAUGAGAUGCACAGGAUUUUGUGCUUCUGAGGUCGCCAUAUCCACAGGUAAACAAGCUUGAUCGUCGGCCAUGGUGAUAAAUCAAGCUCCCCCUCUUCUCUUUCCUUCGUUUGUUUUAAUAUGAAGUCUUCAAGGUGUCGAUUCCUAUGCCGAAGUGCUAACGCCUUUUGCAGGUUAGCUUGUUUCACUCGACAAUAAUCAGAAAACCAGAAGAAAAAAGACAAAGUAGAAGAAACGGAUCACAGACGUGUGACCUGCUCUAAUACCAUGAAAGAAGAUUUGAAGGAAGAAGUCGAGAGAGAAGAGUUGGGAAAAUUUUCUGUAUAUUCUUGUCUAUUAACUCAGUAUACACAAUCGAUAUUAUAGUACAAGAUAUGUGUAAAGAAAAGGUAAUAAAAUAAUAUACAGAUUAGAUCCGAUAUUGAAUAAUCUUGAUCGAUAUUGAAUGAUCUUUGAUUGAUUCAAUAAUAUCAGAUUGAUUGAUCCUCUAGUAUCCUGCGUAUCUUCCAACGUGAUGUGAAAUUUUUUAUUUUUUUCUAUUUCGUUUGUUUUUCUUUUGCUUUUGGUAGCUGAGAUGAGGGUUGUUGAUUAUUUAUUCGUUUUGAUCUCUCUGUGACCAGCUUAGGAAUUUGGAAGAACCCUUCACUGAAUUAGAAAUCUUACUGAUCUAUGGACAUGAUGGCGUCCUCUGGUGUCUAGGUGAAAGUGUCGUGAUUGCAAUGUUCAUCUCUUGGUACAAUGAAUGUAAUUGACCUUAAUGGAGCCAUACAUUUCCAUUCAAUUCUUGUUUCGUUCUUCGGAUUUCUUUUUUAUGAAGAGGAAUUGAGUAUGAGGAGGCAAAUACGAUCACAAGAAAAAUCUUGACAGAUAGUUGUGAUUGUGAGAUUUUUCUUAACAUGGAUUCAAAUCCGGAUCUUUUUGCUUGCACAAAUUCAGAUCAUAUCUCCCAUCUUGCAAUCACAAGCUGCACAAUUGGCAAGCCGCACGUCUUAUUGAUUCAUCUUCUUUCGUUUGAUUGAUGAUGCCCCAAUCCACCAGAUUCCUUCUUCUUUGGAGGGUCAAUCUUUAAUAGAGAAAUUAAGGAGGGAACAAAAGCCCCACAAUGUGGGGCAAGUGCUUCAAAUGAUAAUACAUCUCUAAAUCAAAUAGCCAUGAGUUUAAGAUAUAGUUAAGGAAGAUUGCAAUAUUUAAGGAUAACUUAUUCCUUUCUUCGGGACAUGUGAUUAUGUUUAUUAUAAUGAAAUUACUCUCUUUUAGUUGAGAAAGAUCCAUUUAUUUAUAAAUUUCUUAAUAUGUUUCUUUCAAUGCAAAAGAUAAAAGUUAUGAUUUUUUUCAGUUUUAAACAAAUUAAAUUUAAAAACUUUAAAUUGGCACACAAAGGACUUUUCAAAUAUAUAUUUACUAAAUAGUGUUUUCUAAAGUUGCAUCUCAAGAUACUUUUCAAUUACAAUUUAUCAAAUAGUAUUUAUAUUUUACCAAAUCCCUUUACGUUAAAGGCAUUUAUAUUUCCUCCAAGCGCAUUCCCCGAAAGCCGAAUAAAAAAGACCCUAUUAUGACUUGUUCUCAGAGAGGGGCGUCUGUGCCCCCAAUAGGAUGUCCUCAAGUGCAUACGUUCUGAUCUACCGACAGCAUUCGAUUUUAAGGUCUUCGUCAUCGACUUUGUGUCACCAGCCAUUUUAUGUCUGCUUCCAUGUGCCUGUUGUCUCCUUCGAAAACUAAAUUGGAAAUAAGAAUGCAUUUUGAUCGCAAGAGCUGACGAAAGCCAAAGGAACAAGCAAGAUGAAUUGACGAUUUUCCCUAGCCAUCACAUAAAUAAACAAAAGGACAAAAUCAAGGCGAUGCGACCUAUUUUUUGACAGCUAAACAGUGUACUAAGCGCCGGCCAAGGGAAGUAAGUGAUUGUCAUUUCUCAAUGAGACGAUUGUGCGGAGGUUCGUCCAAUAGAAGCCAAAGCUGCCUGGCCGGCGAGGUCGUCGAUUGUGAGUUUUUAAAUAGCCUUGUUGAUUAAAAGAUAGUGACAGAGCAGCACUCCCACCGCGACAUCUUUGUUUGAGCAAAUUACCAUGUGACAGAAACUUGGGUUUCAACGGAAUGACUUUCGUUUGAGACAAAAAGUAGAACUGAACUUGUAAAAAGCUAAGCAUUUCUGGUCUUCCGCUAUAUAUUUCCGUUCAGUCCACCAUUUAUUUAGGCAUAUAUAUAUAUAUACCAUAAAGGGGUUAGGAUUGGAGUACUAUAUGAGAAAACAAGGAAGUAUAAGAGAUUAACAGAUCUAUAAGAACAGAGAACUGUAUAAAACUUAAAUAAAAUCGCGAGAAUUAAAAAUAAUGCAAAGACCAAAGGCAAUAUAUAAAAUAUAAAGUAAGAGUAUGCAUAAACAAAAACCAACCAUGAAGGUGGUAUAGACUUGUAUUAUAUAAAGCUGAAAAGUGAAAUUACAUGUAUUGAAGGAUGCAGAAACUAAAGCAUCAAGGCAUCCACUAGGGCGGUAAUCCGCACUCUAGGGAGUAUUGAUAUUUGUAUUACAAGAAAUGAUUAACCAACUAUCAUGUAAGUUGGUAACCCUGUAUAAAACUAUGUAUGGAAAACUAACUUACUUUGAAACUAGGGGAUACAAGGUAAAAGAGCUUGGAGAUGAAAGAGAUGAGGAUGAAGAUGGAAGAGAUAAUGGUUUACAAGUGAGAGAGGGAGGAAGAAGAGAGAGAAAUCUAGAAAAUUUCGACGUCCCCUUCUUCUAUGUCAAGAGGGUGUAUUUAUAGGAGGUGCUACAAUGAAAGUGCUACAGUGCUGAACAGUAUAAAGUGAAUAGUGAAUAGUGUAUGAAUAGUGUAUGUCUAUCAUGCUAUGGUGUAUAGCCUUUGCACCGCUUGUAAUAGUGUUGGCAUGUGAUGUCUUGAGUUUAAUCUCUAUCUAGGUUGAUUCCCUAGCAGUCGUCUUCAUUGGUGUUUCCACUAUGAUGUGACUAUAAGGAUCUGUCUGUAUUAUCCUGAGAUUUGGAAGAUCCAAAUUGUGAUCCUUCCGCUUCGGAGAGCAUUGUUCUGAGGAUGUUGCAGUAUUCCUCCUUGCUCUGGACUGCAGCCAGUGCUGCACUUGCAAUGGAUUUUUCUUGUAGAAAAGAUGUAUUUGAUGGGACUGUGGUUAUUUGAUUUUUCUAGCUAUUUAGCCAUGUCCUAACCGUAGCUUCAAAUCCUUGGUCAUGAAAUUUGAAUCCAUCCCACCUUUUUGUUUUGUAUUUUCGGACAAGUAUUGGUACACCCGAUUUAUUGGAUGUAUUGUAUUCAAAUUCCCAUGCUGUUACCCAAGAAAUUCUGAAUAUUAUAAAGAAAUGCAUAAGGCAUGGGAACCUUAUAUCAUGAGGUGUUGGUACAAAGUAUUCACUGAAAACCGUGUAUCCUUAUUUGACCGUGGGGUGUAGUAUUAUGUCCAAAAGACAAAAGAGAUCCCACCAGGAGUCAAACCAAUUAGGUAGGCUUUGUCUUGAGAAGUUGUCUUUAAAGAAUAAUAACCAGGUAUGUUGGAAAUUUGUAUUUUGUCUGAAAAAGACAUUCCACCAAGCUUGUUGGUAGUCCCAGUAUGUAUAUGAGGAGGAGUAUGGUAGGCUUUGGGUAAGUCUGGUUUGGAAUUUUCUAGGUGUAUGGGCUGAAGCUCCCCAGUGUGAGGGGUGAAUGACUUUACUAAUGGAUAUAAUGGAAUAUAGGAUAUUUCUUGUAUUGUUUUUGUCAGCAAAGUGAGUGAACCUUGCCAAUUCUGUUUUCACUAGAAUUUGCUUAUAAUAAGCAAGGGUUCUGUUUGUAUUGUGAGGUUUGAAAAGCUAAUUUUUUGGAAAUAUGUUUUUUGCAAAUUUGAUUGGAUCUUCAUCGAAGAAUCCAUCUUCUACAGUCAAUAUUUUUUGAAAAGAUGUUUUGAGAAAAAAUUUUGAUCUUUGAGAAUGAGGGGUUGCCUAAGGCCUAAUAACCACCUCACUCGAAAUUCUUUUGUAUUCCGCUUGUUUUUGUGUAUCAAGCAGGGAAUGAUUGUUACUUACCUCGAUGGCACUAGAUGGCUCUUUCUUUACGUCUUUUUGCAAAGACUAGGCAAGUAACAAUAUUGUUUCUUUUGGUAGCCAUGUUGGCUAACUGAUUAAAGGCUAGCAUGGGUUCAGAUGAUAUGGGUUCUAUUGUCAAAGAUGUUUGUUGUAAGAAUGUCUAGUUGUUUUCUGCCAUUUGGAGCCAUGUCUUGACGGAUGUUAAGCUUUUUGGCUUUGGUAGCGUAUUGGAGGGUUCGGCAGUGGCUUUGCCUUUGCCUUUAUCUUUGUCUUUUUUGGAUCUUGGCAUAUUGGUAUCCCCUGUAAAAAUUCUCUUGUGAGAAAAUCAAGCAAUGAAUUUGAAGAACCAUUUAUAAAUUCAAUGUCAAAAUCGAAUACUAAAAGUAUGGCUUGCCAUAUGGCAAAAAUAUGUUUUGAUGCAAUGUUUAAAACGUCUUUUUGUAAAAUGUCUUUAGCUGAUUUGCAAUCAAUUCGUAAGAGAAAUUUUUGAUUUAAUAAAUCUCCUUGGAAUUUUGAUAUAGACAAAACUAUAGCAAGUAUUUCUUUUUUGAUUGUCGAAUAAUUUUGUUGAGUGGAAUUCCAAUGUUUUGAUAUAAACCGAACAACUUGUUCUUUGUUGUUUUUGACCUGUUUGAGAAUGCCACCAUAUCCUAAUUCUGAUGUAUCCGUUUUAACUAUUUUGAAAGUGGAAGGAUCAGCUAGGUGUAAGCAUGGUAUAUCUUUCACAUGCAUUUUUAUUUGUUUGACAAUGUCAGUAUGGAAAGAAGUCCAAGGUGGAGGAUCCUUUCGUAACCUUUGAUGUAAAGGUUUACAAAAGAUAUUUAUAUUGGGAAAGAAAUCUAAAAUAUAAUUGAGACUAUCCAAAAACCUUUGUAAUUGAGUUUUGUCUUUAAUUUCAUCAGGGAAUUUAUCAGUAAAAGAGAUUGAUCUUUCUAUGGGAGUGAUGGUGCUUAAAUGAAUGUAAUGACCUAAGAAUCUAAUCUUGGUUUUGAAGAGUGCAAUUUUAGUAGGAGAGACUACAAGACCGUUUUGUAUGAUUAUUUUUAUGAAAGUGGAUAAAUGUUUGAAAUGUUGUUCUAUAUUGGAAGAGAAUACUAGAACAUCAUUUAUAUAAACUAUGAUAUACUUUGAAUAAAGAUUGAAAAUCUCGUUCAUAAUUCUUUGAAAUUCCGAAUGGGCAUUUUUUAGACCAAAUGACAUAACAUUCCAUUCAUAUUGGCCAAAAGGAACUGUAAAGGCUGUCUUGUAUUUAUCUUUUUCACUGACUUGUAUUUGCCAAAAUCCUGACUUUAUGUCAAAUUUUGAAAAUAUUUUUUAUCUACAAAGUCUGUUGAGCAAAUCUUUUUUAUUGGGUAUAGGAUAUCUUAUCCACCUAAGGGCUGUAUUAAGAGGUUUAUAAUUAAUAACUAACCUGGGAACUCCUCUUUCAAGUUCAGCAUUUUUAUUGACAUAAAAAGUAGAACAACUCCAUGGUGAUUGGCUUUUUCUUAUGAUUUUUUUUAUUCAAGAGAUCUUGUAUUUCUACUUGACAGAAUUUCAAAACUUCUUGAUUCAUUUGUGUUGGGUGAGCUUUGAUAGGUAUUUUGUUUUCAGAAAAAUCUUGUUCAGAAGGUAAAUCAUGAUAUGCUUCUUUCUUUCCCAAAAUGCAUUGGGUAGAGUAGAGCAUAUAGUCCUUUCUAUGUGUUUUUGUAGGGAAGUUAUCUUUUCUAUGAUGUUUGGUUUUAUAAGAUUUUCUUCUAUUCUUUUGAAUUCUAAAUCUUCUUUUAAGAAUUCAAGCUGGUUUUCUUUGUCUUUUAUAAGGCAAUUUAUUUCUGAAAUAGAAUGUUCUUGUAAAAUAUUUAGGCUUCUCUUCUGUGGUUUUGUUAUGAAGUUGAAUGUGAUUUUUCUGUUUAAAGCAUAGGUUUCAAUACCUUCGUUAGUAAUUGUAAAAGGUUGGAUUAAUUGUAUGAAAGGUGUUCCAAGAAUUACCUGUUGCCUCAUAUUUUUUACUAAAAGAAAAGAUGUUUUGUAAGACAUUUGAUCUUUUAUUAUUAAGACUUCUGGUAAUUUGUAUUGGAUAUUAAGUUUAUCUCCUGAGGCUGAUUUUAAAGAUUCGGAAGUCUUAUCAAAGUAUAUUGUUGCAACAAGGUCUUCUUUGAUACAAUUGAGAUCAGCUCCUGUAUCAAAGAGUGUUGUUGUUUCAAUAAUAAACUCAUUAUUGAUUUUUAUCAUAAUAUUUAUUAUCCAUUUUCUAGAUGUUAUUUAUGUUAAUAACAUAAGAAAGGCUGGGUCCGGAGUAUCUGAUGUAUUUGUGAUUUUGUUUUGGUCUUCUAAUUUUGUCUUUCCUUUUAUGACAAGAGAUUUUAUGUCGAAAGUCUCUUGUUUCAUUUCUAAAUGUGUUGCUUUUAAGGCUUGAAUUUCUAAUUUUUGUUGUUUUAUUUCAUUUUGGAGGUCAUUUAUAUUGAUGGGUCUGGACUGAGGUUUUUUGUUUCUAUUCAAAAUGUCUUUUAAACUGUAGGAAGUAUUGGGUUUUGAGGUAAUAUUCAAGGAAGAGUGUAGUCUAUCUAGGUAUUCUUUCUUGACUUCUGGGUUAGUGAUCUUAUCAGCAAUGCUAAGGAGAAAUUUUUCUUCUUUUGUUAACAUGUUUAUUUCAGGGACGGGUUUUUCUGGAGAGGCGUCUUCAUAAUCAGAGUCAGAAGAGGAAUCUAUUUCAUUAAUCUGAAGACCUUCUUCCUCAAGAAGUUCAUCAGAAGAAGUAUCACCAUUUUCUAUGAAGAUGUUGUUUAACUGGUUAAGAGUAUUGUCAUCAAGAGAGAGUUCAUUUAAUUUUUUGUUAAUCCUACAAUAUUUUGAAACAUGACAUUUUCUACCACAAGAAUUGCAUUUAAUGUCUUUAAAAAAAUUUCUAUCAGUAUGAGGUCUAUUUUGGUUAUUCUGGUGUCUUUGUUUAUUCUUAUGUGAUGGAGGUUUGUUGUGAUGUUUCUUCGUUUCUUUUGUAGUAGGACAAGUUCCCUUACAUUUUGGUUUUGUUUUUUCAUUAUAAGAGAGGUCGUAUUGAACACAAAAAUCUCCUAGACUUCUAUUGGUGAGAGAUUGUUCUUCCUUGAGUUGUCUUUGUAAUUUGAUAGUAUUACACAUUUGUGUUCCUUGUCUAUAAACAUAAGAGACUAUUUCUCCAUAAGAAAGAAGAUCAUAAGGUAUUUGGCCAUUGUAUUCUUCUCUAAUUCUAUCUCUAACUUAGUCACCUAUAAUUUGGGGUAAAUCUGCUAAGAAUUUUUCUUUCCAAAAGGGUUAAUUGCAAUCAGGUCUAAUAAGAACCCUUUGAAGGAAGAGUUCUUUAUAUUCUCUAAAUCUCCCUAAGGAUUUGCAACGCAUAUUGUAUAAGAGAUCUUGGUUCCUAUCUCUAAUAUGUGAAGGGUCUCCUAUGAAGUGUUGUGAAAUGGAAUAGAUAAUAGUAUUCACCACAUCUUGGAUGAGAUGUCCUUGAUCAUCAUCCAUGCGUUGACCAAAGUCGUCGAUUUUAUACGUAGUUAAAAUUUAUAUUUUUUGUUCAUCAGUCAAAUAAUUAUCCCACCAACCAUUUAGUUGUCCAGUAAAUCCAGCUACUAAAAGAUUAGCAACAGCAUAAUCAGAAACAUCUUGCUAAGUUUUGUAGGCAUUGGCAAGCAUUACCAUGUUAUUUAAAAUAUUCAUGAUAUUGCUUUCUGCAACACCAUCUAUAUUCCAUUCAUAAAUGGCGUUAGGAGAGUAUUUAUUAUGUAUUUUCUGUGAUGAUUCUUCAUGGGCAAUGUCUGGUGGAGUCGCUCUACUAUAAUAAAGUUUCUGAGGUUGUUUCCAAUUGAGUCUAUUAAUGUAAGUGACUGAUUCAUUAUCAGAAUCACCAGAGUGUUUGGUCAAGGUACUGAUAGUAGGUUGGUCUGGGGUGUCUUUAAUAAUUAGUCCUUGGAAUUUAAGAGUAUUUAAUAUAGGGGCAGGCUCAAGUUUUGAUUUUCCUAAGAGUUUUUUCUUUUGUUCUAUUGCUUUGGCAAACUCUGGGCUAAGAUUUUUUGGAAAUUCAAAAGCUUUAAACAUGGGUUUUUUGAAAGUAUCAACUUGUGGUGUGAUGAGUUGGGUAGGAUUCUGGAUGGUGGAUUUUAUUCUAUUCAACUGUUUUCUAUGGUUGCCAAAUGUUGAUUGGUGUAAUUGUUUUGUUCAAUGACUUUGUGAGUAUAAAGAGAGUCUCCUUGAUCUAGAAGCCUAAAAGAAGUAGCUGUAACCUCGCUUUCUCCAUGUUAUAUUUUUAUUCUCAUAAGAGGGGGAUGAUUAGAAUCUAUGGUUUCACCAUUAUCAAGUUUCAACUUAUAAUGAUGAUCUAAAACAAUUAUUUCUUUUGGUUCGAGGAAUUGUUCUUCGAAACAGUCAAAGAAAAAUAUAUGGACUUCAUAUUCAUAUAUGUAGUCGUAAUAUUUUUGUUUGAUAUCUUUUGCUUUAUUAGCAAAGGUUUUGAAGAACCAUUCUCUAAUUUUUCUGUUGUUUUCAGAAUUAAAUUCUUUAUUAAGGAAAGCCUUGUUUGGUUCAAAAUGUUUUUCUAAAACAUUAAGCUCGGCAUCUAUCAUUUACGAAUAAGUGGGAGAAUGAUGAGAAGAGUCUGUAUUUUCUAGGACUGGUUCAGGCUAGUUUUGUUGGUAAACUAGCCUAGAAAUCCCUGAUCUAUUAGCUAAACCACUAAUUUCCGGUUCAAGAGGUGUCUCAUGAUUACUUCUACUUGUGGAAGGAGGUAAGGGUGUUGUAUCGCGUGUGGGAGUGUCUCUAUGCAUACUAGGAGGAGGAGUGUCUCUAUGCGUACUUGGAGGGAUGGUGAUUAUAGGCAGAAGAUUCGGAUUAAGAUCUAUCGACCUUGUAUAAGAUGUAUGAAAAGAAGGACUAGAUCUUGAAUCAAAAGAUCUAGGAAAUCUAAUGGUCACCCUUCCUUCUGGAUGUUGGAUGACAUUGGUCGAACUAGUAUUUUGAACAAUUUGUUGAGGAAUUUGGUUUUCUAAUUCCCAUUGUUCUGGUAAAGUGACUUGGUUCCAAUUAAUGGAUCUAAGAAUGGUUGUAUUUGCUCUAGAAAUGUCAGUUUGGAGGAGAAGUGUUUCUCCUCUAGGGCUAUGUUUAAAAGCAUUUUCUCCAAAGGCGAAGGACAUGGCUGUAUAAUGGAUUUUAUAGACAAGAGCUAGAGGAAUGGAUCCAUCUGCUACUUUGUAAUUAUGGGUUUUGAUUUGGAGUGUGAGAGCUUUAAGAAUAUUUUUAUCCUUAAAAGAAACUGAGAAAUUGGGAUAACAAUCAAAAUGUAUUGGUCCUUCGCAGAGACUUGUCUCUACUGUACCAAGGAUGGAUUCAUCAUAGUUUAAGAGACGUGAAUCUCGUAAAACUAAGAGAAUUGACGUAUUAGGACCUUCUUUGGUAAGAGGUUUAAUUCCUACUUAGACUAGUCCUAUAUGAAUGUAAUUGUAUUUUUGUUUAUGCUUUUGGAUGGACUCUUUAUUUAAAAGAUGUAUUUUUGGCAGAAGUACACCACAAGUGCCAUAACUUGGCACGCCGGGACACUUAAGUGCCAUAACUUCAAAACGGUACACUUAAGUGCCACUUUUUUUUUCGAAUGGGACACUUAAGUGCCACCUCCGGCGACCCUUGCCGGAAAUCCUACGUGGCAAUAUUUUAUUAUUAUUAUUUGCCUACGUGGCUCGCCGGAGCUCCAAAUCAGCAUAAAAAUUAAAAAAAAAAUUAAAAAAAUUAAAAAGUUUUAAUUUUAAAAUUUUCAAUUUCAAAAAAUUAAAAAAAUUAUAAAAAAAAAAGAAAAUUUUAAAAAUUUUAAUUUUAAAAAAUUUUGAAAAUUAAAAAAAAGAAAAUUUAAAAAAAUUUAAUUUUAAAAAAUUUAAAAAUUAAAAAAAAAAGAAAAUUAUAAAAUUUUAAUUUUAAAAAAUUAAAAAAAAUUUGAAAAAUAAGAAAAUUUUAAAAAUUUUAAUUUUAAAAAUUUUUAAAAAAUUAAAAAAAAAGAAAAUUAUGAAAAUUUUAAUUUUAAAAAAUUAAAAAAAUUUAAAAAAAUAAGAAAAUUUUAAAAAUUUUAAUUUUAAAAAAUUUUAGAAAAAUAAGAAAAUUUUAAAAAUUUUAAUUUUAAAAAAUUUAAAAAAUUUUAAUUUUAAAAAAUUUUAAAAAUUAAAAAAAAUUUAAAAAAUUUUAAUUUUAAAAAAUUUUAAAAAUUAAAAAAAAUUUAAAAAAUUUUAAUUUUAAAAAAUUUUAAAAAUUAAAAAAAAUUUAAAAAAUUUUAAUUUUAAAAAAUUUUAAAAAAAAGAAAAUUUUAAAAAUUUUAAUUUUAAAAACUUUAAUUUUAAAAAAUUAAAAAAAAAAUUAAAAAUAAGAAAAUUUUAAAAAUUUUAAUUUUAAAAAAAUAAAAAAUUUUAAAAAAUUAAAAAAUUAAAAAAAAGGGGGGGGGGGAGGUGGCGGCGGUGGAGGUGGCGGCGGUGAGGGAGCCGCCGGCGGCGGCAAGGGAGCCGCCCCGUUCGGCCUCCCCCCCCCCCCCCCCCCCUUUUUAAACUUUUUUUAAGUUUUUUUUUUUGAAAUUUCUUAAUUUUAANNNNNNNNNNNNNNNNNNNNNNNNNNNNNNNNNNNNNNNNNNNNNNNNNNNNNNNNNNNNNNNNNNNNNNNNNNNNNNNNNNNNNNNNNNNNNNNNNNNNUAAAUUCUUCUAAUUUUUCUUAAUCUUCUAAUUUUUUAAAUCUUCUUAAUUUUUAAAAUUUCGUAAUUUUUAAAAUUUUUAAAUUUUCUAAUUUUUUAAAAUUUUUAAAAUUUUUAAAAUUUUAAAAUUGUCUUAAUUUUUAAAAUUUUUAAAAUUUUUAAAUUUUUCUUAAUUUUUAAAAUUUUAAAAUUUUUAAAUUUUUCUUAAUUUUUAAAAUUUUAAAAUUUUUCUUAAUUUUUAAAAUUUUAAAAUUUUUCUUAAUUUUUAAAAUUUUUAAAAUUUCUUAAUUUUUAAAAUUUUUCUUAAUUUUUUAAAAUUUUUAAAAUUUUUCUUAUUUUUUUAAAAUUUUUGAAUAUUUUAAAUCUAAUUUAAUUAAUUUAUAUACUAUUAUUUACACGUAGACGCGAAACGGCGUCGUUUUUGCAUUUUCUCCGCCACGUCAGCAUGCAAAACGACGCCGUUUUGGACCAAGCUCGCCGGAAAGUCGCCAUGUCAGCCAUUUGGCCGGAUUUUCGCCGGAGUGGCACUUAAGUGUCCCAUUUUACUCCGAUGAUGGCACUUAAGUGUACCAUUUUAAAGUUAUGGCACUUAAGUGUCCCGGCGUGCCAAGUUAUGGCACUCCAGGUGUCCCGCACUCAUGUAUUUUUUCAUAGGAAUUAGAAAGAUGAACAUCUCUUUCUUCAGUGGUUAUGACAUAGUCUAAUUUUUUGAAAAAUUUCAAUUUUGAUUGUUUAUAAAUUUCCUUAAGCUGUAUUUUAGGAAUUUCCCAAUUUUCUAUAGAUUCGUUGAAAUCUUCUAUUCUUACUUCUUCUCUAUGUAUAAGACUUGGAUCUGAGUCCAUUUGUGAUAGAGAACUAGAGGAAGAUGUAAAUCUUCUAUGUAAGCUCAUACUUAAGAUCGAAACUAUUCAUUCUUCAGUUCGUUACAGAACUAAACCAACGGUCUAACAGCCACUCAGGGACUUACGACCUGGACCACUCUGUAGAAACAAGAAGGAUGCCAACGAAUGGCUCUCGAUCUAUAUGUAUGUUCUUACAAAGACUAUCUAUACCUUCCCACUAGCUCUGAUACCACAAAGGGGUUAGCUUGUAUUUAUGAGUUAGUUAUUAAUUAUAAAUCUCUUAAUAUAGCCCUUAGGUGGAUAAGAUAUCCUAUACCCAAUAAAAAAAAAUUGUUUAAUACAGGUCAGUGAAAAGGAUAAAUACAAGACAGCCUUUACAAUCCCUUUUGGCCAAUAUGAAUAGAAUGUUAUGCUAUUUGGUAUAUAUAUUAACGGCAAAUCAGAGCAAGAUAAGAUUGAUAUUCAAAAAAUUGACGAACUAUAUUUCGCGCAUUAGAUCAAAUUAGCCAACUUUAAAUAAAUUGCAAAUCUCAAUGAGAUAGAUUGGCAAUUUUUCAAGCGAUUGCGAGUCGGAUUUCAGGCGCGAAAAUUGGUCUGUCAAUCCCAAAUUUCAAAGACAAUUUCAUGUCGGGAAAUCUCAACCUUACAUCUAGAAAUAUUUCUACUAAAAAAAGUAAAAUAAAAUAAUAAAUAUAAAAUAAAGUAAAGUAAAUAAAAAAAGAACUACCUAAAUUGAUUUUCCCCUUGUUUUUUAUUUUUCAAAAUAGGGCUUGGCUGCUCAUGGUGGGUUGCCAAGGGCGGCUGGUCGCCGGCCGGAGUGAGGGGAUGGUCGUCGGAGCUCCGGCGAGGGUGGACCGGCAGCGAACAGGGCGGAGCAGCUCGGAAAGGGGCGGCAGCUGGCGGAUGUAGCAACUGCAGCUGGUCGCGGGUCAGGGGGCAGCAACCGGGGACCAGGGACCGGCGGAGCAAGGGCGUCGCGGGCGGAGCUGCCGGCGUUCUGGGCACCGGCGAGGGAGCGUCGCAGGUGUUGCUGGCGCGGAGGUGGCUGCUGCGGCGGUGGUCCGGCAGAGGGAUCUGCAGGGAACCGAAUCGACGGAGGGCUGCUGUGGGCGUCGCUCGGCACGGACGGAGGGCUGCAGACGGACAGAACAGGGAGGUCGCGGUGGUGCGGUGCGAGGUCGACUCAGGCGAACAGGGGGCGUCGGGCGCCGAGUGCUGCAGCGGCGCCACUCGGGGAAGCUCCGAGCAGCCUGCGGGGCGUCACUCGGAGAGCAGGGGGCUGCUGCUGCGUCGAUCGAAGGAGGAGGCUAGCGUUGGGGGUUGUUGCAGCGGGCAGAUCUGGAGCAGCGGCAGCCAACGCGGGGGUAGCAGACGGAGGCGCGGAAGAGGGGACUCAGGAUUUGCGGAGCGGCGAUGCGGCGUCCGGCGGGGCGGCAGAGCAGCGGCGCGAACUCGUGUGGAUCGGGCAGAGGUGCAGAGCAGAUGGGCUCGCGGACAGGUGAGCGCAGGCGUCGGCGAGGCAACGGCAGAUCAGGCAGUGGCGGAGCAGGAGAAACGGCGAUGGCCGGCGGACACAAGCAGGGCGGUGACUCUCGGACGACACUACGCGGCGACCGGCACAGCAGACCUCGAGCGGCUAGGGGGGAACGCAUGAACGGCAGCUCCUUUUCUUUUCUUUUUUUCUCUUGUUUCUGCUGGGUUGUCACGUCUCCUUCACUCUCUUCUCACGAGAAAAUAUUGAGUACGUCUUAUGCUCCAGCGUGUCAAACAAGAAGACGCUCGCAGCGCGACACGUGUCCUUGUGUCAGGCGCCAUUUUGAAAAAAUUUCGGACGGGAGACUGAGGGUUUUUCUUUCUUCGCGCCUCUUUCACCUCUGCAGAUCGUCUCUCUCCCCAUUCUCCUCUCUCUCCUCUCUGUCUCUCUCCCCUCCGCCUCUGCUGGUUGCUUCCAUCGCCCCCCACGCCGACGCCGCCGACGCUCCUCCGCCUCCCUCUCGCGACGUCCGCUCUGCUCUCUCUCUCUCCCCCUCCGCGAAGUCGUGCCUCUCUUCCAGCGAAACGCGACGCCGACGGACCUCCACCUCCGCCUCCGCUGGUUGCCUCCGUCGCCCUCAACUCCGACGCCGACGCAGCCUCCGCCUCCUCCCCUGAACCCUACUCUGACGCCGACGCCCCUCCACCGGUUGCCUCCGUCUGCGUCGAAGUCCGUCGCCCCCGACUCCUCCGCCUCCGCCUACGCGCCCGACGCCAACGCGUCGAACCACGACGGCGAAAAUGGAGGAGAGAGAAACAACGAGCUCGACGGCGACGGCGACGGCGACGAAGCAGUAGACGGAGACGAAGAAGCAGAAGCGCACGCUCAGGGUUCUGGACAUGGCUCGUCGCGUCGGUCGCGUUCCGGCUCGCCCUCGUCUACCUCCCCAGGAACCUCCGCUGUCCACCCGCCCCGAGGUCGCCACCCCUCUCACCAGCAUUCGCCGCCGUAACGCCGCCUCUCUUCGCUCCGUCGAUCAAUUCCUGAUCCCCGAUCCCCGCCCCCUCCUCCCUUUAAAUCUUGGAGGUUCAUUUUCUGAUACGAUUUCUGGUUUUUCUUGUUUGUGUCGUCUGCAGUUGGCAAAGGCUGAUUGAAGCAGUAAGCGAUGUCUCCCUAUGCAGGUUCGGCUCCGUUUGAUCUCUGUAGAAAGGAAGCUGCUUGUUUGCUUACUGGUGUGUCGCUGUUCCAUGCUUUGAUCCCUCCCAUCUUCAAUUUUCUUCCCCCCUCCCUCGAAAUCUCGUUUUUUCAGCAUUUUCACUUUGGAAAAAUCUGGGUGAGGAAGUAGAUUUUUUGGGAGAUGAUUGAUUAGUUUGAACGGAGGAAGCACUUGAGUUAUGGUUUUUUGACUGCUUCAACCUUUUUUCCUCCGAGAAAUUAGGAUGAUCUGGUCUAUUCUGAAUCUGGGUCGCCAUUCACGGCAAGCCUGAAUGGUGAAACAAACUCCUCUACCUAUUUAUGUGAUAGGACUGAGGAUCAUUUCUGAGGAUCAUAUCUGAUUAUAGCUUUCUAAAAAAGGAAACUUUAUACUUGCAUGCUAUCCAGUUUCUCUAAGGGAUUAAAGCAACCUGCCAUGUAUGUGAAUCGUUGAAGCAGUGAAUGGACCCUGGAGAUUAUUCGAUCGAAUGAUCAUUAUUUUUUUUCUUAAUUAUAGAGAGGUACUCAUAUUGCUUUUUCUUGGAAUCAGAAUUGCUACUGCUUAAGGGCAUCUUAACUUCUUUCAGAUCCAGGUUAUGGUGCUGUUGGUUUCAUCAUUGAUUGUGAACAUUCUUAUCGUCGCACUGUGCAGCUUAUUUAAUAUAGCUAUUUCUUCAUUUGUCUAAUUCAAGAAAGAGCUCCUCUGUAUUCUAGAUGAUGUUUUAACAUAUACACCGUGUGGUCUAAGAAAAUAAGAAGUUGUUCUGCUUAUAAUUGUUAUCUUGGCAAGUUUCAUUGUGCACCUUAUUUAGUCCAUAGUCCCAUAUUUAUGUUUCAUGUGGAGACUGAAGUGAGGUGGAGAUUUUGUGCAUUCAACAAUCUGUUUCUUGUUCCAACAGGAAAGGGGUCAGCCAUUGCCAAAGUUUGGUGAAUGGGAUGUGAAUGACCCAGCUUCAGCGGAGGGGUUUACUGUCAUCUUUAACAAGGCAAGGUAUGAAAAAAAGACGGGUGGCAAGCCCAAAUCUCCGUCAAAGGCCAACCCUCAAGUCAAACACUCUGUUGAUCCGAGCAAACCUCCAACGGUAAGUUGUUUCUUAGAAGCCUGGGAACAAACUGUUUUAUUUAUGUAGGAUGCAUUAAUUAUUGCAGUCAUUUGUUCUACGAUAAUCUAUUAAGGUUCCAGUUAUGUAGUAGUUAACCUGUCUAAUAAUUAAAUUUAAACUUUCUUAUAUGCUAUGCUAGUCUUGAUGAAAAUGUAGAAAUGGAAAAUAGAACUCUCAAACUUGCAGAUAGGGUAAAAGAAAUUGAUUUGACGGUGUCAUAAAAACUAAGCAGGUUGGGCACUACUUGCUCGUUAGUAUUUGAAUCAUUCAAAAUGACCAUCCGAAAGAUGCUAUUAUCCUUUAUAGUGCAAGCAGGAAUUGAAUUUGAGUUGGACGCAAUUGUCUGUGAACAAGUCAGCUGCUGUAGAUUUUAUUUAUUUAUUUAUUUAUUUAUUUUGUUUUCAUUCUCCCAACCUUUGCUGCUUCGCUCUCUUACUGUGAAUUCUUUGUUGCACGCAGAAGAAAUGGUUUUGCUGCAUUCAGAGCCCAGCAGAAUCUUGACUAGGUUCUUUGGCGAGGAGCUUCCAAAAGAGACGCGCGUUGUUAGGCUAAAGCAGCCCCAGAAUGUUCACUUGAAGAAGAUACAAACAGUUUAGAGCCAUUGUUAUUAUUGCAGGAAUAGCUCGUGGUGUAAAUGUGGGGUUUGUGGAGAUGAGUAAAAUAAUGACGCGUCAUGCUUACUAUAAUCUAUCAUCAGUAUGCUUCUCUCUGUCUCUGCCUAUCUCUCUCUCUCUCUCUCUCUCUCUCUCUCUCUCUCUCUCUCUCUCUCUUCCUCUGCUUAGUUCUAUUGUUAAUUUAUUAAUUGUCUUCUUUCUGUAUUUGUGAAUUGGAUCUGUCUGUGAAAUGUCUACGCCUACUUUCAAUCUGGUUUAAUUUAUUGUUAUCCAUCGUUGAAGACAUUAUAGAUACGAGCUUGUGACCCUUUCCUCUGUCAUCAAUCACGCUAACGGAUGUUUCUGGUUGGGGGAACAGCGUGAGUCAUAGCCAUUUGCGUUUGUCAUUUCUCUUUUAUAGGAAUUAAGGUGUCAACUCCCUUAGACAUGGGAAAGGUCAUCUCCACGAAUCUUCUGCGUAGGGAUUGUUCAAAUGGCAAUUUCGAAUAUUGGUAAUCCUGAUCUCAUAAGGAGAAAGGCACAAUCUUGCCCUUCUUUGUUUUAGGAAAGGUUAGUCUUAUAUCAACAAUGGAAGUAACAAAAAUGUCUCUGAUGUCGUGCGUUCCUCAAAGAACAUGAGUUUGCAAAAUUUCGUGCAUGUGAAACGACGAUUGCGGUCAUGAACCAGCUUUAUCUAUGGCCUCUUUUUCCAUAGAUCAUUGAUGUAGUCGAUUAACUCCACACAUUCAUACAUCAUUGAUGUAGUCCAUAAAAUUCCACAAAUUGGUAGGAUCAAUCGACGUUCCGCUUUUUCCUCUUCCUUUUUCCCGCGACUGAUGUGAAUGACAUGGCUCUAAUAUCCCCCCUACUAAUGGUGCGGAAGCUACUUCUGUUACACAAUCACCGCCAAAGACCUCAAGAAUAAGACCAAGGUUCCGAUCCCAGUAAAUGCAAUUCCAAAACUGUGGAGCUAUGGCUGUCCUACUUACCAAACAACAAAAUAAAACAAAGCUCUCUUCCUCACAUCUUUUCCUUCUCUUUGCUUCAAUUUGAUUUGAGCUUCACUCUAGUUAGGAAGAAGUUGUAAUUGCCAUGAACUUAACGAUGGAACCUAGUAGAAUGCCCAAUUUUUCUUCAUGGCCUGACGCAUUCUGUUUUUUCACCUCAAGGUCAUCUAUCAUAUGACCUUUUCACAAAGUAAACAGUUUCCUUGUCUACACAUGUCUCUAUGGAUAUUUAAAGAAAGAACCGAAGACUGGCGUUGCUAACAAAAAUCUCUAAUUACUUUAGCGUCAUCUGACAGUAUCAAUGUUAAACUCGAGAGAAACCAAGCUUCCUCUCAAAAAGGCGGCGGAGCAGGUAAACUUGGAGAACACUCGCCCCAAUAAGUGCUGCUGACUCGAAGAAAGCCUUAUGGACUGCCCUCCUGCUCAUUGCGUCGUUCACUGCGAUCACAAAUCAUCAUAGAAUGAGUAUUCAUUUAACCCAAUAUCUAUGUAUCGUCUGUUAGUGAACACAAUAUUUACUUAGCAAGGUCAUCCCCAUUCCAUUUCGUGUGGCGAUCAGACACACUUCAAAACAUCUAGCAGAUAACACAAGUAAACAAAACCCAUGACCAUUUGAAACCCAGUACACCAAGCACGCAUCUUCUUUUUUGUUGCCUGCUUUGUUUUCUAAGUCCGCCUUUUCAGCUGCUGCCAAGUUAGGAAGGUUUUACUAUUUUCAGGAUCAUAAACAAUAUAACCGAUUAGUUACGUCAAUCAGAUGGAUAAAAGGAGCUUGUCAAAGGCUCUAGAAAUAGCUUUUAACUUGUCUUGUGAGACAUCUACUUCUGAAGGUCUUUUAAGAACAGAGGUUGUGAGAACCUUUGAGAUUUAGGAGAUAACAGGAGUCAAAGCAAGCUAUAGUGGUCCACUCAGCAUUAAAUAGGAAAGUUAUUUCCAUCAGAGAUGAAACAGGGUUGGAAUCCACCGCGAUAAUUAGCAAGAGGACUUGACAUAAAAUAUCUUACCAAUUGCUUGACGUUCAGUCUCAGCCUCCAGCCAAUGCUGCUCAAACUGAAUGUUGUAGAGAGCCUCCUCCAGCUUCCCUAUCUGUUCCAACAAGGGGUUGAAAUGCUCUGCAGAUACAUUCACAGCAGAUAAAAAAGAGACACGCAGUAUAUUCUGUAAAGUUCGUCAGUUCAAGAGACAAGAAAACAGAAAAAAGGCAGAGUCCCACCGUCCUCUGCGUGCUGAUCAUAGAAUGUAAAAUGGCCAACGUGCACAUCAAAGUCGAUGGUUUCAUGAUAAGGAGACUUGUUAGUAAAGCAGAACCGAUGAACACCCUUAUGGUGAGCCACAAACUCAAAUUUCUCACUGAUCUUGUCGUGAAAAUCUUGAAUCUGUUCACCAGAAGGUCCUUUCAUCUGAUAAUUUCAAAAGUUGCAAAGUACAUACAGUUAUCUAGGUCAUUAUCAUAGGAUUAAAGAUCAAUAAGAGAACUAUUGGCAGAAUCGAGGGAUGUAAUAAUCAAUAUAUGAUAUCAAUCUUAAUCAUGUCCCGACAAACAUGAAAAACAUGAAAAAGGAAAACCAAAUAUGCAUAUGCGAGAUCUAGUCGAGCCAUCUAGGCUGCCAAAGGAUAACAAAAUUCAAUGAAGAAUUUCCUUUAGGAAGAUAAUCAGCAUCCUUUACAAAAAGAAAUACAUGUGAGUACAGUAAUUCCUGUAGGUUAACAAGAUUUCGUGAUACAUGGAAUCUGUGGAAGGGAUCAAAGCAUGGAACAGCGACACACCAGUAAGCAAACAAGCAGCUUCCUUUCUACAGAGAUCGAACGGAGCCGAACCUGCAUAGGGAGACAUCGCUUACUACUUCAACCAGCCUUUGCCAACUGCAGGCGGCACAAACAAGAAAAACCAGAAAUCGUAUCAGAAAAUGAACCUCCAAGAUUUAAAGGGAGGAGGGGGCGGGGGAUCGGGGAUCGGGAAUCGAUCGACGGAGUGAAGAGAGGCGGCGUUACGGCGGCGAAUGCUGGUGAGAGGGGUGGCGACCUCGGGCGGGUGGACAGGAGGAGGUUCGUGGGGAGGUAGACGAGGGCGAGCCGGAACGCGACCGACGCGACGAGCCAUGUCCAGAACCCCGAGCGCGCGCGCUUUUGCUUCUUCGUCUCCGUCUACUGCUUCGUCGCCGUCGCCAGCGCCGUCGAGCUCGUCGUUUCUCUCUCCUCCAUUUUCGCCAUCGUGGUUCGACGCGUUGGCGUCGGGCGCGUAGGCGGAGGUGGAGGAGUCGGGGGCGACGGACUCCGACGCCGAUGGAGGCAACCGGUGGAGGGGCGUCGGCAUCAGAGUAGGGUUCAAGGGAGGAGGCGGAGGCUGCGUCGGCGUCAGAGUCGAGGGCGACGGAGGCAACCGGCGGAGGCGGAGGUGGAGGUCCAUCGGUGUCGCGUUUCGCUGGAAGAGAAGCACGACUUCGCGGAGGGGGAGAGAGAGAGAGAGCAGAGCGGACGUCGCGAGAGGGAGGCGGAGGAGCGUCGGCGGCGUCGGCGUCGGCUUCGGCGUCGGCGUGGGGGGCGAUGGAAGCAACCAACAGAGGCGGAGGGGAGAGAGACAGAGAGGAGAGAGAGGAGAACGGGGAGAGAGGAUCUGCAGAGGUGAGAGAGGCGCGAAGAAAGAAAAACCCUCAGUCUCCCGUCUGAAAUUUUUCAAAAUGGCGCCUGACACAAGGACACGUGUCGCGCUGCGAGUGCCUUCUUGUUUGACACGCUGGAGCAUAUAACGUACCUAAUAUUUUCUCCUCUUCUCACGUCUCCCUGCACUGUAUACUUUUCACUUUCUGCAGACUUUGGCUUUUCCUCACAAAAAGCUUUGCUUUUUACUUAUUCCUUUGUGUCGAUUUUCAAGGAACAAGAAAAACCAAGAAAAGCCCCCCUUGAACAAAACCUUCGAACGCUUUGCCAAUUUUCUCUCUAAAGAGACUCCCCUCUUGUAUGGCCAUAUGUAUCAAUAUGUGGCCCCCUAAAACCCUACGCAUUUUUCUUUAUAUAGGUCAUGGAUUAGGGUUUUAAUUUUUUAUAAAUUCAUAUCCACAAAAAUUUCUUUUCCGAACGCAAUAUAUGUUUUUUAUACAGGUUUGGGCUAAUUUGUUUUCUUCGUGGGCUUAGCCCAACUUAUCAAAUUAAAAUUCUGAACCAUCAAUUUGUACUCAUUUAUCACCGACCCAAUGUAAAUGCAAAUUAAGAAUAAAUGCACCUAAAAUCAUAUGUUAUACAAUUAAUUAAUUAACUAAUAUAUAAAUAUAUAUUUAGGGGUUAAAAUUAAUCUGUAAUUUUUAAUGCGAUAAAUGACUAAAUGGGUCACCAAAUUUUAUGUGUAAACAAAGGUGCAUUGACGAAAUUGAUUAUGGAAUGAAGAGGGUUGGAAACAUACUUUGCAAUAAGGAAGUCCUCAUUGUACUUGUUGAUGUUGAUAAUAGAGAACAAGUAGAGAAAUUAGUUGAAGAGAGAAAUUUGCAUCCAAGAUCUAGAAUAUUGAUUACAACUAGAAAUAAGGAUAUCAACACACCAAACUAUCAAAUUUUUGGAUUAUGAAAUGAAGGUGAUGAAUACCAAUAAUGCGCUUGAGCUUUUCAGCAGGCAUGCAUUUGAUGAUGUCUCUCCUCCAAAUGAUUACAAUAAUCUUUCAAGGGAAAUUGUAUUAGCUAUAGGGAGACUUCCAUUGACUCUAGAAGUAAUUGGCUUGUUCCUUUGCUACCAAAAAACGACAAAACAAUGGAAAGAGACAUUGGACCAGUUGAGAAAAGGACAUCCCAAGAAUGUUUUUGAAAAGUUAAAGAUCAACUAUGAUGCCAGCAACAACAAUUUUUCCUCAAUAUUGCAUGCUUUUUCAUUGGUCAGGAUAAGAUGGAUGCAAUUUACACGUGGGAAGAUUGUGAGUUUUGCCCACAUACUAAAGUUGAUCACCUCAUUAGCUUGUCUUUGGUAAAGAUUUUGCAGAACAAUAAGUUUUGGAUACACGAUCAACUCAGAGAUCUUGGUAGGAAUAUUGUUCAUAUGGAAAAUCCAAUGAAUCCUAGAGAGCAUAGUAGAAUAUGGAUUUACAAGGAGGCCCUUGAUGCAAUAAAGACAAAGGAGGUAAAGCAAUUCUAGAGGAACUGGUAGUUUCUAACAAUAAUACCUCUCCACUGACUUAGGGUUCUCCAUCUUCUUCUUGUUUUCUUUUCUUCUUUUCUCUUUAUGAUAGUUUACCUCUACGAAAUAGAACACUGAUAUCACUCAUAUCCCGUUCUUGUAUGUAGAUAAAAAAGAAUGUUCAAGCCCUAUAUCUUGAUAUAAAUGCACGAGAUUUCCAUAAUGUCAUUGUUCAAAGUAAAGAGAUUGGUAGGUUUGAACAUCUAAGGUUCCUCAAGUUAAGUAAAGGAAUCUUUGUUGGCAACUUAGAGAAUCAUCUUAUUAAAUUAAGAUGGUUGUUUUGGAAUUGUCCUCCAAGAAAAAAUGAAUGGACUAAUUUGUACGUAAAGAACGUGGUUGUUCUUGAAUACUUAGAUGAUUUUUACUUAGAUGGCUCGAGAUCAAAGGACCCAUCCGGGUAUGUAAUACGCUUAUCUCUAUUCUAUUCUAUUUGAAAGUAAUAUCUAAUUGUUCAUACAUUGAAUGUUACAUUCUUUUUUAUAGAUGGCAAGAAAAUUAAAGGUUCUUUCUCUUACAUGUUGUGAUAAAAUAACCAUAACACUAGACUUCUCUAGAUCCCCUUAUUUAGAGAGGCUUGCUUUCGAAGAUUGUUCCAAGUUGCGGAUAAUUGAUGGCUCUAUUGGAAAGUUGAAGUGUCUCACUAAAUUCAAAAUUUUGGAUUGGAGAAGUCUUAAAUAUUUGUCCAUAGAAAUUGGUGACCAAGUGAAUUUGAAGCACUUCUUUAUAGAGAAUUGUGGAGUGUGAAAUUUACCAAAUUCCAUAUGGUAGUUGAAAUCGUUACACAUGGUGUAUUUUGAAAAACUUGAGGGGGCAUCAAGUGCACCAUUGGAGUUACCUAGAGAUAUUGGAAUACUUCAAAAUCUGGAAGUGCUUAAAGUGGACGAUCCUUAUUUAAAAGGUCAAAUUCCUUCUGGAUUUGGAAGAUUGUCCACUCUAAGAAUCCUAAAUCUAUCGGGUAUUGAUGUUAGUGAAGUUCCAAAGACCGUUAGCAUACUUCCUUGCCUACAAAGAUUGGAGCUGAGGCCUUGUGAUAAAAUUCAAGAGUUGCCUAUGCUCCCAAUAAGUUGAACACAUCUAAAAGUGUUAUCUGAAUCAUUGCGGGUAUUCCCGCAUCUCUUGAACUUGACUACUUUGGUUUAGUUAGAUCUAAAUGGAGGAGGAGGAGACAAAUUUUGUACAAGUGAGUUUUGGUGGAUUGGGAAGUUAUCCAAAUUAAAAAACCUGAGCUUAAGACUUGACAAUGUCCAUGCUUCUGCGGAGCUAGCUUCCCUACCUCAACUUAACGAACUUUAUUUGUUUGGAUUGGACCCGCAAACCUGUCCGCAACUUCCCUUGUCUCUACAAAAGCUUUACCUUAUUACUUUCAAUUCAACUUUGUCAAACUUGAGAAAUUUGUAUUUUUUCUGCCUCUACGCGUCGCCAAUGCAAGAAUUUCGAAUUUAUGGGUUUCAACUUCCAUAUCUAAGGCAGUUGCAUGUGAGGGAUUGUGAAGCCCUUGAGAGCAUGAGGCUAUCAAGCACGAGGAAGCUAGAAGAUGUCGUGGUGGAUAGAUGUACGUAGCUAGUUGAGAUCCAAUUUUGUUGGACAUCCGAAUGAUUUGAGCUUUUGUGUAUUAGAUUUUGUUUGUCCUUGAAAAGGCUAGUUUGUAUGGGGGAAGCAGGGCAUGAUAACAAUGAGUCCGCUAAUGAGAUGAUUAGUUGUGAAGGGAGACUAAUCCUUUCAACGAGAGCCUUAAAGAAGUUGCAAAGAUUCCACCUGUUUGGUAACAAUGGGAUAUUCGAGAUUGACGUUGCCGGUAGGUCAGAAUUAUGGGAAGUCUUCAGUGUUUACCAUUGUCCUUCGCUGCGGUCUCCUCGUGGUUUACCAAACUUAAAGAACCUUCGGUCUCUAUCAUUCAACAGUUACUGGGGCUUACAGGUUGUCGAGGGCCUCGACCAGCUGGGGUGUUUGAACAGUUUAAUGGUUAACUUUUGGGAAUCUUUGGGAAGGUUGAUUGACCUAUCAACCACCAAAGUGCCAGAUGACCGCCACAUACAUAUCGGCUGCUGCAAUUAAUUAUGUGAGAGAGAAUUCGACGGCGCCGUCCAGUCUUUCAAGCAUUAUAAGGUGAGUGUAGACCAUUCUCUCUUUUCUCUCUGGUUUUGACGCGGCCAUCCCCAAACAUGAAUUCAAACUUUUAAGCAGAUUUAUAAUAAUUAUGGGAAAUCGAAAAACAAAAAAUUAAAUCUGGUCUCAUUUAUUUUAAAACCCAUUCAACGCAGCUUUGUUUUGUCCUGCGCUCGUGUUUUUUCUUCUUCUCUUUUUCUGUUAUCUGUUUUCUUUCCUAUUUUGUAUAUUAGAAAUUUCUGUGUUUACACAGCUCUUCAGGACAAGGUCAGUUUUUAUCACAACUGAUCGGAAAAACUUCAAUAUCUAGGGGAAAAAAAAUAUAAUAGCUCAGAGUCUUUUAUUAAAAUGCUCUUUCUGUUAUAUAUGGAGUGGAUUAUUUAAUUUAAUGUAUUGUCAAUUUCUUACUUAAUACCAUUCUUUAUGGUGAUGAGUUUGGUGAUUUGCGAUUACAGAGGUCUUUCAAGAACAUAGUUUAUAUGGUCCACCUAUCCGUUGAUCAAGGGGGUUUAUGAUAACCAAAAUUUCUGUUCCAGAAAUAGUUUUUCUGUUCCAAACAUGUUUCUGGAAGAGAAAUACGUUUGAUAAACCUAUUCAGUUUUUCUAUUUCUGGAAUAGAUUUCUAUUCCAGAAAUAGGUUUGGAAGAGAAAUUAUAUGUUAAAAUUUUCUACUUAUCUAUUUAUGGAAUGGAAAUUAAAAAUAAAAAUUUUUAUCAUCGUUCAUCAAUCGGUCCUUCAUUCGUUGUCGUUGACCACCGUUCGUCAGUUGCUCGCCGCCGCCGCCCGCUGGUCGUCGAUCGCCGGCCGCCGCCGCCGCCGGCGGUUGUCCGCCGCCCGCCACCACCACCGGUCGCCAGCCGCCGCCGCCCACCUGCUGCUGGUUGUAUCGGCCCCGCUGCCGCCGGUUGCCAAUCGCCCACCGCUGCCACCAACCGUCGAUCGCCACCGCCGCCCUCCAGUCGCCCGCUGGCCGUCCAUCCCUACCGAUCAUCGGUCCACCGCCGUUCGAAAGGAAGAAAUUUUGUGUCACUAUCAAACGAAUUUCUAUUUUUAGAGUAGAAAUUUUGUGUCGUUAUCAAACGGUUAUUUUUCUGUUCCAGAAACUAUUUCUGGAACAGAAUGGUUGUCAUGCACCCCAAGUGACUUAUGUUCCUGACGGAAUUGAGUGUUACUUGAAUUUGCGUGUGGUAGGGGUCGGCCAAGUAGGAUGUACGUUCCAAAAACACCUCAAAGAUUUUUCAGUGUGAUUAAAGGCCACUUGAAACAGGAACGGGACGAGCAAGUUCGAACAGGAGAGCGACUCCGUAUAGGAACAGGAAAGUGACUUCGAAAAGGAACAGGUAUUAAAAGCCGAUGAGAAGGCUGGGGAGAGUGUCGAGUUCCAGCAGGAACGGGAACGGGAACUGGAAAGCCACUUCAAACAGGAAGUGGAGCAGGAAAGCCACUUCAAACGGCAACAGGAGCCGGAAAGCCACUUCAAACGGGAAAAGGAUUUAAAGCUGACGAGAAAGCAGGGGGCAUUGUCGUUCCAAUGCCUGAGCUUCAACAGUUUUCUGCAAUGCAUCCUCCCCCGUUUUUUCCCGUUAGAUUAAAAGCCAGUUCGAACUGGAAUUAAGACAGUGGAGGAGAAGGAUGGGGAGCGGGUCGUUCGAAUGCCUGCGCCUCAACAGAAUGUGAUGGUGAUUGCAGGUAAAGAUGGCAAGCUGGCCGAUUAUUUGACGGCAGAACCGGAGACGACCCCCUCUGAAAGAAGUCAGAGGAGGCUCGCCAUCAAGUCAGAACGAAGUUGGCUGAAAGCAGAGCCAGGCAGUACAGAAACACUUGAAAGCGCAAUGGAGGAUGAUACACUUGCCCAUUUGAAUGAUCAAUGCCAAUGGUGUCAAGCAAGGCAAACCCAGAAGAUGUCACGUUGGCCGGGAACGACUGCCCCCUUGUCCGUAUUGUUUUUGCGGCCUGUUUCUUUUUUCUUCUUCUUCUUCUUCUUGCCUAGAAGGCAUUCGUUUCUUUAAUUCGUCUUUGCUUUUAAUCUCGGGCUUUGACCAAUAUGCACUUAAGAGGAUGUGGUCUUUCUUUAAUUUUCAGACAAUAGCUUUAGGUUCAUAGAUGAUUCGAAACUACGGAGCUGAAUCAAGACGUGUCAUUAUUUUUUCUAUUCCACUUAAUUAAUAUGUGAUCACUCAUCCUAUGAACAGUGGCAUGCAUCUUUUUAUAAAUGGUGGUGAAAUUGAAAGUUCUUUUACUUCUACAUUGUUCUCACACAAUCACAACCUGCGAUUCCUUUGGAUGCUCAACUUUAAAGAGGUUUACUCUCCAACAUUAACCCAAUUUGAGGAAAAUUGACAGCUCUAUUGAAAGUUAAAGUGUCUGAUCGACUUGAAUAUUUUAUGGUUGCCACCAUCUUGAAGAUUUGCCUAAAUAAAUCAGAGGCCUCGUGAAUUUUCAGUGCUUGAAUUUAGGGUGCUGUUGUUGAGUGAAGAAACUACUAGAUUCCAUAAGGUAGUUGAAAUUGUUAUGUAAGUUGCAAUUUUUGACCUAGUAAUUCGAAUCAAAUUUAUCUCCACACAUUGCAUGGCAAUUGCCUAGUGCAAUGGAAGUGGCUGAAGUCAGGACUCGAAAUUUGAAAGGUCAACUUCCAUCCAGAAUCGGAAGUUUGCCUUUUCUGAGAAUCAAAUGCUUGUCGUACCCUUGCAUUAGUGAAGUUCCAGAGAAGGUUCGUAUGCUUCUUUGCCUGCAAACACUUGACAUAACAUAAUGCGAUGAAACUCAAGAACAGCCGACGCUGCCUGCAAGCUACAAGUGUUGGACCUAUCUGAUGGUUCUAGUAGGAAACAAGGAAGCAAAAUUCACUGGUGAAUUAGGGUGGACUAGGAGGUUAUCCAGACUGAUGGGCUUGAAACUUCUCAAUGUCCUUGCUCUCGCUGAGUCGGUUUCCUUUCCUCAGUUAAAGGAACUUCAUUUGUCUAGGUUGGACCUGCAAACACUCGCGCAACUUCCACCAUUUUUGUUAUAUUCAAGUCUUGAUAACUUCAAUGCAACUGUGUCACUCUCAUCCAAAUUAGAAAAUUUUGUCAAGAAUAGAGCUCUCCCGGUCUAAAUAAGCUUAAAAAGUUUCUGCUUAGGGGUUGCCCAAGAUACUCAAAUUCAAGUACUGGGUACAUUGGAAAAGGGGAAGGGUCGGACGUCUAGGAUUAUUGUUAGGCGGAAAGUGUUCGUGGUUUAUCAAACUUAAAGGAGCUCUGUUAAAGCUCAUAAAAACAACAAUCAAAACAGAAAAAUUUUUGUUGUUUGAGAGAGAAAGAAGAUAAAGAAAAAACAGAGCAUAGCACUUCAUACGUCUUGUGCGAAGGAAAAGAACUGUAGAGUACAACAACUAAAUACAAAGUAGAAACUACUCACGUACGUGUAACACAUAACUGCACACAAACGUGCUAUUAACUUCCUAGAAAAUAGCAAAAACACUAAAUGCAUAAUUAAAUGAACUUGGCUGUUUUUUAAUAAAAAAAAAAUACAGAGGAAAACAGAGGAAAAUAUGACAGAAAACAGCAGCUGAACAAUUCCAACAAGCUCAAGUAUUUAUACAUUCGUGAUUGUAAUGGGCUGCAGGUUGUCGAGGACCUUGAUGAGCUAGAGUUUUUGAAUCAGUUAACCAUUCAUCGCUGCGGAUAAGUAAAAACGUAGAUCGAUGUAUCACGAACAGAAUUUCCUAAGGAUAGCAACAUAGAUAUCUUCGACUGCUGGAAAUUAGCCGAGGCUACAAUUCGAUGUCUCCAUCCAGUCUUGCGAGCAUUAUAAGGUGAGUUGAACCUUCUCCUUUCUUUCUUUGUUUUUUCUUCUCACCUUUUUUCUUGAUGGAUAGCAACGAUCGCCUAAUUCUGUCCCAGUUUGCUUACUCCCGUCUCUAUAUCACUUAUACAUAGCAAACAUUUGAUGUGCUAAAAUAUGAUCUGGUGUUGCCUUUCUACAUAGUUUAUAUGAGGCUUAUGUACACGUAGAGUCUAUCUCCAUCUAAUAACUUAUUCUAAUAUAGAUAACUGGAAAGAGAGAUUUGGUGACUUAUGGAAUCUAAAUGAAAUGAUUCAGAAGGCCAUAGACAAUAGUGAACUCAACUUUUGAACACGGACAGAUCAGUUGUUCGGAACCCCGGUCCAGUGUGAGGUGGGGGGCAUCUUGCGUGAUCUCCUCAGCUGUUGGGCUUCGGGCUUUUACGGGUUUUGGGGAACCAUGGCGACCCCGAUUGUGGAAUUGUGCUCUCUUAGAGAGGGUCUGAGACUUGCUCUGCAAUGUCAUAUAUUCACAAUGAACUUGAUGCAAGAAAUCCUUCGUGACAGGUUUCUUAAUAAAACAACUUGUAAAAUUAGAAUCCGGAACCGCUCUUUUUGGAAUGAAGGACUAACUUCAGGAGCUUUACCCAAUACCAGACGGAGCGCAGAUUUUGAGAGGCAAAUUGCUGUGCUGAUUUCAUGGCAAAGAAGGGCCGCUUGUAAUAGGAUAAUCUUAAGAUCUUAGGGGAACCUCCUUUACACAUUUUGAAGCUACUGGAGUUUGACUGUAGGUGCUGUUUGAGAACUUAUAGAAUCAAGAAUACAGAAGAUGAAGAUGAAGAAUGACAGUAGAUGAUCUGUGAAGAAGUUUUCGAUUCUGUAUUUCCAUUCAAUUGAACAAAAGAAGAUGUUCUCCAUAAUCAUCAACCGAUUACAAUACCUCUCUGUAUAUAUGCGGAAAACAGAGGACUAACAACUAGAAAAACAAACUAACUAACUUUCGCUAACAAACUUUACAGCUAAGCAAAACAGAACAGCAAUCUUGAGACUUUGGUAAUCCGUGUCUUUGACAUCUGUAUGAUCUCCACCGUUGAUGAAACUCAUUAUCCAUGAGUUAUCAAUUUCUUCAACUCUUUUUGCUUCUUGACUGCCUUCUGGUGAUCCACAUCUAUAAUUGUCGAGGACUUCACCUCCUGUGAUUGACUUCUCAAUAUUGCAGACUUGGCUUCUGAUCUUGAUUCUCUAACAUUCCCCCUCAAAUUGGGAAGAGUAAAAGAUUCGAUUCCCAAUUUGGUUCGGAGAGUAAGAUGAGAUAAGCGGGAUAGAGACUUGGUAAAUAUAUCAGCUAAUUGUAGAUGAGUAGAAAUAUACUGAAUACGAAUAGAUCCAGAAGAGACUUUCUCACGGACAAAGUGAAAGUCAACUUCAAUGUGCUUGGUUCGAGCAUGUAAUAUUGGAUUGGCGGUGAGAGAAAUUGCUGAUUUGUUGUCACAAUAUAUAGUAGUAGGUGGCUGAAGAGAAAUCCCUAUAUCUCGUAGCACAAAUGUGAUCCAGGUGAGUUCAGCCGUGGUCGAAGCAAGUGCACGAUACUCUGCUUCAGUUGAAGAUCUAGAAACAGUAGGUUGCUUCUUGGCCGACCAGGAUAGUAGAUUGGAUCCAAGAAACGUGCAAAAACCUGUUGUGGAACGUCGUGUUGUUGGACAACCAGCCCAAUCCGCAUCAGAGAAACCAUAGAGAUGUACUGAACUUUGAGAAUGGAGAUAGAUUCCAAGAUGUAUAGUACCUUUGACAUAUCUAAGUACUCUUUUUAACUGAUGGAAAUCUCCAACAGUAGGCUGUUGCAUCUUUUGACAGAGAAGAUUAGUAGCAAAUGCCAGAUCUGGUCGAGUAAUGGUUAAGUAUUGAAGAGCACCAACCAAGCUUCUGUAUUCCAUAGGAUCUGUAAGUAGAUUUGCAGUGUCAGCCAUGGAGAUUGAUCGAAGAGGCAGAGGUGUUGAGACUGGUUUACAGUCGGCCAUAUAAGCUCGUUUCAACAAGUCAAUAGCAUAUUUAGUUUGACACAGAAAGAGAGUCUGUGAAGUUCGUUUGGCCUCAAUACCCAAAAAAUAGUGAAGAUACCCAAGAUCUUUCAUAUGAAACUGAAGACUAAGUUUCUGAAUAAGAUCAGUUAAGAGAUGUGGUGAACUCCCAGUCAAGAUGAUAUCAUCAACAUAUAGGAGCAAGAGAACUGUAUGUGAAUUUGUAUGUAGAACAAAUAACGAUGGAUCGGCUGUGCUGCAGAAGAAACCAUUUUCGAUUAAAAACUUGCUGAAUUUAUCAAACCAAGCUCUUGGUGCUUGUCGAAGACCAUAUAGAGACUUGUGGAGUAAACAGACAUGGUUUGGCUGAUGAGGACUGAUAAAGCCAGGUGGCUGUUCCAUGUACACUGUCUCGUUCAAAUCUCCAUGAAGAAAAGCAUUCUUAACAUCAAGCUGGUGUAUUGGCCAGUGUCUUAUCAUAGCAAGAGAUAACACUAUUCGAAUUGUUGUGUGUUUCACAACUGGACUGAAAGUCUCAGUGAAGUCUAGUCCUUCUUCUUGGUGAAAGCCUUUGGCGACUAGACGAGCUUUGAGUCUGUCAAGACUGCCAUUUGGUGUGAGUUUGGUCUUAUAGACCCAUCUGCAGCCUAUUACAUGCAUCUGGUUAGUUCUAGGAAUCAAUGUCCAUGUUUGAUUUUCAGCAAGUGCAUCCAUCUCUUCUUUCAUAGCCCUAUACCAGGCUUGAUUAGCUAAAGCUGACUUGAUAGACUUUGGUUCCAUAGGAACUGGAUAAUCAGCUAAAUAAGCAUACUUUGGAUUUGGUUUUUGAAUUCCAGACUUUAGUCGAGUUUGCAUAUGAUGAGUAUUACUUGUACCUUGAGAGGAUGACAGAAUGGAAUUGGAGUUGGAGUGCCUUUCAUUAGAACUUCCUUCAGCUCGUAGAUCAUUGUGUGAGGAUAAGGAACUGGUAGUAUUUUGUUCUUGAGAAAUAGAACAAUGUUGAGGCACAGCAUCUAUAAAUUGUCCUUCUGUCAUUGUCUCAUCUUGCAUAUUCCUUGAGGAAAUGAUCUGAGAUUGCUGUCUGUGACAAGGAUGAUAGGUACAGCAAUCAUGGAAAUCAGGAUGGAUCUGGUGUGUGGCUGACUGAUGAGUGGAUCUAGUAGCUGGUGACUCGGUGCUUGAUGACUCAAGGAAAUGUAGGCCUUCACUCCAUAGUUUGUAUAAGUUUGUAUAAUGUCCAUAUUCAUUGAUCAGUUUCUUUGUAAAAGGAUAGGAAUACUCAUCAAAGACAACGUGCCUACUGAUGUAUACACGAUUAUUAGUUGGGACCAAACAUCGAUACCUUUUGUGCUGAGUGCUAUAACCCAAGAAGAUACAGGGAAGAGAUCGAGGAUCAAGUUUAUGACUUGCAUAUGGUCUUAAGCAAGGAUAGCAUGCACAGCCAAAUACUCUUAAAUGAUCAUACCUUGGCUGUCUAUGAUGAAGUUUGCUAUAGGGUGUGUUCAUCUGCAACUUUGGUGUGGGAAGAAUGUUGAUGAUGUAAUUAGCCGUCACAAAUGCAUCCACCCAAAAUCUCAGUGGAACUUUUGAGUGAUAGAGCAUAGCUAAUCCAAGUUCAACGAUGUGUCGAUGCUUUCUUUCAGAGACUCCAUUCUGUUCUGGAGUGUGAGGACAUGAUAUGAACUGUCUUAUUCCAUGAUGACUCAGAAAUUUUUGAAAUCUAAAGCUUACGAACUCUCCACCUCCAUCACUCUGGAAGAUUUUAAUCUGAUGAUUAUACUGUCGUUCAACUAGCUUCUGAAAUUGAACAAAUAUAUCAUAAAACUCAGAUUUCAACUUCAUGGGAUAUAGCCAGCAAUAUCGAGAAAAAUUGUCAACAAAAAUCACAUAAUAUCUAAACUUUUGAAAGGAACAGACUGGUGAUGGUCCCCAUAUGUCACAAUGAAUUCUUUCUAAUGGGGAACUUGAUACAGAAUCCGAAAAAGGAAAUGAUAGAGCUGAACUUUUGGCUAUUUGACAGCUGCUGCAAACAACUUGAGAUGAAGAAGCAAAUUGUAUAAGCUUCUGUUUUUGUAGAUGCUUAACUACUUGAGCAUUUGUAUGAGCCAAACGCUGAUGCCAUAUGUCUUCACUGACUGUCUUUUGUCGCUGAGUAAAGAAGGCUUCUGUGGUUUGUGGAUUAGCUUGAUAAAGACCCCUAAUUUUCCUUCCGAGCUUCACAGUUGUGUUGGUAUUGUUGUCCUUUACAUAAACACCAGUUUUGUCAAAAAUAAAAGAACAAGGGAAGUCAUCUGUGAGUUUAGAUACUGAAAGGAGGUUCUUCUUUAUCUCUGGGACAAUUAGAACAUCGUUAAGAGGUAAUGUAUUGUUCUUUGUUUUGAGCCAGGUGUUGCCAAUGUGAGUUACAGGUAAACAUGAUCCAUUGCCUAUCAUAACAGUAUCAUGUCCUUGAUAUUUAGAAAAAGUAUGGAGCAUACCAGGAUCAGCACUAAUGUGAGCUGUAGCUCCAGAGUCAGGAUACCACUCACUGCCUGUUGAGUCUUCAAUAUGCAUUGCUGUCAAGGCUGCUGGAAUAUCUUCUGUUUGAUAAGAAUUGUCAAACCGAUACCAGCAGCGAAGAGCAUCAUGUCCAGACUUUUUACAUAUUUGACACUCUAGUCGAAUGCUACUUGUUUCUUUUUCAUUCUGCAAAUUUUUACUUGAGUUUGCAGAAGGAUAAGUCUUGACAUUUUGGUACCUCUGUGAGUAAGUAGUAUAGGGCCUAAACCCUUGGUUUGUUGUAGGGAUAACAUUUCUCUGUCUAGGGUGUUGAUUUCCUUGCCCUGAACUGAAGAUAUCUGUUCUGUAAUUCUGAUAUCUCUCAAAACCACGACCCCUAUUGUUACCAGUUCUGCCACGACCAUAGCUUCGACCACCUCUGUAUCCUCCUCUUUCAGAUAUAAAUCCAGAAGCUUGAGAAAAGUAGUUUUCAUUUGUGGCAUCUUUAGACUGAACCUGAAACUGUCUUUGUCCAAAAUACGCCAAAUUCGGGUUGAACUGACUCCUAGAAAAGUUUUUGAGUCUCAAUUCAAACCUUUCUAAUUGAGCAAUAACCUCAUCAUACUCUGGCUGAGGCUUUAAACAAUAUAUGGUUGUCCGAAAGUUCUCAUACUCUGGACCUAAACCUUCCAAUACACCAAACAUCUUGGUUAUAUCAUCCACAGGUUUGCCUAUUGCAUUCAACUGAUCACAUAUGGAUUUAUAUUCCCUGAGAUAAUCAGCAAGGGUUUGUUCAUGCUUAUGACAUGUUUGCAGUUUCCCCCUUAAUUCAAACUCUCUAGCAAUUGAUUUCUGUGUAAACCUUUUCAGAAGAGUUUGCCAUACUUCAGCUGAUGUUUCUAAUCCAAUGAUUAGGCUCAAAAUAUUUUCAGUAACAGCUCCAGAGAUCCAUGAUGAAAUCAACUGAUCUGUUCUAAUCCAGUCAGUAUACUCAGGAUUAAUAAGAUCGGUUUCACAACCUUCAUCCUCUGUUUGCAGCAUUCGAGAGGGUGAAGGAAUAUCUCCAUUAACAAAACCAAAUAAAUCUUGGCUUUUCAAAAACCUUUGGAUCUGAGCUUGCCACAAUAAGAAGUUGUCCUCAGCAAGUUUGAUUGUGACGAAGUUUGUGAUAUUCACAUGUAUCGGAAAAGGAUAUUUUGGAGUUCUAAUCGCCAUUAAUAUGAUUCUUUGAAGAAGAUGAUAACAGUAGUGCUUAUGAGCUCUAAACCUGUAUGUGUUUACCUUGAACCAGAGGGCUUCAGUGUUCGUCUACUUCUUCUGGCUUGAUUCACGAUCUGGUUACUUGAUAGAUUCUAUUCUGACGCAGGUUGAUCUUCCUGCUCUGAUACCAUGAGAACUUAUAGAAUCAAGAAUACAGAAGAUGAAGAUGAAGAAUGACAGUAGAUGAUCUGUGAAGAAGUUUUCGAUUCUGUAUUUCCAUUCAAUUGAACAAAAGAAGAUGUUCUCCAUAAUCAUCAACCGAUUACAAUACCUCUCUGUAUAUAUGCGGAAAACAGAGGACUAACAACUAGAAAAACAAACUAACUAACUUUCGCUAACAAACUUUACAGCUAAGCAAAACAGAACAGCAAUCUUGAGACUUUGGUAAUCCGUGUCUUUGACAUCUGUAUGAUCUCCACCGUUGAUGAAACUCAUUAUCCAUGAGUUAUCAAUUUCUUCAACUCUUUUUGCUUCUUGACUGCCUUCUGGUGAUCCACAUCUAUAAUUGUCGAGGACUUCACCUCCUGUGAUUGACUUCUCAAUAUUGCAGACUUGGCUUCUGAUCUUGAUUCUCUAACACUGUUGUGUCCACGGAGACGUUACAAUUUGCGUAGUAGCUUAGUUUCUGCAUUUUACGACCACUGGAUUCUCAUCCGCUGGUGGAGAAUGAGGAAAAGAAGAAGAGAAUGAUAAAGAUCAUCUUGUUUUGCCUGAAACAGAGAUGGGAAAAAUAGAGUAGAAAAGAAAAUCAAUGCUGAAAUUCGCAUUAAGGAAAGGAGAGAGGCCUUAUUCCCAAUUUUAUCUCCCCUUUUCUCCCCUCAAAUUUAGGCAAAGAAGGUCACUUGGUAACAUAUCCAACUCCCUGAUUAGUCAGAAUCAUGAAAUGUCACAUCAAGACAUUCUACAAAAUCCAAGACAUCACAGCUCGACCGACAUCCUUAAGAAACUCGCCUGCAGCUGCAUACUCUUCCAACGCCUUCUUGACGACACCAUCCCUCAGAAGCUGUGGAAAAAACAGCCAAGAUGCAGUCACCAUCACGAAUGUGACCGUCAUCAGACCCAUCAAGACUCUCGGCAACCGCCACUUCGCACCAUGCUUCCUUUUCACCACCACCUCGAUAACCAAACACGCCCCCCGGAGCAUUCUAAGAUCCUUAUUAAUCUAAAUUUCUUCUUCCUAUUUGCAAAGACUAAGCAAACAAAUCUAUAGAACGAAGGAAAAUACUGAAAUUCAAAGACAUAGGAAUCAUGCUACAGCUACUAAAACUUUACCGAAGAGAAAUCCACCAACGCUUCUUCAAGGCUCUUCACGAACCGCUUCCAAAUUCAAUUUGGUAUUGGAAUCGAAAAUACACCUGAUGGCAAAAAAGGUAUCCUUGUAAAUAAGAAACGUCUUUCCCAUCUCAAGAAGAAUCAUGCUCUGUCUUACUUUUAUUUAAUUUUAGGAUACGUUUUGAUGAUGACUAUAAACAUGUUGCCUUUGAUUUUUUUCUUUGAUUUCCGUAAGUUAAAUUAAUGCAAAUGAGGAUUCUGGUGCUAUGGAGGACAUCACUCUAGUGAUGUCUUUGCUAGUGUUCCUGAAUAGAAGCACUAUCAACUUAAUAUUUAGAUCGCUCUGCCCUUCGGGGAACAACCCUAAGUAAAACUCUAGUGCCUUUAGUACUAAUACUCAAAACUUGAUAAUAUAGAUAUUUCACUACAAUUGAAGUGGGACUUCCACUAGUAAUACAAAAUGGUAUGUGUAUAAAGAAUGCCGCUGAAACAAGUUAGCUUGUAUAAUGGGUGAAAAAGUCGAAUAAUUGAGAAAAUUCAUUUGAUUUGUACAUUUAUUUUGCACAAACAAGAUUACAUAAUUCAAUGAUUGCUAAUCUCCUGUUAGGAUCAAGUCAAUUCUCCGGUGGCAUGAAAAGCACGUUUGAGAGUGAUGGACUUGUCAAUGUUUUUUGUUAGAUUCACAUAUUUCAUGGUUAUAUGGGAUUAGCUAGAAAAAUCAAAUCUGAAAUCCUUCAGAGUCAAUUCCAUCAUUCUCUUCUAAAUUUUUGUUUUCUACAUGCCUGGUAUUUUCUCUUUUAAAGAAUUUUACAGGAUUGGGAGCGUAAGGCUUUGCAUGACAAAUCAAAUGGCUACAUUGCAAAUAGAAAGCAAAAAGUAUUACGUACUCAUUUCGAAUAUCGUGGACAAUUUUCUCCCUUUAUGUAAAGGAAAUACUCUUUGACUACAUUCAUAGCCAAGAUAAAAGGCGAUUCCUAUCCUGCGUUUGGUUCAUAUGAAAGAUAGGAUAAGGUUGGAUAUAACUUGGAUAAAAUUAUCUCAUAUGGGGGUAGAAUAAAUAUGAAUAUGACUCCUUAUAUUAAUGUUAUAAAAGUUAUUUUUCAUAAAUAACAAAAUUCUUAAAUUAAUAACAUAGAUUGAUUGCCAGAAUGCUAUAACGAGCUUAUGUGCUGUUUAAGUUUUAUAUUAUACGAUAAUAACAUAUUGAUUGCUAGAGGUGGAUUAUAUUGUACAUUUAUGAUUUCUUUAGCAAUGAAUCAUAAGAUAUUUUUACUAUCUCUAUUUAUGUAUAGGAUAUGAAAAUAUCCUGUUAUUAUUACUAUCUAAAUUUUGGUGACCCAUUUAAUCAGUCAUUAAUUGUAUAGAAAAUUAGACAUUAAUUUUUAACCCUUAGCAAGAUAACUUCUAUUAAAUUUCACAUCAUAUAGACAAUAGGAGCAAUUGCAUUAGUAGUAUUAAAAAAAUUUAAAAAUUAAUUGAAAAAAAUUCAAAAGAGAAAAGAAAAUGGGAAAAGCGAGGUCGAGCCACCGGGCCAGGGGCAAGCCGGCCUGGCCUCUCUUUUUUCCUUUCCUUUUUAUUUCUCUUCGCCUGGGCCAGCCCAUUUUUCCUUUUCUUUUCGCCUAAGACCGGCCCAGCGUUCUCUUCCUCCCCCUCUCUUUCCCUCAUGCUCUCGGCAGAAAAAAGAAGAGCAAGGUACAGGGACAGGGAAGCAGAGCAGAACAGGACGUCCCGGUGUGAUCCGUGGAUCGGGAUCAUGCUUGUGUCAGUCUGAAUAAGUGGUUGCGUUGAUUCCGAACAUUGCUUGCCGAUUUCCUUCGAAUCUGGAUGCGAGUUCGAGUCCCGUGUGGGUCAAUACCUUCUUCUCAAUCCAUGCUAACUCCAUGUUCGAUGAAAUGCAUAAGCCAGAUCCAUGAUUAUCAUCUCGCGUUAUCCAUUGUUAGAAAAAGCGAACCUAUAAUAUUUUAGACAUUCUUUGUUCUGAACACUGGCCACUUGGCGCAUUUGCUUCCUUCCACUCGUCAUCGACUUGAUUUUUACCAUAUCCGAGCAUUUUACCAAACAUCCGUUUUAGCCAUUGUGGGCCUUCUAUGUGGCUCAAUGGAAAUGGAUGGUGAUUCUUGAUGAGAAAUACGGUCUUUAAAUCACUGAUACGAAUGAGGAUUUAGGUGAAAACUCAAACUAGUCACAUCUCAACUUUCUCAAUUCACAUAUUGUGCGUAUUUGUUCUGCAUGGUUUUUGUUUGAAAAAAAAAUGUUUGAUGGCUCGUAGCGGUGCUCGGAAGAGAUGGUUAAUGGCAUUGUAUGUGGAUGGUGGUGCGUGGUGGCCGGACGUAGCUUGUGGUUGUGCCCAGGUUAUUUUUAACUUGAAGCUUGACUUGUGUUCGUGUGUAAGUUCCGGGAGGUUCUCAGUCUGCUGGGAAAGGAGGCUGUGGACGUUCCUGGGGGGUGACAAUGUUGAGACGACUAGAGUGGUGCGUUAUGGGCUUAGUAUGGGCCGGGUUUAUUUCAGUGAAGAGGGCUUGAUGCAAAAGGCCCUAAUUGAGUCCAUGGGGCCAGCUUUGCAAGACAAGUUGCAGCCCACGCCCCUAGUUCCGUAAUUAAAACUUUUUAAAAAUAGUUUUAUAAAAAAUUAAAAAUUCGAAAAUAUUAAAAUAGUAAAAAAUCAGAAAAUGCUUGGAAAUAGGUCUUCAUUGAAUUUUUAAGUUUUAGCAUUAGAUGUGACUUGGUUUCACUUGAUUAGUAUACAUGUAACUUAAUCCUAAUGAAGUAUCAUUUUGAAAGAAAUUGAAUAUGACUUGGUUUUAGCUCAUGGGGGAUUAUGUCUUGGGCCUAUAACAUGGCUAUGUAUAUUCUUUGCCUAACUUAUAUCGGGUUUUCUUUUUCGCAUUCACUUUGAAGUCAUUUCAAUACUUUGGUGUUUACUUACCGCACCAUCUUUCAAUAAGUUGGUUGUUUAUCGCUUUCCAAUAAUAAGUUAGGAUUAGUUUAGACUUUGGUGAAAAUGAACUAUACAAAAACAUUUGCACGAUCAUUUAGUAACUUUGAUGCCUUUAGGACUAUAAUGGACAAUCAAGAUUGUGUGACCACUUAAGUAGCGACCUUCCAAGUUGGAGCAACCAAAAGGGUACUAAUAGACAUUAGCAUAAUCAAAUGCCCAACCCUAAAAUCUUUGGUUGCAUAGGAAUUGUGGUGAUAGUCCUGCUUCUUGAUUGGUUUUUACUUGACUCUAAUAGGCUGGUGGUGACUCCUAUAAAUGUUUAGGUUGUUAAAAACUUAAAAAAUGAAAUUCAACGUCACGUGAGGUAUGGAUUUGGAAGAGCCCGCGUCUAAUUGAGGACCGUUGGCUCAAAUUAGGCAAUACCUCUAAACCUAUAUAUUUCUCUUCCCCUUCCAACAAAAAAGGUAUGUUGAGGCAACUAUAUUAUUGUAAUGCACCAAAUAGUGGAUAGAUUAUAGCAAAUUUUUUAAAUUUCAUAUAAUAUCAUAUUCAGUGCUAUCAUAGCUAGAAAUUGAAAUAACCAAACACAGCCUUUCUAAUAGAUUCAUGCAGGUGUAAUACUUGGCGCGUUAGCUACAGUAUUGCACGGGUUGAUAUGCACAAAGCUUAGAAUCCAUCGUUUAUGGUUAGGAUUACUAUAUAUAUAUAUAUAUCUUCUUUUUCUUUUCCUUUUUCCAUUUUAGAUUUUAUUGCUAAAAUUUCUUUUUGUAUUUAGGCUUGGGUAUCUUUGAGAGCUUUUAUUUCUAAUUUUUGCUGAUUGAUUUCAUUACUAAGGUCAUUUAUAUUAACAUACCAAGAUUGAAUUUUCUUAUUUCUAUUAAGAAUAUCUUUGAGAUUAUAAGUCCUAUUAGAAUUAGUUGGGAUUUUCAUAGAAGACUAGAGUCUAUUUAAAUAUUAUUUUUUGGCUUCUGGAUCUAAUAUAUUAUCAGUUGUAUUUAACAAGAAUUGUUCUUCUUUUGUUAAAACAUUGAUUUUAGGUGUUGGCUCAUCUUGAGAGGAAUUAUUUUCUUCAGAUUCUAAUGAAGCUUUUAUUUCAUUGAUUUGAAGACCCAGUUCUUCAAGAAAGUCCUCUGAAGAAGUGUCGUCAUCCGUAGCAGCCAUGAUGUUAUUAAGUUGAUAGAGAGUCUCCUCAUCUAUUGAGAAUUCAUUUAAUAUUUUAUUUAUUCAACAAUAUUUUCAAAUAUGUCCUUUUUCCCACAACUGUAACAUUUAAUGCCUUGUUAAUUUUCCUUUUUGGUUUUUGUUUGAGUUUAUCUUGUUUAUUGGUUUGUGAUUUAUUUUUGCAAUGAUUUUUAAGUUUUCUUUUUUCAGGAGGACAAUUUCCUUUACAUUUUGGUUUUGAUGGUGGAGUGUCAGAAGGGUCAUAUUGAGCACAGAAAUCUCAUAAAUCUUUGUUGCCUAGUGUUGUGACCCGACCCCCUCGGCCUCAAACGGAAAGGGGACAAGGUUGGGUUUAGUGGUACUUGAUCAGGAGAGCUCCCUCACGGUUUGCAUCUAUAAAGGCGUCAUCACCUCACCUUUUGGGACGAACCAUUUGUGAGUUCCCUUAUGCGUGGUUGAGAGCUCUCCCAAGCUUGUACAUUGCGUGAUAGCGGAAGGUAUCUUGAUUUGCACCUACAUGGGUGACACACCUUGGAAGAAGAGAUCGGGUGUAAAUAUCGAAUUUCAGGGUACCUUUACCACCGUAGCCUUCCAAUUAGUACUCGCUCCAUCCAUCACUUCGCCCAUUAGGAACCUUCCAUAGCAAGUAUGCUCCACUAUGGUGAACCUCGUCAAGGCCCAUACCCCUCACGACAAGUUUAUUUUAUAUUCAAUCUAAUUGUUUAGACAACCUAAUAAAGACGAGAGUCACCACUAGCCCUAUUAUUGGGGGUUGGCUAGAAAACUCAAUCGAGGGUUGGGAGUUAUACCUUGAUUUUUACAUAACUAGAUAUUUAGAUUCGAGGACUUGGGUUACGCUAAUAUUUCUAUUAGUGUCAUUUUAGUACAUAACACUAUGUCAUGUUACCUAAGAUGUCCAUGCAUUUCUUUUUACUAUUUUGGGAUUGAAACAUCUAAACUAAGUGAUCAUGCAUAGAUUAUUGCUUUCGUGUAAUUCUAUUUCUAAGAAAAAGAAAAGGAAUCACACAAUUGAAUUUAAAAGACAAGAUGGUAAGUAAACAACUAAGAAAGCAGUAAAUCUAACAUGCAAUCCUAAAGCUCAAAGGAAAUAAAAGGAAUGAAAAGAACCCGCAACUCGUCAGGUGUUUGUACAAAUGAAGCGACCCAAAACAUAUAUUAGGGAUGAAUGAUACAAUAUCGUGAUCGGAUAGGACAUCGACCUUUCAUCGUCUUCAAAUCUUGAGGGAUCUCCACCUCCAAGGAUCUAAUCUAAUUAUAAUCUAAUACUAGAACUAGGUACACACACUCAAAGAAACAAUCAUUCACGACAAAAUAAACAAAAAGCAUGAGAAGCAGUCAAUAAAAUGAAAUAAGGGAAUCAUGUACAUGAAUUAACAAACAAGGCCUCAGGGUUGGCCUUUGUAAUUCAUGCAUCGGUCCCUCUAGACGUUUACCCAAUUCAUUUUUAUGAUUUAUAACCAUCAAUGACCAUUUGUAACCAUCAGUGACCAUUUGUGUUUUCGCAUGGCCACUAAUGCUUAUAAGUUCCUAGGAUGUGUUCUAGGUGAAUCCCAAGAUUUACCCACGGAAUUAGGCAUCACACCUAACAUACAUUUAAAAUCCAUAUGCAUCAGCAAGAAUUAAACAUGCAGGUAGGCUCUUGAGCCUUAUUUCUCAAAAAGUCAAUUAAUUAAAGUGAAUUGUUGGCACGUCAUUUAUUUAAUUGACAGCCGUCAAUCACAACCACAGGCAUUUCUAAGGAAUAUGAUGAUUUCAUGCAUGUGUGUGGUUCAUGUGAUGCUUCAAAAAGUUCGGAUAUGUUUGAAACAUCAAGAAAGGAAAACAAGACCUUUUAGACAAAGGAACGUCUCCGCUAUAAAACACAUUUAAUUGUCAAGGCUAGUUUGGGGCUCAUAUAUCAAGCACUCACAAAUGUCACAGAUAUUUUAAAUACAUUUUGAACCUUAACAAUCUUGACGUCAAAUCAAACAUUUGAAAGAUUUUAAAACAUUUUAGACAAUGAACAUCUUGGUUAUAGAACGCAUUUAAUUGCCAAGGCUAAUUUGAGGCUUGCAUAUCAUACACUCACAGACAUCACAAGCAUUUUAAGUACAGUCCAAAUCAUGGCGAUUCCAAUGUCAAAUAAAAGGUUUAAAGGAUUCGAAACAAUUUGUCACGCCCCGAUCUUCGGAGACGCGCCCAUCCUUCUACUUGGUCGAUUUUAAAGUGCGAUAUCUCAGGACUAAGUAUCGCCGACCCUUUCUUUUUAUUACGCAUGCGGAAACAGUUAUGAAUCCCUAGACAAUAAAACAAUGGGAUAGAAAAGCCGGCCAUAUUUUUAAAUAUUGAAAUUUACAACUACACUUUUACUAAUAGCACAACUCAUAGUAUAUUUACAAUACUAUUUACAGCAAACAAGUCUCACACCUAUCUAUACUAAGACAAGGAUCACAAAAGGGAUGUGACCUCAAUCCACAUUCGGGUUAUACUCAAGAUCUCUCUCUGGAUCAUCUUCUUCUUUAAAAGUCUUUCUCCUCUUCAGGUUCCUCUUCCGCAGCUUCUCCUCAAGGUCAUGAAAUGGUUAUUCAAUAACCAAUGAGACCACGUCUUAGCAAGUUCUACCCCCUAAGACUCGAUUAGUAAACCAAUACACCUUAGGCUGCCUAAGCGCAUCACGAGUCAAAUGAGUUACCUUGGCCUCAGCUCCUUCCCGCAAGUUAGUAUAUAUAUCAAAUAUACAUCAUCACAUCACAUCACCCAAUUAGAUCGAAUAAUCGCUCAAUCGACCUAGUCGAUUACAUGUCAUCCAAAUUAUCUCUUGAUCGACCCCUUCCAUACUUUCUAUAAGUCUGAUCAACAUCCAAGACUACUCAACCUAGGUGAUAUAUAGAUAAUAUGUUAUCUUAUCUCCAGACGACAUAUAGAGUUAUCGAGCUAUCAAAUCAUACCAUACCAUCUCAAGAUGAUCUGUAGGAUUAUCGAGUCGGUAUAUCAUACCGUAUUGUCUCAAGAUAAUCUGUAGAGUCACCAAGCCGGUAGAUCAUACCGUCCUGUCUCAAGAUGACAUAUUAAGUCACCGAGCCGGUAUACACGCAAUUUAUCAUACCGUACUGUCUCAAGAUGCUUCGUAGAGUCAUUGAGCCGGUAGAUCAUACAAUUUAUCAUACCGUACUGUCUCAAGAUGCUCCGUAGAGUUAUCGAGCCGGUAGAUCAUACAAUUUAUCAUACAGUACUGUCUCAAGAUGCUUCGUAGAUUCAUCAAGCCGGUAGAUCAUACCGUCCUGUCUCAAGAUGCUCCGUGGAGUCAUCGAGCCGGUAUACAUGCCAUUCCAAGCAAACAAUCAAAUAACCAAUUUUAUCUUUUCCGAUAAAAUGUCGUGUGUGGGUACACAAUCGACCCUAAUCAAAAUAUAAUAAUUUCUUCUCUUUUUUUAUACAUCCUACCAUUUUCUGUAGUCCACUAAAACAUUUUUGGUAUCAUUAACUGAUGCCUGGUUAAUUUCCAAUUAAGUUUCCAAAAUUAUUUAAAUUAGGAAAUAAAUCCUAAUUUCACAAAUAAAUCAUUUCCGCACAAAAUAAAGCUCAAUUAAAUAAACGGACUGCACCACGACAAUCGGCAUAAAAUUUCGAUCACCGGCCAUCCCGGUUGAAUUUCCGGAAAAAUAAAUAAAUAAAUACUAAAAAUCCAAUUUAGGCCCAUAUUGCCUGAUUGGACGCCAGAACGGAUUGGGAAAAAUCUCAAGAUACAUUCAAUAAAUAUUAGAAACUCUCUACUUGCUAAUGACUAAGUCUAACCACCUAACAUGCAUCAUUAAGUCACUAAUUUAAUUGUUCUAGACUAAUUUAACCACCUAAUUGCACUCAAUUAAAUCUAACCAAUUCCUAAGCAUAAUUAGCAAACUAAGAAAGCAUUAGUGAAUAAAACUCACUCGAUUAAAAAGGGGAUCAGGACACCGCGACGGCGACACAACGGCGGCCGAAUUCUAAACUUUCGGCGGCGUCGGUGGACACUCAGGCCGGGCUCAAAAGCCUCACAAGCUCGCACAAAUUUCUGGGCUUGGACCGAACUUGGGCCUGAGAUUGGGCUGACUUGCUUCGCGGGCUUGGGCUUCAAGAUUGGGCUGCUGAAUUGGGCCUCAAAUUACUGGGCUGAUCUUGCUUUAAAGAAACUGUUGGGCUGAUUUCUUGUGGGCCUGACUUUGUUUGGGCUUCAAAUGGCAUGGGCUCAAUGAAGCUGCUGUUCACUUGGGCUGCGAUUUGGACUACAAUUAGGCUGAAGACACGGGCUUGAAUCAAGCUGGGCCACGACAAUUUCGUGUGGGCUGCUGUACGCUUGUCUUCGGAUGAGAUGGACUCGGAUGAGAUGACCGAUCGAAGAAGUAGCAAAGGCUGUUGUUAGGCCACGAAAAUUGAAGACCAACGUUGCUGGAGAAGGCGGUUUCGCUGGCAGCUUACUUCGGCAAGGAAAUCCACGGAUACGGGGUCAACGACGAGGAAAGCAGCUGGAUUCUUGGCCGCGUGGAGUGAAGAUCGGUGGGGGAGUGAGAGACGUGCGCAGAGACGAGCAGAGGUGGGAGCUUCGAGCGGUUUGCUGGUCAACAACCGACAGAAGGGGCAGCUUCGGUUGACUUGCUUCGAUGAAGCUAGAUACGGAGGAGUCAACGUGGCUGAGGGAGCUCGCUUGCUGGUUGACUUGGCAGGAAACAAAGCUUAGUGGAGGAUGGGCGUGGGCUGUAGAGAAGCGAAGCGGUGGAGCUGCAGGUGAUGGCUUCGGUCAACAGAACAUGGAGUCAGUCUCGAUGGAAGACUUCGCGCGGAUGGAGGAACACGCGGACGCUGUUGCUGCUGGGGAAUCUUCGAUCGUUGCUGGACACGCACAACCCCGAAAGAAAAAGAAGGGCAGCUGGCGUUGGGCUUCGUGGGCGUGGAGAUGCAGAGGAGUCAACUUUACUGGGGUUUUCUUUUCUUUGAUUGACCAAGGAAGCUAGGUAAUGGGACGUGUGGCAAGAAGGGAGUUCGGUGGAGAUGGGAUCGCACGAAAAUAAAACUACUGGACUGCUCGGUGGAAAGAAAUAAAAUGAUGGUGUUGAGUGCAUGAAAAAGGAAAGAAGAAGCAAGUGUGCGAAGGAGGAGGAGUCGUGCACGAAGAGAUGAAGACCGGCAGAGCUUGUCCAACAAGCUGGAUGAGAGAGAGAAAGGCCAAAAAGUCCAAAAUCUUAGCCAAUGUCUUAAAUGCUUGGUCCCCUUAUCUCCUCAUACUUAACCCCUUACCCAAUAAUACUUUCCAACAAAUAUAAGUCCACUAAUUAACUUAAUUUGAAGCCAAAAUUCCAGCUCUAUUUAAAGCUCCGAAUUUUCAAUUUCUGGACUUCAAUAUCUUCGACUAAUUCUCCGUUCGACGUCCAAUUUAGCCAAGGAAAAAGCCCAUAUGAUUUUCUGUAAGUGCCCAUCGCCAGAAAGCUCGGCUUGAAAGUAAAAACUCCUUAAAAUUCGGCCCGUACGAAUUUCCAUUAAUUUUUCGCGACGUUCGAUUCGAUUUUCCGCAAAAAUCUCAGAAUCUCUGAAAAAUCUUCUGAGACUGAGUCGACAUUUCUAAUUUAUCUCGUGACACCAUAAAACUUUCAAUUUUUGAAAUCGGGUUCGAAUUCAUGGUUAAUUUCCAUUCGACGCGUUUUUAGCGUAACCUAGAGUUCCGGGUAACUUUCUAAAAUUUUUAGUGCAAGUGACCCGUGGUCGAUUUUCUUUGAGCCACUAUGAACCCACUCGACUCAUUGACGAUUUUCGAUUGUCAUGAAAAUCUCAAGAAUUCAAGUACGGACACAAGGUACCAAAACGAUAAGAAAAUCAGUCUAGUGUUGAUCGACGAGAAUUUUCCAAUUUAGUGGUGUCACCCACGAUUAGCCACACAUCUCAAUCAAAUCAACCUGUAUCUGAUCUCUAAUCGAUUUAUAUCUGUGCCGUAAUGAUCUCGACAGAUGAGCACGGUCAAGAAGCCGAUUCUUGGUCGAAUUCUCAAGUUUAUUUGCCUUAAAAUCCUUAAUGGUUCCCCAGAUAAUCUAGUUAUCUCUAGAAUGAUCAGUUCUGAGAACAGCCCUAUAGACAUGUCAAUGAAAUGCCCGAUUUAUUCAGCAGAAAACAGGGUUGAAAAUUUGGGAUGUCACACAAUUGAUGUUGCAAGCACGCAUGUACCAAAUUCAUUUUAGUAUGCAACAUCAACAUUUCAAAUCAAUUUUGAAGAAAAUGUGAUAAAAAGAUCAUUUCAUUUAUUAAAAAUUUUUUGAAAAUAAAGAUCAAUGAAUUUGGAACGGAUUUCAUGAAGACGAUGAAGCCUAAUUCUGCAUGCAAGUCAUCCUAAAAAAUCCUAAUAGAAAAUCACAACAAAGAUUUACAAUCGAACAUCACAUACAAGACAAACAUAAUCGACAAAAUUGAAAAGGACCCAUUGAUGGUUUGUCCUUAAGAAAAUCACACAACAUGCAUGACAUCACAAGGAAUAAACUUCGCUAAGAAAGUUUUCUGAAAACGGGCCACAAAAGCAUUUAUAAAUAUUCAAUGAAGUUCAAUGUCGCUUCCGAAAUUUCAUCAAGCAACAGGGUGACAUGCCAUUGCAAGUGAAAUUUGACCCAGUAGACGAGGUUUGAAAAAUGUAAAAUUUCACCACAAGGUAGUCUAAAGAGUGGCAACCAAAGUUUUUAGGGUUCAAUUCAAGAAUCCCUACCGAAAAAUCAUACAAAAAAUAGUAAAAGACUGACUAAAUAGGGUAAAACGGGCUUCAGAAUUUAACCUAAGUCAAAAUUCUAACCUAACUUGGAAAAAUUGGGAAAAAUAAGGGUCAUAUGGUAAGAAAAUCUCAGAAAAUCAGCGGCAUUUUAAAGAUCUAGAUGAGUCAUACAACUUCCUAGAAGGGUCUGCAUUCAAUCAAGAUCGAAUUGAGGGUCAAAAAUUGAGUUUUGUGGAAGCAUGCAUAUCAGCCACUAACAAGACAGAACAUGAUUUAUGAUUAAGAGUUCAAAAGAUCACCUAAAUAAUGUAUGAAUUGCAUGAAAUUUGCACAUGACGAAGAAUUGGAUGCGAUAAUGAUUUGGGUACUCUAGGUUGGGAUGUGAAAGAAUCAUACAAGUCAUUGAUACCGUAAAAUAACUUAGAACUAAAAUGACGUGCUUGACAAUUUUCAUACCAAAUGAUAUCCCAUUACGGCAUAUCAUAUAUGAACACGAAACUUAUAAUGCACACUUCAAAAGUUGAGAAGGUAUUGAUGCAUGAUUCAGUUUUUAAGCGACCCAUAUAAGUGUGUUUUAGUGACUUCAUGAUAAGCCUGUUUUAGUGACUUCAUGAUAAGCCCUUAAACUAUUACAAACAUCACAAAACAUGCUUGAUUUUGAUUACCUAGUGACAUUCGAAAAAUCCAACAAAAAUUCUAUAUGCAGAAAGCGAAACAGCAAACAUUUUUUGUUGAGACCUCGAAAUCUAAUUGGGAUCACACAAAACUAGGUGAAAAUAGCAAAACAGGUGCGUGUUAUGGAUGAAUUGAGUGCAACAGAACCUACGCAUAUUGGAACAUGCAAUUGACAUAUCAAACAAUAAUCAAAUCACGUGAAUCAUAAAUCAUUAGAACGCACACGAUAUAUAUUUCAAGUCUAUGAAGAUAAUGAAGCCAAAUUGACUCAUCUACAAAGUGAAUGUCACUCAAAUGCAAUUCAGAUUGGGUGUAGGGUAGAACAACAUAUGGUCGGUUUUAAGCAAUAUUAACUAACUGAAAGACCUCCAAAAUAUCUAGAAAAAAUAUAUGUUAUAAUCGAUGAUUUAGAACAAAUCUCAUGAAGGAAAAUUUUCCAGAAUCCAAUCAUAAAAAUUAACAAGAAAAUAGCAAAAUCAAAAAUCGGAAUAAGAACCAAACUACAAAUCGACCUAAACUACUGCAGAAUUGAUCAAAUUAUGAGGUGUUUUUUGAGGACCAAAUGACCUCCAUUUGAGACGUGUAACCUAUCAAAUUGUAAAUCUUGAAAUUUAUUUUCUAAGCCUAGAAGGCAUCGAAGUCAAAAAAGUCAUCUAGGACCUCAAUCAAGCUAUAAUAAUAAGCUACUCAUAGAGGUACGGAAAUUACAAAUUAUCGAAGAUCAAGUUCAAUCGACAAUAAACUCAUGAAAAAUCUACAACAAACUUCAAUAAAUCAUCAAACAACUUCAUUUACAUUAGAUCUAAGCAUUUAUUAUGGAUCUAAUCUUGAAUCCUACCCCCGGUCGGAUACGUCAAUCUCAUCUCAUUGGAUUUGAGUUUGAGAAUACCAACCUUUUUGCAUUCUCUUUGGCUUUAGAUGCAAUUAGAUGAGGUAAUUGUAGCUGGUACACGAUCAAGACUAUGAGGGACAAAUCAUAUCGCUUAGGGGUUCGACCAGUGUAGCUGAACAGCUGAUUUAGUGUAAGAACAUAAUCGGUCUAAGGAUGGACUAGCCUUCAAGUUGCUGGUGGGAGGAGAGGUCACCGAAGUUGCUCCACUGACCGAUCUGCCAAACCCCGAUCGAUGGCGGUUAGGGCUCCAAAGUGUAGGAGAAAUCGUUCCUAUUUGUUUUGAAGUUGACAAAACGUUUCCAUCAGUCUAGUCUGAAGAUUGGAAGACUCUAUCGUCAAAGUCUGAAGACCUCCAGACUCAAGAUUUAAAGUCUGCCCUCAUUGACAGUUUCCAGACCAAUGAAGAAAAAGUAUUAUCUAUUGAAGAAGACUUAUCUAGAUACGGGUAUAUCUUUAAGGAUUUGAUUCGUGUGGUUGAAGAAGAUCUCACGGCUAGAAAUUGCACCUCGAGAUCUAUUAUUCGUAUUGAAAUUAAUUCGAGUAUUUUAGAUAUGUUGAUUGGCGAAGUAUAUUUGGAAGGUUCUACUUAUGGAAACCUAAAUCCUAGUUGUAUGGGUGAGCAGAAUUGGUGGGCUAUCAUUAUAUUCUUUAAAUAACUCGAGAUCUUCCUAAUUGAUUAUGUCCAAGGGGUUGAUUGGAAGAACUCUUUUGGAAUGUGCUAACGAUUAUGAAGGCAUAGAGGGGUAUAUAAGGAAGACGCUCUAGUUAUUCGAGUGUGUGAAAUAUAGAGAAAUUUCAAAAUCUGAAGCUCCUUGUUUUUUGCUAUUUCAGUGGAUUGAGCUUAAAUUUUUACUCAAAAGAGAGAUUUGAUACUUUGAGGAAGUGUAGCAGAGUCUCUACACAGUGGAAUCAAGAUUGUGAGACUGUAAAAUCUCUUUUGAUUCAUAAUGGAAUCCAGUCGGUGGGCUGUCAGUGCAGGAGAGUAGACGUAGGCUUGAUCUAAGCCAAACCACUAUAAACCGUGUGUUUUGAUUCUCUAUCCUUAAACUCUUUACUUUAAAUCACAGCUCUAUAUUAUUGUUUAUAGUUGUUCACGACUUCAGUCUAUUAUUCUUAGAAGUUAAUUUAUUUUGAUAAGAUUUACAAAAACUUCUUUGAUCACCUAUUCACCCCCUCUAGGUGCUCGUACUAGUCGUUUCAAUUGAUAUCAGAGCCUGUGUACUCUUUAAAUUGAAGUGUUUUUACUUCUGAGUUAAAGAUCUAUAACUAGUAUGUUGGCUCCAAGUUUGGUUGAAUGCCAAAGCAACACCAGACCUCCUUACUUCAAUGGAAAUGAAUACAGCAUAUGGAAAAACAAGAUGAAGGCAUUCCUAAGAUUGAAAGAUCCUCUGGAAUGGGAUGUGGUAGAAAAAUGAAUUAUUCAUAAGGCUACAUCAGUUUCAGAAAGGGGAAAAGAAGUUGCAGACGCUGGCGAGAUGACUCAAGAAGAAAUAACUAAGAGACAGCUCUUGAUGCAAAAGCAAUUUACUCCUUAUAUUUUGNNNNNNNNNNNNNNNNNNNNNNNNNNNNNNNNNNNNNNNNNNNNNNNNNNNNNNNNNNNNNNNNNNNNNNNNNNNNNNNNNNNNNNNNNNNNNNNNNNNNGAAUCUAUUAUUGACAUGUUUAGUCAUUCUACAGAAAUUGUAAAUGGUCUAGAGUGUCAGGGGACAACCAAUCUUAGGACUCAUGAAGGUUAACAAGCUGUUGCGUGGACUCUACAAAGAUUGGAAUCACGUAAAGACUUCAAUAAGGGAAACACAAAGGAUCAUGCCGCUCUUCGUAGGCGAACUAGUUGGCACACUUCAGUCCUAUGAAGUGGAAUCAACGAUGAAGAAGAUUCUAAAGGUAAGAAAUCUAUUACUUUAAAAUCUAAUGAUGAUUCUGAUGUUACAGACUCUGAAGAAGAUUUAGACGAUGAAGAGCUAGCACUUAUGAUAAGAAGGUUCAGGAUACUGAACAAAAAGGGAAGAAGAUUCAAUUGGAAGAAACAAAUCACUCAAAGGUCUCAGAACAAAUCAAUAGAGGAUGAUGAAUCCAAUAAAUAUGUGAUUUACUUUGAAUGCAAGAAAAAUGGACACAUCAGACCUAACUAUCCCAUGUUGAAGAAAAAGAAAGGAAAAACUGAAAAAUAUAGGAAGUCUCUCAAGGUAGAGACAUGGAGUGAUAUUGAAUGCAAAGAAAGUGAUGAUGAUUAUGCAAAUAUUUGUUUAAUGGCAAAAUCAGAAUCAGACUCAGACUUUGAGACAGAUACAGACUCAGACUCAGACAGUGAAAUUGAUGUAAACAAUUUAAAAAUUCCUACUAAAGUCUCGAAAUAUAUUGAUGAACUUUGUCUUAGUCUCAAAACUUCUCUUAAAAAGGAUUUUUGAGCUAAAAAGGGAGAAUUCUACAUUGAAGCAAUAGGAAAUCUCUUGGAAAGAAUAGUUUGAUAAUUUAGACAAAAAUUUUGUCAUUUUGAAAGAAAAUGCAAAUUCUUUUUUAAAAGAAAAUACAUGUUUGAAAAAUGACAUUUCAAAUAUUUCAAAAAGGUUUUCAAUAGGAUCUGAGAAGCUAGAAAAGAUUAUUUCAAUACAAAGACCUUACUUUAACAAAUCAGGGUUGGGAAUGACUUUUGAAACCAUUCCUCUAAUUGAUUUUCCGAAAGUAAAGGAAAGAAUCAAACAAAGACCUACAAAAGCCUUUUAUAGAAAUCAUUUUCAAAAAAUCUUUGUAAAACCUGUUGGUCGAAGUGCUCUCAAAUGUUCUAAGUGUUACAGCUCAGAACACUUUGAGAAAGAAUAUCCUAUGGUUUGGAGACCUGUUAAGAAGGAUUGGGCAAAUACUGUAUAUUGCACUAACUCCACUGGACCUAAGAAAAUGUGGGCACCAAAGAAAGCUUGAGUUUCUUUUUUAAUUGCAGGUUACUAUCAAGAAGAAAAUUAAAUGGUAUUUGGAUAGUGGCUGUUCAAGACACAUGACUGGAGAUUCAAGAUAUUUCACAAAGCUUAUUCAAAUCAAUGAAGGAAAAGUCUCUUUUAGUGGAAAUAGCAAAUGUAGAAUUAUUGGAUGUAGAACAGUAAAGAUUGGAGGUCUCAUAAUCAAUAAUGUCUCCUUGGUGGAAGGACUAAACUACAAUCUACUCAGCAUAAGCCAAUUGUGCGACACUAGGUUCAAAAUCAAUUUUCAGGAAGUGACAUGUUCAGGAAUCAGUAAAGACCACUCUCAAUCUUUUACCGGGCAUAGACAUGGGAAUAUUUAUCUUCUGGAUAUAAAACCAGAAAGACCUCAACGCUUGAUAUCAAUAUAAGACGAAGAGAAUCUCUGGCAUCAAAAGUUUGGCCAUAACAACAUUAAGCAAAUUGCCAAAAUCUCUUCCAAGAAGCUUGUUUGAGGUCUAUCCAACCUGAAAUACCAAAAAUCUGACUUAUGCACACCAUGUGUGUUGGGAAAAUAGGUUAGAAGUUCUUUUAAGCCAAUAAAUCAAGUUUCCACUAACCGUGUGCUACAGCUCCUUCAUAUGGAUCUCUUUGGAUCAACUAGAACUCAAAGCAUUGGAAAGAGAUUUUGCCUAGUAAUAGUGGAUGAUUAUUCGCGAUUUACUUGGGUUUACUUUCUAGCAAGUAAGUUUGAAACCUUCUCUCAUUUUUCAAAGUUUCCUAAGAAAGUGUAGAAUGUGAAAUGUUAUGUUAUUUCAAGAACACGAACAGACCAUGGAGGUAAGUCUGAAAAUUAAGACUUUUCCAAAUUUUGUGAUGAAUUUGGUUUUCAGCACGUGUUCUCUUUUCCAUACACUUCUGAACAAAAUGGAGUUGUGGAAAGGAAGAAUAGAUCUUUACAAGAGAUGGCAAGGCCUCUUUUAAUUGAAAGUAAUAUUUAUUCUCGUUUUUGGACUGAAGCAGUUUCUACAACAUGUUAUAUUAUUAACAGAGUAUUCUUAAGGCCUAUUAUGGGGAAAACUCCCUAUGAGUUAUUCAAACGAAAGAAGCCAAUUGUUUCUUAUUUUCAUUUGUUUGGUUGCAAAUGUUUUAUUUUGAAAAAUGCAAAUGAUCGAAUUGGUAAGUUUGAAAAAAAAUCAGACGAAGGAAUCUUCCUUGGAUAUUCAACCUCUAGCAAAGCCUACGAAAUAUUCAACAAGAAGACUCAGUCUGUGGAAGAAUCGAUGAACGUCAGAUUUCAAGACUCUCUGCAAAAUCAAUCGAUUCCGACGCAAACUGAAGAAUCUGAACCUGCUCUAGACUCUACAAAGUCUACCUCCCCUGAAGCAGCUUAGACUCUAGAAGAAAAACAACGAACGAAUGUUGAAGAUUCAACUGAAGAUGAAGACCAACAACCUGUCAGAAUGACUAGCAACUAGAAGCAUAAGUCUAGCCAUCCCAGAGAACUCGUUAUUGGUGAUAUUAAUGAAGGGAUUCAUACCAGAUCCAAAAGGCAAAUAGAGUCUAGCGCGGUGGCACUUAUUUAUGAAAUAGAACUGAAAAGCAUAGAAGAAGCUUUAACUAACGAAAGCUGGAUUGAAGCAACGCAAGAAGAACUCAGACAGUUCAGCAUUAACGAUGUUUGGGAAUUAACUCAUAAACCAAAAGGUAAGUCUAUUAUUGGAGCUAAAUGGGAUUUUAGGAACAAGAUGGACGGAAAAGGAAAAGUGAUAAGAAACAAAGCAAGACUCGUGGCCAAAUGAUAUAUGCAAGAAGAAGGAAUAGACUAUGAUGAGACCUACGCUCCUGUAGCAAGGUUAGAAGCAAUUAGAUUAUUGCUGCUUUUGCUUGUUAUAAGAAUUUCAGGUUAUUUCAAAUGGAUGCCAAAAGUGCAUUCCUAAAUGGAUUUAUUCAAAAAGAAGUCUAUGUGGAACAACCUCCCGGAUUUGAAGACCUAAGGAAACCAGACUUUGUAUUCAGACUGAAAAAUGCUCUAUAUGGAUUAAAGCAAGCACCUCGAGCUUGGUACGACAGGUUAAGUAAGUUUUUAAUUCAAAAUGGCUUUGUUAAAGGAAAAGUAGACACUACCUUGUUUAUUGAAAAGGAAGGUAAACACUUUUUACUUGUUCAAAUUUAUGUUGAUGAUAUUAUAUUUGGUUCACCUAACGAAAACUUGUGCAAGAAAUUUUCUAAAUCUAUAUAGGAUGAAUUCGAGAUGAGCAUGAUGGGUGAACUAUCCUUCUUUCUCGGACUACAAGUAAAACAAUUGAAGGAAGGAAUUUUCAUUCACCAAGAAAAAUAUGCUAAAGAACUUGUUAAAAAGUUCGGAUUGGAGAAUUGCAAAAAGACCGAUAUACCAAUGUCAAGUUCUUUGAAGCUAGACAAAGACGAAGGAGGAAAGAAAGUUGACUAGAAGCUGUACAGCAGUAUCACUAGUUCACUUCUUUAUCUUACUAUUUCUAGACCUGGCAUUUUGUUUAGUGUUUGCAUCUGUGCUAGAUUUCAAUCUGAUCCAAAAGAGUCUCAUUUAAGCGCCGCAAAACGCAUCAUCAAAUACAUUGCAACUAUUUCAAAUUUAGGUCUGUGGUAUCCCAAAGAAGGAGACUUUACUCUUCUUGGAUAUUCAGACGUAGAUCUAGCAGGUUGCAGAGUUAAUUGGAAGAGCACUUCAGGCACUUGUCAAUUCCUUAGUAACAAAACAAUAUCUUGGUUUUCAAGGAAGCAAAGUACUGUAGCUCUUUCAAUAGCAGAAGCGAAGUAUGUGGCUCUUAGAAGUUGUUCUCAAAUCUUAUGGAUAAAACAACAACUAAGAGACUUUGGAAUCGAAGACUCAUGCAUUGAGAUCAAAUGUGACAACACCAGCGCAAUGAAUCUCACAAAGAAUCGAAUUCUUCAUUCAAGAGCAAAGCAUAUAGAGAUUCGGCAUCAUUUAAUAGAAAUCAUGUUCAAAUGGAGAAGUCAUGAUUCAAUUCAUUGACUCAAAGAAUCAGCUAGCGGACAUAUUAGAGUCUAUUUGCUCCAGACUUAACAUCUUAUCUCUUAUAGUCUGAAAAAUCUCAGACUUAGGGUUAAAGUCUGAAGAUGCUCAAACUUAGAAGAUCAAGAAUUAUGACUAUAAGUUAUUUCGGUUCUAGCAAUUUAACUUUCGGAUAAAAACUCAAAAAGAUACGAUUGCUUAUUAUGCGCCAAUUGAUUGAUGUUAUCUUUCCAAGCUUUUUGAAGUUGUAGCAAUUAUUCUUUUCAAAAAGGAAGUUAUCAUUUUUGAAAUAACAGUUAUCUAUUUUCAAAAAGGCAGUUAUUCAUUUUUGAAAAGACAUUUUUAUUUUUCCUUUUAUGACAAUCCGUAUACCUCGUUUUGAUUGCUUUCUAUACUGUUUUUCUUCUUCAUUUUUACUCACAAACCCUAGAGCACAAAACUUCACUUUCUUACUUUUUCUCUCUAGUUUAAUCCGUAAAGUUUUCAUCUUUCUCGUGAAUGAGUUCGAAAAUUCUCUCAAAGACUGGGACAAUGUCUUCCCAAAGAAAAUCCUCAAGGAUAGCAAGCAGGGGACCACAGCAUAUGCGUGAGAGUCCUACGCACUUCGAUCCGACUGAGGAAGAAGAUUCUUCAAGGCAGCAGCAAAGUCAACAACAACAUUCUUAACCGUGCCAUUCUUCUCGGGCUAGAUUACAAGAGCCUCAGCAACAACAGGCAGAGGAAGAAAUUAUUGAGGAUGUCGAACUUGUAAGGACUCUUAAGCCUGCAUUUACUUUCAAACUUUACACCGCCCCUAAGGAAGGUGGUUCUCCAAUGACCUUUAUUGAUGAAUUUUUGAAAUAAAAGGAGUACCAAAAUGAAACCGAUUUUCUAAGAACAAUGGAACAUUUGGGAAUCGCUCUUGUUGGUUCGAUAGAAAGGGCUUUUGCGAAUUUCCCAAGUGAUCCACGUUUUGGAGGAUUUAAUCAACUUGAGGGUAAAGAUGAUGAUGAAAAAAUGUUCACUCAUUUUAAGCCUAGGAUGGGUGUUGCUGCGAAAAUUUGAGGAAGUAGAACGGAUCUGUUUCGUUCUGAGGAACACAAGCGAGUUUAUGCUAAAUUGUUGAAGCGAGGGGUGAUGAACCCAAGGAGUGUGGAUUUUGAUUUUCUCAAUUCAUUGAACGUAAAGUUACGGGAGAAGUUUUCUUUACUUCAACUUGAACAAUUAUGCUCUGAGACAACUGUAGCUUAUCCGGUACUUGCAGCAUAUUUCUAUUCCAAUCUAAGCUUUUUAGAUGCAAAUAGAUUUUCCUUUAGUGUUCGAGAUUAGGAUUAUGUGGUAGAUGUUGAUACUUUAGCUGAUGUGAUUGGAGUGGAGAGAGGGAUUUUCCAAACAAUCAGCAUGUUUGUUGGUCAUGCCACUAUGGAGCUUGUUCAAGAUAGGAUUGCAGAAGGCCGGAUUUCGUAUUUGAGGAUGAGUGCCUUUAAUGUCUUGCUCCAUAAGAUUGUGAUUAACUGUCUCAGACCCAAAUCCACAUCAAAGACUAAUGUCUCCAAUUCUGAAGCAAAGCUGAUGUACGCCAUCAACAUUAGUUAUAAGUUCUCUCUGCCUUAAACCAUAAUGUUUCACAUGUAUUGGUCAAUGGUAAAGGACAAGGGACAACUUCCUUACUCUCCUCUUGUUACUCAUCUAUUCAAACAUCUUAACAUUCAACCUCCUAGAAUUCUAUGUGUUCGAACGAGUGUUCCAAUGGUGGUAGGACUGAAGAUGGUUGCUAAGAUGCGUCUGAAGAAGCUAAACAAGGCUUUAGAGCGAUUUAAGGAGAAGACACCUGUCAAGACUUGACAAGACCCUGUGGCUAUAAAAAGAAAAGGGAAGGAGCUCAUGACAGCUCCAUCUAAGAAGAGGAGAGCACUCAUCUUGCAGGAUGACGAAUAUGAGGAUGACAUCACUAUCUCAGCUCUUGCCUUAAAGAACUUACAGCAUCUUGUUCCUGAGACAAAGACUUGAGAAAAAGACAGAGAGGAGACAUAACGGAAAAGUAAAGAGAGGGAAAUGAUGAGGAAAUAAGAAGAAGAAGAAGGAAGAAUAUAAGAAGAAGAGCGAAGAGAAGAACAAACAGAAGGAGAAAGUCAUGGUGAUUCUCCAUCAGAGGAAGAAGAACAAGAUCAUCGUGAUAAUGAAGAAGAGCCAGAGCAAGAAGAAUACUUCUCUCCACCUGUAGGCACCAAAACAGGGGGAGCUAUUGAUAAAAUAGGUAUUCCUUCACUUGCUUUUACCAGUGAUGAUGUUAGUCGUUCUCCUGCCGAUCCAAAGGAUGUGUAUGCCUCUCACUUUCUUGAAGAAGGUAAUGAGGCUUCAUCUCCAAGUUUGGAUAUUCGUGCUGAAGUUCCAUCAUCUGGAAACACUCCAGAAACUAAUCAUACUGAAGCAAGUACUUAAACUGAAAACUUGGCAGACUUUAAAAGAUGCUUGAACUUCUUCUGGAAAUCAAAGGUCAAAUUUAUACCUUGGGAUGUGAAUUUCAGUGCAUGCAGAAUGCUCAUCAAGCCACCUCAGUUUCUUUGCACGAUCAAGUUUAAGCCCUUAAUCUUCAAGUUUAAGCUACAACAAAGGGUGAGGAUUUAGCACAAUUGAAGGAGGAUCUGAAAACACUGGAGGAGACUAUCAAGUCUAUGGGAGAUUUCUAGCUCGUUUGCAUUCCCAAACAAUCUUAAUUUUAUCAAAUUUUCUUUAUAUUCUCUACUUUUUGCUGUUGACAAAAAGGGGGAGAAGUCAAUGCAGAUUUGACACUCUGAUUUUGAUUUGGCUUUGAUUACUUUUAUCUUUUGUUUGGAUUGUGAUUGGUUUGGACUAUGUUGACCUUUUUAAUGCUUGCAGUAUCUUAAGCUAUGUUGAUGUUUUUGGUAAAGAUAGUUUAUUUUACAGUAUUAACUUUUUUUUUUUUGUGGAUGCAGAAUCGCUACUAUCUUUAUCCUAAUCUACUUAUCUUUUAUGAGAUAUCUUUGUUUGCUUAAGUGAUAUCUUGUAGGUCUAAAGUAUCCAAAUCUGCAGAAAAGUUUUGUCAUCAUCAAAAAGGGGGAGAUUGUUAGAGAAAUCUUUCCUAUUUGUUUUGAAGCUGAGAAAACGUUUCCAUCAGUCUAGUCUGAAGACUUGAAGACUCUAUCGUCAAAGUCUAAAGACCUCCAGACUCAAGGUUUAAAGUCUACCCUCAUUGACAGUCUCCAAACCGACGAAGAAAAAGUGUUAUUCGUUGAAGAAGACUUAUCCAGAUACGGGUAUAUCUUUAAGGAUUUGAUUCGUGUGGUUGAAGAAGAUAUCACGGCUGGAGAUUGCACCUCGAGAUCUAUUAUUCGUAUUGAAAUUAAUUUGAGUAUUUUAGAUCUGUUGAUUGGUGAAGUAUACUUAGAAGGUUCUACUUAUGGAAACCUAGAUCCUAGUUGUAUGGGUGAGCAAGAUUGGUGAGCUAUCAUCAUAUUCUUUAAAUAACUUGAGAUCUUCCUAAUUGAUUAUGUCCAACGGGUUGAUUGGAAGAACUCCUUUGGAAGGUGCUGACAGUUAUGUAGGCAUAAAGAAGUAUAUAAGAAAGACCCUCUAGUUAUUUGAGUGUGUGAAAGAUAGAGAAAUUACAACGUCUGAAGCUCCUUGUUUUUUGCUGUUUCAAUUGAUUGAGCUUAAAUUUGUACUCAAAAGAGAGAUUUGAUACCUUGAGGAAUUGUAGCAGAUUCUCUACAUUGUGGAAUCAAGAUCGUGAGACUGUAAAAUCUCUUUUGAUUCAUAGUGGAAUCUAGCCGGUGGGCUGUUAGUACGAGAGAGUGGACGUAAGCUUGAUCUAAGCCGAACCACUAUGAAUCUUGUGUUUUGAUUAUCUAUCCCUAAACUCUUUACUUUAAAUCGCAGCUCUAUAUAACUGUUUAUAGUUGUUCAUGACUUUAGUCUAUUAUUCUUAGAAGUUAAUUUAUUUUGAUAAGAUUUACAAAAACUUCUUUGAUCACCUAUUCAACCCCCUCUAGAUGCUCGUACUAGCCCUUUCACAAAAAUCAACGGAGAGGGGCCAGUUCAACCAGAUGAACUAGUUGGGGUCCGGACUGUGACGAGUGCUAGUGUUUGACUCAACUACAAAGAAGACGUCGGAUGGGAAGGCUUUGGCGGCGAUGGCUCCUUUUGCUGCUUUGAUGGGAACUAAGAGGCUUGGGGGACUAUUAGUAGGUAUGAGGGACUGUUGGUAGUGAUUGGCACGACAGUGGGGGAGAGAAGUGAGUUCGAGAGAUAGGGAGAGAGAGAGGAAUUUUAGUUUUAGUGAGAGAAUUAAUUCUGCAAAUGAGGCCCCCUUGAAAAUUGGAUGAAAAAUGGCUUUUAUACUCGGUCCUAAUAGGCGAAUCUUGGCCGUCAGUUCAAUCCGACAAUCAAAAACGUGAUUUAAUGGCAAAAUUAAAUUUUUAAAAGGAUAAUCAUACUUAGGAUUUGUCCUAUGAUCGAUUGGAUGGAUUCAAUUUGUAAAAAUUGAGACUUAAAACUAGAAUUGCACUUAAUUAGCGUCACAAAUUUAAGAAAUUCAAGGACCAUUUUGCAAAAUUUUGAAAAUGCAAGGGCAUGGAAGCAAAAUUUGCACAAUGAUGGUCUUAGAACCGGUUGCUGGAAGUCCAUAAUCAACCGACAGGAGGCCGAACUAGCCUACAUUGUCGGUGGCCAGUUGGUCGGAUUAGUUAGGCCAGUUCAGGUAGUUCUUGUGGGUUCAAAAUUUAUGUAAUCUCUCAAGGACCAAAUUGAAGAGAAAACUUACCCGAUUUGAGGAGAAAUGAUCCAAUUUUGAUCCAAUUAAACUAAUUAAACUUAAAAAAAAGCUAAUGAAACUUCGUAAAUGCAAUCUAUGGGCUUUCUAUCAAUGUAAAUGAAUGAUUAUUGUGAAAAGCAAUGGACCUAAACCAUGGGUACACAUAAUCUAGCAUUAUAGGCUAAAACGAGCAAUUUUGUAAUUCUUUGCUCAAAAUUGCAAAUUAAUUUAAAUUGAAAUAAAUUAAUAUUGCAAUAAACCUAUUUGACAAAUUACCCAUGUUUAGGAUAGUCUAUCAUAUUCAAAUUGACUUUGAGUUGAAGUCACGAGACUUAGGCAAAUCAAUGUCUAACAUCGAAAUUGGACUUUGAUUCAUGAAAUUUGACCUUAAUCUUAAAUGGGUCAACUUAAAUUUCUUCAAUUAAAACUCAAUUGCUUGGCUUUCUUAUAUACAAGAGAGUGAAAUUCUUCAAAAUUGGGAAGCUCACAUGUGAAUUUCUCAAAGGACAUCCCGAAUUUGCACUUAUCUUAAAAAAAUGAGUGGAAAACAAUCGUCCAUUCGUGAUCUAUGAAAAAUCGAUUUUGAUCCCCUAAUUGUGGCUUAAAAUGGCAAUUUACCUUUUAUCAUGACAAUUCCCAAAAUUGAAUGAAAGAGAGAAUUAGAAAUAGUCCCUAGACAAAAUGUUGAAGGAACUACAACUAAUUAUGAAUAAAAUGAAAGUAAUUUCAUUUUUGGUCAAUUUAGAACCUUAAAUCAAAAAUUUUGGAGAACAAAGUUUUUAGUCGAAUUUUGUAAGAUUUUCAACACAAAUAUCUAAUAGACACUAAAACAAAGUAUUCUGAAGAUUUUUGAUUUUUUUAAAAUGUUUUUGUCAAAGGCUUGACUAAAAAUCAACCUUUUGACUAAAUUGACUUUUUCUAAAAAGUUGAUUUUUGAGUCAGCUCUUUGAAUUUUUGAAAAGUUCACUUAGCUAAAGUGAAAGUAAGGCUAUUUAACAUCUCUUUGGUAAAAAGCCAAUUUUUGAAUAGGAAUUGUUUAAAAGUAACAAUGGAAAAGAAAGAGAUGAAAAACGAUAUUUUUUGGUCGAGAAAUGAGCUCUAUUGUGAUCGGAAACCCUAAUAUGGGUUUUUACAUUUUUAUGACAAGUCGACUAAAAAAUCAAGUGUCAACAGUUGCCUCUUUAUGAGUGUGUCACGCCUUGAUCCUCGAGCGCAUAGCAUCCCUCGAUCUCUUCGGUCAUGGAAUUACAACAUCCUAGGACGUGUUGCCAACCCAUUCAUUUUAUCUUUUGAUUAUACGCAAGUGGAAGCAGAACAAAUAUCUCCCAACCAUUAACAAAAAUGGGGAUAGUAAAAGGCAUACAUCAGAACACUGUUGAAACCUAAAUUUUGGCAACCCAUUUAGUUAUUUAUCGCAUUAAAAAAUUAGGGACUAAUUUUUAACCCUUAAAAAAUUAAUUAAUAAAUUGCAUAGCAUAUAAUUUUAGGUGCAUUUAUUUUUAAUUUGCAUUUAUAUUGGACCGGCGAAGGAUGGGUUCAACUUGAUGGUUUAGAACUUUAAUUUGCCCACAAAGAGAGCAAAUCAACCUAAGCCCGUAUUCUCAAGGAGAUUUUAGGGAUUUAUUUUUGCGGGAUUUCAAAUUUGAGAAAAAUCCUCUUGCAAUCUUGAAUCGUAUCAAAAACAAAUAUUGUGUUCGGAAAAGAAAUUUUUGUGGAUAUUGAUUUGGAAAAAUUAAAACCCUAAUCCGUGGCCUAUACGAAGGUUGUUCGUAUAGAAUUUUGGGGGCUUUUUCUUGGUUUUCUAGGUCAAAGGUUUAAGCACGAAAGAAAAAAGUUUUUCUUUUCCUUUGGUUCUUGUGUUUCUUCAUUGGGGUGGGGCUCCAAAAGUCAGAAAUACAGUAGAGAGACGGAUAGGGAGUUGACGUGAGAUAGACAGGAAGAGAGAGAAAUAAUUAAAAAAGAAGAACAGUGUUCUUCUUCUCUAGCAGAUCUGCCGCUUACUUGCUUUACUUCUGCUCUCCCUCUGCUGCGACCCAGCCACGACGUCGCAUCCCGGCUGCCAGCGACCGUUGCAACCCGCCUACUUGUGAUUCCGAUCCACCAUCUCUACUGCACCGGAGCUGCAACUCAAAGCUGUCGCACACCCCUUGUUGGCUGAGCCACUUCGGCCUCUGUUGCUUUCGUUGCUGACGUUGGAAGCCCUGACCCAGUGCUGGACCGCCGCUCUGUUGCCCCGCCGGACGCCAUGUUGCCGCCCCACUGCCACGAUCCAACAUGAGCACCCUUUUGCGACGACCGAGCCAAGCACCGCGCCUGCACUCUCGUGCUUCUGCCUCUGCUUCGAUGCACCACCGCUCUACUGCCCCACCGGAUGCUGCGUUGCCACCCCACAAGCCUCAGUCACCUCUUAGCUAGGACCCAACUGCAGCUGUCCACCCGCCUGUAGCGCCCUCCAAGCGAUGGCACCAGCAGCUUGAGCCGACCUUGCCCGCUGUUGCAUCCGCCAGCCGCCGGCUCUCACCAGAGCUCCGAUUGAUGGCGGUUCUUUGUCCUUAGCAGCCUGCCAUCAUAGCCACUUGCCCUUGGUGACCCACCACCAUAGCAGCCUUUGCUGAACCACGUCGGGCCAUGUGGAGCCGCCGUUGAUUAAGCUGGAUUUUGGAAAAUUCAAAAUUAGGUAGUUUUUUUAUUUUUUGUUUUUUGUUUCUUUAUUUGAAAUAUCCCUUGAUGUAAGAUUGAGAUUUCCCGACAUGAUGUAGACUCUUAACUUAAGGAUUGACAGUCCGAUUUUCGCACCCAAAAUCCGACUCGCAAUUGCUUGGAAAAUCGUUAAUCCGAUCUUAUAGUCGAGAUUCGAUUCGCAGUUUAUUUAGAAUGGACCAACCCGAUCUCAUGCGCGAGAUAUGGUUCAUCAAUUUUUGGAUAUCAAUCUUAUCUUGCUCUGAUUUGCCAUCGUGUGGUUUGAGUCGAUUUUCCAAAAAAAUAUAUUUGAAUUAGGAUUAGGUUCGUUUUAGAAUAUUCCUCAUUUUAGGGUUAUCUUGCAUAUCUAGAAUAGGAGAUUUAUUUACUUCGAGUCUUUGAAAAACUAAAAAUCCAAAAAAUGCAUUCAUUUAGGAUGUUAUUUUUUUAAAUUGCACGUUUAAUUAUUUGGCAAUUUUAAUAUUGAAUUUUAUUAAAAAAAACAAAAAAAAUUAUCAUGCAUAUGUCAUGUAGAAUUAGGGUGUUUUUUGUACGUCAUUGCAUAUUAGGAUAAAAUAAUAUAUUUAAGUUUAAGUUUAGAUAGAUUUUUUAGAUAAGUUGCAUCUUAGGUUAGAAAUUGCUAAGUUAAGAUAAUAUCUUAGUUUAAAUUAAGAUUUGGCCUAACCCAAUUCUUCAUGUAAUUUGGAUAGAAUCUUAAUCUAGCUAGAUAAUUUUUCCAUUUUUCUUAAUUUCGAAUUUCAUGAAAAAUACAAAAAAAAUUGUCUUAGAGUAAAUUCAUUUCAUUCUCGAGGAUAGAUUGCAUGCCUUUUAAGAGAAUAGAAAUAUCAUGUGCACGUCAUAUAGAAUUAGAUUCAUGAAAUGCAUGUCAUUUAGCUAUUGUUGUUAGGUCCAUUUAGUUAAAAAUUGUCCGUCAUUAGAAUUAGGUCAUUUGGUUAUAUGGCAUUUCAUAUAGAUUAGAUUUUAUUAAAUAAGAGAAAAUUCUUUUAAAAAAUGAUUGAGUAAUUGCGUAUUAAUUAGAAAUCAUAUCUAUGAUUGUUGAUGUGAAUUAUGAUCUAACAUUGCAGAUGCUUUCGUUGCUAUGAGAUAAGUCCUGCAAUUUAUUCACCGCUUUAUCUAAGUCUUAAAUUGGUGGUUUGCACACCUGCAUAAUAACUUUAUAUGUUAGGGAAAUAAAUUAAAAUUAAUUGAAACUACUUGCCAAACAUCUUUUUUCAAAAUAAAAGAGAAAGGUACCAAAAGGGUGUUAGAGAAAUUUAAUGUAAUCAAGUCCCCGAACUCAAAAUCUCUGGUUCGUUGGAGUAAAGUAAAUCUCCCGUUAUUUUACUUGGGUUUCUAAUCGACCCACUAAAAAUAGAUUAGUGGUGCCUCAUAAUUGAAAAGUCAAUGGCAUGUUAAGAACUUGAACCUAAGUUGCGAAUUUGUAUGGACUUGGGAGAGCCCGAGCUAAGUUUAAGCUUAGUAGUCUAUUAGCCAAAUUCUAGGUGGAUCACCCGAAAAUUUGGUCGCGACAGCUUGGCGACUCCACUAGGAACUUGAGUUAAAACUCUUAGUGGACUUAGGCCAAUUUUCUCUUGCUUUGAAAAAUGUUUUUGUUUGGCAGCAAGGAUCCUAGGUACGUCCCUAAUGUUUAAGGCGUUAAAUGUUCUUGCAAGAUGGGACGUAUAAGGGGAAGUGUUUGCUAACCUUUUUUUUUUUUUUUUUUUGUAUGGGGGUGUAGGGAUGUAUGGUUUACUUUCAUUUAUGAAGUGUUGCUUGAUAUAAAUUGUCUUGCAUGCCCUGCAUUUAGCACUACACUAUUGCACACACAACUUGCCGUUGGACCUGGGCCGCAUAGGAUCAUCUAGGAUGGUAUUGAGAUGGAUACCACUUUGACCGCAUACCUGCGGUACGAGUCACCCAUCUUAAUCCUGAAGUUUUUUUUUUCUUUUUUUUUUCGGUGUCAAGAGCACCUCAGUCCGCAUGCCCGCGACCCGGGUCAGCUCUUUGACCAAGUCGGAGUCAUGAUGACCCGAUUUAGUCCGCACGCCCGCAGCUAGUCCGAUCAUCCUUGUGGCUUCACUUGGCUAAGCCUGUUUAGAGUAUAAAUUGAGCCUCACAUCUCAUGUGCAUGUCUAUGUGAUCGCCUUUCAUUUUUCUUGGUGAAGUAAAUCUUCUAUCCCUAUACCAUGCAAUUUAUUCUGUCGUGCUUUUGGUCAGUCCGUGACAAUUUAGGUGAAUCAUUGAUUUAACUCCUUUGUCAAUUAGAGAUGAAAUAAGGAAUUUGUCAUGCAAUGAAUCAUUUAAAAAAAAAAUUGUAGAAUUUGUUUUCAAUUCAUGUCUAGGAAAUUUGGUCUUGCUAGGGUGUUUAUUUUUCUAGCUCUUUUUUAGGAAAUUCCCUUCAGUGUGGACUUUUCGUGACUAAAAGAAAAAAGAAAAAAUGGAUCAUUGUCAUGGAUUGGCUCUUUAUUUACACCUCAUGCUUACAUAUUUUCAUUCAUUCAAAUUGGUGAUAACGGAUCCCUCACGUUCUCCCAUUAUUAUGCGAUCAAGAGCAAAAAUGGCCAACCAAACUGAAAUGUGUGAUUGUAUCUCCACUAUGGAAGACCAACUCCAAUAGUUAAUCACCUCUAUGCAGCUUAUGAUAGCUUAGAUCCAAUCCCUUUGAGUGAAUCUGACUGCUACACCCGCUCUCCCCAAGAUAGUAGUUUCGAAGCAAUCAAGCAAGGCCCAAAUGGGUGAUGACGACAUGCCUGAAUUGGAAGAUGACCCAUUGUUGGUCGCUCCUGAAAAAGCUAAGCCUGACAAUGUCCCUAAGACAGAGCAAGAUGAACGCUUCGCAAAGCUUGAAGAGAAGGUGAAGCAAUUGCAAGAGUCACAGAGUUCACUUUCAUUCGACUUGUUAGUGUAUGAGAAGGUUAAGGUGCCAAAAAAGUUUAAAAUGCCGGAGUUCGAGAAAUAUGAUGGUACUUCCUACCCGAAAGCUCAUUUGUAGAUUUACCAUGUACGCAUUGCCAAAUAUGUCAAGAAUGUGCCCCUCAUGAUCCAAUCAUGUCAUGCAAGUUUGACCGAGCUCGCACUAAGCUAGUAGGUGAUGAAGAAUGUGAACCUUCUCGACACCUGGAAUGAAGUGGUUGACACAUUCCUCAAGCAAUAUAAGUUCAAUAUGAACAUUGCAUCUUCUUGAGAAGAUCUUGAGAGAAUGGAGAAGAAGAGGAGUGAAUCUUUUAAGGAGUAUGCCGUGAGAUGGCAAAAUCUAGAAGCUCAAAUCACUCCUGAACCUACUAACAAGGAGUUGAUGAAGUUUUUUGUCAAGACUCUCCCGUUUGAGUUCCGUAACCGAAUGGUCAGCAAAUAUGUCAAGAACUCGAAUAAAUUUAUUCCCGUGGGAGAACAAAUUGAGAUGGGGAUAAGAGAUGGAUGGUUUAAUGAGCCAACCUCUGCAAGCAAAAGUUUUAACCCAAAGAAAGAAAAGGACCUUGAAGCUGAGAUUAAUGUGGCUUAUUCUCAACCGAAUUGUGAUACAGCCAAUUGCACUCUUGUAAUUAAGAUUUCUACCGAGCAACAAGGUGGAGGACAUCAGUUCUCUGGUCAACAACGAAGUGUUAGGAGACAAUUCACACCUCUUCCCGGACCUUUAUCCAAAGUCUUGCUUGUUCUUCAAGAAAAGAGAUUACUUUCUAUUGAGCCAAAGUGACAAAAUCCCCAGCAUUAUCCUGCAUAUAAUCCCUCCAAAGUGUGUGACUAUCAUAUGGGAGAUGUUGGUCACUCUAUUGAUGAUUGCUAUGUUUUGAAGCAUAGGGUCCUAGACCUCUUGAAUACAAAGGCGUUCUCUUUCAACAUUAUUUGGGAAAACCCUCUGCCCAACCAUGACGGAGGCACAAAUGCUGUAACUAAGUGAAGAAGUUCUUAUCUUCACAUUUCUCUAUGAAGGAGUUUUUUUUUUUUUUUUUUAUGAUUUCUAGGAUUUCAAGCUUUUUUUUAGGAUUUUCAGUUUUCUGAAGUUGCAAUUAUUGCUUUCGUUUCUAGGGUUUGCUUGUUUGCAUUUUCAAUUCCAAUAUUAUAAUUCAUUUGAUUCUAUUCAAUGAAAUUACAAUUUUAUUUCCAAUUUUGAGGGCAUGACGGGGUACACCAAACUAACCCAAUGACGAUAUCCAAUUAUGAAAAGAAAAUAUCAUUCACGGAGAAAUCCUGAGGACUAGGCUUCUUCAUGCUUUCUCAUAAAAAAAAACUUAUAAAAAAAAAUCAUUUUUCAGGCCAUUUCCAAAAGCAUGCAUUAUGUUAGCCCUGUGUAAUUUUCCAACUCAUUUACUUCAUAUUUCAGAGUAUUACUUUUUUGGCCUAAUGAGAAAGCAUAUGAAAAGGCACAUCAGACGACAAAUUGGGGACACUACAGAUUCUAAUAGUGAGAUGACUAAGAUAAAAUCUCGAUCUGAGCUAAAAUGGAUGUUCAAUUUGAACUUACUUUGAUAGUAUCCUAUUCAUGCAUGUUCUCUUGUGCAAGGGCAAAAGCAAGAAGGGACUAUUUAUCAAAUCAAAGAUCGGAUUCUCGAUCUUAAUCCAAGGAGGUAGUUCCUUUCUGGGGUAAUCUCCUGAAUGAAUGCUUACAAUCAUGUUUGGAGUGUGGUGAAUUGUCUGUUUUGAAAUCACAAAAGCUUCUUAUGCUUAAAUUGUCAGGACUCUUUUGAAAAGAGAGUUUCGAUAGUGAUUUUACCUAUUUAACUUAUCAAUUUCAUGUGGAGAUUUGUCAAGAUAGACAAUGCAAUGGAGUGACAUCAAUGUUUAAGAAUGCUAAAUGAGACGUAUUGGGAUGAUGAAAGGCAAGCCUUAUCCUAUGCACAGUCCUUCUACUUAUACUUUUGUGAGAUGAGUGAGGAAAGUUCCAUAUCUACAUGAUAAAGAGUUUUCNNNNNNNNNNNNNNNNNNNNNNNNNNNNNNNNNNNNNNNNNNNNNNNNNNNNNNNNNNNNNNNNNNNNNNNNNNNNNNNNNNNNNNNNNNNNNNNNNNNNAAAAGCAAUUGUUCAAACAGUAUGGCCUGGAGUAUUGACAAAAGAGGAAGACCUCCCAAAGGUCCAAAUGUUAAAAGCACCAUAUUUUAAUUCAAAAUAGAACCAAGGGGCGUGAAAAAGCAGUGUGCUAGGUAAAAGCAAGGCUAAUGCCCGUGAAAAAGGAAGUGAAGGAAAAAAUGAAGGAGAACUAGGGCAUGAAAAAGCGGUGUGCUUGAUAAAAGCAAGGCUUAUGCCCAUAGAUGGAAAAAGAGAGUCAAGAUAAGGACUAUCGGUUGAAAAAAAAUUGUAUCCCCAAUGGAGCAAUACUCAAAGAACUCAAAUGCUGAGUUUUUACAAUCAAUGAGGUGCAUUAUGAAGACAAUCCCCGAUGGUGAAAAAGAAAACUAGUGGCAAUGCCAAGAUGAUCAUCAACUCUCAACCUUUACACAUAUUUUGAGCCUAAUGGUCCUUUUGUUUCUCAACCCACGAACCCAACCUAUGUUAUGUCCUUUGCAAAGUCUCUUCAAAAUAGGGCACUUGAAUUAACAUGGGAGUUCAUAUGUUUAUAAACAUCACUCGAAGAAGUGUAAGCAAGAUUGUUUUUUUCUCAUUUUGCAGGGCUCUUGACUUGUAAACCCAGAGAUCAUUACAUAAUUAUUCUUUCAAUUGCAUUGACUCAAAGAGUCCAUUUGUUGAGCCAUUGACCAAGCCUAUAUUACAGGCCCUAUUAAAGACCUCUCAGAUUGGUAAUAUUGUACCGCUUGCAAGAAUAUUUGGACCCUUGCCGAUAUGGUGAGAUUGAGUGAUUCUCAUAAAAUAGCCAUUCUAAAUGAGAGUGAGUGAAAGUCAUUUCUAAUUGAAAGUCUCUCAUUUAGUAUUCUUAAGAAAUCCAUGAAAUUGUCUUGAACAACAAUUCUCUCCAGUGGAAAUUUGGGUGAUGCAAAUAUGGUAAAGUCAUUAUGCAUAAACCUUGAUUGAAUUGAUGAAAACUUCACUAAAAUUUCGAAAUGUGCAUUUUAAAGUAGCUCAAAUUGUCUACCUAUUUGAUGAAUGCAUACUAGUGUUUUUCUCUAAUCGCGUCUAACAGAUAAUAUUUCCUUGAAGAUUGAGUAAUACUUGACGUUUAAGUUGCUCCUUGAAGCCUUGAGAUUCAGCGUGCUUUUGUAGCUCGAAGCCUUUUUCACUAACCCGACAUGCUUCCAUAACCCGGUGUCCUUUAUAUUGACCUGGCGUACUUUCGUAGCCUAGAGUCCCUUUUAUCGAACCGGCAUGCUUCCAUAACCCGGAUUUCCUUUAUAUUGACUUGGCGUGCUUCCAUAGCCUAGAGCCCUUUUCAUUGACUCAGCGUGCUUCUGUAGCCCAAUUUCCCUUUUAAUAAACCUAGCGUGCUUCCGUAGCCUAGAGUUCUUGGCGUGCUUCCGUAGCCUGAAGUUCUUGACCUGGCAUGCUUUCGUAGCUUAGAGUUCUUUUCAUUGACUCGGCAUGCUUCGGUAGCUUGAUUUCCUUUUUAAUAGACCCGGCGUGCUUCCGUAACCCGGAGUUUCUGACCUGGCAUGCUUUCGUAGCCCAGAGUCCCUUUUAUCGAAUCAGCGUGCUUUCAUAGCUCAGAUUUCCUGACCUAGUGUGCUUUUGUAGCCCAGAGUCCUUAUUUAUCGACUUGGCGUGCUUCCAUAGCCUAGUGUCCAUUUAUAUUGACCUAGCGUGCUUUCAUAGCCCAAAGUCCCUUUUAUCAAUCCGGUGUACUUUCGUAGCUUGGAUUUCUUUUAUCGACCUAGCGUGCUUUAGUAACCCAGAGUCAUUUUCAUCAACAUGGCGUGAGUCCCCCUAUCAAAUCGACAUGCUUUUGUAGCCCGAAGUUCCUCUUAAUCGACACUAGAUUGAGCUGUCCCCCAAUGCUUUUUCUCCAGGUUUAGUUUGAUUAAGGUGAUUGAAGAAAGGUUUAGAUCCUCGUCAGAUGAUCCAUAUUGCAUUGCCAGGCAACCGUAGAAAGGUACAGGUCCUAUACAAUAUUUGUUGCUUCAAUAGGCAACCGUAGAAAGAUACAGGUCUUGGAAAAGCUGUUCCCCAUUCAAGCGACAGAAGAAAGGUAUGGGUCAUGGAAAAUGAUUUCUUAUUCAGGAGACCCUAGAAAGGUACGGGUCCUGGAAAGUGAUUUCCUAUUUAGGCGAUUGUAGAAAGGUACGGGUCUUGGAAAGUGAAUCCCCAUUUAGGUGACCGUAGAAUGGUAUGGGUCCUAGACAAUAUUCAUUGCUCUAACAGGCGACCGUAGAAAGGUACGAGUCCUAGAAAAGCAAUUUUUUUUGUCAAGGCAACCGAAGAAAGGUUCGGGUCCUAGACAACCAAAUACUGCCAUACUGGGCGACUAUAGAAAUGUACAAGUUCUAGGAAAGUAGUUUUCUUACAAAGUCUUGUUGCUAUUCUGGGCGACCGUAGAAAGGUACGGGUCUUGAACAUGUAACACCAACUAUCUUGAAUUACUCUAUCCUCCUUAAAGGUAAGAUAUUCCAAUUAGGUUCCUUUUCCGUUUGCAUUAGCAUUUCCAUACAAAUUGCAUUCCAAAAUCUUGACAUCUCAGUCUAGAUCUGGAUGUCUUAAUUAUUUUCAUCUAAACAUUUCACUCCGGAUGUGAAUGUUUUUCGAUCUUUCUCGUUAUACCUUAGUCUAGAUCUAGGUAUUUCGAGUUCAAAAAUCUUGAUAUCUCAGUCUGGAUGUAUAUGUCUUAAUUCUUUUCAUUUAAAUAUUUCACUCUGGAUGGGAAUGUUUUUUGAUCUUUCUCGUUAUACCUUAAUCUAGGAAUUUCGAGUUCAAAAAUCUUGACAUCUCAGUCUCGAUCUGGAUGUUUUAAUUCUUGAACAUUUCAUUCUGGAUAUAAAUGUUUUUCAAUCUUCUCGUUAUACCUUAGUCUGAAUCUAGAUAUUUUGAGUUCCCAAAAUCUUGACAUUUCAGUCUGGAUUUGAAUGUCUUAAAUCUUUUCGCUAAACAUUUCAUUCGGAUAUGAAUGUUUUUUGAUCUUUUUCGUCAUACCUAAGUUUGAAUCUAGAUAUUUCAAUAAACAUUAGAAUCUUCAAGAAACCUGAAUGAAGGCCGGGUACUUGUAGAGUAAAUGAAUAUUUAUCAUGUACCUCAAGAUGCUCUACCGCACUGAUCAGUAAGUAACUACAGGUAUCUCUCUCUGUUUGCGUCAUGCAUUUGCAUUAUCAUUUUCUUGCAUCAUAUAAAUUGCAUUUUAAAAUUGGAUUCAUUUUCCAAAAAGAAAAAAUCAUUUGGCGCAUGUGCAUGAUCAAAAUUUAGGUCUCAAUUUGUCUAUAAAGGCAACCUCUACGAGCUCACCUUCAAAGAGGGGUAGCUGUUGACACCUAAAUUUUGGCAAUCCAUUUAGUUAUUCAUCGCACUAAAAAAUUAGGGAUUAAUUUUUAACCCCUAAAAAAAUAAUUAAUUAAUUGCAUAGCAUAUAAUUUUAGGUGCAUUUUUUUUUCUUUUAAAUUUGCAUUUGCAUUGGACCGGCGACGGAUGGGUUCAACUUGAUGGUUUGGAACUUUAAUUUGAUGAGUUGGGCUAAGCCCACAAAGAGAGCAAAUCGGCUCAAGCCCGUAUCCUUGAGGAGAUUUUAGGGAUUCAUCUUUGCGAGUUUUCAAAUUUGAGAAAAAUCCUUUUGCAAUUCUGAAUCUUAUAAAAAAAAAUAUUGCGUUCAGAAAAGAAAUCUUCAUGGAUAUUGAUUUGGAAAAAUUAAAACCUAAUUUGUGACUUAUAAGAAGGUCGUUCACGUAGGGUUUUGGGGACUUUUUCUUGGUUUUCUAGGUCAAAGGUUUAAGCACGAAAGAAAAAAGUUUUUCUUUUCCUUUGGUUCUUUUGUUUCUUCGUUGGGGGUGGGGCUCCAAAAGUCAGAAAUACAGCAGAGAGAGGGACAAGGAGUAGACAUGAGAUAGAUAGGAAGAGAGAGAAAGAAUUAAAAAAGAAGAACAAUGUUCCUCUUCUCCAACAGAUCUGCCGCCUGCUUGCUCUGCUUCUGCUCUUCCUCUGCUGCGACCAAGCCACAACGUCGCAUCCCGUCCAUCUGUGUCGCCCGAGUCUGGCCACCAGCCACCACCACGACCGCCUGCUUGCGAUUUCGAUCCACCAUCUUUGCUACAUUAGAGUUGCAACUCGAAGCCGUUGAACACCCCUUGCUGCCUAAGCAACUCCAGCCUCUGCUGCUUUCGUCACUGACGUUGGUAGUCAUGACCUAGGGCUACACUGCCGCUCUAUUGCCCCGCUGGAUGUUGCGUUGCUACCCCGCCGCCUCAAUGUAGCAUGUGCACCCUUCUGUGGCGCCUGAGCGAAGCACCGCGAUUGCACUCGCGCACUUCCGCCUCUGCUCUGACGCAUCGCUGCUCUGUUGCCUCACUAGACGCCGCGUUGCCACCUUGCCAGCCUCAGUCACCUCUUAGCCACGACCCAGCUGCAGCCGUCCACCCACCUACAGCGCCUCCAAGCAAGGGCACUAGCCACUCGAGUCGGCCUUGCCUGUUGUUGCAUCUGCUAGCCGCCGACUCUCACUGGAGCUCUGAUUGAUGGCAGUUCUUCGUCCUCAGUGGCCUGCCAUCACAGCCACUUGCCCUUGGCAACCCACCACCAUAGCAGCCUUUGCUGAACCAUGCCAGGCCACAUGGAGCCGCCAUUGAUUAAGCCAAAUUUUGGACAAUUCAAAAUUUGGUAGUUUUUAUUAUUUUUAUUAUUUGUAUUAUUUGUUUCUUUACUUGAAAUAUUCCUGGAUGUAAGAUUGAGAUUUCUCGACAUGAAGUAGACUCUUAAAUUAAGGAUUGACAGUUCGAUUUUCGUGCCCAAAAUCCGACUAGCAAUCCCUUGGAAAAUCACCAAUCUGAUCUCAUGCAUGAGAUAUGGUACGUCAAUUUUUGGAUAUCAAUCUUAUCUUGCUCUGAUUUGCCAUCGUGUGGUUUGAGUCGAUUUUGUUUUUGUAAAAAGGAAAAAAUGAAAAAAAAAUAUAUUUGAAUUAGGAUUAGGUUCGUUUUAGAAUAUUCCUCGUCUUACGAUUAUCUUGCAUAUCUAGAAUAGAAGAUUUAUUUAUUUUGAGUUUGAAAAAAUAAAAAUCCAAAAAAUGCAUUCAUUUAGGAUGUUAGUUUUUUUUAAUUGCACGCUUAAUUAUUUGGCAAUUUUAAUUUCGAAUUUUCUAAAAAAAACACAAAAAAUUAUCAUGCAUAUGUCAUGUAGAAUUAGGGCAUUCUUUGUACGUCAUUGCAUAUUAGGAUAAAAUUGCAUGUUUAAUUUUAAGUUUAGAUAGAUUUCUUAGAUAAGUUGCAUCUUAGGUUAAAAGAUUGCCACGUUAAGAUAAUAUCUUAGUUUAAAUUAAGAUUUGGCCUAACCCAAUUCAUAAUGUAAGUUGGAUAGAAUCUUAAUCUAGCUAGAUAAUUUUUGCAUUUUUCUUAAUUUCUAAUCUCAUGAAAAAAAAAAUUGUCUUAGAGUAAAUUCAUUUCAUUCUCUGGGAUAGAUUGCAUGCUUUUUAAGAGAAUAGAAAUAUCAUGUGCAUGUCAUAUAUAAUUAGAUUCAUGAAAUACAUGUCAUUUAGCUAUUGUUGCUAGGUCCAUUUAGUUAAAAAUUGUUUGUCAUUAGAAUUAGGUCACUUGGUUAUAUUGCAUUGCAUAUAGAUAAGAUUUUAUUAAGCAAGAGAAAAUUCUUUUAAAAAAAGGAUUGAGUGAAUUCGUGUGAAUUAGAAAUUAUAUCUAGGACUAUUGAUGUGAAUUAUGGUCUAACAUUGCAGAUGCUUUCAUUGCUAUGAGGUAAGUCCUACAAUUUAUUCUCUGCUUUAUCUAGGUCUUAAAUUGAUGGUUUGCGCAUACACAUAAUAACUUCAUUGGUUGGGGAAAUAAAUUAAAAUCAAUUCAAACUGCUUACCAAACAUCUUUUUUCAAAAUAAAAUAGAAAGGUACUAAAAGGGUGUUAGAGAAAUCAAACGUAAUCAAGUCCCCGAACUCACCAUCUCUGGUUCGUUGGAGUAAAGUAAAUCUCCCGUUACUUUACUUGGGUUUCUAAUCGACCCACCAAAAAUAGAUUAGUGGUGGCUCAUAAUUGAAAAGUCAAUGGCAUGUUAAGAACUUGAACCUAAGUUGCGAAUUGGUAUGGACUUGGGAGAGCCCGAGCUAAAAUUAAGCUUAGUAGUCCAUUAGCCAAAUCCUAGGUGAAUCACCGGAAAAUUUGGUCGCGACAACUUAGCGACUCCACUGGAAACUUAAGUUAAAACUCUUAAUGGACUUAGGCCAAUUUUCUCUUCCUUUAAAAAAUGUUUUUGUUUGGCAACAAGGAUCCCAGGUAUGUCCCUAACAUUUAAGGCGUUAAAUGUUCUUGCAGGAUAGGAGGUAUAAGGGGAAGUGUUUGCUAAUCCCUUUUUUUUUUUUUUGUAGGGAAGUGUAGGGAUGUAUGGUUUACUUUCAUUUAUGAAGUGUUGCUUGAUAUAAACUGUUGUGCAUGCCUUGCAUUUAGCACUACACUAUCGCACACACAACUUACUGACGGACUUAGGCCGCAUAGGAGAUCAUCUAAGAUGGUAUUGAGAUGGAUACCAUUUCAAUUGCAUGCCUGUGGUAUGAGUCGUCCAUCUCAAUCUCGAAGUUUCUUUUUUUUUUUUUUUUUGGUGUAAAGAGUACCUAGCUUGGUUCGCAUGCCCGCGACCCAGGUCAACUCUUUGACCAAGUCGGAGUCAUGAGGACCCGACUUAGUCCACAUGCCCGCGACUAGUCCAAUCAUCCUUGUGGCUUCACUUUGCUAAGCAUGUCUAGAGUAGAAAUCGAGCCUCACAUCUGAUGUGCAUGUCUAUGUGAUUGCCAUCAAUUUUUCUUGGUGAAGUAAGUCUUCUAUCCCUAUACCAUGCAAUUUAUUCUGUUGUGCUUUUGGUCGAUCCUUGACAAUUUAGGUCAAUCAUUGAUUUAACUCCUUUGUCAAUUAGAGAUGAAAUGAGGAAAUUGUCAUGCAAUGAAUCAUUUGGAAAAAAAAAUUUGGAGAAUUUGUUUCCAAUUCAUGUCUAGAAAAUUUGGUUUUGCUAGGGUGUCUCUUUUUCUAGCUCUUUUUUAGGAAAUUCCCUUCAGUGUGGACUUUUUGUGACUAAAAAAGAAAAAAGAAAAAAUAGAUCAUUGUCAUGGAUUGGCUCUUUAUUUACACCUUGUGCUUACAUAUUUUCAUUCAUUCAAUUAGGUGAUAACGGAUCCCUCACGUUCGCCCAUUAUUAUGCGAUCGAGAGCAAAAGUGCCCAACCAAACUGAAAUGUUUGAUCGUAUCGCCACUAUGGAAGACCAACUCCAAUAGUUAGUCACCUCUAUGUAGCUUAUGAUAACUCAAAUCCAAUCCCUCCGAGCAAAUCCAACUACUGCCCCCACUCUCCCCGAGAUAGUAGUUCCGAAGCAAUCAAGCAAGGCCAAAAUGGGUGAUGGUGAUAUGCCUGAAUUGGAAGAUGACCCACUGUUGGUCACUCUCGAAAAAGCUAAGCCUAACAAUGUCCCUAAGAUGGAGGAAGAUGAAUGCUUCGCAAAGCUUGAAGAGAAGGUGAAGCAAUUGCAAGAGUCGCAGAGUUCACUUCCGUUUGACUUGUCAGUGUAUGAGAAGGUUAAGGGGGCAAAAAAGUUUAAAAUGCCGGAGUUCAAGAAAUACGAUAGUACUUUCUGCCCGAAAGCUCAUUCACAUCUCUUCCUAGACCUUUCAAUGCUUAAGAAUGUUGAAUGAGACAUGGCAGGAUGAUGAAAGGCAAGCCUUAUCAUAUGCACAGUCCCCUACUUAUACUUUUGUGAGAUGAGUGAGGAAAGUUCCAUCUACAAGAUAAAGAGUUUUCUCACGAAAGGUACGAUGACCUAAAUGAUGAGGGACAAUUUAUUUCUCUAUCCCAAACACUACAUAUGAUCCAUUGCUUAACCCCUUUGAGCCUUAUACACUUGUGGAGAUUCUUUUCAAAUUAUCCCUGUCAAGAACCACCCCACAUCGGGGCAAGUUGAAGGUAAGACAGAAUCAUGAGGUGAGGACAAUGAAAAGAAUUUUUCUUACUCUCACUUGCAUCAAUCUUCAAGUUGUGCUAUUAAAUUGAAUUCAUGUGGUGAUUUAAGUGCCUUAGGAUGACGAAGAGCAUUUCUUUCUUUAUCCUACAUACUUAUAUCCUUUGAAUAGCGCACUUGAGCUUGCAAUUUCAUUUCUUUAAACCUAGUUGAUGAUCAUCCCCCACACUGGGGCAUUGCAAAAAUCAAUUGUUCAAACAGUUUGGUCUGGAGUGCUAAUAGAAGACGAAGACCUCCCAAAGGUCCAAAUGUUAAAAGCACCAUAUGGUCAUUCAAAAUAGAACCAAAUGGCAUGAAAAAGUAGUGUGCCGGGUAGAAGUAAGGCUAAUGCCCGUGAAAAAGGAAGUGAAGGAAAAAAUGAAUGAGAGCUGGGGGCAUGUGUCGCGACCAAAUUUUUUCGGGGGUGAACCACCUAAAAUUUGGCUAAUGGAUUAUUAAGCCUAGACUUAACUCGGGCUCUCCUAGGCCUAUACCAAUUUGCGACUUAAGUUCAAGUUCUUAGCAUGCAAUUGAUUUUUUAAUCAGGAGUCACCACUAACCUAAUUUUUGGUGGGUCGAUUAGAAACCCAAGUAAAAUAAUAGGAGUUUCACUUUACUCCUAUGAACCAGAGACUAUGGGCACGGGGACUUGGUUACACUAGAUUUCUCUAAUGCCCUUUCGGUACCAUUUCUUUUUAAUUUUCAAAAAUAUUUUUGUAGGUAGCUUAAAUUGAUUUUAAAUCUAAUUCCCUAACAUGUGAAAUGAUCAUGUGGAUGUGCAAUCCACCAAUUUAACAUCUAGAUAAACAAUAAAUAAAUUUCAAAAACUUACCUCAAAACAACGAAAGCAUUUGCAAUGUUAAAUUAAAAUCCACAUCAACAACCCUAGAUAUGAUUUCUAAUUAACAUGAAAUUUCUUUUUUUUUUCACUUAAUUAAUGAAAAUCAUGUAAUAUGCAAUGCAAUAUUAACUAAAUGACCUAAUUCUAAUGACAUGUAAUUUCUAAUUAAAUGAGCCUAGCAAAAAUACUUGAUGGCAUGCAUUUAAUGGAUUUCAUGCACAUGACAUUUUUUAUUUUAUUUUCUUUCUCUCUUUUUUUUUUAUAAAAAAAAUGCAAUCUAUCUUAAAGAUUGAAACUAAUUUAUUUCGAGACAUUUUUUGUAUUAUUUUUUUUAUGAAAAUUCGGUAUUAGGAAAAAUGUGAAAAUUAUUUAACUAGAUUACGAUCCUAUUUAAUUUAUAUUAGGAAUUAGGUUGAGCCAAAUCCUAAUUUAAACUAAAACAUUAUCUUAACCUAAAUAAUCCUAAAAGGCAAUGUCUAAAAAAAUACCUAAACUUAUAACAAAUUAAGAAAAGUAUUAUAUAAAAUUAAACUAAAUGCAAUUUUACCAUAGUAUGCAGUGACGUACAAAAUAUGCCCUAUAUCUACAUGACAUAUGCAUGAUUAUUUUUUUUGUUGUGUUUUUGUUUCAUUAAUUUCGAAAAAAAAGGUCAAAUAAUUAAACAUGCAAUUUAAGCUAAUGAAACAAAAAUCUAACAUCCUAAAUUCAUGUUUUUUUUUUUUCAAAAAUUGAUGAUAAAUAAAAUGUCUAGUCUAAAUAUGCAAAUGACCCUAAAGCAUGCGAUAUUUUAACUCAAACAUAUUUCAAGAUAAUUAAAACAAUUAAAAUAAAACAUAUCAUCUAAAAUCAUCGAAAAUAUCACACAUCAUUCAGAUCAUAGGGUAAAAUUCCGCUAAUAAAAUCGAUAAAUUGAUCUUAAGCCUUAAAGAUCAAAAUAUCAAUUUUAUUCUCGCUUGAUUAAUUACUUCAUCUAAAGCCUUAUAAAUGAAAUAAAAAAACCCAGGCUCGAUUGCCAAUCAGGGUAUAUGUUGGAAUUUCCAAUCAUAUAUUAAAGACUAAUUAUACUAUAAAAAACAAGAUAAAGUAAAAUAAAAUAAAAUAAUUAAAAGAAAAACUACCUGAUGUGUUUUCUUUUUUCUUUUUCUUUUUUUUUAAGCAAAGAUGAUGGUUGCUUCGAUAAGGGGAUUCGCCGGCAGUGAACUCCGGUGAGAGCAGCAAGGGUAGCUACCGGCGAGGGACUCCGGCGAAGCAGGGUGACGAUGAGCAGCGGCAGGGGGAGGCUCCAGUGGCAUCGGGCCAUGGCAGGGACAGCAGCGUGGCAGCAGCUGAGUGUUGGGCAGAGGCGAGCAGGGGCGGUGUGGUCUCCUGUGCUGCAGAUCGGCGACGACAAAGGCGGAGCUGGGGUGCUUGGGUCGCGGAGGCGACUGGUCUUGCGGUGGUGCGGCUCCGGCUGCGCUGGCGAAGAACGGAUGCGUGGUGGCGAGCGAGCAGGAGGCAACAGCGUUGGGUCGUCUGUCAGAGAACAGCAGCAGCGCCUCGAGCUACUGGGUGGUGGUGCAGCUGCAGGCGGAGUAGAAGGGGUCAGUGCAGGUUGCUGCAACAGGCGGUCAAGGUGGAGAGGGCGUCAGGCACUGGUGUAGCGGCGGGUGGCGCUCGGCAAGGUUAGGACCGGUGGGCUUUGUUGGAGCUUCGGCGUCGGGCUGGGCAGCAGUAGGUUGCGGGUGUAGAGGUACGGUGAUGGGCGUCAGAGGCGUGCGGCAGCGGCGUCGGUGGCAAGGCGCGGCGACGGUACAUGCGGUGGCGCGGCGGCGAGCGGGCUUUGGUGGCGUCGUGGGUGGUGCUGGUGCAGUGCUCACGGACGGAGGAGGUGCAACGUGAGCGUGGGCAGGGGCUUCCACGUGAAGAAGACAAACAAUAGCUCCUGCUGCUUUUUUCUUUUUUUUUUUCUUUUUCUUUCUGGCCACACAUCACUUCUCUGCACUUUUUCUCUUUCUUUUGCUGACUUUUCCCUUUCUUUUCUUCUGCAGGUUGUCAGAAGGGAAAAAAAGAAAAAGAAAAUGACCCUUGGACGAGAAAAUGGGAUUUCCUCUUUUUUUUUUUUUUUACUUUCAUGAAUCCUCUCAGCUCUUUUCAUGAAUUUUUUUUAGCGGAUUCUCCCUCUUUAACCCUGUGUAGGUCAACUCCUUUUUAUAGUGGUUCCGAUCAGCCGCUUUCUAUGGAAAAUUUUAAACUUCCAUCUUCUGUUACAUUAAAUCAGGGAUGCAAAUCGGAGCAUCAUUUCGCAAUCAGCUUGAUUUUUAAAUUAAUUUAUUCCAUUUUGUGAAAAUUCUUACCCUUUAUUCACUUGAUUUUUAAAUUGCUUCUACAUUUAACAAAAUCUGAAUAUCCAUUAGAAUUCCAAUUUUCCAUGCGUGAUCAAUCAAAUCAAUUUCCCCCAUUUUUUUUCAUUUUUUUCUUUUAUUUGUUCCAAUGCAAUUUUUAUUUUCCUUAUUUUCCUAAAUGUGCCAAAAUCAGGUGUCAACAGCAUGAAAAAACGAUGUGCCUGGUAAAAGCAAGGCUGAUGCCCAUAGAUGGAAAAAAAGAGUCAAGAUAAGGAUUAUCGGUUGAAAAAAAGGAAAACUGGUGGCAAUGCCAGAUGAUCAUCAACUCUCACCUUUUACAUAUAUUUUGAGCCUAAUGAUCCUUUCGUUUCUCAACCCAUGAACCUAGCCUAUGUUACGUCCCUUGCAAAGUCUCUUCAGAUUAAGGCACUUGAAUUAACAUAGGAGUUCAUAUGUUUGUAAGCAUCGCUUGAAGAAGUGCGAGCAAGAUUAUUUCUUUCACAUUUUGUAGGGCUCUUGACUUGUAAACCUGUAGAUGAUUACUGAAUUAUUCUUUCAAUUGCCUUGACUCAAAGAGUCCCUUUAUUAAGCCAUUGACCAAGCCUACAUUACGGGCCCUAUUAAAGACCUUUCAGAUUGGUAAUGUCGUAUUGCUUGCUAGAAUAUUCAGACCCUUGUCGAUAUGGUGAGAUUGAGUGAUUCUCAUAAAAUAGCCCUUCUGAAUGAAAGUGAGUGAAAGUCUUUUCUAACUAAAAGUCUCUCAUUUAGUAUUCUUAAGAAAUCCAUGACAUUGUCUUGAACAACAAUUCUCUCCAGUGGAAAUUUGGGUGAUGCAAAUAUGGUAAAGUCAUUAUGCAUAAACCUUGAUUGAAUUGAUGAAAACUUUACUGAAAUUUUGAAAUGUGCAUUUUAAAGUAGCUCAAAUUGUCUACCUCUUUGAUGAAUGCAUACCAAUUUUUGCUCUAAUCGUGUCUGACAGAUAAUAUUUCCUUAAAUACUGAAUAAUACUUAACAUUCAAGUUGCUUCUUGAAGCCUUGAGAUUCGGCAUGCUUUCGUAGCCCGAAGCCCUUUUCACUGACUCGGUGUGCUUCCAUAACCUAGUGUCUUUUAUAUUGACCUGGCGUGCUUUCAUAGCCCAAAGUCCCUUUUAUCGAAUCGACGUGUUUUCAUAGCCCAGAUUUCCUUUAUGUUGACCUAGCAUGCUUCUGUAGCCUGAUGUCCCUUUUAAUUGACCUGACGUGCUUCCGUAGCCCAGAGUUCUUGACUUGGCGUGCUGUUGUAGCCCAAAGUCCUUUUCACUUACUCGACAUGCUUCCGUAGCCCGAUGUCCCUUUUAAUAGAUCUAGCGUGCUUUCGUAGCCUAAAGUUCCUGACCUGGUGUGCUUUCAUAGCCUAGAGUCCCUUUUAUCGAACCAGCGUGCUUUCAUAGCCCAGAGUUCCUGACCUGGUGUGCUUUUGUAGCCUAGAGUCCCUAUUUAUUAACCCGGCGUGCUUCCGUAGCCCGGUGUCCAUUUAUAUUGACCUGACGUGCUUUCGUAGCCUAGAGUCCCUCCCUUUUAUCAAACCGGCAUGCUUUUGUAGCCCGGAUUUCUUUUAUCUACUUGGCGUGCUUUUGUAGCCGAGAGUCAUUUUCAUUGACAUGGUGUGAGUCCCCCUAUCAAAUUGGCAUGCUUCCAUAGUCCGAAGUUCCUCUUAAUCGACACUCAAUUGAGCUAUCCCUUAAAGGUUUUUCUCUAGGCUCAAUUUGAUUAAGGUGACCAAAGAAAGGUUCGGGUCCUAGUCAGAUGAUGCAUACCGCAGUGCUAGGUGACCGCAGAAAGGUAUGGGUCCUGGAAAAGCUGUUCCCCAUUCAGGUGACCGUAGAAAUGUACGGGUCUUGGAAAGCGAUUUUCUAUUCAGGUGACCGUAGAAAGGUAUGGAUCCUAAAAAGUGAAUCCCCAUUUAGGCGACCGUAGAAUGGUACGGGUCCUAGACAAUAUUCAUUACUCUAAUAGGCGAUUGUUGAAAGUUACGGGUCCUGGAAAAGCAAUUUUUUCUAUCAAGGCGACCAAAGAAAGGUACUGGUCCUGGACAUAUAACACCAACUAUCUUGAAUUACUCUACCCUCCUUGAAAGUAAAAUAUUCCAGGUAGGUUCCUUUACCAUUUGCAUUAGCAUUUCCGUACAAAUCGCAUUCCAAAAUCUUGACAUCUCAAUCUAGAUCUAGAUGUCUUAAUUAUUUUCAUAUAAACAUUUCACUCCGAAUGUGAAUGUUUUUCAAUUUUUCUCGUUAUACCUUAGUCUGGAUCUAGAUAUUUCGAGUUCCAAAAUCUUGACAUCUUAGUUUGGAUCUAGAUGUCUUAAUUCUUUUCAUUUAAACAUUUCACUCUGGAUGGAAAUGUUUUUCAAAUAUUCUCAUUAUACCUUAAUUUAGGAAUUUCGAGUUCAAAAUCUUGACAUCUUAGUCUCGAUCUAGAUAUCUUAAUUUUUCUUGUUGAACAUUUCAUUCUGGAUAUGAAUGUUUUUCAAUCUUCUCGUUAUACCUUAGUCCGGAUCUAGGUAUUUUGAGUUCCCUAAAUCUUGACAUUUCAGUCUAGAUCUGAAUGUCUCAAAUCUUUUCGCUAAACAUUUCAUUCUAGAUAUGAAUGUUUUUUGAUCUUUUCAUCAUACUUAAGUUUGAAUCUAAGUAUUUCAAUCAACAUUAGACUCUUCAAGAAACCUGAAUGAAGACCGGGUACUAGUAGAGUCAAUGAAGAUUUAUCAUAUAUCUCAAGAUGCUUUAUUGCACUGAUCGGUAAGUAACUACAUGUAUGCUCUUUCCUUUUACAUCAUACAUUUGCAUUAGCAUUUCCAUGCAAAAUAUAAAUUGUAUUUUAAAAUGGGAUUCAUUUUCCAACCAAAAAAAAAAAAAACAUUUAGUGCAUGUGCAUGAUCAAAAUUUAGGUCUCAAUUUGUCUUUGAAGGCUAUAUUUACGAGCUCACCUUCAAAGAGGGGCAGUUGUUGACACUUAAAAUUUGGCAACCCAUUUAGUUAUUUAUCGCAUUAAAAACUCAGGAAUUAAUUUUUAACCCUAACAAAUUAAUUAAUUAAUUGCAUAGCAUAUAAUUUUUGGUGCAUUUAUUUUUAAUUUGCAUUUGCAUUGGACCGGCGACGUAUGGGUUCAACUUGAUGGUUCAGAACUUUAAUUUGAUGAGUUGGGCUAAGCCCACACAGAGAGCAAAUCGGCCAAGCCCGUAUCCUCGAGGAGAUUUUAAGGAUUCAUCUUUGUGAGAUUUCAAAUUUGAGAAAAAUCCUCUUGCAAUCCUGAAUCGUAUCAAAAACAAAUAUUGUGUUCGGAAAAUAAAUCUUCGUGGAUAUUGAUUUGGAAAAAUUAAAACCCUAAUCCAUGGCCUAAAAAGAAGGUUGUUCGCGUAGGGUUUUGGGGGCUUUUUCUCGGUUUUCUAGGUCAAAGGUUUAAGCACGAAAGAAAAAAGUUUUUCUUUUCCUUUGGUUCUUUCAUUUCUUCAUUGGGGGGUAGGGCUCCAAAAGUCAAAAAUACAGCAAAGAGAGGGACAGGGAGUAGAUGUGAGAUAGACAAGAGGAGAGAGAAAGAAUUAAAAAAGAAGAACACUUUUCUUCUUCUCCAGUAGAUCUAACUCUUGCCUGCUCUGCUUCUGCUCUCCCUCUGUUGUGACCCAACCAUGACGCUGCAUCUCAUCCGUCUGCGCCGCCUGCGUCUGGCUGCCAGCCAACGCUGCGACCUGCUUGCUCACGAUUCCGAUCCACCAUUUCUGCUGCAUCAAAGCUGCAACCCGAAGCUGUUGCACACCCCUUGCUGCCCAAGCCACUCCAGCCUUUGCUACUUUUGUCGCCGAUGCCAGUAGCCGGGACCUAGUGCCGCACCACCGUUCUAUUGCCACGUCGGAUGCCGCGUUGCCACCUCGCUGCCUCGAUCUAGCACAAGCACCUUUCCGCGGCACUCGAGCCAAUCACCGUGCCUACACUCGCACACUUUUGCCUCUGCUUCAAGGCACCGCCACUCUACUGCCCCGCCAGAUGCCACGUUGCCUCCCCACAAGCCUUGGUCACCUCUCAGCCAUGACCCAUUUGCAGCCGCCUGCUCGCUUGCAACACCUCCGAGCGACGGCACCAAUAGCUCGAGCCAACCUUGCCCGUUGCUCCAUCCACCAGGCGCCGGCUCUCGUCGGAGCUCCAAUUGACGGAGGUUCUUCGUCCUCAGCGGCCCGCCAUCAUGCCACUUGCCUUUGGCGACCCACCACCAUAGCAGCCUUUGCUGAACCACACCGGGCCAUAUGGAGCCGUCGUUAAUUAAGCCAAAUUUUGGAAAAUUCCAAAUUAGGUUGUUUAUUUAUUUAUAUUUAUUAUUAUUAUUAUUAUUAUUAUUAUUAUUAUUAUUAUUAUUAUUAUUAUUAUUAUUAUUAUUAUUAUUAUUAUUAUUAUUAUUAUUAUUAUUAUUAUUAUUAUUAUUAUCAUUUGUUUCUUUACUUGAAAUAUCCUUGGAUGUAAGAUUGAGGUUUCCCGACAUGAAGUAGACUCUUAAAUUAAGGAUUGACAAUCCAAUUUUUGCGCCAGAAAUUUGACUCGCAAUCACUUGGAAAAUCGCCAAUCUCAUUUCAUGCUCGAGAUUCGAUUCGUAGUUUAUUGAAAAUUGACCAACCUGAUCUGAUGCGCAAGAUAUGGUUUGUCAAUUUUUGGAUAUCAAUCCUAUCUUGCUCUGAUUUGCUGUCGUGUGGUUUGAGUAGAUUUUAUUUUUGUAAAAAGAAAAAAAAAUCCAAAAAAAUAUAUUUGAAUUAGGAUUAGGUUUGUUUUAGAAAAUUCCUCAUCUUAGGGUUAUCAUGCAUUUCUAGAAUAGGAGAUUUAUUUAUUUCGAGUCUUUGAAAAAAUAAAAAUCCAAAAAAUGCAUUCAUUUAGGAUGUUAGUUUUUUUGAAUUGCACGUUUAAUUAUUUGACAAUUUUAAUUUCGAAUUUUAUAAAUAAAAAAAACAAUUAUCAUGUAUAUGUCAUGUAGAAUUAUGGCAUUCUUUGCAUGUCAUUGCAUAUUAGGAUAAAAUUGCAUGUUUAAUUUUAAGUUUAGAUAGAUUUUUUAGAUAAGUUGCAUCUUAGGUUAGAGAUUGCCAAGUUAGGAUAAUAUCUUAGUUUAAAUUAAGAUUUGGCCUAACCCAAUUCUUAAUGUAAGUUGGAUAGAAUCUUAAUUUAGCUAGAUAAUUUUUGCAUUUUUCUUAAUAUCGAAUUUCAUGAAAAAUACAAAAAAAAUUGUCUUAGAGUAAAUUCAUUUUAUUCUCUAGGAUAAAUUGCAUACUUUUUAAGAGAAUAGAAAUAUCAUGUGCACGCCAUAUAGAAUUAGAUUCAUGAAAUACAUGUCAUUUAGCUAUUGUUGCUAGGUUCAUUUAGUUAAAAAUUGUCCGUCAUUAAAAUUUGGUCAUUUUGUUAUAUUGCAUUGCAUAUAUAUUAGAUUUUAUUAAAACGAGAGAAAAUUCUUUUAAAAAAAGGAUCGAGUGAUUGCGUGUUAAUUAGAAAUCACAUUUAGGACUGUUGAUGUGAAUUCUGAUAUUAAAUUGGUAGUUUGCACACCCGAAUGAUAACUUCACAUGUUAGGGAAAUAAAUUAAAAUCAAUUCAAACUACUUGCCAAACAUCUUUUUCAAAAUAAAAGAGAAAGGUACCGAAAGGGCGUUAGAGAAAUCUAACGUAAUCAAGUUCCCGAACUCACCAAUCUCUGGUUCGUAGGAGUAAAGUGAAUCUCCCGUUACUUUACUUGGGUUUCUAAUCGACCCACCAAAAAUAGAUUAGUGGCGACUCCUAAUUGUAAAGUUGAUGGCAUGUUAAGAACUUGAACCUAAGUCGCAUAUUGGUAUGGGCUUGGGAGAGCCCGAGCAAAGUUUAAGCUUAGUAGUCCAUUAGCCAAAUCCUAGAUGGAUCACCCGAAAAUUUGGUUGCGAUAGCUUGGCGACUCCGCUGGGACUUGAGUUAAAACUCUUAGUUGACUUAGGCCAAUUUUUUCUUCCUUUGAAAAAUGUUUUUGUUUGGUAGCAAUGAUCCCAGGUACGUCCCUAACGUUUAAGUUGUUAAAUGUUUUUGUAAGAUGGGAAGUAUACAGGGAAGUGUUUGCUAACCUUUUUUUUUUUUUUGUAAGAAGGUGUAGGGAUGUAUGGUUUACUUUCAUUUAUGAAAUGUUGCUUGAUAUAAACUGUCGUGCAUGCCCUACAUUUAGCACUACACUAUUGCACACAUAAUCUGCCGUCGGACCUGGGCCGUAUAGGAUCAUCUAAGAUGAUAUGGAGAUGGAUACCACUUCGGCCGCGUGCCGGUGGUAUGAGUCGCCUAUCUCAAUCCCGAAGUUUCUAGUUUUUGGUGUCAAGAGUACCCACCUUGGUCCGCAUGCCCACAACCCGAGUCAGCUCUUUGACCAAGCCGGAGUCAUGAGGACUCGACUUAGUCCACAUGCCCGCGGCUAGUCCGAUCAUCCUUGUGGCUUCACUUUGCUAAGCUUGUCUAGAGUAGAAAUCGAGGCUCACAUCUUAUGUGCAUGUCUAUGUGAUUGCCUUCGAUUUUUCUUGGUGAAGUGUUCUAUCCCUAUACCAUGCAAUUUAUUCUGUUGUGUUUUUGGUUAGUCCAUGACAAUUUAGGUCAAUCAUUGAUUUAACUCCUUUGUCAAUUAGAGAUGAAAUGAGGAAAUUCUCAUACAAUGAAUCAUUUGGAGAAAAAACUUUGGAGAAUUUGUUUUCAAUUCAUUUUUAGGAAAUUUGGUCUUGCUAGGGUGUCUAUUUUUCUAGCUCUUUUUUAGGAAAUUCCCUUUAGUGUGGACUUUUCGUGACUAAAAAAAGAAAAGAAAAAAUAGAUCAUUGUCAUGGAUUGGCUCUUUAUUUACACCUCAUGCUUACAUAUUUUCAUUCAUUUAAAUUAGGUGAUAAUGGAUCCCUCACAUUCGCCCAUUAUUACGCGAUCAAGACUAAAAAUGGCCGACCAAACUAAAGUGUGUGAUCAUAUCUCCACUAUAGGAGACAUCAAGAAAUACGAUGGUAUUUCUUGCCCAAAAGCUCAUUUGCAGAUGUACCAUGUAUGCAUGGCCCAAUAUGUCAAGAAUGAGCCCCUCAUGAUCCAAUCAUUUCAUGCUUGGUAUGUGAUGAAAAAUAUGAACCUUCUCGAUACCUAGAAUGAAGUGGCUAACGCAUUCCUCAAACAAUAUAAGUUCAAUAUGGACAUCGCACCUUCCCAAAAAAAUCUUGAGAGAAUGGAGAAGAAGAGGAGUGAAUCAUUUAAGGAGUAUGCCAUGAGAUGGCGAAAUCUGGCAACUCAAAUCACUCCUGAACCUACUAAGAAGGAGUUGAUGAAGUUUUUGGUCAAGACUCUCUCGUCUGAGUUCCGUAACCGAAUGGCCAGCACAUAUGUCGAGAACUUUAAUCAACUUAUUCCUGUGGGAGAACAAAUUGAGAUGGGGAUAAGAGAUGGAUGGUUUAAUGAGCCAACCUCUGCAAGCAAAAGAUUUACCCCAAAGAAAGAAAAGGACCUUGAAGCUGAGAUUAAUGUGGCUUAUUCUCAACUAAAUCGUGAUACAUCCAAUUGCACUCUGGUAAUUAAGAUUUCUACUGAGCAACAAGGUGGAGGACAUCAAUUCUCUGGUCAAUGACGAAGUGGAGACAAUUCACACCUCUUCCUGGACCUUUAUCUAGAGUCUUGCUUGUUCUUCAAAAGAAGGAAUUACUUUCUACUGAGCCGAAGCGACCAAAUCCGAACAUUAUCUUGCAUAUAAUCCCUCCAAAAAGUGUGACUAUCAUAUGGGAGAGGUUGGUCACUCCACUAAUGAUUGCAAUGUUUUGAAGCAUAGGGUCCAAGACCUUUUGGAUACAAAGACGUUCUCUUUCAACGGUAAUAAGAAAAACCCUCUGCUCAACCAUGACGGAGGUGCAAAUGCUGUCACUAAGUGAAGAAGUUCUUAUCUUCACAUUUCUCUACGAAUGAGUUUUUAUUUUUAUUUUUAAAUGCUUUCUAGGAUUUCAAGUUUUUUUUAGGAUUUUUUGUUUUCUGAAGUUUCAAUUGUUGCUUUUGAUCUAGGGUUUGCUUGUUUGCAUUUUCCAUUCCAAUAAUGUAAUUUGUUUGAUUCUAUUCAAUGAAAUUACAAUUUUAUUGCCAAUUUUGAGGGCAUGACGAGGUACACCAAACCAGCCCAUUGACGAUAUCCAACCAUGAAAUGAAAAUAUCAUCCACAGAAAAAUCCUAAGAAUUGGGCUACUUUAUGCUUCCUCAUAAAAUAAAAAUAAAAUAAAAACUCAUCAAAAAGAAAAAUCAUUUUUCAGGCCAUUUCCAAAAGCAUGCAUUAGGUUAGCCCUGUUUAAUUUUCUGACUCAUUUACUUCAUGUUUCAGAGUAUUACUUUCUUAGCCUGAUGAGAAAGCAUCUGGAAAGGCACAUUAGAUGACGAAUUGGGGACACUACAUAUUCUAGUAGUGAGAUGAUUGAGAUAAAAUCUCAAUUCGAGCCAAAAUGGAUGUGCAAUUUGAACUUACUUUGAUAGUAUCCUAUCAUGCACGUUCUCUUGUGCAGGGGCAAAAGCAAGAAGGGAGUAUUUAUCAAAUCAAAGAUCGGAUUUUCGAUCUUAAUCCAAGGAGGCAGUUCCUUUCUGGGGCAAUCCCCUGAAUGAAUGCUUAAAAUCAUGUUUGAAGUGUGGUGAAUUGUCUUUUGUGAAAUCACAAAAACUUCUUAUGCUUAAAUUGUCAAGACUCUUUUGAAAAGAGAGUUUCGAUAGUAAUUUUACCUAUUUAACUCAUCAAUUUUAUAUGGAGAUUUGUCAAGAUAGACAAUUCAAUGGAGUGACAUCAAUGCUUAAGAAUGCUGAAUGAGACGUGUCAGGAUGAUGAAAGGCAAGUCUUAUCAUAUGCACAGUCCCCUACUUAUACUUUUGUGAGAUGAGUGAGGAAAGUUCCAUAUGUACAAGAUAAAGAGCUUUCUCGCGAAAGGUACAAUGACCAAAAUGAUGAGGGACAAUUUAUUUCUCUAUCCCAAACACUACAUAUGGUCCAUUGCUUAACCCUUUUGAGCCUUAUACACUUGUGGAGAUUCUUUUCAAAUUACCCCUGUUAAGAACCACCCCACAUCGGGGCAAGUUGAAGGUAAGACAGCAUCAUGAGGUGAGGAAAAUUAAAAGAAUUUUUCUUGCUCCCACUUGCAUGAACCUUCAAGUUGUGCUAUUACAUUGAAUUCAUAUUGUAAUUUAAGUGCCUUAGGAUGACAAAGAGCAAUUCUUUCUUUAUCCUACAUACUUAUAUUCUUUGCAUAGCCCACUUGAGCCUGCAAUUUCAUUUCUUUAAAUCCAGUUGAUGAUCAUCCCGCACACUGGGGCAAUGUGGCAUCCCAAAAUUCAAAGCCAAGCCAUAAGGUGUGUUAAAAUCUCUAAUUAGGUGAUAAAAAUUUCCAUGGCUUAUGCUUUAGCCAUUAGUCUUUAAUUAGAUGAUUUGUGCAUAUGAUUGUGAAAAAUUUAAAUUUGAUAGAUUAAUAAUUUAUGCUUGGCCAUGUACCUUAUAAAUUAAAUUUCAAUAACCAAAAUGCCCCAAGACUUUGGCCAAGAUAAAAAUUAAAAUUUAAAAAUAUUUAUAGAGGAAUUUUAAAAAAAAGGGAAAAAGAGGGUCAAAAUUCGAUUGGGCCUUAAACCCAAGAGUGGAACUUUAAUGGGCCAAGAUGGGCGGCCCAAUAGUGGCCCAAGAGGAGUAGUCGACCAGCCCUAGAGGAGGCCCAAGAAGUGGCCGGAUGGCCCAAGCCCAAGAAGCCCAAACCCAAAUUCAAAAAAUUCAAUAUGACAAGUGGCAAAAGGGAAAGCCAUGCAUUGGUUGGUUUGUAGGCAAGUAAUGAUUGUUAAUCGUGAGGAUUUGGGGGUAUAAGAAGGGAAGAGAGAGAGGGUGGCCGGCCAUUUUGCUCACCCAAGGAGAGAGAGAGAGAGAGAGAGAGGUGUGCGAGAGAGAGAGAGGGAGAGGCCGAGAGAGGAAGGAGGCAGAGCCGAGGGGUCGUCGCCGUUUGUCCGCCUUGUUCGCCGCCCUACGCCGUCGACCGUCCAUUCUAGAGGCAAGUGGGAGUCCUCUAGCUUCUCUUGCAUGCUUGUGUAUUGUUUGCAUGUUGAAUUUUUGGGUGUUAGAUGAGAAAAACCGAAGCAUGGAUGAGUUGUGUGUGGAUGGUGUGGCUGUUGGUGUUCGGAUCGUGUGAGUCAGAAACUUGUUUGAGCUUGCAUGUGUGUUUAGAGUACUAUUUUUGUUUCGAUUUCUUCAUGAGAGUUGUAGCUAACAUCUUGAACUACAACAUACUUAAAUUUCGUGGAAAAUGAUGGAGAUUUGCGGGGUUAAAGUCUUGUUCUACGGAGACCUCAGAUCUGGAGAGUUUUUACUGACCUCUUGCUGGAUUCGUGGUUGCAUGUUGGUUAUUGUUGAGAAUCUCACUUCGAUUUCUUCUUGAAAGUUGUAGGAGACAUCUUAAAAUACAACAUAUUCAAAUUUUAAGUGAAAUGAACAAGUAUAGCCUAGUAAAUCGACUAGAUCUUGAAGAAGAUGAUUCUGGUGAUGUAUUUUGAGAUACCCGAGACUUCAAGGACAUAGAUGAUGACUAUAUUCUGGUUAUUUGACUUAGAUCUCUUCAUGAAACUUGUAGAGGAUAUCUUUAUGUAUAACAUAUCCAAAUUUCAGAUAAAAAAGAAAGAUAAUAGGUAGGUGAAAUCUCAAUAUUUCGGUGAUAUGUGCACUCGACGAUGCGGUAAUGGGUCCAGAAGCUUCGUGAGGUUGUAUAAAAUAAUAUAAAAAUAAUAUGGCUUGGAGUUCUUCAUGAAAGUUGUGCGAAAAUGUCUUGUCUAUCACUCUGUAAAAUUUCGUAAUUUUUGGAGACUGUAUGGAUAUUUUAAUCGAAUUUCUUCGGAAACUGUGCAUUCUGGUUUUAUCCGAAUAUUAUGUGUUGUUUUGUGGAAAUUGUGAAAUUGUGUGAAAUUCAAUUUUGCAUGAAAUUGUCAUCCUAUUGGUUUGUUUAAUGAUUGCUUGAAUUUUUAUAAUUUUGGGAAUUUAUAGAUAUUGAAUUUAAUAUUUAUUUAUUAAAAAUAAAUAAAUAAAUAAUAAAAUAAAAUAAAAUAAAAUGGAUUAUUUUAUUGGCCAUAAAUUCCAUUGAAUUUAUAAAUAAAUAAUUAUACAUUGUUGCAUGUAUAAUGAGAUAUUAGUAUAUGUAUGACAUUGAGUUGUGAUGCAUGUGUGCCAAGUAUGACUUGUUUGAUGUCACGCCAUAUGCCAUCUUAAAUUGAGAUUAAAAUAAUGGUAAAUGUGGAUAAUGAUAAGUGAGGAAGUGGUUGUGGUGGAUGAUGAUGCUCGGUGGCCUAGUGGUGUAAUUCCGGAGAUUCCCCGGGAGUGUUGGGAUGCCCGGUGGUAUACGGUACGUAAUUCCAGAGAAGGGGGGGAUCCUGGUAGUAUGUCAGUACAUAAUUCCGGAAGCCUUGUCGGAGGUCUUUGCCCGAAAGGAAUGCCUCACGAUGCCAGGAUUGGGGUGCGGGAUGCCCGGUGUUGGAGAAAUCUUCUUGAAGUAUUUUGAAGUUGACAAAACGUUUCUAUCAGUCUAGUCUGAAGGUUUGCAGACUCUGAUAUUUAAAGUCUGAAGACUUCCGGACAGCUAGACUCAAGACUCAAAGUCUAUCCUCAUUGACAGUCUCUAAUCCGUUGAAGAAAGGUUAUCCAGAACUGGAUGUUUCGUUAAGGAUUUAACCUUAUCAUCUGGAGAAGAUCUCGUGGCUGGAAAAGACGUAACAUAAUCCUUUGAUUGAUCAAGAUUGAUUCAAUGAUUGAAGAUUCGAAGAUUGUCUAAAUAUUAUUGGAAGGUUCUACUUAUGGAAACCGAGAUCCUGAUUGUAUGGGCGAACAGGAUUGAUGGGCUAUCAACGCGUUCCUUUAAUAGCUCGAACAAUCUUUCUAAUUGAUUCCGUCCAACGGGUAGAUUGGAGGAACUCCUUUGGUAAGUGCCAACGGGUAUGAUGGCAUAAAGGAGUAUAUAAGGAAGACGUUCUUAGUUGUUUGAGGUGUGCGCGAUAGAAGAAUUCCAAAGUCUGAAGCUCAUUUUUUGUUUAGACAAUUCCUUGAGCGAAUACUUGUAUACAAAAGAGAGUCUAUAUUUGUGAGAAACCUUGAGGAGGUGUGGUAGAACAUCUACACUGUAAAAUCAAGGCAAAGCUGUGCUGUAACUUCUCUUUUGAUCAUAGUGAAAUCCAUCUGGUGGGCUGUUAGUGCGGAAGAGUGGACGUAAGCUUGGAAUAAGCCGAACCACUAUAAAUCCUGUGUUCAAUUUUCUCUUCCUCACUCUCUCUACCUCGAUCGUAUUUCAUUUUGUUAAUCAAGAGAGAAUUUCCUUUCUAUCUUUUGCUAAGAAUCGCUUCCGUAUUUCGAUAAAUUGUUUGUGCACCUAUUCACCCCCCUCUAGGUGUUUAUACUAGCUAUCUCAAUUGGUAUCAGAGCUCGUGUACUCACUUUGUUUGAAGUGUUUUACUUCAGAGUUAAAGAUCCAUGGCUAGUAUGCUAGCACCAGGGCUGAUGGAAGGGCAAAGUAAUACCAGACCACCCUACUUUGAUGGAAAGGAUUACAACAUCUGGAAAAACAAGAUGAAAGCUUUCCUACGAUCAAAGGAUCCUCUGGAAUGGGACGUUGUAGAAAAAGGAAUUACUCCUACAGCUGCAUCAGUCUCUAAAAGAGGGAAAGAAACUGUUGAGACCAGCGGAAUGACUCAGGAAGAGAUAAACAAGAGACAAGCACUCGAUGCAAAAGCAAUUUACUCUUUAUAUUGUGCUUUGUCACCAACUGAAUAUAAUAGAAUAUUUUCUUGUGUUACAGCAAAAGAAGUCUGGGACAGAUUGCAUAUCACCUAUGAAGGAACAGAUCGAGUGAAGGAAACCAGAAUUAACAUACUUCUCGGUCAAUAUGAAGCCUUCAAAAUGAAACCAGGAGAAUCUAUAACUGACAUAUUUAGCCGUUUUACAGAUAUUGUCAAUGGUCUUGAGAAUUAAAGACAAAAAAUUUCUGAUCCCAUGAAGGUAAACAAGCUACUGCGUGGACUCUCCAAGGAUUGGAAUCACAUAAAGACUUCGAUAAGAGAGACGCAAAGAAUUAUGCCACUAUCUGUCGACGAGCUGAUUGGAACUCUUCAGUCUUAUGAAGUGGAACGGAUCAAUGAAGAUGAAGAUCCAAAAGGUAAGAAAUCCAUUGCAUUAAAAUCAAAUGAUGAUUCUGAUGAUACAGAUUCUAAAGAUGAUAUGGACGAUGAGGAGCUUACUCUCAUGAUAAGAAGAUUCAGAAAACUGAAUAGAAAAGGAAGAAGGUUCAACUCAAAGAAACAAAGCUUUCAAGGACAGCAUACCAAGUCUGUUGAUGAUGAGGAACCAAAUAAAGAUGUAGUCUGCUUUGAAUGCAAGAAAAAGGGACACAUUAGACCCAACUGUCCUCUUCUGAAGAAGAAGAGAGGAAAAGCUGAAAAAUUUCGAAAAGCUCUCAAAGCCGAAACCUAGAGUGAUACAGAGUGUGAAGAAAGUGAUAAUGAAUAUGCCAAUCUAUGUCUGAUGGCACAAUCAGACUCAGACUCUAGAUCAGACUCUGGAUCAGACUCAGACAGUGAAUUUGAGGCAAGUAAUUUUAAAAUUCCUGUCAAAGUUUCUAAAUACAUUGAUGAACUGUGUUUUAGUCUUAAGACUUUUCUCAAAAGAAUUUCCGAACUGAAAAAGGAAAACUCAGCUCUAAAACAAAAGGAAAAUGUUUUAGUAGAAAGAGUUAAAAGUCUAGACUUGACUGUUUCCGCUCUUAAAAAAAUGAAGAUAAUCUUUUAAAAGAAAAUGCUCUUUUAAAAACAGACUUGUCAAAUAUUUCAAAGAAAUUUUCAAUAGGGUCUGAGAAACUUGAAAAAAUUCUUUCAGCUCAAAGACUUUACUUCAAUAAGUCUGGUCUAGGUAUGUCAGCAGAAACAAUUCCCUUGAUUGAUUUUCCUAAAGUAAAAGAAAGAAUUAAGAAAAGACCCUUGAAAGAGGCUUACAAAAAUCAUUUCAAGAAAGUUUUUGUAAAACCUGUAGGUAGAAAUGCUCUCAGAUGUUCAAAGUGCAAUAGUCCGGAUCACUUUGAAAAAGAGUGUCCUAUGGUAUGGAAACCUGUUAAGAAAGUAUGGGCUAAUAUUGUUUAUCUUACUAACACCAAAGGACCCAAGAAAAUUUGGGUACCAAAGAAAGCUUGAGACUUUAUUUUAAAUGCAGGUCUCCGUCAAGAAAAAGGUAAAGUGGUAUCUUGACAGUGGAUGUUCAAGACACAUGACAGGAGACUCAAAUUGUUUUAUAAAGCUUGCUCAAGUAAAUGGUGGAAAAGUUUCAUUUGGAGGAAACAGUAAAGGAAGUAUUGUGGGAUUUGGAACCGUGAAAAUUGGAACUCUCACAAUAAGUAAUGUUUCCUUAGUGGAAGGACUCAAUUACAAUCUUCUCAGCAUUAGUCAAUUGUGUGAUACUGGUUUCAAGAUCUUCUUUCGAGAAGGAACAUGUUCUGAAAUCAGUAAAGAUUCUACUCAAUCUUUCAUGAGUCGAAGACAUGGAAAUAUCUAUCUUCUGGAUGUGAAACCAAAUGAAUCGCAAUGUCUUAUCUCAAUUCAAGACGAAGCAAGCUUAUGGCACAAAAAGCUUGGUCAUGUCAACAUGAAGCAAUUAGCCAAAAUCUCAUCAAAGCAGCUAGUUCGAGGACUACCAAAAUUGCCAUACCAAAAGACUGAUCCAUGCACUCCAUGUAUUCUGGGAAAGCAGGUAAGAAAUUCAUUUAAGCCAAUAAAUCAUGUCCCGACUAAUCAUGUACUACAGUUGCUGCAUAUAGAUCUCUUCGGACCAACCAGAACACAAAGUAUUGGGGGUAAGAAAUAUUGCCUAGUAAUUGUUGACGAUUACUCCCAUUUUACUUGGGUAUAUUUCCUUGCAAGUAAGUCCGAAACCUUUUCGUAUUUUGAAAAAUUUGCUAAAAAGGUUCAAAAUGAAAAAGGAUGUGUUAUCUCUAGUAUAAGAACAGAUCACGGAGGUGAAUUUGAAAAUCAAGAUUUUACAAAAUUUUGUGAUGAAUUUGGCUUUAAGCAUGUGUUCUCCUCUCCAUAUACUCCUCAGCAAAAUGGAGUUGUGGAAAGAAAGAACAGAUCUCUUCAAGAAAUGGCUAGAACUCUUUUAAUUGAAAGUAAAAUUUCUUCACGAUUUUGGGCUGAAGCUGUUUCAACAGCAUGCUAUAUCAUCAAUAGAGUCUUCUUAAGAUCUAUUUUACAGAAAACCCCUUAUGAGUUAUUCAAAAAUAAGAAGCCUAUUGUUUCAUACUUUCAUGUAUUCGGUUGCAAAUGUUUUAUAUUGAAAAAUGCAAAAGAUCGAGUUGGUAAGUUUGAAGAAAGAUUAGAUGAAGGUAUCUUCCUUGGAUAUUCUACAUCAAGCAAAGCCUACAGAGUCUAUAACAAGAAGAGCCAGUCUGUGGAGGAGUCAAUGAAUGUCAAAUUUCAAGACUCAACGCAAGAUGAAUCAAGUCAGACUCAUCAAGAAGAGUCUGAACCUGCUCCAGACUCUCCAAAGCUUACAACUCAAGAAGCAUCUCAAACUCUGGAAGACCAACAUCAGAUUGUUAGUGAAGAUCCAAAUAAAGAAAGAGAUCAUCAACCAGACAAAUCAACAAGUAACUAGAAGCAUAAGUCCAGUCAUCCCAAAGAUCUUAUAAUUGGUGAAAUUAAUGAAGGAAUUCGCACCAGAUCCAAAAGGCGAGAAGAGUCUAGUGCUGUGGCACUCGUUUCUGAAAUUGAACCAAAGAGCAUAAAAGAAGCUUUAUCUGAUGAAAGUUGGAUUGAAGCUAUGCAAGAAGAGCUUAGACAGUUCAACAUUAAUGAUGUCUGGAAAUUGACAUCCAAACCAAAAGGUAAAACUGUUAAUGGGUGUUCAGAAACAAGAUGAAUGAGAAAGGAAAAAUCAUAAGAAACAAAGCAAGACUCGUGGCCAAGGGAUAUACGCAAGAAGAAGGAAUAGACUAUGAUGAGACUUACGCUCCAGUAGCAAGGUUAGAAGCUAUUCGUCUAUUACUCGCGUUUGCUUGUUAUAAGAAUUUCAGGUUAUUCCAAAUGGACGUCAAAAGCGCCUUCCUAAAUGGAUUUAUCCAUGAGGAAGUUUAUGUGGAACAACCACCAGGGUUUGAAGACCCAAAGAAGCCAGACUCAGUCUUCAGACUGAAAAAGGCUUUGUAUGGUUUAAAGCAAGCACCUCGGGCUUGGUACGACAGAUUAAGUAAGUUCUUAAUACAAAAUGGUUUUGUCAAAGGUAAAGUAGAUACGACUUUAUUUAUCAAAAAGGAAAACAAAAGUUUCUUACUUGUUCAAAUAUAUGUGGAUGACAUUAUUUUUGGAUCCUCUAAUGAAAAUCCGUGCAAGAAAUUUUCUAAGUCUAUGCAGGAUGAGUUUGAAAUGAGUAUGAUGGGAGAAUUAACAUUCUUUCUUGGUCUUCAAGUAAAACAAUUGAAGGAAGGAACUUUUAUUUAUCAAGAAAAAUAUGUUAAUGAUCUUGUCAAAAGCUUUGGACUGGAAAAGUGCAAAAAGACCAACAUACCAAUGUCAAGUUCUUUAAAGAUAGACAAAGAUGAAGAAGGGAAGAAAGUUGAUCAAAAGCUGUUCAGGAGCAUCAUUGGAUCACUUCUUUAUCUUACUGCUUCUAGACCUGACAUUUUGUUAAGUGUUUGCAUCUGUGCUAGGUUUCAAUCAGAUCCUAGAGAAUCUCAUCUCAGUGCUGCGAAAUGCAUCAUUAAAUACAUUGCUUCAUCAUCAAGCAUCGGUCUUUGGUAUCCAAAGAAGGGAGACAUUAAUCUUCUGGGAUAUUCAGACGUAGAUCUGGCCGGUUGCAGAGUUGAUAGAAAGAGCACUUCGGGAACUUGCCAGUUGCUUGGAAGCAGGACAGUGUCUUGGUUCUCAAGGAAACAAAGCAUUGUGUCUCUUUCAACAACAGAAGCAGAGUAUGUAGCUCUUGGAAGCUGCUGUUCGCAAAUUUUAUGAAUAAAACAACAACUAAGAGACUUUGAAAUUGAAGACUCAUGCACGGAGAUUAAUUGCGACAACACUAGCGCUAUCAACCUCACCAAAAAUCCAAUUCUCCAUUCAAGAGCAAAGCAUAUAGAGAUUCGACAUCACUUUAUUAGAGACCAUGUUCAAAAUGGAGAUAUUUCAAUUCAGUUUGUUGACUCAAAGAAUCAACUGGCGGAUAUAUUUACAAAGCCUUUGGAGAAAAAUCAAUUUGAAUCUAUUCGUNNNNNNNNNNNNNNNNNNNNNNNNNNNNNNNNNNNNNNNNNNNNNNNNNNNNNNNNNNNNNNNNNNNNNNNNNNNNNNNNNNNNNNNNNNNNNNNNNNNNCACAGUCUAAGACUUUCAGACUCAGACUUACAAGACUUUAUCUGAAAGACAGUCUUGGCACGACCGUCAGACUGUAAGUCUUUCUCUCUCUAAUCUUAUCUUGAAAAGGUACGAUCGUCAGACUGUGUUUAAAAUUGUUGCUAUAUUUAAUUGAUGAAAAUAUUGCAUCGUUUCAUUUUAAAAAAAAAAAGGAAGUUAUUUUUGAAAUAGCUAUUUUUGCGGAAAAAGACAGUUAUUUUGAAAAGGCGUCUUUUUAUUUCCUUUGUGACGGUUCGUUUAUCCCUCUUUUUAACCGAUCGUGCACUGUCGAUUCCUCUUCAUUUUACUCUAAAAAACCCUAGAAAGCAUCGAUCCCCCAUUCCCGUUUGUCUUCUUUGUUUAAUCUUCAAAAAGUUGUCAUCUUUCCUGGGAAAGUCAAGCAAGGAAUCUUCCAAAAACUGAGAAAUAUGUCAUCUUCAAGAAAGUCUUCGAGAAUUGCAAGCAGGGGACCACGGCGAAUGAGUGAGGGGCCUACGCACUUCGAUCUUACUGAGGAAGAAGUAAAUCUAGAACAGCAAGCGAGCCCACAACAUUCUCAGCAGCGUCAUUCUCCACCAUCUAGUCCUCAAGGCGUUGUUCAUCAACAUCAGGAAGAAAUCAUCGAUGAUGCAGACCCCGUAAGAGUUCAAAAGCCCGCUUUUAUUUACAAGCUAUAUCGUGCCUUAAAAGGAACUCGUACUCCUUUGAACUAUGUUGAUGACUUUCUUAAAGACAAAGGAUAUAGGAACGAAUAUAUCUUUCUGCGGAAAACGGAAAGUUUGGGAAUUGCUCGUAAAUGGGUGGCUGAGGAAACCCUUGCAAAUAUCCCAAGUGAUCCUCGUGACUGGGGGCCGAAUCCUGUAGAUGGGAAUGAUGAUGACAAUUUGUACAGCCUAUUUCAACCGAAAAUGGGUAUUGCGGCUGAAAUUCAAGGAAAAAGGGGAGAUUUGUUCAGAUCAAAGGAACAAAAGGAUCUGUACUCGAAAUUGCUGAAGCGUGGGGUAAUAAACCCUAGGAGUGUGGAUUUUGAUUUUUUGGAUGCUGUGAAUGUGAACUUGAGGGAAAAGUUCAAUCAUCUUCAACUUGAAAAGUUAUGUUCUGACAAUAUAGAGGCUUAUGCUGAAUUAACUGCAUAUUUCUAUUCAAAUCUUAGCUUUUUGGAUGCGAAUAGAUUCUCCUUCAGCGUUAAAGACCAAGAUUAUGUUGUGGAUAUGAAUAUGCUGGCAGAUGUGUUAGGAGUUGAAAGAGGAAGAUAUCAACCGAUCAAAGUUUCCAUUGCUCGAGCCACACUUGAACUGGUGAAGGACAGGAGAACAGAUGAGAAGAUCACCUAUUUAAGGAUGAGUGCAUUCAACAUCUUGCUUCACAAGAUUGUGAUUAAUUGCCUUUGACAUAAAUCAACUUCCAAGACUGAUGUUUCAAGUUCAGAGGCCAAGCUGAUGUAUGCCAUUCUCUUUGGAAAAAGGUUUUCUCUCCCUCACACUGUUAUGUUUCACAUGUAUAGAGCAAUGAUGAAGGACAUAGGUCAACUCCCUUACUGAAGCCUUGUUACGAAGUUAUUCAGACAUCUGAAUAUUCAGCCUCCACAAAUCUUUUGUGUUCGACCAUGCGAUCAUAUGGUGGUAGGACUGAAAAUGGUCACCAAAAUGCGUCUGAAGGAACUAAGCAAGGAAUUGGAGAAAUUCAAGGAGAAGACUCCUGCCAAAUCUCAUCAACUCUCUUCUGCUGCUAAAAGAAAAGGGAAGGAGCCCAUGGCUGCUCCAUCCAAGAGAAGAAGACCUCUCCUCGUUGAGGAUGAAGAUGAUGACGAAGACAUCACCAUCUCUGCAAUGGCUUUGAAGAAUUUAAGUCGUCCUGUUCCACAGAAAGAAUUGGGAACAAAUGACAAAAGAAGCAGAGGAGAAGGAAGGAGAAGAAAGAGAAACUGAAAAAGAAGUAGAGGAGGAAAGACCUGAAGAAGAAAGAAGAGAAGAAGGAGAACCUAAGGAAAUCUCUUCUCCACCUGUAGGCAUGGAAACAGGGGGAGAUCAGGAGAAAGGAGUGAAGUCUUCAUAUCCUGAUGCAAGUGAAGGAGUCAGUCGCUCGCCUGCAGACCCAGAGGAUGUUUAUGCAUCUCAUUUUCCAGAGGAAGGUCAUGAAGUUUCAUCGCCAAACCUGCGAGAUUAUGCUGAUCUACCAUCGUCUACAUUUACUCCAUUAGAUCGAGCCGAAGCAAGUACUCAGACUGAUAAUGGAGCAGAUUUUCGCAGAAUCAUGGAUAUUCUCUUGGAAAUGCGAGGUCAAAUUUAUGCCUUGGGAUGCGAAGUUCAAAGCUUGAAGAAUGAAAGUCAAGCUUCUUCCUGUUCAUUGAAUGAUAAGAUGCAAGCCCUCUCUGUUCAGAAUCAGGCUAAUGCCAAGAGUGAGGAGAUUGCACAGCUGAAGGAAGACUUUAAAAGGCUGGAAGGCAUUGUUCAGUCUAUGGAAGAUUUCCAGCUUGUCCGCGUUCCCAAGCAAUCUUGACUUCAUCUCAUCCUUUUUAAUGAUGACAAAAAGGGGGAGAGAUGCAAGAUUUGAUCAAACUUUCAAUCAUUAAAGUUUUAACUGUUUGUUGGAUUGUGUUGUUGUUUAAACUCUGUUUGACUUUGACUUUGUUUUGUUGUGUCUGGAUGAGAACUAAACUAGACUUGGACUUGACUGCUUCUAUUAACUAGUAUUGAUAUCUUAUAGUAUUGAUAUCUUAUGGAUGGCAUUUCAUAUAUUAGACUAACCUAUUUUUUGUGGUUGCAGAUUCUAGUGUUAUUCUUUUAAGCCAUUUAUCUCUAUAAGAUAUGCAUAUGUGUUUGAGAAAUGUUUUGCAGGUCAUAGUUAUCCAAAUCUGCAGGAAAGUUUUGUCACCAUCAAAAAUGGGGAGAUUGUUGGAGAAAUCUUCUUGAAGUAUUUUGAAGUUGACAAAACGUUUCUAUCAGUCUAGUCUGAAGGUUUGCAGACUCUGAUAUUUAAAGUCUCAAGACUUCCGGACAGCCAGACUCAAGACUCAAAGUCUAUCCUCAUUGACAGUCUCUAAUCCGUUGAAGAAAGGUUAUCCAGAACUGGAUGUUUCGUUAAGGAUUUAACCUUAUCAUCUGGAGAAGAUCUUGUGGCUGGAAAAGACAUAACAGAAUCCUUUGAUUGAUCAAGAUUGAUUCAAUGAUUGAAGAUUCGAAGAUUGUCUAAAUAUUAUUGGAAGGUUUUACUUAUGGAAACCGAGAUCCUGAUUGUAUGAGCGAACAGGAUUGAUGGGUUAUCAACACGUUCCUUUAAUAGCUCGAACAAUCUUCCUAAUUGAUUCCGUCCAACGGGUAGAUUGGAGGAACUCCUUUGGUAAGUGCCAACGGGUAUGAUAGCAUAAAGGAGUACAUAAGGAAGACGUUCUUAGUUGUUCGAGGUGUGCGUGAUAGAAGAAUUCCAAAGUCUGAAGCUCCUUUUUUGUUUAGACAAUUCCUUGAGCGAAUACUUGUAUACAAAAGAGAGUCUAUAUUUGUGAGAAACCUUGAGGAGGUGUGGUAGAACAUCUACACUGUGAAAUCAAAGCAAAGCUGUGCUGUAACUUCUCUUUUGAUCAUGGUGAAAUACAGCCGGUGGGCUGUCGAUGCGGAAGAGUGGACGUAGGCUUGGAAUAAGCCGAACCACUAUAAAUCUUGUGUUCAAUUUUCUCUUCCUCACUCUCUCUACCUCGAUCGUAUUUCAUUUUGUUAAUCAAGAGAUAAUUUCCUUUCUAUCAUUUGCUAAGAAUCACUUCCGUAUUUCGAUAAAUUGUUUGUGCACCUAUUCACCCCCCCUCUAGGUGUUUAUACUAGCUAUCUCACCCAGCCAGGGAGUGUAAAUGCCGGAAGCCCUGUCGGAGGUUUCUGCCCAAAGGGAAUGCCUCGUGAUGCUAGUUGGGAUGUGAGAUGCUUGGAAUGUGGGGGGCCGGAUGCCCGGUGGCCUGGGAGGCUGAAUGCCGGAAGCCUCGAAGGUCUUUGCCUGAGGGGAUAAUGAAAUUGAUGAUUUGAGGAAUGGGUGAUGUGGUGAUCACAUUGAAAGCUAAAAGUGGAAAUUAAAUCAUGAUAUGAUAUGCAUGAUGAUAUGCAUGAUGAUAAUGAUGAUGAUAUGUGAUGUGAAAUAAUGAUGAUCACCCAUGAUAUGAUAUGCAUGAUGAUGAUGUGAUGAUGAUAUGUGAUGUGAAAUAAUGAUGAUCACCCAUGAUAUGAUAUGCAUGAUGAUAUGCAUGAUGAUGAUGAUGAUGAUGAUGAUAUGUGAUGUGAAAUAAUGAUGAUCACCCAUGAUAUGAUAUGCGUGACAAUAUGCAUGAUGAUGAUGAUGAUGAUGAUGAUGAUAUGUGAUGUGAAAUAAUGAUGAUAUGAUAUGCAUGAUGAUAUGCAUGGUGAUGAUAAUGAUGAUGAUAUAUGAUAUGGCAUGUGUAAUGAGAUGAUGUCAUAAUGAUGAUGGCAUGUAUGAUGUAAUGAUGCCAUGAUGAUGAUGGCAUGUGUAAUGUAAAAAUGUCAUGAUGAUGAUGACAUGUAUGAUACGAUGAUGAUACACAUGUAUGUAUUAUAAAUUGAUAUGAUGAUGCAUGAUAGUAUGUGCAUGGCUUCAAGGUAAGUAAUGCCUGCAAUGCAUGUGUGAUUUGCAUGAUGCAUUGAGUUGUUAUUGGAUUCCUUAUCUGCUGAGUGGUUGUACUCAUCCCUUUGGGGACCCAUAUUUCAGAUUAGCAGUAUGCCGCUUCCUGCCGUCACGCGUGGUGUAUUUUACGGUCUACUAUCUGAUGUAGAGGUCGAGUGUGCUGAGAUAGACUAUCCCUCUGUUCCUGGACUGACUUUUAUUUGAGUACGUUGUCUAGUGAUGUACGACGUAGGCCUGGUUGAGGGCCCUGUCAUUCAGGAGUUCAUAUUCGUACAUGUUUGUCGGGAUGGAGCGAUGCGAGGGAUGUUGCCGCCGCCACCACCUAAUGCACUGGGUUGGGUGUGAGACCCGUGCGCGACGAGUAGGGGCUGUUUCUUUUUUGGGAUAGUUAGCUGACACUUAUGAUGGGGGUUGUGCACGUGUGAUGUUGAGGGUGAGGGGUCUUUUUUUUGAGGCUUUUAGGCUGGACAUGGCUGAGUCCCUAGCUUUUUCCUUUUUUGAUGUACCGACCCAAAAGAAAGUCCCUUCUUUGAAAAAUAUUAUAUUGUAAAUAAAAGUGUCGUGGGCUGGGCUAUAAAAAUAAAGGGUGAUUAGGGGGUGUGUAUUUUGUAUCAUGGUUGGUAGGGGGGAGAGAACGUGAAUGUUUUAAAUUUUCCGCUAUGAGUCACGCUGGGACCGUUUUGUUUUUUGUUUUUGUUUUAAAUGUGUCUGCGAAUUAGAACACUUCUUCAAAGCAGAAAGGUGAUGAGGUGUAACAUUAGUGCUGGUGACGACUUGCGAAGGGUUCGGGGUGUCACAGGCAAGGCAAAAAGCAAUUGUUCAAACAGUAUGGUCUAGAGUGCUGAGAAUGAGUAAAGUUGAUAUAUGAUUCCAUUGUGCCAUAAUAUGAUGAUAUGUGGGUUAUGUGCCAUGUCAUUUAGUAGUUAACCAUGAUAUUUGGGUUAUGUGCUAUGUGGUUCAGUGCUUAAUGAUGAUAUUCAAGUUAUGUGCCAUGUGAUUUAGUGGUUAACAAUGAUAUUCGGGUUAUGUGCCGUGUGAAUUAGUGGUUAAAUAUGAUAGUUAGGAUAGAUAAGAAGUUAAAUGGAAUAUUUGGAUGAUGUGCCAUGUGUCUAAGUGGUUGAAUAUUAUAUUUGAGUUAUGAGCCAUGUGGAUUAGUGGUUAAACAUAAUAUUUGGGUUAUGUACCAUGUGGAUUAAUGAUUAAAAAUGAUAUUUGGAUUAGUGAAUAAGUGUUUAAAUAUGAUAUUUGAAUUAUGUGCCAUGAGUUUGAGAAGUGAAUGGUGCAUAUGUGUGUGAUAUAGAGUAACGCACAUGCAUGAAACAAUGGCAUAUGAUAAGUGAAGUUGCAUAUCACAUGAGUAUCGUAUGGGCUAAUUGAGAAAUAUAAGAAAUGGAAUUGUGAUAGUAUGCUCAUGUGAUCACCUAAGGCCUUGAUGUGUUUNNNNNNNNNNNNNNNNNNNNNNNNNNNNNNNNNNNNNNNNNNNNNNNNNNNNNNNNNNNNNNNNNNNNNNNNNNNNNNNNNNNNNNNNNNNNNNNNNNNNAAGUAGAGAGCGUUGCCACACUUUGCCAUCGAUAUACAAUCGCACAUUUAGGGCACUUCUGAGGUGAACGACUUCCCUAUGUGAAGUUUAGGAAGUUCACUCAUUAAGUCUAUCUCAUAUUUGUUUGUUGAAAUAUUUAUAAGCCCUAAGAAUGGUUGAACUAUUAUGUCAAAUUCGUUUUUGACCUCCCUGUCAAACACAAUUAGAAGGUGAUGGAGUACUCGAUCGCAGGAGGGGUUAUGUGCACUACACUCAUUACGUCAUGACCAUUUGGGUCAAUUAGGGCUUGCCAAAUCUCAUGCCACACCAACUCGUGGCAUGGUAUUUUUAGGUGGGCAGCGAGAGCCAUGGUCCCAUCCGUGAUUUCAACGGUCCACCGAGGGUUGAAGGCACUGGAGGAGGCAUCAGCUAGGAUGCCAAGGAGGGGGACAUUCCCAAUGGAGAGGUGUCUGACCCUAAGCUUGACCUCAAUCUAAUCGCCGAGCCGGAGCCAUGGAUCCCGAAGGCCAUAGAGGCUUAGGUAGUGGUGGGGUUGAUAGCACUUUUUGGACCACCCUCGUAGUAUUAGAGGUGUAGGUUUACCUCGAGCCCUUUUGUAGGAGGUCGUGGCGAAGCGGUUAAGCAUGUUGAACAGGAUGAAGCUGAUUAUUUAAUUUUGAACUCGCUAUGUAUGAGAUGAUGACUCAUGAAGCUCAUAUAUGAUUAUGUUUUAACUAUUCCUAUUGAUUGAUGGUUAGAAAUUUGUUUAUGUUUCUACUUGUGCAUUUUAAAUGUUAUCGAGAAUUAGGUCAGCAACGCCUAUUGGGACAUCGCAACCAAAUGACCAAAAGAUAAGUAAAGGUUUGAUGGGUACGGGUUGUUGUGUGGCCGUAGAGGUUCGGGGCAUGACACUCUUAUACUACUUUGAUAGAAAAACCGUAGUCGGAUUAACGCAGCGGAAUAUAAUAAUCUCCCAUCUUGUGUAAACCUAAUAAGAACCGAUAUAGUAGAGAAAAAUAAAUAUCAAACAUGCAAACACAAUGCGAUUUCUUAUAUAGAAAACCUCCUCAGUGUGAGGAGUUAAAAAAUCACAAGACCGGAGUCCACCCAAAAAUCCUCAUUAUCAACAAAAUCGAGUAAAAAAAGUUCUUUUCUAGUAAAUACUAGAGGUACAUACCAACAAAGACCUCAAGAACAUCAUUUUUGGCAAUAUGCAUAAAUUUCACAAGAGAUCAAGGAUAAAUUUGACCAAAAAUGGAAAUUUUGAUCAACUCAUAAAAAACGUGGUGUAGGAAGCUUGAAACAAAAAUCAAAUUGUCCAGAUUCGAGAAGAGUGCAUGUGACAUCUCGAAAGUUUGCCCAUGAUUCGGAUAAAUGAAAUGGUUGUUUCGUCGACAUGCUUAUGGUUAAUUUACUCGAAAUUGAUCACUCAUGAGUUAACUAAUCUAUUAGAUGAGGCUAUUAAGAGACAUAAACGCGACAUACUAGAGAAUUCGAUCGGAAAUCGACCGCUCGACCAUAAUAAUCGACAAUGGUCAAUACGACAUUGUUAUAAAUCGAUUAGCGAACGGAUAUAGGUCAAUUCAAUGGAAUCACGUAGUCGAAUUGUGGGUGGUUCCGCAUGAUUGCGAUAUUCGCGUCGAACGGCAAUAACCCGAUCUUCUAUCGAUAUUAUAUUCGGAACACGUAAUUGAAACCUUGCGAUUAUGUGACAACUGAGGGUCGUCUACGAUUCAGAGACGCACAAACAUGGAUAGAAAAUUAUAGACUAUGGGUCAAACGUGCUAAAAUCCCUAAAAGCUACCCAAUAUGUUAGGUCGUACUAAAGUCGCGUUCGGUCGAUUUUAACCACGAAAUUGAAUUUGAUUUUGGGAAUUGGAUGUUCGAGCAUGUCACAAUUCAUUAAUUAGACAUUGUCUCAUCUUUCGGCAAAUUUUUGUUGAGUCCAAAAAUUUUGCGGAAAAUCGAUUUUCAGACAAACAAGAAAAUUUAAGGAAAUUUGGAUCAAGAGGAAAAAGGGGAAAUUUGCUGCCAAAAAAGGCUUGUUUGUGAGAAAGUAGAAGAAAUUUGGGAAUGGAUGACCAUUUUACUUUGAGAGCAUGAAGACUUUAGAGGCAUGUCAUGAGUGGUUAGAUAUUUCUCAAGGUUUCUCAUUGGUUGUUCAUUUAACUCUUUUUUUCUCUCUCUCCCAUUUCCCUCCUCUCCAUGCACACGUUCAGCCCUUUAGCUGCCCAUCUUCCUCUUCUGCUUCUUCUUCUUACCUUCUUCUUUCAUGUUCUUCAUCCCCUCUUCCAACUGCCGACCCUCAUUCCUCCACUUUCCCCUACCAGCAACCGCACGCCUCCACCGUCAUUUUAACCGCCACAUCAUCCCACCACCAGGAUUUCCACCACCACCAACUUACCCCUACCCACCGUCCAACUCCAUUCUCCACCGCCAGUCCUCCAUCUCCAACGUCAACCCACUGCAACUCCAUUUCCACCUCACGCCCAACAUAAAAACCGCCACCUUCAGCAUCAUCUUUUUGUUGCACCCUCAUCAUCCCUCACCACUCGAUCACUCCAGCUUCUCCAUUUUCCUUCGCUAGCUGCCACACACCCAGCAACCCUAGUCAGCACCAUCCGCCCAACACCAGCGUCCAGCCAAGCCGCGUCUGUCACCGACCAGCAACAGCUCUCGUGCCCAGCACCACCCCGUCUCGACCAGCAACCACUGUGUCAACUCCAGCAGUCCUCGUGCCCAGCAGCUCAGCCCCACCGAACAACCCUCCAUCGAGCACUUGUAGGGCAGCCAUAGCCACCAAUUGAGCCUCAUCCGAGCCGCGAUUGUCUCGACUUCUCAUCACCAUCGCGUUGCCGUCGCUGUGAGCCUGCUGCCGUCCUAAUCCAGUGAGUUAACUCCCUAAUCCUUGAUUAUGCCAUUAAUUGCGAUUAGGGGGUGUUUAGUUUAGUGCUAAUCAUGGUUAGAUUAGUACUAAGAUGGAUUAGUGUUGAUCAAGCAUGGUUAGGUUAGUUUACCUUAGUUAGGUUAGUUUACUUUGGUUAGGUUAGUUAACCAUGGUUAGGUUAGUUAAUCAUGGUUAGGUUAAUUAAUCAUGGUUAGGUUAAUCAAGUUGGAUUAGCUAAAUUAAUCACAAUUUACUUAAUUAAUAGUAAUUAGCGUAAUUAGUGAUGGAUUAGUUGUUUCGUAGAAUUUUACUCUCAUUUUCUUGGAGGGAAUUUUGCGUGAUUUUGAUGGCUUAUAUGUGCUAUGAGGUGCAAUUGAUUGCUUGAUGGUAGUUAUUGAAUUUUAGUAUAAAACUCGGUUUUAUGGGCUUUUAAAUGGGAAAAUGCUAGGUGGCAAUUUUUGAUGCCAAUCUUUAUGUACUAUAUAAAACCGUGGAGUUUUAAAAUAGGACCCUACCAAGUUUGACAUAUCACUUUUGAAUGCGUGACCAUGCACGAUUAUUUUAUCGGGAUUUUUAAUAAGAAGAAAAACGGGCCAAGUUCAUUAUUUGAAAACGACGCAUUUGAAUGCAAAGCAUGGUAUUCUUGGUUAAAUAUAUGCUUGUAUGGUCAUUAAGUGAACCCGUCUUGAUGCGUUUACGUGGGAUGAUGCUCGAUUUUAUCGGAUGCCCAGCGGGGGUCUGGAAGCCGAGUCGCAGUUGAGGCCGAACCAAUGCCCCUUUAUUGAAUGCCGUCUAGGCGGGGGUUGUAGACGUUGCUGUGCCCAAUGGGGCGGGACAAUGCCCGAUUUCGCUGGAUGACCGCCGACUUUUGAGUUGACCAUGGCCAAUGGGUUGUAAUAAUCGAAACACGCUUGAAUGGUUGUAAUACUUUGCACCUGAUUAUGAGGCAAAAUUGCUAGGCAUGGUAUAGGCUGUGUCAUAACGGUUUUACCUUAUAAUUGGGACUCGUGUGAAUAUUUGAAGGGUGAAAAUUAUGUUUUUUGGUUAUUAAUUACGCUUGUUGUAUUUAUAAUGGCAUAUGUGAUGCACUAAUAUGCAGGGACAUGUCAAGGCAAGGUGAGUUUUGUAUGGUGCGUGGUUAGGACCACCUUCGAGGUGAAUUUGCAUCCUAAUCGGGGUUUAGGCUGUUGACUCACUGAGAUUUAUCUCACCCCAUUGUGGUUAAACAUUUUAGGGUUGUAGCGUGGAUAUCUGCUGAGUGCGAAUGUGGUGGGCGUGAGAUGCGACACCUUUUGGCUGGCCCUACCAUUAGUGAAGUUUAGGUUAACCCUAGUCCCUAAAGGUUUUUGAGAGGGUUAAUAGGAAGUGGCCAUGGAAAGGCUUGUAAGUAUUAAACUUCCUAAGGUUAACAGUUGAUAAAUGAAUAUGUUGUUUUCAGCAAUGUUUGCCAUGUUUUACCAUCCCUAUGUUUGUUUAUUGGCUGGGGGUUUAUUUAAUUGGCUUCUGCAUGUGGCUUAAUUGAAAGAUAAAAGAAUGGGUCAGCGACGCGUCCUGGGAAGUCGCAUUUUUAAUCGACUGCCAAGGGAUGUGCGCAUGCCGGGGGUUUGGGACAUGAUAGUGCACCAUGGACACAUUGACAAAAUUUCAGCUUAAUAAAACCACGAAUCGACAUUUUAUGCCAAUUUGCUAUAAUGCAAACUAAAUCAUAAACCCUAAAUUUUCUGCUUUCUCUUUUUCUCUUGUUAUUGCUUCUCUACUAACUUCUUUGCGGUUACCACUUAAAAGAUAGCAAAAAAUCAUAUUUGUCCAUAUGACUUAUCAUAUGGGCUCAAGUCCUUUUGGGCUUACUAUUCAUUGAGUUUCCUCCACAUGGGAGUGAACUCAACUAACAAAAAGAACUUAGAGAUCCAAUGGAGCUAUAAAAUUGAUUAGAUGCAAUUCAUUUCCAAGUUUUGACUUGAAACUGAUGAUUUUAUGCUGGAUGGUGCACCCCGUGCUCGAGCCCAAUAUGAUAUCAUACGACCAUGUGCUCAAGAUUAGAUCAAUUCAGCUCAAUUUUUAAUCUAAAACUUGAGCUUCAUCUCAAGUCCUCGCAUAUAAAAAAAAUCAAAAUUAAUGUAAUAUCCAUUUUCCUUAUAAUUUGAAUACGUUGAUAUUUUUGAUAUAAACAUUAUUGAUAUUUUUAAUUAGGCUAGCAAGCCACUUGACUGAGUCCUUGAAAAUUUGAGCUUGCACUUAACAGACUUGCACCACACAAAUCGACUCAGCCACUCGAAUUCGGUUUACAAGCCUUUGAGUCAUUAAUGGUUUUUUUUUUUUUUUUGAUGCCAAGGCAAUCCUGUACAUCCGGUAGCCGGCAGGUAAACCCUGGAGUGGCGCUAGUGGAGGACCCACCACCCCGGCGCCACACUUAAGACACCAAAUGCCUCAUCUAGGUUUUGAACCCCUCACCUUUGAGCAAGAAUCAACAGAGUUCUUAUCUAGCAAAGCCACCACGGCCAGUGGUAAAGGAAAAUAAAUCUAGAAGAUUUAAAAAUUGAGUUUCGACAGCUAACAAAGUUGACUGCUAAAAAUUGAACUAGAAAUAUUAUUCGAUAACAGUUAAAUAUCUAUUGCGGAGUAUCAAAAGUUUCUUACUAAACAUUGGAUUGUGGAUAAUCAACAUAUUAUUUCAUGUCAGAAAUUGCCAAACNNNNNNNNNNNNNNNNNNNNNNNNNNNNNNNNNNNNNNNNNNNNNNNNNNNNNNNNNNNNNNNNNNNNNNNNNNNNNNNNNNNNNNNNNNNNNNNNNNNNUCUUGAUUCAUGGUCAAUGAAGCCCCAAAUAGGUUUGAGGUGCUUCGGUAGCCCCAUAUUGAGGUUGAUCUUGGCAUGUGACCAAGUAGAAUUUCCCAGUUGCGACUCCAUAUUCUUCUAGCUUUGCUUCUUAAUCACAGGAUAUAAGGCCAGCUCACAUGUAGAAUUGAGAACCGAAUCGGUUUAAACAGGUGUGAAGAAGGGACAUAGAAGGUAUUUGAUUGUUUGCUGGAGAUUUGUUUGUGUACUUUUGGGCAUUUGCAUAAUAGAAACAAAGCAUCAUUUUUCUUAAAUGAGAGUAAUUAGUUUGUUUAGGAGCGCGCAUGACAAAAUUUUUGUUUCUCUAUUUCUCUAUAUUUUUGUUCCCUGGAAUAGGUUCGGAAUAGAAAUCCGUUUGGUAACACAAUUUCAUUUUUCUAUUUCUAGAACAGAUUUCUAUUCUAUAAAUAGAUUUUGAGCACAAAUCGGAAGUUAAAAUUUUUAGCUUUUCUAUUUCUAGAAUAGAAAUGAUAAAUCAAAAUUUUUCUCAUCGUUCACUCUCAUCAUUCCUCAUCGCCCACUUGCCACUCAUGGGAUGCCAAAUGCCUGCUACCGGUUGUCGGCCGCUCGCCACCGGCCUCGGCCACCAAUCGCCCACCGGCCACCGGACGUCAGCUGACAGUCACUACACUCCGGCUGUUCGUCGCCAACCCCCAGUUGUCAGAUGCCGGAUGUCCACCGGUCGUUGGCUACUUAUUGCCAAUCAUUGGAUGUCGGAGGCUCAUCACCAACCACCGGAUGUUUGCCGCCGACUGUCCACCGCUCGCCACCGGCCGCCGGAUGUCGGUCGCCUGCCACUCGCCGCCAAACUCCGACCACUGGCCACCUACCGCCGGCCUCCUGUUGCCGAUCUCGAGAUGUCGGACGUUGAACUCUAGAUGUUGGACACUGGUUGUCGGUCACCGGACUCUGAUGUCGAACUUCAAACUAUGGCCGCUUGCCGUCGGUCAUUGGACUUGGUACUAGACGCUGAACAUCAGACUUUGGAAUUUGGCUGCCUGCCGUUGGUCAUCGAAUGUUGAACACCUGUCACCUAAAGUUGAACUCCGGCCAUUGGACGACGGUCGUUGUUGCUCCUAGAAAUAGAAAUUUUAUUCUGUUAUUAAACAAAAUUUUAUUUUAGUAGAAAUUUUGAAUUUUUAUCAAACACAUUUUUUUAUUCAGAAACUCAUCCGUGGAAUAGAAAUUGAGAAAUCAAUUUCUGGCCAAAAAUUGAUUUAUGUUCUAGAAAUUUUGUUAUGCGCGCCCCUUAGUGAUAUUUAAGUACAUUUGUGACAUCCUCGUUCCAACCUGGUUUUUCAUAACGGAAUUAUUCUAGCAAGUGAUCUUUGGACGAGAGUGUCUUGAGGAUUGAUAGGCCAAGAGGACAUCAAGAAAGGCCAUUUAGGGGAAAAAAACUCGAUUUUUCAUCAGCAAGGGCAUAUGAGUGCGGAAAAAUGGAAAUGAGCCACGAAUGAGGAUCCAUUGGGCCCAAGCCUAAGUGGGUAUCCCAAGGCCCACACGUCUAAGGGGUGGGAAGCCAAGGGAGGCCCAUGGGCCCCUCAAAGCCCAUCAAACCCUUUUGACACAAUCUUAGCUCUAAAUGCAUAAAAGGAUGUGAAUAGUGCAUGAAUAGUGUGAGAUCUUGGUGAAAUGACCAAAAUGCCCUUCUAUUGGACUAAAGAAAAAAGGGCAAAAAUGGAAGAAGAGCAAGGAAAGGGCGGGCAUAGAUGUGGGCGGGAAAGGAGGCUUUGAAAUCCAAUCUACCUAGACUAAUCUAGUCCUAUCAAGCCACUUGAGUGUGGAUGCUUCCUUUAACUACUAAGAUUUUGCUUAUUUCGCAAGUCACCUUGAUGGACAUGAGCCCAAAGGAUUUGACGAGCAUUUAUGGAGACUAAACCUCAUUCUCUCUCCUCCCUUCCUCUCCCUCAUGUCGGCCACUCACUUUCCCUCACUCUCACUUUCAUUUCCUCACUUAUUUGCUCUCAAAUUCUCUCUCUCUCUCUCUCUCUCUCUCUCUCUCUCUCUCCCCUUGACACCACUGAAGCCGCCCUCUCCCUUAUCAUCUUCAUUUCAAGCUCAUUUCUUCAUUUUUCACUUGUUUUCUUCACCGACGACGACCUAUUGAACUCUUGGCACCAGAUUGCCCUCUUGCUCUGUCGUAUGACCACCGGAUCACCACCAUCCAGUUGCCAUCCAGCCUUGUAGUCCUCUCCCCCAACAUGUUCUGAAGCCUGAGUCGUCCAUGAAUGGCUUUCUAGCCUUUGAUUAAGGUUUUCAUUGCAUUUAGGAAGUAAUUUAGGGUGAUUAGUGUUAAACAUGUUGUUUAGAUGAUGUGCUACGCGGUUUAGUGAUUACCUAUGUUAUUUAGGUUAUGUGUCAUGUAGUUUAGGGAUUAAACAUGUUAUUUGGAUGAUGUACCAUGUGAAUUAGUGAUUAUUUGUCAUUUGAAUGAUGUGCCAUGUGGUUUAAUGGCUAUCCAUGUUAUUUAGGUUAUGUGACAUGUGGUUUAGUGGCUAUCCAUGUUAUUGAGGUUAUGUGAUAUGUCAUUUAGGAGUUAAAAAUGUUGUUUAAAUUAUUUGACAUGUGGUUUAGUGGUUAAACAUGUUAUUUGGAUUAUGUGUCAUGAGUUUGGAAAGUGAAUAAUGCAUAUGUGUGUGAUAUAAGUAAUUAAUGUAUAUGGAAUGAAGGCAUAUGACAAGUGAAGUUGCAUGUUGUAUGAGCAUCACAUGAGUUAAAUGAGAAAGAUAAGAAAUAGAUUGUGUGAUGGUAUGCCCGUGUGAUCACCUAAGGCCCUGAUGCAUUUUACACGGGGUGUGAACCAAUCUUGAGGCGUUUUACACAAGAUGAUGUCCGAUUAAGUUCGGAUGCCCCCAAGUCAACGGGAUGCCAUCGCCGAUGGAUAUUAGAACAAAGCUCCUUACAACAAUGCCCCCAAGUCAAUGGGAUGUCAUGUUCGAUGGGGCGAGAUGAUGCUGGUUAUGCCGGAUGAUUUGCAAACCUUCGGGUUGGCUUUGGAUCUUGAGUGGCCGUAAUAAUUUGGACAAAUGUGUAUGGGAAAUGCAUGAGAUUUGUAUGUGAUGAUGUCUAGAUUAUUGCAUGGCAUGAACGCAUGACUUAGAUCAUAAUGCCUAUUCCUAUGUUUGGCUCGAGAACAUGAAGUUUAUGUUAUGAAAUUGCCUAUGCAUCUACUUUGAUGCCUUGUAUGGUAGACAAGUUGUUAUGAGAUACGAGAGUAAAGCGAGAAGUGUGUUGCCAUGUUUCGCCAAAGAUAGACAAUUGCACGUUUAGGGCACUUCUGAGGUGAACGACUUCCCUACACAAAGUCUAGGAAGUUCACUCAUUGAGUUUACCUCAUAUUUGUCUGUUAAAAUGUUUUCAAGCCCUAAGAAUGGCUAAGUCAUUCCGUCAAAUUCGUUUUGGCCUCCUUGUCGAGCACAGUCAAAAGGUGAUGAAGUACCCGGUCGCGGGAGGGGCCGAUACGCACUAUACGUGAUAUGUCACGAUCAUUUGGGUCAAUGAGGGCUUGCCCAACCUCAUGCCACACUGAUUCGUGGCAUGGUAUUUUUGGGUGGGCGAUGAGAGCCAUGGUCCUAUCCAUGACUUCGACAGUCCAUCCAGUGUCGGAGGCUCCAAGGGAGGCAUUAGCUAGGAUGCCAAGGAUUAGGACAUUCCCAAUGGAGAAGUGUCCGACCCCAACCUUGACAACGAGUUGAACUUCAAGGAGUCGGAGGCCAAAGGAGCUUAGGUAGUGGCGGGGUUGUUAGGACUUUUUGGACCACCCUCAUAGUAUUAGAGGCGUAGGUUUAUCACUAGGCCUCCUUUUCUGGAUGAGGUCAUGGUGAAGCGGUUAGGUGUGUCGGAUAUGUGAAGCUGGUUGUUUAAUUUUGAACUCACUAUGUAUGAGAUGAUGACUCAUGAAGCUUUAUAUAUAUAUGUGUGUGUGUAUAUGUAUAUAUAUCUGACUAUGUCUUAACUAUCCCUGUUGAUUAAUGGUUAGAGAUUUGUUUAUGUUUCUGCUUGUGCGUUUUAAAUGUUAUAAAGAAUUGGGUUGGCAACACCUCUUAGGACGCCGCAAUCAAAUGAUCAAAAGAUAAGUAAAAGUUCGAUAGGCGCUGGUUGUCAUACGGCCAUAGAAGUCCGAGGCGUGACAACAUUUUUCAUUUAGUGUCGGUUAAACAAUUAGAAUCCAUCUCAGGUUUUCAUUAAAAUUCCCAUGCAAGGAAUGAAACAUGGAUAGAGUGACGACCAAAAUAAUGAGAUAAGCACAAGUAUCAAAAUUUUUAUACGAUGCUCAUUUGAGUGUAAUAACUUUUUUUUGACCACUUGAGUGUCAUGGUUUUGAAAAAAUUUCACUUAAGUGCCAUAAUUUUCAUUUGAUCACUUGAGUACUUCAAAAAUGUUCACCCAAGUGCAGAAAUCCAACACGGCAUGGCACUUGUGGAGAUCUUUUAAAAAAAAAUUAUGGGACUUAAGUAAUCAAUUGAAAAGUUUUAUGGAACUUAAGUUAUUAGAAAAAAAUUAUAGUACUCAAGUGAGCAUCGUAUAAAAAUUAUGCUGACAUGGGUUUUAUCCUAGAUGCAAUAAUGAGGCUCUAUAAUAUCAUUUACCUGACAUCCUAUUGGGCAAUAUUACCGCACUUUGCCUUUUAUCCACCUUUUACUUUUAUGUCGUGAUUCAUUUUCAUGGUUGAGUGCGUAAGUUUCAUUUUAGGGCCAUAUUAAACACAAAAACAUUGCAUGGAUACUUAACGGAUGGGAACUUUAGAACUCGUAAUUUGGUAAAAAAAUUGUCUAGAUAUUUCAGUUGAUAAGUAAUCAAGUUUAGGUACUAGAAAGACAUUGAUUAGAUAACUAGUAUAAUCAAGUUCCCAUUCUUAGAUUCUCUAUUUGUGUAGGAAAUGAGACAUCCUUCCGUAUCUCACUUAGCUCCAAACCGACCCCAAUAAGUUAAUGGCAAUUUCUCAUGACAGAGUUUUCAUAGGAUAAUCAAACAUAACAUGAAUAUUUCAAUGCCACGCAAAAUAAGAGUUUGGGAGAAUCCAUGUCAAUUAAGGACCGUUGGUCCAACUUGACGUUAACUUUAAACCCGUUCUUUCCUCAACAUGCCUGUUGCCAGUUCACGACACUUAGGAUAGUCUGGCAAGAAAUUGAGGUGGUCUUGUGUGGGGAAUACGCGUUUCCCAAAUAUUCAUUCCGCCCUGCCUUUAUCCUCAACUAACAUCAUUUAUGAUCCCAUCUACUAAUUCAGCAGUAACACUCCUCCAAUAAUGAUACACUUUCCCUCAACUAACAUCAUUUAUGAUCGCAUCUACUAAUUCAGCAGUAACAGUCCUCCAAUAAUGAUACACUCUCCCUCAACUAACAUCAUUUAUGAUCCCAUCUACUAUUUCAACCGCAACGCGCUCCUCCUAUAAUGAUACCUCAGAUUCAUCUUUUAUACUAAUCUCAGUAAUCUCAUUCGUUGUAGAUUGGCCGACCUAGAUUUACUGCUCUCAUGCUAUCAUCAAUCGCACGGAUACAUAAAAUUGGAUCUACUACUUUCAGAAUCUUUGAAAAAUUUUAAUAUUAUGUUCGCCGGGCAAUUUUGGUCUUUUGUCUACUUCCAUUGUCAUCGAUAAAUAGCAUUUGAUUUUAUUGUUUUCAUCCUAGAAUAUUAUGACUUUCUGCUUCAACCAUGUUCUCGCAGACCCAUAGCAUUUGGUUGGUUUUCUUAUAACUAUUUUCCUCAUCGUUUGUCGUUGCCGCCUCUUUCUCUGUUAAGAACAUUAGGUCACUGAGAGAGAGAGAGAGAGAGAUCUGCUAAGCCGAACAAACUACUACAAUGGCGAGCUCAAAUGCAGGAACGUCAUUGGGAAGUGAGUAUCAAGUGUUUCUGAGCUUCAGAGGGCCUGACACUCGUACUGGAUUCACGGACAUCCUCUAUCAAAGUUUAAUUGAUGCUGGAAUUUGUGUCUUUCGAGACGAUGAAGAGCUCCAUGUUGGUGAAAGGAUCGAUGGAUCACUCCAGCAAGCGAUUGAUAACUCUAGGAUCUAUAUACCAAUCUUAUCUCGGACCUAUGCUUCAAGUCAAUGGUGCCUCCGUGAGCUCACGCAGAUCAUGGUGAACACUUCCAAACCAGAAGGUAAUAAAGAGAUCUUACCUAUUUUCUACAAUGUGGAACCUGACGAUGUUAAACUGAAAACUCCACUAUAUCGCGAUGCAAUACUGAAAUUGGAGUGUGAGAAGAAGUUGACUACUGAGCUCGUAGAUGCAUGGAGAGAGGCUCUCGUAAAGAUAGAUACAAUAAAAGGGUGGGAAGCGAAGAAGUACAAAGGGUAAGCUAACUGCUUUUAAGAUUCUUGUUUUCCCAAUUUCCUUUUACAUUUAGUCACAGAUGUCAUAAUUCCAGUGUGAUUGAGGUGGGAGAUGAACCUUUACUACGUCUGUCAUAAAAUGUGAAACUGUUUAAAAAGGUCAUCUUAUAUAACGGGUGAAAUUAUUAUUUGACUGUGGGUACUAGGAAGAAAAAGAAUGGGAUAAUGAAAUGCUAUGCACAUUCUUAUCUAAUCACUUAAUCUCUCAAUACUCUUACGUACACCAUGUUCAACUUCUAUAGUGGUCGCUCUAAUAUGUCGGUUUCAAAUGAUUAAAUCUUCAUUGCGGGAUCAUUAUUAACAUAUUCCCAAGAUUGUGAAUCUCUUGGUGGAAUUAAGUCAAAUUCAUGACAUGGUACAAGCGUUGCCAAGUGCACGGAAAGUAUGUUUUCGGAGUGAUGUUAAAAUCAAAUAUGGACUCUUAAAAGAUCACUUCUUAGAUUGGUACUGUCCCAUUAGCUAUCUGAUUAUUAUGUAAUUUAUCCGAUGCUUGAAUAACAUCACUUCUAACAAGGUAGUAAUGAUUUCGCAUUUUUCCCCCACUAAAAUGGUUUUCCACUGUGGCAGCGACAGUGAACUGGUCAAAUUGGUAGUUGAGGAGGUCGUGCAAAAGUUGAAAACAAAACAAAGAUUGGUGACUGAAAAUUUGGUCGGAAUUGAUGAUCGAGUUAUAGCUGUAAGUGAAUUGUUAAACGUGGACUCUGGUGGUGUACGACUCAUCAAAAUUCAUGGCAUGGGGGGUAUCGGUAAAACAACUCUCGCCAAGGUUGUCUUCAACCGACUAUCUUCUCAUUUUGGAAAGUUUUCUUGUUUCCUUGAAGAUGUUCGAGUGAAGUCAUCAAAUGGCUUAGUUGAGUUGCAAAAAAAGUUAUUGUCUGAAAUCAGCCAUCCAGUAGUAGCAAGGAGAAUUGACGAAAUUGACGAUGGAAUGAAAAGGAUUGGAGAAGCACUUUGCAAUAAGAAAGUCUUCAUUGUACUUGAUGAUGUUGAUAGCAGCGAACAAGUGGAGAAAUUACUUGGAAAGAAUACUUUAUAUCUAGGAUCAAGGAUAUUGAUUACAACAAGAAAUAUAGAUGUUUUGCGAACCUAUAGAUCAAAGUAUCAAAUUUUGGAGUACGAAAUGGAGGUGAUGAGUUUUGAUUAUGCUCUUCAACUAUUCAGCAAGCAUGCAUUUGAUAGAGAUUCUCCCUUAGAUGAUUAUAGUGAUCUUUCAAGGGAAGUUGUAUCUAAUACUGGGAGACUUCCAUUGGCUCUUGAAGUAAUUGGUUCGUUACUCUACCACAAAGCACAAGAACAAUGGAAAAAGACAUUGACAAAGUUAAGAAAAGGACCUUGUGAGGAUGUUUUUGGAAAGUUAAAGAUCAGCUACGAUGCCUUAAGUUUUGAGCAACAGCAAAUUUUCCUUGAUAUUGCAUGCUUUUUCAUUGGUGAGGAUAAGACGAAUGCAUUUUACAUGUGGGAAGAUUACGACUUUUCCCCAGAUAUUGUAGUUGAUGUCCUCAUUAAUAUGUCUUUGGUAAAGAUUACGGAAAAUAAUAAGUUUUGGAUGCACAAUCAACUUAGAGAUCUUGGAAGGAAUAUUGUUCAUCGAGAAAAUCCAACGAAUCCUGGAAAGCGGAGUAGGAUAUGGAUUAACAAGGAGGUCAUUGAUGCAAUUAGAACAAAUGAGGUAAAGCACUUCUAGAAAAUCCUCACGAGGAAAUUAGAAGUUUUUCUACUAGAAAAUCUUCUAUCUGCACUAGGAUGCUCUUUUUUCUUUCUUUUUCCCAUUUCAAUCCUUUUCCUUUCAAAUAAGAUACCAAAUGCCACUAAUUUCCUACUCUCAUUUGUAGUUGAAGAAAAACGUACAAGCCCUGGAUCUUGAUCUAUUCAAAAUUGAUAAGGACACCAUUACAAGUGAAGAAAUUGGAAGGUUUGAACAUCUAAGGUAUCUCAAAUUACAGGGGGGAACAUUAGUUGGAAACUUAGCAAAUUGUCUGACCAAACUAAGAUGGUUGUUGUGGAGUCAUGCUCCUCAAAUGUCUAAGCCAACCAAUAUGCACUUACAGAAUGUUGUCGCUCUUCAAUUUGCAAGCAAUAACUCAAUUGAUGAUCCGAAACUACAAAGCUUUGUCAAGGUGUGUAAUAUGCUUACUUGUACUCUAUUUUCUCUUAAAGGUAAUAUUUGAUUGUUCAUCCAUUGAAUAUUGCGUUCAUUUGAUAGAUUGCAGGAAAAUUGAGAGUUCUUUCUCUUAAAAAAUGUGAGAGCAUAACCAGAACACCAAACUUCCUUGGAUGCCCAAAUCUAGAGAGGCUCACUUUUGAAGAGUGUUCCAAUUUGAGCAAAAUUGACAGCUCUAUUGGGAAGUUGGAGCGUCUGACUCACCUAAAGAUUGAUACUUGCUGCAGUCUUGAAGAUUUGCCUAAAGAAAUGGGGGACCUAAUGAAUCUAAAGCACUUCUUUUUACGGUGCCAUGAAGUGAAGAGACUCCCAGAUUCCAUAUGGAAGUUGAAAUCAUUUCAUGAGGUGCACCUUUUAGGCCACGUCAAUUCGGCAAAUUCAUGGGAGUUACCCAGUGCUAUUGGAAGUUUGCCCUUUCUAAGAAUCCUAGAUCUAUCAAAAAUUGGUGUCAAUGUAGUUCCAAAGUCCGUCAACAUGCUUCCUUGCUUACAAAGAUUGGAGUUGAGGGAUUGUGAUGAGAUUCAAGAGUUGCCAGCACUCCCAACAAGUUUAACCCAUCUAAUAGUGUCAUCUAAAUCAUUGCGGGUAGUCCCAAAUCUCUCAAACUUGACUAAUUUGGUUGAGUUGGAGCUAAAUGAUUGGCAAGGAGGAAGAGAUAAACUUUGUACUGGUGAAUUAUGGUGGAUUGGGAGGUUAUCCAAACUAACUAAAUUGAGCUUUGGACUUCACAAUGUCCCUACUCCUGUUGAGCUGGCUUCCCUUUCUUUGCUAAACCAACUUGAUUUGUUUGGAUUGGACUUGCAGACCAAUCCUCAACUUCCCAUGUCUCUACAAAAACUAGGCCUUCAUUAUCUCAGUUCGAUUGCAUCACUUUCUCUGAAUCUGAGUAAUUUGUCCUGUCUAGAGCUCUCUUGGUCUUCAAUGCAAGAAUUUCAACUCGAUGGGCUUGAAUUUUCAAAUCUAAAGGAGUUGCAUAUUAAAAUCUGUGCACCUCUCGAGAGACUCAGCCUAUCCAACAUGAGGAAGCUUGAAGAUGUCCACGUGAGAGAUUGUCCAAAGUUAGUUGAGAUCCAAUUUUCUGGGGCGUUCGAAUCAUUGAAGGCAUUGUCUAUUGAAAAGUGCAAGACCUUGGGAAGGCUAGUUUACGUGCGGGAAGCUGGGCACGAUAGUAAUGAGUCUGCUAAUGAGUUGAUUAGUUGUCAAGGGACACUAAUCCUUCUAUCGGGAGUAUUCAAUAAGCUGCAGUAUCUCAAGCUGGUGCGUUGCCCUAAGAUACUAACAAUUCAAGUUGUCGGUAAAUCAAAAUCAUGUGAGGCAUUCAAUGUUCAAGGUUGUACUUCGCUACAAAGUCUUCGUGAUUUUUCAAAUUUAAGCAACCUCAAGAAUUUACACAUCAAUGACAACGAUGGGCUAGAGGUUGUUGAGGGCCUUGACGAGCUAGAGUUUUUAAUAAACUUAGAAGUUCAUAACUGUGAAUUGUUGGAAAGGUUGAUUGACGUAUCAAGCACCAAAUUGCCCAAUGAUUGCCACAUGCGUAUCUCCGGUUGUGGGAAAUUACUCGGGGUUAACGAAGGAUUCAAUGGCUCCUUUAAGGCUUUCAAGAAUUAUGAGGUGAGUCAGAGCCAUUCUCUCUCGUUCUCUUUUCAGUUUUCUUGAGACGACCAUCCACAAACAUGAAGUCAGCUUCUAAGCAGAUUUGUAAUAAUUGUGGGAAAUCAAAAAACAAUUAAACAUGAAUUGACUUUGGUCUCACUUGUUUUAAAACCCACUCAAUACAAGUUUGUUUUGUUUUUUACUCGCGGUUUUAAUCUGCUUUCAUUUUUUUCCGUUUUUCUUUCCAUUUUUAUAUAUGAGAAAGUUCCAUAUUUGUAUCAAAGUCCAUGGGACAAGGUCAUUUUCCACCACAAAUAAUUGGAAAACGUCAAUGUCUAGAAGAAAUAUAUAGAAUAGCUCAAAGUCUCUUAUUAAAAUGCUCUUUUCAUUAUAUAUGGAGUGGAUUAUUUAGUUUAGCAUAUUUUUAACAUAAUAAUAUACUCCCCUUUAUUGUUCAUUUCUUAUUUAAUAUCGUUCAUUAUGGAGAUGAGUUUGGUGUUUGCAAUUUCUACCAUGAAAAUAGAACAUUAAAAGAACAAAUACUUAUUGCACAACUCAAAAUGAUCUUGCUAACGGAGGUGUUUCACGAACACAAUCUAUAUGGUCGGCCUAUCCACUUAUCAAGUGACCUAUGUCCUUAAUGGAAUUGAGUGUUACUUGAAUUUGCAAGUGGCUGGGGUUGGCCAAGUAGGAGGUGUAUCCCAAAAGCACGUGAAAUACUUGUUUAAAAUUUUACGGUUUGAUUAAAAGCCACUUCAAACAGGAACAGAAAAGCGAUUGCAAACAGGAACAGGAAAGUGACUUGGAGCGCAACUGCGGACAGAAACAAGAAGGCGACUUUGAACAGGAACAGGAAGGCUACUUCGAACCAGAAAUCGACUUGGAACGCGACUUUGAACAUAAACAGGAAAGCGACUUCAAACUGGAACGGGAGAGAGACUUCGAACAUGUGUUCCAAGAGGAACAGGAAAGCGACUCUGGAUGGAACUACGAAUCAGAACAGGAACAGGAAAGCGACUCUGGAUGGAACUACGAAUCAGAACAGGAACAGGAAAGCGACUCUGGAUGGAACUACGAAUCAGAACAGGAACAGGAAAGCGACUCCGGAUGGAACUUCGAAUCGGAACAGGAACAGGAAACCUGCUUUGAACUAGAAGGGGAGUUUCAACCAAAUAGAGGGCUAUCAGAUUCGGAAGAUUUAGAGGCUAAUCUUUAGAAGUUAGAAGAUUUAGAAUCAUAUCUUUAGAAGAUUGAACGUUUUCAAUUUUAUGUAUUUCUUUUCUUGCAAGUAAAUCUUCUAAAAUGUACUCUUGGGUAUAUAAAUGCCCACCCAUGUUUAAUGGAAACACAACAAUUUCUGUUUCAACAUGGUAUCAGAGCCAUCUAAGACUAACGUCCCUUUUCAACCCUAGCUUUCUUAUUCUUCUUUUUUCCUUCCAAGGGUGGUUGAUAUGACUCUAGAUCCUACCAUUGCCACCAUCAUAACUCCCAUUACAAACCCUUCUUUUACACUUCCUCCAUUCAGAUUUGCUCACCACUUCCUUUCUAUAUGUCUCAUAGCGUCCAAUUACUUGCUAUGGAAACCACAGGUUAUCCCAUUUCUCAAGGGACAAAACAUCUAUGGCUAUGUUAAUGGAACCACAAUGUAGCCCAACUAGCUCUCUAGCAACAGAAAGAUGCUUCCAUCAUGAGUAUUCUAAUUGCGUCGCUCUUAGAAUCUGUUUUACCUAUGAUUAUUGGUAAACCACCUAGUAAAGCCAUAUGGGAUGCUCUCAAUGCCUCUUUUGGCUUAGCUUCCAUUUCACGUAUGCUCUCUCUUCAUCUCAAUCUUCAACAUUUGCAACAAAAACAGGACAAAUCAGUUAUUGAUUUCCUCUUGCAUGUUAAAUCCAUUGCUGAUGAGAUGAAUGCUGCAGGAAAGCCACUUGAAUUGGAGGAUUUUAAUGUCCACAUCUUCCGUGGUCUUUGAUUUGAUCUCCAAGACAUUGUUUCUAUAUUACUUGGUUGUUCUAAGCUAAUCUUGUUUUUGGAUCUACAUCACGAGAGCAUUAAGGCCUUCCAAAAGUUGCAGAUUUUUUAGCCUUCCUCUCAAGCUAAUUUUGCUACAGCCGACUUUGCUCAACAAAAUGCCUGCACCCCUCCUAGUUCCUCUUUCUCUCUAACUGUGGUAAAUCUAGAGGUUGUGGGAGUCACAGUAGUUGCUUUGCCUAUGGUCAUGGUGCCCAUGGUCUUCAACAAGGUCAUUUUAUGGUGUUCCAUCUAUCAACGUGCAAAUCACAUUGCUGCCACAUGUUACUAUCGCUCUCCAAGUAUGCCUUAUCACUUGCUAUGACAUUCCAAAAUUUGGUCCCUGUUUCGAAUAUAUGAAAUGGUUGAUUCGUCGACACGCUUAUGGUUAAUUUACUCGAAACUGAUAACUCAUGAGUUAACUAAUCUAUUACGUGAGGCCAUUAAGAGAUAUAUAUGCGGUAGACUGGAAAAUUCGAUAUAAUCAGCAAAGGUCAAUAUGACACCAUUAUAAAUCGAUUAGCGAACGGAUAUGUCAUGCCCCAAUCCUCGAGCGCGCGCACAUCCCUUGGUGGUCGAUAAAAUUACAACGUCCUAGAAUGCGUCGCCGACCCAUUCAUUUUAUUGCACAUGCGGAAGUGAAUUAAAAACCCUUGACAACAAACAGUAUGGCAUAGGAAAGCAGGACAAUCACAUCAAACCAAACACUUUUAUAAACAAGCUAAGUUUAUACACAAAGGUCUACAAAAGAUUAGCUUUCAAAAAGGAACUGUCCUAUGACCACUAGUCGGACACGUUCACUGAUCACUCAAACUCCACUAGCUCCGAGGGCCCCGGGUCCUCCACAGCUCCAUCAGGAGGGUUAGCUGCACCCUCACCAAAAGCAGCAUCGACAACCACCGAGAGAAUCUCAAAACUCUUGAGGAGACCCACCCUAUGUCCAUUAAGUCCAUGGUGGAACCACGCCCUAAAUCGAUGAGGUACCCUCUUGGGUAGGCCUUCGUCGACCUAGACGGUGGUCACGACUAACUCGUAGACCCAAUGAGUACCAGGGAUCCAGACAUCUAUCCCCCACUCAGUAAUAGCCCGCGGCUGUCCAAAACGUUCUGAAGGAAUUGCCAUCUAAGGACUUGGAAAGAUUGAGCCCACGACGGGGUGAGACAAUGUCUCAACAAGUUCACCCCCUAAACCCCUAUUAGGAAGGAAAUACACCUAGAGGCGGCCUAACCACACAAUCAAUGAGACUCACCUUGCCUCAGUUCUUCCCUGCAUGUCAGCAUAGUCACAGAUGCGUAUAGCAAUUUCACACAUCAAUUGGAAUGUCUCAAUCAAUCACCUCUCAAUCAAUCACAGGAGUCCUGAUUAUAAGGCCAAAUUGUUAUGACAUGUCCCCUACCAUACAAUUUUGUCCCAUAAUCCGGCGCAUUUAUAUCAAUCAAUCACACAUUCCAAUUGAUUAUGGCCCUCAAGGCAUGGCCUACUCGACGUUUGGCAGUCUUCUAGCGUAGCCAGGCGUCACCUCAUCCCUUGAGCACAACAACGUCCACUCGACACACAUCGAGGACGGCAUUCCCGAAAGAGCUUCAGUCUGGCCUCUACCGCGAUCUGGCAUCCAUUGAUAAGGCACCCAUAUAAGGGCAACGUCCACCUGACGCACAUUGGGGACAGGUUCUCUUAACCAUCACACGAUCAUUCAAAUCCGGCCAAGGACAUUGUGCUUUGCACUCACAUGUCUCAAUUAAGAUUAUGACCUUGGCUUGUUUUCUUCGUAUUAAAACACUCGGUGAAAAUAAUCGCGUGUGGGUACAUGUUCAGAUCGAACCUUAAAAAUUGGUAUCAUUCCUUUUAAAAUCCCACUAAUUGAUGUAGUAUUUAAAAUCAUUUUCGGUGUCAAAAUUUGACACCUGUUAUUUUCUAAUUAAAUACCAAAAUUUCACGAUUUUGAAAUAAUGACUCAAAAAUCAAAAUCACCAUUCAAUUGCACUCAAUUGCAUAAACUAAGUACACCACUGCAAUCAGCACAAAAUUAUGAUCACUGGCUAUCCCGAUAUAAUUUCCGGAAAAUAAUAAAUAAUUAAAUAAAUACCAAAAAUUAUUAGAUAAUACAAAUUAAAUACCAUAAAUACCAACUUAGGCCGGAAAUGAUAAUCUAACCACCUAAACGGGCCAAGAAAAUUUUUAAACCUAUCUAGAUAAAUAGUAUAAUCUACCUAGUCCUUAAUUAGUCUAUUCUAACCACCUAACAUGCAUAAUUAAAUAACUAAAUCACUAAUCUAAACUAACUAAUCACUUCACCUCAUCUUAAUCUAAGCUAAUCACCCCUUAGGCAUCAUUAACCUCCUAAGCAAGGUUUAGCAAGUAAACUCACUAGUUUAGCGAGCCGGUGAGUCCACGGUGACGGUGGCACAGAGGCGAGCGAUAAACAAGCCUGUGGUGACACCAAGCGAGGUCUGGAUGGGCCUAGAAACAGGCCACAAGCUCUCACCUGGGCUAUGAGGUUCGGUCAUUGCUCGGGGCUGCUGGGCUGAACCGAAUGGGCUGAAAACGACAAGCAGGGAUGGUGGUGGCUGCAGCAGCUCUUGGCGAACUUGACAAAGGCAAACAGCGGCUGGUACAACAAGCUUGACGGCUGGACAGAGGGCUCGACGGCAGCUAAGGAUCCUGGGGGAUGGCGAGACGACGCAGGAUGAGCAGGACGCAAGCAAACUGGCGCAUGGGGCUCGAGCACUCACAGGUGUGUUGCUGGCGACGGCAGUAGAGCUCCGGCUGGUCAACUAGCAGGGGAAGCAACUGGCUGGUUUCCUGGUUUUCUUGAGCUCUCAAAUGACCACAACAAUGGAGAAAGGAGCAGCUGAAGGAAGAAGAAGGUGGCUGCCGAAGGAGGAACCCCAAAUGGCUUCCAAGGCUUCAACACCUAUCCAUUUCACUCAUUGACUGCCCCCACCUUGCUCAUCCAUCAUCUUCAACCAUUAUCGACUCCCAAGCUUCCCCAACAAGCCAUUAAAAUGGUCCAAAAGGUUGCUCUCCGCCCCCCCCUUAGCUACGAAUUUGGACAUUUGCCUCUUCAAUAUGAUUCAAUUUCCCGUCAAAUCAAUCUAAUUAAAGCCCAAACAAUUCAGCCAAGGUGCUCACAUCACAUUUCACAUUUUCCCUCAUCAAUUGAACCAAUUUGACAGCCAAAAAUAUGACAAAAAAUGGCCCUCUAAUUUUCUCGGUCCAAAAUAACCUUACUUUGACUUUUCGCCGAAAUCUUGAUUUUGCAAAGAAAUCUUUGGAAGAUGAGUCGACAUUCCUAAAAUGAAUCAUGACAUGACAAAACUUUCAAUUUUUGAAAGCGGGUUCAAAUUUGUGGUUAAUUUCAACCGGACGUGAUUUUAGUGUAACCUAUGUCACACCCCGACCCUUAAGCGCGCGCACAUCCCUCUGCAGUCGAUAAUAAAAAUGCGACUUCCCAGAACGAGUCACCGACCCUUUCAUUUUAUUGCACAUAUGGAAGCAAAUAAUAAACCCCUAACAAUAAAUAACAUGGGAUAGGAAAGCAGGGCAACAUUUCAUAAAAGCCAACUUUUAUAAACAACGGGUUUAGAAACAAAACAAGUCUGGUCAAAGGUCUACAAAAAGGUCAGCACUCAAAAAAGAGUUGUCCUAUGACAAAAUAUUCAGACACAUACGCCAAUCCUUCAGACUCCAUCUCCACAUACUCCAGGGCUUCAGGUCCUCCACAACCACCAACUAAGGACCUGAAAAUUUAAUCCCAUGAUGGGGUGAGAUGUUGUCUUAGCAAGUUCACCCCCUAAACUUAUAUUAGGAAAAAAUACACCCAAGGGUGGCCUAACCACACAAUCCAAAGAACUUACCUCAUCUUAGUUCCCUCAUGCACGUCACCACAGUUCAUAUACACAAUUGGCAUAUAAUUAAGGCACACAACAAUUGAAACGCCUCACUCAUCUCAGUCAAUCAUAGGAGUCCUGAUUAUAAGACCAAACCGUAUGACACGUCCCAUAACAUGCCACACGAUUUUGUCUUAUAAUCAAGCUCAGCUAACUCGACCAACCAUGCGUUCCAAUUGUUAAUUACACCCCUCAAGGGUACGGCCAACUCUGAUUUUGGUUGUCUUCUGGCAUAGCCAGGUAUCGUCUCACCUCCUUUGAGCACGAUUACGUCUCUCAAAGACGGCUUUCCCGAAGGAGUAUAGGUCCAGAAUCUACUACGACCCAAGUCCUAAAUGAAUGGGUAACGUCCGACGUAAACGCUUGGGAUAGGUUCUCUUAACCAAUACAUGACCAUUAAAAUUUGGCCUAAGACAUCGUACAUUGCACUCAAAUGCCUCAAUUAAAAUAGUGAUCCUGACAUAUUUUCUUCAUAUUAAAAAUACCCACUAAAAAUAGUCGUAUGUAGGUACACAGUCAAAUCAAAUUAGAAAAAUUGAUUUCCUCCAAUUUAAAAUCACACUGUUUUAUAUAGUAUAUAAAACUAUUUUUGGAGUUAAAAUCUGACACCUAAAAUUUUAUGAAUAAAUAAUGGAAUUUCCCAAAUUUUGGAAUAAAUGACCAAAAAUCCAAUCAGCACUCAAUUUACACAAAUUAACAUCUAGUUACAUAAACUAAUCACACAAUUGCAAUCAACACGAAAUUCCAGUCACUGGCUAUCUCGGUCUAAUUUUCGAAAAAUAAUAAAUAAUUACCAAAAUUAAUUAAAUAAAUACCAAUAAACGCAAAAAAAUGCAAACCUACAUUGGAAAAGCCUAAUUAAAUACCGAAAUGGGCCCGGAAAAUUUCCGAACCAUUUAGAUAAAUACUAUGACUUAUCCAGUCUCUAAUUACACUACUCUAACCACGUAACAUGCAAAAUUAGAUAAUUAAAUCACUAAUCUAAUUUAACUAACCACCUAAGCCUUAAUUAACUUAAACUAAUCACCCCCUUAGCAUAAUUAACCUCCUAAGCAAGGUUUAGUGAGUAAACUCAACGAAUUAGCGUUCCGAUGAGUCCAUGGCGAUGGCGACAUAGAGACAGGCGAUAAACUCCGAAACGGCGACACCCAGCGGAGACCGAACGGACCCCAAAACGGGCUUAGAGGCUUCCAAGCCCUUUCUGGAAUUCGGUUCUGUCCAAGAACCGAAAUGGCUUGGCCAAGCAAUGAAACGAGCUGAAAUAUGUGGGUCGGGCUGAUUUUGGCUUGACUAUGCUGCAAUGUGGGUUUCGAAUGGGUUGGAUCGGCAUGGAGGUUGAAGCGUGAAUGCUCGCAGCGGGCUGAGGUCAACAUUGGGGCUUGCUGGAUGUUGAAGAAGUUGCUAUGUUGACUCGGUGAAGUGAAUUGGCAUUAGGGGGGAAUGUCGUGGACGAAGGGGGGAGCAGCAAAAGAGGAUCAGUGGGGUUGCUGCAUGGGAAAGAUGGAGGGUCGGUGGAGGGUGUGGGCUGGCGUGAGCUGCUUCGGUGGACACUAGUCAUGGAGAUUUGCGGUCAACAAACCAGUUGAGGGAGUCACAGAGAUGACUGGGAUGUGGCAGCUACUAGUGCUGCUUCGGUGGGGAGUAUGGGUAAACGGAGGGAGAGAGAUGCGAGGAAUUGGGGUGAGCUUCGAAGGAAGAAUGAAGGGAAAUGAAAAGCAAAGCAAAAACCGAUGGAGUCGGCAUCGAAGGGGAGAGAAGAGAAGCUGAAGGAGGGGGACAACGACGGAAGGGCAUCUAGCUUAGCUCGCCCAAGAAGAUUGAAAAAAAGAAGGGGGAAAGUCAACACUAUUAUCCACUUAAUUGAAUGCUUGUCCCCUAAUUCUUUCUAGCAUAAUAAUUCCACAAUUAAUCCAAUUUUGAUGCCAAAAUUGCUGCCCCAUGCCUAGCUCUGAAUUUACUAAAUUUGGACUUCAAUUUCAUCACGAAAUUCCCCAAUUUAAUGUCCAUUUUUGUUGAAAAAGAAGCCCACACAAUUUCUGCAAGUUCCCAACACCAAAUAUCACAAUAUGGAGGCCAAAAAUCCCUUCAAUUUGGCCCAUCCGAAUUUCCGUUCUUUUCCGAAUCGUCCGCACUGAUUUUACGUAAAAAUCCCGAACUCGCCGACAAUUCUUCGAAUGAUGAGCCGACAUUCCUAAAAUAAAUCGUCACAUGAUAGAACUUUCAAUUUCUAAAAUCAGGUACAAAUUCAUGGUUAAUUUCAAUAUGACAUGAUUUUAGGGUGACCUAACCUAUCGGGUAGCUUUUAGGAAUAUUUAGUGCAAUUGACCCGUGGUCAAUUAUUUUCGAGCCACAUUGUGCUUCUUCGACACAAUGGCGACUCUCGGUUAUCGUGAAAAUCUCAAGGUCUUAAAUACGGACAUAGGGUACGAAAAUGAUAGAAAAAUCGAUCUAGUGCCAUUCGAUAGAAUUUUCACGAUUAGAUGGAAUCACCCACACACUAGUCACAUACCUCUAUUGAAUAGAACUAUCUCUGAUCUUUAAUCGAUUUUGUCGGUAUCGUAAUGACCCUUGCAGAUUAGCAUGGUCGAGCAAUCGAUUCCUAGUCGAAUUCUCAAGUCUAUUGCGUUUAGAUUCCUUAACGGCUUCACCUAAUAGGAAAGUUAUCUCAUGAGGGGCCCACUUAGAGAAAAAGGCCAUAGGCGUAUCGAUGAAAAGCCCAUUUCAUCUCAUUGAAAACAUACUUGAAAAUCAGGAUAUCACAACUUUUCCCCUCUUAUAAAAAUUUCAUCCUCGAAAUUUCAACCUAUUACAAAUCUUAAACAAAAAGGUGGGGGUACAGUCGUCUCAUCGAAUCUUCACUUUCCCAGGUUACUCCUUCAAUAUUGUGGUGCUGCUAGACCACUUUGACCAACGAGAUGUUCUUAGUACGCAUAAUUUGUUCCUUGUGAUCCACAAUCUAAACCGGGCAUUCAACGUACGACACUUUGUCAUCCACGUCCAAUUCCUCAAAAUUAAGCACAUGGGUCGAGUCAGGCUCAUACUUCCUCAACAUCGACACAUGAAAGACGUCAUGCACUUACAUUAACCUCGGCGAUAACGCAAGACAAUACGCUAGGAUCCCGAUUAUUUCAAGAAUCUCAAAGGGACCUACGUACCUCAGACUCAGCUUUCCCUUCUUGUCAAAGCGUGAAGUACCCCUCAUUGGUGACUCAUUUAGAAAGACGUGAUCACCAACUUGGAAUUUCAAUGGUCUCCGAUGCUUAUCGGCGUAGUUUUUCUAGCAGCUUUGAGCAGUCUUUAAUUUAUCCUUGGUAACGGCAACUGCAUCUACUGACUACUGGACUAACUUUAGACCUGUGAUCAUUUUUCCCCGACUUCAUCCCAACACGUUGACGUUCUAUACGUUCUACCAUACAACGCUUCGAAAAGGAGCCAUCUGAAUGCUCUGCUAGUACUUGUUGUUGUAGGUGAACUCGACGAGAUGAAAUUGUACCUCCCAACUUCCCUUGAAAUCCAACAUGUAAGCUCGCGGCAUGUCUUCGAGGGUUUGAAUCGUCCUCUUAGACUAGCCAUCCGUCUAAGGAUAAAACAUCGUGCUAUACAACAGCUUCGUUCCUAAGGCGGUUUGCAAACUUUUCCAAAAGGCAGCUAUAAACCUCGAGUCUCGAUCUAAUGUAAUCGUUACUGAAAGUGCUAGUAUUGUCACGCCCCAAUCCUCGGGGACGCGCCCAUCCUUCUUAUUGGUCAAUUUUAAAGUGCGAUAUCCCAGGACUAGGUAUCGCCGACCCUUUCAUUUUAUUACGUAGGCGGAAGCAGUUAUAAAUCCCCAGAUAAUAAAACAAUGGGAUAGAAAAGCAUGCCAUAUUUUUCAUAUUGAAAUUCACAACCACACUUUCAUUAACAGCACAACUCAUAGUAUAUUUACAAUACUAUUCACAACAUACUUGUCUCACACCUAUCUACAUCAAGACAGGGUUUACAAAAGGGAUGGGAUCUCAAUCCACAUCUGGGUUAUACUCAAGAUCCCUCUCUGGAUCGUCUGCUUCUUCAAAAGUCUUUCUCCCCUUCAGGUUCCUCCUCCUCAGCUUCUCCUCAGGGUUCUGAAAUGGUUAUUCAAUAACCAAUGAGACCACGUCUCAGCAAGUUUUACCCCCUAAGACUCGAUUAGUAAACUAAUAUGCUAACCGGGCUACCUAUACACAUACGAGUCAGAGGACUUACCUUAGCCUCAGAUUCCACCUGCAUAUUAGCACAGUUCAGUAGGCACCCAAGUAAUCACAUUACUGAUCGAAGCAUCGAUCAAAUUGACCUAGUCGAUUACAUGUCAAUCAGACCAUCUCAUGGUCAUUUCCAAUCAACCAGUCAAUUCACAACAUCAUAUCAAAGCAAUGAUUAAUCGACCUAGUCGAUUAUAUGUCAUCACGACCCAUGUUUGGUUGGUACAUUCAAUACUAUCUAUAAGUCCAACCAUAGUCAAGGACUGCUCACUCUAAGCUGAUACAUAGAUAGUAUAGCUCGCACUAAGCUGAUAGGGUUAAGGUAUACUGCUUUCGCUAAGCUGACAUAUCACCCGUAGGUUGAUAUAGUAUACUGGUAUACUGCUCUCGUUAAGCUGACAUAUCGCCCGCAGGCUGAUAUAAUAUACCUCCGAUGCUCACACUAAGCUGAUAAAGUCUGCUCGCGCUAAGCUGACAUAUCGCCCGUAGGCUGAUAUAGUACACCAAUAUACUGCUCUCGCUAAGCUAACAUAUCAGAGCCCGUAGGAUGAUAUAGUAUACUAUCCGACCAUUCAAUCCAUUCCAUCUUUUAUCCUUCUCGAUAAAAUAGCCGUGUGUGUGGACACGGUCGGCCUUAUCCAAAAUAUAAUAUUUUCCUUUCCAUAACUCCCACAUUUUCUGUAGCCCACUCAGAUCCUUUUGGCAUUAUCAACUGAUGCCCAGUUAUUUUUCAAUUAAUAACCAAUGAUUAUCCAAUUAAAGAAUAAUUCCCUCUUUCACAAAUAAUUCAAUUCAGCAUGAAAUAGAGCUCAAUUAAAUAAACAGACUGUGCCACGACAAUCAGCAUAAAAUUUUGGUCACUGGCCAUCCCAAUUGAAUUUCCAGGAAAUAAAUAAUUAAAUAAUUAAUUUUGGAAAAUAAAUAAAUAAAUACAAUAAAUUCAAUUUAGCACAAUAUAAAGCUCAAUUAAAUAAACGGACUGCACCACGAUCAUUAGCAUAAAAUUCCGGUCGUUGGCUAUCCCUGCCUAAUUUUCGGAAAAUAAAUAAUUUAUUAAAUUAAUUUCGAAAAUUAAUAAUUAAAUACUAAAAAUCCAAUUUAGGCUAGUAUUGCCUGAUUGGACGCCAGAAUGGAUCGGGAAAAAUCCCGAGAUGCAUUCAAUAAAUAGAAGUACGUCUCUACUUGCUAAUAACUAAGUCUAACCACCUAACAUGCAUCAUUAAGUCACUAAUUUAAUUGUCCUAAACUAAUCUAACCACCUAAUUGCACUUAAUUAAAUCUAACCAACCCCUAACCAUAAUUAGCAAACUAAGAAAGCAUCAGUGAGUAAAACUCACUUGGUAAAAGCGGAGACCGAAUCACCAUGAUGGCAACGCGACAGCAGUCGAAACUCGGGUUUUCGGCGACAUCGACGGGCACACGGACCAGGCCUAAAAGCCUCGCAAGCCCACAGAAAAUUCUAGGCUUGAACUAAACUUGGGCCCGAGCUUGGGUUGACUUGCUUAGCGAGCUUGGGCUUUAAGAUUGGGCUGUUAAAUUGGGCCUCAAAUUACUGGGCUGAUCUUGCUUUAAAGAAACUGUUGGGCUGAUUUCUUGUGGGCCUGACUUUGCUUGGGCUUCAAAUGGCGUGGGCUCAAUGCAGCUGCUGUUCACUUGGGCUGCGAUAUAGACUACCAUUGGCUGAAGACACGGGCUUGAAUCAAGCUAGGCCGUGACAAUUUCGUGUGGGCUGUUGUACGCCCUGUCUUCGGAUGAGAUGGACUCGGACGAGAUGAUCGAUCGAAGAAACAGCAAAGGCUGAUGUUGGGCCACGAAAACUGAAGACCAACGUUACUGGAGAAGGCGGUUUUCGCUGGGCAGAUUUGCUUCAGCAAGGAAAUCCACGGGUUGGGGGUCAAUGAUGAGGAAAGCAGCUGGAUUCUUGGCCACGUGGAGUGAAGAUCGGUGGGGGAGUGAGAGACGUGCGCAGAGAUGAGCAGAGGUGGGAGCUUCGAGCGGUUUGCUGGUCAACAACCGACAGAAAUGAGAAGCUUCGGUGGACUUCUUUCGUUGAAAUAAGCUUGACCAAACAAGCUGGAUGGACUUCGGCUUCGCUGAUAGCUUCAAGGAAUUUCGGUGGAGAGACAGCAAGAGGGGGAGAGAGAUCACGGGGCUGUGGUCUUCGAUGAUGCUGGGCCAAGAGACGCGGACGAAGGAAGCAGUAGCUACGGACUACGUUGCUGGAGUCAACACUCGAACAUGGGGUUUAGCUGGUGUUGACUGUGGGGACGCGUGGCUGCAAGAUGGAGGGGUCUGCAAACCGAAGUCAGCUUCGGUGGAGUUGGGGUUACUUCAGCAGCUCGUCUUCAUGAAGUUGGAUGAAGAUACGUCAAAGAAAAAGAACAAAAGGGCAGAAGGUUUCGGUAGAGAUGGCGGUUCUUUGCAAAGAGGAAUGAAAGCGAAGCAGAGCCACAGAGAUGGAGAGGAAAUGAUCAUGGAACCGAAGCUGUUUGCUUUGACAAGAUGAAAAGAAAAGUGAGGCAGAAGCAGGAGACGUCGCACAACUGGAGGGAGGCGGUGGACAGGCGUGCGAUGGAAGGAAGCCAGCUAAGAUGAAAUAAAAAUCCUCAAUCCUUAGCCAAUACAUUAAUACCUUGGCCCCACAAGCCCACAAUGUUAUCCUUUUUGUCCCCCCCCCCCCCCCAAUCACUUUCAAGCUUAUUAACUCACAAAUAAACCAAUUUAAAGUCCAAAAUUGCUGCCCUCAUCCUAUCAUACGAAUUCCACAACUUGAGCUUCAAAUCUUCAUGAAAUUUCUCAAAUCGACGUCCAAUUUCAUCGUGGAAAAAGCCCAUAGAAUUUAUACAAAUCCCUAUCAGCACAUAGCCCACUAUGGAAGUCCAAAUUUCUUUCAAAUGAGUCCAUUCGAAUUUCCGAUAAUUUUCCGUGACGUCUGAUUCAAUUUUCCGCAAAAAUCUCAGAAUCUCUGAAAAAUCUUCUGAGAUUGAGUUGACAUUCCUAAAUUAGUUCGUGACACCACAGAAUUUUCAAUUUUUGAAAUUGGGUUCGAAUUCACGGUUAAUUUCCAUUCGGCGCGUUUUUAGCGUGACCUAGGCUACCGGUUAACUUUCAGAACUUUUCAGUGCAAAUGACCCGUGGUCGAUUUUCUUCGAGCCACAAUGAACCCACUUGACUCAAUGAUGACUCUCGAUUGUCGUGAAAAUCUCAAGAAUUCAAGUACGGACACAAGAUAUCAAAACGAUAAGAAAAUCAGUCUAGUGUUGAUCGACGAGAAUUUUCCAAUUUAGUGGUGUCACCCACGAUUAGCCACACAUCUCAAUCGAACCAACAUGUAUCUGAUCUCAAAUUGAUUUAUAUCUAUGCCGUAAUGGUCUCGACAGAUGAGCACGGUCAAGUAGCCGAUUCCUGAUCGAAUUCUCAAGUCUUUUUGCUUUAAAAUUCUUAAUGGUUUCCCCAUAUAGACUAGUUAUCUCUAGAAUAAUCAGUUCUGAGAAUAGCCCUAUAGACGCGUCAAUUAAAUGCCCGAUUUAUUCAAUAGAAAACAUGACUGAAAAUCUGGGAUGUCACAAGUAUGAACACCUAGAGGGAGGUGAAUAGGUGUUUAAAAUAAACCUUGGCAAAUAUAUGCGGAAUAAAAUAAAUUUUGAGCAAAAUAAAGGAGUUAAGGAAGAGAAUAAGAACACAAGAUUUAUAGUGGUUCCGCUUAAUCCAAGCCUACGUCCACUCUCCCACACUAACAGCCUUCUUGGUUGGAUUCCACUAUGCAAUCAACAAGAGAUUACAACUUUUAGUGCAAACACUUAGUAGUAGAUCACACUAUCUCACUAAGUCACUCUUUUGGUAUUUCUCUCACGAUCACAAACGUUUAAGCUCACCAAAGACAAGUGUAUGAACAAAGAUCACUCAAACUUUGGAAUUAUAAAUUCUACGCUCCGUCUCUUUCUUGCUCAUCGAUCCUUGAUCUCCUUAAAUACUCCUCCACUUCCAAACUACCCGUUGGACAAUAUCUCGAGGAUCGUCUUCCAAUCUACCCGUUGGACAGAUCUUUAUGUAGAAGAUUUGGUAGCCAUAAGUAGAGCUUAUUCGUAUAGAAAGUUCUUGUCUUCAAUAUUCAAUCGUCAAUCAAUUAGAUCGAGUCAAUCAAAUCAAUCUUGAUAUGGAAUCCAAACCAGAUCACUAGCCAUUAUAUGAUUGGGGCUUGUGUUACGUUCUGUCGAAUGUGGAUAUAAAGUUUGAGAGCAAUAGACUUUACUACUGAGUCUGAGUGCAAUAGAUUUUACAAUUUGGGUCUAAACAUAUUUUGCUUUUGAACAGAUUUAGCUUUAAGGUCUGAACACAGUCUAAAUAAGUUCAGCUUCAGCAUAGAGUUUGUCUUCUUAUUCAGCUUCAUUCACGUUCAGUCUGGAAUUUGUCAGAAUAAGUAGACUUCUGAUGUAAAACAGACUUUGAUACUAAAGUCUAGCAGUCUUCAAACUUUGAUACAAAAGUCUGAAAAUCUUCAGAAUAUACUUUGGACAUAUGUUACAUACAGUCUUCUGGUCGUCUUCACACUUUGAUAAUAUCACUUACAUGUUCUAUCUUCUGCAUGAUCUAUUACUUAACCAUUAAACAUGUUAGUAGCCUUUGAUUUAUUUUGUCAUUUUCAAAACAUCAUAAGGGAUUUCCCUAACAGUUACCGGCACUCUAUGCAGACGAACAAUCUGACGCACGUACAAUUCUGUGUGCCUGUCCAAAUCGAGGUCUUUUCGUACCGCGAUGAAGUGAGCCAACUUCGUCAGUUUAUUGACCACUACCCAAAUAGAGUCAUUACCUCUCUGACUCCUUGGUUAGCCUGUCAUAAAAUCCAUUGUGAUAUGUUCCCAUUUCCACUCGGCUUACAAUGCUGUGCCUUCACUUGUUGACACAUCAAACACUUAGCUACAUGUUUGGCAAUAUCUGCCUUCAUACCAGACCACUAAUAAUAUUGACGCAAAUUCUGAUACAUUUUCGUGCUACUAAGAUGAAUGUUGUAACUGCUACGAUGAGUUUAUGAUAGGAUCUCCUCCUUAAGGGCUGCAUCGUUAGGUACACACAAUCGUCCUCGGAACCUUAGUGUUCCAUCAUCAGAAAUGUGAAAGUGUCCCAUAAUUCUUUCUAGCAUAAUAAUUCCACAAUUAAUCCAGUUUUGAUGCCAAAAUUGCUGCCCCAUGCCUAGCUCCGAAUUUACUAAAUUUGGACUUCAAUUUCAUCACGAAAUUCCCCAAUUAAAUGUACAUUUUUGUUGAAGAAGAAUCCCAUACAAUUUCUGCAAGUUCCCAACACCAAAUAACUCACUAAGGAGGCCAAAAAUCCCUUCAAUUUGGCCCAACCAAAUUUCCAUUCUUUUCCGAAUCGUCCGCACUGAUUUUUCAUAAAAAUCCCGAACUCUCCAAAAAUUCUUGGAAGGAUGAGUCAACGUUUCUAAAAUAAAUCUUCACACGAUAGAACUUUCAAUUUUUGAAAUCAGGUUCAAAUUCGCAAUUAAUUUCAAUAUGACGCAAUUUUAGUGUUACCUAACCUACCAAGUAAUUUUUAGGAAUUUUUAGUACAAUGGACCCGUGGUCGAUUGUUUUCAAGCCACAUUGUGCAUCUUCGACACAUUGGCAACUCUCGGUUGUCAUGAAAACCUCAAGGUCUCAAAUACGGACACAUGGUACGAAAAUGACAGAAUAAUCGGUCUAGUCCCGUUCGAUAGAAAUUUCGCAAUUAGGUGGAAUCACCCACACACUAAUCACAUACCUCUAUUGAAUCAACCUAUCUCCGGUCUUUGAUCGAUUUUAACGGUGCCAUAAUGACCCUUGCAGAUUAGCACGGUCAAGCAAUCGAUUCCUAGUCCAAUUCUCAAGUCUAUUGCAUUUAGAUUCCUUAACGGCUUCACCCGAUAGGCUAAUUAUCUCGUGAGGGGCCCACUCAGAGAAAAAGGCCAUAGGCGUGUCGAUGAAAAGCCCAUUUCAUCUCAUUGAAAAGAUACUUGAAAAUCAGGAUGUCACAACUCUUCCCUUUCAUAAAAAUUUCGCCCUCGAAAUUUAAACCUAUUACAAAUCUUAAAUAAAAAAGUGAGGGUACAGUCGUCUCAUCGAAUCUUCACUUUCCUAGGUUGUUCCUUCAAUGCCAUAGUGUUGCCAAACCACUUUGACCAAUGAGAUGAUCUUGAUGCGCAUAAUCCAUUCCUUGUGAUCCAUAAUCUGAACCGCGUUUCCAACGUACGACACUCUGUCGUCCACGUCCAAUUCCUCAAAAAUAAGCACAUAGGUUGGGUUAGGCUCAUACUUCCCCAACAUUGACAUGUGAAAGAUGUCAUGCACUUGUGCCAACCUCGGCGGUAAUGCAAGACGAUAUGAUAGGAUCCCGAUUAUUUCAAGAAUCUUAAUGGGACCUACAUACUUGGGACUCCGCUUUCCCUUCUUGCCAAAGCAUGAAGUACCCCUCAUUGUUGACAUAUUCAGAAAGACAUGAUCACCAAUUUGGAAUUCCAAUGGUCUCCGACGUUUAUCAGCGUAGCUUUUCUAGCGGUUUCGAGCGAUUUUUAAUCUAUCCCUGAUAACGGCAACUACAUCCACUAACUGCUGGACUAACUCUAGACCUGUGAUUUUUCUUUUCCCAACUUCAUCCCAACACACUGGCGUUCUGCACACUUUGUCAUACAACGCUUCGAAAGGAGCCAUCUAAAUGCUCUGCUAGUCAUUGUUGUUGUAGGCGAACUCGACGAGAUGAAGUUGUUCCUCCCAACUUCCCUGGAAAUCCAACACGCAAGCUUGUAGGAUGUCUUCGAGGGUUUGAAUCGUUCUCUCAAACUGGCCAUUUGUUUGAGGAAGAUACGCCGUACUGUAUUGCAGCUUUGUUCCUAAGGCGGUUUGCAAAUUUUUCCAAAAGGCAGCUAUAAACCCUGAGUCUCUGUUUGAUGUAAUCGUUAUCGGCACUCCAUGUAGACGAACAAUCUGACGCACGUACAAUUCUACGUGCCUGUCCAAAUCAAGGUCCUUUCGUACUGCGAUGAAGUGAGCUAACUUCAUCACUCUGUUGACCACUACCCAAAUAGAGUCAUUACUUCUCUGACUCCUUGGUAAGCCUGUCACAAAAUCCAUUGGGUAUGUCCCCAUCUCCACUCGGGAAUCUCAAGAGGUUGCGAAAGUCCUCUCGGCUUACAAUGCCUUCACUUGCUGACAUGUCAAACACUUGGCGGCAUGCUUGGCAAUGUCCGCCUUCAUACUAGACCACUAAUAAUGUUGACGCAAAUUCUGAUACAUUUUUGUGCUACUAGGAUGAAUUCGGUAACUUCUACAAUAAGCUUCUGACAAGAUCUCCUUCUUAAGCGAUGCAUUGUCAAGUACACAAUCGUCCUCGAAACUUUAGUGUUCCAUCAUCAUAAAUUUGAAAGUGUCCCCUAAUUAUUUCUAGCAUAAUAAUUCCACAAUUAAUCCAAUUUUGAUGCCAAAGUUGCUGCCCCAUGCCUAGCUCCGAAUUUACCAAAUUUGGACUUCAAUUUCUUCACGAAAUUCCCCAAUUUAAGGUCCAUUUUUGUUGAAGAAGAAGCCCACACAAUUUAUGCAAGUCCCUAACACCAAAUAACUCACUAAGGAGGCCAAAAAUCCAUUCAAUUUGGCCCAACCGAAUUUCCAUUACUUUCCGAAUCAUCUGCAUUGAUUUUUCGUAAAAAUCUCGAACCCACCGAAAAUUCUUCGAAUGAUGAGUUGACAUUCCUAAAAUAAAUCGUCACAUGAUAGAACUUCUAAUUUCUGAAAUCGAGUUCAAAUUUGCGGUUAAUUUUAAUCUGACGUGAUUUUAGCGUGACCUAACCUACUGGUAGUUUUUAGGAAUUUUUAGUACAAUUGACCCAUGGUCAAUUAUUUUUGAGUCACAUUGUAUAUCUUUGACACAUUGACGACUCUUGGUUGUCGUAAAAAUCUCAAGGUCUUAAAUAUGGACAUAGGGUACAAAAAUGAUAGAAAAUCGAUCUAGAGCCGUUGGAUAGAAAUUUCGCAAUUCGGUAGAAUCACCUACACACUAAUCACAUACCUCUAUCGAAUCAACAUAUCUUCGAUCUCUUGACGGUGUCGUAAUGACCCUUGCAGAUUGGCACGGUUGAGCAGUCAAUUCCUAAUCGAAUUCUCAAGUCUAUUGCAUUUAUAUUCCUUAACGGAUUCACCUGAUAGGUUAGUUAUCUCGUGAGGUGCCUACUCAGAGAAAAAGCCCAUAGGUGUGUCGAUGAAAAACUCAUUUCAUCUCAUCGAAAAUAGACUUGAAAAUCAGGAUGUCGCAAUUCUUCCCCUCUUAUAAAAAUUUCGUCAUCAAAAUUUAAACCUAUUACAAUUUCUAAAUAAAAAGGUGGGGGCAUAAUCAUCUCAUCGAAUCUUCACUUUCCCAAGUUGCUCCUUCAAUGCUGUGGUGAUGCCAGACCACUUUGACUAAGGAGAUGGUCUUGGUGCGCAUAACUAAAUUUUAGCGACCCAGUCAUUUAUUUAAUGCAUAGAAAAUUAGGGAUUAAUUUUAUCGCUGAAAAAAUAUUAGAAUGCAUAGCAUAUAAUUUUAUAUGCAUUUAUUCUUUACCAAAAAAAAAACUUUAGAUGCAUUUAUUUAUUCUAAUUGCAUUUGCAUUGGACCGGUGACGAAUGGGUUUGAUUUGAUGGUUCUGAGCUUUAAUUUGACAAGUUGGACUAAACCUAUGAGAGAGCAAAUUGGCGCCCAAGCCCAUAUUCUCAAGGAAAUAUUCUACGGUCAUCUUUGCAAGGUUUGAAAUUUGAAAAAAUCCUAUUGCAAUUUUGAAUCUUUGACAAUAUGUGAUAAAAUCGGUGGAGAAUAUUCAUUGUUGCAAAGGAAAUAUAUAAAAGAUGAGGAAAUAAAUAGGAUUUUGCAUUCGGGAGGUUAUAGGCGAUCUUCGUGCAUAUUGAAAAAGGAGAUAAAAUAUUCCACGAAGAUCACAUUCUUGGCUAAUAAAAGGAGUCAUGUACAAUGAGAAAAGGAGGCCACACAUUGAAUAUAUGGCCACACAAAAGGGGGGUUUUUUUAGUCACAUUGAAAGGGGGCUUCUUCUCGACUUCUAAGUCAAAAUUCAACAAAAAGCAAAAAAAAAAAAAAAAAAUCGUUCUUUGGGCAGAGGGUUUUUUCUUUGAUCGUUUUAGGGGAGAAGCAACAUUAAAAAAGGAAAAGUUCUUGAGGAAAAGUCAACAAAAGCAAAAGAGAGCAGAGAAAGGGCAGUGAGUGAGAUGUGAACAGAGAGUGGGACAUGAGGGGACAAUGCAGCAGAACAGGAAAAGGAAAAAAGAACAGAAAAGGAAAAAAAGAGGAAAAGCAAGAGGGCUAGUGUUCUUCUUCUCGACUGAACUCCCUCACCUUCAAGCGUUGGUGUCUCUCUCAACUCACCACUGCCGCUCCGCCUGCAACCCAACACCGUCACGACUUGCAACCACCACGUUCCACUCGCCACAUCUUUGAGCGACCCCCUGUGACAGUUCCACCCAACGUCGCUGUCACGACCUGCCUCUACUAGCCCAGCACUCGAGCUCCCCUGUUGCUGCAACCUACGCUUCCAACGCUACCCUACUUCGCCUGACCUGCAACCAAGUCUCCGUUGCCGCCGUUAGUAGCCGCUCGACUCCUCACAACGACUUGACGCUCACCAUUACUGUAGAUCACGACGCCAGGACCCGUUGCUAAGUUGCCCUACUACCCGAGUGCCGCUACUGCCUCGACACUAGUAGGUCUAGAAACUAAACGCCGGCCCCCCUAUACGUUGCUCCGAGGCCCAAGCAAUGCCGCCACUUCCGCCCGCCCCUGAUUCCCUCAUUGGAGUUUCAAAUGACAACCCAUCACCCUCAAGGAACCACCACAGCUGUGACAUCCAGAUUUUCGGGUUCUAAUUUCGACUAGAUAAAUAGGGCCGUUUUAAUCGGAAUUUUGUAGAGGACCAUUUUUAUUGUGAAAUUGGGAUGCAAGAUGGGUUAUUGGAUGAUGAAAAAUAACAAUUGAAGCAUGGAGACAUUGAUUAAUUUUAUAGAGGCUAAGUAAGAGUGAAUCAUGAGGAAGUGGUUGUGCAAUUGAAGCCAUUGCUAGGAAAUUCGUAACAUCCCCACACCCUAGCAAGAAUGGACCACUUGGGAGGUUAUAUGGGACAUUUUUGAUGGCCUAAUGAAGGCCAAGUAUUUAUACAUGAUUUAGAUUGAUUUAAGGGAGUUAUUUUGCAAAAUAUCAAUCCUUGGUGGAGCCCUCACUCCUCAUGGCUAUCCACCUCUCUCUCAUACCCCACAACCGAACAGCUUCUCUCCUUGAUCGUCUAAGCCCUUCUUCUCCAUUCCAUGCAUGCGACCUCCAACCAGGAAGGGAGAAGGCUAGUAGGGGCAGCUCGUUGCCGCCAGACCGCUUGCCAGCACCACUGCAACCCACGUUCCUCUGCUCCCUUCGUCUCUGCCACCAUUCAACCGAAGCCGUCUCUCUCUCCGCUCGGCCCAUGUCCCACGAAGCUGUUGCUGCACAUCUUCAAUUCAACGAGUGGAAGUCAGCAAGCGGUGAAGCCCUCCAUCUCCACGCUGCCACCUGUGGAUUUAUUAGCCUUCUUCGGUCAACACUUCUCUUAGUUGAAGCCGCUGGUUGACUGAGCAAUCCAUUCCCACGAAGCUGCAACCCACCGAGAUCUCACUUUGCUGCCACGUGCUUCUCCAUCUCACUGCCGUGGAAGCCCACGAUCCCUCCGCAAAGCCAACGCACACCAGCUGAAGACCGUCGAAGCCCCCCUCAACCGAAUCUCUCUCUGCUGAUGGUUGCUCUUUACUUCGUCGCGUGGAUUGCUGCCUCAACGAAGACCAGCUGCUUCGAUCUUCCUUCGCCACACCAGCUGGACCAAGCCCAACGCCACAACUGCUUCUUCAUUCAGCCCAAUUAAAGACUUGAAGCCCAUGUGAAUUGUAGCAAUUCAGCCCAUUGGGGUUUAAUUUCAUUGAAGCCCAUGUGGAGUUCGGCCCAAGAGAACAGCCCAUUCUCAGUUUAUUUGCUCAGCCCAUUGAAGUUGUUUUUCGGCCCAGCUCGCAGAUCAGUCCGCAAUCCAUUGGAGAUUAGUUUGAAUCCCAAGCUCAAGCCCAAGUUCAGCUUGUUUUUUUUUUUUUUAGCUCAGAGUUUCUUCAGGCUUGUGAAGUUCUUGGCCCGGCCCAAGUUCGGCCGCCGUUGUGUCGUCGUCGCAGUAUCCCAGUCUUCGCUUUGCGCAAGUGAGUUUUACUCACUAAUGCUUUAUUAGUUUGCUAAUUAUGCUUAAGGUUGAUUAGAUUUAAUUAUUUGCAAUUAGGUGGAUAGAUUAGAUUAAAGUAAUUAAAUUAAAGACUCAUUGAUGCAUGUUAAUUAGAUUGAUUGUGCAUUUAGCUAGUAAUCAUGUCCUAUUAUUUAUUGGAUGCUUCUUGGGAUUUUUCCCGUCCCUUAUCGGGUGUUAAUUAGGCAAUUCGGGCCUAGGUGGAAUUUUUAGGAAUUAAAGAUUAAUUUUCGAAAUUAAUUAUUUAAUUAUUUAUUUCCCAGAAAUUCAACUGGGAUGGCCAGUGACCGGGAUUUUAUGCUGAUGAUCGUGGCGCAUUCCAUUUAUUUAAUUGAGCUUUAUAUUGUGCUAAAUUGAAUUUAUUGUAUUUAACUUUCGAAAUUAAUUAUUUAAUUAUUUAUUUUUCGAAAAUUCAACUGGGAUGGCCAGUGACCGGAAUUUCGUGCUGAUUGUCGUGGAGCAGUCCAUUUAUUUAUUUAAGCUUUAAUUCGUGUCGAAUUGAUUUAAUGGUGCAUUUUUUAGUUAUGUUAUUAAAUAAUGAAAUUUUGGCCUUAUGAUUGAGAAUUGGUCGGGUAUCGGUUGUCAGUAUUGAAAGUGAGUUGGUAAAUCACUUGGAGAAUGCACGUGGCCCAAUGAAUUGGAAUGUCACUUGGGAAAGACACGUGGCUCGGUGAUUAGAUGUGUCAUCUUGGCGAAAAGGUAGCCUUAGAGAAUGGACAUGGCUCGGAGACUCGGUAUGUCUUCCUGGAGAAUGCACGUGGCUCGGUGAUAGAGUAUGGCAUCGUAAAAAAGGUCAAGUGGGACCGUAAAGCCACUAAAUCUUGGAAAGGUCGGGUGGGACCGUAAAGCCACUAGAUCAUGAGAGGGUCGGGUGGGACCAUAAAGCCACUAAAUCUUGAAAAGGUCGGGUGGGACCAUAAAGCCACUAAAUCUUGAAAGGGUCGGGUGGGACCAUAAAGCCAUUAAAUCUUGAAAGGGUCGGGUGGGACUGUAAAGCCACUAAAUUUUGAAAGGGUCGGGUGGGACCAUAAAGCCACUAAAUCUUGGAAAGGUCGGGUGGGACCGUAAAGCCACUAGAUUUUGAGAGGGUCAGGUGGGACCGUAAAGCCACUAAAUCUAAGGAAUUGCUUGGUGUUGGAUGAAUGACCUAGAAAUGGUCCGACUGACUUGUAAUCGACUAGGUCGAUUGAUCGAUGAUUCGAUCUGAGUGUGACAAUGUGAUUCAUUGCCUUGGUUUGAUGUUGUGAAUUGAAUGAUUGAAUAGAGAUGACCGUGAGUGGUCUUCUUGGUGUGUAAUCGACUAGGUCGAUUAGAUCAAUACUUCGAUCUAUAAUAUGAUUUCUUGGGUGCCUAUAUGAUUUGUGCUAAUAUGCAGGUGAAAUCUGAGGGCAAGGUAAGUCAUCUGACUCAUGUUGUGCAUAGGCAGCCCUAUGUGUAUUAGUUUACUAAUCAAGUCUUAGGGGGUAUAACUUGCAGAGACGUUGUCUCGGUGGUUAUUGAAUAACCAUUUCAGGGCCUGAAGGAGGGGCUUAAGGAGCAUGAAUCUGAUGAGGAGAUCCUUGUUGAGGAACCCAAAGAGGAGUACGUGGAGGAGGACCCCGAGGAUAACCCCGAGUACGACUCGGAUGAGGACUAAGAUCCCAUCCUAUCUUGUCAGACCUUGUUUGCAUGUGAAUAGACGUUAGACCAGAGUUGCGUAUAUAUAGUACUGUAGAAUACUAUGAGAUGCAUGUAAAAAGAUGUAAUUGUGAAUUUUCAGUAAUAAUAAUAUAUGGCCCACUUUUCUAUCCCAUUGCUUUAUUGUCUGGGGAAUUAUAACUGCUUCUGCAUGUGCAUAUAUAAAUGAAAGGGUCAGCGAUACAUAGUCCUGGGAUAUCGCAUUUUAAAAUCGACCAAAAGUUAAGGGAAGUGCGCGUGCCUGAGGAUCAGGGCAUGACAACAGCAGCCCCUUGUCGAACCAAGCCGGGCCACGUUGAGCCGCAGUUGAUUAACCCGGAUUUAGGAAAAAUCCCAAUUACGUAGUUUUUUUUUAUUUCAUUUAUUUCUUUACUUGAAAUAUUCCUUGAUGUAAGAUUGAGAUUCCUGACAUGAAGUAACCUCUUAAAUUAGGGAUUGAUAGUCCGAUUCUCGCGGCUAAAAUCCGACUCGCAAUCACUUGGAAAAUCUCCAAUCCGAUCUCACGCUUGAGAUUCGAUUCACAGUUUAUUUAAAAUUGACCAACCCGAUCUCAUGCGCGAAAUAUGGUUCAUCAAUUUUUGAAUAUCAAUCUUAUCUUGCUCUAAUUUGCCGUUGUGUGUUUUGAGUCGAUUUUGUUUUCAUAAAAAAAAAUCCAAAAAAAAAUGAGUUAGAUUAGGUUUGUUUUAGAAUAUUCCUCGUUUUAGGGUUAUCUUGCAUAUUUUGAAUAUGAUUUUUAUUUUGAAUUUAAAAAAAUCCAAAAAAAUCAAUUUAGGAUGCUAGUUUUUUUAAACUUAGGUUGCAUGUUUAAUUAUUUGACAAUUUUUAAUUUCGAAUUUUACAAAAAUCAUCAUGCAUAUGUCAUGUAGAAUUAAGGCAUUCUUUGCACGUCAUUGCAUAUUAGGAUAAGAUUGCAUGUUUAAUUUUAAGUUUAGAUAAAUCUUUUAGAUAGAUUGCAUUUUAGGUUAGAGAUUACCAAGUUAAGAUAAUAUCUUAGUUUAAAUUAAGAUUUGGCCUAACCUAAUUCUUAAUAUAAGUUGGAGAGAAUCCUAAUUUAGUUAGAUAAUUUUGCAUUUUUCUUAAUGUCGAAUUUUAUGAAAAAUACCAAAAAAAUUGUCUUAGAGUAAAUUCAUUUCAUUCUCUAGGACAGAUUGCACGCUUUUUAAGAGAAUAGAAAUUUCAUGUGCACGUCAUAUAGAAUUAGAUUCAUGAAAUGCAUGUCAUUUAGUUAUUGUUGCUAGGUCCAUUUAGUUAAAAAUUGCCCAUCAUUAGAAUUAGGUCAUUUGGUCAUAUUGCCAUGUCACAUCAUGUUAGAUUAGUAGCAUGUAUUGCAUAAAGCAUAAUUCUCAUUAAAUAAGUGAAAACAAAAAAGGUAAUUGUGUGUUAAUUAGAAAUCAUAUCUAUGAUUGUCGAUGUGAAUUCUAAUCUAACAUUGCAGAUGCUUUCGAUGUCAUGAGGUAUGUCUUGCAAUUUAUUCACUGCUUUUCUUGGAUGUUAAAUUGGUAGUUUGUGCACCCACAUGAUAACCUCACAUGUUAGGGAAAUAGAUUAAAAUCAAUUCAAACUACCUACAAAAAAAUAUUUUUUUCGAAAUAAAAAAUAAAGGUACCGAAAGGGCGUUAGAGAAAUCUAGCGUAACCAAGUCCCCGAACUCACAAUCACUAGUUCGUAGGAGUAAAGUAAAUCUCCCGUUACUUUACUUGGGUUUCUAAUCGACCCACCAAAAAUAGAUUAGUGGCGACUCCUAAUUGAAAAAUCAUUUGCAUGUUAAGAACUUGAACCUAAGUCGCAAAUUGGCAUGAGAAAGCCCGAGUUAAGUUUAGGCUUAGUAAUCCAUUAGCCAAACCCUAGGUGGUUCACCCGAAAUUUUGGUCACGACACUGGCCGAUCAGUGUGAUGCCCACACCAUAUGCAACAACCUUUGUCAUAUGUCAUCAUGUCAUACUUGUGUCUCAUAAUAUAUCAUACAACUGCACCAAUCAAUUUACAUGCUCGUGGCAUAUAGAUCACCCAUCAAAGUAAGAUAAGUCAUUGCAAUUGAACAUAAGUUAUUAGAAUAACUUAUCACAUCCCAGCGUAAUCUAUCCAAUAAUUCACUUCACUUAUCACAUCUUAAUAACUUAUCACGUAACUACUUAUCACAUAAUGAUAACUUAUUAGCAAAACUCGAUAACCUAUCUCCAAAACUUGAUAACUUAUCAAGAUAACCAAUCAAAACCCUAUGAUAACUUAUCAUUUAAAACCCACUUAUCACAUCAUCAAAGCACCAUUUAGCCUUAAUCUAGUCCUAAACUAUCUCCUAAGUGCAACAACAACCCUAUUCAAGGGUUAGAAAACCACUCACACCCGAGUCCAAGCUUUAACAAGCAUUAAGGGACGAGCGGCAAGACCGAGCAACAGUUAAGGUGGCCGGACCAACAAUGACCAGCCCACGGUGAGGGCUAUGGAGGCGUCCCGAUGAUGGUGUGGUGGCAGCACGGCAAUUGGCUAGGCAGCAGACAAUCUCCAAACUCCACAAUGGACCAAACCAAGAGAGAAAGGAAGGAGAGGAGACUGCGGCAAGGGCUAGACAACAGCCUCCUUGCCUCCGAAAAUCUGCUAUGGCUACAAGAAUGGCAGUGCAGAAUGGCCGUUCAACGGCGGUGGCAUGGGGGACAAUCACCGGUGAGGAAAAUGAGAGGAAAAUGAGGGGAAAAGCUUACAAAGAUGGGGAAAAUGGAGAUGGGUGUUUUGGCUAUGGCAUGGAGAGAGAGAAAGUGAGAUUGAGAGCAAAAGUGAGAAAUAUGAGAGAGAGAGAGAGAGAGAGAGAGAGAGAGAGAGAGAGAGAGAGAUGGUGGCGAGCGGUUUUAGGGAAAGAGAGAUAGUGGAAUGAUGAGGAAAUCUAACCAAUAAAUGACCAUCCUAUCUAAAUAUUUUAGAACUCCUCUCAACCAAGCAAAUGAAAGGCACUUGAUGUGCAAAAUCCAAGCAUUAAUGAAGAAGAUUGGCAUGUGGGAAAAAAAAAAGGGGAAUAGGCUAGGCUAGGUUGUGCUUCUUCAAGUCUUCUUCCAAAGCAAAUGGUCGCCCCCUUUCAAGCAUGUGGCACCCCCUCCCUUAGCCAAUUCCAUCCUUACCCCUUGGUCCUUAGCUGAAAAACAAAAGGGCAAUUUGGUCAUUUCACACAAAAUGCACACUAUUCACACACAUUGGUGCAUUUAAUGCCAAGAUCUUGAAAUGAUGGAUCCAAUGGGCUUGGAGAGCCCAUGGCCCACCCUUGGGCCACCCACCUCUUGGGCAUGUGGCCCUUGGGCUGCCCAUCAUGGGCGUGGGCCCAUUUGGGCCUAACUUCUUGGGCUUGAACCCAUUGGACCACCCAACAUGGGCUUAGGCCCACUUGGGUCCUUGUCCAUGGCCUAUUUUCACUUUCCCGAGUUUUAGCAUUUCGUUGAUAAGAAUUCGAAUUUUCACCCCGAAAUGGCCAUCUUGACAUUUUUCGUGGUCUAUUGAUCCUCAUCGUAAUCCCAUCCGAACAUUGGCUACUGAUGUAAUUCAAUUCUGAGAAUUGAGGCAAGAUUGAGGAUGUCACAUUGUUCGUGAUCGUGUCGCCCAACAACAGCUCAGUGUGCAGUUUAUCUCCACAGUUAACUGACUCACUAAUGCCUUCACCAAAGCUCUUCCUAAAGCACGCUUUACAUUUUUACGAGACAAGUUGAAGAUUCACUAUCUUAACUCUUCCACUUGAGGGGGUGUCUCAACCAAAUAUAGGGCUAUCAAAUUUGGAAGAUUUACAAUCUUAUUUUUAGAAGUUAAAAAGUUUUCAAUUUUAUGUAUUUCUCUUCUAGCAAUUAAUCUUCUAGAAUGUGCUCUUGGGUAUAUAAAUACCCGCCUACAUUUAAUGAAACACAUAACAAAUUCUGUUUCAACAAGGAGAGAGGCUCCGAAUGCGAGCCUCGAAGGGAAUAGGAAGGAGACUAUUGAACAAGAAAGAUGCUCCGAAUAGGAAUAGCAGAGAGACUCCGAACGCGAGUCUUAAGGGGAACAGGAAUGCAAUUCCAAAUAGAAAUGAGAAAGUGGCUUUGAACUAGAGAACAAGAAUUUAAUCCAAGCAGAAUGAUGGGGAGAGUGUUGGUCCCAUUGAAAAUUGGAGAACAUAAGAGAAACUUCGAACAUGAGUUCUAAGAGGAACAGGAAGGCAGUCGAACUAGAACAUGACUAGGAAUGCAACUUCGAAAAGGAACAGGAAAGAGACUUCGAAUUAAAAAAGGAAUUCAAUCCAAGGAGAAGGCUGGGGAAAGUGUCACUCCCGUUGAAAAUUGGAGUUACGAUUUGUCUCUUGGCACUUUUCCUUCUUUCUUUUCUAAUACGUUCUUAUCCUAUAUCUAUUUUACAAGCUACUUGAGAUAGCUAGUAUAAACACCUAGAGGGGGGGUGAAUAGGUGCACAAACAAUUUAUCGAAAUACGAAAGCGAUUCUUAGCAAAUGAUAUAAAGGAAAUUCUCUCUUGAUUAACAAAAUGAAAUACGAUCGAGGUAGAGAGAGUGAGGAAGAGAAAAUUGAACACAGGAUUUAUAGUGGUUCGGCUUAUUCCAAGCCUACGUCCACUCUUCCGCACUGACAGCCCACCGGCUGGAUUUCACUAUGAUCAAAAGAGAAGUUACAGCAUAGCUUUGCCUUGAUUUCACAGUGUAGAUGUUCUACCACACCUCCUCAAGGUUUCUCACAAAUAUAGACUCUCUUUUGUAUACAAGUAUUCGCUCAAGGAAUUGUCUAAACAAAAAAGGAGCUUCAAACUUUGGAAUUCUUCUAUCGUGCACACCUCGAACAACUAAGAAUGUCUUCCUUAUAUACUCCUUUAUGCCAUCAUACCCGUUGGCACUUACCAAAGGAGUUCCUCCAAUCUACCCGUUGGACGGAAUCAAUUAGGAAGAUUGUUCGAGCUAUUAAAGGAACGUGUUGAUAGCCCAUCAAUCAUGUUUGCCCAUACAAUCACGAUCUCGGUUUCCAUAAGUAGAACCUUCCAAUAAUAUUUAAACAAUCUUCGAAUCUUCAAUCAUUGAAUCAAUCUUGAUCAAUCAAAGGAUUCUGUUACGUCUUUUCUAGCCACGAGAUCUUCUCCAAAUGAUAAGGUUAAAUCCUUAACGAAACAUCCAGUUCUGGAUAACCUUUCUUCAACGGAUUAGAGACUGUCAAUGAGGAUAGACUUUGAGUCUUGAGUCUGGCUGUCCGGAAGUCCUCAGACUUUAAAUAUCAGAGUCUGCAAACCUUCAGACUAGACUGAUAGAAACGUUUUGUCAACUUCAAAAUACUUCAAGAAGAUUUCUCCAACAAUCUCCCCCUUUUUGAUGGUGACAAGACUUUCCUGCAGAUUUGGAUAACUAUGACCUGCAAAACAUUUCUCAAACACAUAUGCAUAUCUUAUAGAGAUAAAUGGCUUAAAAGAAUAACACUAGAAUCUGCAACCACAGAAAAUAGGUUAAUCUAAUAUAUGAAAAGCCAUCCAUAAGAUAUCAAUACUAGUUAAUAGAAGCAGUCAAGUCCAAGUCUAGUUCAGUUCUCAUCCAGACACAAAACAAAGUCAAACGGAGUUUAAACAACAAACAAUCCAGCAAACAGUUAACAGUUUAAUGAUUGAAAGUUUGAAUCAAAUCUUGCAUCUCUCCCCCUUUUUGUCAUCAUUAAAAAGGAUGAGAUGAAGUCAAGAUUGCUUGGGAACGCGGACAAGCUGGAAAUCUUCCAUAGACUGAACGAUGCCUUCCAGCCUUUUAAAGUCUUCCUUCAGCUGUGCAAUCUCCUCACUCUUGGCAUUGGCCUGAUUCUGAACAGAGAGGGCUUGCAUCUUAUCAUUCAAUGAACAGGAAGAAGCUUGACUUUCAUUCUUCAAGCUUUGAACUUCGCAUCCCAAGGCAUAAAUUUGACCUCGCAUUUCCAAGAGAAUAUCCAUGAUUCUGCGAAAAUCUGCUCCAUUAUCAGUCUGAGUACUUGCUUCGGCUCGAUCUGAUGGAGUAAAUGCAGACGAUGGUAGAUCAGCAUAAUCUCGCAGGUUUGGCGAUGAAGCUUCAUGACUUUCCUCUGGAAAUUGAGAUGCAUAAACAUCCUCUGGGUCUGCAGGCAAGCAAUUGACUCUUUCACUUGCAUUAGGAUAUGAAGACUUCACUCCUUUCUCCUGAUCUCCCCUGUUUCCAUGCCUACAGGUGGAGAAGAGAUUUCCCCAGGUUCUCCUUCUUCUCUUCUUUCUUCUUCAGGUCUUUCCUCCUCUGCUUCUUUUUCACUUUCUCUUUCUUCUCCUUCCUUCUCCUCUGCUUCUUUUGUCAUUUGUUCCGAUUCUUUCUGUGGAACAGGACGACUUAAAUUCUUCAAAGCCAUUGCAGAGAUGGUGAUGUCUUCGUCAUCAUCUUCAUCCUCAACGAGGAGAGCUCUUCUUCUCUUGGAUGGAGCAGCCAUGGGCUCCUUCCCUUUUCUUUUAGCAGCAGAAGAGAGUUGAUGAGAUUUGGAAGGAGUCUUCUCCUUGAAUUUCUCCAAUUCCUUGCUCAGUUCCUUCAAACGCAUUUUGGUCACCAUUUUCAGUCCUACCAUCAUAUGAUCGCAUGGUCGAACACAAAAGAAUUGUGGAGGCUGAAUAUUCAGAUGUCUAAAUAACUUCGUAACAAGGCUUGGGUAAGGGAGUUGACCUCUGUCCUUCAUCAUUGCUCUAUACAUGUGAAACAUAACAGUGUAGGGGAGAGAAAACAUUUUUCCAAAGAGAAUGGCAUACAUCAGCUUGGCCUCUGAACUUGAAACAUCAGUCUUGGAAGUUGAUUUAGGUCAGAGGCAAUUAAUCACAAUCUUGUGAAGCAAGAUGUUGAAUGCACUCAUCCUUAAAUAGGUGAUCUUCUCAUCUGUUCUCCUGUCCUUCACCAGUUCAAGUGUGGCUCGAGCAAUGGAAACUUUGAUCGGUUGAUAUCUUCCUCUUUCAACUCCUAACACAUCUGCCAGCAUAUUCAUAUCCACAACAUAAUCUUGGUCUUUAACGCUGAAGGAGAAUCUAUUCGCAUCCAAAAAGCUAAGAUUUGAAUAGAAAUAUGCAGUUAAUUCAGCAUAAGCCUCUGUAUUGUCAGAACAGAACUUUUCAAGUUGAAGAUGAUUGAACUUUUCCCUCAAGUUCACAUUCACAGCAUCCAGAAAAUCAAAAUCCACACUCCUAGGGUUUAUUACCCCACGCUUCAGCAAUUUCGAGUACAGAUCCUUUUGUUCCUUUGAUCUGAACAAAUCUCCCCUUUUUCCUUGAAUUUCAGCCGCAAUACCCAUUUUCGGUUGAAAUAGGCUGUACAAAUUAUCAUCAUCAUUCCCAUCUAUAGGAUUCGGCCCACAGUCAUGAGGAUCACUUGGGAUAUUUGCAAGGGUUUCCUCAGCCACCCCUUUACGAGCAAUUCCCAAACUUUCCAUUUUCCGCAGAAAGAUAUAUUCGUUCCUAUAUGCUUUGUCUUUAAGAAAUUCAUCAACAUAGUUCAAAGGAGUACGAGUUCCUUUUAAGGCAUGAUAUAGCUUGUAAAUAAAAGCGGGCUUUUGAACUCUUACGGGGUCUGCAUCCUCGAUGAUUUCUUCCUGAUGUUGAUGAACAACGCCUUGAGGACUAGAUGGUGGAGAAUGACGCUGCUGAGAAUGUUGUGGGAUCGCUUGCUGUUCUGGAUUUACUUCUUCCUCAGUAAGAUCGAAGUGCGUAGGCCCCUCACUCAUUCGCCGUGGUCCCCUGCUUGCAAUUCUCGAAGACUUUCUUGAAGAUGACAUCUUUCUCAGCUUUUGGAAGAUUCCUUGCUUGACUUUCCCAGGAAAGAUGACAACUUUUUGAAGAUUAAACAAAGAAGACAAACGGGAAUGGAGGAUCGAUGCUUUCUAGGGUUUUUGAGAAAAAUGAAGAGGAAUCGACAGUGCACGAUCGGUUAAAAAGAGGGAUAAACGAACCGUCACAAAGGAAAUAAAAAGAUGCCUUUUCAAAAUAACUGUCUUUUUCUGCAAAAAUAGCUAUUUCAAAAAUAACUUCCUUUUUUUUUUUUGAAAAUGAAACGAUGCAAUAUUUUCGUCAAUUAAAUAUAGCAAUAAUUUUAAACACAGUCUGACGAUUAUACCUUUUUCAGGAUAAGAUUAGAGAGAAGAAAGACUUACAGUCUGACGGUCGUGCCAAGACUGUCUUUNNNNNNNNNNNNNNNNNNNNNNNNNNNNNNNNNNNNNNNNNNNNNNNNNNNNNNNNNNNNNNNNNNNNNNNNNNNNNNNNNNNNNNNNNNNNNNNNNNNNGUAAGUCUGAGUCUGAAAGUCUUAGACUGUGAUAUCCUCAUACCUCAAAAUGUGAGUCUGGAACGGAUAGAUUCAAAUUGAUUUUUCCCCAAAGGCUUUGUAAAUAUAUCCGCCAGUUGAUUUUUUGAGUCAACAAACUGAAUUGAAAUAUCUCCAUUUUGAACAUGGUCUCUAAUAAAGUGAUGUCGAAUCUCUAUAUGCUUUGCUCUUGAAUGGAGAAUUGGAUUUUUGGUGAGGUUGAUAGCGCUGGUGUUGUCGCAAUUAAUCUCCGUGCAUGAGUCUUCAAUUUCAAAGUCUCUUAGUUGUUGUUUUAUCCAUAGAAUUUGCGAACAGCAGCUUCCAAGAGCUACAUACUCUGCUUCUGUUGUUGAAAGAGACACAGUGCUUUGUUUCCUUGAGAACCAAGACACUAUCCUGCUUCCAAGCAACUGGCAAGUUCCCAAAGUGCUCUUUCUAUCAACUCUGCAACCGGCCAGAUCUGCGUCUGAAUAUCCCAGAAGAUUAAAGUCUCCCUUCUUUGGAUACCAAAGACCGAUGCUUGAUGAUGAAGCAACGUAUUUAAUGAUGCGUUUCGCAGCACUGAGAUGAGAUUCUCUAGGAUCUGAUUGAAACCUAGCACAGAUGCAAACACUUAACAAAAUGUCAGGUCUAGAAGCAGUAAGAUAAAGAAGUGAUCCAAUGAUGCUCCUGAACAGCUUUUGAUCAACUUUCUUCCCUUCUUCAUCUUUGUCUAUCUUUAAAGAACUUGACAUUGGUAUGUCGGUCUUUUUACACUUUUCCAGUCCAAACCUUUUGACAAGAUCAUUAACAUAUUUUUCUUGAUAAAUAAAAGUUCCUUCCUUCAAUUGUUUUACUUGAAGACCAAGAAAGAAUGUUAAUUCUCCCAUCAUACUCAUUUCAAACUCAUCCUACAUAGACUUAGAAAAUUUCUUGCACAGAUUUUCAUUAGAGGAUCCAAAAAUAAUGUCAUCCACAUAUAUUUGAACAAGUAAGAAACUUUUGUUUUCCUUUUUGAUAAAUAAAGUCGUAUCUACUUUACCUUUGACAAAACCAUUUUGUAUUAAGAACUUACUUAAUCUGUCGUACCAAGCCCGAGGUGCUUGCUUUAAACCAUACAAAGCCUUUUUCAGUCUGAAGACUGAGUCUGGCUUCUUUGGGUCUUCAAACCCUGGUGGUUGUUCCACAUAAACUUCCUCAUGGAUAAAUCCAUUUAGGAAGGCGUUUUUUACGUCCAUUUGGAAUAACCUGAAAUUCUUAUAACAAGCAAACGCGAGUAAUAGACAAAUAGCUUCUAACCUUGCUACUGGAGUGUAAGUCUCAUCAUAGUCUAUUCCUUCUUCUUGCGUAUAUCCCUUGGCCACGAGUCUUGCUUUGUUUCGUACGACUUUUCCUUUCUCAUUCAUCUUGUUUCUGAACACCCAUUUAGCUCCAAUAACAGUUUUACCUUUUGGUUUGGAUGUUAAUUCCCAGACAUCAUUAAUGUUGAACUAUCUGAGCUCUUCUUGCAUAGCUUCAAUCCAGCUUUCAUCAGAUAAAGCUUCUUCUAUGCUCUUUGGUUCAAUUUCAGAAACGAGAGCCACAGCAUUAGACUCUUCUCGCCUUUUGGAUCUGGUGCGAAUUCCUUCAUUAAUUUCGCCAAUAAUAAGAUCUUUGGGAUGAUUGGACUUAUGCUUCCAGUUACUUGUUGAUUUGUCUGGUUGAUGAUCUCUUUCUUUAUUUGGAUCUUCACGAACAAUCUGAUGCUGGUCUUCUAGAGUCUGAGAUGCUUAUUGAGUUGUAAGCUUUGAAAGGUCUGGAACAGGUUCAGACUCUUCUUGAUGAGUCUGACUUGAUUCAUCUUGCGUUGAGUCUUGAAAUUUGACAUUCAUUGACUCCUCCACAGACUGACUCUUCUUGUUAUAGACUCUGUAGGCUUUGCUUGAUGAAGAAUAUCCAAGGAAGAUACCUUCAUAUGAUCUUUCUUCAAACUUACCAACUCGAUCUUUUGCAUUUUUCAAUAUAAAACAUUUGCAACCGAAUACAUGAAAGUAUGAAACAAUAGGCUUCUUAUCUUUGAAUAACUCAUAAGGGGUUUUCUCUAGAAUAGGUCUUAAGAAGACUUUAUUGAUGAUAUAGCAAGCUGUUGAAACAGCUUCAGCCCAAAAUCGUGAAGAAAUCUUACUUUCAAUUAAAAGAGUUCUAGCCAUUUCUUGAAGAUAUCUGUUCUUUCUUUCCACAACUCCAUUUUGCUGAGGAGUAUAUGGAGAGGAGAACACAUGCUUAAAGCCAGAUUCAUCACAAAAUUUUGUAAAAUCUUGAUUUUCAAAUUCACCUCCAUGAUCUGUUCUUAUACUUGAGAUAACACAUCCUUUUUCAUUUUGAACCUUUUUAGCAAAUUUUUCAAAAUACGAGAAGGUUUCAGACUUACUUGCAAGGAAAUAUACCCAAGUAAAACGAGAGUAAUCAUCCACAAUUACUAGGCAAUAUUUCUUACCCCCAAUACUCUGUGUUCUGGUUGGUCCGAAGAGAUCCAUAUGCAGCAACUGUAGUACAUGAUUAGUAGAGACAUGAUUUAUUGGCUUAAAUGAAUUUGUUACCUGCUUUCCCAGAAUACAUGGAGUGCAUGGAUCAAUCUUUUGGUAUGCAAUUUGGGUAGACCUCGAACAAGCUGUUUUGAUGAGACUUUGACUAAUUGCUUCAUGUUGACAUGACCAAGCUUUCUAUGCCAUAGGCUUGCUUCGUCUUGAAUUGAGAUAAGACAUUGCGAUUCAUUUGGUUUCACAUCCAGAAGAUAGAUAUUUCCAUGUCUUCGACCCAUGAAAGACUGAGUAGAGUCUUUACUGAUUCCAGAACAUGUUCCUUCUUGAAAGAAGAUCUUGAAACCAGUAUCACACAAUUGACUAAUAUUGAGAAGAUUGUAAUUGAGUCCUUCCACUAAGGAAACAUUACUUAUUGUGAGACUUCCAAUUUUCACAGUUCCAAAUCCCACAAUACUUCCUUUGCUGUUUCCUCCAAAUGAAACUUUUCCACCAUUUACUUGAGCAAGCUUUAUAAAACAAUUUGAGUCUCCUGUCAUGUGUCUUGAGCAUCCGCUGUCAAGAUACCACUUUACCUGUUUCUUGACGGAGACCUGCAUUUACUGUCUGAGUUUGAUCCAGAGUCUGAGUCUGAUUGUGCCAUCAGACAUAGAUUGGCAUAUUCAUUAUCACUUUCUUCACACUCUGUAUCACUCUAGGUUUCAGCUUUGAGAGCUUUUCGAAAUUUUUCAGCUUUUCCUCUCUUCUUCUUUAGAAGAGGACAGUUGGGUCUGAUGUGUCCAUUUUUCUUGCAUUCAAAGCAGACUACAUCUUUAUUUGGUUCCUCAUCAUCAACAGACUUGGUCUGCUAUCUUUGAAAGCUUUGUUUCUUUGAGUUGAACCUUCUUCCUUUUCUAUUCAGUUUUCGGAAUCUUCUUAUCAUGAGAGCAAGCUCCUCAUCGUCCAUAUCAUCUUCAGAAUCUGUAUCAUCAGAAUCAUCAUUUGAUUUUAAUGCAAUGGAUUUCUUACCUUUUGAAUCUUCAUCUUCAUUGAUCCGUUCCACUUCAUAAGACUGAAGAGUUCCAAUAAGCUCAUCAACAUAUAGUGGGAUAAUUCUUUGCGUCUCUCUUAUCGAAGUCUUUAUGUGAUUCCAAUCCUUGGAGAGUUCACGCAGUAGCUUGUUUACCUGCAUGGGAUCAGAAAUUUUUUGUCCUUGAUUCUCAAGACCAUUGACAAUAUCUGUAAAACGGCUAAACAUGUCAGUUAUAGAUUCUCCUGGUUUCAUUUUGAAGGCUUCAUAUUGACCGAGAAGAAUAUUAAUCCUGGUUUCCUUCACUCGAUCUGUUCCUUCAUAGGUGAUAUGCAAUCUGUCCCAGACUUCUUUUGCUGUAACACAAGAAGAUAUUCUAUUAUAUUUAGUUGGUGACAAAGCACAAUAUAAAGAGUAAAUUGCUUUUGCAUCGAGAGUUUGUCUCUUGUUUAUCUCUUCCUGAGUCAUUCCGCUGGUCUCAACAGUUUCUUUCCCUCUUUCAGAGACUGAUGCAGCUGUAGGAGUAAUUCCUUUUUCUACAACGUCCCAUUCCAGAGGAUCCUUUGAUCGUAGGAAAGCUUUCAUCUUGUUUUUUCCAGAUGUUGUAAUCCUUUCCAUCAAAGUAGGGUGGUCUGGUAUUGCUUUGCCCUUCCAUCAGCCCUGGUGCUAGCAUACUAGCCAUGGAUCUUUAACUCUGAAGUAAAACACUUCAAACAAAUUGAGUACACAGGCUCUGAUACCAAUUGAGAUAGCUAGUAUAAACACCUAGAGGGGGGUGAAUAGGUGCACACACAACUUAUCAAGAUACGGAAGUGAUUCUUCGCAAACGAUAGAAAGGAAAUCUUUCUUGAUUAACAAAAUGGAAUAUGGAUCGAGGUAAUAGAGUGAGAAAGAGAACAUUGAACACAGGAUUUAUAGUGGUUCGNNNNNNNNNNNNNNNNNNNNNNNNNNNNNNNNNNNNNNNNNNNNNNNNNNNNNNNNNNNNNNNNNNNNNNNNNNNNNNNNNNNNNNNNNNNNNNNNNNNNNNNNNNNNNNNNNNNNNNNNNNNNNNNNNNNNNNNNNNNNNNNNNNNNNNNNNNNNNNNNNNNNNNNNNNNNNNNNNNNNNNNNNNNNNNNNNNNNNNNNNNNNNNNNNNNNNNNNNNNNNNNNNNNNNNNNNNNNNNNNNNNNNNNNNNNNNNNNNNNNNNNNNNNNNNNNNNNNNNNNNNNNNNNNNNNNNNNNNNNNNNNNNNNNNNNNNNNNNNNNNNNNNNNNNNNNNNNNNNNNNNNNNNNNNNNNNNNNNNNNNNNNNNNNNNNNNNNNNNNNNNNNNNNNNNNNNNNNNNNNNNNNNNNNNNNNNNNNNNNNNNNNNNNNNNNNNNNNNNNNNNNNNNNNNNNNNNNNNNNNNNNNNNNNNNNNNNNNNNNNNNNNNNNNNNNNNNNNNNNNNNNNNNNNNNNNNNNNNNNNNNNNNNNNNNNNNNNNNNNNNNNNNNNNNNNNNNNNNNNNNNNNNNNNNNNNNNNNNNNNNNNNNNNNNNNNNNNNNNNNNNNNNNNNNNNNNNNNNNNNNNNNNNNNNNNNNNNNNNNNNNNNNNNNNNNNNNNNNNNNNNNNNNNNNNNNNNNNNNNNNNNNNNNNNNNNNNNNNNNNNNNNNNNNNNNNNNNNNNNNNNNNNNNNNNNNNNNNNNNNNNNNNNNNNNNNNNNNNNNNNNNNNNNNNNNNNNNNNNNNNNNNNNNNNNNNNNNNNNNNNNNNNNNNNNNNNNNNNNNNNNNNNNNNNNNNNNNNNNNNNNNNNNNNNNNNNNNNNNNNNNNNNNNNNNNNNNNNNNNNNNNNNNNNNNNNNNNNNNNNNNNNNNNNNNNNNNNNNNNNNNNNNNNNNNNNNNNNNNNNNNNNNNNNNNNNNNNNNNNNNNNNNNNNNNNNNNNNNNNNNNNNNNNNNNNNNNNNNNNNNNNNNNNNNNNNNNNNNNNNNNNNNNNNNNNNNNNNNNNNNNNNNNNNNNNNNNNNNNNNNNNNNNNNNNNNNNNNNNNNNNNNNNNNNNNNNNNNNNNNNNNNNNNNNNNNNNNNNNNNNNNNNNNNNNNNNNNNNNNNNNNNNNNNNNNNNNNNNNNNNNNNNNNNNNNNNNNNNNNNNNNNNNNNNNNNNNNNNNNNNNNNNNNNNNNNNNNNNNNNNNNNNNNNNNNNNNNNNNNNNNNNNNNNNNNNNNNNNNNNNNNNNNNNNNNNNNNNNNNNNNNNNNNNNNNNNNNNNNNNNNNNNNNNNNNNNNNNNNNNNNNNNNNNNNNNNNNNNNNNNNNNNNNNNNNNNNNNNNNNNNNNNNNNNNNNNNNNNNNNNNNNNNNNNNNNNNNNNNNNNNNNNNNNNNNNNNNNNNNNNNNNNNNNNNNNNNNNNNNNNNNNNNNNNNNNNNNNNNNNNNNNNNNNNNNNNNNNNNNNNNNNNNNNNNNNNNNNNNNNNNNNNNNNNNNNNNNNNNNNNNNNNNNNNNNNNNNNNNNNNNNNNNNNNNNNNNNNNNNNNNNNNNNNNNNNNNNNNNNNNNNNNNNNNNNNNNNNNNNNNNNNNNNNNNNNNNNNNNNNNNNNNNNNNNNNNNNNNNNNNNNNNNNNNNNNNNNNNNNNNNNNNNNNNNNNNNNNNNNNNNNNNNNNNNNNNNNNNNNNNNNNNNNNNNNNNNNNNNNNNNNNNNNNNNNNNNNNNNNNNNNNNNNNNNNNNNNNNNNNNNNNNNNNNNNNNNNNNNNNNNNNNNNNNNNNNNNNNNNNNNNNNNNNNNNNNNNNNNNNNNNNNNNNNNNNNNNNNNNNNNNNNNNNNNNNNNNNNNNNNNNNNNNNNNNNNNNNNNNNNNNNNNNNNNNNNNNNNNNNNNNNNNNNNNNNNNNNNNNNNNNNNNNNNNNNNNNNNNNNNNNNNNNNNNNNNNNNNNNNNNNNNNNNNNNNNNNNNNNNNNNNNNNNNNNNNNNNNNNNNNNNNNNNNNNNNNNNNNNNNNNNNNNNNNNNNNNNNNNNNNNNNNNNNNNNNNNNNNNNNNNNNNNNNNNNNNNNNNNNNNNNNNNNNNNNNNNNNNNNNNNNNNNNNNNNNNNNNNNNNNNNNNNNNNNNNNNNNNNNNNNNNNNNNNNNNNNNNNNNNNNNNNNNNNNNNNNNNNNNNNNNNNNNNNNNNNNNNNNNNNNNNNNNNNNNNNNNNNNNNNNNNNNNNNNNNNNNNNNNNNNNNNNNNNNNNNNNNNNNNNNNNNNNNNNNNNNNNNNNNNNNNNNNNNNNNNNNNNNNNNNNNNNNNNNNNNNNNNNNNNNNNNNNNNNNNNNNNNNNNNNNNNNNNNNNNNNNNNNNNNNNNNNNNNNNNNNNNNNNNNNNNNNNNNNNNNNNNNNNNNNNNNNNNNNNNNNNNNNNNNNNNNNNNNNNNNNNNNNNNNNNNNNNNNNNNNNNNNNNNNNNNNNNNNNNNNNNNNNNNNNNNNNNNNNNNNNNNNNNNNNNNNNNNNNNNNNNNNNNNNNNNNNNNNNNNNNNNNNNNNNNNNNNNNNNNNNNNNNNNNNNNNNNNNNNNNNNNNNNNNNNNNNNNNNNNNNNNNNNNNNNNNNNNNNNNNNNNNNNNNNNNNNNNNNNNNNNNNNNNNNNNNNNNNNNNNNNNNNNNNNNNNNNNNNNNNNNNNNNNNNNNNNNNNNNNNNNNNNNNNNNNNNNNNNNNNNNNNNNNNNNNNNNNNNNNNNNNNNNNNNNNNNNNNNNNNNNNNNNNNNNNNNNNNNNNNNNNNNNNNNNNNNNNNNNNNNNNNNNNNNNNNNNNNNNNNNNNNNNNNNNNNNNNNNNNNNNNNNNNNNNNNNNNNNNNNNNNNNNNNNNNNNNNNNNNNNNNNNNNNNNNNNNNNNNNNNNNNNNNNNNNNNNNNNNNNNNNNNNNNNNNNNNNNNNNNNNNNNNNNNNNNNNNNNNNNNNNNNNNNNNNNNNNNNNNNNNNNNNNNNNNNNNNNNNNNNNNNNNNNNNNNNNNNNNNNNNNNNNNNNNNNNNNNNNNNNNNNNNNNNNNNNNNNNNNNNNNNNNNNNNNNNNNNNNNNNNNNNNNNNNNNNNNNNNNNNNNNNNNNNNNNNNNNNNNNNNNNNNNNNNNNNNNNNNNNNNNNNNNNNNNNNNNNNNNNNNNNNNNNNNNNNNNNNNNNNNNNNNNNNNNNNNNNNNNNNNNNNNNNNNNNNNNNNNNNNNNNNNNNNNNNNNNNNNNNNNNNNNNNNNNNNNNNNNNNNNNNNNNNNNNNNNNNNNNNNNNNNNNNNNNNNNNNNNNNNNNNNNNNNNNNNNNNNNNNNNNNNNNNNNNNNNNNNNNNNNNNNNNNNNNNNNNNNNNNNNNNNNNNNNNNNNNNNNNNNNNNNNNNNNNNNNNNNNNNNNNNNNNNNNNNNNNNNNNNNNNNNNNNNNNNNNNNNNNNNNNNNNNNNNNNNNNNNNNNNNNNNNNNNNNNNNNNNNNNNNNNNNNNNNNNNNNNNNNNNNNNNNNNNNNNNNNNNNNNNNNNNNNNNNNNNNNNNNNNNNNNNNNNNNNNNNNNNNNNNNNNNNNNNNNNNNNNNNNNNNNNNNNNNNNNNNNNNNNNNNNNNNNNNNNNNNNNNNNNNNNNNNNNNNNNNNNNNNNNNNNNNNNNNNNNNNNNNNNNNNNNNNNNNNNNNNNNNNNNNNNNNNNNNNNNNNNNNNNNNNNNNNNNNNNNNNNNNNNNNNNNNNNNNNNNNNNNNNNNNNNNNNNNNNNNNNNNNNNNNNNNNNNNNNNNNNNNNNNNNNNNNNNNNNNNNNNNNNNNNNNNNNNNNNNNNNNNNNNNNNNNNNNNNNNNNNNNNNNNNNNNNNNNNNNNNNNNNNNNNNNNNNNNNNNNNNNNNNNNNNNNNNNNNNNNNNNNNNNNNNNNNNNNNNNNNNNNNNNNNNNNNNNNNNNNNNNNNNNNNNNNNNNNNNNNNNNNNNNNNNNNNNNNNNNNNNNNNNNNNNNNNNNNNNNNNNNNNNNNNNNNNNNNNNNNNNNNNNNNNNNNNNNNNNNNNNNNNNNNNNNNNNNNNNNNNNNNNNNNNNNNNNNNNNNNNNNNNNNNNNNNNNNNNNNNNNNNNNNNNNNNNNNNNNNNNNNNNNNNNNNNNNNNNNNNNNNNNNNNNNNNNNNNNNNNNNNNNNNNNNNNNNNNNNNNNNNNNNNNNNNNNNNNNNNNNNNNNNNNNNNNNNNNNNNNNNNNNNNNNNNNNNNNNNNNNNNNNNNNNNNNNNNNNNNNNNNNNNNNNNNNNNNNNNNNNNNNNNNNNNNNNNNNNNNNNNNNNNNNNNNNNNNNNNNNNNNNNNNNNNNNNNNNNNNNNNNNNNNNNNNNNNNNNNNNNNNNNNNNNNNNNNNNNNNNNNNNNNNNNNNNNNNNNNNNNNNNNNNNNNNNNNNNNNNNNNNNNNNNNNNNNNNNNNNNNNNNNNNNNNNNNNNNNNNNNNNNNNNNNNNNNNNNNNNNNNNNNNNNNNNNNNNNNNNNNNNNNNNNNNNNNNNNNNNNNNNNNNNNNNNNNNNNNNNNNNNNNNNNNNNNNNNNNNNNNNNNNNNNNNNNNNNNNNNNNNNNNNNNNNNNNNNNNNNNNNNNNNNNNNNNNNNNNNNNNNNNNNNNNNNNNNNNNNNNNNNNNNNNNNNNNNNNNNNNNNNNNNNNNNNNNNNNNNNNNNNNNNNNNNNNNNNNNNNNNNNNNNNNNNNNNNNNNNNNNNNNNNNNNNNNNNNNNNNNNNNNNNNNNNNNNNNNNNNNNNNNNNNNNNNNNNNNNNNNNNNNNNNNNNNNNNNNNNNNNNNNNNNNNNNGAAAUCAACUUCCAAAACUGAUGUUUCAAGUUCAGAGGCCAAGCUGAUGUAUGCCAUUCUCUUUGGAAAAAGGUUUUCUCUCCCUCACACUGUUAUGUUUCACAUGUAUAGAGCAAUGAUGAAGGACAGAGGUCAACUCCCUUACCCAAGCCUUGUUACGAAGUUAUUCAGACAUUUGAAUAUUCAGCCUCCACAAAUCUUUUGUGUUCGACCAUGCGAUCAUAUGGUGGUAGGACUGAAAAUGGUGACCAAAAUGCGUCUGAAGGAACUGAGCAAGGAGUUGGAGAAAUUCAAGGAGAAGACUCCUGCCAAAUCUCAUCAAGUCCCUUCUGCAGCUAAGAGAAAAGGGAAGGAGCCCAUGGUUGCUUCAUCCAAGAAAAGAAGAGCUCUCCUCGUUGAGGAUGAAGAUGAGGAGGAAGACAUCACCAUCUCUGCAUUGGCUUUGAAGAAUUUGAGUCGUCCUAUUCCACAGAAAGAAUCGGAACAAAUGACCCCACGAAGCAGAGGAGAAGGAAGAAGAAGAAAGAGAAGCUGAAAAAGAAGCAGAAGAGGAAAGACCUGAAGAAGAAAGAAGAGAAGAAGGAGAACCUGAGGAAAUCUCUUCUCCACCUGUAGGCAUGGAAACAGGGGGAGAUCAGGAGAAAGGAGUGAAGUCUUCAUAUCCUGAUGAAAGUGAAGGAGUCAGUCGCUCGCCUGCAGACCCAGAGGAUGUUUAUGCGUCUCAAUUUCCAGAGGAAGGUCAUGAAGCUUCAUCGCCAAACCUGCGAGAUUAUGCUGAUCUACCAUCGUCNNNNNNNNNNNNNNNNNNNNNNNNNNNNNNNNNNNNNNNNNNNNNNNNNNNNNNNNNNNNNNNNNNNNNNNNNNNNNNNNNNNNNNNNNNNNNNNNNNNNNNNNNNNNNNNNNNNNNNNNNNNNNNNNNNNNNAAGAUGAAAGUCAAGCUUCUUCCUGUUCAUUAAAUGAUAAGAUGCAAGCCCUCUCUGUUCAGAAUCAGGCCAAUGCCAAGAGUGAGGAGAUUGCACAGCUGAAGGAAGACUUUAAAAGGCUGGAAGGCAUCGUUCAGUCUAUGGAAGAUUUCCAGCUUGUCCGCGUUCCCAAGCAAUCUUGCCUUCAUCUCAUCCUUUUUAAUGAUGACAAAAAGGGGGAGAGAUGCAAGAUUUGAUUCAAACUUUCAAUCAUUAAACUAUUAACUGUUUGCUGGAUUGUUUGUUGUUUAAACUCUGUUUGACUUUGUUUUGUGUCUGGAUGAGAACUGAACUAGACUUGGACUUGACUGCUUCUAUUAACUAGUAUUGAUAUCUUAUGGAUGGCUUUUCAUAUAUUAGACUAACCUAUUUUUUGUGGUUGCAGAUUCUAGUGUUAUUCUUUUAAGCCAUUUAUCUCUAUAAGAUAUGCAUAUGUGUUUGAGAAAUGUUUUGCAGGUCAUAGUUAUCCAAAUCUGCAGGAAAUUUUUGUUACCAUCAAAAAGGGGGAGAUUGUAGGAGAAAUCUUCUUGAAGUAUUUUGAAGUUGACAAAACGUUUCUAUCAGUCUAGUCUGAAGGUUUGCAGACUCUGAUAUUUAAAGUCUGAAGACUUCCAGACAGCCAGACUCAAGACUCAAAGUCUAUCCUCAUUGACAGUCUCUAAUCCGUUAAAGAAAGGUUAUCCAGAACUGGAUGUUUCAUUAAGGAUUUAACCUUAUCAUCUGGAGAAGAUCUCGUGGCUGGAAAAGACGUAACAGAAUCCUUUAAUUGAUCAAGAUUGAUUCAAUGAUUGAAGAUUCGAUAAUUGUCUAAAUAUUAUUAGAAGGUUCUACUUAUGGAAACCGAGAUCCUGAUUGUAUGGGCGAACAGGAUUGAUGGGCUAUCAACACGUUCCUUUUAUAGCUCGAACAAUCUUCUAAUGAUCGUCACGGGUAGAUUGGAGGAAUUCCUUUGGUAAGUGCCAACGGGUAUGAUGGCAUAAAGGAGUAUAUAAGGAAGACGUUCUUAGUUGUUCGAGGUGUGCGCGACAGAAGAAUUCCAAAGUCUGAAACUCCUUUUUGUUUAGACAAUUCCUUUGAGCGAAUACCUGUAUACAAAAGAGAGUCUAUAUUUGUGAGAAACCUUGAGGAGGUGUGGUAGAACAUCUACACUGUGGAAUCAAGGCAAAGCUGUGCUGUAACUUCUCUUUUGAUCAUAGUGAAAUCUAGCCGGUGGGCUGUCAGUGCGGAAGAGUGGACGUAGGCUUGGAAUAAGCCGAACCACUAUAAAUCCUGUGUUCAAUUUUCUCUUUCUCACUCUCUUUACCUCGAUCACAUUUCAUUUUGUUAAUCAAGAAAGAAUUUCCUUUCUAUCGUUUGCGAAGAAUCACUUCCGUAUCUUAAUAAGUUGUGUGUGCACCUAUUCACCCCCCUCUAGGUGUUUAUACUAGCUAUCUCACAUGGUUCUAUGCUCUACAAGAUGGCUCAGUCCUAUCAAAUAACACGAGCAAAACCAAACUAAAUCCAAGUUAUGUAACCCAACAACCUUGCCAGCGUUUAGGGGAUCCACUUGCAAAAUCGGAACAAGAACGAGAAACAGACAGCAACAGCUUGCGGCUUGCAGCUCACGGCAACAGCACGGUGGCGUGGCACGGCAGAUUGCACGGUGGAUUGCACGGCAGCAGCGAACAGUGGCGUGAGGUGUGGUGGUACAGCAAACCGAGAGAGAGAGAGAGAGAGAGAGAGAGAGAGAGAGAGAGAGAGAGAGAGAGGCGUGAGGGAGAGGGAGGGGCGAAGAGAGAUAGCUAGAAAGAGAGAAUGAGAGAAAGAACUUGAGGAAGACGUAGAAAGGGAGAGAAAAAUAGGUUUCCUCAAGCCUUAAAUGCUAGACUCAAUUAUUUGAGUUGUAAUUAUGGCUUCCUAGACUUGGUGAGUAAAAAUGAAUCUCUACCCUACAAGUGUCAACCAAUGAGCUCAUCUUGCCAAGCUUGUCCUUCAAGCUCUUAGGACUCAAUUAUUGGCUAGUUCAAGAGUAGCUAGUCUUAUUACACAAACUAGAUUUGUCCUUCCUCCUAGUGCCCUACUAAAUGGUGCCUAACUCUUCUUGAAUGGCCACCAAAAUUUUGUCUUCUCUCAAUGUAAUUUCAAGAAGCUAAAUAGGUCUCACCUCUAGGGCUAUUAAAGUUUAUACCCCUAAAUUAACCCGUUUUCAAUUAAUGCACUAAUGAAUUAUCCUUCAAAAGUCUAAGGAUAGGUUUAAGUCUUGCAAAACAACUUAUUCCACAAGUCAUUCCAUUUUAGACAUGAGGUGUGUGAGGGAGGUCUCAUUGGCUUCCAACAAUUGUUCACUUUCAAUUAAUCCAAAUUCAAGAAGACAAGAUAUAAUAUAAAGGACUAUCUAAUUAUCAUCUUAACCAGAUAGGAAUGUCUUGAGAUCACCUACGAUCCACAUCCUGUAAUCAAACCAGGGUUUGUGGCUAAGUUUCGAUCAAAAUUGACCUUGACGCGACCUACACUAAUUAAGCGGCAUCGGUGGUGCUCGCACAACGAAACCCAAUCUGAUUUUAGUGCUUGUCCGGGGUUACACGCAUAACCUAUGUUUCAGCCUGAUCAAUCCAUGAAUGACCUUCGGUUAUCAUGUAAUCAUGUAAGACUAAUCGAAUUGUCUUGGCUCAUGGUCACAAGGAAUCAAAUUAGGGUUGUUUAUGAAUAGUACAGUGAUCAUGCGAAAUCACCCUCGACCAAUUUCUAUACUCGAGCUGAAUUGAUAUAUAUCCAUCCAUUAAUCGACUCAUGAUGGGACAUGAUUGUUGACACUUGAAAUUUUUUGUCGACAUUUUAAACAAAUAAUUUGCAAAAAUAAAAAAUAAAAAAAUUGUUUGAAAUGAAAAGAUAAAAAAAUAGAAAUAAAAAAGAGAGAAAUAAAGAAAAAGAAAGAAGAAUGAAUUUAAAAAAAAAAAGAGAAAAAGAAUAAAGAGCCUAAUAAAAUUUUAAAAAAAUUGAAUGAAAUGAAAAGAAAACAAGAAAAAAAGGUAAAGGAAACAAUAAAAGAAAAGGGGGGGGACAUUCACGAGGGAUAGUUUUCUCUCUCUUCACAUUCGGAUUCUCUCACACACCGGGAGGCCAUUGGACAAGGAUCCACUCUCUCUCUAUAACCGUUUUCUCUCUCUCUCCCUCUCAGGGGUUGAUCGCUCUCUUUUGCACUGCUCUUCCUCGUUCUCCGUCUUUUCUCUCGGGACCUCUCGUCGAAGGCGAGGGUUUUCUUCCAUUGUGGAAAGCAAAAGAGAGAAUUCCACUCAUUCUCUCUCAUUCAUGGAUCUUCACGAACACACACAGACUUGUUUUCAUCUUCAUGGAGUCAUUGUCGAAGCUUGACAUCUGGAAUAAAGUAGACGCAUGCUUGCACAUAAUCAAGCUCGAUUGGAUGAAGAUUCAUCUCUUCGAACUCUCCAUUACUUGAUCACAGCAGCAAGACCGAAGCUAAGUCUUCUUUCCUAUCCUCUAGUUUUGACUUUGAUGCGAUCGAUUAGUUGAUUUUCUUAGCGAUCUUAGGCUAUCGUGAUAGUUUAUUCUCAGAUAGUGCUUUGAUCUUGAUCAAUUUCCUUUCAACAGAUUUUGUUGAUUCGAUUUCGUUGAUUUUGUUGACGAUGAAGCAAGAAAAUGCUCGUAGAUUACAACUAUGAAGAAGCGGUCGCGAUCAUCAAGUUUAAAGCCAAGGCGUCCGUUGAUGAGUCUCAUAAAUCGAAGAUCGGAGAUCAACGUCAAACAAACAAAGUCCAGCGGCAAUGACACACUGAUGUGUUCACCUCCAAGUGUCGAUCUAGAAAAAGGAUUAGAGAAGAGCGAUCAUAAUCUGCAAAAGUCAUAAAUCAGAGGUUGAAGAUUGGUGCUAAACAGCUCUUAUACCAGAAUCUGACUUGGCGUUAUUCACGUUCCGUGGUCCUUGAAGCAAAAUCAGAGCUAAGUGCUCAAUUUCCUUUUUCCUGUUUUGAUUACAGAACAAAAUAAAAUUUGACUCUCCGCUGAUUUCGAUAUUUUUUUUUUGUGUUAAAUAGCAGCUUCGUCAUUGCUAAAUGAAGAGAUCUUCGAAGGCAUGUUCUUUGCCGAUUCAAUUGAGGUAAGUGCGUUGAAACUCCUUUUAAUAGCAUCCGAUGAGGCGAGAGCUUCUAGUGUCGAAAAGCAUUCUCGACAACGAAGGUUCGGGGCCAGGAUGCAUUGCGAAUCUGAUUAGAAUCAAUACUUCAUUGAUCUAGAGUUGAUUACAGUUGGAUGUUUUGGUUCUAUGAUUUUUGAACUUGGAUGACAAUUGUUCUGCAACCUCGGAUUCCUGACAGACCUCUUUGUGCGUAUGCCCGGAAUUGAGUUAGUAUAUGUGCUUUUUGGUGCUCGAUGUCUUCAUGAAAGUCGAAGAUGAUUUGAUUAGCUUUCUAACGAGCUAUAGCACGUCCUGAUACGAUAUCAUUAGCUAUCUGAAAUCUUCUUCGAAAUUUAGGAGAUGAUUCUGGAAAACUGAUAUAUUGUAGUUUACUGUUAUGCAUUGUUCGACCUUGACUGUUUUCCGAUUUUCUACUGAAUUUUGUACUUGAAUUCGUAGAUCGGUGUCUUAUGAAAAGUUGCUUGAAAUGUCCUUGGCUACAACAUAUAAUUUUUUCAGAAUUUUUGAAGUUUAUUUGAUUAGGAAAAUGCUCAUUAAAUCGUCCGUAGUGUGGACUGUCUUGUCUGUGACCUAAUUGCUAUUUGCCUUGAAUGAGCUAGUAGAUGUGUCCAAUUGCCUUCGAUGUGUUGUAGAUAUUCAUAAAGGGCAUUUCAGACUUCGGAAAGACGCAUGGCCUACAUCAUUUGAGCUUUGAUUUGAUAUGUUGCACGCCUUGAACGGACAUCAUUCGGUCAUCGAAAAAUAUCGACAAAGUCUGUCAAUUCUGCAGUAGUUUUUUAGGUUGAUUUGCUGUUUUGACCUACUGCAAUUUUCUGUUUUAACUGGAACGAGCUGGUAGAUGAUGUUAUGACUUAAUGUCUUCUAGAGAUUUGUAAUAGACUUCUCAAGCUUUCCAUAGACAUAUUAUAUGUGCAAUUUGACUAUCGUUUGCCCUGCCUAAUGAAUGUUACCAUAUCAAUGUUUGAUUAUGGAAAUUCAGGGGAUAGAUUAGACUGAUUUUUAUUCGUGCUAUGAUUUCUAUGAUGAUUUUUUGAUGAAGUUGUUUGCAUGAAACUUGCGCUUCAUUGUCUGCUUGAGUUUCGCAUUAAUGCAUGGCAUAUCAUAUUUGAAUCUUGUUUGCUGUGAACAUCAUGCACCCAUUUGGCUAAUUGCAAUUGAAAUUUGCCAUGCAUGACAUUCUUAGUUCCAAGUCACUUUGCAAUGUUAAUGACUUGUGUGACUUCUUUGCAUUCUGUUUUAGGGUUAAAUGUUUACCCAAACCUUUUUUGCAUUCAACCUUAUGUCAUGUGCAAGUUUCACAUUUUUGUACAUUGUCUAGGUGGUCUUACGAACCUUUAAACAUGCAUUGUAUUUUGUCCUGUUUGUGACUUGAAUUUGCUAGAUUCAUGUUCAUGUCUGAUGCCUAUUAUUAUUCAUUAUAAUAAGUUUUCUAUGCAUUGUCUUAGUCAUAUAAUAUGAGGCAAGGGAUCCUUGUUUCUUAGAUUAGGUUUAGAUUAGGAUCUUGAAGAUGGAGAAAGCGUGAAGAUGGUGGAGGUCGAUGUCCAUUCCGACCGUUGUCAUGUACUAUUUGUUUUCCCGACAUAUGUCUCGGGUUCCAUGCAUCGUAUAAAACCCGACGAGUUGUGGGUUUCCUUUCUUUCCCAAUUGUUUUCUCUUUUAUAUUUUAUGAAUUGCAUAAUUAGGUUUAACUGCUUUUUCUUGAUUGUUUACUUCAUGUCUUGAAUUUUCAUUUAAAUUGUUUGUUUUCUUUUCAUUUCUUAGGAAUAGAAUAGAAUAAAAGUAAUCCACCACGUAUGAUCAUUUAGUAUAGAAUUGACGAUCCUGAAAAUAUAAAAAGAAAUGCAUGAACAUGUUAGAAAAAACAUAACAUACUGUUUAGGUACCGAAAGGGCACUAAUAGCAAAAUUAGCGUAACCCAAGUCCCCGAACCUAGAUAUCUGGUUACGUAGGAAUUGAGGAAAUACUCCCGACCCUCGAUUGGGUUUCUAGCCGACCCCCAAAAUGAGGCUAGUGGCGAUUCCUAUAUAUAUUUUUUAGGUUGUUAAAUACCUAGAUCAUAUAAAUAAAUCUGCUGUCACGCGGGGUAUGAGCUUAGGAGAGCUCGUGAUCUCGUGAGGAAACUCUCGAGAUCAAAUACCCCUAAAUCCGACCUUUCCCCUCCUUGGCCAUUUCGAGGGGCAGCGAGAUUGGGUCGCGACAAUGAUCAUCCACAUCAAUCCUUAUGGUCAAGCGGUCUUUUCAUGGUCGGAUGCUUAGAUCUUAUGCAACUGUGAUCCAAAGUCAAUUUACCCCUAACCAACUAGUUGGCUCGUGACUAAUCCCCGAGAUUGACUCACAACUUAUUCUCAUUAUUGGCAUACUGAUCCUCAGUCCAUUUCUCAUGCCGGAUGUUGACACAUGAAUUUUAGUUGAUGAGUCAUUAAAAGGUAAAAAUUGAUAUUUGGAUUUCUGAUUGCGACGGAGCCCCAUCUCUCGACCAAAAAGUGUUAUUUUUCAUUUAUUUCUUUUGCAUUGUCGUUUUUAAGUAAUUUCUAACUCAUUUUCAAGAAAAGCCCGAAAAGUCAAACGGGUGACUUUCAAGUUGACUUUUUGGUCAACUGUUUGACCAAAAGUAGAUUGACCAAAAAAAGUCAACCUCGGGUCAAAAAUUAACUUUUUACCCAAAGAGAUUCCAUUUAGUUUUAAUUUCACUUUCAUCAAAUCAAUUUCUUGAAAAUUCAAAGAUUGACCCAAAAAAUCGACAUUUUAGGAAAAGUCAACUAAAUGGUUGACUUUUUAAUCAAACAUUUAACCAAAAAUCAAAAAAAUCAAAAAUGCACAAAGACAUUUUUUUUAAUGCCAAUUUGACUUUUAUGUAAAAAAUUUCACAAAAUUCGAUUAAGAACAUUGAUUUCUGAAUUUUUCAAUUUUAGGUUAUAAAUCAACCAAAAAAAAAAUUACCUUUAUCUAGUCAUAAUUUGGUGUAGUUCUUUGUUUGACAUUUGGUUUAGGGACUUUUUAAAAUCUGCCUGUGCAUUUAAUUACGUGAUUUACCGAGUCAAAAUACUAAUUAACUUUUUGAGCCCUAAUUAAGGGAUGAAAAUCGAUCCUUCAUAACUUACGAACGGACGAUUGCUCCUUCAUAACUUGCAAACAAAUGAUUGUUUCUCACUCAUUUUCUUAAGAUAAGUUCAAAUUUGAAAUCGAGUUUGUGAAAUUCACACCAGAACUCAUCAAUUUGAAGAAUUUUAUCCUCUCAAGCAUAAGAAAAUCAAGCAAUUAAGCUUCAAUCAUCAAAAUUCGAAUUGACCCACUCAUGGUUAUGUUCUAAUUUCAUAAAUAUAGGUCCAAUUUUAAUAGUAGGCUUAGAUCUAUUUUUGAUCUAAGCUCUAGCGCUUCAAUUCAAGGUCAAUUUGAAUAUGAUAAGUGAUCUUACAUAUGGGUAGCUCAUUAGAUAGGGCAAUUGUGAUACUAAUUGAGUUCAAUUUUAAUUAAUUUGCAAUUUCACCCAUUAAAUUGAAAAUUUUACCAUUUUAGCCCUUUAGGCCCAAUUUAAAGCACCCAUGAUUUCAACUCUCUUUUUUUUCACGAUAAUCAUUCAAUUAGGUUAAUAAAAGACCCCUAGAUCAUGUUCAUAAGGUUUAAUUAGCUUAAUUGCAUCUUAAUUGGCCAAUUUCUUCUUAAAAGUGAUAAAAUUCCUUUUCAAUUUGGGACCAAAUUGCAAAAUUUUAGAUCCACAGGGGUCCCAAGUGGACAAAACAGCUAGAACUAGACCAAACCGGCCAAGAACUGAUCAAAAUCCGAUUGAAUCAAACCUAACCGGUCUGACCGGCCACUGGCGCGAUUGGCCGAUUCAGGCCCUUUCCGACCGGUUCCUAACCUCCGGAGAUUGGUUCUAGAAUCUUCUCAAUGCCAAUUUCACUUUUGCACCUUCAAUUUCCCAAAACUUUACAAACUGAUCCUCGAAUUUCGUCAAAUUGCAAAUUAACCCCUAAUCAGAUAUUUUGACGCAAUUCUUGAUUUUGGCUUGAGUUUUUGCAAAUCAAACCCACUCGAUCAAUUACCCAACACUGCAAGAUCAUAAUAGAGACUUCGAAAUCGAUUUUUGAUCGUUGGAUCAAAAUUUCAACUGUCAGAUCGAACUAACAGCCAAAAUCGCUUAAUUUGGGGUGUAUAUAAAUGAAAUUUCCUCCAUUUUUUGGGGGGCUCAUUUUUGCACAAAAAUUCUCUCUCUCCUCAGCAUCUCUCUCUCUUUUCUCUCUCAAUUCUCCUGCCAAAACUAGAUCUCCCCCUCUCUAGUUCAAUCCGACCGGAUCUCUCUCCAGUGAACUUUUGCCAUCGGUUUUAGCCCCCACCGACAGUCUUCAACCCUGCACUACUACCCAGCCCCUUCUUCCUUCACUAGCAGUGAUGGUUAGAGCAAGAUCAAGCUUUGGUAAGAACUAGAUCUAUUCGACCGAGUCCGAUCUCCUCCGACGGCGUCCAAACCGGUCUAGUUUUGGACCAGUUCUGUUUUCUGUCACUACAAGCUAUUUAGCUACCUUUCGAAGCUAUCCCUUAUUGUCUAGAUCUAGUCCUUGGUGUUUUAUGGAGGUUUGAUAGAAGUUUUGGCAAAAUCUUCGAUCGAUUUCGAAAAAAAACCGAUGAAAAUCGCAACGAAGGUAACGAUCUCAGUCUCGAACCCCGUGAAGCGAGGCCGGAUUAGCUGGCUAGGCUAGGGUUCAAUAUUGGUGAUAUAUGCUCAUAGAUGAUUUUUCUAAAGUUUGAAUGUGAUUGAUUGAAUCAGUGUGGAUGAUUGUGCUUGAUUGAAUCAGUGUGGAUGAUUGUGCUUGAUUAGUCUUAAAUCUGCAAUUCCGUAGUCUUAGGACUGACUUACUGUUUUGACCAAAACAAGGUCUGAAAUGACAUUGUUUCAACUAGAGUCUUCUUAGGAUUAGAUAAUAGAUAUCUCAAGCUUCGAAAUGGUAGGUUGCAUGCCCCAAUCAAGCAUCUUUUGAAUCUCAAAAAAAUCUCCGAAGGUGAGUAUUCUCUUGUAGUUAAGUUGGAUUUUCGGUUCUGUUUUUGCUCCCAAAUGAGACUUUACUAUUUUUGUGUAGCCUUCUUUGAUGAUUUUUCGACAAUCUUUCCUCAUGAUUUUUGUUCCAAAUCCUUUUGUGCACAUCUUGUAAUUUUUUCAUGAUUUUUGGAUAUGCUUAACUAGGUCAGAUCUACUCAAAUCCAAACCUAGGUUAAUCUAUUCCGUAUUGAUCUCUGAUUUUUCCAUUUUUGUACUAAUUUUGGGUUGAGUUUUGGAAUAACUUUUCUUCAUGAAAUUUUCUCGUAUUAGUUUUGUACAUGUCCUGUAUUUUAUUUUAUUUUUUGAAAUUUUUAAACAUGCUUAACUAGGUCAGAUCUACUUAGAUCCAAACCGGGGUCAAUUUGUUCUGUAUUAAUCUCUGAUUUGCCAUUUUUGUACUGAUUUUUUUGUUGAGUUUUGGAAUAACUUUCCUGGAUAAAAUUUUCUUGUAAUAGGGUUGUGCAUGUGCUAUAUUUUUUUCAAAAUUUUUAGACAUGUUUAGCUAGGUCAAAAUUUCUUAGAUUUGAACAUAGGACAGUAUGUCCUACUUGAUCCGAAUUAUGUUUUGAUGAAAUUGAGUCCACAAAUGCACCUAUUUGGUCUCAAAUUGUGGUAUCCUAAAAAUUCAAGACAAGCUCUAAGGUGUACUAAAGCCCAUAAUUAGGUAAUGAAAUUAUCUAUGGUUUAUGCUUUAGCUAUUAGUUUUCUCUUAGGACUAAGUAAUAUAUGCUUGUGUUCAUGAUUCUUUUUAUUUAUGUGUUAAUGAGAAUAAUCUAUUCUUGGCUAUGCACCUCAUAGACUAAAUUCCUAUAAAUAAAAUGUUACAAGAUUUUGGCCAUGUGGAAUUUAAAACUUAAAAUCUAUAAAAGAAAGAAUAAAAGGUGAAAUUUGAUUUUUAUUUAGGUUUGGGCCUUAGGCCCAAGACUGGAUUUUGAUGGGCCAAGAUGGCCGGCCCAUUGAAGCCCACGAAGGGGCUGUCGCCGGCCACAAGGGAGGCCAGCCCAAUUGAGGCCCGAGAGGAGUGGCCGGCCCACUUCUUCCAAUCCAAGCCCAAGCCCAUCUUGCAUGUGGCAUGCCAAGUGGCAAAAAGAGGCUUGCAUGCAUUGGCUUGUGGAGAGGCAAGUGAUGAUUGCUAAUGAUGGAGAUUUGGGGGAACAAAAAGGGAAGAGAGAGAGAGUGGCCGGUUGGGUUUCCGUCCAAGCCAAAGGGAGAGAGAGAGUUGCGAGAGAGAGAGUGAGGCUGAGAGAGAAGGAGAAGGAGCUGCUCACCGUUCGUCCGCCCAUCGCCACCCGUUCGUCCGCCGUGUGCCGUCGUUCUCUUGAGUUCAGAGGCAAGUUGGGAUCCACUUCCUACUCUUGCAUGUGUGUCUUGCAUGUGUGUCUUGCAUGUGUGUUUGGAGUGGUGUCGAAUUUUGGGUGGUUAGGAGUGAGAAACCGGAGCUAGUAUGUUUUGUUUGUUGAGAUAGCUUGCUGUUUUCGUGUGAACCGCCUGAACCAGAAUCUUGUAAAGGCUUGCAUGCAUCUUUCGAGUUGGAUUUUGACUUUUAUUCCUUCAUGAAAGUUUUAUCCAACAUCUUAAACUACAACAUACUAAAAUUUGGUACAAAAUGGUGGAGAUUUAAGGGGUCAAACCCUCUUCCUACGAAGACCCUAGAUCUGGAACUGCUUUGCUGACCUUUUGGUAGUUUGUGGGUUGCAUGUUGAUUUUUACCGAGAAUAUCACUUUGACUUCUUCAUGAAACUUGUAUAUAACAUCCUAAAGACUAACAUAAUCAAAUUUGAAGUAAAAUGAGCAAGUGUAGCCUAGUGAAUCGACUUACUCUUGAAGACGGUAAAUCUGGAGACGCGGUGCUGGACACCCGAGACUUCAUGGACCCAUAUGGUGACUAUUCUUUGGAAAUGUGACUUAGAUCCCUUAAUGAAAGUUGUAGGGGACCUCUUGAAGUAAAAAAUAUUCAAAUUUCAGAGGAAAAAAAGAAGAAUAAGUGGGUGAAAACUCGAUUUUUCGGAGAUAACUACACUGGACGUUUCGGUGCUAGAACCAGAAGCUUCGGACGACUAUAGGAAAUUAUCUAAAACUAAUCUGGCCUAGAAGUGCUCAUGAAAAAUCUACUUUAGUGUCUUAAAUAUAACCUGACAAAAUUUCAUAAUUUUCGGAGGUCUUUCGGGUAUUUUAAUCAAAUUAUUUCAAAAACUGCACAUUCUGUUUCUAUCCGAAAUCGCAUGCUGUAUUUGUGUGAAUUAUAUCUUUUGUGUGGAAUUCUAUUGGGCAUGUGUUUUUCAUGACAUUAUUAUCUUAUUGUCUUGUCUAUCACAUGCCUUGAUUUCAUGAUGUUUGAGAAUCAUAUGGAUAUUUAAUUUAAAUAUUUUCUAAAAUGGUACAAGCUGGAAUUUAAUAAACUUCAAAAAGGCAUGAUAAAUGGACCAUUCUAAAUUGUAUGAAUUCCAUGAAUUUUAUUGUUAUGAAUGAUUGUGUCUUGCCGCAUGUAUGAUGAUGACUGGAGAUGCAUGUAUGAAUCAAAGGAUGGAAGUGAUUUUGUUUGCCAUUACAUCAUGUGCCAUGCUGAGUUGAGACCUAAAUUGGUGAACAUGAACAAUGAUAAAUGAGGAAACUGUUUGAGGCGGUUGAUAAUGCCCUGGGUGUCACACCCCGAUCCUCGGGCACGCACACAUCCUUUCUCACUUGGUCGAUUUUAUAAUGCGAUAUCCCAAGACUAUGUAUCGCCGACCCUUUCAGUUAUUAAGCACAUGCAGAAGCAGUUAAAAUCCCCAUACAAUACAACAAUGGGAUAGAAAAAUAAGGCCAUAUUUUUCAUAUUGAAAUUUAUAACCAAACUUUUAUACAAAACACAAACCACUUCAUAAAUAUUCACUUCAAAAGGAAUUCUCAAAAAAAGACAGACUCUCUGUCCAUCCGGGCCGUACUCAAGGCCCCUCUCGGGAUUAUCUUCUUCUUCCAAAAAUCCUUCUCCUCAAGUUUUACCUCCGAGUUCUCAUUCCCAGACUUCUCCUCCUCAGCUCCUCAUCGGGGUCCUGAAAUGAUUUCCCCAAACCGGGAUGAGACUACGUCUCAGCGAGUUCUACCCCACUAAGGCUCGAUUAGUAAACCAUUAUACUAUAGGCUGCCUAAACACGCACAGGGCAGAGGACUUACCUUGGCCUCAGAUCCCACCUGCAAGUCAGUACAAUUCACAAUAGGCACCCAUUUACUCCAAACAAAUCGAACUAGUCGAUUACAUGUCACCCAAAUCAAUCUCCACGGAGGAGUAUCUAAAAGCUAGGCCACGUGCAUUCUCUAGGACGACCUUCCAAGUCUCCGAGCCACGUGCCUCGAACCUUUGGCCCACUUGCAUUCUCUAAGGCGACCUCUUCGCCAAGGUGGUACAUCAAGUCACCGAGCCACGUGCCCUUUUAGAUGUCAUUCUCAAAUAUCGGACCCACGUGCAUUCUCUAAGACACUCAUUUGCCAAGGUGACGCAUCAAAUCACCGAGCCACGUGUCCUUUUUACGAUGCCCAGGCCCACGUGCCUUCUCCUAGGUGCUAUCUCACCAAAGUGAUGCAUCAAUUCACCGAGCCACAUGCCCUUUUAGAUGCCUUUUCGGAACGUCGGGCCCACGUGCAUUCUCUAAGGCACUAAUUCGCCAAAGUGACGCAUCAAAUCACCGAGCCACAUGCCCUUUUAGAUGCCAAACUCUGUCACCAAGCCAUGUGCAUUCUCCAGGAGGACAUACCGAGUCUCUGAGCCACGUGCAUUCUCUUAGGCGACCUCUUCACCAAGAUGACAUACUCAACCACUAAACUCGCGUGCAUUCUCGAGGUGAUAGUCCAAUUCACCGAGCCCACGUAUUUUCUUUCAAGUGAUUACCGACCUACUUUCAACACCGACAACCAAUGCCCAACGAUUUCUCAAACAAAUAAUCAAAAUCAACUCAACAAAGCAUUAUAAAUGUUGAAUAACAUACUUGGCCAUUUACCAAUCAACAAUUCAAUCUCAAUCAAUUCCAAUCAAUUUACGGUAAAUCCCUAAAAUAUCACAAUUUAUUUAAUUCCAUGCAAUGUGGAGCUCAAAUAAAUAAACGGACUGCGCCACGACGAUCAAAACGAGAUUUCGGUCGUCGGCCAUCAAAAUCUUAAUUUCAGAAAAAUAAUUAAUUAAUUAAUUAAUUUCGAAAAUUAAUUAAUACAUAUUAAAAAUUCAAUUUAGCACAAAAUAAAGCCCAAUUAAAUAAACGGACUUCACCACAGUCAUCCGCAUAAUAUUCUGGUCCUGGGCCAUCUCAGUUGAAUUUUCAAAAAAUAAAUAAUUAUUCAAUUUAAUUCCGAAAAUUAAUAUUUAAAUACUAAAAAUUCCACUUAUGCCCGAAAGCCUAAUUGGAGCCCACUAAGAGCUGGGAAAAAUCCCGAGACACUUCCAAUAAAUAGUAGAUCACGUCUACUUGCUAAUUACACAUUCAAUUUGGCUAAUUCGCAUCACAAUUGGCUAAUAAACACUAAUCUAACCACCUAAACCUAAUUAAUUAAAACUAAACCAACCUUAAGCAUAAUUAGUCAACUAAUUCGGGAUUAGUGAGAUUACUCACCAAAUCGCGCGCAAAUCGGAUCAAUCCGACGAGGGCGACGCAAGGAACGAUUCCUCCCAAAACACGGCUCGGGUUCAGGGCCCGGAAACGGCCUAAAACGGGCCUUGAACAGGGCUGGAAACCCACUUUUCCAGCCACUGUUCUUGGCUAGACGAAGCUCGUCCGGCAGCUAGGGCGGCGAGGGGAGGCCGGCGGAGGGCGAAGGGGAGGCCGGGGACGCCGGGCGGAGCUGGGCGGCGGCCGAAGGAGACUGAACAAGCUGGGCAGAGGCAAAGCAGGGACUGGAUCGCGCGAGGGAGGGACGCCUGGGCGCGAGGGGUGGCGGCUGAACGCGCAGCACCUCGCGGUUGGUGCAGACAGCGGCUCGACGGCAUGCGGCAGCGACGGUGAGCUGCAACUUCUGCUCCGACGUUCUUCCAGAUCUACUAGAACGUUGAGCAACAGGCCGAGGGGAAAAAGAAGGUGUCGGUGGCAGCUCAGGGGUGAAGGCGGACGAUGAGCGGCAGACGCACGGGCGCAGGCGGCGAGACGAGUGGCGAUGACUGCUUCGGCAAGCUACUAUCUCUGACGGCAUCACCCAAAUAUUUGAUUCCCAAAACCGAAUUAAAUUUCAUGGUUAAAAUCGACCGGACGCGAUUUUAGUCCAAUCCAACCAAUUAGGUAGCUUUUAGGCAUUUUACCGCGGUUAUAUCCCUUAACAGCAUCACCUAAUGGGAUAGCUAACUCGUGAGUGAUCAGCUCAGAGAAAAAGGACCAUAGGCGCACCGACGAUAUGCACAUUUCAUUUUAUCGAAACGGGCUCGAAUUUCAGUAUGUCACAACUCUUCCCCUCUUAUAAAAAUUUCGUCCUCAAAAUUUAAACCCUUACACAGUUUGCUCAAAAAGGCGAGGGUACAAUUAUCUCAUUGACUCUUCAAUCUCCCAAGUCGCUCCUUCAAUGCCGUGGUAUUGUCAUACCACUUUGACCAAUGGAAUGGUCUUUGUACGCAGAACUUGCUUUUUGCGAUCGACAAUCUGAACCGGGCUUUCCAAGUAUGACACACGGUCAUCCACGUCCAAUUCCUCGAAAUUGAGCACGUGAGUAAGGUCAGGCUCGUACUUCCUUAACAUCGACACGUGAAAGAUGUCAUGCACUUGCGCCAAUCUUGGCGGCAACGCAAGAUGAUACGUUAGGUUUUCGAUUCUUUCAAGAAUCUCAAACGGACCUACGUACCUCGAACUCAAUUUGCCUUUCUUACCAAAGCACGAAGUUCCCCUCAUUGGUGACACUUUCAGAAAAACGUGAUCACCAACUUGGAAUUCCAAAGACAUUCGACACUUAUCUGCAUAACUUUUCUGCCUGCUCUGCGCGGUCUUUAAUCUUCCUCUAAUUACUGCCAUGGCAUCUACUAACUGAUGAACCAACUCUGAGCCUGUGAUUUUCCUUUCCCCGACUUCAUCUCAACAUACUGGAGUUCUACACGCUCUGCCAUACAACGCUUCAAAAGGAACCAUCUUGAUGCUCUGCCGAUAACUGUUGUUGUAGGCAAAUUCCACUAGAUGAAGCUAAUCUUCCCAGCUUCCUUUGAAGUCUAUUACACACGCUCUGAGCAUGUCUUCAAGACUCUGAAUUGUCCUUUCAGACUGGCCAUCCAUUUGAGAAUGAUAUGCCGUACUGUACUGAAGCUUUGUACAUAAAGCACUAUGCAAGCUCUUCCAAAAUGCAGCAGUAAACCUCAAGUCUCUAUCGGAUGUUAUCGUAACCGGCACUCCAUGCAUUCGAACCACUUGACGCACAUACAGGUCUGUGUGUCUAUCCAGACUCAAGUCCUUUCGAACCGCAAUGAAGUGAGCCGACUUUGUCAGCCUGUCGACUACUACCCAAAUCGAAUCAUUCCCCCUCUGACUCCUUGGUAGUCCAGUCACGAAGUCCAUCGUGAUAUGCUCCCAUUUCCAUUCUGGAAUCGUGAGAGGUUGCAAAAGUCCUCCCGGCUUGCAAUGCUAGGCUUUUACUUGCUGACAAGUCAACACUUGGCCACAUGUUGGGCGAUGUUCCACCUACAUACCUGACCACCAAUAGUGUUGACGCAGAUUCUGAUAUAUCUUAGUACUUCCUGGAUGAACGUUAUAACUGCUACGAUGUGCUUCAGAUAAAAUAUCCUCUCUAAGCUCUACAUCGUCAGGUACAACCAAACGUCCAUAGAACCUCAAUACCCCAUCAUCAGAAACUUGAACAUCAGUCUUUCUUUUAUCGGUAUCCUCUUGAAGAAUUCUUUGUACAUCUGGAUCUGUCGGUUGGAGUUCUUUGAUUCAGACCUGUACAUUCAUUUCAAUUAUGCGAGUGGCCAUAAAACUUGAAAGGUGGCCUACCUCAAAUUUGAAUUUCGAAUCCCGAGCUCUCUCGAUUAAGUUCAACUCCUUAACCAAGAUUUGCGCUAUUGAAGACUUCCGACUCAAUGCAUCGGCGACCUUAUUCGCCUUUCCCGGGUGAUAUAGAAUAUCACAGUCAUAGUCUUUCAGCAAUUCCAUCCAUCGGUGUUGUCUCAUGUUCAACUCCUUCUGAGAGAACAAAUACUUGAGACUCUGAUGGUCCGCGAAGAUUUGAAACUUUUCUCCACACAAGUAGUGCCUCCAAAUCUUCAACGCAAAUAUGAUGGCUGCGAGUUCCAAGUCAUGUGUCGGAUAAUUCAAUUCAUGAGGUCUCAACUGACGGGAAGCGUACGCAACAACUCUGCCAUGUUGCAUCAGCAUGCAACCCAAUCCCCUGAAUGACCCAUCACUAUAGAUCUCGAAUCCUCCAGGACCAGAUGGAAUCGUUAGUACAGGUGCGGUAGUCAGCUUUUCCUUCAGCUCUUGGAAACUACACUCGCACUUGUCUGACCAUACAAAUUUCUCUUCUUUCUUCGGGAGCUUUGUCAGAGGUGAUGCUAAUGCUGAAAAACCUUCCACAAACGAUCUAUAAUGACUUGCUAACCCCAGAAAACUUAUGAUCUCUGUCACUGUUGUUGGUCUCGACCACUUGAUCACGGCUUCUAUCUUGCUCAGGUCGAUGGAGAUUCCUUCUCCAGAAAUCACAUGACCUAAGAAUGCAACAUGAAUCAACCAAAACUCGCAUUUGUUAAACUUAGCAUAUAGCUGAUGAGUUCUUAAGGUCUGGAGUACUAUUCUCAAAUGAUUCUCAUGCUUUUCAUCACUUCUCGAAUAGACCAAGAUGUCAUCAAUGAGCGCGAUCACAAACUGAUCCAGAUAUUCCUUGAACAUUCUGUUUGUCAAAUCCAUGACAGCAACUAGAGCAUUCGUCAAUCCGAACGGCAUCAUUGUAAACUCGUAAUGACCAUAGCGGGUACGAAAUGCCGACUUAGGAAUAUCCUCCUUCCUAAUCCUCAGCUGAUGAUAUCCUGUCCUUAAGUCGAUCUUCGAGAAUAUUGAUGCCCCUUGCAAUUGAUCAAACAAGUCAUCUAUCCUCGGCAAUGGAUACUUGUUCUUGAUCGUUACCUGAUUGAGCUGUCGAUAGUCGAUGCACAGGCGCAACGAACCAUCUUUCUUCUCAACAAACAGAACUGGUGCUCCUCAAGGUGAUGCACUAGGAUGAAUAAAUCCUUUAUCCAGUAACUCUUGCAUCUGCACCUUCAGUUCCUUCAACUCAGAUAACGCCAUUCGAUAAGGUGCCUUCGAGAUCAAUUCUAUCCCUAGUGCUAGCUCAAUUACAAAUUCUAUCUCUCUUUCUGGUGGUAACCCUGGCAAUUCUUUUGGAANNNNNNNNNNNNNNNNNNNNNNNNNNNNNNNNNNNNNNNNNNNNNNNNNNNNNNNNNNNNNNNNNNNNNNNNNNNNNNNNNNNNNNNNNNNNNNNNNNNNACACUACAGUUGUCAAAUCAAUCUUUGCAACCUACGUCUAACAAACGAAUUAUCUUUAACCAACGAGAUUAAUGAAAUCGAAAAUUCUUUUCGACUCUUAAUAAUCUCGACAUUUUCGCAAACUAAUAGACUAAAUUGGAUUAUUCCAUAACCAUGAUUCAUUAUCACAAGAUGCUCUAUGAGUCCACUCUACUCAUAUAGCAUUAAAAAUACUCCUUAGCAACUAGUCAAGCAUAACUAUUGCCAGUGAUUCCCCUUUCUCUCACUUAUUUCAAUAAACUGAAGUUCCUCAAACUUCACCAAAACUCUAUCACGAUACUCUGAUAGAAUUUUCCCCUAAACAUUCUUCCUCUAACUAGUGCCAGGUUGGUUCCAUUCUUGUCCUUUUUGCCACCCUAAUGGUGUCCUAACUGAAGUAGCGGAGUCAGUGUUCAAUUGGACUUUCACUGAUAGUCUUUCACCCGACGACCGUGCUGAUUGCAAUUAUAGCACAUUCUAGCCAUACUCAGACACUGGAUUCAUCCAUGCUUCCUUCUACAAUUCUGACACCUAUCUGGUGCAUCUUCUAUCUUCUAUCAGGUGAAAGCAUGCACUCUUUCUGGUUGCCCCAUCAUUCUGCUAAGACCACUCCCGACCAAAUAUCCUUGUUGGCUAUACUCCAAACAAUUUCGCGUCCUAGGAAGGACAUAAGACCGAUCUCCAUCAUCACGUCCAGAAACAACCUGAUCUAUUUGACUCGGUGCUGACUUGACUACCCCACCCUUCCUCGCGAGUGGAAUAGAAUACUUUUCUCUCGACCUUGAUCUUUUCCCUGACCGAUUUCCAUUUCUGCCUGAACUGGAUCUAUACCUUGGCUCGAAUGCAAUGACUCGCUCCCGGAUCACAUCUCCACUCUGGAUCUCAGCAGGUGAGGCGACAACAACGGUUACGGUAUUGAUGGCAACUUGAUCCUGAGCCUCCUGGCUCAUCCAAUUCCCAAGGAGCACUAGCAUCAAAAUGAUCCUAUCGAACUUAGGAUUAUUCAACACUACUACACUAGUACCAACCUGCAGUGGUACUCUUACACUCGAGCUGGCCAGAGCCAACACUCUACCUCAACCACCUCGGGUAUCAACCUUUGUCAAUGCAUUAUCCCGAGUCACAGAGGACAUUGCCCUCUUACUAGGAGUUCUCAACUCCUGCUCGCUCAUGGUUCAGUCUUUACACUGAAACUCGUCUUCCAAACCCAUACUGGAUUAGAAGGUGAGCGAUCCACACACAACAAACAAUUUUAGCAUUCAACUAACACAGACAUGCACCAGCAUGAAUUUAAAGGCCUUUCCUACUAACUAUCCCAUGGUCAACGCUCCUUAUCACUCCAAUCUUGAACUUCGCUCUGACACCACAAAAAGGGGAUGUCACGCCCCGAUCCUCGGGCACGCACACAUCCUUUCUCACUUGGUCGAUUUUAUAAUGCGAUAUCCCAGGACUAUGUAUCGCCGACCCUUUCAGUUAUUAAGCACAUACGAAAGCAGUUAAAUCCCCAUACAAUACACGAUGGGAUAGAAAAGCAAGGCCAUAUUUUNNNNNNNNNNNNNNNNNNNNNNNNNNNNNNNNNNNNNNNNNNNNNNNNNNNNNNNNNNNNNNNNNNNNNNNNNNNNNNNNNNNNNNNNNNNNNNNNNNNNUACAAAACACAAACCACUUCAUAACUAUUCACUUCAAAAGGAAUUCUCAAAAAAAGACAGACUCUAUGUCCAUCUGGGCCGUACUCAAGGCCCCUCUCGGGAUUAUCUUCUUCUUCCAAAAAUCCUUCUCCUCAGGUUUUACCUCCGAGUUCUCAUUCCCAGACUUCUCCUCCUCAGCUCCUCAUCGGGGUCCCGAAAUGAUUUCCCCAAACCGGGAUGAGACUACGUCUCAGCAAGUUCUACCCCACUAAGGCUCGAUUAGUAAACAAUUAUACUAUAGGCUGCCUAAACACGCACAGAGCAGAGGACUUACCUUGGCCUCAGAUCCCACCUGCAAGUCAGUACAAUUCACAAUAGGCACCCAUUUACUCCAAACAAAUCGAACCAGUCAAUUACAUAUCACCCAAAUCAAUCUCCACAGAGGAGUAUCUAAAAGCUAGGCCAUGUACAUUCUCUAGAACGACCUUCAAAGUCUCCGAGCCACGUGCCUGGAACAUUGGGCCCACGUGCAUUCUCUAAGGCAACCUCUUCACCAAGGUGGUACAUCAAGUCACAUGGCCGGAUGGCCUUGAGAGUUUCGAGAUGCCCAGAAUGGCUAGGCGCCGGAAGCCUCGGAGGUCUUUGUCGAGGGGAUGCCUCGUGAUGCCAUUUGGGAUGCGAGAUGCCCGGAAUGUGUGCCGGAUGCCCGGUGGCUUUAAAUGGCUGAAUGCCGGAGGUUUUUCUCGUGAUGCUAGGAUGGGGUGCGAGUGAUAAAGUAUGGGAUGCAAUUAUUGAUCCCGGGAAAGAGUGAUGUGGUGAUCAAAUUGAAAGUUAAAAGUGAAAUUGAAUCAUGCAUAUAUGAUAUGAUAUGAUGAUGAUCACCUAUGGCAUGAUGACACGCAUAUAUGAUAUGAUGAUCAUCACUUAUGGCAUGAUGAUCUGUAUGGAUAUGAUUGAGAUGAGUAUAUGAAGAUGUGUGCACAUAUAGUGUGUUUGUAUAUGCAUGGCUUCAAGGUAGGUUAUGCUUGGAGGCAUGAAUGGCAUGUACUAUGUUAUGAUUAUAUUGUGUGAUGCCUGAGUGGUAUGGAUCCUUUACGUGCUGAGUGGUAGUACUCACCCUUCGGGGACCAACAUUUGAGAUUAGCAGGAUGCCGCUCCUGCUGUCACGCGAGGCGUAUUUUACGGCCUUCCUUCAGAUGUAGAGGUCGAGUGUGUGGAGAAUGACUGUCCCACCAUUCCUGGACUGACAUUUAUUCGAGUUCGUGCGAUAGUUAUGUACGAUGUAGGCCUGGCUGAGGGCCCUGUCAUUCAAGAGUUCAUAUCGGUUCACGUUCGACGAGAUGGGGUGAUGCGUGGGAUGUUGCCGCCGCCACCACCUGAUGCACCGGGAUGGGUGUGAGGGCCCGUGCAUGAGAAGUAGGAGCUACAACUUUUUGGGAUGAUAGCCGACACUAGUUGAUGGGAGAUCUUGCAUGAUAGACAUAGUGGGUCGAGUGUUUCUUUUUGGGGUUGUGGCCAAGUGUAGCUAAAAACCUUAGCCUUUCUUUUGAUGUACCGACCCAAGAAAAAUCCAUCAUGAAAAUAUGUAAAUAAAAGUGUCUGGGCUCUAUCUUUUCUUAUGAUGUUUAGUGGUGUGCAAUUGUAUCAUGGUUGUUGGAGGGAGAGAUGGCGAAAUUAAAUUUUGCUUCCGCUAAUGAGUCGCGUUAGGACUGUUUUCAAAAAAAAAAAAGUCUAUGAACUUCGACGCUUCUACUAGGAGAUGUAUCUAGUGUUCCAUUAGGUGCCUAUGGCUCACAAAGGAGGUUCGGGGUGUCACACAAAUCCUUCAUGAGAGUUGAAAUACAUGAUACAUAUGUUCAAUUGAUGCAUGCUUUGCAAAUUUUUUACGAUGGCAAGUAAGUCAAUUGUGUGAAUUGAGGUUAAAAUGUGCUACAUCAAUACAUAAUCUAAUUGUCCAUCUCUAUUUUGUCAUUUUUGUUGUGAUUCAUGCGAUCAUAUUUAGGUUUUUAAUCCUUAAUGAGAAAAGUUCCAACAUUAUAUCUUCUAUGUGUAGAAUUUUUCGUAAGAUUUUUGCACGUCUUGAGAUGAUUGAAAUUGUGCGCAUUCUGUGAAAUCGAUGCUUAAAUGAAAUCUUGCCAUUUAUGGAUCUUACCAUGCUUAUUUGAGACAUUUAGAGACUAAAUUUUGAGAUAAUGUUUUCUUGACACUUAAACCUCAUGUUAUAAGGUUUGAGUACAUGUUCGCAUCAUUACAUUUGAGUGUCAUUUUGCAUGUUAAUUUAUGCCGCAAGAGCAUAUGUUCAUCAUGAAACUCUCAAGCAUUUCAUCAUGAAUGUUGAGUCAUCUUGUUUUUUCAUUGAAUUGUAUGACAUCUUCUCAUGCCGACUUAGGGUUAGAUGAUUAUCCAAAUUGUUUAUGCAUCUAAUUCUAAGUCACAUGUGAUCUUUUCAUGCCAUUUGUACAUUACUUGAAUGAUUUUUUAGAUUUAUUAAUGCAUGUUUGUGUUCUGAUUUUUAGUUACCGAUAUGCGCACCUUUUGAAAUCUUGAUCUUAGAGCACCUAAUUGACCUACUUUGGACUCAAACCUUUUUAGAAAGUCAAAAAGCACACUUAGAAGUUUCCAAUGCCACUAAUUUCAUACCAAUCGCUCAUCGUUUGGGCCACUUUCCAUUUUUUCAAAAUUAGAUCAGAAUCUAGACAUAAGAUCAAAUUCGGACCCCUGUUGUAACCUCUGUUUGAACAGACAUUUGACAUUUUUGUUCUAUUUUUUCUAUUACGAUUUUGCACUUGACCUCUUAAUAAAACUUGUUCAUCAACAUAUUGGCUGUGUUAUGUGAAAAUUUGAUGAUUUUUAGACUUGUUUUGAUAGGUCAAACCUUGUGAUAUUGGCUAAGUGUCUUGCUAAUUUGACAAAUUUCUAACAUGCUAUAGCUUGUUGUCUGAUUUUUGUAAAAUUGUAUGUAACUUGUUUAGGAAAUUUUCUUUCAAAAAAUUUGUUCAUUACAUGUCGUACAUACUAGGAAAUUUUUCCAUAGUUAGAUUGUCAAUGGGUAUUAUUCAAUUUUGUUGUCUUUACACGCUUGUUCUAAAAUUUCCUAAUAUAAACAUGAUUGUGAUUGUUUAGUUAUACUUUUUAGGUUAGUUUGUGCAUGAAAAUAGGCCAUGCCAUCUUCAUGGAAGCUGUUCCAAAUGUUUUGAUCUUUGUUAUUAAACAAUUGGCAUUUUCAAAUUGUAUUUUUCAAAAAUACUUUGGUACAUGUGAUGUUUCCCAAAAACAAUUGGUUAAGAAAGUUUUUCUCCAAAACUCGAGUUGGCUUAAGAAAAAGUCGUGGUUUGAACCAUAUUCAAAAUGCCUGCGAUGCUUGUGAGUGUAUUUAUGCGAGCCCCAGGCUAGCCUUGGCAAUUGAAUGUGUUCCAUAGCCUAGAUAUUCCUUAAUCCUAAAUAUUUUCAAACCUUUUUAAAAUCCUAAUUUGACAUUAUGAAAGUCACGGUUUGAAUUGUAUUCAAAAUGCCUACAAUACUUGUGAAUGCAUUUAUGCAAACCCCAGGCUAGCCUUAGCAAUUGAAUGACUUUCAUAGCUAAGACAUCAUUUUGUCUCAAAUUUUUUCAUGAAUGAUUUCAAAAUAUGUUUUUGAUUAGGAUAUGACUUUGGUAAUAAGUGAUCCACCAAUGGCUCACUCAUCUGUUUGAUUGGUUGAGAAACAAGGUUCAAAAGACCUACAUGCAUGUUUAAAUUUCUGCAAUGCAUGUGGCUUUUAGAUAAAUGGUAGGGUCGAUGCAUGAUAUCAAGAGAAAACCCUAGGAUCACAUAGAUCACUUAGUUAGGAGAUUUAUAAGUGUUAUUGGUCAUGCGAGAACACAAUUGGUCAACAAUUACUAUAAGUCACAAAAAUGGAUUGGGUGAGUGUCUUAGUGGGACCCUCGCAUGAAAGACAAGGGCCAACCCCGAGACCCCAAAAUUUGACUUUUGCAUUGAACUUUCUUCACAUGAAGUCGUGUUUUUAACUGUUUUGACGUGUAUGCUUAUUUCUUUCUAUUGUAUGAUUUUUUAGACUAAAUUUAGAUUAGGACCCCCAAGAUGGAGAAAGCGUGAAGACAGUGGAGGUCGACAUCCAUUCCGACCAUUAUCAUGUAUUAGUCAUUCCCCUAACAUAUAUCUCAGGUUUCAUUUGUUGUAUAAAGCCCGACAAGUUAUGGGUUUUCUCUCUUCCUCUCAUCUUUUUUGAUUGUGUUUCUUUUUUAUAUUUUCUAGGAUUGCAUGGUAAAUUUACUGCUUUCCUUGACUAUUUACUUGUUGUCUCGUAAUUUCAAUUCCAUUGAUUGCUUUCUUUUCUUAUUUUCUAGAAAUAGAAUAGUAUGAAAAUGACCCACCACACAUGAUCACUUAGUCUAGUACUAAUGAUCCCAAAAAUGUAAGAAGAAAUGUGUGGACACGUUAGGAAAAUACAACAUACUAUUUAGGUGCCGAAAGGGUUCUAAUAGAAAUAUUAGCGUAACCCAAGUCCCUAAACCUAGAUAAUGAUUGUGUAAGAAUCAAGGGAAUACUCACAAUCCUCGAUUGUGUUUUCUAGCCAACCCCUAAAAUGAGACUAGUGGCAACUCUCAUCUUACUUUUAGGUUUUCAUAAACAACUAGACCAUAUAAAUAAACCCAUCGAGCAGGUUACGAGUUUCGAUGAAACUCACCAUGGUUUAGCAUACUCGAUAUUGGAGUACCUCAAAGGAUGAAGCAAUGUCAUCCUUAUGGGUGAAGCGCACUAUCAAGAGAGCUACCAUGGUAAAUGUACCCUUAAAUCUAAUAUCCACACCCGAUCUUUUCUCCCAAGGUGUGUCGCUCAUGUGGAUAUGGAUCACGACACUCCGCUAUCACAUAAGGUACGAGCUUUGUGACAUCCCGAAAUUUGGCCCCGUUUUGAAUAUACGAAAUGGUUAUUUCGUCAACGCGCUUAUGGUUAUUUUACUUGGAGCUAGCCAAUCAUAAGUUAACUGAUAUAUUAGGCGAAGCCUUUAAGGGAUAUAAAUGCAGCAAACUAGAGAAUUCAAUUGGAAAUCGACCGCUCGACCAUAAUAAUCAGCAAGGGUCAAUACAAUACCGUUAUAAAUCAAUUUGCGGACAGAUAUAGUUCAAUUUGAUGGAAUCACGUAGUUGAAUUGCGGGUGGUUCCGCACAAUUGCGAUAUUCGCGUCAAAUGGCAAUAAACUAAUUUUCUAUCGAUAUUAUAUUCAGGACACGUAAUUGAAACCCCAUGAUUAUGUGACAACCAAGGGUUGUCUAUGAUUCGGAGAUCCACAAACGUGGAUCGAAAAUUAUCGACCACGGGUCAAACGCACUAAAAUCCCUAAAAGUUACCCAAUAGGUUAAGUCCUACUAAAGACGCGUUCGAUCAAUUUUAACCAUAAAAUUAAAUUCGAUUUUGAGAAUCGGACAUUCGAUCGUAUUACGAUUUAUUUAUUGGACGUCAUCUCAUCUUUUGGCGAAUUUUCGUCGAGUGCGAAAUUUUGCGGAGAAUCUGUUUUCAGACAAAAAGAAAAAGAAAAGUGAAAUUCGGAUUAAGAAUAAAAAUGGGAAUUUGCUGCCCAAAAAUGAUUUAUUUGGGGGAAAUGAGAGCUAAAUGGUGAUUGGAUGACCAUGAGACUAUAGGGGCAUGAAGACUUUGGGGGCAAGGUGAUGAUGAAUUAGAUAUUCUUACUAAGUUCUCAUUGGCUAGCCUUUCCCUUUCAUUUUCUCUCUCUCUCUCCCAUUUCUCUCCUCUCCCAUGCAUGUUUCUCCCCCCCCCCCCUCCCUCUCUCUGCCAAAGCAGCCCAUUUCCUCUCCAUCUCCUUUUCUUCCUUUCUUCUUUCAUUCUCCCCUCAUGUUCUUUCUUUCCCCCACCACCAGCGAACCCAUCCCAAGCCACCAUCCAGCGCCAUCUUCCCCCCCCCCUGAAGGCCGGGGCAACACAUUUAAAAAGUUCCCCCACUAGCUACCCUCNNNNNNNNNNNNNNNNNNNNNNNNNNNNNNNNNNNNNNNNNNNNNNNNNNNNNNNNNNNNNNNNNNNNNNNNNNNNNNNNNNNNNNNNNNNNNNNNNNNNNNNNNNNNNNNNNNNNNNNNNNNNNNNNNNNNNNNNNNNNNNNNNNNNNNNNNNNNNNNNNNNNNNNNNNNNNNNNNNNNNNNNNNNNNNNNNNNNNNNNNNNNNNNNNNNNNNNNNNNNNNNNNNNNNNNNNNNNNNNNNNNNNNNNNNNNNNNNNNNNNNNNNNNNNNNNNNNNNNNNNNNNNNNNNNNNNNNNNNNNNNNNNNNNNNNNNNNNNNNNNNNNNNNNNNNNNNNNNNNNNNNNNNNNNNNNNNNNNNNNNNNNNNNNNNNNNNNNNNNNNNNNNNNNNNNNNNNNNNNNNNNNNNNNNNNNNNNNNNNNNNNNNNNNNNNNNNNNNNNNNNNNNNNNNNNNNNNNNNNNNNNNNNNNNNNNNNNNNNNNNNNNNNNNNNNNNNNNNNNNNNNNNNNNNNNNNNNNNNNNNNNNNNNNNNNNNNNNNNNNNNNNNNNNNNNNNNNNNNNNNNNNNNNNNNNNNNNNNNNNNNNNNNNNNNNNNNNNNNNNNNNNNNNNNNNNNNNNNNNNNNNNNNNNNNNNNNNNNNNNNNNNNNNNNNNNNNNNNNNNNNNNNNNNNNNNNNNNNNNNNNNNNNNNNNNNNNNNNNNNNNNNNNNNNNNNNNNNNNNNNNNNNNNNNNNNNNNNNNNNNNNNNNNNNNNNNNNNNNNNNNNNNNNNNNNNNNNNNNNNNNNNNNNNNNNNNNNNNNNNNNNNNNNNNNNNNNNNNNNNNNNNNNNNNNNNNNNNNNNNNNNNNNNNNNNNNNNNNNNNNNNNNNNNNNNNNNNNNNNNNNNNNNNNNNNNNNNNNNNNNNNNNNNNNNNNNNNNNNNNNNNNNNNNNNNNNNNNNNNNNNNNNNNNNNNNNNNNNNNNNNNNNNNNNNNNNNNNNNNNNNNNNNNNNNNNNNNNNNNNNNNNNNNNNNNNNNNNNNNNNNNNNNNNNNNNNNNNNNNNNNNNNNNNNNNNNNNNNNNNNNNNNNNNNNNNNNNNNNNNNNNNNNNNNNNNNNNNNNNNNNNNNNNNNNNNNNNNNNNNNNNNNNNNNNNNNNNNNNNNNNNNNNNNNNNNNNNNNNNNNNNNNNNNNNNNNNNNNNNNNNNNNNNNNNNNNNNNNNNNNNNNNNNNNNNNNNNNNNNNNNNNNNNNNNNNNNNNNNNNNNNNNNNNNNNNNNNNNNNNNNNNNNNNNNNNNNNNNNNNNNNNNNNNNNNNNNNNNNNNNNNNNNNNNNNNNNNNNNNNNNNNNNNNNNNNNNNNNNNNNNNNNNNNNNNNNNNNNNNNNNNNNNNNNNNNNNNNNNNNNNNNNNNNNNNNNNNNNNNNNNNNNNNNNNNNNNNNNNNNNNNNNNNNNNNNNNAAUGCUAAUGAGGAUUAGUUUUAGUUAAUCCUAGAUUAGUGUUAACUAAGUUUUGUUAGGUUAGUUAACCAUGGUUAGGUUAAUUAAUCAUGGUUAGGUUAAUGCUCAAAGGAGCUAAGUCUGGAUUUCUCUUCAAAUCUGUUUACUGGACACUCACUGUUUGCUAUUUUCGUUGGUUAAAAUGUGCUACGAUUUUGAGGUUUCUUCCUACCUUGAAAAAUUUUCUAAACAUCUUCAUUUAUGACAUAUAUUUUACUCAAGAUUUUUUUGGAUUUAAAAGAAUAAUAUUUCAGCUUUGUUGCAUGCAAGGAAAAAUCUCAUUUUGUGUUGGAACCUGUAACCUUUUGGUAUUUAAAGGAUUUUUAUUAACUCUUAGAAUUCGAUUUUCAGAAUGGUUUCUUCACAAACAUUUUUCAUCACAUCUUGAAGUUUAACAUAGUCAAAUUCAGAGCAAACGGACAAGUUUUGUACUUCAAACCAAGCUGGUUUUGGAAAACAUAAUUUCUAGACACGGACACAGUUUUGGUAAUGAUUUGAGCAAUUUAUUGCUCCUAUUCUAGAAAUAUCUGGGUCAAGGUGUCUUGCAUAAAAAGUGUUUGUUUAAGUGUCUUUUAUGACAUAUUUAAAUUUGAGGAUUUUCUGAACUUGUUUAGUUAUGUUUCUGGAAUUAAUCUUGGAGACGUGCAAGUGGACUCGGUUUCCGCCAGUGAGGGCCGAUUGUGGUCUUGUGGUUAUUCUUGGUGUCUUGCUUGCUGGAAAAUGUACAUUUUGUGAUUUUGUUGAUUUUUGGCAUGCUGAAAACUUAUGCGUGAUUUUGAUCGCUUGUACGUGUGUUUUUGUGAGAUAAAUUACUCUAUGGUUGGUUCCAAUUUUUAUGUCAAAAGACGGCUUUAUAAGCUUUUAAAUAGAAAAACAAUGAGGUGUCAGGUUUAAUCGCCGAAACUUAUUUGUUCAAUAAAACAAUGACGUUUUAAACUAAGUGCGUACAAAGUUUGAAGGGAUAAUUUUGAGUAUGGGAACAUGUACAAAUUUCUUUUCAAAAGUUUUAAAGAAAAAAAAAUGAGGUUACCAAAGAUUGUUUUCAAAAAGGGUGAUUGGACCAAGAAAUAGAAAAGAAAUAUGGUGUCGGCUUUGGACGCCAAGUUUUAUGUGCUCAAUAAAACCAUGAGGUUUCAAACUAGAUGCAUGCAAAGUUUCACAGGUUGAUUUCAAAUACAUGACCCAGUACGAAUUUAUUUCAGAAAGUUUUGAUCAAAAAAAAAAGGAGUUGCAAGGUUUAUUAUUUGAAAAGAGAUUUUGGUUUUCUUGGCUAAAUAACGGAAAUAAAAGCUGGUUUGAUUGAUGACGUGCUUGCAUGGUCACUUAAUGGAACCCGUCACCCAACCGGAGUUUGGGGGCGAUGUCCGAUAUUUAUUGGAUGCCUGGCGGGGGUCUGGAAGCCAAGUCGCGGUUGAGGCCGAACCGAUGCUUCUUUAUGGAAUGCCACUUAGCUGAGAGUUCUAGACAUUGCCAUGCCCGACGGGGCAGGACGAUGCCCGAUUACGCCGGAUGACCACCAACUUUUGAGUUGGCCGUGGCCCGAGGGGUAGUAAUAAUUGGAACACGUGUGAAUGAUUGUGUUGUAUUGCAUUUGAUUAUAAGGCAAAAUUGUUAGGCAUGGUAUGGGAUGUGCCAAAACGAUUUUACCUUAUAAUCGAGACCCGUGUGAGUGCUUAGAGAAUGAGAAUUACGUGUUUUGGUUAUUGAUUAUGCUUGUUAUACUUAUAAUGGCAUAUGUGAUGCACCAAUAUGCAAGGACGUGCCAAGGCAAGGUGAGUUUAUUUGUGGUGCCUGUUUAGGCUGCCUCCGAGGCGAAUUUGCAUCCUAAUCAAGAUUUAGGGAUUUAACUCGCUGAGAUUUAUCUCACUCCGUCGUGGUUAAACAUUUUCAAGGCCAUAGCGUGGAGAUCUGCUAAGUGCGGAUGUGGUGGGCGCGAGAUGCGACACCUUUUGGCUGGCCCUGCCAUGAGUGGAGUUUAGGUUAACCCUAGUCCCCGAAGGUUUUUGAAAAGGGUCAAUAGGAAGUGGCCGUAGAAGGGCUUGUAAGUAUUAAACUCCUUGGGUUAACCAGUCAAUAUGGAAAUCAUUGUUUUUGGGGAAAUUGUUCCUAGUAUUUACUAUCCCUAUGUUUGUUUGUUGACCAAGGGUUUAUUUAAUUUGCUUCUGCAUGCAUAUAAUCGAAAGGUAAAAAAAUAAUAAUAAGUCAGCGCCGCUUCCUGGGACGUCACAUUCUCAAUCGACCGCAAAGGGAUGUUCGCGUGCUCAGGGUUCAGGGCGUGACAAGCUUGGGAGAGCUCAUGAUCUCAUGAAGGGAACUUGUGAAAUGCUUGAUCUGAAAGGCAAGGUGAUGACGUCUUUUAGAGCGUGAGCCGUGAGGGAACUCUCGUGAUCAAGUACCCCUAAAUCCGACAUUUCCCCCUUUUCUCUCCUCGUGAUAGUGAGGGAUCGAAGGCAGCAAGAUCAGGUCGCGACACCCGAAAGAGGGGUCCAAAUCAAGGAUGUCACAAUAAAGGUAGAUUGAUAUAUCAUGAACAAAAUCGCCAAAGGAUUACAACAAAGAUAUCUUUAAUUGCAAGAAAUUAGUUGAGGCUAGAAACAAUUCGAUGGCUUCGUCCAGUUUUGUGAGCAUUAUAAAGUGAGUUUGCACCUUCUCCUUUCUUUCUUUCUUUAUCACCUAUUUUCUUGAUGGAUAGCAAAGAUCACCUACUUCUACCAUUGUUUGCUUACUCCCAUCUCUGUCACUUAUACAUAGUAAACAUUUUAUGUGUUAAUAUAAUCCAGCAUUGCUUGUCUACAAGUUUAUAUGUGCCUUGUAUAUAGUUAUGUAGUCUCUCUUUAUCUAAUAAUUUAUUUUAAUAUAGUUUUCACAACCUCCUCAUUUCAAGUCGAGCGAAAGGGGUAUAGUUAUGAGGUAUCGCUCAAACGCAGGCUACACAAGCUCUCGCAAAUCCAUGCCUCACAAGAUGUUGGACUUUUUUCUAAGUUCGAUUCUACCUAAGAGUUCUAUGAGUCACUACUAGCCUUUUAGGGUCAGUUAGAAACCAAAUGAAAUAUGGGAGCUUGUCUUAUUUCCUCCACAACUAGAGUUUCUAGGUUCAAGGGCUUGAUUAUGCUAAUAACCUAAUUAGUGCCCUCUCAGUACUUCUAACUUGGUGAGAUGUUCACCUAAGUGGUCAAGCAUGUUUUUUUUAUCAAUUAUGAACCCUAAAAGUUUUGAUGUUGCUACAUGGUCAUGGAAUGUUCUUUUUGGGUUUUAUUAUGAUCCUAAAAGGUUGUCCUAACCAUUCUAGAAAGGAAAAGAAACAAACAAUUUAUUGAAAGUGUGGUUAUCCAAACACCAAAGUAUUAAAUGCUUGAAAUAUAGUAUUGAAAUGAUAAUCUGAUACUCGUCAGGCAAAAAAUAUACAUGGCUAUGUUAUAAGUUUCAGGACAUGAACAACCAAAAGCUUGACCCAAUACUAUGUAUUGCAAAUAAUACACAUAGCCUUGUUGUAAGGCUUGAGACAUGAACCCUCAUAUCCUAGAGGUUAAUCAUAAUCCCUAAAAAUUGAGCUAGAUUGGGGCGAGCCUAAAGUCUACUCAUUUUAUUAGAAAUGAUGAUACUAAAGUAGACUAAACCAUGCAUUCAUUAACAAGAGUAAUGCUAAGUCUAAUUUGAUUUUUAUUUGAUAACUAGAACCUAAGCCGGUUUGAUUAUUAACUCCUAAGUUUAUUAAUUAAGAUUGCAUAAUUAACAUUAAGCUGAAGUAAGCUAAGCUGAGCUAAAUGCCAUCUCGGACUACUUUGAUGAACUCUCACCCUCUAGUCUCUAUUGUUGGUUCCAUUCAAACAUUCUAUCAAGCAAUCACCCCGAUCAAGGAAUUCAAGUUCGACCCAAGAAUUUGAUGUCGAACAUGCUAUUCGAUUACCCAUCCACCUCAUAGAAAUUAGGAAUUGAUUAAUUAAUAUUAAUUGGAUAUUAAACUUCACUUGCAUUAAAGCGGUAGGCUAAGUCACUAACCCCUAAUUAAGGAAUAGUCCACAUUCUUAAACUACUAGCUAAAGUGAUGCAUCUCUAAACGGAAUCGAGCCUAGCAUACAUCUUAUCAACCACAAGUAGGGUUAACUAGGCAUGUAAUUAGGUUCAUUAACCUUAGAAGCCACAAAAGCAAUUAGAAACCCAAGAGGAUAACUUCUCUGUUUCCCUUUGAUUCUUGCUAAUAAUGUUUUAAUCCAAUUAGGGGCCUUAAUGAACUCUGAUUUUAGAAAUUCCAAAGGCUAAUAAGAGCUUAAGAAGUCUAGUUUAACUCUUAAUAAGAUCACCAUUUUCCUAAUUGUGACCCAAUCAAUACAUUUUAUUUAAGGGGUAAGUGCGUAUAAAGUCCUAAAAUUUGUUACGAAAAUAUAAUUGAGUCCUAAAAUUUUCAAAGAGUGCAAUAAGUCCUAAAACUUGUCACGAAAUUACACUUUAAUCCUAAAAUUUUCAAGAAGUGUGAUCAACGGAAUGACUUGAUUGAAUCAAUUUGACAAGUUUUAGGAUUUGAUUAUACUUUUUGAAAGUUUUAAAACUUAAUUGUACUUUUGUAAUAAGUUUUAUGACUUAAUUGCAUUUUAGUGAUAAGUUUUGGGGCUUUUAAUACACUUAUCCCUUUAUUCAAUUAAGACCCACUACACCAAAUUAUCUCCUGUCCUGACCCGAUUCUUGUAAAAUAAAAGAAAAAUAGUAAACAAACUCAAAAUGGCGCCAAAUUUCAUGGACAGCUAGCUUAAGAAGCAUUCUACAAUUUUAAGUUUCGAUUGUUUGCGAUCUAGAAUCACCCUAACAACUUUAUUUUUUUGAUUUUUUUUGUAAAAAAAGUCUUCCAAAUUUUUCAAAAUUGCAAAAGACAUGUCAGGUUGAUACUAGAAAUUUUCACAAAUCAAACACUACUUUGACACUUUGAUCAAAGUUUUGACAGGCUAAAUAAAUUCCAAGUUUUCUAUGAUCUUUUAUCAUUGGAAAGUUACGGAUGUCUAGUUUAAUUCACCUGAAGAUAAUUUUUCCUAAUUCAUUUUAGAUUUUUUCCUAAGAUAAAUGGACAUGCAAAGGUUAUUCAGAGUCCGAUUUUUACAGAAAAUCCUUCUCAUCUUUAAACACAUUCAAGCAUCUUCAAUCUAUAUUGUAAGCAUAUUUCUAGUCUUAGAGCAUCUUCAAACUCACUCUAAUGGAUAUUCAAUAUAUAUUCAAAUAUUCCAACUCACAAUGACCAUCAAAAUCAUUAACAACUCAUGAGAAUUCGAAGAAAACAUCAUCAAGAUCAACUAGACUUAAUCCUAAACAACAUUCAUCUAACAUAUAUCAAACUUAGGGCUAAUGAACAUGCAAACGAACAUCAAAAAAAGAGUCCUAUGAGUUUUGGCUAACAAGGAUUUGAUGAGGAAUUGAGCAUGCAAAUCUUCAAUUGAAGUUAGACUAAGCUUAAUUCCUAAGGUAUUCUAAUUAAACAUCAAAAUCUAAUCAAAUCAACCUUCUCUCUUUAACAAUCCAUAUUAAUGCUCAUAUAGAAUCAUUCGGCCAAGUGGGAAUUAAAUUCAUAGGAUGAUUUUACAUGCAAUUGUCUUUGAAUUAGUUUGAUCAAUUAUCGACUAAUCAAUUUCCUCACAUUCUACUUGAUUAUUAACUAUACGUUGAAGCUAUGCUUCAAUUUUCAAGUAUAAAUGAAAUUAAGGAUCAUGAAUGAUACUAUGAAAUUAAAACAAGAGAUUAUUGCUCCUACCCUUGAUAAUAACUUCCAGCAACAAUUAUGGAUAGCAACCACCAAGGGCAGCUCAAGGAUACGUCGUAAGAGUCAGUUGCAAGGCUUGGCCGGCAGGAGAAGGACGGCAAUCAGCCAAAAUCCAGCCCAUUAAGAGAGAGAGAGAGAGAGAGAGAGAUUUUAUGUAACUGUGUUUUCUUAGCUUAGGGAGAGUGUUCUUGUGACAUCCUCAUUCCGACCUGGUUUUUCAAAAAGGAAUUGUUUCGGCAAGCAAUCUUCGAACGAGAUUGUCUAAAGGAUCGUUAGAUGACAAGAACAUCAGAAAAGGCCAUUAAGGGGCAAAAACUCAAUUUUUCAUCAACAAUGACAUACGAGUACAGAAAAGUGGAAAUGGGCCAUGGAUAGGGACCCAAUGGGCUCGAGCAUAAAUGGGUGGCCCAAUGCCCACAUGCCCAAGGGGUGAGCGGCCAAGGGAGGCCCAUGGGCCUUUCAAGCCCAUCAAGUUCUCUAAUGACAAGAUCUUGGCAUUAAAUGCAUGAAAGGAUGUGAAUAGUGCAAGAUCUUGUGGAAAUGACCAAAAUGCCCUCCCUUUGGACUAAGGACAAAAGGGCAAAAAUGGAAAUUGGACUUGGAAAAGGCAGCUAUGCAUGGAGUGGGCGGCAAUUUUAAGUUUGAAGACCCACCUAACCUAGUCUAGUCUAAUCCUAACUACUUGAGUGCAAUCCAUCUUCUAUUAAUGCUAGAUCUUGCUUCUAAUUUAAGCCACCUUGAUUGACAUGAGCCAAGAAAAGUGAUGGAUAUUAAUUGAGACUCGACAUCACUCUCUCUCCUCUCUUCCUCUUCCUCACCGUUGGCCACUCCCUUCACUCUCACUUUCUCUCAUUUUGCUCACUUAAAACUCUCACACACACACACACACACACUCUAUCUCUUAGUGACCAAAACCCCUUAGCCCACUUCAUCUUCAUCUCAAGCUUGUUCUUCACUUGUUUCCUCUUGUUUUCCUCGCUAGCAAUCGUCCGUCGAACCCCUGACGCUAGACCACCCUUUGGGCCGUCGAACCACCACUCAAAGUCAACCAACCGACCUCCUCAAGGGCUAUUCAAUGCUAUGAAGCCCUCACUGCAGCUCCCUCUCACUCAUUUCUCCUCCGAUCUAGUAAACCCAGAGGUCGUGCCAACGCCGAGCCGCUAUUGGACCACUACCGAGCUGCCAUCGCAGCCGUGACUAUAACAACCCCAACUCCAUCUCUAGAGUCACAAGCGACAAAAGUUAUUUUCGCAACGUCUUAGGCUUGUUGUCGUCCUAAUUCUUUUUAGCUUGUAUCAUGCACAUGUGAAAACAUGAAUAAACAACUCCUUAGACAAACAACAACUGGAAGACUGGGACAUAUAUCACACAAAACAUACUGAUUUAUAUUAUAACUACUUUUACAAGCCCUUUCUCUACGGGCCAUCUUUUCUUUUUACAUCACAGUACAAGUUUUCCAUACACGCCAAGGGAAAUCCUAUCUCCUCUAACGUGACUAUAGCUCCUAAAACUAAUGUGAGACUUCCAUGCCUAUAAGACUGAAAGAUGAGGGUGAGUUUUGGGGAAACUCAGUAAGUAGAAUUCCUAGUUCUCUACUAGGAAAAUAUCUUAACAUCAAAACAUAGCAAAUACAGCACUCGCAAACAGUGUCGAUGGUAGAUCAAUCGCAAGUCUAUUGCUACCUCUUGACUAUCUGUAUGUGAUCUACUUUCAACUUACCAAAUAAAUCAUUUCACCAAACAAGCUUAUCAACAGCACAUAGUAUCAUGUUCAAUAAGUUCAUUAGCCGUAUAAACGAUUCUUCCCAUACUCUCAGGGGCUUCUAGUCGUGGGCUAGGCAUCCGGCCUCAGGCCAAGCAUCCCGUACUUUCAAGAGCUUCCCACACUUUCAAGGGCUUUCUAGCUCAACCAGUACAUCCAGCCAUCAAGUCAAGCAUCUCAUACUUUCAAGGGCUUCCUAGCUCAACCAAGACAUCCCGUUUAGUGAAUGAGGCAUCGCCGCCAAUGCUGUGUGGCGAUGGGUGCUUUUUCCUCUUUAAGUGCAUGCAUAUAUGCAUCAUACAAGCCGGUUCUUAUCUUUUCUCUUGACCAACACGUGCAUGGCCCAAAAGCGUGCUCAUUCAUUCAUGUAUGCCAUGAGUUCUUGUACUACUCUAAUAAACAUGCCGGGAAUGAUCCUUGGUCCGUAACCUGAACCGAUCACUUAGCAUCGAUCUCCACACUAGACAAGGCUUGGAAACAGCACGCCUCAAUGCUGAUCCGUGACCUUGAGGCUUGGAUACAUCUCGCUUAAGUAAAGAUCCUAAGCUUGAGGGACCUUGGUUCGACCCGAUGUGAACAUACCACGUACCAUGAAUGAUCUUCGGCUCUUGGUUUGAUUCAACAUCAAGCGCAAGGUCUCCGCACCAAACUAAACCUUAGAAUAAGCACCCUUUUGUACCUUGCCAAGAUCUCGUGGAUUUGGGUGAUUCCCAUACCGAUCAAGGUUUAGAAUCGGCAUGCCUCAAUGUCAAUCUAGGACCUUACAGCCUUGGGCAAUCCCCGCACCAAGCGAGAUUUGGAACCAGUACAUGAUUUAAGCCGAUUCAAGGCCUUAAUGGUUGGGACGGCCUUGCCUUGCAAUGAACUCAAUCCGAGCGAACCUCGACUUCAUUUCUGGAUGUACAUGACACAAGCACACUACCAAACAUAGUUGCAAGUAAAACCAAACAAAAUACAUCACACACCACCCACAGCUUGACAGGUGAGCACUUAGCUAGCCUUAACAACGAAAAUCUACCUUCCAAGAGGAGAAAGAGGAACCUUACUUACCUUGGCAAACCUCAAGAACUAGCUUGGAUAACUUGAUGGGGUGAUGGUGCAAGGCCAAGAGAAAGGGGAGAAUGGUGUGUGAAUGGCAUGUGAAUGGCAAAGGGAUUCCAAUGAUGGAAAUGAAUGGGGCCUCCAUCUAGUUAUAGGCACCAACCUCAUCAUUACUCAUCCAAGCGGUCCAAUCACGUUUCUUAGAGUGGCACAGCUAUGGCAUCAAGGUGGCAAGCCUAUUUUGCAAGGUGGCACGCCUAGGAUCCUAAGAGAACACCUGUCAUCUUCUUAUUGGACCACCUAUUAGCUUGCUCUCCAAGGCUCAAUAUAGGCUAAUGAUGUGCCUAUGGUCCUAAGGGACACAUAAGUCCAUUUGAUGCCUAAUGUCCUCUCUUGAUUGGUUGGUCUUUGCCUUAUUCACCAAGGCUAUCUUCUAAGCUCAUCAUAACCUAUGAUUCUAGAGGACACCUAAGCUUAUGAGUCACCAACUUCUUCUCCAAGGCAAAUCUCAAGCCAUCAUCACCAAGCCAAAUGGCACUCUAAUUUUUCCAAGUGUCCCGUCUAAAGUCCUUAGUUGGCAAGCCUACUUGUCCAUAAUAGCGCUACGAAUGAGUUGAACAACUAAAAGGUCACACUGGAUAAUCUAGCUGUAGGCAUCAUCGAUAGUGGCUUGCUUUUCACUCUUCCAUUGGUCCACCUAUAUUCCACAUCUAAUGAGCAUUUAAUAAAGUUUGGAUAAGAUGCCAUCAAAGUUGCCAACUCGGCAUCUAGAUUCCUUAGUCAUUAAUGAGGGGUAUGGGUUUCGCUCUCCAAUUGGUCCAUGUGUACACCACCCCUUUCUUGCCCAUCAAGGAUAUCUAUAACUUCAUCAUUACUUUGGAAUAGUCAAAGGACACAUCACCCACUUCAUUAAUGAGGAUGUCCUAGAAUUUUCUUCACUUUUGUCAUUUUCUUCCUCAAGAAGGUGAUCUAGAAAAUUCUAUUAUCCAAGUUGGUUCCAGGUCGAAAAAACACGUACACUCGAGGUUCGACCAUCACGCCCCAUAUUCGCCCAAACCAUCCCCUUGAAGGGUUGGUCGACCUAGGGGGUUGGCAUUGGUCGGCACCUUGGCUAGACCUUCAGUUGGCACGACUAUGUCCGUCUAGGUCCAGACUAGCCCUCGAGUUGGUCCCUAGCCUCUCGUCGAACUUGCCAUAAUUGUUUCCUUUAUUUUUCAUCAUUGGUCCUUCGAUCGGUUCAAGACCAAUCCUAAGGCUAUCUGUGACAUCUUGAUUUUCAACCAUGCUUUCAACUAAAUGAAAUGGGCUUUUCAUCAACGCGCAUAUAGUCUUUUUCUCUAAGCUGAUCACUCACAAGAUAACUAAUCUAUCAGGUGAAGCCGUUAAGAAAUAUAAACAUGACUGACUUGAGAAUUCAAUCAGAAAUCGAGUGCUCGACCGUGCUAAUCUGCAAGAGUCAAUACAACACCAUCAAAAUCAAUUAGAGACUAAAGAUAGGUCAACUCGACAAAGACAUGUAAUUAAAGUGUGAGUGAUUCCACAUGAUUGCAAAAUUCUUGUCGAACAGUACUAAACCGAUUUUUCUGUCAUUUAUGUACCCUGUGUCUGUAUUUGAAACAUUGAGAUUUUUACGACAACCGAGGGUCACCAAUGAGUCAAAGAUGUACAAUGUGGAUCGAAAAUAAUCGACCACAGGUCAAUUGCGCUAAAAAUUCCUAAAAGCUACCCAGUAAGUUAAGUCACGCUAAAAUCGCAUCCAGUUGAAAUUAACCACAAAAUUGAACCCAAUUUCAGGAAUCAAAAAUUCUGGCAUGUCACGAUAUAUUUUAUGAACAUCAACUCAUCCUUCAAAGAAUUUUCAGCAAGUCCGAAUUUUCGGUGAAAAAUCAAAGUUAUGCAAUUUUGAACCAGUAAAUUCGGAUAGGCCAAAUUGGGUACACUUUUGGCCUUCAAGUUGAACUAAUUGGUGAGAAAAAUUGUAGAAUUGAGUGUGGGCUUCCUCCUUGGUAAAUUGGCCAUUGAAUUGAGGUCAAUUGUAGCGAAAUUAGAUUUAAUUAGAGAGGAUUGUGAAGAAAUUGAAGUUGGAAGCUUGAAAUUCGUAGCCAUGGAGGGGGGGCUGCAACAUUUCAGCAUCAUCCUUGGCUUCUUGGAGAAGAUUAGGGAGAGAAAAUUGGCUGUGGAUAUGGCUGAAGGCUGGUGGGUCGAUCACUUAAGUGUUUAUGAUAUUUUGGCAAGAGUUUGGUGGCCUUUGUCCCCCUUGAGGCAGCAGCUCUUUUUCUUCAGCAAUUUUUCUCCAUUUCCAGCAGCUAAACAUCUCCAUUUCAAAAGCAGAAAGCCAGCCACCACCCAUAGCAAACCGAACCAUCCCCUGCCGUCGACCGCCUAAGCCACUGCUGUCCGCUUGGUCGUCGAGCUGCCACCUGAGCUCCACCCGCGCGUCCUCGUGUCCGCACCUCCAACUCGAGCACCUGAGCCCAUCUCAGCUCUGUCCGCACCCUGGCAGCGGCUGUCACCGUCCGCCUCUGCCUAUCCAAGCCACCAUCGCGUCCCCAAGCUACCAAUAGCUCCGCCUGGCCCUGCCGUUCCAUUUCCGCGCUGUCCUAGCCGUUAAACCAGCUUCUCCAGCCCAAGUCAAAACCAAACUCUCAGCUUUGGGCUAAGAGCUUCGUGGGCCUUUUCCAGGCCCUUCCAAGCCUCAUUGGGUGUUGUCGUAGGCCUAUAUUUCACUCACCUCUACAUCGCCAUCGCCAUGAACUCAUCGGCUCACUCAUCCGAUGAUUUUACUUGCUAAACCUUUCUUAGGGGAGGUUUAGAUUAGCUUAAUCGAGAUUAAGGUAUUUAUUUAGCUUGUUUAGUUAUUUAGAUUAAUUAGUUAAGCUAAUUACAUGGUUAGAUUAGUUUAAUUAUGGGUUAAUUAAAUGAGGUGAUUUAAUUGGCAUAGUACAUUAUUUAUUUAAGGCUAAUAAGGUGGUUAGAUUAGUGUAUAUAGCUUAAUUAGUCAUUUAUUUAAUUAUUUUUGCAUUUAUUUAAUUAUUUUUGUAAUUUAUUUAAUUAUUUUUUAUUUUUUGAAAAUUAUAUUGGGAUAGUCGGUCAUCAGAAUUUUGUGCUGAUUGUCGUGGUGUAAUUGGUUUAUGCAAUUGAGUAUUAAAUUGUGCAAUUGUAUAAUGAUUGUUGAUUUUGAUUUUUUAUUUCAAAAUUAUGAAAUUUUGGUAUUUAAUUAGAAAAUAUCAAGUGUCAAGUUUUGACACCAAAAAUAUUUUUAUGUACUAUAUCAAAUAGUGGGAUUUUUAAAAGGAAUAAUAUCACUUUUUAUGGCUUAAUCUAACCAUGUACUCAUACACGAUUAUUUUACCAGGUGUUUUUAAUAUGAAGAAAAUAGGCCAAGCGUGUUAUUUUAAUUGAGGCAUUUGAAUGCAAAGCACAAUGUCCUUGUCUGGAAUUAGAUGUGCAUGUGAACGUUAUGAGAACCCCUCACGAGCGUUUACGCUGGGCGAUGCUCUUAUAUGAAAUUCCCUUGUCAAUUGAUGCCAGUCCCAGUAGAGGCUGGGUCAAUGCUCCUUCGGGAAUGCCGUUUAAAGGUAAACGUUGCCGUGCUCGAUGAGGCGAGACGAUGCCUAAUUAAGCCGGAAGACCGCCGAACGUCAAGUAGGCCGUGCCCAUGGGGCCAUAAUUNNNNNNNNNNNNNNNNNNNNNNNNNNNNNNNNNNNNNNNNNNNNNNNNNNNNNNNNNNNNNNNNNNNNNNNNNNNNNNNNNNNNNNNNNNNNNNNNNNNNNNNNNNNNNNNNNNNNNNNNNNNNNNNNNNNNNUGUUUGGAAUUGGCUUUGCAAAGGGCUUUGGGCUUCCAAAGAUACUUAGACAAAAGUUUGGGUGUUUAGGAACAACUUUCAAAUUCCCAUUAAGCCAAAGUUGGCCUUCUCAAGGCUGAAAGCCCAAGGCAGGUGUGAGGGUGCCUUGGGCUUUCAGCUUUUUCGGCAUACAAGAGGUACUGUUCAUUUUUUUAUUUUCUUCCAAAACCAUCCUCACUUACUCUUGAUUUUUCCGGUUUUUCCCUCGUCAUUGUACUGUUCAUCUUCUUCUCCUUUGAGGUUGGCUUUCCGGGUUGCUCGAAGUUGUGAUUGACCACCGAUGGCUCGGCAUGGUCGCGAUGGCCCAGGCGACCGUCUCUGAGGAGUGGUGCAACCGCCGCCCUGUCUGGGUCGCAACGAUCGCCGUGGGUCGCGGCGAGGUUUGGGUCGCGCGACCUCCCAUGACCUCACCGACCCAGAUCCAGGGGUGGCCAGGUCACGUGACCUCGCCACGACCUAGAGCCAGAGGCGACAAGGUCCUCCCACGACCUCGCCGCCCUAGAUCUAAGUCGCGGUGGGGUCGCCCAACGUUCAACAACCCUUGCCGCCCCAGAUCUGGGUCGCGAUGGGGUCAUCCGACAUCCGGCAGCCCUCACCACCCCAAAUCUGGGUCGCGGCUGUGGCAUCCCAAAAAUUCUUAACAACCUCUAGUUACAUUAAAGUCUAUGAAUAGGUGAUGGAAGUACCAUCAAGUUAUUUUAUGGCCAUUUAAUCCAUAAUUUGCAAUAAGAUAUAUGGCCUAGCUUUUAAGGGAUAAUUAUGUGAUAGGAAAGAAAAUUCUAUCAUUGGUCAUGUGCAUCAUAAAUUGGAACUUAGGGAUUUGUGACUAUAAGUUUAAUGGCCUUAUUAUUUAUGCAAUUAGAUAUUUAUUUAAAUGAUGAUUAAGAUAUAUUAUAAAAAUAAAAUAAAAUAAACUUGGGCCAUUUAAGUUUGGACCUAGGGCCCAAGUGAGAUGGGCCUAAAGUGGGCCAAGAGGCCCGGCCCAUGAAGCCCAUUGGGCUGCCGACGCAUGGCCUCCAAGUGUCUUCGGCAAAGGAGACACUUGUCUCCUUCUUAGGAAAAAAGAGGGGGUGCAUGCAAUAUAAAUACAACCAAAAAGAGAGAGAGAGAGAGAGAGAAAGGGAGAGAGAGAGAGUGGCAUUCGGCCAAGCCAAGUGAGAGAGAGUGAGUUGCGAGAGAGAAGAGGAAGCCGAUAGAGGAGGAGCUCGCCCAUCGCCGCCCGCACGCCGUUCGUCCGUCACCGGUGUGCCGUCCGUGUGGUCGUGUUUGCUCGGUCUUAGAGCCAAGUUGGGGUCCUUUGCUGCUCUUGCAUGUGUGCCUUGCAUGUAUGAUUUGUUUGUGGUAGGUUUCGGAUCAUACGGAAGGCAAAAAUCGGAGCUAGAAUGUGGCUGUUCUUGACUUUGCAUGCUGAUUUCGUGAGAUCCGCCUGAACCAGAAUCUNNNNNNNNNNNNNNNNNNNNNNNNNNNNNNNNNNNNNNNNNNNNNNNNNNNNNNNNNNNNNNNNNNNNNNNNNNNNNNNNNNNNNNNNNNNNNNNNNNNNNNNNNNNNNNNNNNNNNNNNNNNNNNNNNNNNNNNNNNNNNNNNNNNNNNNNNNNNNNNNNNNNNNNNNNNNNNNNNNNNNNNNNNNNNNNNNNNNNNNNNNNNNNNNNNNNNNNNNNNNNNNNNNNNNNNNNNNNNNNNNNNNNNNNNNNNNNNNNNNNNNNNNNNNNNNNNNNNNNNNNNNNNNNNNNNNNNNNNNNNNNNNNNNNNNNNNNNNNNNNNNNNNNNNNNNNNNNNNNNNNNNNNNNNNNNNNNNNNNNNNNNNNNNNNNNNNNNNNNNNNNNNNNNNNNNNNNNNNNNNNNNNNNNNNNNNNNNNNNNNNNNNNNNNNNNNNNNNNNNNNNNNNNNNNNNNNNNNNNNNNNNNNNNNNNNNNNNNNNNNNNNNNNNNNNNNNNNNNNNNNNNNNNNNNNNNNNNNNNNNNNNNNNNNNNNNNNNNNNNNNNNNNNNNNNNNNNNNNNNNNNNNNNNNNNNNNNNNNNNNNNNNNNNNNNNNNNNNNNNNNNNNNNNNNNNNNNNNNNNNNNNNNNNNNNNNNNNNNNNNNNNNNNNNNNNNNNNNNNNNNNNNNNNNNNNNNNNNNNNNNNNNNNNNNNNNNNNNNNNNNNNNNNNNNNNNNNNNNNNNNNNNNNNNNNNNNNNNNNNNNNNNNNNNNNNNNNNNNNNNNNNNNNNNNNNNNNNNNNNNNNNNNNNNNNNNNNNNNNNNNNNNNNNNNNNNNNNNNNNNNNNNNNNNNNNNNNNNNNNNNNNNNNNNNNNNNNNNNNNNNNNNNNNNNNNNNNNNNNNNNNNNNNNNNNNNNNNNNNNNNNNNNNNNNNNNNNNNNNNNNNNNNNNNNNNNNNNNNNNNNNNNNNNNNNNNNNNNNNNNNNNNNNNNNNNNNNNNNNNNNNNNNNNNNNNNNNNNNNNNNNNNNNNNNNNNNNNNNNNNNNNNNNNNNNNNNNNNNNNNNNNNNNNNNNNNNNNNNNNNNNNNNNNNNNNNNNNNNNNNNNNNNNNNNNNNNNNNNNNNNNNNNNNNNNNNNNNNNNNNNNNNNNNNNNNNNNNNNNNNNNNNNNNNNNNNNNNNNNNNNNNNNNNNNNNNNNNNNNNNNNNNNNNNNNNNNNNNNNNNNNNNNNNNNNNNNNNNNNNNNNNNNNNNNNNNNNNNNNNNNNNNNNNNNNNNNNNNNNNNNNNNNNNNNNNNNNNNNNNNNNNNNNNNNNNNNNNNNNNNNNNNNNNNNNNNNNNNNNNNNNNNNNNNNNNNNNNNNNNNNNNNNNNNNNNNNNNNNNNNNNNNNNNNNNNNNNNNNNNNNNNNNNNNNNNNNNNNNNNNNNNNNNNNNNNNNNNNNNNNNNNNNNNNNNNNNNNNNNNNNNNNNNNNNNNNNNNNNNNNNNNNNNNNNNNNNNNNNNNNNNNNNNNNNNNNNNNNNNNNNNNNNNNNNNNNNNNNNNNNNNNNNNNNNNNNNNNNNNNNNNNNNNNNNNNNNNNNNNNNNNNNNNNNNNNNNNNNNNNNNNNNNNNNNNNNNNNNNNNNNNNNNNNNNNNNNNNNNNNNNNNNNNNNNNNNNNNNNNNNNNNNNNNNNNNNNNNNNNNNNNNNNNNNNNNNNNNNNNNNNNNNNNNNNNNNNNNNNNNNNNNNNNNNNNNNNNNNNNNNNNNNNNNNNNNNNNNNNNNNNNNNNNNNNNNNNNNNNNNNNNNNNNNNNNNNNNNNNNNNNNNNNNNNNNNNNNNNNNNNNNNNNNNNNNNNNNNNNNNNNNNNNNNNNNNNNNNNNNNNNNNNNNNNNNNNNNNNNNNNNNNNNNNNNNNNNNNNNNNNNNNNNNNNNNNNNNNNNNNNNNNNNNNNNNNNNNNNNNNNNNNNNNNNNNNNNNNNNNNNNNNNNNNNNNNNNNNNNNNNNNNNNNNNNNNNNNNNNNNNNNNNNNNNNNNNNNNNNNNNNNNNNNNNNNNNNNNNNNNNNNNNNNNNNNNNNNNNNNNNNNNNNNNNNNNNNNNNNNNNNNNNNNNNNNNNNNNNNNNNNNNNNNNNNNNNNNNNNNNNNNNNNNNNNNNNNNNNNNNNNNNNNNNNNNNNNNNNNNNNNNNNNNNNNNNNNNNNNNNNNNNNNNNNNNNNNNNNNNNNNNNNNNNNNNNNNNNNNNNNNNNNNNNNNNNNNNNNNNNNNNNNNNNNNNNNNNNNNNNNNNNNNNNNNNNNNNNNNNNNNNNNNNNNNNNNNNNNNNNNNNNNNNNNNNNNNNNNNNNNNNNNNNNNNNNNNNNNNNNNNNNNNNNNNNNNNNNNNNNNNNNNNNNNNNNNNNNNNNNNNNNNNNNNNNNNNNNNNNNNNNNNNNNNNNNNNNNNNNNNNNNNNNNNNNNNNNNNNNNNNNNNNNNNNNNNNNNNNNNNNNNNNNNNNNNNNNNNNNNNNNNNNNNNNNNNNNNNNNNNNNNNNNNNNNNNNNNNNNNNNNNNNNNNNNNNNNNNNNNNNNNNNNNNNNNNNNNNNNNNNNNNNNNNNNNNNNNNNNNNNNNNNNNNNNNNNNNNNNNNNNNNNNNNNNNNNNNNNNNNNNNNNNNNNNNNNNNNNNNNNNNNNNNNNNNNNNNNNNNNNNNNNNNNNNNNNNNNNNNNNNNNNNNNNNNNNNNNNNNNNNNNNNNNNNNNNNNNNNNNNNNNNNNNNNNNNNNNNNNNNNNNNNNNNNNNNNNNNNNNNNNNNNNNNNNNNNNNNNNNNNNNNNNNNNNNNNNNNNNNNNNNNNNNNNNNNNNNNNNNNNNNNNNNNNNNNNNNNNNNNNNNNNNNNNNNNNNNNNNNNNNNNNNNNNNNNNNNNNNNNNNNNNNNNNNNNNNNNNNNNNNNNNNNNNNNNNNNNNNNNNNNNNNNNNNNNNNNNNNNNNNNNNNNNNNNNNNNNNNNNNNNNNNNNNNNNNNNNNNNNNNNNNNNNNNNNNNNNNNNNNNNNNNNNNNNNNNNNNNNNNNNNNNNNNNNNNNNNNNNNNNNNNNNNNNNNNNNNNNNNNNNNNNNNNNNNNNNNNNNNNNNNNNNNNNNNNNNNNNNNNNNNNNNNNNNNNNNNNNNNNNNNNNNNNNNNNNNNNNNNNNNNNNNNNNNNNNNNNNNNNNNNNNNNNNNNNNNNNNNNNNNNNNNNNNNNNNNNNNNNNNNNNNNNNNNNNNNNNNNNNNNNNNNNUGCAUGAUGAUGAUGAUGAUGAUGAUAUGUGAUGUGAAAUAGUGACGAUCACCCAUGGCAUGAUAUGCAUAAUGAUAUGCAUGAUGAUGAUAUAUGAUAUGGCAUAAUGAUAUGCAUGAUGAUAUGCAUGACGAUGAUGAUGAUGAUGAUAUAUGAUAUGCAUGAUGAUAUGCAUGAUGAUGAUGAUGAUGAUGAUGAUGUGUGAUGUGAAAUAAUGAUGAUCACCCAUGGCAUGAUAUGCAGGAUGAUAUGCAUGAUGAUGAUGAUGAUGAUGAUGAUGAUGAUGAUGAUGAUGAUGAUGUGUGAUGUGAAAUAAUGAUGAUCACCCAUGGCAUGAUAUGCAUGAUGAUGAUGAUGAUGAUGAUGAUGAUGAUGAUAUAUGAUAUGGCAUGAUGACAUGGGUAAUGUGAUGAUGUCAUGAUGAUGAUGACAUGUAUGAUAUAAUGAUGCCAUGAUGAUGAUGACAUGUAUGACAUGAUGAUGCAUGAUAGUAUGCGCAUGGCUCUAAGGUAAGUAUUGCCUGAAAUGCAUGUAUGAUGCAUUGAGUGGUUAUUGGAUUCCUUUACCUGCUGAGUGGUUGUACUCACCCCUUUUGGGGACCAACAUUUCAGACUAGUAGAUAGAUCGAGUGAUGGGAUAUGAUCGUGAGGAGGAGGAUAGCAAAGGAAGGAGCUUUUAGACGUCGACACUGAUCGAUGGACUUUAAGUGUACGACUGUUGGAGGGGAUGUCGGUCAUCUUUUGAAGUAUAGCCAUGUAUAGGAAACUAUGGCAUUUCGAUGUACCAACUAAAGAUGUCCAUCUGUUUUAUGUAAAUAAAAGUGUACGGCUUUAAUUUAUAUAAAAUGUUUAGUCGGUGUGCAUCGUCUUCUGAAUAUAGGGAAGAGAGUUUGUUGGAUGUGCUUCCGUAUAUGAAUUGCACAAGGGACCUAUUAAAAAAAAGGCGUAAACCCCUUAUGUUGUAUGGACCCGCUGCAAUUGAAAUAGUAUCAGAGUGUUAUGUUAAUAGGGAAAGUAAAAGAUAAGCGAACUGUGGCGACCUUAACGGAUCGGGGGUCGUCGAGGGGUGCCACAGCGGCUGGGUUACCCGACGUCUGGCAGCCCUCACCACCCCAAAUCUGGGUCGCGAUGGGGUCGUCCGACGUCCGGCAACCCUCCACCCCAAAUCUGGGUCACGGCGGGGUCACCCAACGUCUGGUAGCCCUCGUCGGGGGUCUCCCAACCCCUGCACUUACCGAUCAAUUUUUUUUUAUUUUUCUUUUGAUAAUAUUUUUUUAUUACAAAAGUCCUUGUACAUAUAAUUCCCUCAAACAUCAUUUUGCUCAAAGUACUUCACAAAUGGCUUUCAAAUUACAAUUUACCAAACACAAUUUGCAUUUUGGAAAACACCUUUAACUCAAUGGUCUUUGCAUUUUCCUAAAGACUUUCCCCAAAAGCCUUCCCAAACGCACCCUUGAUACCUCAUCGUUUCAAGGUGUGGUACCUUCACAAGCUCGAUGGGAGUUAGGAGGGUCCUUUAGGUGGUUUCGACGAGCAUCCCGUUGGGACCAAGGAGUGGGAGAUAGGGCACCCUUUGGAUAUCGAUAUUCUUGAUGGUGCUAUGGAAGACCUGAANNNNNNNNNNNNNNNNNNNNNNNNNNNNNNNNNNNNNNNNNNNNNNNNNNNNNNNNNNNNNNNNNNNNNNNNNNNNNNNNNNNNNNNNNNNNNNNNNNNNNNNNNNNNNNNNNNNNNNNNNNNNNNNNNNNNNNNNNNNNNNNNNNNNNNNNNNNNNNNNNNNNNNNNNNNNNNNNNNNUAUAACUAGUUGUUUAUAAAAUUGUGGUUUGUUUUAUAUAGUUGUCCUGCUUUUCUAUCCCAUGUUGAUUGUUGUCUGGGGAUUGUUUAUUUCACUUCUACUUGUGCAUAAAUCGAUUGAGUCGGUGACGCGUCCUAGGAACGUCGCAAUUUAGUCAACCAAUAAGGGAUAUGCGCGCGCUUGAGGUUCAGGGCGUGACACUAUCCAUGGCCUAGCACUAAGUCAAGGCACUCAUAGACCAUAGAAUUAGUGAUGGUAUAGCUAGGUCUAUCCCUGAGCUCAUUCUGGUCGGUACCCAAUCCAUCUAUAUGGUUCGUGGCCGAUGCAUUACUAAUCCAUGAUCAGACAUCACCAAUUCAAGAUUCCUUUAUGAUCACUAAAAAUUAAAUAGAGAAUGAUGCAUUUUUGGUCAGAAGGCGAUCACAUUUGAUCAAGUCGGAUUGUCCGUGCAUCAGUGCAUAGCCAGGUGGAAUCACCCACGACCAGGUACUAUGACCAGUUGUGACCAUCCACUGAUCCAAAAUCAUCCCUUGACCAAUUCUCAUGAUCAAAAGGUCAUCUUAUGAGCCAGUGAUUCUAUCGCAUCGGUAUGGGUGGUAGAAAAUCAUCAUACCCCGAUCCUCGAGCGCAUGUCCAUCCCUUAGUGGUCGAUAAAUUUUGCAACAUCCUAGGAUGCAUCGCCGACCCAUUCAUUUUAAUGCACAUGCGGAAGCGAAACAAUUACCCCUGACAACACACAACGUGGGAUAGGAAAAAGCGAGAAACCAUUCACAACCAAAACAUGAUUUUAUAAACACCCUGGUUUAUAUACAAGACCAACCUACAGUCAAGAGUCUACUCAAACAAAAAAGUCUACAAGUCCUCUAGGCACUCAAAUCCCUAAUUGAAAACUCCGAGGUCUUCUGAGGACUUAGGUCCAGCACUGCACCACCAGGAGGGUUAGCUGUACCCUCGCCAAAAGCAACGUCUAUUAUCACAGCAAAGACGUCAAAAUCCUGUAGGGGACCCUCUCUAUGUCUAAUGAGCCCACGACGAUACCAUGCCCUAAAUUGAUGGAGUACCCUCUAAGGUAAACCCGCAUCAACCCAAACGGUGGUCAUCAUGAGUUCAUAGACCCAAACCUUGUGGCCCCCAGGAAAAGGGAACUGAGUAACCUACUCGAAAAUCCUCCUGGGCUGCCCAAAACAUUCCGGAGAAAGCACCAUCUAAGGACCUGAAAAUAUUGAGCCCACGACGGGGUGAGACAAUGUCUCAACUCGUUCACCCCCUAAACUCCAAUUAGGAAGGAAAUACGCCUAAAGGCAGUCUAUGCACCCAAGUCAGAAGACUUACCUUGCCUCAGUUCCUUCCUACACGUCAGUACAAUUUUAAACACCUAAUCAAUCAACCAUUGCUCACGCAAGCAUGAACCACUGACGCACAUCGGUCAAUCAAUUCAAUUCAAUCCACCGAUCAAUCAAUCAAAUCAAUCAUUGCUCGCACGAGCAUGAACUACCGACACACAUCGGUCCUCUAGCAUAGCUAAAGAUUACUGCUCAUACAAGCUGACGUACACGUUAUUGCUCACACAAGCUGCCAUUGAUCACUGCUCACACAAGUGGACUUCUAUCAAUGCUCACACAAGCUGACGUACGAUCGUUGCUCUCACAAGCUGACAAAUUAUUGCUCACACAAGCUGCUAUGGUACUUAAAGUUCACUUUCGGUGUCAAAACCCAACACCCGAUAUAUUCUUGUUAAAUACCAAAACUUCACAAUCAUCACUCAAUUGUACAAUUUAAUAAUCAAUUGUACAAACUAACCACACCACUACAAUUAGCACGAAAUUCUAACGACCAGCCAUCCUGGCAUAAUUUCCAGAAAAUAUUAAUUAAUUAAUUAAUUUUGAAAAUUAAAUCAAUAAAUAAAUAUUAAAUAAUUAAAUAAUUACUAAAUAAUUAAAUAAUGCCUAAUUAAGCUUACACUAAUAUAACCUCCUAAUUAGGUUAAUUAAAUAACCUACUAAGCUAAUUAAAUCACCUAAUCUAAUUAGCCUUUAACUAAACUAAUCUAACCACCUAAACAUACUUACCAUAAUCUAAACACCCCUUAAGCGUAAUUAACUCCCUAAGCAGAGUUUAGUGAGUAAACUCACUAGUUUAGCAAUAUGAUGAGUCCACGGCAAUGGCAACGCCAAGCCGAGCGACAAACCUCCUGGCGACGACACCAAACAAGGCUCAGAAGGAACCUAAAACGGGCCACAAAGACCGAAAGCCCUUGCUGGCCUUCGGUUCUGCUUUAGACCAAAGGAGAGGGAACCAGUGGCUAAAACGGCGAGGAAGGGCUGGCGGAGGUUGCAACGGCCUAGGCGGGUGACGGCAGAGGCAAGUAGCAGCUACACAGGGACAUAUGGCGAUUGGACGACGGCGGGGAGGCUCAAGACAGCAAGCUGGGCUCGCUAGAAUGCAAGCAGGAGCAAGCGCAAGCGAGACAAGCAUGCGGGCAACUAGCAAGCUCUGUGGAUCAAGCGAGCGGCUCCAGGGAUUGGACGGCGGCAGAGACGGUUCAGGCGGUCUCGAUGACAACCAAGGAGGCUUGGGGGAUGGCGAGAGUUGACCUUUGACUUUUUGAAAAAUGAUACUAGACCGUAAAGGAAAUGAGAUGUUCUUAGUCUUUAUGGGCAAAUGGAAUUAUGAAGACAUGUAAACAACUCAUUUUUGGCGGGGAAUCAAGCUAUGUCACAAUUGGGAAUCCAAAGUCUUGAGUUCUAAAACUUAUUGGACUCAUAGGUGAAAAUUUAAGUGUCAACAAUAGUGAAAUAGAAAGAGAGAUUUGAAAUCUUAUAGAACAUAAUAAAAUGAUUUAGAAGACAAUCAACAAAAAUGAACUCGACUUUUGAGGUAGAUCAUAUACCAAAAGUUGCAGAAAUUGAAAAGCAAACAUACAUUAGUCUCAAUGAUUUUAAUACAAUAAAUAAUUUUUCAUCAAACAGUCAAUUUUUAUUUUUUUUUUAGAAUUUCAUUGUUCCAUGCCCAAAAAUAAUUUUAAUAACUGUUAUCAAGGGUCAAAAAUUCUUCCUUACCAACCCUUUUAUAAAGUUACUAAUGUUUGUAUAGUUUGCAAUUAGCAAUUUCGGUAUUAAAUUACCAAUUUUUAUUUGCAAAAUUUACUAAUGUCUCAAAUUUACUCAAGUUUGUAUGAAAUUACUAACUUAAAUUAUAGUGAUUUACCAACUUUUAUCAAAUUACAUUACUAACUAGUUUUCGAAUACCAACUCUUAUUUGAAUUAUUUACUAACCUUUUUUUAAAAAAAUGUAUCAACUUUUCUAUUUAAUGUACAAGGUUAAUAGUCAAACGUUGUUUUUGAAGAAGAUCAACGCUAUAUAGAAAAGGUCUACCUUUCUAUGUAAAUUAAGCGAACGACUAAUUCGCAAUAUAUAGAUUAAUGGGCAGGGUUCCUUCUACGGAAUGGCGUCCUCGUCGCCAUAUCACAAAUAAUUGCUAGAACUUCAUUGUCUAGAAGAAUUGUCAUCGGUCAGCUUCUUUUUUUCUUUUUUUCAUUUUAGGGUCCAUAUGGAGCAAACUGUUUACUUAAUCGUACUUUUUAUCCAUUUUAAUAUCGGUUUCGUACUUAAAACUGUCCGUUAUAGAGAUAAGAUUGGUAAUAUUUGCGAUUUUUAAGUGAGGAUACACUACGACUUAGCAAGCAUGUUGCUAAGAGAGACGUUUCUAUAAUGGAUUUAUUUAUAGUAAAUUGGAAUCUUCCGGUAAAUUUAUUUUGAUAGUAACUUUGGCUCAAGUGAAGGUUUGAAACAUAUGAUUUAUUCCAAGAAACGUGAAAUAAUAUUCUCCAGGCCAUCUGGGAUUUCUGGAUUCAAAGAGUUGCUGGGUCUUCAAGGGCGAAACAACUGAGAAAGACUGUCCUUAAAUAGAGCAAGUUUCUUUCCAAAGAAUACAUGUGACAGUAAUCUUUAGACAUUUUGAAGCAACUGGAGCUCGAGAGUAGAAGCUGCUGUUUCCAAAGACCCGUCAGGAUUUGCUAAUAGCUUAGUUUCUGCAUUUUAUAGGAACCGUAUCCUCUUUGACGCACCCAAAAAAAUGAAAAGACCAUGUUGUACUUGUAGCGAGACGGACUGCCGCGAAUCAUUACAGAUAAGUUGGGCUUUCUAAGAGACCAAACCUCUACUGCCAAUACGAAGGAAGAAAAAAAUCACUGAUUACCAUGGACACAAAACAAACAGCAAGUACUGGGCUUCUGGCAGUAGCAAAAUGCAUUAAGAAUACAAACUUUCGUAGCCCUAAGAUCUAGGACCGAAUUAUAUCCUCAAGUGGAGAAUGAAUAAAGGAGAAGAGAAUGAUAAAGAUCAUCUUUUAUUGCCUGAAACAGAGAUGAGAAUAAUAGAGCAAAAAAGAAAAACGAUGCCGAAAUUCGCAUUAAGAAACGAGAGAGGCCUCAUUCCAAAUUUUAUCUCCCCUACUCUUCCAUAGAAUUUAGGCAAAGAAUGUCUACUUGGUAACAAACCCAACUCCCUGAUUAGUCAGAAUCAUGAAAUAUCGCAUCAAGACAUUCUAUAAAACCCGAGACAUCACAGCUCGACCCAUAUCCUUAAGAAACGCACCUGCUGCCGCAUACUCUUCCAACGCCUUCUCGACGACCCCAUCCCCCAGGAGCUGUGGAAAAAACAGCCAAGAUGCGGUCACCAUCACGAAUGUGACCGUCAUCAGACCCGUCAAAACCCUCGACGACUGCCACUUCGCGCCCCACUUCCUUUUCACCACCACCUCGAUCACCAAACAUGCUCCGCGGAGCACGAAAAACCACAUGACCUCCCAAGUAGGCUUCACGCGCCCCAUGUAGAAAAACAUCAGCUCGUGCAUGAGCCCAGAAACCAGGAAGGAGGCCAUCACUGCUGGCAGCGCCGCUCACUUGCACCCGAUUGCCGCCAACGCAGCAUUAUGGACUGGUUCAUGUACGGUCAAUCGCAGGAUGUUGGUGACCAUGAGGUUCCACCGCUUCCCCCAGAAGUCUUGAAGUGAAGACGAGAGGUACGGCUCAGUGCGGCUCCAGCUCCAUCCCAAAGGCUGCCCGAGCUGUGGCUUGUAUGGAGGAUAAGAUCAGAUCAAGGGCAACGUAUAGGUGGAGCAGUAGAUUAACAUGAUCAGGUUUGGAUGGAAAUGGUCGCCAUAGUCGUAUACACGUAAUAGCAUCACAAAAAGUAAAGCUUUUGUGGGAUAAUUCAGCAGCAAGAUAGUUUUGGGUCUAAUGUUUUUAGGAUUUUGAGGAAGUAGGUUUUCUUUAAGAUGGCCAUUUUGAGGUGAGCGUGUGUGAUCUUUGGUGUUCUGUGUCCUCUGUGGUGAUUUCUUAAGGUGCGUCUGUUGGAUCUUGAUAGGUAAGCAAGCAAUGGCCAAGAAGCGUGGGAGAGAGAUUGGAGGAUCUGAAGAUAAAGGCCCUUUGCCAAAGGCAAAGAGGAGGAGCUUGGAGUUGCCAAGCCAUGAAAUGAUGAAGGCUAGCUUGGCCUAUCAGAUUCACAGCAGAGAGACUGCGAGGAAGAUAAAAGAAAGAGAGCCACAACGGGAAGGAUCGGUAAGAGCCUUUUAGUGCCUUUUGGGAUGAUCCUGCCCACUAAAAAAAUAUAUAUAUAAAGAUUUUUCAUGUCAAUGCUAUGGUAUUACAUAAAACGGAUAGUAUAAUCAAAAUUUAUCAAAAAUAUAAAUUAUAAAAAGGUUUGAUAUUCAAUUAGUAUGAUUGAAAUAUUUAAAAUUGAACUGAUAUAAUUAUUAUGAUAGGUUUAGAAUUUUUUGGUGCAGUCUUCCUAAUUUCGACGAUGUUCUUCGUUUUUUCAGACUUUCAACAUUGAUUCACUUUUUCUGGGGCGACGCUGUCAUUGGACUUGUAAGGGUUUUAGAAACCUCCGAGGUUUUCAAGACAACUCCAUGUCGUUUUUUUACACAUGUGAAGAAGUGGGGGCCAGUGCAAUAAAAAGACUUUCGGCAAGACAACUUCCCCAAAAUUUUACAAAUGUCGCAAGUACAUUACUAACCCCAUAAUAAAAUUACGAUUUCAAUAAAUUUAACUACCAUCCUUUUUAUUAUAAAUAUAUCAGUUUAAAGUUUUUUUGUUACUUAAAAAUUAAUUUGACAUAAAUUUAUUAUAAAUGUACCAAUUUGAGAUUUUUCCUAAUAUCAAAAAAAGUUAGUAAGCUACAAACUUAUUAUAGUAUUAGUAAAUCUAUUACAAUGGUUGCAAUUUGCUUGUUACACUAGUAAAAUUUUAGAGUUAGUGAUUUAAUAAUUCAUUUGAAAGUUUGUAAAUUUUCGAUGGUGUUGACAUGUACUAGCAGUUUAUCUGACAAUCAAAUCAAAAGCCAUACUUUUUCUUAUCAACAACGUUAGAAGUUUACUAUUAACUUUAGAAAUUCAUCAAAAGCAGGAAAUUUUUUAGAUUUUCCUUUGAAUUACCUUGCCUUCAUCCCGAAGGGGCGGGCAAUCUUGGUAUUCUAUUUUUUGUCUGAUCAUAUCCUAUCUUUUAUCUAUUAUACAAACUCUUAUGUGUAUUACGUGUUGUGCGCGGGUUGCGAAAUCCUAUUUUAUCACUCAUGUAUCCCUACCCAAGCUCUCCCAAGAAAGUGAGAAAUCAAACUUUCCACCCCUCCCUGUGGUUCUGUCGGCCACUAUUUAGCCACAUCUUUAGUUUUCUUUUUCCCAUCUACCAAUAGCAUUGGAUUUUAUGGUCUUCAUUUUAAAAAAAAAAAUUACGAUUUCUGUUUCAACCGUUUGUGUGACAUCCUGAUUUUCCAAUUCUGUUUUCAAUUUAAUAAGUCAGACUUUUCAUCGACGCGCCUAUAGUUCUUUUAUCUGAGUUGGUCACUCACGAGAUAACUAGUCUAUCCGGGAAAGCUGUUAAAAGGAUUUUAACGCAAUGAACUUGAGAAUUCGACCAGAAAACGACUCCUCAACCGUGCUAAUCUGCAAAGGUCAUUACGGCACUAUCAAAAUCAAUCAAUCAGAAACCGGAGAUAGGUCGAUUCGACAGAGGUAUGUGAUUAAGUGUGGAUGAUUCCACCUAAUUGCAAAAUUCUCGUCAAACGACACUAGAUCGAUUUUUCUGUCUUUUCUGUACCUCAUGUCCGUAUUUGAAAUCUCGAGAUUUUCACGACAACCGAGAGUCGUUAAUGUGUCGAAGAUGUACAUUGUGGCUUGAAAAUAAUCAAUCUGAAGUCAAAUGCACUAAAAAUUCCUGAAAGCUACCCGGUAGGUUAGGACACGCUAGAAUCGUACCAGAUUGAAAUUAACCGCGAAUUUAAACCUGAUUUCAGAAAUUGAAAGUUCUAUCAUGUCACGAUUCAUUUUAGGAACGUCAACUCAUCCUCUGAAGAUUUUUCUGCAAACCGAGAUUUUCGGUGAAAAUUCAAAGUAAGGUUAUUUUGGAUUAGGAAAUUCGUAGGCCCGUUUUUUGUCACAUUUUUUGUCAUCAAGUGGGAUCUUUGGACAAGGAAAAAUGUGGAUUUAAGUGUGGACACCUUGGUGGAAUUUAUAGGCUUCGAUUUGAGCCCAAUUGAGUAAGAAUUGAAUGGAUUUGAAGGGGAAAUGUCCAAAAUUUGUAGGCCAUGGGAGACACAACAUUUUGGACACUUUGGGAAGCUUGUUGGGGAAGCUUGGGAGUGGAUAAUGGCUGAGAAUGUUGGCUAAGCAAGUGGGGGCAUGUGAGGUGUGAGAAGGACGAGUGUUGAAGCCUUGGAAGCCACCUUGGGGACCCCUCUCUUCAGCAGCCCUUCUUCCUCCUUAAGAGCUGCUUUCCCCAUUGUUGUGUAGUUUAGAGAGCUCAAGAGAACUAGAAAACCGAACCAGCAGCCUUCCUCCAUCGUUGACCAAUUGUGCCCGCCCGUCGAAAGCCGCCAUGCACCGUCUCACUAUUCACCACUCGCACGUCUGCCUGCAUGCCACGAGCACCCGUCCUCCUAUGUUCGAGCUUGUUCAACUGCAUCCUAAGCUGCUCAAGCCAUCUCGCAACUCCGUCGAACCUCCUUCGUCUCCGCCCAGCCAACCAAAGCACCACUUGGAACUGUCGUUGCUCGUCCUUGCUGUUUCAGCCCCAACCAGCCGCCGAUUUAGCCCCUACAGCCCAAGAUCAGUAGCCAAAGUUCCAGCAAGGGAUGAAGCUUCGUGGCCCGUUUUAAGUCUCUUUCGGGCCUUGGUUGGUGUCACCGCUUGGAGGUUUGUCGCCCACCUUGGCGUUGCCGUCACCGUAGAAUCACCGAAUCGCUAAACCGGUGAGUUUACUUGCUAAACCUUGCUUAUGAGGUUAAUUAUGCUUAAGGGUUGAUUAGAUUAGGCUAAGCAUGAUUUAGGUGGUUAGAUUAGUUUAGUAGAAGCUAAUUAGAUUAUGUGGUUUAAUUAAUUUAGUAGAUAAUUAAUUAAGGCUAAUUAGGCAAUUAGAUUAGUGUAAGCUUAAUUAGGCACUUAAUUAAUUAUUUCGAAUUUAUUUAAUUAAUUUUUGUCAAUUUAUAUUAUAUUUAAUUAUUUACUAUUAUUUAAUUAAUUUCGGGAUUUAUUUAAUUAUUUAAUAUUUUUUGGAAAUUACGCCGAGAUAGUCGGUCGUUAGAAUUUCAUGCUGAUUGCUGUGGUGUAAUCAGAUUAUGCAAUUAAUUGUUGGAUUGUGCAAUUGAGUGAUGGUUGUGAAAUUUUUGGUAUUUAGUUGAAAAAUACCGGAUGUCAGGUUUUGACACCGAGAAUGGUUUUAAUUACUAUAUCAAACCAUGGGAUUUUAAAAGGAAGGGUAUCAAUUUUUCUGGUUCAAAUUGACCGUGUACCCACACACGACUAUUUUACCAUGUGUUUGUAAUACGAAGAAAACAGGUCAGGUUCACUAUUUUAACUGAGGCAUUUGAGUAUAAUGCACGAUGGCCUGAGCUGAGAUUGAAUGAUCGUAUGCUGGUUAAAAAAACUCGUCCCCGGUGUGUGUCAGUAGGACAUUACCCCUAUAUGGGACGCCCUUGAUUAAGGAAAGCUAGUCGCAGUAGAUUCUAGAUCGAAGCUCCUUCGGGAAUGCCGAAUGGAAUGCUGUCCCCGGUGUGUGAUGGAGGAUGUUGCCAUGCUCAAAGGAGUGAGACGAGGCCUAGCUACGCCAAAAAACCGAUGUGUGUCGGGUAAAACUGCCUGUGCAGGUAAUAAUAAUCAAUUGGAACGCAUGAUUGAUUGAGAUAGAUGUGCCGGAUUAUGGGACAAAAUUGUAUGACAUGGAAUGGGACGUGUCACAACGAUUUGCCUCUAUAAUCAGGACCCUUAUGGUUGUUUGAGAAAUGAUUUGUGACGUUCCAAUUGGUUGAGUAUAAUUCCUGCUUUUGGUUGUGAUAUGAACUAUGCUGACGUGCAAGAGAGAACUGAGGCGAGCUAAGUCCUCUAUUCUAAUUGAGUGGCCGUGUGGCUAGGACGCCCUUAGGCAUAUUUCCUUCCUAAUAAGGGUUUAGGGGGUGAACUCGUCGUGGGCUUAAUAUUUUUAGGUCUGUAGAUGGUAGUGAGGCAGGAUCAUUUUGGGUGGCCUCAGGAAGUCGAGAAGCUUCGAAGCCUGUGGAGUCCGAAGGAUCGGUGAAUGCGUCUGACUAGUGGUCAUAGGAAAAAUCCCUUUUGAGAAUCGAUCUUUUGUAGACUCACUUUGUAAUUAAACCCGGUGUGUUUAUAAAAGCGUGUUUUGGUUGUAAAUGUGUUCCCUGCUUUCCUAUCCCAUGCUUUGUGUUGUCAGGGGUUAUUAUUUCGCUUAUGCAUGCAUAUUAAAAUGAAUGGAUUAGCGACGCGUCCUGGGACGUCGCAAAUUUUAUCAAGCACCGAGAGAUAGGCACACGCUCGAUGAUCGGGGCGUGACAGUUUGAUAUAAUAAACAAACUACUCCAUCAUUUUCUCUUGACGAGCUGACUCGGCCACAUCCUACGACUUUCUGCUUCAACCAUUUUAUAUUCAUAAAUCAGAUAUAUUAUCUGGAGACCUUGUGUGAUUAUCUUACUCCUGGUCAAACAUUGCUAGUUCGCACCGCCAAACCCCCCUCACCAUUUUUUAAUGUUAUUAAUUUUAUGUUCAUCUGAACAACGUAAUUAUCUUACUCCUAAUCAAACAUUGCUACUUCUCUCGCCUCUUUCAAUCAUGCGAUUUGAGUUUAUAGUAGGACGCGCACUUCAUCGCACGAAAAAGAAGCGGGAAGAGGGGCGGUGUUUCGACAACCACUAUAGGGUGCCUCCGUUCAUAUCAUGUUCAGAGAUUAUCAGCACAUGAAAAAUCAAAAUGGUAAGGAGAGUGAGGAAGAUUGGUAUCGACCCAUGUUUCGAUUGAUUUGAACAGUUCCCUACUUGUUGAAACGAAAUCAAAGACUUGCCGGUUGAUUUUAGUCGAAACCACCAUUUUCAAUUUGAGGUUAGAAACGGUCCACUCAGAACAGCUCAACUCUCAUUCAUUUAUUAAAGUCAGCUACGUUGCACGUUAUAGACACUCAGGACAGUCUGGCAAGAAAUUGAGCUGGUCUUAUGCUCGUUUCCCUAAAAUCUGUUCCGCCCUGUGCUCUUCCUUAACAAAACAAUUUUUUUUUUUAUCGCAUCUACUAAUUCAACGGCGACACCCCUCCAAUAAUGGCACGCCAGUUUCAUCUUUUAUACAAAUCUCAAGCUGAGCAAACAAUUGCUAUGGUGAGCUCAAAUGCAUUAACGUCAUCAGGAAGCUGUUAUGAGCUUCGGAGAACCUCACACUUACACUAGAUUCACCGUCGUCUUCUACCAUAACUUAGAUAAUUGUUGAUGAAAAAUAGUUCGUCAAUAAUCGUCUAAGCAUUAGUUACUUCAAAAUAAUGUCUGUAACUUAUGAACCAUGCUGGUACAGUUUCAAAGAAAUGGAGUGACCUCUGUUUGUACAUUCAAGACAAUUGUAAGAAGUUCACUGAAUACUCGGCUUCAGCAAAUAAGAAUUUACAUAGUGAAAAAUAGUUCCUCAAUAACCAAUUAAACAUUAGUAAAAUAUGACUAUAUAUUUUUUGAAAAUUUCUGGCUACGCUUGUGGAGUUUGCAACAUACUAAUUAUUUUGCACGAUGUUAACUUAGUAACGGAUAAAAGAAACGUUGGUAUAUUAUCUACAGUAUUGAUUAUUUACUAAACAAAUAUGUGGAAUGCCAAAGAAAUUAGUAACUUACUAAUUUGAUGGAAUUUAGAUAAAUUUCUCAUAGGAUAGGCAUAUUAUCAAAAUAUCAAAAAAAUGGUAAUUUACUAAUUUAUUAAGACGUUUAUAAAAAAUUUUAUAGUCUGGUACUUAACUAAGAAAAACUUGAAAAGUUUGAAAGAAAUUGAUAAGUUAUCAUUCUCAAAAGUAUUAAAAAUUUACCUACUUGAGGAGAUUUAUCAAGUGUGGGAAAAUUUAAAAUUUUUCCUUGAUAGUAUUGGGUGGUCUUGGGCCUUCUCACCCCAAAAAUUAACUCAAAGGGUGAGACUUUCUCUCACACUUGUAUACCGACCACCAACCCCUUCCACAAUUGAUAUGGGACAAUCUCAAUAAUCUCUCUCUCACAUGUUAGGCUUAAGUUGGAGACGCAACAACCCCUCACACGGCGGGCCUGAGUUAGAGAUGCAACAACUCUUAACUUUCUCAUGUGACAGUUUUUAAUCUAGACUUAUUGAUAAACUCAAGCUCUGAUAUCAGUAUCGGGAGGUUUUAGGCCUUCUCACCCCAAAAGCUAACUUAAAAGUUGACGUUUUCCCUCACACAUACAUAUCGAUCAGCGGUCUUUUCCACGAUCGAUGUAGGAUAAUCUCAACAGACAGGAACCAAAAUCUGGUCUCCAAAGUUAGGCAGUUUUGGUUUUCCUAUUCUCUUCUCGGUUAUUUCCGCAUGACGUGUUGACGAGGCCACUUUCUCUAUUAAGAACAGUGAGGUAAGAGAGAGAGGAAUGCAUAAAUAAUCUGUGGAAAAGAGCAAUGAGAAUAGAAAAGUAAUAACAUAUGGAAGGAGGAAACUGUAUGGAUUAUGAAUUUUGAUUCUCUGGCUUCCGCGCAUGUCGUGCGAUGAUCACCGUCCUUACGGUCCUCUGCACAUGGGGCCUGCAACUGCAUGCCCGUUUGAACAAGCCAGCUAUGUCAUAUAUAAAAUAUAUUGAAAAUAACUAGCCUUGGCUUACGCAUAUGGGGCCAGCAACCGUAUGCAAGUUUGCUAACUACGUUCCAUUGGCGAUUAUUUAGCCACCUCUUUUUUUUUUCUUUUUUUGCCCCUCAUCGACCGAUAGCAUUUGUUUUUAAGGUCUUCUUUCUUCUUUUAAAAUUACGGCUUUCUAUUUCAACCAUUUCUCAUCCACCCAUAGCAUUUGAUUAAUUUUCCUAUAUCUAGUCCAUUAUUUCCUCACACCGUACCUCUUUCUUUGUUAAGAACAUUAGCGCACAGAGAGAGAUCUGUUCAAGCUGAGCAAACUUACUACUAUGGCGAGCUCAGAUGAAGGAAGGUUGUUGGCAAGCGAGUAUCAGGUGUUCCUGAGCUUUAGAGGACCAGACACCCACAUUGGAUUUACCGACUGCCUCUAUCAUAGCUUGAUCGAUGCUGGAAUCUGUGUCUUCCUAGACAACGAAGAGCUCCAUGUUGGUGAAAGGAUCGAUGGAUCACUUCGGCAAGCAAUCGAUAACUCCAAGAUCUACAUACUCAUAUUCUCUCAGACCUACGCUUCGAGCCAAUGGUGCCUUCGUGAGGUCGUGCAGAUCAUGGCAAACACCUCCAGAUCGGGAGGUAAUAAAGAGAUCCUACCUAUCUUCCUCGAUGUGGAGCCUGACGACAUUAAGCUGAAAACUUCGUUGUACAAAGAUGCCAUACGCAAUUUGAAGCGUGAGAAGAAGUUGAGCAAUGAGGAAGUAAAUGAAUGGAGAAAGGCUCUGAUGGAUGUUGGUGCGAUAAAAGGGUGGGAAGCGAAGCAUAUGGGGUAAGCUUACUGCUUUCAGGAUUCUUGUUUGCCCAUUUUUCGCUAAAACUCGAAUCAUAGACGUAUAAAUGUCAGUAUUAUUGAGGUGGGACUUUCAUUAUAGUAAUACUAAACGAGGAACCCGCGCUACGAUUGUCAAAAAAAAAAAAAAAAUGUGAAAUUGAUUAACAAGGUCAUCUCAUGAAAUCGGCGAAUAAUGAUACUGAUAGCUACAUAGCUAUAUUAAUAUUUGAUUAUGGGCAGUGGGGGAAAAAAAAGAAUGGGAUACUGAAAUGUCAUGCUCGUUGCUGUCUAAUCAUUUAAUCUUGCAAUACAAUAAACAUUUUCCUCUUGAAUACACGGUGUUCAAUUUCUGUAGUCGUUGCUUGAACAUCACAAAAUGUCAAUUUCAAAUUCAUGAAUAUAUCUAUUUUGCGUGAACGUUAUUAAAAUAGUCCCAAGACUGUUUAAAUCUUGUGUUAAAAUCAAAUAAAAUUUCCGGUUGUGACAUGAUGCACGCGUUGCCAAGUGCAAAAAAUGUGUGUUUUGGAGUGAUGUUAACGUCCAGUAUGGACUCUUAGAAGAUCAUUUCUAGAUCUUUAAGGUCCCAUUAUCUGUCCGACUGCUGUUUUUUUUAUUCGCUGUACGAUCACUUAUAGCUAGCAAUCGCAAUUUCGCAUUUUUUUUCCCAACAAAAAUGGCUUUUCAUUGUGGCGGCCACGGCAAGCUGAUCAAAUUGGUAGUUGAGGAGGUCAUGAAAAAACUGAAGACAAAGCAUAAACCGGUGACUGAAGAGUUAGUUAGAGAUGAUGGUCAAGUAGUAGCAGUAAGUGAAUUGUUAGACAUCAACUCUGAUGGUGUGCGACUGAUUAAAAUUUGGGGUAUGGGCAGUAUCGGUAAAAUCACUCUCGCAAAGAUUGUCUUCAAUGAACUCUCUUCUCAUUUUGGAAAGUGUUGCUGUUUCCUUGAAAAUGUUCAAGAGAAGUCAUCAAGAACUAAUGGUUUAGUUGAGUUGCAAAAAAAGUUAUUAUCAGAAAUCGGCCAUGCAGGAAUAGGGGGCAUUGAUGAAAGUGAUUAUGGAAAGAAGAGGGUUGGAGACAUACUUUGCAAUAAGAAAGUCCUCAUUGUACUUGAUGAUGUUGAUAAUAGAGAACAAGUAGAGAAAUUAGUUGGAGAGAGAAAUUUGUAUCCAGGAUCUAGAAUAUUGAUUACAACUAGAAAUAAGGAUAUUAACACCCCCAAGUAUCAAAUUUUAGAUUAUGAAAUGGAGGUGAUGAAUACCAAUAGAGCACUUGAGCUUUUCAGGAGGCAUGCAUUUGGCAGUGUCUCUCCUCCAAAUGAUUAUAAUGAUCUUUCAAGGGAAGUUGUAUUAGCUGCAGGGAGACUUCCUUUGACUAUUGAAGUAAUUGGCUCGUUCCUUCACCGCAAAAAGACGAUAGAAGAAUGGAAAGAGGCAUUGGGCCAGUUGAGAAAAGGACAACUCAAGAAUGUUUAUGAAAAGUUAAAGAUCAGUUAUGAUGCCUUAACUAAUGAGCAACAACAAAUUUUUCUUGAUAUUGCAUGCUUUUUCAUCGGUCAGGAUAUGACAUAUGCAAUUUACAUAUGGGAAGAUUGUGACUUUUUGCCACACACUGGAGUUAAGACACUCAUUAACUUGUCUUUGGUAAAGAUUUUGGAGAACAAUGUGUUUUGGAUGCACAAUCAACUCAGAAAUCUUGGUAGGACUAUUGUUUGCAAGGAAAAUCUAAUGAAUCCUGGAGAGCGUAGUCGAAUAUGGACUAAUAAGGACGCCCUUAAUGCAAUACAGACAAAAGAGGUAAAGUAGUUCUAGAGGAAUUGAUAGCUUUUGACAAUAAUACCUCUACACUGACUUAGGAUGCUCUAUCUUCUUCUUGUUUUUUUUCUUUUUCCUUUAUAAUACUUUUCCUUUAUGAAAUAGAAUACCGAUAUCACUCAUUUCCUGUUCUUGUAUGCAGAUAAAAAAGAAUGUUCAAGCACUAUAUCUUGAUAUACAUGCACAAGAUUCCCCUAAUGUCAUUGUUCAAAGUGAAGAGAUUAGUAGGUUUGAACAUCUAAGGUUCCUCAACUUAAGUAGAGGAAUCUUUGUUGGCAACUUCAAGAAUCAUCUUACUGAAUUAAGAUGGUUGUCUUGGAAUUUUCCUCUGGAAAAAAAUGAAUGGACUAAUUUGUACCUAAAGAACAUGGUCAUUCUUAAACUUUCAGGCGAUCUUUACUUAGAUGACUCGAGAUUACAGGACUUAAUCCAGGUAUGUAUUUUGUUCUAUUUAUUUGAAAGUAAUAUAUUAUUGUUCAUACAUUAAAUGUUGCAUUAAUUUUGACAGAUGGCGAGAAAAUUGAAAGUUCUUUCUCUUCAAGAUUGUGCUGAAAUAAACGGAACAUUGGACUUCUCUAGAUGCCCUGAUUUAGAGAGGCUUGCUUUCGAAAGUUGUUCCAAUUUGUGGAAAAUUGAUGGCUCUAUUGGAAAGUUGAAGUGUCUGAUUGACCUAAAGAUUAAGCAUUGUGUAAAAUUAAAAUAUUUGCCAGAAGAAAUUGGUUACCUAGUGAAUUUGAAGCAGUUCGCUUAAAGUAUUGUGGAAUGCAUAAGUUACCAGAUUCCAUAUGGAAGUUGAGAUCAUUAUGUGAGGUGUACUUUAUAAAUCCCGUGAAGGUAUCAGGUGCACCAUGGGAGUUACCUACAGAUAUUAGAAUGCUUCAGAAUCUAGAACUGCUUGAAGUGGAUGAUUGUCAUUUAGAAGGUCAAAUUCCUUAUGGAAUUGGAAGAUUGUCCCCUCUAAGAAGCCUAAGCCUAUCGUGUACUAAUGUUAGUGAAGUUCCAAAGACCAUUAGCAUGCUUCCUUGCCUACAAAGAUUGGAGUUGUAUUGUAAUAAGAUUCAAGAGUUGCCUAUGCUCCCAAUAAGUUUAACCCAUUUAAAUGUGUCAUCUAAAUCAUUGUGGUUAGUCCCCAAUCUCUCGAACUUGACUAAUUUGAUUGAGUUGAAACUACAUGGAGCAAGUGGAGAAGGCAAAUUUUGUAGCGGUGAGUUGUGGUGGAUUGGGAAGUUAUCCAAACUAAAAAGCCUGAGCUUAAGACUUAACAAUGUCUAUGCUCCUGCAAAGCUAGCUUCCCUACCUCACCUUAACGAACUUUAUAUGUCUAUAUUGGACUUGCAAACCUAUCCACAAUUUCCCUUGUCUCUGGAAAAGCUGUUCCUUACUACUUACAAUUCAACUCUGUCAAACUUGAGAAAUUUGUCUUUUUUCUGCCUUUGGGAGUCACCAAUGCAAGAAAUUCAAAUUGAUGGGUUUCAACUUCCAUAUCUAAGGGAGUUGGUUGUGGCGAAGUGUGAAGCCCUUGAGAGCAUCGGGCUAUCAAGCAUAAGAAAGCUAAAAGCUUUCUUGGUGGAUGAUUGCGGAAAGCUAGUUGAGAUCCAAUUUUCUUGGGCGUCCGAAUCACUUGAGCAUUUUACUAUUCAUAAUUGCAGGUCCUUCAAAAGGCUAGUUUGCAUGGGGGAAGCGGGGCAUGAUAACGAUGAGACCGCUAAUAAGAUGAUUAGUUGCGAAGGGAGGCUAAUCCUUUCAACAAAAGCCUUACAGAAGUUGCAAAGGUUCGACCUUUCAGGUGACAAUGGGAUAUUCGAGAUUCAAGUUGUUGGUAGCUCGGCAUCCUGGGAAGUCUUCAGUGUUUCCGGUUGUCCUUCGCUGCGAAGUCUUCGUGGUUUACCAAACUUAAAGAACCUUCAGUCUUUAUCAGUCUUCACGUGCAGUGGCCUACAGGUUGUCGAGGGCCUUGACCAGCUAGAGUGUUUGAAGGAGUUAAAGGUUUGGAAUUGCAGAUCUUUGGAGAUUGACCUUUCAACCACCAAAUUGCCAGAUGAUUGCGACACAUACAUCGACCAUUGCAAAAAAUUAUGUGGGUUUGAGAAACGAUUUGUGGGCCCCCUCCAGUCUUACAAGCGUGAUAAGGUGAGUCUAGACCAUUCUCUCUCUCUUUUCUCUUUGGUCUUGACGCGGCCAUCCCCAAACAUGAAUUCAACCUUUCAAGCAGAUUUAUAAUAAUUAUGCGAAAUCAAAAAAAUAAAUAAAUUAAAUCUGGUCUCAUUUAUUUUAGACCCAUUCAACACAGGUUUGUUUUGUUCUGCGCUCGUGUUUUUUCUUCUUCUUCUUCUUCUUUUUCCUGUUUUCCAUUUUCCGUUUUCUCUCCUAUUUUGUAUACUAGAAAUUUCUAUAUUUGCACAAAUCUAUAGGACAAUCAGUUUUUAUCACAAAUGAUUGAAAAAAUUUCAAUGUCUAUAAUAGCUCGGAGUUUCUUAUGAAAUGCUCUUUUCAUUAUAUAUAGAGUGGACUAUUUAGUUUAGCACAGAUUUUACAUAAUAUACUCCACUUUAUUGUUUAUUUCUUACUUAAUACUAUUCAUUACGGAAAUGAGUUUCGCGAUUUGCGAUUUCUACAGGAAAGAUAGAACAUUAAAAAAAUCGGAUACUCAGUGCACAACUCAAAACAAUUUAGCUAACAGAGACGUUAAAAGAACAUAGUUUAUGUGGUCCACCUAUCCACUAAUCAAGUGACUUAUGUCCCUGACUGAAAUGAGUGUUUCUUGAAUUUGCAUGUGGUUAGGGUUGGCCAAGUAGGAGGUGUGUUCCAAAAACACCUCAAAUACUUAUUUAAGAUUUUAGAGUUUGAUUAAAAGCCACUUCAAACAGGAGCAGGAACCGAAACAGAAACAGGAAAGCCGCUUCAAACAGGAACAGGAAAGCAUCGACCAAAAAAAAAAGGAUAAAAAAGGAACAGGAAAGCCACUUUGAACAGGAAGUCGAACCGAGGAGAAACCUGGGGAGAGGGUGGCUCCAAUGCCUGAGCUUCAGUAGUUUGCUGCAUUGCGACCUCCCCUGUUUUUUCCCCUCUGAUAAAAAGCCACUUCAAACAGCAGAGGAGAAGGCUGGGGAGAUUGUCUUUCCAAUCCCAGAGCUUCAGCAGAUUGUGAUGUUGAUUGCAGGUAAAGAUGGGAAGCUCUUGCCGAUUAUUUGACAGCGGAACAGGAGAGGCCCCUGUCUCAAAGAAGUCAGAGGACGCUCGCCAUCAAGUCAGAACGAAGUCGGCAAUGCAGAGCCAGAGUGUACCGGAACACUCGAAAAUGCAAUGGAGGGCGUACUUGCCCAUUCGAGUGAUCAAUGCCAAUGGCGUCUAGCAAAGCAAACCCAGAAGAUGUCACCUUUGGCCGGGAAUAACGGCCCUCUUGUCCGUACUGUAUUUGUGGCCUGUCUUUUUCGCCUAGAAUGCAUUCGUUUCUUUUAAUUCGUCUUUCCUUUUAAGCUCGGGCUUUGGAACCAAUAUGCACGUAAAAUAAUGUGGUCUUUCUUCGAUUUACAGACAAAAGCUUCAUAGAUGAUUCAAAACUACGGAGCUUAAUCAAGGCGUGUCAUACUUUUCUCUAUUCUAUCUAACUAAUUUGUGAUCACUCAUCCGAUGAAUGGUGGCGUUCAUUUUUUACAAAUGGCAGUAAAAGGGAAAGUUCUUUUUCUUUUACAUUGUUCUCACUUUAUCGUAACCUACGACUCCUUUGGAUGCUCAAAUUUAGAGAGGCUUAUUUUCCAACACUGUCCCAAUUUGAGAAAAAUAGACAGCUCUAUUAGGAAUCAAAGUAUUUGACCAACUUGAAUAUCAAUGGUUGCCAUCAUCUUGAAGAUCUGCCCAAAGAAAUCAGAGACCUUGUGAAUCUUCGGUGCUUGACUUUAGGGUGGUGUUGUUGAGUAAAGAAAUUACAAGAUUCCAUAUGGAAAUUGAAAUCGUUACAUAAGAUGUAGUUUUCGGCUGAGUAUUUUGAAUCAAAUUCAUCUUCAAACGAUGCAUGACAGUUGCCUAGUGCAAUGGAAAUGCUCAAAGUCAUGACUCAAAAUUUAAAAGGUCAACUUCUCCGGAAUCAAAAGUUUGCCCUUUUUUGAGAAUCCUAUGCUUGUCGUGCCCUUGCAUCAGUGAAGUUCCAGCGACAGACAGUAUGCUUCCUUACCUGCAAACGCCUGAGUUAAAAGCAUGCAAUAAGAUUCAGGAACUGCUGACACUUGCCGCAAGUUUAAACAAUGUACUAGUGUUGUCUAUAACGUUGCAAGUAGUCUUAGUUCUCUCGAAUUUGACUAGCUUGGUUCAGUUCGACCUAUCUAAUGGUUCUAGUUGGAGAGAAGGAAGCAAAAUUCACCGGUUAGUAGGGUGGAUUGGGAGGUUAUCCAGACUGAAUGAGCUGAGCUUGAAUCUUUUCAAUGUCCCUGCUCCUACUGAGUGGGAUUCCUUGGUUAAAUAAUCUUCAUUUGUCAAGGUUGGACCCGCGAAAACUUGUGCAACUUCCUCCACCUCUGUUAAAUUUAAGCCUUGACAACUUCAAUUCAACUGUGUCACUCUCAUCCAAAUUAGAAAAUUUGUGAAGUUUAGAGUUCCCACGGUUUCAAGUGCAAGAAGAAUACUCAACAGCCUUCAACUUCAAAAUUUAACAGAGUUGGUUCUGAAAAGCUGUCAAUCCCUCGAGAUAUUCGUACUAUCAAAAAUGAGGAAGCUCAAAAGCGGUCCGAGUAGAAUAUUGCUCAGAGCUAGUUGAGAUCCAACUUGCCGGGCUGUAUGACCCAUUGGAAGCAUUUUCCAGCAUAUGGUGUGAGUCCUUGGGAAAGGUUAGCUUAUACGGGUGGAGUCUGCAAAUGAGUCGAUUAUUUGUGGAGGGACACUAAUUUUUCUGUCACGAGUACUAAAUAAGCUUAACAAGUUUCUGCUUAGGGGUUGCCCGAAGAUACUCAAAUUCAAGUACUGGGUACAUUGGAAAAGGGGAAGGGUCGGACGUCUAGGACUAUUGUUAGGCGGAAAGUGUCCGUGGUUUAUCAAACUUAAAGGAGCUCAAGUGUUCAUACAUUUGUGAUUGCGAUGGGCUGCAGGUUGUCGAGGACCUUGACGAGCUAGAGUUUUUGAAUCAGUUAACCAUUCAUCGCUGCGGAUAAGUAAAAACGUAGAUCAAUGUAUCACGAACAGAAUUUCCUAAGGAUAGCAACAUAGAUAUCUUCGACUGCUGGAAAUUAGCUGAGGCUACAAUUCGUUGUCUCCAUCCAGUCUUGCGAGCAUUAUAAGGUGAGUUGAACCUUCUCCUUUGUUUCUUUGUUUUUUCUUCUCACCUUUUUUCUUGAUGGAUAGCAACGAUCGCCUAAUUCUAUCCCAGUUUACUUACUCCCGUCUCUAUAUCACUUAUACAUAGCAAACAUUUGAUGUGCUAAAAUAUAAUCUGGUAUUGCCUUUCUACAUAAUUUAUAUGAGGCUCAUAUACACAUAUAGUCUAACUCCAUCUAAUAACUUCUUCUAAUAUAGUGAACUGGAAAGAGAGAUUUGGUAUCUUAUGGAAUCUAAAUGAAACGAUUCAGAAGGCCAUAGACAAAAGUGAACUCAACUUUUGAACACGGACGGAUCAGUUGUUCAGAACCCCGUUCUAGCGUGAGAUGGGGGGGCAUCUUGCGUGAUCUCCUCAGCUGUGGCGUUUCGGCUUUUACGGGUUUUGGGAAACAUGGCGACCCCGAUUGCGGAAUUUUUCGGCUCCUUAGAGGGGGCCUGAGACUUGCUCCUGCAAUGUUCAUAUAUUCCCCAUGAACUUGAAGCAAGAAAUCCCUUCGGGACAGGGUUUCCUAUAAAAACAACUUGUAAAAUGAGAAUCCGGAACCGCUCUUUUUGGAAUGCGGGACUAUCCUCAGGAGCUUUACCCAAUACCAGACGGAGCACAGAUUUCGAGAGGCAAAUCGCUGCGCUGAUUUCAUGGCAAAGAAGGGCCGCUUGCCAUAGGAUAAUCUCAAGAUCUUAGGGGAACCUCCAUUAGACAUUUUGAAGCUACUGGAGUUCGACUGUAGGUGCUGUUGUGUCCCAAAAGCCGUUAAAAUGUGCAUAGUAGCUUAGUUUCUGCAUUUUACGACUACUGGGUCCUCAACCGUUGGUGGAGAAUGAAUUAAAGAAGAAGAGAAUGAUAAAGAUCAUCUUGUUUCGCCCGAAACAGAGAUGGAAAUAACAGAGCAGAAAAGAAAAUUGUUGCCGAAAUUCGCAUUAAGACAUUCUAUAAAAUCCGAGACACGACAGCUCGACCGACGUCCUUAAGAAACAUGCCUGCUGCUGCAUACUCUUCCAACGCCUUCUCGAUGACACCAUCCCUCAGGAGCCGUGGAAAAAACAGCCAAGAUGCGGUCACCAUCACGAAUGUGACCGCCAUCAGACCCGUCAAAACCCUCGGCAAUUGCCACUUCGCGCCACACUUCCUUUUCACCACCACCUCAAUCACAAAACACGCCCCCGGAGCAUUCUAAGAUCCUCAUUACUCUAAAUUUCUUUUUUCCGACUUGCAAAGACUAACCAAACAAAUCUAUAGAACGAAGGGAAAUACUAAAAUUCAAAGACAUAGGAAUCAUGCUAGAGCUACUAAAACUUUACCGAAGAGAAAUCCACCAACGCUUCUUCAAGGCUCUUCACGAGCCACUUCCAAAUUCAAUUUGGAAUUGGAAUCGAAAAUACGCCUGAUGGCCAAAGAGGUAUCCUCAUAAAUAGGAAACGUGUUUCCCAUCUCAAGAAGAAAUCAUGCUCUAUUUUACUUUUAUUUAAUUUUAGCAUACGUUUUGCUGAUAACUGUAAACAUGUUGCCUUUGAUUUUUUUUUUCUUUGAUUUUCAUAAGUUAAAUUAAUGCAAAUGAGGAUUCUGGUGCUAUGGAGGACAUCGCUCUGGUGAUGCAUUUGUUAGUGUUCCUGAUUUCACUAGAAGUGCUAUCAACUUCAUAUUGAGAUCGCUCUAUCCUUCGGGAAGCAAUCCUAAAAAAAACUCUAGUGCCUAUAGUACUACUACUCAAAACUUGAUAACAUAGGUAUUUCGCUAACUAUCGAAGUGGGACUUCCAUUAGUAAUACAAAAUGAUAUGUGUGUAUAAAGAAUGUUGCUGAAACAAGUCAGCUUAUAUAAUGGGUGAACAAGUCGAAUAAUUGAGAAAAUUCAUUUGAUUUGUACGUUUAUUUUGCACAAACGAGAUUACGUAAUUCCAUGAUUGCUAAUUUCAUGUUAGAUUCAUAUACUUCAUAGUUAUAUAGGAUUAGCUAUAAAAAUCAAAACUGAAAUCCUUCAGAGUCAAUUCCAUCGUUCUCUUCUAAAUUUUUGUUUUCUACAUGCCUAGUGUUUUCUCUUUUAAAGAAUUUUACAGGAUUGGGAGCGUAAGGCUUGCACAACAAAUCAAAUGGCUACAUUGCAUAUAGAAAGCAAAAAGUGUUACGUACUUACUUCGAGUAUCAUGGACAAUUUUCUCCCUUUAUAUAAAGAAAAUACUCUUUGACUAGAUUCUUAGCCAAGAUAAAAGGCGGUUCCUAUCCUAUGUUUGGUUCAUAUGAAAGAUAGGAUAAGGUUGGAUAUAACUCAGAUAAAAUUAUCUCAUAUGGGGGUAGAAUAAAUAUGAAUAUGACUCCUUAUAUUAAUGUUAUAAAAAAAAAUUCAUAAAUAACAAAAUUAUUAAAUUAAUAAUCAUAGAUUGAUUGUCGGAAUGCUGUAAUGAACUUAUGUGCUAUUUAAGUUUUAAUAGAUUGAUUGCUGGAGGUGGAUUAUAUUGUAGGUUUAUAAUUUCUUUAGUAAUGAAUCAUGAGAGAUUUUUACUAUCUCUGUUUAUGUAUAGGAUAUAAAAAUAUUAUGCUAUUAUUGAUACUUAAAUUUUAGCGACCCGUUUAAUCAGUCAUUAAUUGUAUAGAAAAUUAAGGAUUAAUUUUUAACCCCUAGAAAAAUAAUUGCACAGCAUAUAGACAUUAGGAGCAUUUGCAUUACUAUUAUUAAAUUUUUAAAAAAAUUAAUUGAAAAAAAAAAAUUCAAAAGAGAAAAGAAAAUGGGAAAAGCGAGGUCGAGCCACCGGGCCGGGGGCAGGCCGGCCCGGCCUCUUUCUUUCUCCUUUCCUUUUUAUUUCUCUCCGCCUGGGCCAGCCCAUUUUUCCUUUUCUUUUCGCCUAAGACUGGCCCAGCGUUCUCUUCCUCCCCCUCUCUUUCCCUCAUGCUCUCGGCAGAAAAACAGGAGCAAGGUACAGAGACAGGGAAGCAGAGCAGAGCAGGAUAUGGCGGCGUGAUCCUCGGGUCGGGAUCAGGCCGGCCACGGCGGGCUGGCGGUGGCAGAGGCCAUGCGCUCCUGCCGCUGGCCAUUAAAAGGGAGAGAGGGUGAGUCGGCCAGAGGGAGAGAGGGAAAUCGAGAGAGAGAGAGCGAUUCCGAUAGAGAGAGGGAGCCUUCGGCAGAUCUCGGCUCGGAGACGUUGCGAGGCGGCCAGCCAUAGCUCGAUUCGUCUCGAGCUCGUCCUCUAGCCGCUGUCUCCGAGCCGGGUAGCGACUCUCGCGAUAAAACGCUCAUCCCAUUGAACCCCCUGCUUCGCCAUGUUCCGAGUAAGACGUGGAGACUAGCUGUCUUCCGGUUCAUGCUUGUGUCAGGUCUGAAUAAGUUGGUUGCGUUGAUUCCGAACAUUGCUUGCCGACUUCCUUCGAAUCUGGAUGCGAGUUCGAGCCCCGUGUGGGUUAAUGCCUUCUUCUCAAUCCAUGCUAACUACGUGUUCGAUGAAAUGCGUAAGCCAGAUCCAUUGAUUAUCAUCUCGCAUUAUCCGUUGUUAGAAAAAGCGAACCUAUCAUUUUGUAGACAUUCUUUGUUCUGAACACUGGCCACUUGGCGCAUUUGCUUCCUUCCACUCGUCAUCGACUUGAGUUUUACCAUAUCCGAGCAUUUUACCAAACAUCCGUUUUAGCCAUUGUGGGCCUUCUAUGUGGCUCAAUGGAAAUGGAUGGUGAUUCUUGAUGAGAAAUGCGGUCUUUAAAUCACUGAUACGAAUGAGGAUUUAGGUGAAAACUCAAACUAGUCACAUGUCAACUUUCUCAAUUCACAUAUUGUGCGUAUUUGUUCUUCCUGGUUUUUGUUUGAAUAAAAAAAUGUUUGAUGGCUCGUAGCGGUGCUUGGAAGAGAUGGUUAAUGGCAUUGUAUGUGGAUGGUGGUGCGCGGUGGCUGGACAUAGCUUGUGGUUGUGCCCGGGUUACUUUUACCUUGAAGCUUGACUUGCAUUCGUGUGUGAGUCCCUGGAGGUUCUCAGUCUGCUGGGGAAGGAGGCUGUGGGCGUUCCUGGGGGGUGAGAGACAAUGUUGACAUGCUUAGAGUGGUGCGUUAUGGGCUUAGUAUGGGCCGGGUUUAUUUCAGCGAAGAGGCCCACGCCCCUAAUUCUGGAAUUAAAACUUUUUUUAAAAUAGUUUUUGUAAAAAACAAUUAAAAAUUCGAAAAUAUUAAAAAAUUAAGAAAAAUCAGAAAAUGCUUGGAAAUAGGUCUUCAUCGAUUUUUUAAGUUUUAGCGUUAGACGUGACUUGGUUUCACUUUAUUAGUAUACAUGUAGCUUAGUCCUAGUGGAAUGUCCCUUUGAAAGAAAUUGAAUAUGACUUGGUUUUAACUCACAGGAGGAUCAUGUCUUGGGAUCAUGUAUCGGAUUUUCUUUUCCACGUUUGCUUUAAAGUCAUUUCAAUACUUGGGUGUUUACUUACCACACCGUCUUUCAAUAAGUUGGUUGUUUAUCGCUUUCCUAGAAUAGGUUAGGAUUAGUUUAGGCUUUGAUGAAAAUGAACCAUACAAAAACAUUUGCAUGAUCAUUUAGUAACUUUGAUGCCUUUGGGACUAUAAUUGACAAUCAAGAUUGUGUGACCACUUAAGUAGCAACCUUCCAAGUUAGAGGAAUUGAAAGGGUGCUGAUAGACAUUAGCAUGAUCAAGUGCCCCCUAAAAUCUUUGGUUGCAUAGGAAUCGUAGCGAUACUCUCGCUUUUCGAUUGGUUUUUAAUUAACCUUAAUAGUCUAGUAGCGACUCUUAAAAAUGCUUAAGUUGUUAAGAACUUAAAAAAUGAAGUUUAACAUUGCGAGAGGUAUGAGUUUGGAAGACCCUACGUCUAAUCAAGAGCCGUUAGCCUAAAUUAGGCAAUACCUCUAAACUUAUAUAUUUCUCUUUCUCUUCAAAUGGAAAAGUUAGGUCAUGACAGCUAUAUUGUUGCGAUUUACCAAUCGGUGGAUGGAAUAUAGCAAAAUUUUAAAUUUCAUAUUUAGUCCUAUCAUGGCUAGCAAUUGAAAUGGCCAAACACAACCUUUCCAAUAAAUUCAUGCAGGCGUGAUCCUUAACACGUUAGCUACAACACAGUGUGGGUCAAUACGCACAACGCCUAGUAUCCAUCGUUUACAGCUACAACUACUAGGGUUCCCCCCUACAUGUAGAGAUUGGUAACACCCAAUAUAUAUAUGGUAUCAGAGCUCCUCUGUGGAUCACUCCUUUAUGGUAUUAGAGCUAGUGGGAAAAUAUAGUCAUAGAUCCAAUUCUGUUUGGUGGAAACAUACUCUUAGGUGAGUGUUGCGUGCAGACCUAUAAAGAUGAGCUUACUUAAAAGAUCUAUGUCUUCAUCUAGUUCUUUAUCACAAAUGUCCGCAGAUCAAGGUCCUAAACAAAGAGAAGAAGUAAGAAUAGAAGACUUUAACAAAUCAAUAGAGAAUUGGGAAAUCCCUAAAAGGGUUUUUUUUUUGUUUUUUUUUUUUUUUUUUUUUUUUAUGACCGAUGGAUCGCCGAAGAUCAACCUACGGGGAUCACAUGACCCUCCGGUGCUCAGUAGCACUGGUGGGGCCUCACCACAAGCCACUAUUUAGACGUAAACCCUCAGAGGGCUAGUCUAGUAAACCACUCCUAGGACCCCACUUAAGUAGUGAGCAUUCGGAGAUUUGAACUCAUUCCCUCGGCGAUGAGGUAGUGAAGCCCAAUCAUCACGGCUACCUACGGGUGGGUUGGAAAAUCCUUAAAGUUCAACUUAAAGAAAUAUAUAAACAAUCAAAAUUGAAAUUUUCAAAAAAUUAGAUUAUGUUAUAACCACAGAAGAAAGAGAUGUUCUUCCUUCAAAUUCUUAUGAGAUAAUUCGUCUUUAAAUUAGGAUUCAAUCAAAAAAACAUAAACAAAAACAUAACUACAUCCAUAUAGGUCAUCGAAAAACUUUCAAUGUUCUUAAUUAGCCAACACAAACUCUAAUACCGAUUGUUACGAAAUCACACGUCAAUUCCAGAAAAAUGCCACAAACAAAUAACCAUGAGACAGAAUAUAAUAAUAAAAUAUAAAUUAGAAGGCACACCAGAAAAUUUAUUAUCGAAGUUCACUCAAACUUGAGCUACGUCUCUAUGCAGAGAUACUUUGCAAAUCCACUAGAUUUGGAAGAAAAUUGGAAUACAAUGAUGAUAUCAAGAUUAGGGCACAAAAAAACAAAGAACCUUCACAAAGAAAAAAAACACUCAUUUUUUUCUUCUCUCCUUUUAUUUUCUCUCUAUUUUAUUUAUUUUUUAUCGCUAAUAUUAAGGUGUAGCUUUAACGUAAAUAAAAUCUAAUAGAAAAGAUUUUUAAAAAAAAAAAGCCCCUAAAAAAUUUGACUUCAUCUAUAACAUUAACCGACCCCCACCCACCCACCCCCCAAAAAAAAAAAAACCCUUUCUUUCUUAAGUUAUUAAUUGUAUGUUCACAUGAAUUAUUCUAAUUAGAUACUCCUGGUCUAACAUUCCAAAUUUUCUCUCCAAUUUGAGUUGAUCCAAACGGCCUUCUAUUCCAAUCAUGUCUUCAUCGACCCUUAGCAUUUGAUUGGUUUUCCUAUAACCACUCCAUUAUUACGUGUUCACGCAGCCACCUUCUAUGACUUCCAACCAUUUCACAUAUCUAAGGGAAUGACCCACUCAAAUAUGUUAUCUAGAAGAUAUCCUAAUUUUUAACCACCCAACUCCCCCUCCCCCAAAAAAAUAAUAAUAAUAAUAACCUUUCUUUCUAAAGUUAUUAAUUGUAUGCUCACAUGAAAAAUUCUAAUUACAUACUCCUGGUCUAACAUUCCAAUUUUUCUAAUAAAUUCUAGUUGAUAGCAGAAUCUUGUUUCAUUUCAUUGCACGACAAAGAAAAGUUCAGAGGGAGUGUUUCACGACAGCUUUAGGGCGCCUCUGUUCAUACCAUGUUUAGAGAUCAUCAGCAAAUGAAAAAUCAAAAUGAUAAGGAGGGUGAGUAGAUCGGCAUCAACUCUGUGUUUCAAUUGAACGAUUCCCGACUUGUUGAAACGAAAUCAAGACUCGCCGGUUAAUUUUAGUUGAAAUUAUCAUGUGCAAUUUGAGGUUAGAAACAUACCACUGAGGAACACUUCUAACUCGCACUGGUUGAUGAUCCUUUCGCUUAUUUUUAUAAGUUAAAUUAAACAAGCCAACUACGUUCUAUAAUCAGAUACAUAGGGCAGUCCGGCAAGAAAUUGAGCUUGUCUUGUGCGUAUAUUUCGCAUUUCCCAAAUAUCAUUUCCACCCUUCGCUCUCCCUCGACAUACAUUUUUUUUUUCAUAGCAUCUACUAAUUCAACAGUAACACACUCCUCAAAUGAUGACACGUCAAUUUCAUCUUUGAUACAAAUGUCAAUAAUCUCUUUCAUCGUAGAAAGCAAUUGUAACUGUCUAAUUCAACAAACAAGCCCUAAUGUAGUAUUUGCAGUUCAGUGACACUUGUAAAAAAUUUUAAGAGUCGGUUUUCUUUUAAUUUAUCUGAAAGAUGGUAAAUUUUUAAUUGUGCUGCUUUGUUGUUAAAAGUUUACCCGAUAAUCAGAAAAUGACAAGAUUGAGUAUUAUGGUAUCAGAAAUUUAUCAACAAUUAGAAUUCUACCAUGGAAUUUCUAAGAUUUUUCCUUAAUUGGACCCUUCACCCUUCCAGAAAGCUGUGAAAUUGUUUUUAUGAUAACUUCCAUUCCAUCGGCCACUAAUAUAGCCACAUCCUCAGUUUAUUUUUCUUAUCGACCAAUAGCAAUAUAAAAGCCAGAGCAGCCGAUUUUAGACAUUUAAUUUUUUUACUCACAAAGGUUAAAUUUCAAGUAAAGCACAGAGUCAAUUUCUGUUACUCAUUAAACUAAUGAUGCNNNNNNNNNNNNNNNNNNNNNNNNNNNNNNNNNNNNNNNNNNNNNNNNNNNNNNNNNNNNNNNNNNNNNNNNNNNNNNNNNNNNNNNNNNNNNNNNNNNNGGCAGGCACGAGCACUCCCCUCUUCUUCCUUCUAUGCAUCUGCGAAGCCGUUUGCGUUCUGGUCCAAAGUCUGGUUCGAAGAAUCGAGAACGACUCUUGAAUUAUGUGAGAGCAAAGUGCAAUGUCGGCGAGUCGUGACUUGGGAAAUCUAGAUGACGUCAUAUAUAUAUAUAGCCCCGUGUACUUGGGACAAUAAAAGAGCUAAAUGAUGCCAUUCUACAGACUUUUAAUGAAACAUUUUUCAGGCGAACCACCUCAGAAGUUUAUAUUAAAUUAAUGUCGCAUUAAAUUUUAGGCAAAAAAAAUUGCUGACAUCACUCAUGUGAACAUUUUUAAAAGUUAUGGCAUGUAAGUAAUCGAUUGAAAAGUUAUGGUAUUAAAUUGAGUACCAUAUGAAAGUGAUAUCAUUGUUAGUGUCCUCUUCCGGCUUUUGUCUAUUUUCUUACAUGUAGUAUCCAAUGACAUAAAUUAAAUGUGGCAGACAUUAGUUGGUAUGGAGUACUAGUUAAUUUGACCGCAUAAUUUUAAUUCAUGUCAUUUCUUCUCUGAAACUUCCAUUGAUGUUAUUUUUCAGGAAUCACGCUUUCAUUGGCCUUACAGGCCUCCGAAUACGACUUUUCUGUUUCAACGCUCGAAAUGCUUCAAUUUCUCUAGUUUCCAAGCGCUCGAUGACAAGCAAAGUGCUACUCGUAGUUUGUCCUUAAUAGGCCUCCAAAAACGAUUUAAUGUUUCGACCAUUUCUUCACCGACCCAUAGCAAUUUUUUUUUCUCUUUGGUUUUCCUAUAACUGCUCCGUUAUUUCCGCAUAACAUGUUGCCGUGGCGGCCUCCUACGACUUUCAACCCUUUCAUAUUUUCACAUCAAGGCACGAUGACUCUAAAAUGCUAUUAAAAAAAAAAAUCCUAAUUACUAAACUGCAUCCACCCACCUCGUAUAUUUUAACGUAUUAGUUUUAUGUUCAUAUGGAAUUUCCUAAUUACCCUACCCCUGGUCAAACAUUGUUAUUAUUCUCUCCGAUUCGAGUUGAUAGCACAAUGCGUUUCAUUUCUUCACUCGGAAAAGAAAAGUUAAAGAGUGGGCGUUUUGACGACAACUAUGGCGCGCCUCUAUGCGUACCAUAUAUGGAGAUCAUUAGAAAUUGAAAAUUUGAAGUGAUUAGGAGAGUUGAGUAUAUCGGUGUCAAACUGUGAAUCCAUAGUCCAUUGGAACAGUUCCCAACUGUUGCCACUAAAAUACUAUCCUUUUGAAUAUACAAUGUCCAACUUCUACGGUCUGUCAGUUGAACAUAACUAAUGAAUCGCUAACUUGCAAUGCGGAAAUAUUUGGACAUAUUUUGCACAAACAAGAUUAACAUAAUUCGAAGAUUGCUAAUCUCAUGUUGGGAUUAAGUCGAUUUUUCGGUUUUAUGACAUAGAGCAACAGGUGGCACCUCGCCAUGUGCAUGAAAGUACAUUUGAGAGUGAUGUACUUUUUGAUAUUUUUUGUUAGAUCCAUAUUUUUCAUAAUUAUAGGGAAUUAGCUACAAAAAAUAAAAUUUGAAAUCCUUCGGUGUCUGUUCCAUUGUCCUCUUCUACGUUUUUCUUCUUUUCUACAUGCUUGGUUUUUUUCUAGAACUUUACAAUAUCAGGAACGUAAGGCUCGAACAACAAAUCAGAUAACUAAUGUUAAGUUAUCAAAAGCAGUAACUAAGAAAUCCUUAAAUUCUAUACGAAUUUAGAGAAGACACUUGUUGAUUGUUAAUGUCCCCUUAGUAAUUCAAUAAAGCAAGAGCAAUUGAAUCAAAUCACUCCUACGAAACAAACAAAAAAUAUGAGAUUGCUUUGCAGUCUAACGUAAUUUCAAUCCGAAUGAAAGUUAGCACUAGAGUGUUACUUCACAAUUUACCCCAUCAAAAUAAGUUUUCAUCAUGACAGCCCUGACAAACUAAUCAAGUUGGUCAUUGAGGUGGUUGUGGAAAAGUUGAAGAUAAACAUGAGUUUGUUGACUAAACAUUUAAUUGGGAUUAGUUAUCGAGUAGUAGCAACAAGAGAAUCAUUAGACAUCGACUCUGGUGGUGUGCAUCUCAUUCAAAUUCAUGGCAUGGGGGUAUCAAUAAAACAACUCUUGCCCAAGGUCACCUUCAAUCAACUUUCUACCUAAUUUGGGAAGUGUUGCUGCCUCCUUGAGAAUGUUCAAGAAAACUCAACAACUACUGAAAUAGAUGAAUUGCAAAAAACGUCAUUUUUAAACUCGAGUCAAUUAAUAUCACUAUUUAUGUAAUUGGGUACAAACAUGUUAAUUCGUGCAAAAAAUUGCUAAUUCUUUGUCACCAGUGAACAAAACAAGUUAAGGGGUAUGGAUUAUACGUUUAAACAUGGGUAACACAUAUCUUCAGGGUAAUUUAAAAGACAGGCUAGUUUUAUUUUUUGUUGGUUUACUUAUUUCUUUUAGUUUGAGUCCUUGUUUAGAAUCACUCAACGAUGACAAGGUUGAGAUGAUUGGGAGUCCAUUAAGAUCAACCAUGAGAUCAUCGUGAAGACUAGAGUGCCGGAAAGUUCCGCACCGACGAGUUCAAGACAAAGCUACAACCGGGCAAUGGCGAAGUAGAGUCCUUACACUUGCUUAUCCCUCUUUCUAGCUAUAUCUGUACUUGUGAAAAAGCGAUCCGGCCUUUCAUACUUGCGAUGUUGGAUGCGAACAUGAGCACAUGUAAUUUGCAACUUGAUGAUGCUCAUAAGUGAAGAAGCAGAGAGAAACAUUAGCUCAAAUCGUCCAAAUAUAAAUUGUUUUUUAAUCUUAUUUUUACUUCUCAAAGAUUAGAGGAAAAGUAGGUGUCAUGAUUCAAACACAAAGGAAAAUCAAACUGGACCAGAACAUAAAAGUUUCCUUAAAAUAUAUAUAUCAAACUACAGAGAUUCAAAUUAAUCGAGUAGUGUCAAGGAAACGCCAUUGCCCGUGCCGGACAAUGACCGUAAUAUGGGGCAUUUUGUCGACCAACUCUAUUUUUUUGGUCGGCCAUAUAAUAAUUUGCUCGUUCCCAUCGACUACCGCCACUUUGCUUUCCGGUCUUCCAAGGAGCAAUAUAAUAAUUUCGACUUUUAGAAAAGAAAGAGAGCCAUUCUUCUCCUUUUCACACACGGUGUUGGAUCUUUGAUAUUAUUGUAUUACGCUCAAAAGCAUCUUCUUCAGCAUUACCAGGGGAAGAGAGAAAUAUCAAUUAAAGCGACUAUGGCUAGCUGAGACGCAGGAAGUUACCGGGAAAAUGAGUUGCAGGUCUUCGUGAGCUUUAGAAGUCCCGUUACUCACCACCAAUAGCAUCUGACUUUAUGGUCUUCGUCGUGAUAUGUUACGACCAUCUGCUUUAACUAAUUUCUCCGAGGCCCAUGGCAUUUGAUUGAUUUUCCUAUUACUACUCCGUUAAUGAAUGACAAAGAGAUAGGUCCAGGCACAGCGUUACUGAUAGCAACUCCUGCAGUUAUAACUUUAGUAACCCCAUUAAGUUCUCAUUUUCAUCUCAGCAUGAGGAGCUAUAUUCAUACAUUUUUUUCUGGAUAACAAGAGACAAUCCAACUUUCACUUGGACUUAAUAAUCCAUUCGGAUGUGGGCAAAAACUUAGUUCGCACAUGUCGAGGUAAUCUCCACCACACGAUGAAGAACGUGGCCGUACAGAUCGGUUUUAGCGUGAGAAGAAUACCAAAAUAUUAACACAUGCUCAGUGGCAUCCAAAGCAAAAUAAAAAGCAAACAGUUAGACCACGUAACUAAUCAUUACUCGAGAAUACAAAUUUGUUUUUAUGUUGUUCUUACAUAUUUGUUGAAAAAGAAUUGACGAACAUUUGUCGUCGUAAAGUAGUAGAAUUGAGACAAUUCAUGGUUCCAUCAAUUGUGCAAAGAUCAACGAGAAGAACCAUUAUAAGUUCCUCAAGGAGCCACAGAUCACUUAUUUAUAAUACACUCAUUUCAUCUUAAUUAAUAGAAUGUAACGCGUGCCACGCGUGUUAAGAUACUAUAUGUGUGUCACGCGUGUUAAGNNNNNNNNNNNNNNNNNNNNNNNNNNNNNNNNNNNNNNNNNNNNNNNNNNNNNNNNNNNNNNNNNNNNNNNNNNNNNNNNNNNNNNNNNNNNNNNNNNNNNNNNNNNNNNNNNNNNNNNNNNNNNNNNNNNNNNNNNNNNNNNNNNNNNNNNNNNNNNNNNNNNNNNNNNNNNNNNNNNNNNNNNNNNNNNNNNNNNNNNNNNNNNNNNNNNNNNNNNNNNNNNNNNNNNNNNNNNNNNNNNNNNNNNNNNNNNNNNNNNNNNNNNNNNNNNNNNNNNNNNNNNNNNNNNNNNNNNNNNNNNNNNNNNNNNNNNNNNNNNNNNNNNNNNNNNNNNNNNNNNNNNNNNNNNNNNNNNNNNNNNNNNNNNNNNNNNNNNNNNNNNNNNNNNNNNNNNNNNNNNNNNNNNNNNNNNNNNNNNNNNNNNNNNNNNNNNNNNNNNNNNNNNNNNNNNNNNNNNNNNNNNNNNNNNNNNNNNNNNNNNNNNNNNNNNNNCAAAGGCUCCAUCUUUGCAACACCGCGAGAGAAGCGAAGCCCUUAAUUUGUGAAUCAAUUCCAAAGAAGACGAAGAAGGAGCUGUGUAAAUGGCGAGGGAAAUUCAAAUGCAUGUGCCCACACAGGGUGCCGAUUUUUCCCAAAUUGCUUCUGCAACUUGAGAAAGUCCACAUCAACAACAAUAGAUCCGAUAAGAUGACCAAAGCAUUACCCGUGAUGAAGCUUGACUCUUGUAGAAGAAAAGCGGGCAUGCUAGAUCUUCCUACAUAAGGCGGAUGGUGUGCUUUUGUUGACUGGGUUCACCUCAUUACCAUUUAUGUAAAUAAAUAAAGGAAAAGUCAAAAAGUCAAAAAAGAAAAAAAAUGGGGUUGUUGCUUCGUACAAGACCUGAGGAGAGAGAAGAAGAGAGUGCCCCACCGAGGGAGUUAGUCAAGAGCGUGGAGAAGAAGAGAAGAAACCCGGGCAGGCCUUUGAGGGCCUCAUUCCAAGGCCGGCGAGCCUCACCGUGGCUAGGCGAGGCCGCCGGCCAAAGAAGAAAAAAGAAAAAAAAAUAAGAAAAUAGAAAAUUAAAAUAAAAAUAUUAAAAAAUUAAAAGAAAUAAAAAAUUAUACAAAUUUACCAAACGUGUUUCUAUUCUUUUUAUAUUUCUGGAACAAAUUUACCAAACGCAUUUUUUUGUUCAAAAAUUGUUCUCUGGAACAGAAACACUUUUUUCUAUUUCUGUUCCCAGAAACAAUUUUUAAACAGAAACGUUACCAAACGCACCAUCAGUUUUCAAUCUUUAUUUUAUCAUAAAUAACUUUUUCAGAUUCAGAAUUGCUAAAAUCCAAGAACAAAAGAGAGACCGAGAGAAUCCAGUCAAAUUUGGAGACGGACAAAGACCACGUAAAUAAAAUUUCAAGUCAUCCUAAAGAGAAAAAGUUACGGAGGCCUUUUUAUGAGCCGACCAUCGCUUGUGCAGGUCCACUGCCUGUAAAAUAGUGUUUCGGGCUAUAUAUAUGUACUAAUACUUACCUUCAAAUUACUUUGGAGCAAUUACUUUCCACCUAAUUGACAUUUUGUUGGUGGACGACACACUCAGAAUCAUAGUGAUUUGGCUUUAACCUAAUAAUGCUAAAUAAUAAUAAUAAUAAUAAUCACGUCACUUGUGAAUGGUCUAUUGGAGGCGAAGUUGACAGGGAUUGCAUUAGUGGAAAAUUAUAAAGGCAAGUAUGGAUGCAAUGCAAGUAUGGUUUACAUGAGUAACAUUGAUCUUCACAAGCAGUAAGUUCGUUUUAUCAAUUGAAUUUUCGGCAAGGAACUUGGUGUUACUUUAAUACGGGAAGCCCUUGUUAAGGAUAAGGCCAUUAGGCCUCUUAGAAAUAGGGCAAAUGGAAAAUGGAUGAGGAUUACAUGUGCUGAUAUUAACAUGAGUUCUAUACAUCGUGCCUAAGUCCUUAUACACUACGAAAGAAAACAAAAAAUAAAAAUAAAAAUUGCCAAAGGCGAGAACGUGGAUUUUCCAAUUCUGAAAAUCGCCUUUGAUUUUCGAAGACAACAAAAGCCAUCUCUCCCAAAUUCUAGAGCCUGUAAUUUGGUUUCUUAUUUAUUAUGGAUUAAGUAAGAUUAGAACCGCCACAUAUUCUAACACAAAAUAGGAGAAAAUGCCUAUAUAUGUAUCUAAGUAAUUUUUUUUUCUUUAACGAAGGACGUUAUGUAAAGAAAUAAAUCUAGAUACUCAAGAAUGAAAAUACAAUAAGAAAAUGAAUCUCUCCUGCGUCUAUCUCUCGGAUUUUUUAAAUUUGGAUUUUUCCUCUGCCUUUACUUACCAAUCCACGAGAAUCCCCAUUCAAUCUUUGGUGAGUCCCCUCUUUUAUUCAGCAAGAAAGAGGAGCCCCUCCAUCCUCUCUCUCCAAAUCUAGGCCAAAUCUCUCUCUUUUCUUUCUUUGCUUUGCCAAAAUCAACUCCUUCCUCUCUUGAUCUCGCCAGUCCUCCAUUCCUUUGUGUUGACCAUAUCCCCCAUCCCCUUUCCUUGUGUCUUUCACUUAAAGUCGCAUAUCUUUUCCAAGUUAGAUGCCCGAUGCGGCAUGCUACUUUUAAAUAAGAACGUCCCUAAUUUUUAAAUGUAGAUGAACCCGGUAAAGAAAGAGAUUGCAAGACCAUGCGGCAUUGAUAUUUUCAUUUAGGGUUAAAUUGUGAUGUCAUUGACAGAUUCAAUCCCUCAUGGUCAUGAAAUGCAAAGAGAUCUUCUUUUUGAUGAAAAUUUAGGUGUCAAUUACGGUGAAAAAAAGGAUUCCUAAGAUUUGUUUUGCUAUUUUCCUAUAGUGGAAAUUUCAAUAAUAAGUUCAACAUAUUACAGUGGCACAAGUGAACAAAGCUAAACCUUCGGAAGCUACGCAAGGACCUCCGAAAUCAGAUCAAGGACCUUGGUUCAAGAAGCAAGUUAGCACGAGAACGCGGGGCGAGGGUGGUUCAAGAAAUGGAGGCCGGACAACAGGAAUAAGUAUUGUACGAAGGAGAGGAAGAAGAUGUAAGAUGAUGGUAUUGAAGGUAUAAAGCAAAGAAAGUGUUGUACCGAUGUCAACUAUUUUUUCCCGUCGAUGAAGCAUAUUUAUGUGAAAUGACAUGGUUGAACUGAGACCGUUCAUGGUCCAUCAAGUGUGCGAAGAUCAACGAACAAUUGUAAACUCCUUAAAGAUGGGGGGGGGGGGGGGGGGGGAAAAAAAAAGAGAGAGUAGGGGUGAGCAUUUGGUCCAAGGUCAACCCUGAACAAACCCUGGACCGGCCCAACCCUGCCAAUCUUAGUCCAAUUCCCAUGGAGAUUGGGUCAGUCCUUGGUUUUAGAAUUCUUGGACCAGUACUGUGCGCGUCAGUCCAAUUUGGACCAAUCUUGACUAUAUAUAUAAUAUCAGUUAUAAUUUUUUUAUAUAGAGAAAACCUUAUAAUAAACUACGUCAAUAACAUUAAACAACUCUUUAGUGAGAAGUUCAAGUAAUUUUACAUUAUUCUUUAAUAAUUUAAGUUUUUAAUGUCUUUUAUGGCGUCAAUAGUCAUAAUUUACGAAUGAGGAAAAUGUUUUUGUGAUGAAUCCUCACGGCAUCCAAAAAUGCACCUUAUGACAUCCUCCUCUAGUAUUCAUUCUCUUAUAUCUUAUUUAUCAUCUUAGUCUUCAAUUUGCUAAAAUCGAAAAAAAAUAACUUCUCUGCUCGACACUCGACACUCGCCUCGCUUGAUUUGGAUCACUCGUGCCGCUUGUUGCUCAAGUCGCUUGUUGCUCGAUACUCGCUUGGCUUAUUACUCCCCGCUUGACAUUCGAUGCUCAUUCUGUUCGACGCUCACCUCACUUGACCCUCACCGCUUGCUUUUCUUAGCUGACCUUGCUCAUCAUCGAACCCAUUGGGUUGGUACAAUCAUCGGUUGCCCUUUCAAGGAGUACAAAAAAUGAAAUAAAAAAUUAUUAGUUAGUCUUGGGUUGACCUUGAAACCGGACCAAACUCAUUGGUCAGUCCUGUCCUUAAUCGUUUUUUUAAAGAGUAUAAAAAAUGAAAUAAAAAAUUAUCAGUUGGUCCAAGUUGACCUUGGAAACGGAUUGAACCCAUUGGGUCGGUCCGAUCCUCGGUCCCAAGCUCAUAGGGUCAGUCCUCAGUCCCAAAAAUUGAGGACUACUAUGCGGGUUAGUCCUAGGGUUAGGGUGUGGACCGGCUCAACUCGGAUCGUGCUUACCCCUAAGAGAGAGUAAUAUAAAAAAUUAUCUAUGCAGAAGAGAAAUAAACACAAAGAAGUAAUAGUACAUGGAAAAAUUAAGGAGCGACAAGAGAGAAAGAGAGAGAGAGAGUAAUACAAAAAUUAUAAAAAUUAUCUAUGCAGAAGAGAAAUGAAAACAAAGAAGUAAUAAUACAUGGAACAAUUAAGAAAGUCUGAUUCCUUGGCUUCAGUGCAUCGCAUGGCAUAAUCAUCACCGUCCUUUCUACCCGUUGCACAAUGAAGAGGGUAGAGAGAGAGAGAGAGAAUUCAAAUGGGGCCUGCUACAUGGACAUGUGAUACGCGACAUGAUACAACACGCUAACACAUUAUUUCUAUAAAAAAAAAUAGAGAAUUCCAACACGUUCCGACAUGUUAUAUAGUAAAUAUAUAUUUUUAUAUAUAAAUGCAAAAAUAAAUAAUAAAAAGAGCAUAAAAUUAAUUUAUACUAAAAAUAUUAAUUCAACAUUUGUUAAUAUCAUUCAUUAUUUUAAUUUAACAAAUAUUGAAUAAGAAAUUCAAAAAUUGCAAGCAAAAAAGAGUAAAUUUGAAGGAAUAUGUCAUGUUUUCUUACACUUGUCGGAAAUUAAUUAGAUUUCUUAUAGUCCCAGAUAGAGUUUGGAGUUCAUGAUAUAGACUGGCUUGGAGUUCCUCUAAAAAACAAGGUUCGAGAAAAAUGAAAAUCUAGGACAAGAACUCUCGAAGUACGACCAAAAGAAAAGGAAAUAACUAAAUUCACCAUGGAAAAUGUAAGAGAUAACUCACAAGUUAAUGACAUAGACCAAAGGAGAUAACUCAUAGGCAACGCCUGCAAGAGGUGGAAAGAAGCCAAAAAAAAAAAAAAAAUCACAACUUUAAGUCUGCAGGAGCGGCGGAGCGACACUAGCGAGAAGAGGAGCGUUCCAUCAUUACUCACGGGAAUGUCAAAACUUAUAAGUGAGAAACUUGAGAGUGAGAAUUUUAUUAUUUCCCCUUUAUUUUUGUUAUUUUCAUUAUUUUCUCAUAUAUUUAUAUUUUGACUCCUCAAGUAUUGAAAAUUUUUUAUAAUUAACCCCGUGCGUGUCGGAAUCGCGUGCCGGAAUUUCGGACUCGUGUGUUGGAGCGUGUUAGAAAGAGUCGACCACGUGUCGGAUUUGCCGACACUCAUUGACCGCAUGUUGGAACGUGUCGGAGCGUGUUGGACACAUGACGGAGUGUCGAACAUGACACGAAAGCCUUUGAAAAGUGUCGAUGCUUCUUAGCCUGCAACUGCAUGCUCGUUUGAACAAGCCAGCAAUGUCAUAUAUAAAAUAUAUUGUAAAUAUCUAGCCAUGGCUUAUGCACAUGGGGCCCAGCAACCGUAUGCAAGUUUGCUAACUACGUUUUGUCACCUCUUUGGUGCCUUUUUUCUUUUGUUUUUUUUUUGUUUUUUUUUCAAAUUUCUCAUCGACCAAUAGCAUUUGUUUUUAUGGUCUUCUUUCUUCUUUUAAAAAUUACGACUUCCUACUUCAACCAUUUCUCAUCCACCCAUAGCAUUUGAUUAGUUUUCCUAUAUCUACUCCAUUAUCUCUUCACACCGUGCCUCUUUCUUUGUUAAGAACAUUGGCACAUAGAGAGAUCUGUUUAAGCUGAGCAAACUUACUACUAUGGCGAGCUCAGAUGAAGGAAGGUUGUUGGGAAGCGAGUAUUAGGUGUUCCUAAGCUUUAGAGGACUGGACACCGGUACUAAAUUUACCGACUACCUCUAUCAUAGCUUGAUCGAUGCUGGAAUUUGUGUCUUCCGAGACAACGAAGAGCUCCGCGUUGGUGAAAGGAUCGGUGGAUCGCUUUGGCGAGCAAUCGAUAACACCAAGAUCUAUAUACUCAUACUCUUUCGGAACUACGCUUCAAGGCCAAUGGGUGCCUUCGUGAGCUUGUGCAAAUCGUGGCAAACACCUCCAGCUCGGGAGGCAAUAAAGAGAUCCUACCUAUUUUCCUCGAUGUGGAACCUAAUGAUGUUAAGCUGAAAACUCUGUUGUAUGAAGAUGCCAUACUCAAUUUGAAGCAUGAGAAGAAGUUGAGCGAUGAGGAAGUAAAUGAGUGGAGAAAGGCUCUAAUGCAUGAUGAUGCGAUCAAGGGGUGGGAGGCGAAGAAGUAUAUGGGGUAAGCAUAUUGCUUUCAAGAUGCUUGUUUCCCCAAUUUUCGUUAUCGCUCGAAUCAUAGAGGUAUAAAUUUCAGUACUAUUGAGGUGGGACUUUCAUUAUAGUAAUACUAGACGAGGAACCUAUGCUACAAUUGUCAAAAAAAAAAAAAAAUGUGAAAUUGAUUAACAAGGUCAUCUCAUCAAAUGGGCGAAUAAUCAUACUAAUAGCUACAUAGCUAUAUUAAUAUUUGAUUAUGGGCAGUGGCAGAAAAAAAAAAGAAUGGGCUACUGAAAUGUCAUGCUCAUUACUAUCUAAUCAUUUAAUCUUGCAAUACAGAAAACAUUUCUCCUCUUGAAUACACGGUGUUCAAUUUCUAUAGUCGUUGCUUGAACAUCAAUGACAAAAUGUCAAUUUCAAAUUCAUAAAUAUAUCUAUUUUGCAUGAAGUUAUUAAAAUAGUCCCAAGAUUGUUAAAAUCUCGUGUUUAAAUCAAAUCAAAUUUAGGGUUUUGACAUGGUGCACGCGUUGCCAAGUGCAUAAGCUGUGUGUUUUGAAGUAAUGUUAAUGUCCAAUAUGGACUCUUAGAAGAUCAUUUCGAGAUCUUUAAGGUCCCAUUAUCUGUCCGAAUGUUGUGUUUUUUUAUUCGGUGCUUACAUAAGAUUACUUCUAGCUAGGUAAACGCGAUUUCGCAUUUUCUCCCAGUAAAAAUGAUUUUCUAUUGUGGCAGCUAUGGCAAGCUCACCAAAUUGGUAGUUGAGGAGGUCGUGAAAAAGCUGAAGACAAAACAUAAAUCAGUGACUGAACAUUUAGUUGGAGUUGAAGAUAAAGUAGCAGCAGUAAGUAAAUUGUUAGACAUCGACUCUAGCGGUGUGCGACUGAUUAAAAUUCAUGGUAUGGGCGGUAUCGGUAAAACGACAAUCGCCAAGAUUGUCUUCAACCAACUCUCGUCUCAUUUUGGAAAGUGUUGUUGUUUCCUUGAAGAUGUCCGAGAGAAGUCAUCAAGAACUAAUGGCUUAGUUGAGUUGCAAAAAAAGUUACUUUCUGAAAUCGGCCAUCAUGCAGGAAUAAUGGCCAUUGAUGAAAUUGCUUAUGGAAUGGAGAGGGCUAGAGACAUACUUUGCAAUAAGAAAGUCCUCAUUGUACUUGAUGAUGUUGAUAAUAGAGAACAAGUAGAGAAAUUAGUUGGAGAGGGAAAUUUGUAUCUAGGAUCUAGAAUAUUGAUUACAACUAGAAAUAAAGAUAUCAACACAUCAAAGUAUCAAAUUUUAGAUUAUGAAAUGGAGGUGAUGAAUACCGAUAGAGCGCUUGAGCUUUUCAGUAGGCAUGCAUUUGGCAGUGUCUCUCCUCCAAAUGAUUAUAACGAUCUUUCAAGGGAAAUUGUAUUAGCUACCGGGAGACUUCCUUUGACUCUUGAAGUAACUAGCUCAUUCCUUUGCCGCAAAAAGAUGAUAGAACAAUGGAAAGAGACAUUGGACCGGUUGAGAACAGGACAUUUCGAGAAUGUCUAUGAAAAGUUAAAGAUCAGUUAUGAUGCCUUAAGUUUCGAGCAAAAACAAAUUUUCCUUGACAUCGCAUGCUUUUUCAUCGGUCAGGAUAAGACAGAUGCAAUUUACAUGUGGGAAGAUUGUGACUUUUUCCCACACUCUGGAGUUGAGGAACUCAUUAGCUUGUCUUUGGUAAAGAUUUCGGAGAACAAUGUGUUUUGGAUGCAUGAUCAACUCAGAGAUCUUGGUAGCACUAUUGUUCGCAUGGAAAAUCCAAUGAAUCCUGGAGAGCGUAGUCGAAUAUGGACUAAUAAGGAGGCUCUUGAUGCAAUACGGACAAAAGAGGUAAAGCAAUUCUAGAGUAAUUGAUAGUUUCUAGCAAUAAUACCUCUGCACUGACUUAGGAUGCUCUAUCUUCUUCUUGUUUUUUUCUUUUUCCUUUAUAUACUUUUCCUUUAUGAAAUAGAAUGUGAAUAACACUCAUUUCCCGUUCUUGUAUGUAGAUAAAAAAGAAUGUUCAAGCACUAUAUCUUGAUAUACAUGCACCAGAUUUCCAUAAUGUUGUUCUUCAAAGUGAAGAGAUUGGCAGGUUUGAACAUCUAAGGUUCCUCGGGUUAAGUGGAGGAAUCUUUGUUGGCAACUUUGAGAAUCAUCUUACUAAAUUGAGAUGGUUGUCUUGAAAUUUUUCUCCGGAAAGAAAUGAAUGGACUAAUUUGUACCUAAGGAACAUGGUCGUUCUUAAACUUUCAUGCAAUCUUUACUUAGAUGACUCAAGAUUACAGGACUUAAUCCAGGUAUGUAUUCUAGUCUAUUUAUUUGAAAGUAAUAUAUGAUUGUUCAUACAUUGAAUGUUGCAUUAAUUUUGACAGAUGGCAAGAAAAUUGAAAGUUCUUUCUCUUCUAGAUUGUGCUAAAAUAAACGGAACACUAGACUUCUCUAGAUGCCCUGAUUUAGAGAGGCUUGAUUUCAGCAAUUGUUCCAAUUUACGGAAAAUUGAUGGCUCUAUUGGAAAGUUGAAGUGUCUGAUUGACCUAAGGAUUGUGCUUUGCCAAAGUAUUAAAUAUUUGCCCAAAGAAAUUGGUGACCUAGUGAAUUUGAAGCACUUCGUUGUAAAGCAUUGUGGAGUGUGUGAUUUACCGGAUUCCAUAUGGAAGUUGAGAUCAUUAUGUAAGGUGCAUUUUACAAAGGAAUUAGGUGUACCAUCUGCACCAUGGAAAUUACCUAGAGAUAUUGGAAUACUUAAGAAUUCGGAAGUGCUGAAAGUGGAUGAUCCUUAUUUAAAAGGUCAAAUUCCUUCUGGAAUCGGAAGAUUGUCCACUCUAAGAAUCCUAAAUCUAUGGGGUACUAAUGUUAGUGAAGUUCCAAAGACCAUUAGCAUGCUUCCUUGCCUGCAAAGAUUGGAGCUGUCAAGUUGUCAUAAGAUUCAAGAGUUGCCUAUGCUCCCAAUAAGUCUAACCCAUUUGAAAGUGUCAUCUAGAUCAUUGUGGGUAGUCCCUGAUCUCUCGAACUUGACUAAUUUGAUUGAGUUGACACUAUAUGGAGUAAGAGGAGAAGGCGAACUUUGUAUAGGUGAGUUGUGGUGGAUUGGGAAGUUAUCCAAAUUGAAAAUACUAAACUUAAGACUUAACAAUGUCCAUGCUCCUGCAGAGCUAGCUUCCCUACCUCAACUUAACGUACUUUAUAUGUCUAGAUUGGACUUGCAAACCUGUCCGCAACUUCCCUUGUCUCUGGAAAAGCUGUACCUUGAUACUUUCAAUUCAACUCUGUCAAGCUUGAGAAAUUUGUCUUUUUUCUGCCUUUGUGAGUCACCAAUGCAAGAAAUUCAAAUUGAUGGGUUUCAACUUCCAUAUCUAAGAAAGUUGCAAGUGGUGCGGUGUGAAGCCCUUGAGAGCAUCGGGCUAUCAAGCAUGAGAAAGCUAAAAGAUGUCGAGGUGAAUGAUUGCGGAAAGCUAGUUGAGAUCCAAUUUUUUUGGGUGUCCGAAUCACUUGAGGAUUUGUCUAUUAAUGAUUGUAGGUCCUUCAAAAGGCUAGUUUGCAGGGGGGAAGCGGGGCAUGAUAACAAUGAGACCGCUAAUGAGGUGAUUAGUUUCGAAGGGAGACUAAUCCUUUCAACGAGAGCCUUAAAGAAGUUGCGAAGUUUCCACCUGUUAGGUAACAAUGAGAUAUUCGAGAUUCACGUUGUUGGUAGCUCGGCAUCGUGGGAAGUCUUCAGUGUCAGUUGUCCUUCGCUGCGAAGUCUUCGUGGUUUACCAAACUUAAAGAACCUUCGGUCUUUAUCAUUCUUCGAUUGCAGUGGCCUACCGGUUGUCGAGGGCCUCGACCAGCUAGAGUGUUUGAAGAGUUUAACGGUUUUGUAUUGCGAAUUUUGGAAAGGUUGAUUGACCUGUCAACCACCAAAUUGCCAGAUGAUUGCUUCAUACACAUCACCCAUUGCAAAAAAUUAUGUGGGUUUGAGAAAGGAUUUUUGGGCCCCCUCCAGUCUUUUUUUUUUUUUUUUGGUCGAAGCCCCCCUCCAGUCUUACAAGCGUGAUAAGGUGAGUCUAGACCAUUCUCUCUCUUCUCUUUGGUCUUGACGCGGCCAUGCCCAAACAUGAAUUCAACCUUUCAAGCAGAUUUAUAAUAAUUAUGCGAAAUCAAAAACCAAAAUAAAUUAAAUCUGGUCUCAUUUAUUUUAAACCCAUUCAACACAGGUUUGUUUUGUUCUGCGCUCGUGUUUCUUCUUCUUCUUCUUUUUCUUUUUCUUUUUUCCUGUUUUCCAUUUUCCGUUUUCUCUCCUCUUUUGUAUAUUAGAAAUUUCUAUAUUUGCACAAAUCUAUGGGACAAGGUCAGUUUUUAUCACAAAUGAUUGAAAAAAUUUCAAUGUCCAGAAAAAAAAAAUAGAAUAGCUCAGAGUUUCUUAUUAAAUGCUCUUUUCAUUAUAUAUAGAGUGGACUAUUUAGUUUAGCGCAGGUUUUACAUAAUAUACUCCACUUUAUUGUCCAUUUCUUACUUUAUACUAUUCAUUAUGGAAAUGAGUUUGGCCAUUUGCAAUUUCUACAGGAAGGAUAGAACAUUAAAAGAGUCGGAUACUUCGUGCACAACUCAAAACAAUUUAGCUAACAGAGACGUUACAAGAACAUAGUUUAUGUGGUCCACCUAUCCACUAAUCAAGUGACUUAUGUCCCCGACUGAAAUGAGUGUUUCUUGAAUUUGCAUGUGGUUAGGGUUGGCCAAGUAGGAGGUGUGUUCCAAAAGCACCUCAAAUACUUAUAUAAGAUUUUACAGUUUGAUUAAAAGCCACUUCAAACAGGAGCAGGAACGGAAACAGGAACAGGAAAGCCGCUUCGAACAGGAAUUCGAACCGAGGAGAGACCUGGGCGGAGCGUGGUUCCAAUGCCUGAGCUUCAGCAGUUUGCUACAUUGCGUCCUCCCCUGUUUUUUCCCCUCUGAUUAAAAGCCACUUCAAACAGGAAUUUAAACAGAGGAAAAGACAGGGGAGAGCGUCUUUCCAAAGCCAGAGCUUCAGCAGAUUGUGAUGUUGAUUGCGGGUAAAGAUGGGAAGCUCUGGCCGAUUAUUUGACAGCGGAACUGGAGAGGCCCGUCUCAAAGAAGUCAGAGGACGCUCGCCAUCAAGUCAGAACGAAGUCGGCCAAAAGCAGAGCCAGAGUGUACCGGAACACUCGAAAAUGCAAUGGAGGGCGUACUUGCCCAUUCGAGUGAUCAAUGCCAAUGGCGUCUAGCAAAGCAAACCCAGAAGACGUCACCUUUGGCCGGGAAUAAAGGCCCUCUUGUACUGUAUUUGUGGCCUGUCUUUUCGCCUAGAAUGCAUUCGUUUCUUUUAAUUCGUCUUUCCUUUUAAGGUCGGGCUUUGGAACCAAUAUGCACGUAAAAUAAUGUGGUCUUUCUUCGAUUUUCAGACAAUAGCUUCAUAGAUGAUUCAAAACUACGGAGCUUAAUCAAGGCGUGUCAUGCUUUUCUCUAUUCUAUCUAACUAAUUUGUGACACUCAUCCGAUGAAUAGUGGCGUUCAUUUUUUACAAAUGGCAGUAAAAGGGAAAGUUCUUUUUCUUUUACGUUGUUCUCACUUAAUCGGAACCUACGACUCCUUUGGAUGCUCAAAUUUAGAGAGGCUUAUUUUCCAACAUUGUCCCAAUUUGAGAAAAAUAGACAGCUCUAUUUGGAAUCAAAGUAUCUGACCAACUUGAAUAGCAAUGGUUGCCGUCAUCUUGAAGAUCCGCCCAAAGAAAUCAGAGACCUUGUGAAUCUUCAGUGCUUGACUUUAGGGUGGUGUUGUUGAGUAAAGAAACUACAAGAUUCCAUAUGGAAAUUGAAAUCGUUACGUAAGAUGUAGUUUUCAGUUGAGUAUUUUGAAUCAAAUUCAUCUUCAAACGAUGCAUGGCAGUUGCCCAGUGCAAUGGAAAUACUCAAAGUCAUGACUCAAAAUUUGAAAGGUCAACUUCUCCAGAGUCGAAAGUUUGCCCUUUUUUGAGAAUCCUAUGCUUGUCGUGCCCUUGCAUCAGUGAAGUUCCAGCGACAGACAGUAUGCUUCCUUACCUGCAAACACCUGAGUUAAAAGUAUGCAAUAAGAUUCAGGAUCUGCUGACACUUUUCGCAAGUUUAAACAAUCUACUAGUGUUGUCUAUAACAUUGCAAGUAGUCCUAGUUUUCUCGAAUUUGACUAGCUUGGUUCAGUUCGACCUAUCUAAUGGUUCUAGGUGGAGAGAAGGAAGCAAAAUUCGCCAGUUAGUAGGGUGGACUGGGAGGUUAUCCAGACUGAAUGAGCUGAGCUUGAAUCUUCUCAAUGUCCCUGCUCCAACUGAGUAGGCUUCCUUGGUUAAAGAAUCUUCAUUUGUCAAGGUUGGACCUGCGAAAACUUGUGCAACUUCCUCCACCUCUGUUAAAUUUAAGCCUUGACCACUUCAAUUCAACUGUGUCACUCUCAUCCAAAUUAGAAAAUUUGUGAAGUUUAGAGCUCCCACGGUCUCAAGUGCAAGAAGAAUACUCAACAGCCUUUAACUUCAAAAUUUAACAGAGUUGGUUCUGAAAAGCUGUCAAUCCCUUGAGAUAUUCAUACUAUCAAAAAUGAGGAAGCUCAAAACUGGUCCAAGUAGAAUACUGCUGAGAGCUAGUUGAGAUCCAAUUUGCCGGGCUGUAUGACUCAUUAGAAGCAUUUUCUAGCAUAUGGUGUGAGUCCUUGGGAAGGUUAGCUUAUACGGGUGGAGUCUGCAAAUGAGUCGAUUAUUUGUGGAGGGACACUAAUUUUUCUGUCCCGAGUACUAAAUAAGCUUAAAAAGUUUCUGCUUAGGGGUUGCCCGAAGAUACUCAAAUUCAAGUACUGGGUACAUUGGAAAAAGGGGAAGGGUCUGACGUCUCGGAUUAUUGUUUGGCGAAAAGUGUUCGUGGUUUAUCAAACUUAAAGGAGCUAUUGCAAUGGGCUGCAGGUUGUCGAGGACCUUGACUAGCUAGAGUUUUUGAAUCAGUUAACCAUUCAUCGCUGCAGAUAAGUAAAAAAGUAGAUCGAUGUAGCACGAACAGAAUUUCCUAAGGAUAGCAACAUAGAUAUCUUCGACUGCUGGAAAUUAGCUGAGGCUACAAUUCGAUGUCUCCAUCCAGUCUUGCGAGCAUUAUAAGGUGAGUUGAACCUUCUCCUUUCUUUGUUUUUUCUUCUCACCUUUUUUUCUUGAUGGAUAGCAACGAUCGCCUAAUUCUGUCCCAGUUUGCUUACUCCCGUCUCUAUAUCACUUAUACAUAGCAAACAUUUGAUGUGCUAAAAUAUGAUCUGGCGUUGCCUUUCUACAUAGUUUAUAUGAGGCUUAUGUACACAUAUAGUCUAUCUCCAUCUAAUAACUUAAUUAUAAUAUAGAUAACUGGAAAGAGAGAUUUGGUAUCUUACGAAAUCUAAAUGAAAUGAUUCAGAAGGCCAUAGACAAUAGUGAACUCAACUUUUGAACACGGACAGAUCAGUUGUUCGGAACCCCGGUCUAGUGUGAGGUGGGGGGCAUCUUGUGUGAUCUCCUCAGCUGUUAAGUUUCGGGCUUUUACGGGUUUUGGGGAACCAUGGCGACCCCGAUUGUGGAAUUGUGCGCUCUUAGAGAGGGUCUGAGACUUGCUCUGCAAUGUCAUAUAUUAACAAUGAACUUGAUGCAAGAAAUCCUUCAUGACAGGUUUCUUAAUAAAACAACAUGUAAAAUUAGAAUCCGGAACCGCUCUUUUUGGAAUGAAGGACUAACUUCAGGAGCUUUACCCAAUACCAGACGGAGUGCAGAUUUCGAGAGGCAAAUCGCUGUGCUGAUUUCAUGGCAAAGAAGGGCUGCUUGCAAUAGGAUAAUCUUAAGAUCUUAGGGGAACCUCCAUUAGACAUUUUGAAGCUACUGGAGUUUGACUGUAGGUGCUGUUGUGUCCACGGAGCCGUUACAAUUUGCGUAGUACCUUAGUUUCUGCAUUUUACGAUCACUGGUUCCUCAACCGCUGGUGGAGAAUGAAGAAAAGAAGAAGAGAAUGAUAAAGAUCAUCUUGUUUUGCCUGAAACAGAGAUGGGAAUGACAGAGCAGAAAACAAAAUUGAUGCCGAAAUUUGCAUUAAGGAACAAGAGAGGCCUUAUUUCAAAUUUUAUCUACCCUUUUCUUCCAUCAAAUUUAGGCACAGAAUGUCUACUUGGUAACAUACCCCAACUCCCUGAUUAGUCAGAAUCAUGAAAUGUCACAUCAAGACAUUCUACAAAAUCCAAGACAUCACAGCUCGACCGACAUCCUUAAGAAACUCGCCUGCAGCUGCAUACUCUUCCAACGCCUUCUUGAUGACACCAUCCUUCAGGAGCUGUGGAAAAAACAGCCAAGAUGCGGUCACCAUCACGAAUGUGACCGUCAUCAGACCCGUCAAAACCCUCGGCAACCGCCACUUCGUGCCACACUUCCUCUUCACCACCACCUCGAUCACCAAACAUGCUCCGUGGAGCACGAAAAACCACAUGACCUCCCAAGUAGGCUUCACGCGCCCCAUGUAGAAAAACAUCAGCUCGUGCAUGAGCCCAGAUACCAGGAAGGAGGCCAUCACUGCUGGCAGCGCCGCCCACUUGCGUCCGAUUGCCACCGACGCGGCAUAGUGGACUGGUUCAUAUAUGGUCAAUCGCAGGAUGUUGGUCACCAUGAGGUUCCACCGCUUCCCCCAGAAGUCUUGAAGUGAAGACGAGAGGUACGGCUCACGGAACUGUGGCUCCAGCUCCAUCCCAAAGGCUGCUCGAGCUGUGGCUUGUAUGGAUGAUAAGAUCAGAUCAAGGGCAAGGUAUAGGUGGCAGCAGUAGAUUAACAAGAUCAGGUUUGGAUGGAAAUGGUCGCCGUAGUCGUAUACACGUAAUAGCAUCACAAAAAGCAAAGCUUUUGUGGGAUAGUUCAGCAGCAAGAUGGUUUUGGGUCUAAUGUUUUCAGGAUUUUGAGGAAGUGGGUUUUCUUUAUGAUGGCCAUUUUGAGGUGAGCGUGUGUGAUCUUUGGUGUUCUGUGUCCUCUGUGGUGAUUUCUUAAGGGGCGUCCGUUGGAUCUUGAUGGGUAAGCAAGCAAUUGCCAAGAAGCGUGGAAGAGAGAUUGGAGGAUCUGAAGAUAAAGGCCCUUUGCCAAAGGCAAAGAGGAGGAGCUUGGAGUUGCCAAGCCAUGAAAUGAUGAAGCUAGUUUGGCCUAUAAGAUUCACAGCUGAUAGAUUGAGAGGAAGAUAAAGAAAGAGAGCCACGACGGGAAGAAUCGGUAAGAGCCUUCUAGUGCCUUUUGGGAUGAUCCUGCCCACUAUGUAGCAAUAGCACAGAGACAUCAAAGCUGUGAUGCAUACCUUGAAGAAGUUGUAAAUCUCUCCUUCCAUGCACUCUCUCUCUCUCUCUCUCUCUCCCCCCUCCCUGUUCCUUAAUUUUCAGCUGCACUGUCUUUGGAUCUCUUCGCUGGACAGCUGAACAUGAUAGAGUUUUGCGCGAGUUUGAGAGUCAGAUAUUGACAAGAAGAGGUCAGUCGUAUCUUCAAUAAGCAAAGACCUAGUAAGCGGCUUGCCUGCUUCUUUUAUUUAUUGUUUCUCAUCUUAGCAAUGCUUAAAUGGACCUCUCUCUUUUUUUGUGCAGGAAUUAAAAAAUGGUCGGUACUUUAUUCAUUUUAUUGCCGCGUGAGAUGAACCGGCAAUUUUUUAUGUUGAAUCAACGACCUCAAAGCAUGUUAUGUGCGGCUGCUUUUGUAAUAGGGAAAAUGUCACAAAUGGUUUCUAUACUAUUACCUAAUGUGCAAUUUGGUCCCUGAACUUUCAAUCGGCUCAAUUUNNNNNNNNNNNNNNNNNNNNNNNNNNNNNNNNNNNNNNNNNNNNNNNNNNNNNNNNNNNNNNNNNNNNNNNNNNNNNNNNNNNNNNNNNNNNNNNNNNNNCCUUGUUCUCACUUAAUCGGACCUGCGGCUCCUUUGGAUGCUCAAAUUUAGAGGCUUAUUUUCUAACAUUGUCCCAAUUUGAGAAAAAUAGACAGCUCUAUUGGGAAUCAAAGUAUCAGACCAACUUGAUGUCGGAGGUUUGUUUGUCAAAACAAACUAAGUGUUUUUUCCUUGUCCCACAUAAGAAAAGUGGGAGGGAGUGGGCCAAUUUAAAAAUGUGAGAUUUCCUUUUUCUAGUUAAAGGAAUGAUUGGGUGAGGUUAGACCCAACCAUAUUCACAUGCGGGUGCGCAAAUAAUUGCAUGAUUAUUUGGCCCACUUAGCACGCCUGCAUGCUGCGGUUUAAUUAGCACUAAUCCAUUUGUUAUUUUUUUAUAUUUUUAAUUUUUAAUCAAUUCAAAGGUUGCUUUUUUAAUUUGAGAAUUUUCAUAAAUGAAAUAUAAAAUGAAAAUUCGAAAUUCUAUUUAAAAAAAGAACUAUUAUUCCUAAUUUUUAUUUGUGUUUUUUUUAUAUAAUUUUUGGAAAAUUACUUUUUCAGUUUGCAACUUUUCCCGAAGGGUUGCAAUUGUUCGGUUUUCGACUUCUUCUGAAGAGUCGCAUUUGUUUGUCCAAACAAUUUUUCUAAAUGACGUGUUUGUUCAUUUUUUGGCAAUUUUCAUGAAGAGUUGCAAGACUAUUUUAUAUAUAUACUCGUUAUUUUUUGGAAAAACAAGAGUGAUAAUUUUUCAUCUUUUUCGAGCUUUCUAUUUGAAAAAAACUACAGCUAUUCUUUCAAUUGUUUCCUAGAGAGACCCUGAAGAAAUACUAGAAUUGCUAUCUAGUAUUCUCAUUCGAGACUUUGUUGUAUCCUAGAGGAUUUUUGUCCGUGACCAUUAGCAACGUUAUGGAACAAAUAAAUCCUUAAAGAAAGUGAUAUCACGCCUCAAAGUCCAACUUGAAUACUCUGAAUAUCCAUCUUCAUUCUUUUACCCAAUUCGAAACCAUAUUUUCACAACACUUGAAUAUCAAUGGUUGCCAUCAUCUUGAAGAUUCGCCUAAAGAAAUCAAAGACCUUGUGAAUCUUCGGUGCUUGACUUUAGGGUGGUGUUGUUGAGUAAAGAAACUACAAGAUUCCAUAUGGAAAUUGAAAUUGUUACAUACGAUGUAGUUUUCGGCCGAGUAAUUUGAAUCAAAUUCAUCUUCAAACGAUGCAUGGCAGUUGCCUAUUGCAAUGGAAAUGCUCGAAGUCAUGACUCAAAAUUUGAAAGGUCAACUUCUCCAGAAUCGAAAGUUUUGCCCUUUUUUGAGAAUCUUAUACUUGUCGUGCCCUUGCAUCAGUGAAGUUCUAGCGAUAGAUAGUAUGCUUCCUUACCUGCAAACACCUGAGUUAAAAGUAUGCAACAAGAUUCAGGAUCUGCUGACACUUUUCGCAAGUUUAAACAAUCUACUAGUGUUGUCUAUAACAUUGCAAGUAGUCCUAGUUCUCUCGAAUUUGACUAGCUUGGUUCAGUUCGACCUAUCUAAUGGUUCUAGUUGGAGAGAAGGAAGCAAAAUUCGCCAGUUAGUAGGGUGGACUGGGAGGUUAUCCAGACUGAAUGAGCUGAGCUUGAAUCUUCUCAAUGUCCCUGCUCCUACUAAGUAGGCUUCCUUGGUUAAAGAAUCUUCAUUUGUCAAGGUUGGACCUGCGAAAACUUGUGCAACUUCCUCCACCUCUGUUAAAUUUAAGCCUUGACCACUUCAAUUCAACUGUGUCACUCUCAUCCAAAUUAGAAGAUUUGUGAAGUCUAGAGCUCCCACGGUCUCAAGUGCAAGAAGAAUACUCAACAGCCUUCAACUUCAAAAUUUAACAGAGUUGGUUCUGAAAAGCUGUCAAUCCUUUGAGAUAUUCAUACUAUCAAAAAUGAGGAAGCUCAAAACCAGUCCGAGUAGAAUAUUGCUCAGAGCUAGUUGAGAUCCAACUUGCCGGGCUGUAUGACUCAUUGGAAGCAUUUUCUAGCAUGUGGUGUGAGUCCUUGGGAAAGGUUAGCUUAUACGGGUGGAGUCUGCAAAUGAGUCGAUUAUUUGUGGAGGGACUCUAAUUUUUCUGUCGCGAGUACUAAAUAAGCUUAAAAAGUUUCUGCUUAGGGGUUGCCCGAAGAUACUCAAAUUCAAGAACUGGGUACAUUGGAAAAGGGGGAGGGUCGGACGUCUCGGAUUAUUGUUAGGCGGAAAGUGUUUGUGAUUGCGAUGGGCUGCAGGUUGUCGAGGACCUUGACAAGCUACAGUUUUUGAAUCAGUUAACCAUUCAUCGCUGCGGAUAAGUAAAAACGUAGAUCGAUGUAUCACGAACAGAAUUUCCUAAGGAUAGCAACAUAGAUAUCUUCGACUGCUAGAAAUUUGCUGAGGCUACAAUUCGAUGUCUCCAUCCAGUCUUGCGAACAUUAUAAGGUGAGUUGAACCUUCUCCUUUCUUUCUUUGUUUUUUCUACUCACCUUUUUUCUUGAUGGAUAGCAACGAUCGCCUAAUUCUGUCCCAGGUUGCUUACUCCCGUCUCUAUAUCACUUAUACAUAGCAAACAUUUGAUGUGCUAAAAUAUGAUCUGGUGUUGCCUUUCUACAUAGUUUAUAUGAGGCUUAUGUACACGUAUAGUCUAUCUCCAUCUAAUAACUUAUUCUAAUAUAGAUAACUGGAAAGAGAGAUUUGGUGUCUUAUGGAAUCUAAAUGAAAUGAUUCAGAAGGCCAUAGACAAUAGUGAACUCAACUUUUGAACACGGACAGAUCAGUUGUUCGGAACCCCGGUCUAGUGUGAGGUGGGGGGCAUCUUGGGUGAUCUCCUCAGCUGUUGGGCUUCGGGCUUUUACGGGUUUUGGGGAACCAUGGCGACCCCGAUUGUGGAAUUGUGCGCUCUUAGAGAGGGUCUGAGACUUGCUCUGCAAUGUCAUAUAUUCACAAUGAACUUGAUGCAAGAAAUCCUUCAUGACAGGUUUCUUAAUAAAACAACAUGUAAAAUUAGAAUCCGGAACCGCUCUUUUUGGAAUGAAGGACUAACUUCAGGAGCUUUACCCAAUACCAGACGGAGCGCAGAUUUUGAGGCAAAUCGCUGUGCUGAUUUCAUGGCAAAGAAGGGCUGCUUGCAAUAGGAUAAUCGUAAGAUCUUAGGGGAACCUCCAUUAGACAUUUUGAAGCUACUGGAGUUUGACUGUAGGUGCUGCUGUGUCCACGGAGCCGUUACAAUUUGCGUAGUACCUUAGUUUCUGCAUUUUACGACCACUGGGUCCUCAACCGCUGGUGGAGAAUGAAGAAAAGAAGAAGAGAAUGAUAAAGAUCAUCUUGUUUUGCCUGAAACAGAGAUGGUAAUGACAGAGCAGAAAAGAAAAUUGUUGCGGAAAUUUGCAUUAAGGAACGAGAAAGGCCUUAUUUCAAAUUUUAUCUGCCCUUUCUUCCAUCAAAUUUAGGCACAGAAUGUCUACUGGGUAACAUACCCAACGCCCUUAUUAAUCAGAAUCAUGAAAUGUCACAUCAAGACAUUCUACAAAAUCCAAGACAUCACAGCUCGACCGACAUCCUUAAGAAACUCGCCUGCAGCUGCAUACUCUUCCAACGCCUUCUUGAUGACACCAUCCCUCAGGAGCUGUGGAAAAAACAGCCAAGAUGCGGUCACCAUCACGAAUGUGACCGUCAUCAGACCCGUCAAAACCCUCGGCAACCGCCACUUCGUGCCACACUUCCUCUUCACCACCACCUCGAUCACCAAACAUGCCCCGUGGAGCACGAAAAACCACAUGACCUCCCAAGUAGGCUUCACGCGUCCCAUGUGGAAAAACAUCAGCUCGUGCAUGAGCCCAGAUACCAGGAAGGAGGCCAUCACUGCUGGCAGCGCCGCCCACUUGCGCCCGAUUGCCGCCGACGCGGCAUAGUGGACUGGUUCAUAUAUGGUCACUCGCAGGAUGUUGGUGACCAUGAGGUUCCACCGCUUGCCCCAGAAGUCUUGAAGUGAAGACGAGAGGUACGGCUCACGGAACUGCGGCUCCAGCUCCAUCCCAAAGGCUGCUCGAGCUGUGGCUUGUAUGGAUGAUAAGAUCAGAUCAAGGGCAAGGUAUAGGUGGCAGC